AUUGAAAAUUUUAGAAGGAAAUAAAGAGAAAGACUUAGAAAAUACUUGAAAACAGGUAAAACUUAUAUGUCAUUUAAAAUAAAAAAUUUCUAUAUAAGCCAUUUAAAAUUUUUAAGAUUUUUAAAAUUUUAAAAUGAUAAAGGUAAAAUUGUACUUUGGCAUCCCAAAAAUGACAAAACUUUGAUUUAAUUCUUUAGAAAUUAUAAAAAUAUAGGCUAUUAAAAUGGUGAAAUUAUAUUUUUACUAUAGUAAAAAAUUACAAUUUAAUUUCACCCCUAAAAGGACUUUCUCACUUCGCCCCUAAUAAAAUCUUUUGCAAAAGAUUAAAAUAAAAUUAUACAUAAGAAAAUCCAAUCUAACAAAGAAAAUAACUUCUUGUCCAAAAGCUACCAUAAACCGUAAUUCAUGGGAAGGCUUGUUGCUUAUUUUAUUGGUUUCCAUUUCGAUUUUGCAAAAGAAGUUUGAAUUUUGAAGAGAGCCUACUACGUGAGAGCAAAAGAAAAAAAAAGUUUAUAUGAUUAAAUUCCAGAAUAGAUUAAAAAUGUUGAAUUAAAGAUAAAAUUAAGUGUGAAUUAAAAAAAUUUCUAUUUAGGCCCUUUAAAAUUUUAAAAUGAUAAAGAUAAAACUGUACUUUGGCACCCAAAAAAAAUAAAAUUUUAAUUUAAUCCUUUAAAAUUUAUAAAAAUAUAGGUUAUUAAGUGUGAAUUAAUAACCACAAGUGUAUUCAUUACUCACCAUCUCUGUUAAAAAUGUUGGAUGUUGUUUAGCAACCUUUGUUUGAUUUUCUUCAGCUCAACCACAACAUCUUUCAUAUCUUUUCUUUCUUCUGGUAACUCAGCUGAACAAUUCAAAGCCAACUCCAUGAUAGAUGAAAUACAAUUUGCUUUAACAACAAUGUACUCAUCCUCUCUUCUUAAUAAAUCAACAUCUGCAAUUUCUAUCGCUCCUUUAGGCAAUGAUCUUUCCAUCCAAUGCCUUAUACUCUCUUCUUCAACAAAAACAUUAUCAGUUGGCUUUUUCUUUGUGAAAGUUUCUAUAAGGACGAUCCCAUAACUAUAGAUGUCAGAUUUUAUAGAAACAAUUCCUACUGAUCCAAAUUCUGCAUUUCAAGUAUAAUUAGAACAUCAUCAAUCCUCAAUUAUUUCUAAAAUGCUUAUUCAAAUAUAUAUCCACAUCCACAUGAAACAAAAAUAUAAAAUGCAUAUUAGGAAAAUAAUCAUACAAAAAUAAAAAAGAAUUCACCUGGUGCUAUAUACCCGAUAGUUGCAAGAGUCAUGGUUUGCUUCAUUACUUCACCUUCCCCCAACAAUUUGGCAACGCCACAAUCUCCAACAUGUGCAACCAUGUCUUCAUCUAGUAAAAUAUUGCUUGGUUUUAUGUCACAGUGAAUUAUAGGUGUUGGAUGUCCAUUGUGGAGGUGUUCUAUGGCUACCGCAACAUCUAUCAUUAUGUCGACCCUUUGUAUGAUAUCAAGGAAACAAUUUUCAGAAUGUAACCAUUUCUCAAGGUUUCCAUUAGACAUGUAAGCAAGCACCAAGGCUUUGAAGUCAACACUUGAGCAGCAAGUAAUGACCUUCACAAUAUUACGAUGAACUAUAUUACGCAUAGCAUCACAUUCAAUGUCAAAACUGCUAAAUGCUCCCUCUGUUUGCAAAUUAAAAACUUUUAUUGCAACUUCCAUUCCAUCUGAAAGCCUCCCUUUAUAUACAUAUCCAAAACUCCCUGAACCAAGCAUAUUGCUUUCCUCAAAUCCAUUAGUUGCUCGUGAAAGCUCAGCAUGUGAAAUUCUUCUCGGUGUUAUCAAAGACAACAAAUCAUCUUUAAUUGGUAGACUUGUACUCCUUCUUCGGCAUCUUCUAUACAUAAUAGUUAAGACUAUUAGUACUACGACAAUACCAAUUGUUGGUAAACCAUACCUAAAAGCAUGCAAUAUAAUCAUUUGGGAGUUUUUGUGGAUGUCAUUUUUGCAAGGGGGGACUAGCAAUCUAGGUGGACCACAAAGUGCAUAAUUCUUCAUGAAUGAUGUGCUAGAAAAGUUUGAAAAACAUCCUUUGCUUGGAAUUUCCCCUUCAAGUCUAUUGAAAGACACAUUAAAAUACUUUAGAUAUAAAAGCUUUUCCAAAGAUUUGGGAAUGACUCCAGAGAGAUUGUUAUUGCAUAAAUCCAAGAAUUCCAAACUAAUCAACCCAUCAAAUGAUUUAGGGAUAUAACCAUGUAGUAUAUUAUUUGAUAAAUCUAAUGAAACCAAAGUUUGAAGACCCCCAAAUGAGGAUAGGAUAUCGCCCGAGAGAAGAUUCCUUGAUAAAUUUAGUUUCAGUAGACUCCUCAAAUUUCCAACAUCAAUAGCAUGUGAAUUCUGAAGAUGGUUUGAUGAUAAAUCUAUUUCUAAGAUAUCUUUAAGAUUCCACAAAGUUGAGGGUAUUGUAGAACUCAAUUUGUUGGAAUUUAAGUAAAGAUAUCCCAAAGAAGUAAUAUUACCCAAACAAGAGGGUAUGGAUCCAUGCAGCUUAUUCAACCCUAAAUACAUCUCGUAUAGUCUCUCCAAAUCACAAAGGCUUUCUAAGAUGUGCCCUCCUAAUUUAUUAGAGGAAAGAUCUAGAGCUUGGAGAUUUCGCAGUCCUCCUAUUGAUGCUGGAAUGAAUCCACUUAAUUUAUUAUGGCGAAGUUGUAAAAGCAAUAGGUUGGUUAUGUUACCUAUUUCCAUAGGAAUAAUGCCUUGAAGCUCACAAUUAGAGGCAUAAAAGUAUUGAAGGGAUUUUGAAAGGUUCCCGAUAUAAGUAGGAAGAACGCCACUCAAUGGAUUUCCUGAAACUCCUAUGGUUUUCAAAUUCUUACAAUUCGUCAAAGAAGAAAGAAAGCUCCACUCAUGAUCAGUAGCAGACCCUGUGAUCAAAUUAUUGUUCAUGAUUUGGAACCAUUCAAGGUGUCUUAAGUUGCCAAGCGUUUUAGGGAUUGGGCCAGAGAAUAAGUUAUCUUCCAAGUCUAGUAUCUUAAGCAUGGAAGCAUUGGAGAUAGAGUUGGGAAUGUUUCCUCUAAGUUUAUUUCCCCACAAUGCAAGAAUCUCAAGCUUUGGAGCAUUGGUGAUGGGUGGUAAAUUACCUGUAAAAUAGCAUCUUUUAGUAUACAUAUUCAUUGAAUACCAAAUUCACAAAAUAUAUAAUACAUUAAUAAUAUGAAGUUUCGAGUACUAAUUAGUCCUUGUGAUUUGUAUAGAAAAACAUAUAAUACGCUAAUAAAUUUUUAAAAUAUUGUAAAACUUGAAAUAAAAUAAAAAUAAAAUGUUGGUAUGAGAAUGUGGCAUCUAAUCAAUUUUAAAAAUGAGACUGACACUGAAUAAUAAAUAGUUAUGAUUUGGGAAACAAAAAUAUUAAAGCCAUUGUUUAUCUUUAUUAAAUUAUAGUGUAAAAUUUAAAGAUUACUAUUUGCUCAAAAUUUUUGUAUUUUUCGUAUAUUUGAAAUUUAAUCUUUAUAUUUUUAUUUUCUGUGAUUUAGUCUCUCUACUUUUUGAAUUGAAAAUUUUAAGUUUAUUUAUUAAAACUGUUAAGAAGUUUUUGGGUUAGUAUGGCAUUUUGAAAAAUAAAAUAAACUUGAUAUCUAUGUUUUUAAUUAUUUCAAAUAAUGUUUUACUAUUCCAAGAUAAAUUAUUUGUGUCUAGACCAAUAUCUUAAGAACUAUUGUUGCAUGUUUAAUUAUUCAAAAGAAUUGUUGAUUGAGUCUUAGCUUGAUUGACAUGUGUAUUGUUACCAAUGUAAGAGAAUGUGGGUUCAAGUAUGCUAAAGUGCAUUAUCUUCUUAUUUAUAAAUUGGGGAGUUGGUAAGGUAUUAAAUUUUGAUAUAUUUUAAAAUAUUAAAAUUUUAUUAAAAUAUUUUUUAUAAAAAUUGAUUGCACCACAAUAUACAAUUUUAAUAUCAAAUUUUUAAUUUUUUUAAAAAAUAUUAGCGACUAUAUACUUUAUUUCAAGUUACACAAAUUUUACUAGUUUUUAACUUUUUUUUAAAUAUUUACCGUCUUUUAUAAUUUUUUACAAUAUUUAAAAAUUUCUGCCAAUUUUUAAUAAUUUUAUUAUUUAUUACAAAUUUAAAAAUUAACAAAUUUAAAAAUUAACAAAUUUUUAUUUUUUAAACAAUUAUAUAUUUAUAAUGUAGUUAUUUUUUAUAUAAUUUCACUUUAAAUUUUAAAGAUUUUUUGGGUUUUUUUUUAGAUGAUGAUGCCGUUAUGAUGUCAUCAUAUACCACAUGGCAAUUUAUGAUUAGUUGGAUAUCUCAAUCUAUUUUUUAAUUUCCAAUGGACUAAACCAAGAACACCUGAUAAUGUUAGAGACUACACUAGCAAUGUUUGAUAAUAUUAGGUACUAAAGUGGGCAAAAAAAUAUUAAGAACCAAAGUAAAAAAAAAAAAAAGAAGAAGAAGCAAUAUGCUGUAGAGAAUAAACUAUGCAUUAAGCCAUUAAAAAUAUAUCUAUAAUAUAUAUAAAUGCAUGGAUUUUGAGAAACUUUUGAAGUGAUAAUUAUAUAGUCUUUGUUGUUUACUAUAUUAUUGAAUUUGUUAUUUUAAAUAUUUUUUUAUUACUUUUAAGAUUUAUUGGAUAAGAAUUUUGGUUUUUACUAAAAUAUUUGGUUAAAUAAAUUAACUUCAUAAGAAAAUUUAGCAUCCUUAUAAAUAACAAUUUUGAUUCUAUUAAAAAAUUAUUUUAAAAAGCAUAUAAUAAAAAUUUAAAAUUUAUAUUGAAUUACUUUAUACUUAAAUUAUUAUUAGAAAUUUUAUACUUAAAUUUAUGAGAACCACAAAUUUAGAACUUAAAUUUGUGUUUUAAAAUAACUUAUGAUAAAUAAUGAAAUGUAUAAUUUGAAACUAUUUAAUAAUAACACAUGGCAUAUCUACCAUAUUGAAAUAAAAAUAGAUUAAAUUGUAAGUAAAACAUAAUUUAAGCAUAGGUAUACAUCAAAUUAAGAAUACUAAAUGAAUACAGUUAUUUAUGAUGAUGUUGUUGUCAAUUCCUAAGUUGGUGUCGAGUUAAUUUGUGACAUCAUAAAUUUAAGUGAUAAAUUUAAGGUUUUACGUAUUGAUGUGGAUUGAAAUAUCACCAUACUUUUUUUAAAAUAAAAAACUAAAAUACCCUCAAAUAAUAUAACUUAUAUUAAAUAUGAAAGGGUAAUUUUGUAAUUUCUCUGACUGAGUUGGUGCCAGGUUGACUCAUGACACCAACUAAAUCGAAAGCUUCAAUAAUAAUAUAGAUAUUCACAUUAAAAAAAAGUACUUUAGUUCCAAAUAAUUAUAUAACAAGUAAAUUUAUAAUUGACGAAUAAAUUUAUAGAUAAUAUAUUUAUAUGAUCUAAUAUAUUAUAUUUAUAUUAAUUAUAUAUCAUCUACAAACUUUGAAAAUCAAUUUAUUAAGUAUCAGGAAAAGAAAAAAAUGAAAUUGAAUUAACACUAAAUCAAUUUUUGAAUUAACAAAAAAUUAGUGAUAUAUUUUAAUUAUAUUUAUUAUUUAUUUUUUUAAUAAUAUUUUUUUAAUUAUAUGAAGUAAAAUUAUAUUGUAUGAAGUAAAAAAAAUAUAUUUUCCGCAUUGGUUUCUUUUAUUCUACAGACAAAGGAUUUCUAAUGAUUUUUUAAAAAAAAAUUACUUAUAUAGAAUAGAUUAGUUUAUGCAAUAAAAAAUAAUUUCUUUUUUUAAAGUUUAAUGGAAAUUAAAAAAUUAAAAAUAAAUCAAUUCAUAUAAAUCUUAUUGUUUAUUAUCAUAUUAAAAUGAUAAAAAGUAUAUGACCAAAAUAGAAGAAACAAAUUCAACACAAUGUUUUUGGAGUUUAUUAUCAUAUUUCUAAUUUGUUGUUAAAUAGAUCUAUUUCUUCCAGCGUAGUUGAAUUAAAAAUAUUUGAUGGAAUCUGACCUGCACACAUAGUCGAAAAUUGAAGUGAAAAUUAUAUCUUCUAAACUGUUCAACUAAAAAUACUUUAAGCAUAUUUUUUAAGGUUAUUGCAUUUACCCAUGCCAAAUGGAAUGCUACCAAAUAACUCAUUGCUAUGCAAGUAAAGCCCUUCAAGCUUGGGAAGAUGUUGACACAUAUCAUUAGGAAAUUACCUGAUAGGCUAUUUUUGGAGAGAUCAAUGGUCUUCAGAGAAGAAAUGUUGAAGAUCAAAGUUGGAAUCUGACCUGUAAGGCCUUUAAUUGCUUGAAUAUUAAGCAAUUCCAAACCAUGAAGAUUACCAAUUUCCUCAGGAAUUUGACCUGCACACAUAGUCGAAAAAUCAAGGUGUCAAACUACCUAUUUUGUUAGCAUAAGUCAAAGAGGUUUUCUUUUCUGUUCUAUGGUAAUUUGGAGAUGUUAGAUUUUCAUAUAUUUCAGCAUAUGUUUUUCAUCAAAUGAAAUAAAAACUUUUUCCUUUUGUUAUCUAUUACAAAUCAAACUCUUUUAUAAAAAAAAUACUUAAAAUUCAAGAAAUCAAGGAAAUUGAUUACCUUCUAGAUUAUUAAAUCCCAAAUAUAAUUCUCUGAGUUGUGUCAGAUUUCCAAUACUUCUUGGAAUGAUCCCCGUCAAUUGAUUCAAGGACAAGGACAAAUUAUUAAGGUUGCUGCACUUGCCCAUACUUGACGAAAUGUUACCAGAUAACUCAUUGCUCUGCAAGUAAAGCCCUUCAAGCUUGGGAAGAUGUUGACACAUAUCAUUAGGUAAACUACCUGGUAGGCUAUUGCUGGAGAGAUCAAUGGUCUUCGAAGAAGAAAUGUUGGAGACCGAAGUUGGAAUCUGACCUGUAACGCCUUUAAUUGCUUCAAUAUUAAGCAAUUCCAAACCAAGAAGAUUACCGAUUUCCUCAGGAAUUUGGCCUGCACACAUAGUCGAAAAAUCAAGGUGUCAAACUACCUAUUUUGUUAGCAUAAGUCAAAGAGGUUUUCUUUUCUGUUCUAUAGUAAGUUGGAGAUGUUAGAUUUUCAUAUAUUUCAGCAUAUGUUUUUCAUCAAAUGAAAUAAAAACUUUUUUCUUUUGUUAUCUAUUACAAAUCAAACUCUUUUAUAAAAAAAUACUUAAAAUUCAAGAAAUCAAGGAAAUUGAUUACCUUCUAGAUUAUUAAAUCCCAAAUAUAAUUCUCUGAGUUGUGUCAGAUUUCCAAUACUUCUUGGAAUGAUCCCCGUCAAUUGAUUCAAGGACAAGGACAAAUUUUUAAGGUUGCUGCACUUGCCCAUACUUGACGGAAUGUUACCAGAUAACUCAUUGCUAUGCAAGUAAAGCACUUCAAGCUUGGGAAGAUGUUGACACAUAUCAUUAGGCAAACUACCUAAUAGGCUAUUGUUGGAGAGAACAAUGGUCUUCAGAGAAGAAAUGUUGAAGAUCGAAUUUGGAAUCUGACCUGUAACGCCUUUAAUUGCUUGAAUAUUAAGCAAUUCCAAACCAUGAAGAUUACCGAUUUCCUCAGGAAUUUGACCUGCACACAUAGUCGAAAAAUCAAGGUGUCAAACUACCUAUUUUGUUAGCAGAAGUCAAAGAGGUUUUCUUUUCUGUUCUAUAGUAAUUUGGAGAUGUUAGAUUUUCAUAUAUUUCAGCAUAUGUUUUUCAUCAAAUGAAAUAAAAACUUUUUCCUUUUGUUAUCUAUUACAAAUCAAACUCUUUUAUAAAAAAAAUACUUAAAAUUCAAGAAAUCAAGGAAAUUGAUUACCUUCUAGAUUAUUAAAUCCCAAAUAUAAUUCUCUGAGUUGUGUCAGAUUUCCAAUACUUCUUGGAAUGAUCCCCGUCAAUUGAUUCAAGGACAAGGACAAAUUAUUAAGGUUGCUGCACUUGCCCAUACUUGACGGAAUGUUACCAGAUAACUCAUUGCUAUGCAAGUAAAGCACUUCAAGCUUGGGAAGAUGUUGACACAUAUCAUUAGGCAAACUACCUAAUAGGCUAUUGUUGGAGAGAACAAUGGUCUUCAGAGAAGAAAUGUUGAAGAUCGAAUUUGGAAUCUGACCUGUAACGCCUUUAAUUGCUUGAAUAUUAAGCAAUUCCAAACCAUGAAGAUUACCGAUUUCCUCAGGAAUUUGACCUGCACACAUAGUCGAAAAAUCAAGGUGUCAAACUACCUAUUUUGUUAGCAUAAGUCAAAGAGGUUUUCUUUUCUGUUCUAUAGUAAUUUGGAGAUGUUAGAUUUUCAUAUAUUUCAGCAUAUGUUUUUCAUCAAAUGAAAUAAAAACUUUUUCCUUUUGUUAUCUAUUACAAAUCAAACUCUUUUAUAAAAAAAUACAUAAAAUUCAAGAAAUCAAAGGAAAUUGAUUACCUUCUAGAUUAUUAAAUCCCAAAUAUAAUUCUCUGAGUUGUGUCAGAUUUCCAAUACUUCUUGGAAUGAUCCCCGUCAAUUGAUUCAAGGACAAGGACAAAUUUUUAAGGUUGCUGCAUUUGCCCAUACUUGACGGAAUGUUACCAGAUAACUCAUUGCUAUGCAAGUAAAGCACUUCAAGCUUGGGAAGAUGUUGACACAUAUCAUUAGGCAAACUACCUGAUAGGCUAUUGCUGGAGAGAAUAAUAAUCUUUAGAGAAGAUAUGUUGAAGAUGGAAGAUGGAACCUGACCAGAUAAUUGAUUGAGUCCCAAGUUCAAAAUCUCUAGAUUAGAUAUGCUAACAAGUGUUUCAGGGAUUGUGCCUGUAAAGUAAUUAUUUUUCAUUUGUAGCCUUCGAACUCUCUGUAAGUUCCCAAGCCAUGAUGGAAUUUCCCCAUUCAGACGGUUGUAGCUUAAUUGAAGGAUCCUCAAACGAUGCAAUUGGCCCAAUUCUUUAGGGAGAUGGCCAUAGAAAUGGUUGCUACUCAAGUCGAGAGAGAGUAGAAAUGAAAGAUUUCCAAGGUGUGGAGGGAUAGUACCCCUAAGAUUCAUGCUUGUAAGAUUCAAAGCUAUAACUCUUUUAUGGAGGAUGCCACAAGAGACACCAAUCCAAUUGCAAACAGAGGUUGAGGCCGUCCAAUUGUCUGCCAAGACAAUUUGAGGACCGCCAAUACGAUCCUUAAACUCAAGAAGUGCAAACUGAUCGGAGUUGAGAUUCCUGACUGUCAUAGCCAUGCAAAGUACGAAACAUGGUAUGAAUAAAGCUAAGAGAAGAUGAAAGCAAGUUUUGUAGUUCAUGAUUGCAAGACAGAAUAAGGCAAGAAAAUAAAAAAAGUAGGAAAAGGGCAGUUGAGUUGAUAAAAUAGUUUGGAUGAUGAAGAAAAGCCCAGAGAGCAUGCUUUAAUAUGUUUCAACCCUCGCACACUUGAUAAACUUGAUAAAAAUAUUUUGAUCUAAUAAAUGUAAAAAAAAAUUAAACAAAAUAAGGUUGAAAUAAUCUAUUUGUCCUUAUAUUUUGAUAAAGGUUGAGAUUAGUCCUUAUACUUAAAAGGUUAAAAAUAAAGUUUUCUUGUUUUUAUUUAAAAAUCUUAGUCCUAUCGUUAAUUUUUUUUGGGCAAAAUUUGUCAACUGGACAUAUUAAUUUGGUUUCCCUUAUAUGUCGUUGUAUAUGACUAACACAAAAUAAGCAAGUUGACAAAUUAUGACAAAAAAAUAUCAAAGAUGAUAAUAAUUUGAUUAAAAUUUUUAAAUUGAAUUAAUAACCUUUAACAUAUAAGGAAUGGAUAUCAAAUAUUUAUAGGAAUAAAGGGACAAACAACAUAUUUUAACCACAAAAUAAUAUGAGUGAUUAGAAUGAAUCUAAAAGAGACUAACAACAUAUUGAUAACUUUGAAAUCUCCUACGAUCAUCCUUUUUCUACGUAGAAAAAGAAAAUUAAUUAGCAUCUAAAGUGUCAAUUAAUGAAACCUUCAAAAGAAAAUGUGAAAGUGAUUUACCAAACAAUAAUAUUCUAACUUAUAAUAUAUUUAAUUACAUUUAGUACUUUAUCAAUCAAAACUUAAUUAACAUCCAUCAAUACUUCAUACAUAAGUAAAUUUACCAUUUAACUCAGAUUUAACUUUGCAAGUAAACUUGAAAUUUUAUUUAAUUUUGUCACUAAAUUUAAUUUGCUCAAUAUAGAUUUUGGUGACUUAAAACAAAAUUAAUAAAAAAUUAUUCUUUCAGACAUCUUUUUAAUGUUUAAUAAUAAGUUAAUUUAUAAAAUAUACUUUCAUUGGACACAAGCCUCCAAGGCAGUGAACCACUAAUCAAAUUAAUUUGGAGAUAUCUUUUUUUUCCAAAUAAAAUGGAUAUCAAGAGAUACCAAAAAUUAUUUCACUAAGAAAUUUUAAUUCACUCGAAAAGUUAGUGUUUUAUUUCAAGGGGUCAUAAUUAUAAAUUUUGAACUUUUUGACAAUUGCGUAAAUAAUAAAUACCAAUUUUGAGUGCUGUAGGGCUAGGACAAUCUCCCUUACACAUAACCGACUCUUGAACCUACUCUUUUCUCUAGAAUUCAACUCAGACCUCAAAUUUAUCUUUUGAAAAGAAUUUUAAAAUCUUUGUAUAAAAGGUGUAAAAAUAUAUAUUUUAUUAAUUACUAUAUAUUCUUUUAUUUUCAGAAUAAUAAAUUGUUUAAAAUAUGCUACUAGUCCCUAUAAUUUAAAAGUUAAAAGUAAUUGGGAUCUUGAGUGCAUCAAAUUCCUCCUUUUAUUAUUAAAUGUUUUAUUUUAGUUACUCUAAUUAAAUAUAUCCAAAUUGUAAUAAACAUUUAUUAUAUAAAAAAUAUUUUAAAUUUAUUUCAAUUGCAAUUUAAUUUUAGUAGAAAUAUUUCAUUUAUAAAAUCAUAAAAUUUUAAAAUAUUAACUUUAUUAAAUAAAAAAUAAUUUUUUUUAAACAGUAAAUGUUGACUUUAUUAACACAAAUGGGUCUUUAGGGUUAAACUUCAGUAACUGACGAGCUCUUCCACAAACUGUGGAUGAUUUGGGGAUAAGAACUUCAAUAAUUCUAGAGUUAAAGUGUAAAUUUACUACUAUAUUAUAAGUAAAUAUUGAAAUUUAUCACUAAAUUUUAAUUGAUACUUGUCAUUACACUUUGAAAAUAUAAGUAAAUUUACCAUUUAACUCAUAUGUGAUUGAGCUUUGCAAAUAAACUUAAAAUUUUAUUUAAUUUUGUCACUAAAUUUGAUUUAUUUAAUUAAAUUUACAACUCAAUAUAGAUUUUGGUGACUUGAAUUAAAGUUAAAAAAAAAACUAUUCUUUCAAAUAACUUUUAAUGUUUACUAAUAAGUAGAUUUAUAAAAUAUACUUUCAUUGGACACAAGCAUCCAAGGCUGUGAACAAACCACUGGUCAAAUUAAUUUGGAGAUAUCCUUUUUGCGUUUUUCUUUUUUUUUAAAUAUUUUUAAUAUUUUUGUGGGUAUCAACAGACACCAAAAAUUAUUUCACUAAGGAAUUAAUUUGUAUUUUAUUUUAAGGGUUCACAAUUGAACAUUAGAUUUUUUAUUUUUAAAUUUUGAAUUUUUUGACAGUUGCGUAAUUAACAAGUACUAAUUUAGGGUGUUGUAGGGUUAUUACAACCUUCCCUACACGUAACAGACUCUUGAACCUACUUUUUUUUCUCUAGAACUCAACACAAACCUUAAAUUUAUCUUUUUAAAACAAUUUUAAAAUAUCUUUAUAAAAGGUUAUUUUUUUACCCAUCACACUUAACAAAAUUUUAAAAAUUAUUAAUUUCUUUUUGAAAUUUAAAGUGAUCUAAAAAUAUAUUUUUAAGUGCUUUAGACCCUGCGGUGCUGAUUUCUUUAUUGUAUUAAAUGCUUGCAAUCACUCCUGAUAUCUUAUACUUGAGUUGUAACAAAACCAAUUAUCAUGUUCCAUAAUGUUCUAUUGAUGCUGAAACUGAAGUUUUUGUUAUAUUAAUAGAGCUUGUCCUUCAACACGUAUAACGGGUGUUUGUUAUUUUUUUCUUCAAAUUGUAUGAUCUCAUUCAUUAAAUGAAUUAAUGAAUUUCCCUUUAAAAAAUAUAAUUUUAAAAAUUAAAUACUUUAUAAGAUAUUUAAAACUAUUUAAAAAUUGUAAGCGUUAAAACAAUCAACAAGAUAUAUUUUUCUUUAAAAAAUCAAUAAAAAUAUGUUUAAAAUUUUAUAUGAAAUUUACAAUUUUUUAACAAUAAUAUAUUUUAAAAUUAUUUACACCUUUUUUAUAUAUUUUUCCUAACAUAUAUUUUCAACACUAUCGUAAUCCUGUUUUGAUAACUCCCUUUCCAUACAUCCUUUUUCUACAUAGAAUUUCGAAAGAAAAUGUGAAUUAAUGCAGACGUGAGAAGACUUAGAGGUAAGUCACCCAAUGAAAGUGACCUACUUAUGGAAAAAUCAAACAAUAAUUUUGUAUCUUAUAAUAUAUUAAAUUACAUUUAUGAGGUUAUCAAUCAAAACUUAAUUAAAAUCCAUCAAUAAAGUUGUUGAUUGUAUAGCUAAGGCAGAUGGAGGCAUAAUUGAGCAGUUAGUUAUCUUGGAAAAUCCUCCGCAUUAUGUGAGAUGUUGGCUUGAAGAAAAUAUUAGACAGUCGUUGGUCACUGAUGAUAAUUUUUAUUUGGAUUGAAGCUGGCUUAAUUUUCUAAGUUUAUGUUCAACUAGAAAAAAAAUGUCUAAAUUGUAAUUGAAUUAACAUUUAGUGUAUAAAAAAUAUCUUAAAUUUUUUUUUUCAAUUGCAAUUCAAUUCCACAAAUACCGACGAUGAACCCUAAAACGGACAUGAAAAUUACAAAAAGAAAAAAAGCACAUCUAUUAUCAAACCAGCAAUACAUGCCUAAACUAAUAGAGAUGAACCCUAUGAUAGAUUGUGACCCCCCAAAGUCGACCGGGAUAGACCAGCCUGAAUUCAAAGCAUUACAUUAGCCACCUAAAUGACUCUCCAGCUAACGACCACCCAAGGCACACCCCAACCUUAUAACACCUCAAUUUUAUCUAAUUAUUAGUUAUUUAUUAAUGCCAAAGUAAAUUAUGAGCCAAUUUUAAACUUUUCCUAAGUAAUUUAAUCUAUGGGCAUUUACGUUAUUUUACCACCUAUGGUAAAACUAACUUGAUUUUAGAUCUAAGUGUUUACUCACCUUCUUUUAGUCAAAUUAUGCAAGUCUAAAAUUUCCAGGUGAAUUUGAGUUUGUUUACUAUGUCUAAUUCAAGUUUUAUUAUUUAGGAUUAAAUUGUAACUUAAACAAAUUCGAAUACCAAUUUAAAGAGGCAAAAAUUCAAAACCCAAAACAGACACAAGCAUGUGCGUAAAUGACACGGGCGUGUGAAAACUGGAACUAUCACAUACGGACGUGUGGGAUUGAAAAAUAUAAAAUAAAUUAAUCCACUCAAUUUUCCAAUAGCCAUGCUAUACUACCAAACCAAAAAAUGCUUGAAGCUUUGAAUAGGGGUGAAUCUAAAAAAAAAAUUAGAAGAAUUAGAAUUAAAUUAUAAUCUAAAAAAAAUUAGAAGAAUUAGAAUUAAAUUAUAAAACUUUGAGAAGUUAAAAUAUAAUUUUAUCAUGUAUUAAUUUAUUAUUUUUAAAAUGGUCUUAAUUGAAUUUUUUUUUCCAUUUUUGUUGGGCCAAUACCCCUGCUUGCCUCUUUGAAUUUGCUCCAACCCUAAACCCAAUAAUCAAUUUGGAUUAACAACAAUAUAUAGGUUAGUAUUUGUGGGAGUUUGACAAUAAAAUUUUUUUUAAAAGGUUUAAAUUAUAAAUUUUUGAAAGAUUAAAAUAAAUUUGUAUUUUUUAUUAACAAAAUAUAAAAGAAAAAAACAUGUUUAGACAAGCCAAGAGACCUUUGGGAUCAUACGGGUGAUUUUGAUGAUGUUAAUAGUUAUUUUGGUGGAGAGGCUGAGAAAGAAACAAAUGAUUCAUUAUAUAUAAUAUAAUUAUGAAAUUCAAGCCAUAUAUUGUAUGUUUCAUACAUAAAAAAAAUUGGAGCAAUUUAAUCCCUAUCAAUUUUGAAAGUGAGCAACUAAGAACAAUGAAUUAUGGUGUUUCCUUCUUAAUUUCACAAUUGCGCAAAUUAGUCCCUCUCAAAAAAAAUUGGAGCAAUUUAAUCCCUAUCGAUUUUGAAAGUGAGCAACUAAGAACAAUUAAUUAUGGUGUUAAAUUCUUCCAUCAAUUGUACAUAAUUUUGAUUGGUAUAGUAAUAAAUUUAGCCUUCAAUGUUUAAAUAUUUUGUCAUUUUGGCCUUAAUUUUUUUUUAAAAAAAAUUCAAGCAUUUCAACCUCAACAUUUAGAUAUUUACACAAACGUUGCGGGAAAUUUUUGUUAAAUUUAGACCAAAUUGCAAGUAUAAAUUUUGAAGGCUAAAUUUAUUAUUAUACCAACCAAAAUCAUGUACAUUUUAUGGAAAAUUAACAUCCUGAUUAAUUAUUCUUAGUUACUCACUUUCAAAAUUAAUAGGGACUAAAUUGCUCUGAUUUUUUAAGGGUGACCAAUUUCCUCAAUUUGGAAAUUGAGAGAGACUAUUCAGAUAUUUUACAUAUUUUUUUAUAAAUAUAUUUUUUUAAUAUAAAAUAUAUUUGUUCACACAUAUUGUGAGUAUGAUAAAAUAUUUUUAUUAUUGAUUGAGUUGGUGUCAAAAAUUAACUCGACACCAACUCAAGAUUAAUAAUAACAAUAUGAUAAAUAAUUUAUUUAUUUAAUAUUCUUAAUUUAACAUAUUGAUGUAAAUUUUAAGACAUGCAUGUCUUGUAGAAUUGAGAUUAUACUAUUUGAGUAUUGAGUCAGUUUUCCACAAUGGUGGGUCUCGAGCAACAGCACAAUUUCAACAUUUCUUCAUCUCGCUUAAUCCAAAUGCAUUUAGGAUUUUUUUUUUAUAUCAUUGUUUCAAAAACGAUAAAAAAAAACGUGGACAUUGAAUUUUCUGUUUCACAUUCAAUUUUUGGAGAAGUAGAAUUUUCUAACUUAUUUUCCAUCAACUUCACUUCAAUUUUCAAUCACAAUCUAUUGUAUUCAAGAGUACCACAUCUUUUUGGAUGAAACAAACCUCUCAAUCUUAAGAUAAACGGAAUCUAUUGCAUUCAAGAGCACCACAUCUUUUUGGAUGAAACAAAGCACUCAAUAUUAAGAUAAACGGGUCUUUAGGGUUAUUAACUGAGGGCAUUUUCCACAAAUGGCAUCGUUAUUUGAAGGUGAUUCGGGGAUAAUAACAUCAACAUUUCUGUAUCACAUUUAAUUCAAUUCCACAUUUAACUUUUAAUUUUUGGAGAGAUGAUUGGGCUACAACAAUGGUUUGAAGUGAAGAUAUUUCAAAAGAAGGCAAAUAUAUCAAUUUUUUUAAGGGGUCUUUGGAGUUAUAUGUGACUUUAGCAUUAUUGACCGAUUUUUUUAUGGUUAAUCUUUUAUAAUAAGGUAAAUAUAUCAAUUUUAAUAACAUCGGCAUGUUUUUUAGUAGGGUCGAGCAAAACCCAAUUAAAACCUUUCAUCACUGCAAAAAUGAAAAUAAUAGAAAUGAAAGACUAGCCAUUGUAUGAGAUUUAUAAUUGUAACUGUCAACGAAAUUGGGAGAAAUUUUUAAAUUUUAUGAAAUUUUAAAAUUUAACUGUCAAUAAUAGAAAAUUGCCUGAGUAACUUGAGAUAAGAGGUUGAACAUUUCUGGAUCACAUUACAUUUAAGAUGGGUCUUUAAGGUUAUACUUUAGUUAUUGAGAACAUUUUCCACAAGUUACCGUCGUUAUUUGUGGGGUAAGUGGUUGAACACUUCUGGAACACAUUGCAUUUAGGACGGGUAUCAUUCAUAGACUGACUUUUCUAUAAUUAGUCCUUGCUUUACUUUAGGUGGAUUCUUCCAACUAGUCCAAGAAUUAUUGUACAGUUACAAUUAAUCUUUUUAAAUGAGACAAACAUUUCAAAUUUGUCGUUACUAUUUGUGAGUGAUUUGGGGGUAAGAAGUUUAACACUUCUGGAUGUCUUAUAGAAUUGUGAUUAUACUUUUUGAGUAUUGACUCAGUUUUCCACAAUUGUGGGUCUCUAUUUGAGCAAAACAAUUUCAACAUUUCUUCAUCUCGUUUAAUCCAAAUGCAUUUAUGCAUUUCUUAUAUCAUUGAAUUUGCUGUUUCCCAUUCAAAUUUUGGACAAGUAGAAUUUUCUAACCUAUUUUCCAUCAAGAAUUUUCUAACCUAUUUUCCAUCAACUUCACUUGAAUUUUCAAUCACAAUCAAUUGCAUUCAAGAGCACCACAUCUUUUUCGAUGAAACAAAACUUUCAAUUUUAAGAUAAACGGGUCUUUAGGGUUAUUAUUCAUUUAUUGAGGGCCUUUUCAACAAUUGCCAUCAUUAUUUGUUGGUGAUUUGGGGAUAAUAACUUGAACAUUUCUGGAUCACAUUGAAUUCAAUAUUCUUAUACAAUAGUAUUUUAUAUAUAUACGUACAUAAUUUAUAUUAAACUAUUUUUAUUUUAUAUAUUAUUGAUUUCGUAUUAUUAUAACUAUUGACCUUAUGUUUAUAUGUUUUUUUAAAACCUAUUUUUUACAUAUACAAUUUACUUCUUUUAAAAAAACCCUACUUCAUAUACUUGGUUUAUUUCAAAUUUCUACAUAUAUUAUUAUGCAUAUAUAUAUAUAUUAUCAUUUGUAUUGUUAUUAAGCUUUUCAUUUCAUAUAUAUUAAUUAUUUAGGUUAAUACAUACAUUAUUUUGUACAUUACCUAUUUUGAUUUUAUUCUUAUGCAAAAUUUACUUUAAAAUUUGUUUACAUAUUAUUGUUUCACAUAGUAUUUAUUUUUAACUCUAUUUUUGGUCUAUUUCGAAUUUUCAUGUACAUUAUUUAUUUUUAUACUUUUUGGAUUUACAAUUUCCUUUCUUUCAUGCCAUUUUUUAAUUAUUUCAAAACUUAUACAUUGGAUUUGCAUUUGUGUUAAUUUGUUUGCUUUUUAGGUUUUACUAGCUUUUAAAUAUGGAUGUUAGUAGUUGCAUAAUGUGUAAUAUAAGAUUGUUGCCCUUAUGUAUGUUGUAUUGUUUAUUUGUAUUUUAUUGAUCCUUUGUUGCUCAUUAGCUUACAUUUAGCUUACAAAUUGUAAGUGUAACUUUUGAGGGCUAAAUUUAUUAUUAUACCAACCAAAAUCAUGUACAUUUUAUGAAAAAUUAACAUCUUGAUUAAUUAUUCUUAGUUGCUCACUUUCAAAAUUUCUCUGAUUUUUUUUGGGUGACCAAUUUCCUGAAAUUGGAAAGUGAGAGAGACUAUUGAGAUCUUUUACGUAUAUUUUUUUAUAAAUAUAUUUUUUAAAUAUAAAACAUAUUUGUUCACACACAUCAUGAGUGUCGAAACCAUUUUUUUAAUAAAUGGGGGUCGACUUUUAUUUUGAAAAUGAAAAUAAACAAAUGGGACUCGCCACUGAUCUUUUGUUUAGUGUGAUCAGAUCACCUUGAAAGCGAUUUUGGUCUACGAAAUUUGAGAAAACAGGUUGGGGAGUCGAUUACGCACGAGGAAGGGUUAGCACCCUCGUAACACCCAAAAUUGGUACCUAAUUGAUUAAUUAAUGUCUUAAUGUCGAAAUUUUAAAAAAAAAAUUUAAAAUACAAUCCUUCUAUUCAAAUGAACACUUGUAUGAAUCAGAUUGCGUACUAAGACCCUCUUGUUUUGGAGAAAUAGAAUGCCACACACAGUGAGUUAGGAUAUGACAUUUUCACAUCUUCCAAAAAUGAGCUGGCCUUUUGAUUUUUUUUUUUAAAAAAAAAACUCUUGCAGUGAAGUUUAAAAAAAGGAUACUCUAUUGUUUUGGUUAGAUGAAAAUAAAUGAAUAAAUGAAUAGCAUACAAGAAAGGAAAUUUAAAAUUAUCAAUACAUAAACAAUAAAUUAUAUGCAUUAACUUUUAAAAUAAACAAUAUAUAUACGAGUUUGAAAUAGAUCAAAAAUGAAGAUAAAAAAUAGAUACUAUAUGAAAUGAUAAUAUCAAAAUGAAUUUUAAAGUAAAUAUUGAAUAAAAAAAAUCAAAAUAUGUAAUAUACAAAAUAAUAUAUAUUAAUCUAAAUAAAUAAUAAAUAUGGAAUGAAAAAUUCGAAAUAGAUAAUACUAUAUAUAUAUAUAUAUAAAUAUAUGUGAAAAGUCGAAAUAGGUAGAAUAUAAUAAAAUAGGUUUUUUAAAGAAAUAAAUUAUAUAUAUAUGGAAAUAGGUAACAAAGAUAUAUAUAACAGCAUGAAAUCAAUAAUAUAUUAUAUAUGCAUAUAUGUAUAAUAAAAAUAGUUUAAUAACACUUGUAUAUAUAUGUAUAAAAUAGUAAUAUGAAAGAGCAUUAUCGUAUAAAUCUUUAAAACAAAGAAGUAUAUAUAAGUGCAUUUUAAAAAUGUAUUUAAAAUAAAACCAUUAAAAACGUAUAAAUUAUAUUGAAAUUGCAUAAAAAGUAUAUAAAAUAAUAGAUGGAAAUUAAAAUAAUAAUAUAUGAUAAAUUUUAAAAAAAAAGUAAUUAUACAUGAAAAACUUAGAAUAAUAAUACAUAAAAAACUUAAAAUAAUAAUACAUGAUGAAUUUAAAUAACAAAUACAUGAUAAAUUUAAAUAAUGUUAAUGAUAAAUUUAAAAUAAUAAUAUAUUACAAAUUGAAAUAAUAUUGAUGAUAAAUUUAAAAAUAAUGUUAAGCUUAAACAUAAAAAUAAUAUUAGAUUUAAAAUUAAAUAUAUAUUUUUUUAAAAAUAACAGGAUAAUAAAUAUUUAAAAAAAUUGAACACGUUAAAUUAAACAAAUACGGGUUAAAUUGUAUUUAAUACAAAAUUAAAAGAAAAAAUGAAAAUAAAAUAAAAUAGAGGGCCAAAAUGCAGCACACGAAUAACAUGGGGGACUAAAUGGGGAAUAUUCCCUGCCCACCAAAACGCUGUGUUGCAAUAUGGAUCAAAAUGAACAGUAUUCAAAUUAAACGAGGUAAAUUUAAAAAUAAAAAAUGAAAUUAAAAUAGUGAAAGAAAAUAAAAGGGUCAAUGGUGCAAAUAUCCCCUUUUAGACCCAAAACACGUGGAUCUGACCUUGCUCGAGUCGGGUCAUUAGAUCUCUUAAACCUAAACCAUUGAAGCAAGGCCCAAACGGUACCAUUUCAUGGUCUUCUUAAAACAAAAACCUAAACCACUAUUUGGUUGUUCUUAAAUCAGAUUAGCCAAAACCCUAGCCGCUCGAAUGCUUUGCCGAUAUUCAACCUUACAGUCCUCGCUUGAGCUCCGAUUACGACAAAGUGAAUGGGGAUACAAUGGCGCUAUCUUAUAGGUAAAUCCCUCUCCUCUCAUUCAUUUCUCUUUCACAAACAAGUAUAACAAACAAAGAUUGAGGAAACAGAAAAGAAAAAAGAAAUCUAAAGAUAAAGAAAUGGGAUUUUUUUUCAUAACGGCUAAAUCAUUCAACUCAUAGUUUUUGUUAAAUGAAGAGGUCAAUUGAUUUUUUUGGAAUCAUUGAGUACUCAAUUGGUGCACUUUUUUCAUAAAGGCUAAAUUAAUUUUUUAAUUUGUUACUGUUGAGGGCUAUAGCAAUAAAAAAAAUUGAGGUAAAAUGGAAAAAAUGUUAGAGCUAAAUUUAUCACUAUGCCUAAAACCAAAAUUUUUUGAAAAUAAAAAAAAAUGGAAAAUCACAAAUUUUGUCACUUAUGUUAGCUUAAAAUUAUAGUUUUGGUCACCAAUCUUUUGAAGUAAAUAUCUGGUCAACAAUAUUAUCCAUUUGUUACUUUGUAAUAACUCACCUUAAAGUUAUAUCCCUGCGCAAGAAAGGAUUAAAUGACAAACUUGUAUCUUUUUUUAUUCAUCCAAUGUCAUUUCAACAUUUUCAUUUAAAAAAAUUGACAUAUCAUUUUGAAUUCCAUCUUUUUCAUGAUGAAACUAUUGAAAUGAUGUUAAAUUACUGGAAAGAGAUACAAGUUUAAUCUUAUCUAUCUAAGAAAGCUGAUGUAACACAUUAAUGACAUCAUUCCAAACAAAGUUUUAGGUCCAAUUGUUCAUCUAGCCCUUGUAAUUGUUUUUAGGUGAAUUUCAUUAUUAAUCUUUUAUUUUCUUUGGCUUAAAUACACAUUUACCCUUAAUUUUAUCACAUUCUCCUUCACUGGUAUUUAUGGUUUAGAAAAUUUUACAAAUAUAUUAUUUUUUAAGAAAUUAUAAGAAGAUUACAAAAAUUCCAAAAUAAUAUAAAAAAGCUAAGGAAAACCUAGAAAUUCAAAAAAAAAAUCAUGUUUUUACAAAUUGGGAAAUACCUAAAUUUGUUUUCAUCAAUUAAGAAAUUAAAAAAAUUGUUGAGAAAUAUCUUUUUAGAAAUAUCAUAAUUGCAUUUAAGACCUCAUGAUUAUCUUUUAUAAUUUCAAGGUUAUCAACUAUUUUGAAAACAAAGACAAAAACAAAAACAAAAACGUCGACAUAUCACUUUAGCAUUGACUUACUUUUCUACAGUUAGUCUUCUCCAACAAGAUAAAUAUUUCAAUUUUAACAACAUUGACAGGUCUUUGGGGUAGGGUCGAGCAAAAGUCAAUAGAAACAGAUGAUAUAAGUUUAAAUCGGCCCGGUCAAGCCGAUGUCCUGGUAAAAUCAAUUUUAAAAUUAAUUAUAAUAGUUUAAGCGAAUUGAUUAUUAAGUAAUGAAAUACUUAAUUCAAACAAUUGAUGUAAUCAAAUUAUAAUAAAUAUAUAUUUACUUUUAUGGGAUCCUUCAUCUCCUUUUUAGAGUUUGUGGCAAUAUUUAUUUUAAGCUUCAAAUUUAUAUUUUUUAUUUAUGAGUACAAUGUGUUUUACAAUUACAUCUACAGUGUAUAUUUUUUAUUUUAAAACAUAUAUUAUAAUAUAUGAAAAACAUAUAUGUCGAAACCAUUUUUAAUAAUUUUGAAAAACGGGGAUCGACUUCGAAAAUAAAAUGGGAGUCACCAUCGAUCUUUUAUUGAGAUAUGAUCGGUUCACCAUUAGACGUAAUUUUGGUCUGCAAAUUUUGAGAAAACAAGUUCAGGAAUCUGUUAAGCACGAGGAAGGGUUAGCACCCUCGUAACGCCCAAAAUUGGUACCAAAUUGAUUGUUUAAUGUCUUAAGGUCGAAAUUUUGAAAAGAUUUUAAAAUACGAUCCUUUGAAGUUUAAAUUUGAAUAAACCAAAUUGAAUAAUAAGACACACUCAUUUCGAAUAAAUAAAUUGUCACACUCAGUGAGUUAGGAUGCAACAAUUCAAUCAUCAAAAUUAAGUAUGUCUUUUUUAAUUUUAAAAUUUUAAAAUUCAUGCAUUUUGAGAAUGUUGUUCGGUUAUUUAAGUCAAACGAGAAAUCAGAAUUCAGUAAGUUAGGUUUCGAUUUCUUGAAGUUCUUAAACAUCAAAUAUUGUCUUUAUUUUAAAAUCAGGAUAUCAGAAUGUCACAUCCGGUAAGUUAGGAUCCGACAUUUUGAAAUCCUAAAUGCUUAGUUUUAAAAUGGUAUGGUUUUAAUAAAAUAAGCAUAUAGCUAUUUAAAUUCAUCGAGAAAAAUUGGAACCCAAUAAGUUAGGGCACAAUUCUCUCGAAAAUUAUAAAUGCUAGACCUUUUUUAAUAUGAAAUAGAAUAAAAAAUUUAAAAGAAGUAUGAAAUGUAAAAGAUGAUUGAUAAUUCAAACUUAAACUAAGAAGUAGCAAAUAAGUGAUAAAUAAAUACAAAUAAGGAAUAGCAAUAAUAGUUUUAAUAAUAUUAUAUUAACGCUAACAUUGACAAUCAAACAUCAAAUUCUAAAGUAUAUCCAAGAUGAUAAAAGGGGAAUUUCACCUCACGAAACUUAUGCACACAAGUUCUAAAAGAUUUAUUCACAAAAUCAAAAUAGAUUCGAAAUAAAAUAAUAAUAACAUUGUAUAAUAGCAUUUCGAAAUGAGCUUGAAACAAAUAAAAUAUAUUUAUUAAUCCACCUUAAAUAAUACACAUAAAAUAACUAUGAAAGGGUCUCAAUGCAUGUAUGAUUUAAAAGAAAUAAGUAAUUACCCAAAUAGGUUUUCAAAGAAAUAAAUUAUAUAAAUGAAAUCGACUUAAAAUUCAUAUAUGCAUAUAAAAAUACUUUGAAAAUUUAUAAUCAUGAUGAUAUUAAACAUCAAAACAAUAAUAUAUAUAUUUUUUGAAAUAAUUUAAUAUCACAUAUAGUAGCAUUUAAAAACAUUAUAUUAAAAGAAAAUUAAGUUAUAACACAAAAUGAAUUACUAAAAUAUGUUCAAAGUAUGUCAAAUUGCUAUAAAACAUUUUUACAUAUAUAGAUGAUGAAACAUAUAAUGAUAUAGAGUUUUAAAAUAAAAAGGAUAAAUUUUAAAAAAAUGUUAAUAAACUCAAAACAUGUUAAUAAUAAUUUUAAAUAACAAUAUGUUGUACCUUAAAAUUAUAAUAAAAAUGUUUGAAAACAGUGUUAAUCCUAAUAUUUAAAACUUAUUAAAAAUAAACAUAUUAAAAAUACUAAGCUAACUUUACAUUAUGUUAUAUAUAUAAAAAAAAACUAAAUUUGAAUGAAAUUUGUAGAAGCCCAAAUUUGCCGGGCCCAUACCAACAAAAUAACCCAAACAAUAAACCCGAAGCCCAACUACCCCAGCCCAUUAACCUAAGCUCAGCAUUCAGAAACCCUAAUCCCACUAACCCUAGCCACCUACCCCCACUUGCCCACUUGCCCACUUGCGCCGAACACCACCAUGCCACUAUCGGCCAUGGCCACCUGCAAGAAGCCAAGUAGAAAUAAACAAAUAGAAAAUAAACAUUUGUAAUUGGUUAUAAAAACCGAAAAUCUCACCAUUGAUAAAGGGGAUUUUUUAUUUUUUGCUAUGAAAACAAAAGAUUUUCUUUCAAUAUUAACAGAUUCAAUACAAGAACCAUUCGAAAAUAUAUAUACUAUCAGGGGCUCUAACACCAAAUCGGAGAAUCAAAUCUAAAACCUAAGGUGAACCUAAGGUGACUCUUUCUUUUUUUUUUCUUUACUGUUUUGAGUUUAUUUUCUACAUAAAAAUACUAAAAAAUAUUAAAACAUAAAAAUAUAUGCAUUAUUAAGCAAAAAAAAAAAGAAAAAAAGAAAAAAAAUAUUUUUUUUACCUUUUCCGGCCACCGCCGGCGAGCCUCCGGUGGCCGUCCGGUGACCGGCCCCCUGGCCGGAUUCCCCUUUCCCCCUCCCUUCUCUCUCCCUUCUCUCUUCCCUCUCUCUCUUCUUUUUUUUCUUUCCCUCUCCCCAAAGGAUUUUUUUGGCUAUUUUAGGCCUUUAUAUAGCCCUCCAAAACGAUGUCGUUUUGGGGGCUACACUUAAGCCUCAAAACGACGUCGUUUUGACCAUUGCCCGACCCAUCCGACCCGACCCGCUAGAGGAUCCGCGUGUUUUCGUUUGAAUGGGAUAUUUAUGCGCGCAGUCCUUCCGCUUUUUCAAGGUUUUGCAGUUAAGUCAUUUUUCUUGUUUCCAAUUUGGCCCCAUAAUUUCUCGCGCUUUUCGAUUUAGUCCCCGCUAAUGUGCUGUGUUUUAAUGGAAUGGAAUAAUUGUUGUUUCGGUCCUCCUAUGUUUUGUGCGCGCUCAAAUAAGCCCAUUUCUCUUUAUUUCCUUUCACAUUUGCCCCACAACUUUGUUUUUAAUUCAAUUUUAGUCCUUUUUCGUUUAUUUUUAUAUCUUUAUUAAAUAUCAUUGUUAUUUUAUAUUAUUAGUAUUAUUAGUAUUACUAUUAUUAUUAUUAUGUAUUAGUAUAUAUUUUUAUUAUGUACGCGUAUACAUGUAUAUAUAUUUUCAUAUUUAAUAUUUUUAUUUCAUUUUUUUCUAAUAUUUUAUUAUAAUUUAUAUAUAUAUACAUAUACAUAUUCUUUAUUUAUUUUAAGUAUAUAUUUUUUAUAUUUCAUAUUUUCUACAGGCAUAUAUAUACUUAUAUAUUUACAUAUUUUAAUUCAUAUACUUAUAAAUGUAUGUACAUACUUACGUUAUUUUAUUUUUAUAAUAUACAUAUUUAUAUUUUUUUGUCUUUAUGUAAUAUAUAUACAUACAUGCGCAUGUUAUUUAUAUAUAUGUAAUUAUGUUUUCAUAUUUUAUAAUUCUUGUACAUACAUAUAUAUAUAUAUAUGUAUAGACAUACAUAUUUUCAUUAUAUAUAUAUACCUACAUAGUUUUUUUUUUGUAUUUUAAAUCUUUUAAAAUUCAUACAUGCAUUUUUAAAACUUUUAUAAUUUUAUUCAUUUCUUUAUUAUUAUUAUUGUUUUACUUUAUGUUUAUCUAUUUAUUUAUGUGUCCAUUAUUAUUUUUUUUAAAAAAUGUUUUAGUUUUUUUUAUUUUGUUUAUUUACUUGUUAUUGUAUAUAAUUGAUUUUUUAUAUAUUUAUUUUUGUUAUCUUCGCUCGUAUUAUUUUUACUCGCAUUAUCGUAAUUGUUAUUCCGUCACAUCAAUUUUUACCCAAAUUCGUAAAAAAGGGAAAAUUUUGGAAAUAAAGGCAAUACUCGAUACUUGGGAUCUUCGAGAGAAUUGGGCCCUAACGUGCUGGGUUCUAAUUUUCUGUUGAAUCUAAAUGCUCGAGAAUGCUCUUUAAUAUAAAACAUAAAUAAAAACUCAUUAUCGGGAUUUCAAUAUGUUGUGUCCUAACGCAUUGGAUAUGACACGUGGUUUUCUCGAUAUGAGGAUUUUUUUUUUCGAAAGUAAAGACAAUAUUCCGUAUUUAGAAAAUUCGAGAAAAUCAUGCCCUAACUUACUGAGCUUCGAUUUUUCUCGUUGAUUCUAAGUAAUCGGAUAUCCUUUUAAAAUUAAAAUAAAUGAGGUUUAAAUAAAAAAAUGAAAGGCAAGUUUACUCUCGAAAAUACGAGGUGUCGUGUCCUAACUUACUGGAUGUAACAUCUUGUUACUUCGAGAUAAAGAGGCAUUUUCCAUUUUGAUUUAUUCGAGUAUUUUUAAAAUAACACGAUAUAAGGAGGGAUCAUAUUUUUAAGAUUCUUUUCGAGUUUUUAAUUUUCGACACUAAGACACUAAUUAAUCAACUAGGUACCAAUUUUGGGUGUAUCGAGGGUGCUAAUCCUUCCUCGUGCAUAACCGACUCCCGAACUCAUUUUUCUGAAUUUCGUAGACCAAAAUCGUUGUUUUAAUAAAAUUAAAUCAUUUAUUAAAAACAACCACUUUUUGAGGUGACCCGAUCACACCUCAUCAAAAAAGGAUUGGUGGCGACUCCCAAUUUCGUUUCAUUUUCAAAAUCCAAGUCGACCCCGUUUUCAUCCAAAAAAUGGUGUCAACAGCUUGGCGACUCCACUGGGGACAAUAAGAGAGUCAAGCCACGUGUUGAUUAUUUCUUGUCUUUCUGUUGAAAGUGGAAAAUUCGAUUUAAAUUUACGAUCCUCUCAUUACAUCUCUUUUGUUUUGAGUUAUAUUUUUAUUGUGUUCUGUAUUUUAUUUUAUACCUCUGCACAUUGCAUUGCAUGACCGCUGGUCAUACCCUUUUUAAGUGGGAGUGAGAAGCUACGCCUUCGUGAGGUUUUCACCUCCGCAUGGGAUAGUGAAUCGCUUUCGGGAUAUAUCCGUACCUAUGUCUUCGUGAGAUUUUCAUCUCCGCAUGGCCAUAGGGAAAUGUAUCCCCCUGAAUCGAACUCGGUCCAUAUGAGCCUAUAAUGGGUGAGGAUCGAGGAAUCUGCUGGUUCAGGUACCCUUACUUUAGAACCAAACCUCAUGUAGUGAACCUUAGGAGCCCACCCUAGGUAGAACCACCUCCAAACCCCUAGUGGUCACCCGAAUUGCUUUAUUUGUUAUUUAUUCUGCACUAACGUGUUUUGUUUUUUUUUUGUUUAUAAUUGCAUUGUAUUACAUCAUCCUAGGAAGGAGGUGUUGAUUUAUAUUUGAUUGCUAAAUAGAACAGUUUGUCAUAAGAAAACAAAUUUUUUGAUAAAGUGGAUUAUAACACGGUUGUCUAAAUAUGGUCCAAGUGAAUACAUGAAAGAAGGCUGAUAGUCCGUGAAGAAAUACAAGACUUUGCUUCAUUGCCUGAAGACAGAAACUAACAAAGAUUAUUCGAGAGCUGUCAUGUCUUGACUUUCUUAAAGGAGCUGAAAAGUAUCAUAGAAAUAAGUGAGCAACGAGUCGCUGCCUGGAUCCAGCAAAAAAGCAGUUAAUAUAGACAUCUCUUGGAGAAUUCGUCAGACUCGACCAUAAGAUCCAGAUAUGAAGAGGAAGAAAGGUGUCUUCACUUGGAAUAUGAGAGAAAGACCGUGUAUGUAGUCCGUUUUAUGUAAAGGAAUUUGUUUUCUAGAAAAGUUGUUCCAAUGAAAUUAAAUUUAGAAUCAAUGUCUUCCUUUCUUUUUGCAUUCAUGCAUUUGCAUUACAUUACAUCAAAGAAAAGAAUGUGUUGAUUCGAAAUUCGAUUCCUAAAUAGAAUAGUUUGUCAUAAGGAAACGAAUUUCUUGAUAAAGUGGAUUAUAGUGCGGUCACCUGAAUAUAGUCUGAGUAAACACGAUGAGAGAAAGCUGGUAGUUCACGGAGGAAUACAUGAUGUAAUUUCUAGAGAUUCAAGCCAACGAAGGCAUGACGAGAGAAAGCCGGAAGUCCACGAAGGAAUACAUGACUUGAUUUAAUUGCCAACGAAGAUUAUCCAAGAGCCGGCACUUUUUGAUGAAUAUCAUGGAGAUAAGCGAGCAAGAGAUCGAGGCUCAGGUUAAGCAGUAAGGAGCUAGCAAAGGCAUCUUUUGGAGAAUUUACAGGGUUUAACCAUGAAGAAAAUAUCAGCGUUUACUUGGACUAUGAAGGGCAAUACCACAUAUGUAAACUAUUUUCAUGUAAAAAAAUUUGUCUUCUAGAAAAAUUAUUCUAAUAGAAUUAAAUUUAGAAUCAACGCAUUCUUUUUCUUUGCAUUCUUUUCAUGCAUUGCAUCACAUCAUAUGCAUUAAUGACCAUUUAAAAAGAACUUAAUCGAAUAAAAUCAUUUCAGUUAACCUGGAAAACCAACAAAGUUACGGCACCCGAGCUAAGGCAAAAGUUAUGGACCAAAGGUUGGAGAAGCUAGAGCGACUUCAAAAAGAAAUGCAAGACCAGUUGCAGGCGCAAAUGAAAGAGCAAAUGGAAAAGAUUCAGCGUGACAUGGUGCAAAAGAUGGAGGAGUCCCAAAAUGAUCUGGUGGCUAAGAUGACGCAAUUAUUGAAGGGAGUAGAUAAGGGUAAAGGUCCUGUGAUUGUUAGUGAAGAAGAAAACAAUGGUGAACCACUUUAUCCUCCAGGUUUCACGCCUCCGCAUGAGCAAGUACAGACUGAGCUGCAUCUGCGGAGACCCUCUGUGUCGGUUAGGCCCCAGCAGUUCCAAGGCGAUGCUUCAAUCCCAAUGAAUUUUCAACCCGGAGCGGGCUUUAAUCCCAGUGAUAGCCCGAAUAAUAUUGUUGUCCCAGAUCUUGAUGAGAUGGUUGAAAAGGACAAGGCGAAGGAGGAAUUUCCAAAACAAUUUGAGGAGAAAUGGAAAUGGAUAGAAGAAAAGUUUAGGGCAAUAGAAAGCAUCGAAAGCUACGGAAUAGAUGCAAAGGAUCUGAGCUUGGUUCCGGACUUGGUGCUCCCUUACAAAUUUAAGAUGCCGAAAUUCGAGAAAUACAACGGGACUAGUUGCCCAGGAUCCCAUAUUACUAUGUUUUGUAGAAGAAUGACGGGGCAUAUUAAUAAUGAUCAAUUAUUAAUACAUUGCUUUCAGGAAAGUCUUACGGGAGCGGCGUCAAAGUGGUACAAUCAGCUGAGCCGAGCUAAAAUUGCUACUUGGAGGGAUUUAGCACAGGCUUUCCUGAGACAAUACAAUCAUGUCUCAGAAAUAAUGCCUGACAGGAUAACUCUGCAAAAUUUAGAGAAGAAAUCAAACGAAAGCUUCAGACAAUAUGCGCAGAGGUGGCGAGAGGUGGCAGUUCAGGUGCAACCACCGCUUUUGGAAAAAGAGAUGACAACGCUUUUUAUUAAUACUUUGAAAGCCCCGUUCAUCACUCACAUGUUGGGAAGCGCUUCAAAAAAUUUCUCGGAUAUAAUCAUGAAUGGUGAAAUGAUUGAGCAUGCCAUUAAAAGUGGAAAAAUAGAUGGAGGAGAAAAUAAUAGGAGGGCACCCCUGAAGAAAAGAGAAAAUGAAGUGAAUAAUGUGAAUGCUUAUGGUAGGUCAAUUACCGUGAAUCAACCAAAGAAAGUGGUUGCUAAUCAACAGGGAUCAUCAAGACAAGAGUCGGGAGCUAGGCAAACUACUGAAAAGCCCUAAUUCACGCCAAUCCCGAUGUCAUACAAGGAGUUGUAUCAGACUUUAUUCGAUGCACAUGUUGUUGCUCCUCGUUACUUGAGUCCUCUACAACCCCCGUAUCCAAAAUGGUAUGAUAUGAACGCGCAAUGUGAUUAUCAUGCGGGAAUUUCUGGGCACUCGAUAGAAAAUUGUACUGCCUUCAAGAAGGUAGUAGAAGGACUUAUCAAUUUAGGUGUCGUCAAACUUGACGACUCACCUAACGCAAAGAAUCCGUUACCUAAUCACGCAGAUAAAGGGGUGAAUAUGGUUAGCGAAGAUACGGGAGAAGAAGCCAAGACUGACAUUGCUGAAGUAAAAACUCCAUUGAAACGGGUCUGGAAAGAAAUGGCGAAAAGAGGUUUGGUUAUUUCAGAUUCUGAGGAAGGGCAUGAGAUGGGAAAUUAUUGUGAAUUUCACCAUAAAACAGGGCACGAAAUCCAAGAAUGUGAAGGAUUUAAGGCUUUGGUUCAAAGCAUGAUGGAUAACAAGGAGAUGAGGUUUUACGAAGAUGCGAAAGAAAUGAGGAGCAUAUGCGCGACAGAGUUGGGAACAAAGGCUCCAAAUCAUCCUGUGGUCAUUAUCUCACGCCCUAAGGGUAAGGAGGUUAGGGCUCAGGUAACACCGAAAAUUGUAAUCCAGAAACCAUCAAAUUUCUCUUAUAGGGAUAACAAAAUGGUACCGUGGAAUUACGGGUGUAAUGUGACCAUUUUGGGAAAAGAAGCAGAAAGAAAUCAGGAAAUAGGUUCUUACACGCGCAAUAGAAAAAGAUAUGACGCUCAAGCAGAGUCGUCCAGGGAAGAGAAUUGGAAGAAAGAACAGAGGAAAGGGAAAGCAGUAGAAGUUGAGCCAUUGGUAAAUGAACCAAAAAAAGAAGAGGAGGCAAAGGAGUUUUUGAAGUUUUUGAAACACAGUGAAUACAGUGUUGUGGAGCAACUACACAAACAGCCAGCCCGCAUUUCUGUAUUAGCUUUACUCUUAAACUCGGAAGUACAUCGGAAUGCACUAUUAAAGGUGCUAAACGAAACAUAUGUGGCUGACGAUAUUUCGGUAAACAAGCUGGAUCGGCUGAUCAACAAUAUUGGUGCUGACAAUUUUAUCUUCUUCAGUGAUGAUGAAAUACCAUCCGGAGGAAGAGGUUCUACUAAAGCCCUGCAUGUUACUGUCCGAUGCAAAGGGUACACACUCCCGGGGGCCUUGGUUGAUAAUGGAUCUGCACUAAAUGUAUUGCCUUUGUCCACUCUUAGUCGAUUACCAAUAGACAGUUCGCACAUGAAAGCAUGCCAGAACAUAGUAAGGGCAUUUGAUGGAACAAAAAAGGAGGUUAUGGGGAGAAUUGAGGUACCAUUAAGGAUUGGCCCAGUCACUUAUGAGGUGGAUUUCUUGGUAAUGGAUAUUAAACCCUCCUACAACUGUCUAUUGGGGAGACCGUGGAUACACUCAGCAGGGGCAGUACCUUCAUCAUUACAUCAGAAGGUGAAGUUGGUAUCGGAGGAUCGGUUGGUAACAAUAGAUGCAGAGGAGGAUAUUAUCGCAAUGAUGACUAGCGAUGCACCUUAUGUGGACAUCAACGAUGAGGCACUAGAAUGUUCUUUUCGGUCGUUAGAAUUUGUGAACGCGAUGUUUAUUGCGGAGGGAAAUAGAAUUCCAGUACCAAAAAUAUCCAGGACCACUGAGAUGGGAUUGCGAUUGAUGGUAGGAAGAGGAGCCUUACCCGGGAAAGGAUUGGGAAAAUAUCUUCAGGGAAGGAUUGAGGCACCAAUGCCGAAGGAAAAGUUUGAUAGAUUUGGUUUAGGGUACAAGCCAGACAUGAAGCAGAAGAAGAAAGAAGUAGAGAAGAGACAAGAGAGAAGAAGGGCGCGUUUGAAUGGACAUGAAGCUAAGUGUGAGCCUUUAACCUUUCCCCACAUAUCUACAUCUUUUGUGUCGGGAGGAUUUAUUCAUUCUGAAUGUGGAGUGUCCGGUAGCGGCAUGGGAGGAAUGUUGGAAAACGUUUAUACCAACGCCAUAGAAGCAACGGAAAGGAGGGCCUUGUUGGAGAUCUGCCCUUAUGAGCCUGGAAGCGAGCUAAACAAUUGGACUGCUGAAGAAAUCCCUGUAGUCUUUAGGGCUUAUUCAGAGUAAUGCUCAAAACAUUCCUGUUGUUUGUUGGCCUAGAAACGAUAUGAAAUCUUUUGUGAAAUAGGCAUUGGGCCUAAAUAUCAUUAUUUUAAUGAAAUACGUGUCUACGUUCAUCUCGAUCAGUCACUUUUUUUUCCUUUCAUAUUUUUCAUUUGGUUGAUUGUCUUACAAAUAAUUCUUUCAUUUGUAAUUCUUUUGCACAAACAUAUUCAUAAAUUUAUAUUCUUGGUAUAUUCUUUGAUGCGCCCUCAUAGGUCUUCAGAUAUCAAUGACAUGAGUGACGCUGCCUCAAACACGGAGCCUAUUUUUGAGCAAAAAGUGUGUUCAGAGGGAUCCCACGACUUUGACGAAGAUUAUGAUGCAUCUCCGGACUUGUUAAGAAUGAUGGAACAAGAGGAUAAGCAUAUCCUACCUCAUAGGGAAUCGUUAGAAAUAGUGAGCCUAGAGGAUGGAAAGGAGGUGAAAAUUGGAUCUGAAAUCACCGCAAAGACAAGGCAAGACCUCAUUAAUUUGCUCCGAGAGUUCAAGGAUGUUUUCGCGUGGUCGUACCAAGAUAUGCCUGGGCUAAGUACUAACAUUGUGGUGUAUCGUCUGCCCAUAAAGGAGGAUUGUAAACCCGUUCAACAGAAGCUUAGGAGAAUGAGACCUGACAUUGUGUUGAAAAUAAGAGAAGAAGUCAAAAGACAAUUCGACGCUGGAUUCUUACAAGAAGUCAAGUAUUCGGAUUGGGUAGCCAACAUCGUCCCAGUUCCCAAAAAAGAUGGAAAGGUACGAAUGUGUGUGGAUUAUAGGGAUUUAAACAAGGCUAGUCCAAAGGACAACUUUCCACUGCCUCAUAUUGAUACUUUGGUAGAUAACACGGCGGGCUAUUCAUUGUUUUCUUUCAUGGACGGUUUUUCUGGAUACAAUCAAAUAAAGAUGCAUCCUGGAGACAUGAGGAAAACCACAUUCAUUACCUUAUGGGGAACAUUCUGUUACAAGGUAAUGCCCUUCGGAUUGAAGAAUGCGGGAGCAACAUAUCAAAGAGCUAUGGUGACUUUGUUUCACGACAUGAUGCACAAAGAGAUCGAAGUCUAUGUUGACGAUAUGAUCGCGAAGUCUAGAACGGAAGAAGAGCAUGUUCAGGUCUUGAAAAAGUUAUUUUUGAGAUUAAAGAAAUUUCAGCUCAAGCUUAACCCGGCCAAAUGCACGUUUGGAGCCAGAUCAGGGAAGUUAUUAGGCUUCAUAGUUAGCAAAAAGGGGAUCGAGGUUGACCCAGACAAAGUAAAGGCAAUACGAGAUUUACCUCCCCCGCGCACUCAGAAGGAGGUUCGAGGUUUCCUAGGGAGGCUGAAUUACCUUGCUCGGUUCAUCUCAUAACUGACAGAGAAAUGUGAUCCAGUAUUCCGGCUCUUAAAGAAACAUAAUCCGGGUGAAUGGGAUGAAGAGUGUCAGAGGGCUUUCGAUAAGAUAAAGCAGUACUUGGCUAAUACCCCAGUCUUAUCACCUCCAAGUCCAGAUAGGCCAUUGAUAUUGUAUCUAACAGUGUUGGAGAAUUCCAUGGGAUGCGUAUUGGGCCAACAUGAUGAGAUAGGAAAGAAAGAAAGGGCAAUAUACUACCUCAGUAAGAAAUUUACCGAUUGCGAAAUGAGGUACUCAUCAAUUGAGAAGUUGUGUUGCGCUCUAAUCUGUGCAACCCGAAGACUGAGGCAGUAUAUGUUGUAUCACACGACUUGGCUGAUUUCAAAGUUAGAUCCUUUAAAGUAUAUGAUGGAAUCGACUGCUUUGAACGGGAGAAUGGCUAGAUGGCAGAUCUUGCUCUCAGAAUUUGAUAUAGUAUAUGUCAGUCAGAAGGCCAUAAAGGGAAGUGCAAUAGCCGAUUUCCUAGCUAGUAGAGCCUUGGAGGACUAUGAAUCUUUGAAUUUCGAUUUUCCAAACGAGGACUUGAUGUAUGUGGCGAAUACUGAAGAAAAUCCUUAAAUGGAUCGCGUAUGGAAGUUAAAUUUUGAUGGAGCUUCAAAUGCUACGGGUAAUGGAGUUGGGGCAGUUUUGGUAUCCCCAAGUGGAGAUCAUUAUCCUGUUGCUAGCAAGUUGGACUUCGAUUGUACAAAUAACAUGGCAGAAUAUGAAGCAUGUAUUAUGGGCAUUCGUGCAGCCAUUGAACGGAACAUCAAAGUACUGAGAGUAUACGGGGAUUCAGCGUUGGUGAUAUACCAACUCAAAGGGGAGUGGGAGACUAGGGAUCCUAAGCUAAUCGGUUAUAGAAAACUAGUUCUUGAAUUGGCUGAGGAGUUUGACGAUAUCACCUUCUAUUACCUCCCACGGGAGGAAAACCAAAUGGCUGAUGCUUUAGCUACUCUAGCUUCGAUAAUUCAGGUGAAUAGACUUGAGGCAAUGAGGCCUGUUCAGAUGAGUAUCUCUGAGACCCCGGCUAAUUGCUGCAAUAUUGAGGAGGAGGGAAAAGAUGAUUGUCCUUGGUAUCAGAGUAUCCUACAAUAUGUGAAGAAUCGGGAAUACCCUGAUCAAGCGACAGAGAAUGACAAAAGAACUCUGAGAAAGAUAGCCAUUGAAUAUGUCUUAGAUGGAGAAGUGUUAUAUAAAAGAAGGAAGGAUCAAGUACUGUUAAGGUGUGUGGAUGCUGUGGAAGCCAAGAAAAUUUUGGAAGAAGUCCAUGAGGGUAUUUGUGGGACGCACGCCAGUGGUUUCACGAUGGCCAGACAGAUCAUGAGAUUUGGGUACUAUUGGCCCACCAUGGAAGGAGAUUGUAUUGAUUAUGCCAGGAAGUGCCACAAAUGCCAAAUUUACGGAGACAAAAUGCACGCGCCCCCUUCACCUCUUCACGUCAUGACCUCUCCUUGGCCGUUUUCCAUGUGGGGUAUGGAUGUUAUUGGGCCAAUAUCACCAAAGGCUUCUAAUGGGCAUCGCUUCAUCUUCGUAGUAAUUGAUUACUUUACUAAGUGGGUGGAGGCUGCUUCAUAUGCAAAUGUCACGAAAGCAGUAGUCAGCAAAUUCUUGAAGAAGGAGAUCAUUUGUCGAUAUGGAAUGCCUGAGAGGAUCAUAUCCGACAAUGCGAUGAACUUGAAUAAUAGCACAAUAGCUGAAGUUUGUAGCAAAUUUAAAAUUAAGCAUCAUAACUCAUCGCCGUAUCGUCCCAAAAUGAAUGGUGCAGUGGAGGCGGCCAAUAAGAACAUUAAAAGGAUUGUGGGGAAAAUGACUGAAACCUACAAGGAUUGGCAUGAGAAAUUAUCAUUUGCUCUCCUUGCCUAUCGAACAUCUGUUAGAACUUUUACUGGGGCAACGCCUUUUUCUCUGGUUUAUGGAAUGGAGGCAGUAUUACCUAUUGAAGUUGAAAUCCCUUCUCUACGGGUGUUAUCUGAGCUACAGUUGGAUGAAGCCGAUUGGAUCCAAUCUCGGUACGAUCAGUUGAACCUAAUAGAAGAAAAGAGGCUAAGAGCUAUUCACCAUGGGAAAAUGUACCAGAAACGAAUGAUGCGAGCCUAUAAUAAAAAGGUUCGCCCCCGAGAAUUUCGUGAAGGGGACUUGGUACUAAAAAAGAUUCUUUCUAUGCAAAAAGAUUUUAGAGGAAAAUGGAUGCCAAAUUGGGAAGGCCCUUAUGUUGUAAAGAAGGCCUUUUCUGGUGGAGCUUUGAUCCUAUGCGAGAUGGAUGGCAAAAGUUUACCAAAUCCUGUAAACGCAGACUCCGUCAAGAAAUACUUCACUUGAAAGAAAGGGGAACCAAAGUGAAAACCCGUGAAGGGCGCUUUGCUUCCUAAAAAAAAAAGAAAAAAAAAAACUUUGGGGAGGCUAAGGUGAAAACCCGUAAAAGGCACUUUGAGACCAAAGAGGGCUGGAGUCGAAAACCUGAAAAAGGUGACUCAAGUACUGGGCAGGAUUGGAACAUCAGGAUUUGAGCGGAUCAAAUUUUGAUCGGGGGCAUAUGAUUAUCUUGCUUUACUUGAACCAAUAAGAAAGGAUAUGCAACGUCUUGGAACAUGGACAGAGUAUUCCAGAUCUCCUGAACACAUGUCAAACUCAGAAGGGUCUUCGGAAAGUUUGUACAGAGAAACUCAAGCUGCGAUAACUGGGGCACCUAGUUCUUAUGUGUAUUCUUGAAAAUACAUUUUUUUAUUUUCUUUCUUUCUUCCUUUCUUUUGGUGAAAACGCACAUUCUCAAUCCAUUUCUUUGUUACCUUGCUUUCGCCAUCUUUGAUGUUUUAUUCGAGUUAUGAUCAGAACUAGCUUUAUUCUUAUCCAUUGUUAUGAUCUUUUUGCAAACAUGUUGCAUAGGAAUAAUGAUUAACGAACUAAUAAAACUUUCAGGAAAGAAGUUUUGCACAUUACUCUGGAAAAUUUCUAAAUAAUAUAGGGACCUGAAUCAUGACUAUUGUUUAGAAAAUACCAAGUUUAAAGGGUGAAAUAUCUAAGAAGGAAGAGUCUAAUUUAAAGACUAUCCUUUCAGAUUUUGUUGUCUAAACAUUGAUUGAACAAAAUGACAAGCUGUCGUGUUACAAAGCUUAAAUGAACAAGCAAGCAAUGAUCAUCAGGCAAUAGGAAGAGGUUACCUCGGAGAAGAGAGCCUUCACUUGCGCAUAAGACUUUGGUACGACACCUUGAGAAUGGUGUAGGAAACCAGAACGGUUCAGAUCCUAUAUCCCCGAAUUGUGAUAAAAGAGGACAGAGGAAAAGCCACAUAUUUCUACCCUUAGAUUACUGUGAGAGAAUGAUGGUACAAAUUUUGGCGUCCCAGUGGAUAUAACUUUGAGGUUUACAAUGGGGACAGUCUGGCUAAAUGUUUCUUCAGAAAAAAAAAUCAGUCAAGCGAGAAGGCGUUGCAGCACGUCAGUCACAAAGCCUUAGUAAACUUCGAGUAAUGACAACCUAAGCGAGAUCAUUCUCGGAAAAAUAAAAUUCUGCAUUCAUGCGAACACCAUUCACAUAUGUCUAGUUAGGAGCAUUUGUUUCAUUUUGAUCAUGUCAUCCUAAUCAUUAGGCAUAAUUAGGUUUAUUAUACAGGUCUUAUCUCCCUGAGAUUACAGUGGAACAGACCAAAGAAUUUCAGAUCCUAUCUCCCUGAGAUUACAGUGGAGCGGAUUAAAAUAAAGGAUCUUAUCUCUCUGAAGUUACAGCAGAGUAGAUCGCAUCAAGUCUUAUCACCCUGAGGUUACAGGGGAGUAGACCGAAGAAUUUCAGAUCUUAUCUCCCUGAGGUUACAGUGGAGCAGAUUGAAGCCAGAGAUCUUAUCUCUCUGAGAUUACAGCGGAGUAGAUUGAAGCUAGUAAUCCUAUCUCUCUGAAGUUACAGUGGAGCGGAUUAAAAUAAAGGAUCUUAUCUCUCUGAAGUUACAGUAGAGUAGAUCACAUCAGAUUGAAGCCAGAGAUCUUAUCUCCCUGAGAUUACAGUGGAACAGACCGAAAAAUUUCAGAUCUUAUCUCCCUGAGAUUACAGUGGAACAGACCGAAAAAUUUCAGAUCUUAUCUCCCUGAGAUUACAGCGGAGUAGAUUGAAGAUAGUAAUCCUAUCUGCCUGAGAUUACAGUGGAGUGGAUUAAAAUAAAGGAUCUUAUCUCUCUGAAGUUACAGUAGAGUAGAUCACAGCAGACAAAACCACAGAUCUUAUCUCCCUAAGCAGUUAGUGGAACAGAUCACAUCAAGUCUUAUCUCCCUAAGUAGUAGUGGAGCAGACUAAAAACACAAAUCUCAUCCCCAUGGAGUCGUAGCAAAGUAUAUUGAAGCUACAAGGCGUAUCUGAACUUGAAGUAGAGUGGAUCGAAGCAACAAGAUGUAGCAGGCUGGAAUAAGGCUACUUGAAGAAGAGAAGCACCCAAAGAAGUCAAGCCUCGGUGAGACCAGGCAAAUUUGGUCUUUUUUAGUCUUUGCUCUGUUCUUGUUACACAAAAACGAGCAAAGAGGGGCAGCUGUAGAAGCCCAAAUUUGCCGGGCCCAUACCAACAAAAUAACCCAAACAAUAAACCCGAAGCCCAACUACCCCAGCCCAUUAACCUAAGCUCAGCAUUCAGAAACCCUAAUCCCACUAACCCUAGCCACCUACCCCCCACUUGCCCACUUGCCCACUUGCGCCGAACACCACCAUGCCACUGUCGGCCAUGGCCACCUGCAAGAAGCCAAGUAGAAAUAAACAAAUAGAAAAUAAACAUUUGUAAUCGGUUAUAAAAACCGAAAAUCUCACCAUUGAUAAAGGGGAUUUUUUAUUUUUUGCUAUGAAAACAAAAGAUUUUCUUUCAAUAUUAACAGAUUCAAUACAAGAACCAUUCGAAAAUAUAUAUACUAUCAGGGGCUCUAACACCAAAUCGGAGAAUCAAAUCUAAAACCUAAGGUGACUCUUUCUUUUUUUUUUCUUUACUGUUUUGAGUUUAUUUUCUACAUAAAAAUACUAAAAAAUAUUAAAACAUAAAAAUAUAUGCAUUAUUAAGCAAAAAAAAAGAAAAAAAGAAAAAAAAUAUUUUUUUUACCUUUUCCGGCCACCGCGUGCGGUGGCCGGCGCCGGCGCCGGCGAGCCUCCGGUGGCCGUCCGGUGACCGGCCCCCUGGCCGGAUUCCCCUUUCCCCCUCCCUUCUCUCUCCCUUCUCUCUUCCCUCUCUCUCUUCUUUUUUUUUCUUUCCCUCUCCCCAAAUGAUUUUUUUUGGCUAUUUUAGGCCUUUAUAUAGCCCUCCAAAACGACGUCGUUUUGGGGGCUACACUUAAGCCUCAAAACGACGUCGUUUUGACCAUUGCCCGACCCAUCCGACCCGACCCGCUAGAGGAUCCGCGUGUUUUCGUUUGAAUGGGAUAUUUAUGCGCCCAGUCCUUCCGCUUUUUCAAGGUUUUGCAGUUAAGUCAUUUUUCUUGUUUCCAAUUUGGCCCCAUAAUUUCUCAUGCUUUUCGAUUUAGUCCCCGCUAAUGUGCUGUGUUUUAAUGGAAUGGAAUAAUUGUUGUUUCGGUCCCCCUAUGUUUUGUGCGCGCUCAAAUAAGCCCAUUUCUCUUUAUUUCCUUUCACAUUUGCCCCACAACUUUGUUUUUAAUUCAAUUUUAGUCCUUUUUCGUUUAUUUUUAUAUCUUUAUUAAAUAUCAUUGUUAUUUUAUAUUAUUAGUAUUAUUAGUAUUACUAUUAUUAUUAUUAUGUAUUAGUAUAUAUUUUUAUUAUGUACGCGUAUACAUGUAUAUAUAUUUUCAUAUUUAAUAUUUUUAUUUCAUUUUUUUCUAAUAUUUUAUUAUAAUUUAUAUAUAUAUACAUAUACAUAUUCUUUAUUAUUUAAGUAUAUAUUUUUUAUAUUUCAUAUUUUCUACAGGCAUAUAUAUACUUAUAUAUUUACAUAUUUUAAUUCAUAUACUUAUAAAUGUAUGUACAUACUUACGUUAUUUUAUUUUUAUAAUAUACAUAUUUAUAUUUUUUUGUCUUUAUGUAAUAUAUAUACAUACAUGCGCAUGUUAUUUUUAUAUAUGUAAUUAUGUUUUCAUAUUUUAUACUUCUUGUACAUACACAUAUAUAUAUGUAUAGACAUACAUAUUUUCAUUAUAUAUAUAUACCUACAUAGUUUUUUUUUUGUAUUUUAAAUCUUUUAAAAUUCAUACAUGCAUUUUUAAAACUUUUAUAAUUUUAUUCAUUUCUUUAUUAUUAUUAUUGUUUUACUUUAUGUUUAUCUAUUUAUUUAUGUGUCCAUUAUUAUUUUUUUUAAAAAAUGUUUUAGUUUUUUUUAUUUUGUUUAUUUACUUGUUAUUGUAUAUAAUUGAUUUUUUAUAUAUUUAUUUUUGUUAUCUUCGCUCGUAUUAUUUUUACUCGCAUUAUCGUAAUUGUUAUUCCGUCACAUCAAUUUUUACCCAAAUUCGUAAAAAAGGGAAAAUUUUGGAAAUAAAGGCAAUACUCGAUACUUGGGAUCUUCGAGAGAAUUGGGCCCUAACGUGCUGGGUUCUAAUUUUCUGUUGAAUCUAAAUGCUCGAGAAUGCUCUUUAAUAUAAAACAUAAAUAAAAACUCAUUAUCGGGAUUUCAAUAUGUUGUGUCCUAACGCAUUGGAUAUGACAUGUGGUUUUCUCGAUAUGAGGAUUUUUUUUUUUCGAAAGUAAAGACAAUAUUCCGUAUUUAGAAAAUUCGAGAAAAUCAUGCCCUAACUUACUGAGCUUCGAUUUUUCUCGUUGAUUCUAAGUAAUCGAAUAUCCUUUUAAAAUUAAAAUAAAUGAGGUUUAAAUAAAAAAAUGAAAGGCAAGUUUACUCUCGAAAAUACGAGGUGUCGUGUCCUAACUUACUGGAUGUAACAUCUUGUUACUUCGAGAUAAAGAGGCAUUUUCCAUUUUGAUUUAUUCGAGUAUUUUUAAAAUAACACGAUAUAAGGAGGGAUCAUAUUUUUAAGAUUCUUUUCGAGUUUUUAAUUUUCGACACUAAGACACUAAUUAAUCAACUAGGUACCAAUUUUGGGCGUAUCGAGGGUGCUAAUCCUUCCUCGUGCGUAACCGACUCCCGAACUCAUUUUUCUGAAUUUCGUAGACCAAAAUCGUUGUUUUAAUAAAAUUAAAUCAUUUAUUAAAAACAACCACUUUUUGAGGUGACCCGAUCACACCUCAUCAAAAAAGGAUUGGUGGCGACUCCCAAUUUCGUUUCAUUUUCAAAAUCCAAGUUGACCCCGUUUUCAUCCAAAAAAUGGUGUCAACAAAAUUUUCUUUAAUAUAUUCACUAUAAGAGCCAAUAAUAUUUAUGAAACUUAACAAAACAUUAUGACUAAUGAGAAAUAAAGAUAAAAUUAAAAAAAGAAGAAGCAAUAAUUGAAUCGAAAUUACAGCACUUGGAAGACUAAAUUUGCAAUCAAUCGAAAACAUGAGGACUAAAACCAUAAUUAAACACAAUGGUUCAAACAUUCAAAUUCAGAUAAUGGAAACGUCGCCGUUUAACUAUGAACCAAAUUGAAACCAGAUUAAAUCAUACGGUAUAAAUCGAAAAAUUGCAGAAAAUCGAAUUAGAACAAUACAAGAUAAAAGAGGACUGAUUGCGGAAAUAGUCCAAUGAACCAGAAUGCGCGGAUCCUGCCCCGGGUCGGGUCACCGCGUGGGUCCAAGGACGCUAAACGGCGUCGUUUCUUUCACACUAUAUAAGCUAAAAUAAACCUAAAACCUAAAGCUCUCAGUCAUUUUUUAAGAAAAAAAACCUAAAAGAAAACUAAACUCCUGGCGCCGCUUCAGCGUCGAAAACCCCCCUCGCCUAUUCAAUCUUGGCCUGAACGGGGGAGGGAUUCGGCGACUCACCGAUCCAGGUAAGGUUUCUGAACUGUCCUCCCUUUUUAUUUUAUAUAUAUGCUUAUAUAUGUGAUUACUAGCAAACAGAAAAAAAGAAAAAGCAAUCGGAAAAGGAACAGAACCGAAAAGAGGAAAAAAGAAAACCUUUUUUGUAUUGAUUUCGUUUUUUUUUUAUACAGUCUCCCCUUCCGGAGUACAUGAGAAAAUAAGGCUCUCAUAGCCCGAAAAAUAAAAAAUAAACCCUCUUUUCUCCUUUUUUCUUUUGUUGUUAUCGUUUUUUGCUUUUUUUCUUCUUCUUUUGCUGUUGUCUUGUUAUUUGCUGCAGGUACGGGUACGCGUGACGUGGCUCAACGCGUAUGGAGGCAGAGGCUGGCGUGGAGCGGCUCGGAGGCGUGGCUGCAGCGCUGGAGGCUGAAUGUUGCUAGGGUUUGCUGCUGUGCAUUCUGGUGUUGGGCCAUUUGGGCUGAGUUGGUUUGCUGGGCUUAGAAUCAGGUUUAGGUUUGGGCUAGGGUCUAGGCAAAUUGGGUUUGGUGAAUUUUUUUGUAAUUUGGACUGUUAUUUUAUUUGUUUUUUUAUUAUUUAUUUUAAUAGCGGGCUGGGCAAAUUGGGCCUAUUACAAUAUAUAUAACCAAAUUUUGUAACACCCAUUUUAUGUUAAAAAUAUUUUCUUUAAAAUUAAGUAUAGGUUGGGUGGUAAAGUACUUAUAUUUUAAUACUAGUAAAUACAUGUUCAAUCUUUAGAUUUAUAAUUUAUAAUUCUUUUAAUUAAAGAUGAUAUACAAGUAUGAAAAGACAAAAGUGACAUAGUAAUAAUAUUAAUUAUAAAUUUUAUAAUUUCAUAAUUGAGUUGAUGACGUGGUUGAAGGUGGCACUAACUCUAAAACACUUAAAUAUAAUAAUAGCUUAAAAAUAAGGGGCUUUUGGAAAAUACAUUUCUGAGUUGGUGACCUGAGGGUCACACCAACUCAAUAAAACUCUUAAAUAUUGAUUACAAAUCCUAUCACACACUUAUGUGUAUCAAUAUCACAAAUUUAGAAUAUAAAGAUGUGUUUAAAAUUAACAUACAAUAAAGAAUGAAAUUUAUGGUUUGAAACUAAUUAGUAAUAACACAUGAAAUAUGUAUGAUAUUAAAAUGAAAAAAGAGAGAUUAAAUUGUGCAUAAAACAAAAUUUUAUCCUAUUACAUCAAUAAAGUUAUAUUUAUUACCCUCGCCAAUUAUUUGUCAUUAAGAACAUUAAAGUAUCCUUGAAUGAUAUAACUUAUUCUAAAUAGAGUUGAUGUAUGGUUGGCUUGGGAUACCAACUCAGUCAGGAGCUUAAGAUUAUUAAAAUAUUCUUAUUUUAAAGAGAAAUUAAUAUUAUUAUAAGAGCACGUUUGGUUCGUUGUAUUGGAUUAGAGGCGUAAUGGAAUAGAGGUGUAAUGGAUUAGAGGUGUAAUGGAAUAGAGGUGUAAUAGCAAAUCAACUGUUUGGUUAAAUGUAAUGGAAUAGAGGCGUAAUAGUAAUCUUGUAUUUGGUUGAAUGAAAUAGAGGUGUAAUAGCAUAAUGGGAAAAACUAAAAUGACUAGAAUACCCUUAGCAUAAAUUUGUUAAUGAUUAUUGUUAUUGUUAUUUAAAUUUUAAUAAGAUUAUUAUUAUCAAUAAUAAAUAAUUUAAUCAUAUUUAAACAUAAUUAUUAUUAAAUAUAUUAUAAUUAAAAUAUAUAAUUUAAUAAAAUUCUUAAUAAUCAAUAUUCUUAUAUGAAUUUACUCAAAUCAUAAUAUAUGAUACUAUAAAAUUUAAAUUAACAUAAUUAUUAUUAAAUAUAUUAUAAUUAAAAUAUAUAAUUUAAUAAAAUUCUUAAUAAUCAAUAUUCUUAUAUGAAUUUACUCAAAUAAUAAUAUAUGCUACUAUAAAAUUUAAAUUAACAUAAUUAUUAUUAAAUAUAUUAUAAUUAAAAUAUAUAAUUUAAUAAAAUUCUUAAUAAUUAAUAUUCUUAUAUGAAUUUACUCAAAUCAUAAUAUAUGAUACUGUAAAAUAUAAAUUAAAAUAAUAAUUAUUACAUAUAAUUUAAUAAUAAUAUAUAAUUUAAUAAAAUUCUUAAUAAUUAAUAUUCUUAUAUGAAUUUACUCAAAUCAUAAUAUAUGAUACUAUAAAAGAUAAUUUGAAAUAAUUAUAACUAAUAAAUUAUAUUUUAUGAAUUUGUAUAAUUUAAAAUAAUAAUUAUUACAUAUAAUUUAAUAAUAAUAUAUAAUUUCAUAAAAUUCUUGAUAAUAAAUUUUCUUAUAUGAAUUUAUACAAUUUAAAAUAAUUAAUAUUAAAUAUAAUUUAAUAGUGAUAUAUAAUUUCAUAAAAUUCUUAAUAAUAAAAUGUUCUUAUAUGAAUUUACUAAAAUCAAUAUAUAACUUGAGAAUUAUAUUCUGCAUAAACAUAAUUAACUUAUAUUAAGAAAAGGUUAGAUGAAAAUGAAAUUCUACAUCAUAAUCCAUAUGUUAUAUAGUUUUACAACAUCAAAAAGUUUGAACAUUGAUAUUUAAUGGUGAGAAAGAAAUCUUCUGACCCAUUCCAAUCGGGCAACAGAAGGUAAACUAAAGAAAACGAUCAUUUGAGUUGGAUGAUCUGGAAUUUUACUCAAAGCAUCAUACCGCUGAUCGUCAGUUAAACCUUCAAUUGACCAUAGGGCUGAAUAUAAAUUUGAAGCUUUCUCUUCCAUCUUUUGAUAUUCUUCUGACUUCUGCUGAACUACCACCUCGAAGGCAAUACUCCUACUGAUUUGAUCGCCAACGGCCUGGAUUUUUUCCCCCAACAAAGUGGCAGCCUCAUCAAAUGAAGAAUACACAUUAUCACGAGCAUCAGAUUUCUUCUUUCUCUUGUUUGAAGAUGAGGAACCCCCUUGGUCUCUAUCUCCUCACGGAUCUGUACCAGAAACAUCCAUGUCGUCUAAAGAGACGUCAGCUUCGCAGUCAUAGAAUGUGUUUCUCUCUUCAUUCAUAUCUGUAGUACGUACAUCCUCAGCAUGUAUUUCUUCAAGAACAUCAGCAGCUGUUUGAGCGUCUUUCCCAGUUGCUCGAUCUCUUGCUUAUAUGGUAGUAAGCUGGUCAUAGUAAGAGAAAGUACGAUAUUUGAAUUGAGUGGCUUCUCUGUGACUCUAAAAAAAAUGAGGAAAUCAUAUUAGUCAUAAGUUUGGUAUAAAUAAGAUAAUAAAGACUUGAAAUAAUCUUACCUUUAAAUAGGACUCCCAAACCGUAUCUUCAGCAACAACGAGCUGCCUAUGCUCGUCCCAACCAAAACCGCUAUUGUUUUGGCCAUUAAGCAUGUCAUAAACGAUUGACCACUCCCUUUUUAGUAACCUAACCCUUGAUUCAAUAUUAGGUUUCGCCUUCAACAUUGCAUUUAGUAAAACCGUUUGUAGCAUUCUUUCCAACUCGUUCAAAUAACCGGCUUUGAACCCGGUAUCAGCAUUAAAUGUUCCAACAUUGUGCAGGUCCACCAUGCAGGAAACUAAUGCUGCAUCUUCUUCUGGAACCCAUUUUCUUUUGCUUCCUCGAGAAGCUUGAGAAGAAGCAUUUGAUUCUGGAACACCUGACAUAAUGAUCUUAAGAACAAAAAAAAAACAAAUUAUAUUAAUUACUAUUUUAAUAUCAUGAUUCAAAAGGUCAACACUAUAUAAAAUCUAAGGAAUUAAGUUGAAUAUCAUGAAUCAAAAGCUCCAUACCACAAAAAAUUUAAAAUUAUAACACAUGCUGAAUUAGAAGAAAUUAUAUUAUAAUUCAACAAGUUUAGUACAAUACAAAAAUCAAUACAAAAGUUUCACAAACUAAUUUCUAGAUGCUUGCCAUUCAUCGAACAUUUGGUUGGCUAGUUCCAUCCUCCAAGUAGCCCAAGCAUCUGAUGGAUGAAUAUUUGUGAUAUUCGGUUCAUCGUCAUCCACCACAUUAAUUGUAGGUAAUCCUUCUCCCACCUCCGCUUCAAUGGGAUCAAUACUCAUAUGGGUUCGAAUAAAAUUAUGGAGCAAACAACAUGCAAUAAUAAUUCUAUUGUGCACCCUUACAGGAUAGAACGAUGGACUCCUAAGUAUUCCCCAUCUAAGUUUUAAUAAGCCAAAGCAUCUUUCAAUAACAUUACGUGCUGAGGCAUGUUUCAUAUUAAAAAACUCUUGCGGAGAACUUGGCUGAUAACCCUGACGCCACUCGUUCAAAUGAUAUCGCUGUUCUCUAAAUGGUGCAAGAAAUCCCUCACAAUUUGUGUAUCCAGCAUCAACUAGAUAAUAACAACCUAUAAAAUAAAUUUUUUUUUAAAAUGAUUAAUUCAGCACACAAAGUUUACUAAAAAAAUAAUUCAAAGUCCUCUAACUAUACACUUUACCAUGAGGAACUUUUAAUCCAUGUCUUCUACUAAUGGCAUCUCGAAGAACCCGUCCAUCAGCAACUAAACCUUCCCAACCAGGAAGAACAUAAACAAAUUGCAUCUCAGGUGUACAAACACCUAGCAUAUUUGUUGCUAUGUCACCUUUUCACGUUCGAUAUCUAGGUUUAUCAACUGUUGGAACCCUAAUCUUGAUGUGGGUUCCAUCAAGAGCACCUAAGCAAUUCUAUAUCACAUGAUAUAAAACCUUGAGUUAGAAUACUAAUUUAAAUCUAAAUCAAGUAAAUGUUGUUGAAGAUAUAUAUAAAACUUAGUCCAAUACCUUAAACCAUUUCCACCUUGUGUCAGAAGAAUCAGCUGUAAUUAGCUCUGGCUUUUUAAAUAACACAUCUUGUAAGCGUAUGACAGCAUUUAAAACACUAUGAAAUGCUCUGCUAACAGUUUCCCCGGACCUUCUAAAGUGAUGCUUGAUAACUCGAUUUUUCAGGUGAUGGGAGAUGAUAAGUAAAAACAUUGCUACUUGCUCGUCAACAAGCAUGAACCUUGUCGACUUCAAUCCCCUAUCGAUUCUAACAUCUCACAUUGUUUAAAAAAGGCAGCUCUAUUCAUCCUAACUUGUUCAAUACAGGUCUCGUCACUAGCAUAUACAAGCCUCUUCACAUAAUCCCGUUUUGCAUAAAAAUCUACGGUAUAGGACCUAAUCCUUGGUCUAUGUAGCCUAAGGCUGGCACCCAUUCUAAAUAAGAACCAAAUCGCGAUUCUACAGAUUUCCAACCAUAUUGUCACAGCAAUACCAAUUCUUUUACGCCUCACACUUUGUGCAAUUAAAGGCAGACGAGCCAUUACUGCAACAUUUAGAACACACAUAGUUUAAACUCACGAAUUUAGAACACACGAUAGUUUGAACAUUAAUUAGUUUGAACAUUUCAUUUCGUAUAAAUAUAUUGAUUAGUUAAUUAAAGCAUGUUCAAUGUUUGAACAUUGAUAGUUUGGACAUUUAAAUUUAAAUUUAAAUAUAAUUUCGUAUAAUGAAAUUUAAGAUUUAAUAAAGGUGAGUAUCAAAGUUUGAUCAUUGAAUAAUCUUUUUUAUUGAUGAUUAGUUUAAUUAAGGUUUUCUAAUUUCAAAAUAAAUAAAAUGAAGAAUGAAGAUUUGGUUUAAUAAUGAAGAUUUGGUUUAAUAAAUAAAAUGAAGAAUGAAGAUUUGGUUUUCUAAUUUCAAAAUAAAUAAAAUGAAGAAUGAAGAUUUGGUUUAAUAAUGAAAAUGAAGUUUUAAAAUUUUUAUAACAUUUUAAAUGGUAAUUUUAUUUUGUAAAAAUAUAUAUAACUUUUAUCUCAUUUACAUGUACAAAUUAAUAUUAACAGUAUUGUAUUUGCAAUUAUGAUUGGAAAGAUUGAAAUCUAGUAUUGUAUUUACAUGUACAAAUUAAUAUUAUUUAAGCCCAUUAUUUGUAGGCAUAAUGCUCUUUAAGAUUGAACAUAAUUAAAGGUUGAACAUAAUUAUUAUUAUUUGAAUAAUAUCAAUUAAAGGUUGAACAUAAUUAUAUAUUAGUAUCAAAUUUGUAUGUACUCUUUAUAUGUACUCUUUCACUAAUAAAUUAUAUAUCAAAUUUGUAUCACAUUGAUUUUAUGUACGCUUUCAGUAAUAAGUUAUAUAUUAGUAAAAAGUUGGUGCAUUGGUACACCAAAUAAUUUGAAUACAUACUACUUUCUUUAAAAAAAAUGUUACCUAUUAGUAAAAACAUAUAACCUAUUUGGGAAACAACAAAAGCUGUAAUGACCAUAAUUAUGCAAAUUGGUGAUAAAAAAGAACAAUAAUUAUGCAGCAAUAACCAUAACCAUACAAACAAAAGCUGUAAUGAGCAAUACAAACAUACAAACAAAACCAUAUUCAUUUGGGAAACAACAGAAGCAGCUACAGCAAUACAAACAUAACCAUACAAGGAAAACAUACUAAUAAACCAUGAAUACCAAUGGAAAACUAACCUGUAAUGAGCAAAUCGGGGACGACUGCGAUGUAGAAGUGUUGGAACAAAGAACCUGUAACCAGUAAAGGGAAAUCAAUGUUACAAAAAUAAUCAGUUUAUAAAAUUGAUCAUACACUUUACCAAAGCAGCCUCUCAUUUAGUAACCAGUCCUUUAGAUUAUUAAAUAUACCAACUUGGCAGCUUUGAAUAUAUAUGCAAAGCCAUUUUACUUUAAAAUACAUCCCUCCAUUUAUCCUCUUUAAUGUGGUUCACUAGCACCAAGGAAGGCUUAGCAAUGAGGACUUUACAUUCCCUUUCGAAUUUUAAAAUCCCAGGGUUUACCAUCACAAGAAGAUACAUCCUUAUUCAAUCACACUCACCAACUAUUAUGUAAUUACUAAAAAAUGCAACCAAAAUGGGGUUGGCCUAACAUAAAUCAUACACCACACCAUCAAUUGAAGGUUAAUUCAUGGUAACAUUAGUAUUGAAAGGUUGCGUUGUGGGCAGCCUAAGAGGACUCGCAACACUAGGCUUAAUUGCUGUAACAUAUCACAUUCGGAGGCUGGUUCGGACAGCAUCAAUAAUACAAUAUUUAGACAUCAUUAACAACGCAAUAUUCGAACAACAUCAAUACCACAAUCGGACAGCAUAAACAGGGCAGCAAUUAACAAUACCAACAAGGUAAAAUUCGGACGGCAAUUUAACAGUUUCAACAAUUAUCAAACACAAGAAAAUAGAAGUUCAAGGAAAACUCGCCAAGGUUCCCAACACCAAUUUUACCUAUUUAAUUUACUUCUUCCCUUUUCCGCUACAGCCUUCUCCCACCUUGUUAGCUAAAUACAAUGAACCCAAAAGUUACAAAAAUGGUGUAUAACAACUCAAGCAUUCACUAAAUUCUUUUAACACAAGUGAGAAACUCCUCAUCUUCUAGACAUGCAACGUUUACAACUAGAAAAGAAACUCUUCUCUUCUCCCACACAUUCGGUCAAGCUCAAUUCAACAAUGCAACCAGAAUUUGUCAACGAAAAGCUAUGGGCAAGGGAGAGCUUAGAAGAGUUACAGUUCUACUUGAAAAUUUUAACUUCUAAGCAAGCAAAUUUCAUGGUUUUCCAGUACAUGUAGCCGGCCUCUCCUCUCUAGCUUCAUUUGAAAGAGACAAGGAAGCAAGAUAGAAAAAUAAAAAGUCGAAGUCUUUCUUUCUUACUUACCGUCCAUUUCUCCACCCUUUACCCAUCAUAAAAUGAAAUUUAGCCAAUCAACAAAUCUUAGCCGGCCACCAACCAAAAACCAAAAACCAAAAACCAUAAAAUGAAAAGAAUCAUGUAAAAGUUUAUUCAUACCUCAAAAACCAAACGCCGAGACCGAGAGAAGAAACGAUGAGGACUGAAUCAUCAACGAAAGCAGUGGGAAAUGGGAGGAGAAAUUAUGAGGACAGAAGAUGAGAGGGUCGGGUAGGGAGGGAGGGUAAAACAGAGAGUUGGGGAGGGAAGCCGGACGUAAUACCUAUUACUCGAUUUGGGAAGGGAUUAGAAAAGCAGGGAAUUUGGGGAUUAGGUCGGGAUUGUAUUACGCGCGUAAUACCUAUUACAGCGAACCAAACGCCAGAUUAGGGGCGUAAUGUAAUAGCCGCAUAAUCAGUCAGUAAUGGAUUACCUAAUACACUGAACCAAACAUAGUGUAAGUGUAUUUUCACCUUUUCAUACUUUGAUAUAAUCUUCAAGUAAAACGAUUGAAAAAUAUUAUUUGACGACACAAGACUAAAAAAAUUCAUAUAGAAAAUGCUUACCACUCCACUAGUAAUCAUUUGUCAAUGUAUUUUUGGUAAAAAGACCUCUCCAAUCCCUCUUAAUUUCACAAUUGCGCAAAUUAGUCCCUCUCAAAAAAUUAAAGCAAUUUAAUCCUUAUCAAUUUUGAAAGUGAGUAACUAAGGAUAAUUAAUUAUGGUGUUAAAUUCUUCCAUCAAUUGUACAUAAUUUUGAUUGGUAUAGUAAUAAAUUUAGCCUUCAAUGUUUAUAUAUUUUGUCAUUUUGGCCUUAAUUUUUAAAAAAAUUUUAAGAAAUUCAACCUCAACAUUUACAAUUUACACAAACGUUGCGGGAAAAUUUUGUUAAAGUAAGACCAGCUAAAUUUAUUAUUAUACCAACCAAAAUCAUGUACAUUUUAUGAAAAAUUAACAUCCUGAUUAAUUAUUCUUAAUUGCUCACUUUCAAAAUUAAUAGGGACUAAAUUGCUCUGAUUGUUUUAGGGUGACCAAUUUCCUCAAUUUGGAAAUUGAGAGAGACUAUUGAGAUCUUUUACAUUUUUUUUUAUAAAUAUAUUUUUUAAUAUAAAAUAUAUUUGUUCACACACAUCGUGUGUAUGAUAAAAUAUUUUUAUUGUUGAUUGAGUUGGUGUCAAAAAUUAACUUGACACCAACUCAAGAUUAAUGAUAACAAUAUGAUAAAUAAUUUAUUUAUUUAAUAUUUUUAAUUUAAGAUAUUGAUGUAAAUUUUAAGACAUGUAUGUCUUGUAGAAUUGUAAUUAUACUUUUUCAGUAUUGACUCAGUUUUCCACAAUUGUGGGUCUCUAUUUGAGCAAAACAAUUUCAACAUUUCUUCAUCUCGCUUAAUCCAAAUGCAUUUAGGAUUUUCUUAUAUCAUUGCUUCAAAAAGGGUAAAAAAAAACGUCGACAUUGAAUUUUCUGUUUCACAUUCAAUUUUUGGAUACGUAGAAUUUUCUAAUUUAUUUUCCAUCAACUUCACUUCAAUUUUCAGUCACAAUCAAUUGCAAUCAAGAGCACCACAUCUUUUUGGAUGAAACGAAGCUCUCAAUUUUAAGAUAAACGGGUCUUUAGGGUUAUUAAUUGAGGGCCUUUUCCACAAUUGCCAUCGUUAUUUGCGGGUGAUUGGGUUACGACAAUGGUUUGAAGUGAAGCUGUUUCAAAUGAAUAUGAAUACUCUACCAGUAAGUCAUAAUUUAAAAUUCAGGUUAUGUUUCAUUUCAACUAAGUUAAAUGUUAAGAUUGAAGUUAAACCUUUUAGAGGUUGCUCACAAAAGGAUCAAACCUUUAUAAAAGUGCUUAAAUGAAUGCCAAAUUUUUUAAAAUAGACAAAUAAGGCCCUAACCUUUUAAAAGGUGUUCAAAUAAGGGCUUCUCAAAUGUUGUAUAUCAGGUUAUGUGUUUUACUCUAAACAUAUCAGUAUUUACUAUUUUUUCUACAAAUUGGGUUGAAGUGCAUGAAAAAUUUUAUUUUAGCACUUUUGUAAAGGUUAAACUCUUAUUUGACAAUUUUGAAAGGUUUGAUCCUUAUGUGAGCAACCUUUAAAAGAUUGAGCACUAAUUUAACAAGUUGAGAAAUACCUAAAUUUGUUUUCAUGAACCAAGAAAUUAAAAAAAAAAAAAAAACAUGUUGAGAAAUAUUUUAGAGAUUCUUAGCCUUGACAAGUUCCCUCCACCAUCUCCCUGCCUCCAGUCCCACCUCUUCUCUUAUGCUCCUUCCAGGUUCUUGUUUUUUGUGUAUUGAAAAUUCGACGGAACAAAAUAUCAACCUACAUCAUAAGGCACGAAGGCCAGAACUUUACUUUCUAGCCCGUCCGAUCCAAUGAAAGAAGAACAAAGAGUAUUGAGAUCUGACAACUUUAUUUCAUUUUCAUUUUCUUUGUUAUUUUCUAUGUUUCAUGUCAAAUACAAUGGAAGAAGAACAUAGAAAAAUGUUGCCUAUUUAUUUCCCAAUCAUCAUGAAAUUACUUGCCAUAGUCUUAGAAUUUUCUCACCAAUUUUCAAGCAAUCUCACAUGAUUUCUCAAUCACAAUUAAUUGAAUUCAAGAUCUUUUUGGAUGACACAAACAUUUCAAUUUUAACACAAACCAAUAUUUAGGUUAUACUUCAGUGCUUGACAAGCACUUUCACAUUUGUGGGAUAAUAACUCUAGCAUUUUAGGAUCACAUUUAAUUCAAUUGCAUUUAAGACCUCAUGAUUUUAUUCUAUAAUUUGAGUCUUAUCAACCUUUUGGGAAAUAAUAAAACAUCGACAUUAAACUUGUUGUUGAUGCAUUCAAUUUGAUUUUUUGAGGGGUCGUUGGAGUUAUAUAUGACUUUAGCAUUGAUUGAUUUUUUUAGAAUUAAUCUUUUAUACCAAUUUAAUAACAUCGACAUGUUUUUGGGUAGGGUAGAACAAAACCCAAUUUAAACCGAUUAUAGUGGUUUAGUUGACUCGGUCAAGUCCAUUAGAUGGAUAAAAUCAAUUUUAAAAUCAGUUAUAAUGGAUUAAGGUAAUUAAUUAUCUAGUAAUGAAAUACAUAAUCAAAUCAGUUACGGAAUCCGCCAUGUUAGAUAAUAUGAACAUCCCAUAUAUAAUAAGAAAAAAUUACGUACGAUUAUUUAUUAUCAUAAAUGGUUAGCUUAAAUUUAAAGUAAUCUAAUAUUUUUAUUGAUCUUCAACUAUUAACUAAAGUAUAAGCUAAAUAUGUGUAAAUAUUCUAGAAAUCAUUUCUAAUUGAUGAUAGGCUAAUUCGGAAUUAAGAUUAAUAUAUAAAAACUAGAUAGUAGGGUUAUAGUCCUCAAACUACACCUAAUUUAGUUUUUCCGACAUAUUUUUGAAAAAAUAUCACCUUCUUUAAAAAAAAUUGGUACAAAUUUCAAAAAUUAAAACUAUCAAUAAAUUCAGAUAUAUUAAUAAGUACCAACUAAACAAUACUUAAAUAUAGAUGUGUUUUAUAAAAAAAAAUUAUCAGCUUAAAGAAGUUGCAACAAAAAUUUAAAAUUCAUUUAUCAAAUGAAUAUUUAAAACUUAUAAUCUAAACUCUGACAUAAUAAAAUACAUAAGCAUAACUUGGAUUUACCAAAAAUCUAUGAACUUUUCUAAAACUUAAAUUUUAGUCCCUAUACUUUAAUUUAGAGACAUUGAGUCACUAUACUUUUUUAUUUAAAAAUCUUGGUCCCUUCAUCAAUUUUAUCAUUAUAAUUGUUGAUUUACUUGUUAUAAAAAAGGUAGAAUAACUUUUUUAGCCUUAAACAUUUAUAGUUUUUAUUAAUUUGGUCCUUACUCUUUAAAAUUACAUAAAAAUUCAAAAAUAUUUUAAAAAUUAAAUUUUUUCGUAUUUUUAAAAACAUUUAUAGUUUUUUUUUGUGGUUUGGUAACUUAUCAACUCGACUCUUAAUUGUGACAAACUUUUUUGACCUUUUUCGUACCCUUAACCUAAGUCCCGCUACAACUUUCUAAAGACCUCUUGAUUGGUGUAUCAUCUCGAUUUGUUUUUAUAGUGGUGGAGAUUUGGUUUUGAAGCAAGCCUAUGAUAAUCACAUUUUUCAUUCAACUGUUGAGCACACAAUACUUGAACCUUAAACACUUAGAGUGCUUUGAGUGAAUCUUAGAUAGGGUAUUGAUUAUGGUUGAGUUUGAAUUUCAGGUAAUUAUUGAGAUAGAGGAGACGCCUAUGUUUUUUGUGCUUUACAAAUUUUUGCUUAGAUUGCUUUUAUUCUUUAGUGUUAUGCUAGUUUCAAUUUCUAGUGCGUGAUUAUCUGUAGAUUAUUCCUAAGGAAUUGUCGGUGAAAACAAUAAAUUGAGGGAGAUUAACUUGAAUAAGGGUUGAGAAUUUUGCUUAAGGACAAACAAAUGCUUAAGUGUGGGGAUAUUUGAUAAGUGCUAAAAUUAAUAUGUUUUAACAUCAUUCUUAAUGUGUUUUUGGUUGAUUAUUUGAUGUUAAUUAUGAAUUUUAUGCUCCUAAUUCGUGUUUUUAUGCUUAAUAGAACAUUUGGGAGGAAAAUGAGCUAAAAUGGGGGCAACUAUAGGACCCACACAGGCUGACCUAUUCCAUAUGACCAUGUGGGUCAUGUGGCAGGCCAUUCGAUUUCGUAAAUUUUCACUCUGAACUGCGAAAAAAAAACGAAUUUUAGGUUUUUCAAGCAUUUUAAGGCGUAUAUAUGAAAAACAUAAGAAUAUAGGAGAGAACCUACCUAGAAUAUUUAAGAAAACAACUCCAAAAACACCAUUGAAGUCGGCUCUGAAGUAGAUUUUCAUCAAGAUUGAAGAUUCCCAGUUGAUUUCUUAGGAGAUUAUCAUGAGUUUCUUUAUUUCUUUCGGUUAUACUGCCCUUUGGAUGUUUUUAUUUUUAAGCAUGAACUAAUUUUCUAAAUACCUAAGAGAGAUGAACCCUAUGAUAGAUUGUGGCACCCCAAACCCGAUCGGGAUAGACCGGCCCGAAUUCGAAACAUUACAUUAGCCACCUAAGUGACUCUCCAGCUAACGACCACCCAAGACACAACCCAACCUUAUAACACCUCAAUCUUGUUUAAUUAUUAGUUAUUUAUUAAUGUAGAAGUAAAUUAUGAACCAAUUUUAAACUUUUCCUAGGUAAUUUAACCUAAGGGCAAUUUCAUCAUUUUACCACCUAUUGUAAAACUAACCCGAUUUUAGAUCUAAUUGCUUAUCAACCUUUUAAUCAAAUUAUGGAAGCCUAAAAUUUUUAGAUUCAUUUGAGUUUGUUUACUAUGUCUAAUUCAAAUUUUAUUACUAGGGACUAAAUUGUAACUUAAACAAAUUAGAAUAUCAAUUUAAAGAGACAAAAAUUCAAAACCCCAAAACCUACACGGGCAUGUGGAGACUGGAGCUAUCACAUACGGGCAAGUGAGAUUGAAAAAUAUGAAAUAAAUUAAUCGACUUAUUUUUCCAACAACCAUGCUAUGCUACCAAACCAAAUAAUGCUUGAAGCUUUGAAUAGGGGCGAAUCUAAAAAAAAAAAAAAUAGAAGAAUUAUAAUUAAAGUAUACAAUUUUGAGAAGUUAUCAUGUAUUAAUUUAUUAUUUUUUAAAGGGUCUUAAUAGAAAUUUUUUCCCAUUUUGGUUGGGCCAAUACCCUUGUCUGCCUCUUUAAAUUUGCUUCAACCCUAAACCCAAUAUUCGAUUUGGAUUAACAAAAAUAUAUAGGUUAGUAUUUGUGGGAGUUUGACGAAUAAAAAUUUCUUUUCUAGAGGUUUAAAUUAUAAAUUUUUGAAAGAUUAAAAUAAAUUUGUAUUUUUUUAUUAACAAAAUAUAAAAGAAAAAAAACAUGUUUAGACAAGCCAAGAGACCUUUGGGAUCAUACGGGUGAUUUUGAGAUGUUAAUGGUUAUUUUGGUGGAGAGGGUGAAAAAGAAACAAAUGAUUCAUUAUAUAUAAUAUAAUUAUCAAAAUUCAAGCCAUAUAUUGUAUGUUUCAUCCAUAAAAAUUUGAUGGGAGGUCCAAAGGUAAUUAAAUGACUUGUGGGCUUGCUGAAUUUCUUUGAAAGGCCCAAAGGCAAUUUAACAUUCACAAAAUAAUCUCUAAACACUGUAAAGACAAAUCAAAUCCACAGUAGCAUAAGAGUUGAUUAAGCUAAGCAUUGGUAAAUAUUACUUUGAUUUUGCAUGCAAUAUUGACAAAACCCCCUCCUACAUUAGAAAAACAACAUAAUCCAUGGAACAUUGAUAGCCCAAUACAAAUUUAUUCGAGAAAAAAGUCUCUUUGUUUUGUAGAACAUGAUAGUAAAGAUGUGGAGUUUCGUUCUUCUUAUUGGCCUCCUUUAGUUUUCCUUGAUCAACAACCACUAGCCAAAAACACAAUUAGAUUAGAUUAUGAAUGAUACUUUCAACUAUGACAAUAUUAAAUACAAACCCACUCUAAAUAACUUUAAAUAAAUGGAAAGCAGCAAAUUACCUGACCAGGCAAGCUAGUUUAAUUAAGACCAUUGUGUUAUACUUGUCUCUGAAUUGAAAAAUUUAGAAGGAAAUAAAGAGAAAGACUUAGAAAAUACUUGAAAACAGAUAAAACUUAUAUGUCAUUUAAAAUAAAAUAAAAAAUUCUAUUUAAGCCAUUUAAAAGUUUUAAGAUUUUUAAAAUUUUAAAAUGAUAAAAGUAAAAUAAUACUUUGGCACCCAAAAAUGAUAAAACUUUGAUUUAAUUCUUUAGUAAUUAUAAAAAUAUAGGAUAUUAAAAUGGUGAAAUUACAUUUUUACUAUAGUAAAAAUUACAAUUUAAUUUCACCCCCUAAAAGGAUUUUUUGGCUUCGCCACUAAUAAAAUCUUUGGCAAAAGAUUAAAAUAAAAUUAUACCGUAAAUGGAAAAAGAAACUAAGAAAAUCCAAUCUAACAAAGAAAAUAACUUGUUGUAACCAAAAGCUACCAUAAACCGUAAUUCAUGGGAAGGCUUGUUGCUUAUUUUAUUGGUUUCCAUUUUGAUUUUGCAAAAGAAGUCAGAAUUUUGAAGAGAGCAAAAGAAAAAAAAGUUUAUAUGAUUAAAAUUCUAGAAUAGAUUAAAAAUGUUGAAUUAAAGAUAAAAUUAAGUGUACUCAUUACUCACCAUCUCUGUUAAAAAUGUUGGAUGUUGUUUAGCAACCUUUGUUUGAUUUUCUUCAGCUCAACCACAACAUCUUUCAUAUCUUUUCUUUCUUCUGGUAACUCAGCUGAACAAUUCAAAGCCAACUCCAUGAUAGAUGAAAUACAAUUUGCUUUAACAACCAUGUACUCAUCCUCUCUUCUUAAUAAAUCAACAUCUGCAAUUUCUAUCGCUCCUUUAGGCAAUGAUCUUUCCAUCCAAUGCCUUAUACUCUCUUCUUCAACAAAAACAUUAUCAGUUGGCUUUUACUUUGUGAAAGUUUCUAUAAGGACGAUCCCAUAACUAUAGACGUCAGAUUUUAUAGAAACAAUUCCUGCUGAUCCAAAUUCUGCAUUUCAAGUAUAAUUAGAACAUCAUUCACCCUCAGUUAUUUCUAAAAUGCUUAUUCAAAUAUAUAUCCACAUCCACAUGAAACAAAAAUAUAAAAUGAAAAUUAGGAAAAUAAUCAUACAAAAAUAAAAAAGAAUUCACCUUGUGCCAUAUACCCGAUAGUUGCAAGAGUCAUGGUUUGCUUCAUUACUUCACCUUCUCCCAACAAUUUGGCAACGCCAAAAUCUCCAACAUGUGCAACCAUGUCUUCAUCUAGUAAAAUAUUUCUUGGUUUUAUGUCACAAUGAAUUAUAGGUGUUGGAUGUCCAUUGUGGAGGUGUUCUAUAGCUCCCGCAACAUCUAUCAUUAUGUCGACCCUUUGUAUGAUAUCAAGGAAACAAAUUUCAGAGUGUAACCAUUUCUCAAGGUUUCCAUUAGACAUGUAAUCAAGCACCAAGGCUUUGAAGUCAACACUUGAGCAGCAAGUAAUGACCUUCACAAUAUUACGAUGAACUAUAUUACGCAUAGCAUCACAUUCAAUGUCAAAACUCCUAAAUGCUCCCUCUGUUUGCAAAUUGAAAACUUUUAUUGCAACUUCCAUUCCAUCUGAAAGCCUCCCUUUAUAUACAUAUCCAAAACUCCCUGAACCAAGCAUAUUGCUUUCCUCAAAUCCAUUAGUUGCUCGUGAAAGUUCAGCAUGUGAAAUUCUUCUCGGUGUCUUCAAAGACAACAAAUCAUCUUUAAUUGGUAGAGUUGUACUUCUCCUUUGGCAACUUCUAUACAUAAUAGUUAAGACUGUUAGUACUACGACAAUACCAAUUGUUGUAAACCAUACCUAAAAGCAUGCAAUAUAAUCAUUUGGGAGUUUUUGUGGAUGUCGUUUUUGCAAGGUGGGACUAGCAAUCUAGGUGGGCCACAAAGUGCAUAAUUCUUCAUGAAUGAUGUGCUAGAAAAGUUUGAAAAACAUCCUUUGCUGGGAAUUUCCCCUUCAAGUCUAUUGAAAGACACAUUAAAAUACUUUAGAUAUAAAAGCUUUUCCAAAGAUUUGGGAAUGACUCCAGAGAGAUUGUUAUUGCAUAAAUCCAAGAAUUCCAAACUAAUCAAUCCAUCAAAUGAUUCAGGGAUAUGACCAUGUAGUAUAUUAUUUGAUAAAUCUAAUGAAACCAAAGUUUGAAGACCCCCAAAUGUGGAUAAGAUAUCGCCCGUGAGAAGAUUCCUUGAUAAAUUUAGUUUCAGUAGACUCCUAAGAUUUCCAACAUCAAUAGCAUGUGAAUUGUGAAGAUGGUUUGAUGAUAAAUCUAUUUUUAAGAUAUCUUUAAGAUUCCACAAAGUUGAGGGUAUUGCAGAACUCAAUUUGUUGGAAUGUAACCAAAGAUAUCCCAAAGAAGUAAUAUUACCCAAACAAGAGGGUAUAGAUCCAUGCAGCUUAUUCAACCCUAAAAACAAGUUGUAUAAUCUCUCCAAAUCACAAAGGCUUUCUGAGAUGGGCCCUCCUAAUUUAUUAGAGGAAAGACCUAGACUUUGGAGAUUCCGCAGUCCUCCUAUUGAUGUUGGAAUGAAUCCACUUAAUUUAUUAUAGCCAAGUUCUAAAAGCAACAUGUUGCUUAAGUUACCUAUUUCCAUAGGAAUAGUGCCUUGAAGCUCACAAUCUUCGGCAUAAAAGUAUUGAAGGGAUUUUGAAAGGUUCCCAAUAUAAGUAGGAAGAACGCCACUCAAUGGAUUUUCUGAAACUCCUAUGGUUUUCAAAUUCUUACAAUUCGUCAAAGAAGAAAGAAAGCUCCACUCAUGAUCAGUAGCAGAUCCUGUGAUCAAAUUAUUGUUUACGAUUCGGAACCAUUCAAGCUGUCUUAAGUUGCCAAGCGUUUUAGGGAUUGGGCCAGAGAAUAAGUUAUCUCCCAAGUCUAGUUUCGUAAGCAUGGAAGCAUUGGAGAUAGAGUAGGGAAUGUUUCCGCUAAGUUUAUUUCCCCCCAAAAAAAGAAACUCAAGCUUUGGAGCAUUGGUAAUGGGUGGUAAAUUACCUGUAAAAUAGCAUCUUUUAGUAUACAUAUUAAUUGAAUACCAAAUUCAUAAAAUAUAUAAUACAUUAAAAUAAAAACUGUAAAACUUCAAAUCAAUUAAGAAUAAAAUUUUGGCAUGGAAAAAUGUGAUGAAAUCAAUUAGAAAGUUGAGACAUAAUAAGAAGUUUUGAGUAGUAAUUACUCAUGAUUUCUAUAGACAAAACAUAUAAUACACUGAUAAUUUUUUAUAAUUUUUACAAUAUUUACAAUUUCUAACAAUUUUUAAUAAUUUUAUUAUUUAAUACAAAUUUAAAAUUUAACAAUUUUUUAUUUUUUUAAAACAAUUAUAUAUUUAUAAUGUAGUUAUUUUUUUUAUAAUUUUUUUUGAAAUUUUAAAGAUUUUUUUGGUUUUUUUUCUAGAUGAUGAUGCCAUCAUGAUGACAUCAUAUGCCACAUGGCAAUUUAUAAUUAGUUAAAUAUCUCAAUCCAUUUUUCUAACGUCAAAUGGACUAAAACAAGAACACCUGAUAAUGUUAGAGACUACACUUGGAAUGUUUGAUAAUAUCAGGUACUAAAGUGGGCAAAAAAAUUAAGGACUAUAUUAAAAAUAUAUCUAUAAUAUAUAUAAAUGCAUGGAUUUUGAGAAACUUUUGAAAUGAUAAUUAUAUAGUCUUUGUUUUUUUUACUAUAUUAUUGAAUUUUUUAUUUUAAAUAUUUUUUAUUACUUUUAAGAUUUAUCAUAUGUAUGUAUAAGAAUUUUGGUUUUACUAAAAUAUUUGGUCAAAUAAAUUCACUUUAUCAAAAAAUCUAGCAUCCUUAUAAAUAAAAAUUUUGAUUCUAUUAAAAAAAUUAUUUUAAAAAAUAUAUAAUAAAAAUUUAAAAUUUAUAUUGAAUUACUUUAUACUUAAAUUAUUAUUAGAAACUUUAUCAUACACAUACGUGCAUUAGAACCAUGUAUUUAGAACUUAAAUUUGUGUUUUAAAAUAACUUAUGAUAAAUAAUGAAAUGUAUAAUUUGAAACUAUUUAAUAAUAACACAUGACAUAUCUACCAUAUUAAAAUAAAAAUAGAUUAAAUUGUAAGUAAAACAUAAUUUAAACAUAUGAAUACAUCAAAUUACGAAUACUAAAUGAAUACAGUUAUUUAUGAUGAUGUUGUUGUCAAUUCCUAAGUUGGUGUCGAGUUAAUUUGUGACAUCAUAAAUUUAAGUGAUAAAUUUAAGGUUUUAUGUAUUGAUGCGGAUUCAAAUAUCACCAUAAUUUUUUUUAAAUAAAAAACUAAAGUACCCUCAAAUAAUAUAACUUAUAUUAAAUAUGAAAGGGUAGUUUUGUAAUUUCUCUAACGAGUUGGUGCCCGGUUGACUCAUGACACCAACUCAAUCAAAAGCUUCAAUAAUAAUAUAGAUAUUCACGUUAAAAAAAAAGUACUUUAGUUCCAAAUAAUUAUAUAACAAGUAAAUUUAUAAUUGAUGAAUAAAUUUAUAAAAAUAUAUUUAUAUGAUCUAAUAUAUUAUAUUUAUAUUAAUUAUAUAUCAUCUACAAACUUUGAAGAUCAAUUCAUUAAGUAUCAAGAAAGGAAAAAAAUGAAAUUGAAUUAACACUAAAUCAAUUUUUAGAUUUUGUACAGAUGAUUUAAUGAUGAUAAAAAAAUUAUUAGCACUAUUUUUGAAUUAACAAAAAAUUAGUGAUAUAUUUUAAUUAUAUUUAUUAUUUAUUAUUUUUAAUAAUGUUUUUUUAAUUAUAUGAAGUAAAAUUACAGUGUAUACUAAAUAUGGUACAUAUACUUUAAUUAUAACUAGAAAAUUUAUUAUAUAAAUUAAUAUAUUUUAAUUAUAUUCAACCAUUUGAACAACAAAAUAAAAAAAAUAAUUAGAAUAAUUUAUUUUUUAAAGUUUAAUGGAAAUUAAAAAAUUAAAAAUAAAUCAAUUCAUAUAAAUUUUGUUGUUUAUUUCAGAUGAAAAUGAUAAAAGUAUAUGACAUAAAUAGAAGAAACAAAUUCAACACCAUGUUUUUGGAGUUUGGAAAAAAUUAAAGUGAAAAACAUACCUUCUAAUUUGUUGUCAUGGAGACCUAUUUUUUCGAGCAUAGUUGAAUUAAAAAUACUUGAUGGAAUCUGACCUGCACACAUAGUCGAAAAUUGAAGUGAAAAACAUACCUUCUAAAUUGUUCAACUAAAAAUACUUUAAGCAUAUUUUUUAGUAAAGCCCUUCAAGCUUGGGAAGAUGUUGACACGUUGACACAUAUCAUUAGGCAAAGACUAAUAGCUUUCAAAGAAGAAAUCUUGAAGAUGGAAGAUGGAACCUGACCAGAUAAUUGAUUGAGUCCCAAGUUCAAGAUCUCUAGAUUAGACAUGUUAGCAAGUGUUUCAGGGAUUGUGCCUAUAAAGUUAUUAUUUUUCAUUUCCAGCCUUCGAACUCUGUGUAUGUUCCAAAGCCAUGAUGGAAUUUCCCCAUUAAGACGGUUGUAGCUUAAUCGAAGGAUCCGCAAACGAUGCAAUUGGCCCAAUUCUUUAGGGAGAUGGCCAUAGAAAUGGUUGCUACUCAAGUCGAGAGAGAGUAGAAAUGAAAGAUUUCCAAGGUGUGGAGGGAUAGUACCCCUAAGAUUCAUGCUUGUAAGAUUCAAAGCUGUAACUCUUUUAUGGAGGAUGCCACAAGAAACACCAAUCCAAUUGCAAACAGAGGUUGAGACAGUCCAAUUGUUUGGCAAGACAUUUUGAGGACCGGCGAUGCGAUCCUUAAACUCGAGAAGUGCAAACUGAUCGGAGUUGAGAUUUCUGACUGUCAUAGCCAAGCAAAGUACGGAACAUGGUAUGAAUAAAGCUAAAAGAAGAUGAAAGCAAGUGUUGUAGUUCAUGAUUGCAAGACAGAAUAAGAAAAGAAAAUAAAAUAAAAAAAAGUAGGAAAAGGGAAGUUGAGUUGAUAAAAUAGUUUGGAUGAUGAAGAAAAGCCCAGACAGCAUGCUUUAAUAUGUUUGGAUGAUAAAUUUAAACUUGAUAAAUUUAAGACUACCCUAAAAAUACGUACAAAGAAAUUUCAAAAUUUCAAAAUAAAUACGUACAAAGAAGCGAAUUUUCAAAAUUUCUCCUAAAUUUUCUUCACAUUACUCUACAUAAUCCAUUAAAAAAAACUUAAAAAAUAUAUUUUAUUAAUUACUAUAUAUUCUUUUAUUUUCAGAAUCAUAAAUUGUUUAAAAUAUGCUAUUAGUCCCUGUAAUUUAAAAGUUAAAAAAAUUCAAUCCUCCUAUUUUUCUAAUUUAAAAAUUCUAGUCCAAUCAAUUUUAAUUCCAUUAAAAAAUUUCAACUUAAUAGAUUUUUUAUUAUCAAUCAUAUGCAACAUUAUAUGAAGACAGUCUACUCAGCAUAUAUCCAAGUUUACAGAUUUUAAUAGAAAAUACUUACAAUCCUAAUGGUAGGACUAAGUUUUUUAAACUAGAAAAGUAAGAAGACUUAAUUUUUAACUUUUUAAGUACAAGGAUUAAAUUUUAAAUGUUGUCAAAGUACAAGCACUAACAAAAUAUUUUGAUCUAAUAAAUGUAAAAAACUUUUUAAACAAAAUAAGGUUUGAAAUAAUCUAUUUGUCCUUGUAAUUUUAUAAAUUUGAGAUUUAAUCUUUAUACUUAAAAGGUUAAAAAUUAAGUCUUCUUGUUUUUAUUUAAAAAUCUUAGUCCUAUUGUUAAUAUUAUUUUUUUUUUGCCAAAAUUUGUCAACUUUACAUAUUAAUUAGGUUUCCCUUAUAUGUCGUGGUAUAUGACUAACACAAAAUAAGCAAGUUGACAAAUUCUGACAAAAAAUAUCAAAGAUGAUAAUAAUUGGAUUAAAAUUUUUAAAUUGAAUUAAUAACCUUUAAUGUAUAAGGAAUGGAUAUCAAAUAUUUAUAGGAAUAAAGGGACUAACAACAUAUUUUAACCAGAAAAUAAUAUGAGUGAUUAGAAUGAAUCUAAAAUUUUAUAGAAAUAAAAGAGACUAACAACAUAUUGAUAACUUUCAAAUCUCCUUCGAUCAUCCUUUUUCUACGUAGAAAAAGAAAAUUAAUUAGCAUCUAAAGUGUCAAUUAAUGAAACCUUCAAAAGAAAAUGUGAAAGUGAUUUAUCAAACAAUAAUAUUCUAACUUAUAAUAUAUUUAAUUACAUUUAGUAAUUUAUCAAUCAAAACUUAUUUAACAUCCAUCAAUACUUCAUACAUAAAAAACGCAAGCAUAAAUUACCAUUUAACUCAGAUUUAACUUUGCAAGUAAACUUAAAAUUUUAUUUAAUUUUGUUACUAAAUUUGAUUUGUUCACUAUAGAGUUUGGUGACUUAAAAUAAAAGUAAUAAAAAGUUAUUCUUUCAGAUAUCUUUUUAAUGUUUAAUAAUAAAUUAAUUUAUAAAAUAUACUUUCAUUGGACACAGGCCUCCAAAGCGGUGAACCACUAAUCAAAUUAAUUUGGGGAUACCUAAAUUUGUUUUCAUCAAUUAAGAAAUUUAAAAAAUUGUUGAGACCUCAUGAUUAUCUUUUAUAAUUUCAGUCUUAUCACCAAAAACUAAAAAAUAAAAACGUCGACAUUAAAUUUGUUGGUAUGCAAUCAAUUUUAAGAUGGUUUUUGGGGUUAUAUAUCACUUUAGCAUUGACUUACUUUUCUACUCUUAGUCUUCUCCAACAAGUUAAAUAUUUGAAUUUUAACAACAUUGGCAGGUCUUUGGGGUAGGGUCGACCAAAACUUAAUAGAAACAGAUGAUAUAGGUUGAGUUGGCUCGGCCAAGUCGAGUCGACUUGUUCAAAUUAUUUAAAUUAGUAAAUUUUAGGGUGCAGUUAGAAUUUUUUGUUUUGAGAUGCUAAGAUUAAAAAAUUUCAGUUGCUAAAACAAAAAAUUUGUAUUUAAAAAGGCAUAAAUUAAAUAAUUAAGUUUUUCAAGUUUCCAUUUAAUCAAAGGUUAAAAGGACUAAAUUGAAGCUUUUUAUUUUUAAGAAAGGCUGAAUGCCAAAUUGCCCAAAGCCCAUGCCCCUAGCUAUACAACUAACUUUUCUAUGAUUAGUCCUUGGUUUGCUUUGGGUGGAAUCUUCCAACUAGCCUCAUCCUUCGUUUUACUUUCCAACAAUUAGUUUAUCAUGAGUUUUGUUUUCUUUAAAAAAAUAUUUUUGUGGAUAUUAGGAGAUAAUGAAAAUUAAUUUAGUAUGAAAUUUUAAUAAAACUGGAAAAUAAGUAAUUUAUUUAAGAGAUCACAAUUAAACGUUAGAUUUCCAAUUUUUAAAUUUUAAAUUAUUUUGACAAUUGCAUAAUAUUUUGAGCAUUGUAGGAAUGCCAUAAUCUUCCCUACGCAUAAUCGACUCUUGAGCAUGAUGGAUCCUAGGCCUUCUCCUCUAUUCUCGUACCACAAACUGCUUCGAGUGUGGAUUCGAACAAUCACAAAUUAAACACAAAACCAGAAAUGAUUUAUUACUUUCAAUAGCAAAGUAAUUCUCUCUCAAUAGAAACCAAUAGAAUUGUAAUUCCUAAAAAAUAAAAUUUAUUUUUGGAAAAUAUAUUCCCACUACUUUCUAGCAGAAUAAUAAUAUGUGAAACUUAUGUCUUGUGUUAAUAGCUCUACCAGCACUAUCUAUUUAUAGGGAGAGACGAGAAUCCUGGUUGACUUAGUAAAACACGAAUAAUAUUUAUUUCAUUGAAAACAAUAUUCCACCCUAAGUAGAUCAAGUUUGUAUGACGCAUGGAUCGAAGCUCAAUCUAGGAGAAAAAAAAAAGGAAUUUUCUUUGUAAAGAAAAUCUGAGAUUGUACUAUUUUCAAAGUUAUAAAUAAAAUUAUAAGCUAAAUUUUCAAGUCAAUUUUCAACUCCAAUUUUGUAUGCACAAAUUUCUAAUACACUUGGUGGGACAUUCUUUGACUUUUAUCUAUUCUCUCAAAAAGUUAAAGUUCAAAGUUGCAUUAAACUCAAAGAAGAUAAUCAUUAGUAAACCAGCUCACAAGCCUGCUCAAGCUAAUCCUACAACUUGUUCCACUUCAUCAUCAAACACCAAUGUUCUUGCUUAUCCUUAUGGAAUUAAACAGUCUCAUUUUCUGCAUUUUGGAUACACACCUAGUUUUGUUUGAUGCUAAAACAGUCCCUGAGCACUCCAAAGCCUAUAAUUGAACAAAUAACACUAAUUUAAUCUUACAUAACGUGAUCCCAAAUUGAACUUGUAUCGAGGUUUUAACCCAUAAGUGACUAAACUUUACCUUCAACCGAUGAACAGUAAUUCCCACAUAAACUAAGACUCCGAUUGGCGAUUACGAGCCCUUGAAUCCUCCCCUAAUUGGCAUAAACAAAACACUUCAGAAGAAAGUUAACAAACAGAGACAAAUCACUUAUCUAAAACUUACUGAAUGAUCACAGACAAACGUGGAGCGACACAAGGCAGAGUGGGAAAAGAAAAAUCAAGAGGAUGAAGGGUGAAAGAGAGCAGAAAUUCGGUAGCAAUAAAGAGAAAACGGUAAGAGGGUGGAGGGAUUUUGGGGAAAGUAAAAAAAAAAGAUGAACAGAAUAUUUGAUAACUACCCCAAUCCCUUAUUUCUCUCCAUCAAACUCUCCACUAAAUCCACUACUCGAAUUUUUAGUCCAUCUCAAACUCUCCUGGACGCAUGAGCAAAAAAUAAUGCCCAUGCCAAAAUUUGAACACAUGACCUCCUUCACACCAACACUCCACUUAUCCACUAGACCAACAGGCUCAUUCUUUUAAUUAUUUGUCAACUUUUACUUAAAAGCCUACUGACCAAAAAAUACCAAAAUUUGCCCAAGUCCUAGAUUGAACUUGGGACCUCCCAAACACACCCAGAACACAUAGCCAAUUUUCAAGCAAUCUGACAUGAAUUCUCAAUCACAAUUAAUUGAAUUCAAGAUAUAUUUGGAUGAGAAGACAAAUAUUUCAAUUUUAACACAAACCAAUGCUUGGGAUGAUUUGGGAUAAGAACUCCAACAUUUUAAGAUCACAUUUUCUUUUAUAAUUUCAGGCUUAUCAACUAUUUUGAAAACAACAAAACGUCUUACACCAAAAACUAAAAAAUAAAAACUUCGACAUUAAAUUUGUUGGUAUGCAAUCAAUUUUAAGAUGGUUUUUGGAGUUAUAUCUCACUUUAGCAUUGACUUACUUUUCUACUCUUAGUCUUCUCCAACAAGUUAAAUAUUUCAAUUUUAACAACAUUGACAGGUCUUUGGCCGAAUAAUUUUAAACGUCUCAUCAUUGCAAAAAUGAAAUAAUAGAAAAGAAAGAGUAGCCAUUUUAUGAAAUCUAUAAUUCCAACUGUGAAUAAAAUAUAAAUUUUAUGAAUGUGGACAAGCCAUUUUAUUUAUAAUUUUCUGUGUUUUUCUGACUUUUUUUAAGUCAUUUUCUUUGUUUCCUAACCAAAAAAUUUGCCCAUCACUUUAAAUAUAAAUUUAAAUAUAAAUUUUCUUUUUAAAAUAUAAAUUACUUGUCACAAUUCAUAUUUCUAAGUCAAUUUGCCAUCACUUUAACAUACACUAACUGUUCUAUGAUUAGUCCUUGGUUUGCUUUGGGUGCAAUCUUCCAACUAGCCUCAUCCUUGGUUUUACUUUCCAACAAUUAGUGUAUUACGGGUUUUGUUUUCCUUAAUAAAUAUUUUUGUGGAUAUUAGGAGAUACUGAAAAUUAUUUCACUAUGAAAUUUUAAUAAAACUGGAAAAUAAGUAAUUUCUUUUAAGAGAUCACAAUUAAACAUUAGAUUUCCAAUUUUUAAUUUUAAAGUUUUUUGACAAUUGCAUAAUUAAUAAGGUACCAAUUUUGAGAGUUGUAGGAAUGCUAUAAUCUUCCCUACGCAUAAUUGACUCUUGAGCAUGAUGGAUCCUAGACCUUAUCCUCUAUUCUCGUACCAGAAAUUGUUUCGAGUGUGGUUCGAACAAUCACAAAUUAAACACAAAACCAGAAAUGAUUUAUUACUUUCAAUAGCAAAGUAAUUCUCUCUCAAUAGAAACCAAUAGAAUUGUAAUUCCAAGAAAAUAAAAUUUAUUUUUUGAAAAUAUAUUCUCACUACUUCCUAACAGAAUAACAAUAUGUAAUACUUAUGUCUUGUGUUAAUAGCUCUACCAGUACUAUCUAUUUAUAGGGAGACACACGAGAAUCCUGGUUGAAUUAGUAAAACACGAGUAAUAUUUAUUUCAUAGAAAACAAUAUUCUACCUUAAGUAGAUCAAGUUUGGAUGACGCAUGGAUCGAAGCUCAAUCUAGGAGAAAAAAAUAAAGUAAUUUUCUUUGUAAAGAAAACCUGAGAUUGUACUAUUUUCGAAGUUAUAAAUAAAAUUAUACGCCAAAUUUACAAGUCAAUUUUCAACUCGAAUUUUUUAUGUACAAAUUUCUAAUAGACUUGGUGGCACAUUUUUUGAAUUUUAUCUAUUCUCUCGAAAAGCUAAAGUUCAAAGCUGCAUUAAACUCAAAGAAGAUAAUCAUUAGUAAACCAGCUCACAAGCCUGCUCAAGCUAAUCCUACAACUCGUUCCACUUCAUCAUCAAGCACCAAUGUUCCUGCUUAUCCUUAUGGAAUUAAACAAAAGACAAAAGCUCUCUAAGAGUUAUUUGAACAGACAAAAUAUUCAGAUGUGUUGAGAUGGAAAGUGACAACGCAAAGUUGAUUGAAACUAUUUGUAACGGGUUGGCUACAAUAAGUAGUGUUGUGAAGUAAGAUAGAUUCACGAUUGGUGUUCCAAAAUUGAGUAGCUAGUUAUCUUGGAAGAUCCUCCACAUUAUGUGAGAUGCUGGCUUGAAGAAGAUAUUAGACAAUUGCUAGUGACUGAUGAUAAUUUUCAUUUGGACUGAUGCUUGCUUAAUUUUCUAAGCUUAUGUUCAACCAAAAAAAAAAAAAUUAAAUAUGUCUAAAUGAUCAUAGAGUUAACAUUUAGUGUAUAAAAAAUUAAUAUAUAAUUUGUUUUCAAUUGUAGUUUAGUUCUAGAAAUACCAACGAUGAACCUUAAAACGGAAAUGAAAAUUACAAAAAAAAAAACAAACCACAUCUAUUAUCAAACCAACAAUCCAUGUCUAAACUUAAAUUAACAAAAUUCGUUACGCAACUCGGUACACUAUUUUAUAUAAUCAAUAUAUUAGAUUUAUUCUUGAUGCACAUGUUUUAUUAUAGUUAAAAAUUAAAAUAUAUGAUUUACUAAGUUUUAAUUGAAUUAGUAUUGGUAUUAUAUCAGUGUAGGAAAAUGUGAGUUUAAUCGUACUUAAAUAUGUAUCCUCCAACUCAACAGUUGGGAAAAGGUUAUUGAUAAUUAAAUUAUACCAAUUUUUACAAUAUCUAAAAAGCAUUCAUAAACAUAUUCAUAUUGAUGGGCUCUUUCAUUAUUAAACUUUUUUUCUCUCACAAGUAAAAGUACUUGUGGUGAGGAUCAUGUAAAAUAAUAAACUGAAUAAUUUUAAACGUCUCAUCAUUGCGAAAAUGAAAUAAUAGAAAAGAAGCCAUUUUAUGAAAUUUACAAUUCCAACUGUGAAUAAAAUAUAAAUUUUAUGAAUGUGGACAAGCAAUUUUAUUUAACUUUUUUUAAAGUAAUUUUCUUUGUUUCCUAACCAACAUGAAAUUACUUGUCACAAUUCAUCUUUUUAAAUGAGAAACAUUUUCAACAAUUUGCCAUCACAUCAACAUACACUAACUUUUCUAUGAUUAGUCCUUGGUUUGCUUUGGGUGCAAUCUUCCAACUAGCCUUAUCCUUGGUUUUACUUUCCAACAAUUAUUGUAUCCUCCUCAUUACUUUUACUUACCGACGGAUGAAAAAUUCACUGAUCAAAUUAAUUCAAAGAUUUUUUUUUUCUAAAUCAAGUGAAUUCACGAGUUUUAUUUUCUUUAAAAAAUAUUUUUGUGGAUAUUAGGAGAUACUGAAAAUUAUUUUACUAUGAAAUUUUAAUAAAAUUGGAAAAUAAGUGAUUUAUUUAAAGGGAUCACAAUUAAACAUUAGAUUUUUAAUUUUUUAAUUUUAAAUUUUUUUGACAAUUGCGUAAUUAAUAAGGUACUAAUUUUGAGCAUUGUUGGAGUGCUAUAACCUUCCCUAUGCAUAAUCGACUCUUAAAUUCACUUUUUUCUCUAGAAUUUUAACAAACUUACAAAAUGAUUUAAUGAUAUUUAAUUAUUGAUGGGUAAAAAAAUUAUAUCAUAUAAAUUCCGAAUAAUUAAUUAUAUAUCUACAUAUUAUAACCAAUUCAUCUUUCAAAAUUAUUUCCUUAUAAUUAAAGCAAAAAUUAUAUUUAUAAAAUUCUAAAUAUAUUAUAAUUCUUGUAAAUAUAUAUAUUUACAUAUAUAAGUCCAAAUUGUAAUAGAGUUAACAUUUAUUGUAUAAAAAAUGUCUUGAAAUUUUUUUUUUCAAUUUCAAAAGAACUAUUCCAUUUAUAAAACCAUAAAACUUUAAAAAUAUAAACUCUAUUAAAUAAAAAUAAUAAUAUUUUUAAACAAUAAAUAUUGACUUUAUUUUAAAUUGACAUUAUCUAAUUCUUUUUAAUAUGUAUCGCUAAGCUUUACAUUAAUAUACAUGAUUUAUUUGUUCGUUAUUAUUAUUAUUAUUAUUAUUAUUAUUAUUAUUAUUAUUAUUUCUAUGAUUAUUAUAUUAUACUUAUCGGACUACAAUCAUAACCAUGUCUAUUAUCAUUCGAUAAAAAAAAAUUAAGUGUUGAGUAUAAUGACAAGGCACAUUACACUCUGAAGGGGAGAUUAAGGUUUGGACAAAGGAAGAAUAUGAUUCAAAUUUUGGAGACAACAUUCUUGAAAUGAGCAACCAUAAACCCCGAUUAUGAACCAUAAAACGAUCAUGAAAAGUACCCAAAAAAACACAUUUAUUACCAAAUAGUAAUCCAUCUAAGGAUUAAAUUAACAAAAUUCACCAUCCAACCGUGUAGACUAUUAUAAAUAUAUAUACUAUAUUUAUUCUUCAUGCAAAUGUUUAUUAUAUUUAAAAAUUAAAAUAUAUGGUUGAUUGAGUUUUAGUUGUGUUAAUAUUGAAAUUAUUGUCAGUGCAAAAGAACAUGAGUUCAAUCAUGUUUAAAUACGUUUUAUACUCCAAUUUAGGAGUUGGAGAGGAUUCUCAAUAGUUAAAUUAUAUUAGUUUUUGUCUAUUUAAAAAUGAUUUAUAAAUAAUAUAAGUAGAAAAUUUUAAAAAAAAUACAUAUUCAUAUUGAUCGGCUUUUUCAUUAUUAGACUUUUUUCCCCACAGUUAAAAGUAUUUAUCGAAUUCAAAUUUUGGGUUUUAAAUAAGGGUUUCGGAUUUUUUUUAAACAUUUGUGUGAGUUUUUGCCAAAUUUUAUAUUUUCGGAACGAAUAACUAAGUUGAUUUUUAAUUACUUUUUCAAACAAGUCGAUGUAAUUCCUCAAAAAUCUAGUCAAAGCGUCUAGGCUGGGUUUGGAGGUGUUACACUAACGUUACUAAAGUUAAUCUUAAUCUAUUUAGUCUAGAUCUAAACAUCAAUAUUCUCUUCCAAGAAAAAUCAAGAUUAUCAAAUUAUUACAACUGUGUAGCCAGACAAUCAUAUUAAAUAUGCAUAAAACAUAAUAAAUAAUUAGCGAAGAUUGAAACAAUCAAAGAAAAAAAUAAAUAAAUAAACUAAGAAAUAAGGAUCCAUUAUUGUUUCAAGAAAACAGAGUUUAGUUCAUAUUGAGUUGAGAAAACCAGAAAGGAGAUUCAAAACAAACUUGUGAUAAGGGGAACAAUGUCAAUAGAUCAUAUUCAAGUUGUUCGACUUCAGAUUUGACCUGAAAAGAAGAAACCAAACAUAUUUAGGAAAACAAGAAAAAACAAAGAAAAAAAACUAAAAUGAGAAAUUUAAGAAUAAAUAAUAAAUAUUAAAAAUAAAUAAAGAAAUUAUAGAAUAAAAAGUGGCAGAUGGAAUGAAGAAAUGAUGGAUAUAAAUAAAAGAUGGAUAUGACAUAUAGAUGAAUAAGUGUCUGAUAACUCUUGAAAAAAAGUUAUAUUUCAUGCCUUUAGACCUAGCUAAUUGCUUGUACUUAAGUAUAUUUUGUUGCUUUUUAAGACAUUUUAGUGAGCAUUUUUAAUAUUGUAUUAGGACUUAGACUGAGUUGGAAUUAGGUGCUUUUAAUCGCUUGUGGUGGAGUUUUUUGUGUGUUGGUAUGGCAGGAACAGGUUUUAGAUCGAGGAAAUAAAUGAGUGAAGUUUUGUUUGGGCAAAAGUGCAUAUAGUUUUCCAACAAGGAUGCCGUGGCAAUGCCGAGAAGACCAAGUUCAUAUUUUUUGUGCAACAGUCCUAGUUCAAAUUCAAACUUGUAUGAGAUAAAUCCCCCUAAAAGAGGAGAAGAUAAUUACAUUGAUGUUAGUUGACCCUAGCCUAAUCUAUCUAUUAAAUCCAAUGAAAGGGAUCUCACAAAUGGUAGAAAAAAGUGAGAGAGAUCUUUAGGGGUGAAUAAGGGUUUGGCUGUGCAAAGGAAAAGAAGUCAAGGGCAAUCAUUCUUAGCCUUCACAGGACGUUUUGUUGCCAAAGUGUGGACUGGGCAAGUGAAAGCUGUUUCCCAAAGUUCUUCUGUUAUUUCCAUCAGUGUUCCUUCGAAAGAUUGAAUUGAAGUAGUUGAACACAAUGUCAGAUAAUAUUUUGGUUUGAAAUUCUAUUUCCCAGUUUAUGAGCUAAAUCUCAUAAGGUUGGGAUUACUUUCGAUGAAACCUUUAAUUUUUUUUAUGGAUGCAAUAUAUAUCUAAUUUACAUUACAGUUUCAUUUGAUUGUUCUUAUUUCUUAAUUAAAAUGCAAAUGAUCUCUAGACAUAGAAGACUAUUCACAUACUUAUAAACUGAUUAUAAUUCUAAAAGGGUUGGAUUAAAAUUAAAUGAAAUGAGCAAGUAUUUGAUAGACACUUGUAGCCGACUCCAGACAUAGAGUCACGAUCAUACAGAAGGAACCCAUGCAAGAUAUCUGAAAAGCCUUUAGACACAGGCAAGGCAACUUGAGGUUAUUCUCUCACACGAGGCAGACCAUUUUAGAACUCUUCUGUGUUGUAAAGUAGAUACGAUUUUGCCAAGGCAUUAUUGACAAUAAGGGUUGAUUCUGGGUAAUCCCGACCUUCCAAAUCCACAUCGUAUAUCCUUCAUUAUUUUCCAUAGUAUCUUUUCCACAUCAUUAUUAAUUAUUUAUUUGUUCAUUUACAUAAUAUUCCCAUAGUAAUUCUCAUAAUUGCCAUUACAUUUCUACUCUCGAUUUGCCAUAGCAUUACCAAAUAUUCAUUAAUUCCACAUAUUGAUUACAUCAUUACUCUACUCAUUGCCAUUGCAUAUUUAUCAUUGACUUUGUCACAACAUUAAUUGUAUUUUAUGAUAAUAACUUGAUCGAUUUUGUGCCUCAAUCUGAUCAUCGUGGGAAUGAUACUCACUCAUCAUUUAUUACUUGAUUCAACGUGUAUACUUGCACAAAUCGCAUAUCAUUUCACAUGCGACAAUGUCCAAUUGAACCCUUUAAGAUAUAAACUCAAACAAACUCAAUUAAUGGCUUUAAUCAACCCACCAAGAAAUAAUCCUUGGCAAAUUGAAGGAUGAAUAAUGAAUUCCCAUGACUCCUUAAAGAAAAUUGAGAAGAAAACUGCUUCUAAAAAUUACAAGAAACAAUCUUGCACAAAGAAACUAACCUUGAGAGUUGGAAAUUUUAGUAACGAACAAAGACAAUUGUGUCUCUAAUGACCAUGAAAGAGCUUUACAUAGGCUAGAUAAGUACAUCCAAAUAAAAUUUCGAAGUAUCUUAAAACUUUAAUUAAUGUAAGCAAAAAGUAAUUUUCAACUAAAAUAGUCAUAAUUUCCGUAAUAAUCCCGUCUAGAAAUUCUACUCACAUAGUCAUCACUAAAAUAGUCAUCAUUUGAGCUCUUGAACUAGAAAUUGAGUGAAUAAAAGUGUGUUUGAUAGACCUUAGAACUCCAUCAAGACAUAUCAAUCGAAAAAUAUUUGGAUCCCAUCCAAAAAGUCAUUGCAAGUUAACUGAUUUUCCAAACUUGAAAAUUGGCAGCUUCAGUGAAUGAAAUUUAAUAAAGUUCACCCCAUCUGCUCAUGUAUAAACUUGCAGUGGUAAAAAGUAAAAAGAAAUAAUCUAUAGAGAAAAUAGUUGAAGAAUUUAUGACAAUUUAUUCAGACCUUUUUUUCUUCUAGCCUUUGCAAGCUUGAAGUUUCCGUUGGUGUGUGAGAGUUGUUCCUUACCCUUUAAGUUAUUUCUUUUCUUUUCCUUCUUUUUCUUUCUCUUCGAUCUCAUCACCUAAGGGUGCUCAAACAACUGAUUCAGUUAAUACCCGAACAAAGCUAUCAUUAAAUGAAAUUUUGAAACCCUUAAUCAUUAAUGAAACCAAUUUUUUGUUGAAACCUAUUAACCGGCCGGAUUGAUUUCGGUUAAUUUGUGCAGUUAACCAGAAUUUAUACAUUGUUUGUUUUUUAUCAAACAAUUUUAAAACAAAGAACAAUCCAUGACAACUUUUUCCUUGUUUUUUAUUCAAAAAUUAUUAAAAGAACUAAAAAAAAUAACAUAAUAACAACACUAAAUUAAAAACAUAAUAGCAUUCAUUACAGUACAAAUCUUUUUUCUUUUUUUUCUUUUUGUUGACUUUUUAGUUUAAUUUUAGUUUUUUUUCAAAUAUUUUAGUUUUCAUAUUCUUGUUAAGCUUAUUAUAAGAAAACUUAUAAAUCCAUUAGUUUUUAUAUAUUAGGUUUGUAUAAUGUAUUGGAGCUAUCUCUAUAAUAUAUUUUUAUUGAUUUCGGUUAAUCAAUUAAUUCGGUUAAUUAGUCGAUUUCAAACGAAACUAAUUGAUAAACAAAAUCUUCAAAAACAUUUAACCAACUCCCAACCAAAUUAGAUUCGUUGAUCGCCUGCUUAAUCAAGUUAAUCAUAUGGUAAAAUGGCAUAGUUUUGGAAUGGUUUUUUGGAAUUAUUGGUAUAGGUUUAAGUUAUGAUCUUGAGAUGUUGAGUUGAAUUAAGUUUGAUAUGUAUAUUGUGAUGCCUUCAUUGGCAUAUUGGUUAGAUAUUAAAGGAUGGUUGAUUUGGUAUGUUUUUAAAAUGGUUGUUGGUAUGUGUGAUCUAAAUUGAUUAAAUGAACUUGUAAUGUUGAAUGGUAUAAUAUUUGUUGGUACAUUAGUUAGUCUUAUAGGUUGAUGGAAUUGGUAUGUUUUAAAUGUGUUUAAAAUGUGUUUUGAUUGUUUAAAUGUUUGUGGAAAUGGUGUGUCUUGGUGUACAAGAUUUGAAAUUGAAAUGGCUUGAUUUAGAAGCAACUUAUGUUGUACACCACCUGGGACACUGGUUGUCACAUGGUUGUGUGUCAUUAUUGUUUUAGGUACAGGUUUCACACAAUCUGAGACUCGGCUCACGACAUAGCUGUGUAUCACAAGUCAGUAUGUAACACGGUUUGGUACAUGGCCUGCGACAUGACCGUGUGUCCAAACUUCGAAUGUCCACACGGUCUGGGCUAUGUCACACGGGUUGGCCACAUGGCCGUGUGACCCUUGUUUUCAAGUUUUCUAAAAUUUUCUAUUUUAUUUCAAAUUGAUCCUAGAAUAUUCUCAAACUGUUUUUAGGGCCCGUAGGUUCGAAUUAAGGCCCAUAAGUGUAUGUUUGCUAUAAUUAAGUUGUGUUAAUUAAUGUUAUUAAUUAAAUGGCAUGAAUAUUUUAUUGUAAGUUAAAUGUUUUAAUUUGAACUAUAAUGCUCCGUAACUCUAAUCUGGCGACGGAGACAGGUUUGGGGUGUUACAAUUUUGGACUUGAAAUUUGUUUUGGGGCUUUGUUCGAUGUUUGUUGGAUUUUAGUGUUUUAACAUUAAACUACAAAAUUGUAUGAUUUAACAAACUAAAAAUUAGGUUUUCAAAAUUAAAACUCUGGAAGUUUCUGUUUCAAAGAUUAAGUAAUCACUUAAGUGUUUUCCCAUAAAUAAUUAAAUGGUUUUUAACAAAUGUUUUCCUUAGUUUUGGAAAUGAUAUGCCAACAUUAGUACUUUUAAAACACAUGAUUUCAAAUUCAAAUUCUUGGUUUUAAGUAAGGGUUUUCAAACUUUGAUUUUUUUUAACAUUUGUGAGAGGUUUUUGCCAAAUUUUAUGUUUUCAGAACGUGUAACUAAGUUGAUUUUUAAUUAGUUUUUCAAACAAGUCAAUGUAAUUCCUCAAAAAUCCAAUCAUAGCGUCUAGGUCGGGUUUGGGUUGUUACACUGACGUUACUAAAGUUAAUCUUAAUCUAUUUAGUCUAGAUCUAAACAUUAAUAUUCUCUUCCAAGAAAAAUCAAGAUUAUCAAAUUAUUACAACUUGGUAGGCAGACAAUCAUAUUAAAUAUGCAUAAAAGUUAAUAAAUAAUUAGCGAAGAUUGAAACAAUCAAAUAAAAAAUAAAUUAAUUAACUAAGAAAUAAGUUCCAUUAUUGUUUCAUGAAAAUAGAGUUUAGUUCAUAUUGAGUUGAGAAAACCAAAAGCGAGAUUCAAAACAAACCUGUGAUAAGGGGAACAAUGUCAAUAGAUUAUAUUCAUGUUGUUUGACUCAAGAAAGAAAUAUUCGAAUCUAACUUGAAAAGAAGAAACCAAAUAGAUUUAGAAAAAUAAGAAAAAAAAACAAAGAAAAUAACUAAAAUGAGAAAUUUAAGAAUAAAUAAUAAAUAUUAAAAAUAAUAAAGAAAUAAAGAAAUUAUAGAAUAAAUAAUGGAAGAUGGAAAUGAAACGACGGAUAUGACAUAUAGAUGGAUAAGUGUCUGAUAAUUCUUGAAAAGAGUUAUAUUUCAUACCUUUAGACCUCACUAAUUGCUUGUACUUAAGUACAUUUUGUUGCAUAUUGAGACAUUUUUGUUCGUAUUUGUAAUAUUGCAUUAGGACUUAGAUUGUGUUAGAAUUAGGUGUUUUUGAUCACUUGUGGUGGAGUUUUUAGUGUGUUGGUAUGGUAGGAACAAUAUUUAGAACGAGGAAAUAAAUGAGUGAAGUUUAGUCAGCGCAAAAGUGCAGAUAGUUUGCCAACACGUAUGCCGUGGCAAUGUCGGGAAGACCAAGUCAACAAAUUUUUGCGCAACAGUCCUAGUUCAAAUUCAAACUUGUACUAGAUAAAUCUCCUUAAAAGAGGAAAAGAUAAUCACAAGUUGUUAACCGACCCUAGCCUAAUCUAUCUAUAAAAGCCAAUGAAGGGGAUCUCACAAAUGGCAGAAAAAAGUGGAAGAGAUCCUUAGGUGCGAAUAAUGGUUCAGCUGCGCAAAGGAAAGGAAGUUGAAGGCAAUCUUUUUUAGCCAUCACAAGACGUUGUGCUGUCGAAGUGUGGACUAGACAAGUGAAAGUUGUUUCCCAAAGUUCUUUCGUUAUUUCCGUCAGUGUUCCUUCAAAAUAUUAAAGUAGUUGAACAUAAUGUUGGAUAAUAUUUUGGUUUGGAAUUUUAAUUCCUAGCCCAUGAGCUAAAUCUCGUAGGGUUGGAAUUACUUUUGAUAAAACCUUAAACUAUUUUUAUGGAUGCAGUAUAUAUGUAAUUUACUUUACUGUUUCAUUUUAUUAUUCUUAUUUCUUAAUUAAAAUGCAAAUGAUCUCUAGACAUUGAAGCCUUUCACAUACUUAUAAACUGAUUUUAAUUCUGAAAGGGUUGGAUUGGUUGGAUUAAAAUUAAAUGAAAUGAGCAAGCAUUCGGUGGACACCUGUAGUAGACUUUAGACAUAGAGUCACGCUCAUACAGAAGGAACCCAUGCAAGAUAUCUAAAAAGCCUUUAGACAUAGGCAAGGUAACUUAAGGUUUUGCUCUCACGAGAGGCAGGCCAUUUUAGUACUCUUUUGUGCUUUAAAGUAGAUACGAUUUUGCCAAGGCAUUAUUGACAGUAAAGGUCGAUUAUGGGUAGUCCCAACCCUCCAAAUCCACAUCGUAUAUCCUUUACUCUUUGCCAUAGUAUAUUUGCCACAUCAUUAUAAGUUAUUUAUUUGUUCAUUUACAUAAUAUUUCCGUUGUAAUUCUCAUAAUUAUCAUUACUUUCUACUCUCGAUUUGCCACAACAUUACUAGUUAUUUAUUAAUUCCACGUAUGGCUUACAUCAUUGCUCUACUAAUUGCCACUGUAUAUUUACCAUUGACUUCGCCAUAGCAUUAAUCAUAUUUUAUUAUAAUAACUUGACCAAUUUUGUGCCUCAAUUCGAUCCUCAUGGAAAUGAUACUCACUCAUCACUUUAUUUGUAACACCCCAAACUCGGCCUAGACGUUAUGGCCGAAUCUGGUGAUGUCACAUGGAGAGGGAUUUGAAGACAAGAUUGUUGAGUUUAAAAACCGUUACAGUAAGUUAGCUUUUAUUUAGGGAAAAUCGUGUUUUGUAGAGUUGUAGUUUUUAGGAAAAAAAUCGUGUUUUGUAGAGUUGUAGUUUUUUUAAAAAACCCAAUAAAAAAUAGUAUAAAGUCCCAAAUUUAAAACCAAUCAGUCCAUAGUCCAGAAGAUACAUCAAAAACUCAAAAUAAGUAAUAAAUUCUAGGCAUUAACGGAAAACAAUCUAAAAUUUACGUGUGGCCACCAUUGAGUCCUCUGCUGCACCGAUUCGUCAAGUCUGAGGAUUACCUAUACAAAUUAAAUAGAGAAAGGGUGAGUUGUCGCAAACUUAGUGUGUAAUCCCCACAGAAAACAUGCAUAGAGAUAAUUAACAAAAUUUAGUUAGAUACAGUCUAGGGCCUGUGCCCAUCAUAGAAUCAGUUUGGGCCUUAGCCCAUUCAGAUAUAGUCUUAGAAAUACAUUAGGGCAUUGACCAGCCUCUACAAACCACCUCCAUCCAACCAUACACACCAUGUGGGGAUUAAAUCAACCAACCCAUCCCUACACACCAUGCUGUACCGAAAUGCGGCACAUAAUUAGAAGGUUGCAGCUGGGCUGCCAGAUAACAUAAGUCAUGCUCGGUAUAGAAAUCAGACAGACAGAUCACACAUAUAGGUGUCUAAGUAAAGCUUACUGACCCUACAGUAGGUCCACAGUUAACUUGGGCGACCCGUGCAAAAUUACAGAACUUUUUAGAAAAAUGGGCUUACACGCCUAUGUGGCCCACUCGGCCCAAAUUGGCCUUGACCACGUGAUCCAUUUUUAAUGUAACCAGUGCUAGUUAAUUAUUCAUAUAUGUUUUCACUAUUUACUUAUAUGUUAAUUUAAAGCUGUCUACUUGAGUCACUGUUACUAAAUUAUUUAUAUCUUGAGCUACAGAAUUUCAAAUUAAGAUCCGCUUAAUGUCUUUGAAACUAGACUCAAAUAUCUUUCUACUAUAAAAUUUUUAUAAUUUUUGGUUGAGCCAACAAGUACAGUAAAAUCUUCAAACCUUCCCCUAUUCUGCUGUCUGACAACUUCAACCCUUCUUUGCUAAGAAUUAAUUAUCUCUUAGUACAAGAUUUGGAUGAUGUUUACAUUUGUUUCUAUUGAAAAUAAACUCAUUAAUAAUUUAAAAAUGUAAAUUUUAAACCCCUAAUUAUUUUUCUCCAAUUUUUGAUGAUUUUCCAAAUUUAGAACAGGGGAACCUUAAUUCUUUCUGACCUUGUCUCACGAAGUUUAUUAUACCUCACAAUUUACAAUUCCAUUACUUACAUCGUUUAAGAUUUAAUUCCAUAUUUUUUUCAUCCUCUAAUUCAAUUUCCACAAUUUAUGGCAAUUUUUCAAAGUUAACCUACUGUUGUUGUCCAAACAGCAAGCAAUUUUGGCUUUUCGCCGAAUCCUUUUUUUUGCAUUUCGGGUACACACCUGGUUUUGUUUGAUGCUAAAACAAUCCCCGAACACUCUAAAGUCACCAAUGAUAACCAUCCAUUUAAAUAUUGUUAACACGAGAACACUGAAUUCACUAGUCCGAGUCUCCCCCUACGCCCAAAUCGCAGAGAAAAUACGUUACCACUUUAGUCGCUAAAAGAUUCAUGAUAGAAAAGAAGAGAAACACUUACCGAACUAAGCGAGCACUAACCGUGUGUGAAAAUGAAGGAAAAUAAAUGGAUUAGGGAAAAAUCAAGAACAAGAAAAAGAAGAAAAAGAAAAACUCAGAGAAUUUCAACAAGAGGAGAGGGAGAAGAAUAGACGGCGAAUAAAAUUCUGAUAACCCCCAAAAUCCCUUAAUCUUCUCCCCUAAUUCCCACUACACAUCCACUAUUCAUAACCCCCUAUUACAUAACUCUAUCCGAAAUCUGAUAAAAAAAAACAUAAUACCCUUGCCUGCAUAGGGGUUCAAACACAAAACCUCUACUAUAAUAACACAUCAUUUAACCACCAGACCAGCAGGCCCAUUCUGAUGUAAUUUACCCAAAAAUCAAAUAAAAGCCUACUCAACAAGAGUAAAGCCUAAUUCAUUCAAAAUACCAAAAUUUGCCCAAGCAAAAGCUUGAACUUGGGACCUCCCAAACACUCCCAGAACACAUAACUACUAAAGCUGACAAAUAUUUGUGUCAUAUUUUCACAAUAAUGAAAUUAGAAAUUUUGGGACAUUACAUUAUUACUUGAUUCAACUCUUGCACAAAUCGCAUAUCAUUUCACACACAACAGUGCUCAAUUGAACCCUUUAAGAUAUGAAAUCUAACAAACUCAAUUAAUGGCUUUAAUCAAUCCACCAAGAAAUAAUCAUUGGCAAAUUGAAGGAUGAAGAAUGAAUUCCCAUGACUCCUUAAAAAAAUUGAUAAGAAAACUACUUUUAAAAAUCACAAGAAACAAAUCUUGCAUAAAGAAACUAACUCUCAGAGUUGGUAAUUUUAGUAAUAAACAAAAACAAUUGCGUCUCUAAUGAACAUGAAGGGGCCUUUACAUAGGCUAGAUAAGUACAUCCAAAUAAAAUUGUCAAAUAUCUUGAAACUUUAAUUAAUGUAAGCAAGAAGUAAUUUUAAACUAAAAUAGUCAUAAUUUUCGUAAUAAUCCCGUCUAAAAAUUCUGCUCACAUAGUCAUCAUUAAAACAAUCAUAAUUUGAGCUCUUGAACUCAAAAUUGAGUGAAUAAAAGUGCGUUUCGAAGUUAAGUGAUAGAUCCUAGAACUCUAUGAAGACAUAUCAAUCAAAAAAAUAUCUGGAUCCCAUCCAAAAAGUCACCGCAAGUUAACUAAUUUUUCAAACUUAAAAUUUGGCAGCUUCGGUGAAUGGAAUUUAAUAAAGUUCACUCCAUCCAUUCAUGUAUCAACUUGCAUUGGUAACAAGUAAAAGAAAAAAAUCUAUAGAGAAAAUAGUUGAAGAAUUUAUGACAAUUUAUUCAAAUCUCUUUUUCUUCUAGUCUUUGCAAGCUUGAAGUUUCCCUUGGUGUGAGAGAGUUGUUCCUUACCCUCUAAGUGAUUUUUUUCUUUUUCUUUCUCUUCGAUCUCGUCACCUAUUGGUGUUCAAACAAUUGAUUCAGUUAAUACCCGAACAAAACUAUCAUUAACUGAAAUUUUGAAACCCUUAAUCGUUAAUCAAACCAAUUUUUUUAAAAAAAACCUAUUAACUAGCUGGAUUGAUUUCGAUUAAUUUUAGCGGUUAACCAGAAUUUAUACAUGGUUUUUUUUUGUUCAAAAAAUUUUAAAACAAAGAACAAUCCAUGACAAUUUUUUCCUUGUUUUUUAUUGAAAAAAUUAAAAGAACUAAAAAAAUAACAUAAUAACAACAAUAAAUUAAAAACAUAAUAGCAUUCAUUACAUUACAAGGCAUAUAUAUAUAUUUUUACUUUUUCUUCACUUUUUAGUUUAAUUUUAUAUUUUUUAAAAUAUUUUUAGUUUUCAUAUUUUUGUUAAGCUUAUUAUAAGAAAACUUAUAAAUCCAUUAAUUUUUCUAUAUUGGUUUUGUAUAAUGUAUUGGACUUAUCUCUAAUAUAUUUGGCCUAUAAUAUAUUUUUAUUGAUUUCGGUUAAUCAAUUAAUUCGGUUAAUUAGUCGAUUUCAAACUAAACUAAUUGGUAAACAAAAUCUUCAAAAACCUUUAACCAACUCCCAACCAAAUUAGAUUUGAUUGCUUAAUCAAAUUAAUUAGGUUUGAUAAAUUAAUUCGUUAAAACCAAAAAAUCCACACCCCUAUCAUCACCUUUAUUUUUAGGGAUUUUAAUCAUGUUGCUGCACCUGAUGCAGAAGUUGAGGUGGAACGAACUGCUUGCUACCACAAUUUAUGAAUUAUAGAGCAUGCUCCACCGUAGUGAAUCAAAUUCGGUGGAGUAGAAGACUUUUCUUCACUACUUUAUGCUCUAUGCUCCAAGUCUUCUAUUCUUCUUCUGAGACCUACAAUGGGAAAAUAAAAACUAAGAAACAAGUCUAAACUAACUUUGAAAAUUAGAAAUUUUCAACAAAAUUGAAAUAAAAUAUAAUUAAUCCAUAAAAAACUAUAAAAUGCAAUAAAAACAAACCUAAAUACUAAAAUUACCUCCUAAAAUGCUGUGGAAACUAUACUAAAAUAACUCUAAAUAUGAUAGUUAUCAGAAGCGACUUGAAUAAGCCAAUCGAGUAGAUGAUUUCAACUAUUGCAAAUAGCAUCAGUCGAUUAACCAUCCUCUUGAGAAGAUCAUAGAGUUGAAAGAAAAAAUCAUACAACUCCAUGAAGAAGAAAAAAUCAUGUUUGAAAAAGAAGUGGCAUUAUCAAACUUGACAUCAAUGCUUUGGUUUCUCAAUACAAUAUUAAGGAGAAAUUCAUCAAAUUUGGCUCUUUCACUCCUAUUACACUAGCUCUAAGUAGAAGUAAGAUGGUGAAUUUCGAAGGGAUUGGGGACAAUCAUCUAUUUUUGGAAUAUCAGAAUGGUCAUGAUUGGACUCAAAGAAGCCAAUGAAAUGCAUCUCUCCUAGGUAUAAGCUUAUAUUGUCACAUUGCUCCUAAGCACGAGCAUAAAUUGUUCAUCCAAAAUGAUGAUGCUCCUAAGCAUGAGCUUAAACUGUUCAUCUAAUGCUCCUAAGAAGGAGCCUAAACUAUUCAUAAAAAAUAAAUGAUGAUCCAGUGAAGCACGAGAUUAAACUAUUCAUACGAAAUAAAUGAUUACCUCCUAAGCAUGAAUUUAAAUUGUUCAUACAUAAUAAAUGAUGAUACUCCUAAGCAUGAGCUUAAAUAGCAGUCCAAAAAAAAUUGAACAACAUUAUAACUUUAUCUUUUAAAAAUGAAGGUACGUAGAUAGCCUGGUUUCAUUGCCAAGUUCAGUCAGUGAAACAAAUUCUUGAAAGUAGGAAGCAAAUAAAAUUUCAAGACUUGUACCCUUUCUACGCCCAACAAAAUUCAGAAUUCAGCAUUUGUUAUUACUGUUUAUCUCUAACUAAAUUAAUGAAAAGAUAAAUCAAGAAAUUAAAUCCUUUUAGAACUGUCUUAUAAAGAAACCAUAUUCUUUAAGGAUUACUUUAUCUAUAAUUAAUUAAAUUAAUAAGAUAUGAAUAAUAAUAAUAGAGUUUAAAUUCUUAUAGAACACUCAAAUGAAAAAGCUAAAUUCUACAACAACUCUCUUAUAUCAAAGUGAUUGGGCACUAUAAAAAUGGGUCACCUCCAAGUCAUUCUACACAUUCACAAGUUCAAGAAGUUCAAAAAUUCUUUACGAAAAUAUGAAGAAACUAAAGAAGUAGAAGAAAUUCUGAUGAACAUCAUAUCAGUUCUAAAGAAAAACUGCCUCCUAUCCAAUUCAAUUGAGAGGAGGAUGUCAACAGAAGAGAAGAAUCGAAGAAGUUUUGUUUGUAAAUAAAUUCAAAACUAUACACUCUUCGAAAUAAUAAAUAAAAUUUGACGCAAAAUUUUCAAGUCAAUUCUCAACUUAAAAUUUGCGUGUACAAUAUAUAUAGGAAAGAAUCCAUUUACAUUAUAUAAAACUAGUGUAUGUAUAAUACAGAAAUAUUUAGUACAUUAUCAAUAAAGUUUUUAAACUAUGCACUGUGAUUAAAACCAAAAUAAUAAUAAUAAUAACAACCAAUCACUUUAUUUGACUAACUUUUCCCUACAAGUCUUUAGUAUGGAGACAAAUCAGUUUAAUCAGCCUUUGGAGCUAUUAACUGACAUUUCCACCAUUGAUUUGAAAAUCCUAACCCAUCAAUUCACUUUAAAUGAAACGAGAUCCACUAGUGUUUGGUGUUAUAUUUUUAAAAUGUAUUUAGAUUAUUGUUUAUUAAUUUUAUUUGUUUAUAUUUAAAUCAAAUGUAAUAAAUUGUUGAAUUUAUAUACUUCAUAUUAUAACAAUAUAUUUUAACUUGCUACUUCUCUUUUUAAUUUAAUUUUUUGUAACUCUUCACAAUUUAUUUUGAAAAAAAUUGAAAAAACUAAAUGAUUAAAUUAAGGCUCAACUUUUCACUAACCUUAGUUUAUUUAGUCUAACUUUUCACAAAUUAAUAUACUCAUUUCAUGUUUCAUACCAACAACUUUUCUUUUUGGUAAAAAGAAAAAACAACUAUACGUUUUUUUUAAUCCCAAAAUUAAGGCUUUAUGAAUGAAAAUAAUAUUAUAUUAACUAUGAUAAUUAAGUCUUUAUUUUUAAUAUGAUUAAUAUUAUAUAUAAUAACUUUAAAUAUGCUUCCACUAAUCAGAUAUACUAAAGGAAAGAGUAACUUUCUUUUUAUGGUAACUAAUUUUCAAUUAUGUAUUUUAAUCUAUCACUAAAUAAUUAAUUAUAAUCAAGAUGUUAAUUUUCCAUAAAAUGUACAUAAUUUUGGUUGGUAUAUUAAUAAAUUUAGCCCUAAAAAUUUACACAUGCAAUUUGGUCUUAAUUUAACAAAAUUUUCCCGCAACAUUUGUGUAAAUAUGUAAAUGUUGAGGUUAAAUUUCUUGAAUUUUUUUUAAAAAAUUAAGGUCAAAAUGACAAAAAUAUAAAUAUUGAAAACUAAAUUUAUUACUGUACCAAUCAAAAUGACAAAAUAUAGCUAGGGACAUGGGCUUGACCGAGCCAACUCAACCUAUUUCAUCUGUUUCUAUUGACUUUUGCUCGACCCUACCCCAAAGACCUGUCAAUUUUGUUAAAAUUGAAAUAUUUAACUUGUUGGAGAAGACUAACUGUAGAAAAGUAAGUCAAUGCUAAAGUGAUAUGUCGACGUUUUGUUGUUUUCAAAAUAGUUGAUAAGCCUGAAAUUAUAAAAGAUAAUCAUGAGGUCUUAAAUGCAAUUAUGAUAUUUCUAAAAAGAUAUUUCUCAACAAUUUUUUUAAUUUCUUGAUUGAUGAAAACAAAUUUAGGUAUUUCCCAAUUUGUAAAAACAUGAUUUUUCUUUGAAUUUCUAGGUUUUUCUUAGCUUUUUUUUAUAUUAUUUUGGAAUUUUUGUAAUCUUCUUAUAAUUUCUUAAAAAAUAAUAUAUUUGUAAAAAUUUUUAAACCAUAAAUACCAAUUAAGAAGAAUGUGAUAAAAUUAGGGGUAAAUGUGUAUUUAAGCCAAAGAAAAUAAAAGAAUAAUAAUGAAAUUCACCUAAAAACAAUUACAAGGACUAGAUGAACAAUUUGACCUAAAACUUUGUUUGAAAUGAUGUCAUUAAUGUGUUACAUCAGCUUUCUUAGAGAGAUAAAAAUUAAAUGAAUAUGAGAUACAUGAAACUUGUAUCUCUUUCCAAUAAUUUAACAUUAUUUCAAUAUUUUCAUCUUGAAUUCACGAGUGAAGCGUACAUCAUAUACCAACUCAAUUGGAAAAAAGUCUUUAAAUUAUUUUUAAAUUGUAACAAAUAUUAUUAUUAAGAUGUUUUUCUUUUUAUAUUUUUUAUAAAAUAUAUUAAAAAACAAUUAAAAUAAUUUUAAGAGAAAAAAACUCAUACAAGGUAGAAUUUAAUCUAAAGAUGUCAAAGUUUUAAAGCCUCAACUUUAACAUUUCAACCGAAAUUCCAUUAGUAUAUAAAUAUUUAUAAAUAUAGAUUUUAUAUAAAAAAUUUUAUGUAAACUUUUUUUUAACCCGCAUCACAAGUACACCAUAUUUAGAGAUAUUCAUAGUUAGGCAGUCCACUUUGAGUCAAGCUUGAGCUUAGGUUUUCAAUCUCAAGUUGGCCCAAUUCAACUUAUUUUACUACUUAAAAAUAUAAAUAUAUGUUAUAUUGAUAUUUAUAUAUGUCUAUAGUUAAAAAAUUAUUAAAAAUAAAUUCAACUUAUUUAUUAAUUAAAAAUAUAAAUAUAUGUCUAUAAUUAAAUUUUAAAGAAAUUUAUUGUUAUUUUCUAAACAUAAAACAAAGAAAACUUUCACCCAAAUUAUAAGUUUGUGGUCAGGCAGCCCACUUUGGGACUGGAAUCAGCUUACUUUUUUAAUCUUGGGCUUUAAAAAUAAUAAAAAUAUAAAAAUAAUGUUCUAUUAAUAUUUAUAAAUUUUAUAAAUUUAAAUUUAAUUAUAUUUUUUAAACAGUAAAAUCAACCAUUUAUAUGGGCUAAAUUGAGUUAAGUUCGGUUUGCAUCAAGCCUUAACUUUGACCAAAUCCAACUAAAAACACCUCUAACCAUAAUCUAGUAUUGUUUUUAUGAAUUCAAUUUUAACUUGUAAUUUUCAAUUCUAUUACAAAAUUUCUUUGCCUACGAUAAGAAAAUAACAUAUUUGUAACUAAGUAAUUAAUUAAGUUAAUGUCACGAGUGAAUCAUACAUUAUAUGCCAACUCAAUUGGAAAAAGUUUUUAAAUUAUUUUUAAAUUGUAACAAAUAUUAUUAUUAAGAUGUUUUUCUUUUUAUAUUUUUUAUAAAAUAUAUUAAAAAACAAUUAGAAUAAUUUUAAGAGAAAAAAACUCAUACACGGUAGAAUUUAAUCUAAAGAUAUCAAAGUUUUAAAGCCUCAACUUUAACAUUUCAACUAAAAUUCCAUUAGUACAUAAAUAUUUUAUAAAUAUAGAUUUUAUAUUAAAAAAAUUAUGUAAACUUACAUAUAUGGUUCGUCAUGCAAAUGUUUAUUAUAUUUAAAAAUUAACAUAUAUGGUUAUUGAAUUUUAAUACUGGCUUGAGGAGUCGACUCUAUUGUAGAUUCUAGAUUAAUCUAAUAUUUCACCCUCUUUUAAUUUUCUUUAUUGGAAGAGUCUUUAAGAGAUAAGUUAAGUAGUAUAGCAGUUUCAUCUAAAACAACAUCUCUGCUAAUCACAACUUUUCUAUUUUUAGGACACCAUAACUUAUACCCUUUUACAUCAGCUUUAUAACCAAUAAAAACACAUUUAAUGAAUCUCGGUUCCAAUUUUUCAUUAUCAACAUGAGCUUACGAAGGACACCCAAAGAAUUUAAUCUAAAGAUAUCAAAGUUUUAAAGCCUCAACUUUAACAUUUCAACCGAAAUUCCAUUAGUAUAUAAAUAUUUUAUAAAUAUAGAUUUUAUAUAAAAAAAUUUUAUGUAAACUUUUUUUUAACCCGCAUCUCAAGUGUACCAUAUUUAAAGAUAUUCAUAGUUAGACGUCCACUUUGGGUCAAGCUUGAGCUUAUGUUUCCAAUCUCAAGUUGGCCCAAUUCAACUUCUUUUACUUUUUAAAAAUAUAAAUAUAUGUCUAUAAUUAAAUUUUAAAGAAAUUUAUUGUUAUUUUCUAAACAUAAAACAAAGAAAACUUUCAUCCAAAUUAUAAGUUUGUGGUUAGGCAGCCCACUUUGGGACAGGAUUCAGCUUACGUUUUUAAUCUUGGGCUUUAAAAAUAAUGUUCUAUUAAUAUUUACAAAUUUUAUAAAUUUAAAUUUAAUUAUAUUUUUUAAACAGUAAAAUCAACCAUUUAUAUGGGCUAAAUUGAGUUAAGUUCGGUUUGCAUCAAGCCUUAACUUUGACCAAAUCCAACUAAAAACACCUCUAACCAUAAUCUAGUAUUGUUUUUAUGAAUUGAAUUUUAACAUGUAAUUUUCAAUUUUAUUACAAAAUUUCUUUACCUACAAUAAGAAAAUAACAUAUUUGUAACUUCUCCAAUUCGACGUAAAUGUUCAGUCUGAAUUCAGAAGAUUACAUCAGCCAUAAAGAUGGCCUAGCAAGGUUAUUAGAGUUUUCAAAAACAGGCAUCUUUAAAAUGCUUGUUUAAUUUAUACAAAAACUUAUUUAAUUUCCAAAUUAUUUAUUACUUGAAAUCUUAAUUAUACUUUGAAAGCAAGAAGUGGUAACUAUUUAUUUUUAAUAAAAAUCAGGGUUCAUGUAUAAUUGAUUAAUAACUGUUAGAAUUAAGCGACCCGAAUCUUUAUUUAAAUGAAAUACAGUGGUAAAAUAAAAUAAAAUUAAAAUCCCUAUAGAACUACACUUAUUUUAUUUUAUUUUAGAAUAAGGAUUUUUAAACCUUAUUAAACUCCAUCCAUUUGAUAUUGAUUAGAAUAAGGUGUUUCAAUCUUACUACACUCCUAUUAGAAUAUGGUUUUACAAGCCUAUAAAUAGACAUAGUCUACUCCUCUUGUAAUUAUUCGAAUUCGACAUAGGGAUUUAUCUUCUCCUCUACCAAUAGCUUUUUCCCUGAAAGGGUUUCCACGUAAAAUCUGUGUGUUUUUUUUAUUUUUCUCCCUUUUAUUCUUUGCAAUACAUUGUCAUUACCAACAUUCUAUUUUUAGCAAAUUGGUAUCCAAGCUUCCAAUUUGUUCAUCUCAAUCAUGGUAAUGGCGUCUUUGAAGUAUGAAAUUCUGCUAUUGGAUCGCAACACCAGAUCCGCAUUGUGGCAGAUAAAGAUGCAGGCAGUUCUUACACAGAUAGACUUAGAGGAAGCCUUGCUAGGGGUAGAUAAAAUGUAUUCAACAUUAACAGAGGAAGAGAAGAAGCACAAGGAUCGAUAGGCGUUAACACAAUUACAUCUUCAUUUGUCCAACGAAAUUUCACAGUAUGGAGAAGACCGUCGCUGGAUUAUGGAAGAGGUUGGAACAAAUAUGUACGUCGAAUACUCUAACUAGCAAGUUGCAUAUGAAGCAGCUUCUUUAUGCUCAUCGUUUGGAGGAAGGUGUCUCUAUGCACGAACACUUAAUAGUGUUUAAAGGAAUUCUCUCGAACUUAGAGGUCAUGAAGGUUCAGUAUGAUAAUGAAGAUCUACGAUUGAUUCUACUUUGUUCGUUGCCUCUAUCUUAUUCAACCAUUAGAGAUGGGAUUUUAUAUAGCCGCGAGUCUCUCACAGUUGAUGAGGUUUAUGAUUCUUUAACCUCGUAUGAUAAGAUGAAGCAUCUUUUUCGUAAAACUGACUCUUAGGGAAUGGGUCUCAUUGUUCAUAGUAGAUAAGAUCAGAAUGCUGAUGAUGAUCGUGAAAGGACACAGGAAUAGAAUUCUCGCGAUAAAUCUAAGGAUAGAUCAAAGAUUUCAAGCAGAGGUAAAACUUGUAACUUCUGCAAGAAGAAAGGGCACAUUAAAUCUGACUGUUAUAAGCUACAAAUCAAUAUCAAAAGGGAGGUUGUGAAACAAAAUGGAAAACAACUAGAAUAUGUUGGUAAAGCUGAUGUUGUAGAAGACUAUAGCGAUGGUGAACUUCUAGUCACUUCUAUCAACAAUUCUAAAAUAAGCGAGGAGUGGAUCCUUGAUUUGGGCUGCACCUUUCACAUGAGUCCCAAUGGAUAUUGGUUUAUAACUUACGAAAUAGUGUUUGAAGGUGUUGUUUUGAUGGGAAAUAAUGCUUUAUGUAGAAUUGCAGGUGUUGGGACAAUAAAAGUUAAGAUGUUUGAUGGAGUUCUCAGAACACUUAAUGACGUACGACAUGUUCUAGAAUUGAAGAGAAAUUUAAUUUCAUUGAGUACUCUUAUUCAAAAGGUUAAAAAUACAUAGCUAAAAGUGGGGUUUUUAAUAUUUCCAAAGGUUCUCUCGUUGUGAUGAAAGGGCAGAGAAAGACUGCCAAGUUAUAUGUUUUGUAGGGUUUAGGAGUUCUUUGGCAUAUACGCCUAGGGCAUAUAAGUGAGAAUGACAUGGCAGAAUUGAGCAAAAGAGGACUUCUUGAUGGGCAAGGAAUUUGCAAACUGAAGUUCUGUGAUCACUGUAUUUUUGAGAAGUAAAAGAGAGUUCGAUUCAUCAGAGGAAUCUAUAACACGAAGGGAACAUUGGAGUAUAUUCAUUCUGAUCUGUCGGGGACACCCAGAGUGCAUUCAAGAGGUGGAGCUAAUUAUAUGCUAACUUUUAUUGAUGAUUUUUCUAGAAAAGUUUGGGCGUUCUUCCUAAAGCAGAAAAUCGAUGUGUUUUUCGCAUAUAAGUCUUGGAAAACUAUGAUUGAAAAACAUAUGGAAAAACAAAUAAAAUAUCUCCACAUAGAUAAUGGCUCAAAGUUCUGUUCUAAUCACUUUAAUAAACUGUGCAAGUCAGAAGGGAUCGUGAGACACUUGACAGUUUGCCACACUCCACAACAAAACGGUGUUGCAGAACGAAUGAACAGAAUGAUCGUGGAGAAGGUUUAAUGUAUGUUUUCAAAUGCCAACUUAACAAAGUUGUUUUGGGCCGAAGUAGCCUCUACUAUAUAUUUUUUGAUCAACCGAUCUCUAUCUAUUGCCAUUGAGAAAAAGACUCCACAAGAGGUAUGGUCUGGUAAUCCUGCUAACUGUUCUGAUUUAAAGAUCUUUGGGUGUCCUGUGAAUGCUCAUGUUGAUAAUGGAAAAUUGGAACUGAGAUCCAUUAAGUGUGUUUUUCUUGGUUAUAAAGCUGGUGCAAAAGGGUAUAAGUUAUGGUGCCCUAAAAAUAGAAAAGUUGUGAUUAGCAGAGAUGUUGUUUUUGAUGAAACUGCUAUGCUACCUAACUCAUCUCUUAAAUACUAUUCCAAUAAAGAAAAUAAAAAGCAGGUGGAGUAUCAGAGUAAUCCAAAAUCUACAACAGAGUCGACUCCUCAAGCCAAUACAAAAAUUCAAAAUAGAGUUGCUUCUUUACCACAAUACUCUAUCGUAAAAAAUAAAACUAGAAGAGAUAUUAAACCCUCAAAGAAAUAUGCCGAGGCUGAUCUAGUUGCUUAUGCUUUAAAUAUUGCUAAAGAUAUAGAUGCAAACCAAGAGCCAUCUAAUUAUUUUGAUCCGGUUAGCUAUAAAGACUCAGAAAAAUGGAUGUUUGCUAUGUAAGAGAAGAUGGAAUCACUCUACAAAAACAAAACAUGGGAUCUUGUAAAACUUCCUAAAGGUAAAAAGGUUGUUCGUUGUAAAUGGGUGUUUAAAAAGAAAAAGGGGACUCUGGGAGUUGAAGAACCCAGAUUUAAAGCAAGGCUUGUUGUAAAGGGUUACAGUCAAAUUCCAAGAGUGGACUUCACAGAUGUGUUCUCCCCAGUUGUGAAGCAUAGUUCGAUUUGAGCUUUGCUUGGUAUUGUGGCCAUGCAUGAUUUGGAGCUAACUGUAAAAACUACAUUUUUGCAUGAAGAACUUGAGGAUGAUACUUACACGCAACAACCAUAGGGUUUUAUAGUCUCAGAAAAAGAGGACUAUGUUUGCCUGUUGAAAAAGUCCUUUUACGGUUUGAAACAGUCACUAAGAAAGUGGUACAAGAGGUUUGUUUCCUUUAUGACUUCUUAUGAUUUUAAAAAAAGUAGCUUUGACAGUUGUGUUUACUUUAAGAAAAAUAGUGAUGAUUCUUUUGUGUAUCUACUUCUUUAUGUUGAUGACAUGUUGAUAGCAACAAAAGAUAAAUGAGAGAUAAGAAAGGUUAAAGCCCGACUAAGUGAAGAUUUUGAGAUGAAAGAUUUGGGACCAGUAAAGAAGAUACUUGAUAUAGAGAUUCUCAGAGAUAGAAAAGUAAGUAAAUUGUACCUAAGUCAGAAGGGGUACAUUGAGAAAGUUCUUUGCAAAUUCAAUAUGCAGAAUGCUAAGCCUGUUAGUACUCCUUUAGCAGCCUAUUUCAGACUUUCAUUGGCUUUGUCUCUACAAUCAAAUGAUGAGAUUGAGUACAUGUCAUAUUUUUCAUACUCUAGUACAAUGGGAUCUCUCAUGUAUGCUAUAUUUUGUUCACGUCCAAAUUUAUUAUAUGCAGUCAAUACAGUUAGUAGAUAUGUGGCAAAUCCUGGUAAAGAACAUUGGAAAAUACUGUUUCCAAAAAUUUAUGGAUUUCUGGUGAGUGAACUUCUAGUGAAAUUAUUGUGCUAAGUCCAUUGGGGCAGUCUGUUUGAGUAAGUACACUUUAUAGGAAUGUACCUUUGGAAGUACAAGGGAUUGUGUUUUCGGCAGAUCUGGUGAGGUUACUUCUAGUGAAAUUAUUGUACUAAGUCUGUUGGGGUAGUCUAUUCGAGUAAGUAGACUUUAUAGGAAUGUACCUUUGGAAGUACAAGGGAUUGUGUUUUCGGCGUUUUAUUCACAUAAAAGCAGCAAAAUUUAGCGACAUUGUCUACAGCGGCAUUUUUUACGGCGCUUGUGAAAGCGCCGCUAUAGGCCUAAAAAACACCGCUAAAAGCCUAUUUUGCUGCAGUGAAUUAAUAUUAUUAUAAGUAUAUUUUCACCUUUUCAUUCUUUUAUAUAAUCUUCAAGUAAAAUGAUUGAAAAAUAUUAUUUGAGAAUCAAACACAAGACUAACAAUAUUCAUAUAGAAAACGCUUAUCACUCCACUAAUAAUCAUUUGUUGAUGUAUUUUUGGUAAAAAGAGCCCUCCAAUCCCUCUUAAUUUCACAACUUCUCAAAUUAGUCCCUCUCAAAAAAAUUGGAGCAAUUUAAUCCCUAUCAAUUUUGAAAGUGAGUAACUAAGGACAAUUAAUUAUGGUGUUAAAUUCUUCAAUCAAUUGUACAUAAUUUUGAUUGGUAUAAUAAUAAAUUUAGCCUUUAAUGUUUAUGUAUUUUGUCAUUUUGGCCUUAAUUUUUUUAAAAAAAAUUCAAGAAAUUGAACCUCAACGUUUACAUAUUUGCACAAAUGUUGCAGGAAAAUUUUGUUAAAUUAAGACCAAAAUGCAAGUGUAAAUUUUGUUAAAUUAAGACCAUAUUUUCCCCCUUUAUUUUUUCAGUGCCGACCGGAAAAAAAAAUUUCAGUCUCAUCUAAAUAAGACAUACUUCAGCAGACCAAUAGACUGCAGAUCAGACCCAAUUCAAGGGUAAUGCAGUCCAAAGUUCCUUGAACUCCCUCCUCCAAAGUGAAAAACAAAUCUAUAUAUUUCUGCAUGAUUCAAACAGAAAGGACUGUUGGACAUGUAACUCAGAAAGAAUGCAAAUACAUUGAAAGUACCAUAGACUUUAUAAAUUAGUUUCAUGUUGUUAAAUUUCAACACUAUAAACCUAAAAAUUCCCAGAACGAAAUGCGGGAAUCAUGCCUUAAACUCCAAUACUCAAAUAAGAGACAGAUAAAUUGCACAUUUUUUAAUAUAAUAUUUACAGACUAGAGAUAAAAAUAUAGAAAAAUAUAAACAUGGACAUCGACAAAAAGACUAAUUGACUGUGCAUGUGUGCUAGAGAGUGGCAAUUAAACAUUAUCCAAACACAAUCAUUUCUCAACAUUUGUAAAACAAAAAGAAGAUUAAGAUUAGCAGUAAACUAAAUAAAACCAAAGAAGUGAGAACCACAAGUAAAUGAGAAAGAAAACAAAAUAGAGAUCCUAGUAGCUUUCCCAUUGAACUUCGUAUAAGAGAAAUAACAACAUUUGAACUUUAAGCAAAUAAAAAUGUAAAAUAUUCAGAAUCAAAACAAUCUUUUAUCAAAAUUCAAGCCAAAAACAAUGAGCUUCACUCUAUACAAGAAGCAUGUUAAAGUCAUAGGCUUUCUCGUUUCUGGAAACCAAAUCCAGAAACGUCUCCCACCAAAAAUCAAGAAAAUAACUUCUGUUUUUGAAAAUCACAUUCAAAUCGUGAAAUAGGAGCAAGGUCCUUCAAAUUCAAGCAAAGUUGGUAGUAAAAGCUUAACUUUCAAAGGUCAAACAACACAGCAUUAAGUAUAAAACUAACCCAAUCUCCACCAAUUCAAAAACAAGAAACCAAACACGAACCCGAAGAUCCAAACACGAUUUCGAAAAAAAAAAAUAGAUAUUCCUGAAAAUCGGAUAAAAAACUAGCAUAUACUUAAUGAAAAGAGAAAUUGACGAAAAAUCACAAGAGAUCUGCAUGCAAAUAUAGGCACACUUUUGCUUGAUUAUUCGCUUAAAAAAGUAACAAUGGAAAACAAGAUGCAAGUGUCACGGGCCGCAGUUCAAAGCCCGUGACCAGCGCACCAAAUGCAUCCAAUAGAGAUCUAUUGCUCAGAUAGGGAUCAUUUGGCCCACAAGAACUGGCUCGAUUCAAGGAGCUAUUGGACAAGCCUGUCAGAUUGAAGCCUGGUUGGCCCGAAAACGAAGAGAUGGCAACUUAGGCUAAUAUGGUAACUAAUCUUAGAAGAUAGAGGGAAUCUUAUCUUGUAAAGAUUAGAUUAGAUUAGAUAAGGCUUAUCUUGUAAAUCCCUAAAAUUAAGGGAUAUGGGUUAAUCUCAUCCGUCGAUGUAAAUGUAUAUUGACCGUCGAUUUUGGGGGAGAUCAACUAUAAAUAGAGAGCCUCCCCCUCAUUUGUACUCACUCUUGUAAUUAUUUCAUUAUUCUUUGUGAAUAAGAGAAUUGAGAGCAUUUACUCAAACACUUUACGAGCGUCCUUUCUGUUGUUCUUUUGUUUAGCUUCUUUUGGCACAAUCGCUUCCGCUAUACAAAUUGGUGCCUUGGAGGAGUUCUAAAAGAAUCCUCACUUGAGUUAAGCCUGACUUGGGCGAGUUUGGAUGAACAAAUUGUCUAAGGCUGCACGAAUUACGAGACGAAAGGUCUAGCCCUGUGACAAGUGGUAUCAGAGCCAAGUUUUGAACCAAGUGACAUUCGAGUUGGUUUGAAGGCACCGUUGGGAUGUCAAGAGAAGAGUUCGAACAAAGGUGGGAGAAGAAGUAUUUGAGGGAGACAUUAUCGGUAGUAGAGAAACGUGUGGGUAAACUCGAGGGAUCCAUGGAGGAUGUAAAGGAGGCACUCGAUGGGGUCGAGGAUCACAUUGCAAACUGGAAGGAGCAGUCUAGAGACUAUGUAAAGAUGUCUCUUAGUUCCAUCAUGGAUAUGGUAAACGAGUUGUUUAAUUCACACAGGGAUAAGCUGUCGGAAAGGAAUGAUGCUCUCGAGGCCAAAAUGAUGGCUUUGAAAGAGGAAACAAUGGCCACGACGAGGGCUUUGAGCACAAGAAUAGAGGAGCUCGAGGGAGAGCUGGCCUUGUGUUGAGCAGCCGUGAGGAAAGGAGUGGCAAAUGUAGCACUCAGUAACGAGGAUGUCCCAAAGCUGAAAGAGUUUGUGGGGACAAGGUCUGCGUGCGAUGUGGAUAAUUUCUUAUGGAGGAUGGAAAACUACUUCCGUGCCAAAGGCGUCAUGGAUGAUACGGUUAAGGUAAACACUACUUCAAUGUUUCUUACUGCCAUUGCACUUUUAUGGUGGAGAGGUAGGACCACAAAUAAAAGGCAAGGUGAGAUUGGGACGUAGCAAGAGUUCCAAUGCGAAUUGAAGGGACAGUUUUACCCAGAGUUUACCGAGGAAGAAGCUCGGGCAAAGUUGCAAGGGAUAACGUAACAGGGCACAGUGGGGGAGUAUGUUCGAGAGUUCAAGGAACUCAUGCUCCAAGUUUUAAAGGUGACCGAAAGAGAGGCAUUGCUUGCUUUUCAAAAUGGAUUGAAGCCGUGGGUCAGACAGGAGGUGGAACAAAGAGGUGUCCAAAAGCUAUCGGAAGCCAUGACGGUAGUUGAGUCUGUGGUUAAGCUUAGUCUAGGGAAAGACAAGCUUGGAUCUUCCAAGUCCGAUGGAAGGGGUAUAUGUGAAAUGGAUCAAAAGGAAGAUAGUGUUGAUGGCAAUGGCAACGGCAACAAUGGUGGUAAUGGGAAACCAUGAGUUGGGAAGAAGAAACCCAAGAGGAAAAGGGACAAGCUAAAAUGCUUUCUCUGCGACGGUCCACACAUGCUGAAGAAAUGUCUGAAAAAUUUGAGCUCAAGGAGAAGCCGGUGGGUAAGGCCUUGGUACUUGGUUCGAGCGCAAGGGGUGUCGAAGCCAAGAAGGCCAAAAGUAAGAAGAAGCCAGUGGAGUGGUUCUUGUGUCAUGGUCCGCAUAGGUUACGAAAGUGUCCGAGGAAGUCUAUCAUCGAGGGGAAUGAUGGAGCAGACAAGGAGCCCAAGAAGCUUGGUUCGAGCAAGGGAAAAGCCGAAGCCAAAGGGGCAAAAGGGAGCAAAAAGAAGCGAGUAAAGUGCUUCUUGUGCCGUGGUCCGCAUGAGUUACGGAACUGUCCAAAGCAAGCCGGAGUCAUAAGAAAGGCAACGUCUGAGCUUGGUGAGUCAUCGGAGGGGCUUCCACCCAAGGAAGAGGUGAGUUUGUCAUCGAACUUAAAGGAAAUAGUUGCGAUGAAAACAGUGAAGCUGGGACCAAUGAGGCUCAAGUUGAGUGAAGCGUCGGAGUUGGCCGAGUCAUCGAUAAGGCUUCCACCUAUGGGAGAGGUGGGUGGUGCAUCAGACUUCAAGGGAAAAGAAGGGAUGCAUGUGGGACAGUUGACCAGAGUAAAUGCGACGAGUAGGACGGUUUGAGUUAAGAAGCGACGUAAGCCGAGGCAAAAAUCCCGAAGGAAGGGAAAGGCUAAGGCAUUGAGACAAGACCGAGGUGAAUCGAGUCAGUGCCAUUCAAAAGUCACAACGAGGACGGUGCAAGAAUGUGUGGGGGAGAAUGUCACGGGCCGCAGUUCAAAGCCCAUGACCAGCGCACCAAAUGCAUCCAAUGGAGGUUUGUUGCUCAGAUGUGGAUCAUUUGGCCCACAAGAACUGGCUCGAUUUAAGGAGCUAUUGGACAAGCCUGUCAGAUUGAAGCUUGGUUGGCCCGAUAACGGAGAGAUGGAAACUUAGGCUAAUAUGGUAACUAAUCUUAGAAGAUAGAGGGAAUCUUAUAUUGUAAAGAUUAGAUUAGAUUAGAUAAGGCUUAUCUUGUAAAUCCUAAAAUUAAAGGAUAUGGGUUAAUCUCAUCCGUCGAUGUAAAUGUAUCUUGACCGUCGGUUUUGGGGGAGCUCAACUAUAAAUAGAGAGCCUCCCCCUCAUUUGUACUCACUCCUGUAAUUGUUUCAUUAUUCUUUGUGAAUAAGAGAAUUGAGAUCAUUUACUCAAACACUUUGUGAGCGUCCUUUCUAAUGUUCUUUUGUUUAGCUUCUUUUGGCACAAUCGCUUCCGCUAUACAAAUUGGUACCUUGGAGGAGUUCUAAAAGAAUCCUCACUUGAGUUAAGGCUAACUUGGGUGAGUUUGAACGAACGGAUCGCCUAAGGCCUCACAGAUUGUGAGACGAAAGGUCUAGCCCCGUGACACAAGUGCUAGGUAAAACCAUCAUGUCUGCUUACUCACCACAAACAAAGGCCCUCUAGGACCUUCAUGAAUUUUUGUCUUAUAAGUGCUUCCAUUGUGAGCCUGAACAGCUUGAUAGCCCACAAGAUAAGGAUAUCGAUCUUUACCCUACAGAUUAACAAGGUUAAAUCCACUUAAAUGAAGCACCAUUAGUCUAUAACAAUUUACUUCAAUUUUCUGCUGUUAGUUCAAAUAUUUAUUUUUUUAAUUUGCCAAAACUUGCUAGGAUCGAAGAUUUGGAAUUCCUAAAUUUCAAUUACAAAUUUACACCGUACUUGCAGAAAAAUAUAUUACUAUUAGAGACACCAGCAAUCAACCAGAGUUCUUUAGUUUUCAAUCAAGUUAUUCGACAGGUAUCUAUAUUGAUUACACAAAAAAAAUCAUACACCGUGAGAAUGUCGAGUAAAUUACAAAUACAAAAGCAAACGAACCCUAAAGGAGCUCCAAUACUUCUUCUCCCAGGGGCCUUUGUAUAGAGAUCCAAUGGAAACGAUCUCUAGAUCCUCUAAUUUCGUUGUUUGUUCUCCUUUUUUUGUUUUCGCCAUUCAAAGAAAUGAGAAGAAAGCAAGAUUUCCAAACAACUAACAAUAAGAGAGUAGAGAGGAUUUUCAAGAUAGACGAAGACAUGGCAUUUUAAAAUAGGGGAACUAAAAUCUUAAAAUGCAUGAUUUCCCUUGAAAUUCUAAAUAAAAACUUUAUUUGAUUAGGAAAAAUGUGAAUUGAUUUUGGGAAAAAGAAGGGAAAAAAAAGAAAAGAUUUCAUUUGAAAUAUUGGGAUAAAAAAAUAUAAUUACAAAACGACGCCGUUUUGAAAAAAACAUAUUCGUGGCGUUUGGAAAAAAAAGUCACUAUUGCUCGACUUUUAGCGACAUUUGGACCAAAAACGCUACUAUUGUUCAACUUUUUUCUGCAUUUACAACAAAAAAGCCGCUAUUGCUUACCUUUUGCGGCGUUUUUUUUAUAAAUGCCGCUAACACUUGACUUUUUUACAAUUUUUAUAUUGAAUUAUUGUAUCUUUCAUAUAAAUUUUAAAUGAAUAAUUUUUAGUUUUUGUAUUUCAUUUUUAUUUUUGUAUUUCAUUUUUAUUUGUUAUAAUUUUGUCCUAUCCAAAAUAGAUAGUUACCUAUCCAUAUCAAUCUGUUACUUUUUUUUAUUUAUUUAUCAAUAUUUUUUUAAAUUUAAUAGUUAAAUAUAUUAAAUGGUUUAGAUUUAAUAUUUUUAAAUAUAAAAGCAUUAAUUGAUUGUAUAAAAUUUUAUCAUUUAACAAAUCUCAAGUAAACCUUAAAUCCUAAACCAUUUAAUAUAUAUAAAGUUUAUCUAUUAUCUCUUAAAUAAUUUAAACUAUAAUCAUAAUUUUAAUAUAUUAAAAUUAAAAUUAAAAUGAUCUCUUUUACAAUUAUAUAAGAAAUUAUUUAAUAUAUAAAUUAAAAAACACUAAUUAACCUAAACCCUAAACCCUAAACCCCUAUCCCCUAAACCUUGAAUUAUAAAACAUAAAACAUAAACCCUAAAUCCCUGAAUCCCUAACCCUUAACCCCUAACCCCUAACCCCUAAACCUUAAACCCCAACCCUUAAACCAUAAUCCCUAAACCCAUAAUCCAUAAUCCAUAAACCUUAAAAUAGUAACUCUUAAACCUUAAACCCUAAACCAUAAACCCUAAACUAUAAUGAUAAUUAAUUCAAUAUUUUAAAAUUAAUACUAUCUCUUUUACGAUUAUAUAAGAAAUUAUUUAAUAUAUAAAUUAAAAACAAUCAGUCAUGUACCCAAGAAACUUUAAAAUUAUUUUAAAUAAUAUAUUUUAAUUUUUUCAUUUUUAACAAAUAUUUUCUAUGUUUUUACUUUCAAAAUUUCUCUACGUGUCAUUAUUUUUUUCUGAAGAAUUUAAAUAUUCAAUUAAAAAUAAAUUUAUUUUAAUUAAUAUAAAUAAAGCGGUUAAAUAAUAAAUAGACAGAUAAAAUACUUUUUGCGGUGAUUUUCAUAAAGUGCCGCUAAAGCUCGAUCUACAGCGGCGUUUUACGAAAAAGAGUCUUACUGAAUUUUUUGGGGCAUUUUUCAAAAAGCGCCACUAAUUCUCGAUCUAUAGUGGCGUUUUUCAAGAAGCGCCGCUAAUGCCACUAAAGCUCAACAUAAAACACCAGCAUUGAGCUUAAUUUUUUUGCGGCGUUUUUCAAAAAGAGCCGCUAAUGGUAGACCUAUAGCGGCGUUUUUCAAAAAGCGCCACUAAAGCUCAACAUAAAACACCGGCGUUGUGCUUAAUUUUUUUACGGCAUUUUUCAAAAAGCGCCGCUAAUGGUCGACUUAUAGCAGUGGUUUUAAAAAAGACCCACUAAUGCUCGAUCUAUAGCGGCAUUUUUCAAAAAGCGCCGCUAAUGCUCGAUCUAUAGUAGCGUUUUUUAUCCAAACGCCGCUAAAAAUGCCACUAAAAACCUAUUUUGCUGUAGUGAUUUGUGGGGUAAGUGGUUGAACAUUUUAAUAUAGACUGACUUUUCUAUAAUUAGUCCUUGCUUUAAUUACUUUGGGUGGAUUCUUCCAACUAGUCCAAGCAUUAUUGUACAAUUACAAUUAAUCUUUUUAAAUGAGACAAACAUUUCAAAUUUGUCAUUACUAUUUGUGAGUGAUUUGGGGGUAAGAAGUUUAACUCUUCUGGAUGUCUUAUAGAAUUGUGAUUAUACUUUUUGAGUAUUGACUCAGUUUUCCACAAUUGUGGGUCUCUAUUUGAGCAAAACAAUUUCAACAUUUCUUCAUCUCGUUUAAUCCAAAUGCAUUUAUGCAUUUCUUAUAUCAUUGAAUUUGCUGCUUCAUAUUCAAUUUUUGGACAAGUAGAAUUUUCUAACCUAUUUUCCAUCAACUUCACUUGAAUUUUCAAUCACAAUCAAUUGCAUUCAAGAGCACCACAUCUUUUUGGAUGAAACAAAAAUUUCAAUUUUAAGAUAAACGGGUCUUUAGGGUUAUAAUUUCAAUUUUUAAAAGUUUAAAAUAAAUUUGUAUUUUUAUUAACAAAAUGUAUAUAAAAAAAAACUUGUUUAGACAAGCCAAGAGACCUUUGGGAUCAUACGGGUGAUUUUGAUGAUGUUAAUGGUUAUUUUGGUGGAGAGAGUGAAAAAGAAACAAAUGAUUCAUUAUAUAUAUUAUAAUUAUGAAAUUCAAGCCAUAUAUUGUAUGUUUCAUACAUAAAAAAAAUUGGAGCAAUUUAAUCCCUAUCAAUUUUGAAAGUGAGUAACUAAGGACAAUUAAUUAUGGUGUUAAAUUCUUCCAUCAAUUGUACAUAAUUUUGAUUGGUAUAGUAAUAAAUUUAGCCUUCAAUAUUUAUAUAUUUUUUCAUUUUGGCCUUAAUUUUUUUUAAAAAAUUCAAGAAAUUCAACCUCAACAUUUACAUAUUUACACAAACAUUGCGGGAAAAUUUUGUUAAAUUAAGACCAAAUUGCAAGUGUAAAUUUUGAGGGCUAAAUUUAUUAUUAUACCAACCAAAAUCAUGUACAUUUUAUGGAAAAUUAACAUCUUGAUUAAUUAUUCUUAGUUGUUCACUUUCAAAAUUAAUAGGGACUAAAUUACUUUGAUUUUUUUAGGGUGACCAAUUUCCUCAAAGUGGAAAUUGAGAGAGACUAUUGAGAUCUUUUGCAUAUUUCUUUUAUAAAUAUAUUUUUUAAAUAUAAAAUAUAUUUGUUCACACACAUCGUGAGUAUGAUCUCAAUAGUCCACAUAAUCCAUUAAAAAAACUUAAAAAAUAUAUUUUAUUUUUUAACACCUAAGUGAUUCUCCAGCUAACGACCACCCAAGACACACCCCGACUUUAUAACACCCCAAUCUUAUUUAAUUAUUAGUUAUUUAUUAAUGCAGAAGUAAAUUAUGAGCCAAUUUUAAUCUUUUCCUCGGUAAUUUAACCUAAGGCCAAUUUCAUCAUUUUACCACCUAUUGUAAAACUAACCCGAUUUUAGAUAUAACAACAUGUUUGGUUUGGUGUAAUAGAUUAGCCAUUACACCCCUAUUUCGUGGGCCCCACUAAUCCCCACUUAUUCUUGUGUUUGGUUUGAUGUAUUGCCUAUUACAGGCCUAUUACAACACGAAUGUAUUCCUCAUUUUCUCUGCUUCAACAAUGAUUAGCCAUUCCGUUCCAAAAGUAAGGAUUAGCUAAUCGUCUCUGUUUUACCCUCCUCAGCCAAAAUCUACUGCUCCACCCCACCCUCUCCCUCCCAACAUCAACAGCAGUUUUCUUCGAACCAAAUCUCCACCGUCUCAGAUCGCCUGUGAGUAAUCUCAACAGCAGUUGCCAGUGAAAAUUGCCCUUUCUUCAAAAACCCAGCCCUAAACCCUUCUUCUCUUUCAAUACUCCAUUCGAACAGGUUGCGGUGUCUCCCUCCUCUGAGGUAUGGCUCUGUUUCUUUAACUUUAGCAUUGAGCGACUCUUUUCAAUUCCAAAAUUAGUCUACUCUGCUAAGGGUUCUUGCUUUUCAAACCAUUUUUUCACCAUUUUUCUUGUAAUUCUUUUUCUUGUUAGAGUUCAGAUUUUAGAUUUUUUUUAAAAAAAAACGAUUAGAUUGUGAGGUUCAGUUAAUUAUUAGGGUUUUCUGUUUUGGGUUUCCCUGUUGCGUGGUAAUUUUGAAGUGCAUAUAAAAUGGAUGCUUUUGAGGAUCUUAAGCAAUUCGGCGAUACUGAUAAAGGUUGAUAUUCGAUUCAUUUUGCUUUAAUUUACUUGGUUUAUGCAUUUUGGGGAUAAAAUUAGCUUUGUUUUCUUCUCUUUUGGUUGGCUUUAAGCUGAGAGUAAAAUUUGAAACCUUUGUGGUGGAGGAGUUACCGUUCUUCUGAGAUCAAAUGUAUAACAGGUUAGAAGGAAAUGAAAUUAGAUCCUUAAAUAUUGUGUUUUCAAUGUUAAGGGCAGGCUUUUGUUGCUAAAACAAUUGUGGUAACACUGUUUGAUUCAGUUAGAAGUCAAAUGUCGUUUCCAUGUGUGAACAAUUUCUGGUUUUUAAGUAGCGACUUUGUUUCAUGUUGGCCUGGACAUUUUCCAAAUUAGUAAUUAUAAGUUUGAAUUUGGCUACUAAAUCACGCCAAUUAAUGAUUUCAGUGUGCUGGUGUUUCAGACUUUCAGUUGAAUUGACUUUGGUUUCGAAUAUUUUUAGUGAUGGAAAUAAGCACGAUUUAUUUAAAUUAUGAUUGAAUUGGAGAAACUGCUUUUUGUACAUUUUGAGAAAUAUCAGGCCCUUGGAUACACAAAGGGUGUUAACUUGCGCCUAUCUCAAUUACCCCAUUCCUGCCCAUUGAAUUGGAGAAAGUUCUUUUUUUUAAUGAUUCUGCGUUGCUACUGAUUUUUAGUGAAAUGGUAUUUUUCUUAUGAUGUGUUUUCUUCUUUAUGAAGAGCUCAUUUCAGUAAAGUUAACCUUUCUAUUAUGCAGAAGGUGCAGUAUUUGAUGCAUCACAAUAUGCAUUUUUUGGAAACAAUGUUCUCGAGGAAGUUGAAUUGGGGGGGCUAGAUGAUGAGGAUGAGGAUUUACCUGCAGCUGGACUUGAUGAAGAGGAGUUUUUGUUUGAUCAAGAGGAGGUUAAUAUUCUUGUUUCUUUCAGUUUUAUUUUUCCUGUUUCGAUUGUUCUUGCAAGUUUCUGCAGCAUAGCACAACCAGUGACUAUUCGAUCGAAAAAUAAAUGUAUCCCUUCCAGGCGUCAUGCUAAAAAAUAGCCUUUUGGAUUAGUGUUGGAUUUUUUCUCCAUGUUCUUUAACAGAUAGAUUCCACUGCAUUCAAUUAGUGGUUGGCAUGCGAGUUUUAUUUGUGGAAUAAAGCUCUGUGGGAGUUCAUAUUAUAUAUUGUUCUAUUUGUCUGUGCAAAACAUUGUGAACCUUGUUCUCUGUAUUUAUAAGUUGACAAUGUAGCCAUCUUGGUUGGCUGCUUUCCGAAGUCAAUUUAUUUGAUUCGUUCUCUUUGCUCUUCACAAUGAGAGGUAGCUCUUUUGUACUUUUUUAAUAAGAUCAUAUUAUACAUGCUCUUUUGCAGUGGUCUAGUGGUUUAGUAUCUUGUUAAUAAAACCAUAUUGUAUAUUUGAAUAGUUUGGAGAUUGUGUUAACUGUAUUUGGUGCAUCUUGAAGUAAUGUUUGUUGUAUCUUAUAUGCUUCCUGAAUCAAAUAUGGAGAGAAGGUAGUAUAUGGAGUUUAUAUUUUCAAGUAUUUUUCACACAAUUGAUUUAUCUGUUCCCUUCAUUGAGGGGAAAACAUGGAAUGAAUUGACUUACACCUCACUUCUUCCUCAAACAUCUUUUGUACCACUUAUUUUCAUAAAAUGAUAAGAAUCUUUUUAGAUUACAACUUCCAGAGGUCUAUGUCACCUUCUUGACAAUCAGGUUUUUAGGAAUAUUUUUACCCAUCAUGCAGAAGUUUUAGACAAAAUCUUGUUCGUGGUUGCUGCUAGAUGCAUGAUACUGCCUCAUUUCCUUUGUGGUGGUUCUUCGCUCUCCCCCUUCUUAGUAUUUUUGGUUGUUGAGUCUUGGAGGCAGUUGUAUUCAGUAAUGGCUGGCUUGCUUUGAUGCAUUGCUUCUGUAUAUCUUUGUAGAAAACGAAUCUGUAUCUAUUAUUAACACAAAUUUGAUUAGUUCAUGCCAAUGGAUUUGUAAAGUUAAAUUAGUUAUUGGCGUUAGAAAUUUACUCUUAUGCCUGGAAGGAGAUCUGGCUUACAGAUCAACUACUGGAGUUAAUUGUGGAAAUUUGUUUGAUUUGGUUUCUUAUAAAAUUGUUACCCUGUUCUAUUUAUGUUGGAGUAGCUGAAAUCUGAGGUUGCAUUUGUCAUUAACAAAUAGAAAUCCAAAAAGAGAGGAAAGUGAUAUCAUCCCCUCCACUUUUUCCUUGGAAUUGCGUACUUCAAACUUUUUUAAUUGUAUAAAUUCAUAUAAGAAAAUUUAUUAUGAUGUUGUAAAACUAUAAAACAUAUGGAUUAUGAUGUAGAAUUUCAUUUUCAUCUAACCUUUUCUUAAUAUAAGUUAAUUAUGUUUAUGCAGAAUAUAAUCUCAAGUUAUAAUUUGAUUUUAGUAAAUUCAUAUAAGAACAUUUUAUUAUUAAAUUAUAUUUAAUAUUAAUUAUUUUAAAUUGUAUAAAUUCAUAUAAGAAAAUUUAUUAUCAAGAAUUUUAUGAAAUUAUAUAUCAUUAUUAAAUUAUAUUUAAUAUUAAUUAUUUUAAAUUAUAUAAAUUCAUAUAAGAAAAUUUAUUAUCACGAAUUUUAUGAAAUUAUAUAUUAUUAUUAAUUAUAUUUAAUAAUAAUUAUUUUAAAUUAUACAAAUUCAUAUAAGAAAAUUUAUUAGUUAUAAUUAUUUUAAAUUUUAUUAAAUCAUAUAUUUUAAUUAAAAUAUUUUUAAUAUUAAUUACUUCAAAUUAUAUUUUAUAGUAUCAUAUAUUAUGAUUUUAGUAAAUUCAUAUAAGAAUUUUGAUUAUUAAGAAUUUUAUUAAAUUAUAUAUUUUAAUUAAAAUAUAUUUAAUAAUAAUAAUGUUAAAUUAUCUUUUAUCGUAUCAUAUAUUAUGAUUUGAGUAAAUUCAUAUAAGAAUAUUAAUUUUUAAGAAUUUUACUAAAUUAUAUAUUUUAAUUAUAAUAUAUUUAAUAAUAAUUAUGUUAAAUUAUAUUUUAUAGUAUCAUAUAUUAUGAUUUGAGUAAAUUCAUAUAAGAUAUUGAUUAUUAAGAAUUUUAUUAAAUUAUAUAUUUUAAUUUAAUAUAUUUAAUAAUUAUUAUGUUAAAUUAUCUUUUAUAGUAUCAUAUAUUAUGAUUUGAGCAAAUUCAUAUAAGAAUAUUAAUUAUUAAUAAUUUUAUUAAAUUAUAUAUUUUAAUUAUAAUAUAUUUAAUAAUAAUUAUGUUUAAAUAUGAUUAAAUUAUUUAUUAUUGAUAUUAUUAAUCUUAUUAAAAUUUAAAUAACAAUAACAAUAAUCAUUUACCCAAACAAAUUUAUGCUAAUGGUAUUCUAGUCAUUUUAGUUUUUUUCCAUUAUGCUAUUACACCUCUAUUCCAUUCAACCAAACACAAGAAUACUAUUACGCCUCUAUUCCAUUACGCCUCUAUUCCAUUCAACCAAACAAUUGAUUUGCUAUUACGCCUCUAUUCCAUUACACCUCUAUUCCAUUACGCCUCUAUUCCAAUACAGCGAACCAAACGUGCUGUAAGUGUUUACCAACCUUCUUUUAGUUAAAUUAUGCAAGCCUAAAAUUUUCAGCUUUAUUUGAGUACGUUUUCUAUGUCUAAUUCAAGUUUUAUUAUUAAGGACUAAAUUGUAACUUAAACAAAUUAGAAUACCAAUUUAAAGAGACAAAAUUCAAAACCCCAAAACCCACACGGGCAUGUGGGUAAGUGGCACGGGCCAGUGGAGACUGGAGCUAUCACAUAAGGCGAGUGAGAUUGAAACAUAUGAAAUAAAUUAAUCCACUUAAUUUUCCAACAACCAUGCUAUACUACCAAACCAAAUAACGAGUGAAGCUUUGAAUAGGGGCGAAUCUAAAAAAAAAAUUAGAAGAAUUAGAAUUAAAUUAUAAAAUUUUGAGAAGUUAUCAUGUAUUAAUUUAUUAUUUUUUUAAAGGGUCCUAAUAGAAUUUUUUUCCCAUUCUGGUUGGGCCAAUACCUUUGACUGCCUCUUUAAAUUUGCUUCAACCCUAAACCCAAUAUUCGAUUUGGAUUAACAACAAUAUAUAGGUUUGUAUUUGUGGGAGUUUGACGAAUAAAAAUUUCUAUUUAAAAGGUUUAAAUUAUAAAUUUUUGAAAGUUUAAAAUAAAUUUGUAUUUUUUAUUAACAAAAUAUAAAAGAAAAAAAACAUGUUUAGACAAGACAAGAAACCUUGGGAUCAUACGGGUGAUUUUGAUGAUGUUAAUGGUUAUUUUGGUGGAGAGGGUAAACACGAAACAAAUGAUUCAUUAUAUAUAAUAUAAUUAUGAAAUUCAAGCCAUAUAUUGUACUUUUGGUUUUUCUGCAAUAUGAUACAUGUAUUUGGUAAAAAGUUAUAUAUUUUGAUACUUAAAAGUAACAUUGUUAAUUUUUUUAGUGCUUAAUCUGAAUUUUAGAGUUUAUUUAAUGAACAUUAAUUGUUAAUAUUGUUAUGUUUAUUUUUUUAUGAUUUUGUUAAUAAAAUAAAUUUUAUGUUUAUCUUGUUAUCUUUUUUAUUUUAGAAUUGAUUACAUGAAAGUUAAUUGCUAAUAUUAUUAGUUAACUAUUAGUUUUCUUCAAAUCAAAUUAAAACCCGAAAGAUCCCACUUUUUUUUUAUAUUAGUUUUAGUUAUCCAUUAAAUUUGUUUCUUUGUAAUAAAAUUAAAUUAUAGAAAUAACAUUAAAAUUUUAAAUAAAAUUAAUUCACAAUAAUUAUACAGAAUUUAAUUUUCUUUCAAAUACUGCAGUUAAUAAGGAAAGUGAAUAUAGUAAAAAGAAAUAUUGUUUAAUUAGUUAAUUUAAAAAUCAAUAGCGUCUAAAAACUGUCAGAAUGGAAUAUUAGAUUUUAUAAGAUUUCAUUAUUCUAAAAAAUAAAAUAUGACAAUGCUUAAAAAUUUUAUCAAAAAAGUUUUAAAUUUUAUAUAAAAUUUUAAAAAAUAAAAAAACAGUAUUAAAAAUUUUUAUAAGCAAAUUAAAUAUUAAUUAGUAAAUUAUUUUUGUAAUAUUUAUAUGUAUUUUCAUUUUUAUAAAUACUAUUAAAACUUUUUUUAAAAAAAUUGAAUGCUAUGUAAAAACAUUAUUAAAAAUAAAAUAUUAUAUGAAAGUUAAAAUGAUGUAAAAACAUAUUUUCAGUGUUGGCGUUGCUCGUUCGUAAAUGGGUUAGUUUCCGUUUUGAUGUGUUUUUACGUGGAUAGUAAAAGAAAUGUGUUAAUUUUUGGAUUAUGGAGUUGAUCGUUUUUAAUCAAUUCUCCAGUAAGUUGACUCGUUUGUUGUUGUUAUGUGCUAGGAUAAGAGAUUAAUUCUGAUUUGGGCCUGUGUGGUUGUGUAGAUUUUCCAUGUGAAAUCGUUUGGUAUUUUUAGGAUAAAUCAUUCUUUAAAUCGUAUUGCUACCAUCGCGAAUGUGAUGUUUUAAUUUAUGCAUUUAGGAUCUGGUAGUCUUAUAGGUGUUUUCGCAUAAAAAAUUGAACCAUGUGUGUAACGAAAGCUAAAAAAUUGCACUGUUGACGCCACACGGCCAUGUGACAAGUCGUGUGCUGGAUCAUGUGUAACACACGAUUUGAGCUAGUUGAGCCAUGUGGAAAACAAAGGUGUGUGUGAAGGCGUGUGCCACACCAUGUGGGCCACACAGGCUGGCCAUUUAGGCCGUAUGGGACCAAAAUUCUAAUUUUUUUCCUAGGGUUAUACACAGUGUGUAUACUUGUCUUUGAAUUGAAAAAUUCUAAACAACUCUAAAUAAAUGGAAAGCAGCAAAUUACCUGACGAGGCAAGCUAGGUCAAUUACGACCAUUGUGUUAUUCUUGUCUCUGAAUUGAAAAUUUUAGAAGAAACUAAAGAGAAAGUGUUAGAAAAUAAUUGAAAACAGAUAAAACUUAUGUCUCAUUGAUUGGAUAAACUACGAUCACCCAUAAUAGACCUUGUACUUGACUUUUUGUUUAGGGAGAUUGACUCUUUUAGGAGAAGUCUUUUGAGUGUUGUUUGCUAGGCAAUCGGUGCUGCCCUCAACAACUAAUGGUAGUGUCCCCAUGUUGGGAUUUUAUCCCCAGCCUCUGCGGAAUAAUCAUUGAGGAUAUGUGCGUAGGGAUUCAAACUACCAAUCAAUGCAUGUGUAGCCUUUACCUUGCAACCAUCUCCAUGAACCCAUAGGGUUCUUAGCGGGAUCAAGAGACGAAACCCUAAUGUGGGAACAAUACCAUUUGUUGAAGGCUUUGUUAAUAGGGUCACACCUAGGGGAGUUGGCAGGGGUCCCAACCCCCCUUAAAAUGAAAAAUUUUCCAUUUAGGCCCUUUAAAAUUUUUAAAAUUUUAAAUUAAUAAAAGUAAAAUUGUACUUUGGCCCCCCAAAAAGUGAUAAAACUUCGAUUUAGUCCUCUAAAAAUUAUAAAAUAUAGGCUAUUAAAAUGGUGAAAUUGCAUUUUUACUAUCAUAAAAAUUAUAAUUUAAUUUCACCCCCUAAAAAGAUUUUCUGGCUUCGCCCCAAAUAAAAUCUUUGCCAAAAGAUUAAAAUAAAAUUAUACCGUAAAUGAAAAAAUAAACUAAGAAAAUCCAAUCUAACAAAGAAAAUAACUUGAUGUCCAAAAGCUACCAUGAACCGUAAUUCAUGGGAAGUCUUGUUGCUCAUUUUAUUGGUUUCCAUUUUGAUUUUGCAAAAUAAGUUUGAAUUUUGAAGAGAGCCUACUACGUGAGAGCAAAAGAAAAAAAUUCUAUAAAGAUUUUGAAUUUUGAAUUUUGAAUUUUGAAUUUUGAAUUUUGAAUUUUGAAGCAGAUUUUCAUUAAGAUUGAAGAUUCCUAAUUGAUUUCUUAGGAGAUUAUCAUGAGUUCCUUAUUUCUUUCAGUUAUAUUGCCCUUUGGAUUUUUUAUUUUUAAUCAUGAACUACUUUUCUAAAUACGUAAGAGAGAUGAACCCUAUGAUAGAUUGUGACACCCCAAAGCUGACCGGGAUAGACCGGCCUGAAUUCAAAGCAUUACAUUAGCCACCUAAGGACCACUCAAGACACACCCCGACCUUAUAACACCUCAAUCUUAUCUAAUUACUAGUUAUUUAUUAAUGCCGAAGUAAAUUAUGAGCCAAUUUUAAAGUUUUCCUAGGUAAUUUAACCUAAGGGCAUUUACAUCAUUUUAUGACCUAUGGUAAAACUAACCUAGAAAUACCGAAAACAUUCCAAAAUAAUAUAAAAAAAAAGCUAAGAAAAACCUAGAAAUACAAAAAAAAAUUCAUGUUUUUACAAAUUGGGAAAUACCUAAAUUUGUUUUUAUCAAUUAAGAAAUUAAAAAAAUUGUUGAGAAAUAUCUUUUUAGUGAUUGUUAGCUUUGACAAGUUCUCUCCACCACUUCUCUUACGCUCCUUCCAGGAUCUUGCUUUUUGUGUGUUGAAAACUCAAAUGAACAAAAUAAAGUGAAUUUACGAGUUUUGUUUUCUUUUAAAAAUAUUUUUAAUAUUUUUGUGGAUACCAAGAGAUACCAAAAAUUAUUUCACUAAGAAGUUUUAAUUCACUCGAAAAGUUAGUGUUUUAUUUCAAGGGGUCAUAAUUAAUCAUUAGAUUUCUCAAUUUUAAAUUUUGAAUUUUUGACAAUUGUGUAAUUAAUAAGUACCAAUUUUGAGUGGUGUAGGGCUAGUACAAUCUCCCUUACACAUAACCGACUCUUGAUCUAAUAAAUAUUUAUCCUUAUACUUUGAUCUAAAUAUUUUGAUGUAAUCAAUGUAAAAAACCUUUUAAACAAAAUAAGGUUGAAAUAAUCUAUUUGUCUUUAUACUUUGAUAAAAUUUGGGAUUUAGUCCUCAUACCUAAUGUUGACACCAUUUUUUUGUGAAAACGGGGUUGACUUGGAUUUUGUAAACGAAAACGAAAACGGGGGUCGCCACCAAUUCUUUUUGAUAAGGUGUGAUCGGGCCACCUUGAAAAGUGGUUGUUUUUAAUAAACAAUUUAAUUUUAUGAAAACAACGAUUUUGGUCCACGAAAUUCAGAAAAACAGGUUCGGGAGUCGGUUACGUACGAGGAAGGAUUAGCACCCUCAUAACGCCCAAAAUUGGUACCUAGUUGAUUAAUUAAUGUCUUAGUGUAGAAGAUUGAAAACUCUAAAGAGAUUUAAAACACGAUCCUUUACUGAAAUGAUAAAAAUUUUCGGCAAAAAGGGCAUAUUUCACAUUAAUCGAGAAAGAGAAUUAUAUCCAAUAAGUUAGAACACAAUGUCUUGAAUUCCGAUGCGCGAAUGAAUACCAAAAAUUUACUUAUUUAAAAGAUAUUUAACUAUCUCGGAUUUAAAAAAGGGAUCAUGCCCAGUAAGUUAGGACACGAUCUUUUCUUAAUUCCCGAGAUCGUUUAAAACUUGAGAAAAAAGGGAUCAUGCCCAGUAAGUUAGGACAUGAUCUCUUCUUAAUUCCCGAGAUCGUUUUAAACUUGAGUUUGAAAAGAUUCGUGUAUUUAAAUUUAUUGUGAAAAUUGAAACCCCGUAAGUUAGGGUACGACCUUCUCGAAUCUAAACAUGAGAUUUUGCUUAUUCAAAAAAUCAUAAUUUAUGCAUUGAAUAAAAUUAAUCUAACACGAAAUAGUAGAAAUGCAACACGGUGUCAAUAUGUGUAACAAGACAAAAAUGAAUAUGAUAAUGUAAGCAUAAAUAGUACGAACGACAUCGUAAAUGAGAUAAAUAAUAGGAGAGACAAAUCCAUCAUAUCACAACAAAUAAAUAAAUGCAAUAUUAAGACAUUCUUUUCAAAUGAUAAUGAACAUAUACGCAAAUAAACAAAUUAACAUCGAGUGAAACAAAAAUGCAAUAACGAAAUUAAUAAAACUAUAAAAAGUAUAAAAAUAUGUGUGUAUGUACGUGUAGGUAUGCAUUAUAAAAAUAUAUGUGCAUAUAUAUAUAUAUAUAUUUGAAAUUACAAAAUAUAAAAGAUAUAUAUAGGUAUGUAUAUGUAUGAGUUAUAAAAUAUAUGUAUGUAUAUGUGUACAUAACUAAAUUUGAAAUAAAUAGAUAUAGAUAAACAUAAUAAUAAUAUAGUAAGACAGAUAUAUUUAAUAUUUAAAUAAGUGAACAUAAUAAAUGGGAGUAUAAUAAAUAAUAAUAAUAAUGCAAAGCUAGUAAUAUGAUAUAAUGAUAUAAUAUUAAUGACUAAGUAAAUAUAAGAAGAAAAUAUUAAUAGAUAAUGUAACAACCCGGUUUUGACCCUAAUCGGAAUAGUGGUUUCGGGACCACAAAUCCGAACUAGAAAAAUAUUAUUAAUAUUAUUUAGUGUGUUUAUAUUGUGUGCAUUUGAAUGUGUGAAAUUUUCGUGUUUUAAUUUCAUCGUUUAAGUGUCCGAUUUAAUAAAAGGGUUUAAUCGCGUAAAAUGAAAAAUUAGGGGUUAAUUAUAAAAGCACCUAAUUGUUGUUGGCUUUAUAAUUUAGAGGUUUUACUAUGAAAUUAGUCCACUAUAUAAGUUAGUGGGUGGCAAAAGACUAAUGUAACCUUAUUAUAUAUGUUUUAUAUAUAUAUUAGUAAAGGUUAAAAUAGUAAAUUAAUUAUAAAGUUAAUAUAUGUUUAAUAUAACAAAUUAAAUGGCUAUGUUCUUCAUCUUUUGGCCGAAUGGGUGAGAAAAUAAAAGGGGUUUAAAGCUUUUUGUAUUUCGGCAGAUUCAAGCUUUGAUUUAGGUAUGUUUUUGCUUCGGUUUUUGAUGAUUUUUACGUUUUUGAGAUCGUUGCUUUGAAUACUUCAAAACCCAUGUCUUAAUUUUGUGAAUUGAUGAAUAUUUUGAAUUAUGUCAUUGAUGAAUAUUUGUGUUUUGGGAUGUUUGAUGAUGAAUAAUGGAAGAUAUGUCUUAGAUUAACAUGUUUUGUAUUGGUAUUUUUGAUGAAUUUGAGUAUUUAGGGCUAAAUUGUGAAAAUAAAUUUUUGAGGGAUUAAAAUGUGAAAUAAAUGCAAUGUGUGGACUUGUAUGAGAACCAUGAAUAUUCGGCCCUUGUGUGGUAUGGGCAAAUUUUGUGUAUUUUGUGUUUUGUGCAAAAAGGACUAAAUUGCAAAAAGUGCAAAAUGUUAGGGGCAAAAUGGUAAUUUUCACAUUUAUGUAUUGAUGGACUCAAAUGAAUGUUUUGAUGAAUAAGAAGGUUAAAUUUGACUAUGUUUAGAUCAAGGAACGAAGAAAACGAAUUUGGAUCGGGGGAAGUCGAAAGUAAUCGAAUAGUCGAUCGUGUUUGCUGAUAUCCGAGGUAAGUCUAUUAGCAACUAAAAGUUAUUAAGUUAAUAUUUAUACAUGCAUACUAAUUUUAUCUUAUGAUUGAGCUAUAAUUUAAAGUAUAAAAGUUGAAUAAACUUUGGACUAUAGAUAUUGUAUAUAACAUGUUCGAAUAUACAAGUAUGAUCUUGUAUAAAUUAUUGGAUUAAUCAAAGAUAUGUAUAAGAUAUAUGUAUAUACAUAUAAGGUUUGAAUGAUUAUAUGAGUAUGUAUAUAUAUGUAUAAACUCUUGGAUUUGAUUUGUGAUAUGUAAUUUAUAAUUGUAUAUAUAUAUAUAUAAAGUCGAAUAAGCAUGCAAUUAUACAUGUAUGUGUUGUGUAUUGAAUUUAGAUAUGUCAUUAUAUAAGUAUAUGAGGAUUGAUUGUGAAUUUAUAUAUGUAUAAGUUUUUGUUUUGAAAUUAAGUAUGAAAUUAUACAUUCAUAUGGUAGAUUCGAAUAUGUAUAAAUGCACAUGUAUAAUUUCUUGAAUUGAAAUUAGGUAUGGAAUUAUAUAUGUAUGUGAAAGUUUCGAUUUGUAUGUAUAUUCACGUAAAAUUUUUUGAAUGGAAGUGAAGAUAUGAAAUUAUUAGUUUGGAUCAUUAUAAAGUGAUUGAAUGUAAUACAGACGUUACGUCUAGCAGGCUUGAUGCCGGUGAAGUAAUUCAGACUUUAAGUCUAGCAGGCUUAAUGCCGGUGAUACAUUUCAGACUAUAUGUCCAGCAGGCUAAGUGCCGGUGUACUGAAUCAGGCUUUAAGCCUAGCAGGCAAAAUGCUAGUGAAUCUUUUUAAAUUAUGUGAGAAUAUGCAAUUGAUAUAUCUAUGAUUUUGAUUAUACGAAAUAGAUGAAUACAUGAACAUUCGGUUUUUUUUUAUAUGCCUGGUGAGCUUACACCUACAUUCGGGUUUUAUAUUGGUUAAACAUAAUUGUAUGGAUUCGGUAUAUACAAUUAAUAAAGGCAUAUGUACAUUAGGUAUAUGCGAUUGCUGAAAUUAUAAAUGCAUAUGGUGAUAUGUGAUUGUUAAAUAUACACGUUGAGCCUAUGUGUUCGAUAAUUAAUUAUGUAUGCAAUUGAGAUAUGUAUAUAUAUACAUGUACUCAUUUAUAGGUAUAUAUAUUCGAAUGUAUAUACUAGCUAUGUAUUCAGGUAUAAAUCCAUAAUGAGUAUAUAUAUAUACAAACGAAUAUAAAAUGUGAUUGAUACAUAUGUGUUAGAUUCGAAUUGAUUUAAAGUUUACCAUGAGUAUACAUACACAUUCGGUUAAGAUAUGUGUAUAAUAUAUAUAUAUGCUCGAUUGUAUACAUUGGGUUGUAAUGUUGUUUUGUAUAAUAUAUAUUCAAUUGAUUUCAUUCGACAGGUAUACAUAUCUGACUAUAAAUAAAAUGGUCUGAGUACAAUAAUGUAUGAAUGUUAGUUGGUCGUGUUAGUUGAAAUUUCAGUAAAAUAGAUUAAAAGGUUAUAUUAAUUAUGUGUUUAUAUAUACAUUUAGUUAUGCUGUAGACUUACUAAGCUAUAAAAGCUUACUUCAUUUGUUUUCGUUCAUUUGUUUUUAUAGAUUUUGGAGACGCGUUACGAGCUCGGGGAUCAUCAGCAUAGUCCAUCACACUAUCGACUUCUUUUGGUAUUUUGUUAAAUAUUUGAACUCGAUCUUAUGGCAUGUAUAGGCUUGAUAAUGUUUUGGUUAGUUUUGGAUCCUAAUAUGUAAAUAGUCAUGCGAAAAGGGUUUAAUUUCCAUGCUUGAAUUUGACUACAUAUGAUCAUGAUUUGGGCUUGCAUUUGAAUGAGAUAUUCAAGUUACAUGUAUGUUAUAAAUUUUGGAUUAUGUUAGGUAUUAAAGUCAUGUUUAUGUGUGCUUUGUUUCGUAAUGCCUCGUAACCCUAAUUCGGCGACGGAGACGGGUUAGGGGUGUUACAGAUAAUAGCUAGGUUAAUAAAAAAAACAAAAUGGACUAAUUCAUGAUAAAAAUUAAAUUUAAAGGUUCAAUCUAUAAUAAAAUAAAUAAAGUGGGUCCAAAAUGAAAAGGCACGAAAGGGCGGAGGGCCAAAUGAGCAAUAAACCCAAAUUCCAGGCCACGCCCAGGGGUCCAACGAAUUGAGGAACGAAUUGAAAACCGCAACAAACCUACGGUCCAAAUUACAAAACGAGGGAAAAAAGAAAAGGAACUAAAUCAAAACAAAUCGAUAAUGCGGAGGGGCCAAAGGAGCAAAUAACCCAACACUUAACAAUGCACGGAUCCUCUGGUCGGGUCGAGUCGACGAGUGGAUCUGGGGGGCAAAACGACGCCGUUUUGGUACCUGGGAGGCCUGCCCAAAACGACGUCGUUUUAGGGCCUAUAUAAGUAAAAAAACAUAAACAAAAAAAUCAUUUUAAAUCCAUUUCAGAAAAAAAAAACUUUCCCUUUUUUAUUUUCUCUCUAGCCCCACUCCCUUCGAUCCAGACUCCGACCGAUGGCCGUCGCACCGCCCACCGACCACCGGCGACGGUGCCGCCCACUGACCACCGAUGACGGCGCCGUCGUGCACAGUUGUCGGAAAGUUCAAAACCCCUUUUUCUCUUCUCUUUUCGAGUAAAGUACCUAUUUGGGUUUAAGACAUCCCAAAAGUCCUUCAAAAUAAAAAAAGAAAGAGAGAAAAAUCUAGAGACCUUUCGGUUUCUCAUCACCGCCGAUGGAGUUUUUGGCGAACCCGUUGGUUUGACCACCCCAAGACCGGAGGUACCUCCGUCCGCGGCAAUAAAGGUAAUAGAUUUCUCUUUUUAUUUACUAUUAUAUUUAUUUUCGAAAUAAAUAAAUAAAUAAAAAUAUAAAAGAGGCACCUUUGUUUUUUCCAAAUCUGUUUCAAACUUUUUUAUUUUCGAAAAAAUCCCAAAAAUCCCCAUGAUUACAUUGAAUUUGUGGCUUUUAUAGCCCAAUGCAUAUUUUCUUUUUUCUUUUUGUUUAUCACUGCUUCUCUGCUAUUUGUGCUGUUGUUGCGUGUUUUUUUCAUGUUUUGCAGGUCUUGACGGAGCAGGUGGGCAGGUGGCAGAGCAAGUGGCGGUGGGUGGUGUCAGAGGUGGCAGAGGCAGAAGGUGACGCCAGAAGAUAGGAACCCCUAGGUGUGGCGCACCUAGGGUUUGACAUUGUUGUUUUUUAUUUGAUUUUUUGGGCUAGGUUUAGACAGUUGGGCCUGUGCAUUUUGCUUCGGGUUUGGGUUUAAUCUCGUUGGGCCGGGUGUAAUUGUGUUAGUUAGGCCGGGGCAUAAAUUGGUUAUUACACCUAAAAGGUUAAAAAUUAAGUCUUCUUAUUUUUUUUUAAAUCUUAGUCCUACCGUUAAUUUUUUUUUGUCAAAAUUUGUUAACUUGACAUAUUAAUUAGGUUUUCCUUAUAUGUCGUGGUAUAUGACCAACACAAAAUUAAACAAGUUGACAAGUUCUGACAAAAAAUAUCAAAGAUGAUAAUAAUUUAAUUAAAAUUUUUAAAUUGAAAAAGUAAGGGAUUAAAUUUAUAACUUUUGAAGUGUAAAGAAUGAACUUAUUGAAAUACAAGAACUAACAACACAUUUUAAAAUAUUACUAGUAAAUUAUAUAUCUACAACGUAAGCUCUUAUAUUAUAUUCUUGUAUCUAUUUUGUAUCUUUCAUUAUAAUAUGAUUUAUUAAUUUUAAUAUUUUUAUAGAAUAAUAUGCUUUAAACUAUUUUUUGUAUAAUUUAUAAAAAUUAUAAUAAACUUGCAAAAUGAUUUAAUGAUAUUUAAUUAUUAAUGGAAAAAAAAAUGAUAACAUAUAUAUUCUGUAUAUAUUAAGAUUUUGAGUCAUUAAUUAUAUAUCUACACAUUAUAAUAAAUUCAUCUUUCAAAAUGUUCCUUAUAAUUAAAGCAUAAAUUAUAUUUAUAAUAUUAUAAAUAUAUUAUAUCAUAAAUAUUCUUUCAAAUAUUUUUUAAUGUUUAAUAAUAAGUUAAUUUAUAAAAUAUUCUUUCAAUAAAUUAACGUGAUGCGAUCGUUAGGUGCUUGGAUUUGGUGAUGGGGGAUGAAGAGAAAAGGGAUGGAAGUGAAGAAAAAUGUUGAGAAAUGGAAAGGGUUAGCAAGGGAAGCUGCCAUGAAAGUUGGUUCUAUGGAUAUGAACCUUCAAGCUUUUGUGGAUGAUGUUACUCAAGGUUGUUGGAAGUAAAUUUUAAAAAAAUUGAGGUAAAAUUAAAAAAAUGUUAGAGCUAAAUUUGUCAUUAUGACUAAAAUGUAAAACCAAAAUUUUUUGAAAAUAAAAAAAAAUGGAAAAUAACAAAUUCUGUCACUCAUGUUUGCUUAAAAUAUAGUUUUGGUCACCAAUCUUUUGAAGUAAAUAUAUGGUCACCAAUAUUAUCCAUUUGUUACUCUGCAAUAACUCACCUCUAUGAAAUUUGGCAGGCCGUGUCAAUUUUGUAGAUUUGCGCUCUGAACUGUGAAAAAAAUGCAAAUUUUAGGUUAUUCAAGCAUUUUAAUACGUAUAUAUGAAAAAAAGAAGAAGAUAGGAGAGAACCUUCCUAGAAUAUUUAAGAAAAUAGCUCCAAAGACACUAUUGAAGUCAACUUUGAAGCAAAUUUUCAUCAAGAUUGAAGAUUCCCAGUUGAUUUCUAAAGAGAUUAUCAUGAGUUUCUUUAUUUCUUUCGGUUAUACUGCCCUUUGGAUGUUUUUAUUUUUAAGCAUGAACUAAUUUUCUAAAUACCUAAGAGAGAUGAAUCCUAUGGUAGAUUGUGGCACCCCAAACCCAAUCGGGAUAGACCGGCCCGAAUUCGAAGCAUUACACUAGCCACCUAAGUGACUCUCCAGCUAACGACCACCCAAGACACACCCUGACCUUAUAACACCUCAAUCUUGUUUAAUUAUUAGUUAUUUAUUAUUGCAUAAAUAAAUUAUGAGCCAAUUUUAAACUUUUCCUAUGUAAUUUAACCUAAGGGCAAUUUUGUCAUUUUACCACCUAUUGUAAAACUAACUCGAUUUUAGAAGUUUUUACCAACCUUAUUUUAGUCAAAUUAUACAAGCCUAAAUUUUUUAGCUUAAUUUGAGUUUGUUUACUAUGUCUAAUUCAAGUUUUAUUAUUAAGGACUAAAUUGUAACUUAAACAAAUUAGAAUAUCAAUUUAAAGAGAAAAAAUUCAAAACCCAAAAACCCACACGGGCAUGUGGGUAAGUGACACGGGCGUGUGGAGACUGGAGCUAUCACACACGGGUGAGUGGGAUUGAAAAAUAUGAAAUAAAUUAAUCCACUUAAUUUUCCAACAACCAUGCUAUACUACCAAACCAAAUAACGCUUGAAGCUUUGAAUAGGGGUGAAUCUUAAAAAAAUUAAAAGAAUUAGAAUUAAAUUAUAAAAUUUGAGAAGUUAUCAUGUAUUAAUUUAUAAUUUUCUAAAGGGUCUUAAUAGAAUUUUUUUUUUCCCAUUUUGGUUGGGCCAAUACCCCUACCUCUUUAAAUUUGCUUCAAUCCUAAACCCAAUAUUCGAUUUGUUGUGGAAGUUUGAUGCAUAAAAUUUCUUUUUUUAGAGGUUUAAAUUAUAUAUUAUUGAAAGUUUAAAAUAAAUUUGUAUUUUUUAUUAACAAAAUAUAAAACAAAAAAACAUUUUUAGACAAACCAAGGAACCUUUGGGAUCAUACGGAUGAUUUGGUGAUGUUAAUGGUUAUUUUGGUGGAGACAAGCCAAGAAAAGAAACAAAUGAUUCAUUAUAUACAAUAUAAUUAUCAAAAUUCAAGCCAUAUAUUGUCUGUUUCAUCCAUAAAAAUUUCAUGGGAGGUCCAAAGGUAAUUAAAUGACUUGUAGGCUUGCUGAAUUUCUUUGAAAGGCCCAAAGGCAAUUUAACACUCACAAAAUAAUCUCUAAAUACUGUAAAGACAAAUCAAAUCCACAGCAGCAUUAGAGUUGAUUAAGCUAAGCAUUGGCAAAUAUUACUUUGAUUUUGCAUGCAAUAUCGGCAAAACCCCCCUCUUACAUUAGAAAAAACAACAUAAUCCAUGUAACAUUGAUAGCCCAAUACAAAUUUCAUCAAGAAAAAAGUCUCUUUGUUUUGUAGAACAUGAUAGUAAAGAUGUGGAGUUUCAUUCUUCUUAUUGGCCUCCUUUAGUUUUCCUUGAUCAACAACCACUAGCCAAAAACACAAUUAGAUUAGAUUAUGAAUGAUACUUUCAACUAUGACAAUAUUAAAUACAAAACACUCCAAAUAACUCUAAAUAAAUGGAAAGCAGCAAAUUACCUGACGAGGCAAGCUAGCUUAAUUAAGACCAUUGUAUUAUACUUGUCUCUGAAUUGAAAAAUUUAGAAGAAAAUAGAGAAAAAGACUUAGAAAAUACUUGAAAACAGAUAAAACUUAUAUGUCAUUUAAAAUAAAAAAAAAUUAUUUAAGCUGUUUAAAAUUUUUAAGAUUUUUAAAAUUUUAAAAUGAUAAAGGUAAAUUGUACUUUGGCACCCCUAGAAAUGAUAAAACUUUGAUUUAAUCCUUUAAAAAUUAUAAAAAUAUAGGCUAUUAAAAUGAUGAAAUUAUAUUUUUACUAUAGUAAAAAUUACAAUUUAAUUUCACCCCCUAAAAAGAUUUUCUGGCUUCGCCCCUAAUAAAAUAUUUGGCAAAAGAUUAAAAUAAAAUUAUACCGUAAUUGAAAAAAGAAACUAAAAAAAUCCAAUCUAACAAAGAAAAUAACUUGAUGUCCAAAAGCUACCAUAAAUCGUAAUUCAUGGGAAGGCUUGUUGCUCAUUUUAUUGGUUUCCAUUUUGAUUUUGCAAAAGAAGUUUGAAUUUUGACGAAUACCGACAUAUUAUAUAUAUGACUAAAAUUCCAGAAUAGGUUAAAAAUGUUGAAUUAAAGAUGAAAUUAAGUGUGAAUUAAUAACCACAAGUGUACUCAUUACUCACCAUCUCUGUUAAAAAUGUUGGAUGUUGUUUAGCAACCUUUGUUUGAUUUUCUUCAGCUCAACCACAACAUCUUUCAUAUCUUUUCUUUCUUCUGGUAACUCAGCUGAACAAUUCAAAGCCAACUCCAUGAUAGAUGAAAUACAAUUUGCUUUAACAACAAUGUACUCAUCCUCUCUUCUUAGUAAAUCAACAUCUGCAAUUUCUAUCGCUCCUUUAGGCAAUGAACUUUCCAUCCAAUGCCUUAUAGUCUCUUCUUCAACAAAAACAUUAUCAGAUGGCUUUUUCUUUGUGAAAGUUUCUAUAAGGACGAUCCCAUAACUAUAGACGUCAGAUUUUAUAGAAACAAUUCCUGCUGAUCCAAAUUCUGCAUUUCAAGUAUAAUUAGAACAUCAUUCAUCCUCAAUUAUUUCUAAAAUGCUUAUUCUAAUAUCUAUCCAUAUACACAUGAAACAAAAAUAUAAAAUUCAAAUUAGGAAAAUAAUCAUACAAAAAUAAAAAAGAAUUCACCUGGUGCCAUAUACCCGAUAGUUGCAAGAGUCAUGGUUUGCUUCAUUACUUCACCUUCUCCCAACAAUUUGGCAACGCCAAAAUCUCCAACAUGUGCAACCAUGUCUUCAUCUAGUAAAAUAUUGCUUGGCUUUAUGUCACAAUGAAUUAUAGGUGUUGGAUGUCCAUUGUGGAGGUGUUCUAUAGCUAACGCAACAUCUAUCAUUAUGUCGACCCUUUGUAUGAUAUCAAGGAAACAAUUUUCAGAAUGUAACCAUUUCUCAAGGUUUCCAUUAGACAUGUAAUCAAGCACCAAGGCUUUGAAGUCAACACUUGAGCAGCAAGUAAUGACCUUCACAAUAUUACGAUGAACUAUAUUAAGCAUAGCAUCACAUUCAAUGUCAAAACUCCUAAAUGCUCCCUCUGUUUGCAAAUUGAAAACUUUUAUUGCAACUUCCAUUCCAUCUGAAAGCCUCCCUUUAUAUACAUAUCCAAAACUCCCUGAACCAAGCAUAUUGCUUUCCUCAAAUCCAUUAGUUGCUCGUGAAAGUUCAGCAUGUGAAAUUCUUCUCGGUGUUUUCAAAGACAACAAAUCAUCUUUAAUUGAUAGAGUUGUACUCCUUCUUUGGCAUCUUCUAUACAUAAUAGUUAAGACUAUUAGUACUACGACAAUGCCAAUUGUUGGUAAACCAUACCUAAAAGCAUGCAAUAUAAUCAUUUGGGAGUUUUUGUGGAUGUCGUUUUUGCAAGGUGGGACUUGCAAUCUAGGUGGACCACAAAGUGCAUAAUUCUUCAUGAAUGAUGUGCUAGAAAAGUUUGAAAAACAUCCUUUGCUGGGAAUUUCCCCUUCAAGUCUAUUGAAAGACACAUUAAAAUACCUUAGAUAUAUAAGUUUUUCCAAAGAUUUGGGAAUGACUCCAGAGAGAUUGUUAUUGCAUAAAUCCAAGAAUUCCAAACUAAUCAAUCCAGCAAAUGAUUCAGGGAUAUGACCAUGUAGUAUAUUAUUUGAUAAAUCUAAUGAAACCAAAGUUAUAAGACCCCCAAAUGUGGAUAAGAUAUCGCCCGUGAGAAGAUUCUUUGAUAAAUUUAGUUUCAGUAGACUCCUCAAAUUUCCAACAUCAAUAGCAUGUGAACUGUGAAGAUGGUUUGAUGAUAAAUCUAUUUCUAAGAUAUCUUUAAGAUUCCACAAAGUUGAGGGUAUUGUAGAACUCAAUCUGUUGGAAGCAAAGUAAAGAUAUCCCAAAGAAGUAAUAUUACCCAAACAAGAGGGUAUGGAUCCAUGCAGCUUAUUCAACCCUAAAAAAAAGUUGUAUAAUCUCUCCAAAUCACAAAGGCUUUCUGAGAUGGGCCCUCCUAAUUUAUUAGAGGAAAGACCUAGACUUUGGAGAUUCCGCAGUCCUCCUAUUGAUGUUGGAAUGAAUCCACUUAAUUUAUUAAAGCCAAGUUCUAAAACCACCAUGUUGCUUAAGUUACCUAUUUCCAUAGGAAUAAUGCCUUGAAGCUCACAAUUAGAGGCAUAAAAGUAUUGAAGGGAUUUUGAAAGGUUCCCAAUAUAAGUAGGAAGAACGUCACUCAAUGGAUUUCCUGAAACAUCUAUUGCGGUCAAAUUCCUACAAUUCGUCAAAGAAGAAAGAAAGCUCCACUCAUGAUCAGUAGCAGAUCCUGUGAUCAAAUUAUUGUCAUUGAUUUUGAGCACUUCAAGGUGUUUUAAGUUGCCAAGCAUUUUAGGGAUUGGGCCAGAGAAUAAGUUAUGUGACAAUUCUAGUUGCUUAAGCAUGGAAGCAUUGGAGAUAGAGUUGGGAAUGUUUCCGCUAAGUUUAUUUCUCCACAAUAAAAGAAUCUCAAGCUUUGGAGCAUUGGUGAUGGGUGGUAAAUUACCUGUAAAAUUGCAUCUUUUAGUAUACAUAUUCAUUGAAUACCAAAUUCACAAAAUAUAUAAGACAUUAAAAUAAAAACUGUAAAACUUUAAAUCAAUUAAGAAUAAAAUUUUGGCAUGGAAAAAUGUGAUGAAAUCAAUUAGAAAGUUGAGACAUAAUAAGAAGUUUUGAGUAGUAAUUAGUAAAACAUAUAAUACAUUAAUAAUUUUUAAAAUAUUGUAAAACUUGAAAUAAAAUAAAAAUAAAAGUUUGGCAUGAGAAUGUGGCAUCUAAUCAAUCUUAAAAAUGAGACUCACAUUGAAUAAUAAUUAGUUAUGAUUUGGGAAACAAAAAUGUUAAAGCCAUUGUUUUUAAUGUAAGCUGGUAUGACUUUUAUCUAUUGGGUUAAUUAUUUAUUUUUAUUAAAUUAUAGUGUAAAAUUUAAAUAUUAUUAUUUGCUUAAAUUUUUUGUAUUUUUCGUAUAUUUAAAAUUUAAUCUUUAUAUUUUUAUUUUCUGUGAUUUAGUCCCUCUACUUUUUGAAUUGAAAAUUUUAGGUUUAUUUAUUAACACCGUUAAAAAGUUUUUGUGUUAGUAUGGCAUUUUGAAAACUAAAAUAAACUUGAUAUCUAUGUUUUUAAUUAUUCCAAAUAUUGUUUUACUAUUUCAAGAUAAAUUAUUUGUGUCUAGACCAAUAUCUUAAGAACUAUUGUUGCAUAUUUAAUUAUUCUAAAGAAUUGUCGAUUGAAUCUUAGCUUGAUUGGCAUGUGCAUUGUUGCCAAUGUAGGAGAAUGUGGGUUCAAGCAUGCAUGCUGAAAUGCAUUAUCCUCCUAUUUAUGAAUUGGUAAAGUACUAAAUUUUGAUAUAUUUUAAAAUAUUAAAAAUUUAUUAAAAUAUUUUUUUAUAAAAAUUGAUUGUACCACAAUAUACAAUUUUAAUAUCAAAUUUUUAAUUUUUUUAAAAAAUAUUAGCGAAUAUGUACUUUAUUUCAAGUUACACAAUUUUUACUAGUUUUUAAAUUUUUUUAAUUUUUAUCGUCUUUUAUAAUUUCUAAUAAUUUUUUAUAAUUUUUUACAAUAUUUAACAAUUUCUAAAAUUUUUUAAUAAUUUUAUUAUUUAUUACAAAUUUAAAAAUUAACAAAUUUUUAAUCUUUAAAACAAUUAUAUAUUUAUAAUGUAGUUAUUUUUUUUAUAAUUUUAUUUGAAAUUUUAAAGAUUUUUUUGGUUUGUUUUCUAGAUUAUGAUGCCAUCAUAAUGUCAUCAUAUGCCACAUGGCAAUUUAUGAUUAGUUGGAUAUCUCAAUCUAUUUUUUUAACGUCCAAUGGACUAAGCCAAGAACACCUGACAAUGUUAGAGACUACACUACGAAUGUUUGAUAAUAUUACGUAUUAAAGUGGACAAAAAAAAUUAAGGACCAAAGUUAUAAAAAAAAAAAAAAAACAGCAAUCGGCUGCAGGGAAUAAACUGUGCAUUAAGCCAUUAAAAAUAUAUCUAUAAUAUAUAUAAAUGCAUGGAUUUUGAGAAACAUUUGAACUGAUAAUUACAUAGUCUUUGAUGUUUACUAUAUUAUUGAAUUUGUUAUUUUAAAUAUUUUUUUAUUACUUUUAAGAUUUAUCAUAUGUAUGGAUAAGAAUUUUGGUUUUACUAAAAUAUUUGGUUAAAUAAAUUCAUUUAAUAAGAAAAUUUAGCAUCCUUAUAAAUAACAAUUUUGAUUCUAUUAAAAAUUAUUUUCAAAAAUAUAUAAUAAAAAUUUAAAAUUUAUAUUGAAUUACUUUAUACUUAAAUUAUUAUUAGAAACUUUAUCAUACACAUACGUGUAUGAGAACCAUGUAUUUAGAACAUAAAUUUGUUUUUUAAAGUAACUUAUGAUAAAUAAUGAAAUGUAUAAUUUGAAACUAUUUAAUAAUAACACAUGUCAUAUCUACCAUAUUAAAAUAAAAAUAGAUUAAAUUGUAAGUAAAACAUAAUUUAAACAUAUGAAUACAUCAAAUUAAGAAUACUAAAUGAAUACAGUUAUUUAUGAUGAUGUUGUUGCCAAUUCUUAAGUUGGUGCCGAGUUAAUUUGUGACAUCAUAAAUUUAGGUGAUAAAUUUAAGGUUUUAUGUAUUGAUGUGGAUUCAAAUAUCACCAUAAUUUUUUUAAAUAAAAAACUAAAAUACCCUCAAAUAAUAUAACUUAUAUUAAAUACGAAAGGGUAUUUUUGUAAUUUCUCUAACCGAGUUGGUGCCCGGUUGACUCAUGACACCAACUCAAUCAAAAGCUUCAAUAAUAAUAUAGAUAUUCACGGUAAAAAAAAUUACUUUAGUUCCAAAUAAUUAUAUAACAAGUAAAUUUAUAAUUGACGAAUAAAUUUAUAAAUAAUAUAUUUAUAUGAUCUAAUAUAUUAUAUUUAUAUUAAUUAUAUAUCAUCUACAAACUUUGAAGAUUAAUUUAUUAAGUAUCAAGAAAAGAAAAAAUGAAAUUUAAUUAACACUAAAUCAAUUUUUAGAUUUUGUACAGAUGAUUUAAUGAUGAUAAAAAAAAUAUUAGCACUAUUUUCGAAUUAACAAAAAAUUAGUGAUAUAUUUUAAUUAUAUUUAUUAUUUAUUUUUUAAUAAUUUUUUUAAUUAUAUGAAGUAAAAUUAUAUUGUAUACUAAAAAUGGUACAUAUACUUUAAUUAUACUUGAAAAUUUAUUAUAUAAAUUAAUAUAUUUUAAUUAUAUUUAACCAUUUGAAUAACAAAAUAAAAAAAAACUAAUUAGAAUAAUUUAUUUUUUAAAGUCUAAUGGAAAUUAAAAAAUUAAAAAUAAAGCAGUUCAUAUAAAACUUAUUGUUUAUUAUCAGAUUAAAAUGAUAAAAGUAUAUGACCAAAAUAAAAGAAACAAAUUCAACUCAAUGUUUUUGGAGUUUGGAAAAAAUUAAAGUUAAAAACAUACCUUCUAAUUUGUUGUUAAAUAGAUCUAUUUCUUCGAGCGUAGUCGAAUUAAAAAUACUUGAUGGAAUCUGACCUGCACACAUAGUCGAAAAUUGAAGUAAAAAACAUACCUUCUAAACUGUUCAACUAAAAAUACUUUAAGCAUAUUUUUUAGUAAACUGUGCAACAGGUGAUAUGAGAAUCUAUGUAUAUAAAUGUAUAUGUAUAUAUAUCGUUGUUUCAUUUUGUAAAAUAAAUAUAUUUUCCACAUUGGUUUCUUUUCUUCUACAGACAAAGGAUUUCUAAUGAUUCUUUUUUAUUUUUACUUAUAAAAUAGGUUAGUUUCUGCAAUAAUAAAAACAAUUUCUAAUGAUUAUUGUUGUUACCAGAUAACUAAUUUUCAUUCAAGUAAAGCCCUUCAAGCUUGGGAAAAUGUUGACACAUAUCAUUAGGCAAACUACCUGAUAGGCUAUUGUUGGAGAGAUCAAUGGUCUUCAGAGAAGAAAUGUUCGAGAUCGAAGUUGGAAUCUGACCUGUAAGGCCUUUAAUUUCUUUAAUAUUAAGCAUUUCCAAACUAAGAAGAUUACCAAUUUCCUUAGGAAUUUGACCUGCAGACAGUCAAAAAAUCAAUGUUUUUCAGCAUAUGUUUUUCAUCAAAUGAAAUAAAAAGUUCUUCCUUUUGUUAUCUAUUACAAAUCAAACUCUUUUAUAAAAAAAAAACUUUAAAUUCAAGAAAUCAAGGAAAUUGAUUACCUUCUAGAUUAUUAAACCCUAAAUAUAACUUCUGGAGUCGUGUUAGAUUUCCAAUACUUCUUGGAAUGAUACCCAUAAAUUGAUUAUAGGACAACGACAAAAUUUGAAGGUUGUUGCAUUUGCCCAUGCCAAAUGGAAUGUUACCAGAUAAUUCAUUCAAACUCAAGUAAAGCCCUUCAAGCUUGGGAAGAUGUUGACACAUAUCAUUAGGCAAACUACCUAAUAGGCUAUUGCUGGAGAGAUCAAUAAUCUUCAGAGAAGAAAUCUUGAAGAUGGAAGAUGGAACCUGACCAGAUAAUUGAUUGAAUCCCAAGUUCAAGAUCUCUAGAUUAGACAUGUUAACAAGUGUUUCAGGGAUUGUGCCUGUAAAGUUAUUGUUUUUCAUUUUCAGCCUUCGAACUCUUUGUAAGUUCCCAAGCCAUGAUGGAAUUUCCCCAUUCAGACGGCUGUAGCUUAAUUGAAGGAUCCUCAAACGAUGCAAUUGGCCCAAUUCUUUAGGGAGAUGGCCAUAGAAAUGGUUGCUACUCAAGUCGAGAGAGAGUAGAAAUGAAAGAUUUCCAAGGUGUGGAGGGAUAGUACCCCUAAGAUUCAUGCUUGUAAGAUUCAAAGCUAUAACUCUUUUAAGAAGGAUGCCACAAGAAACACCAAUCCAAUUGCAAACAGAGGUUGAGACUGUCCAAUUGUUUGGCAAGACAUUUUGAGGACCGACGAUGCGAUCCUUAAACUCGAGAAGUGCAAACUGAUCGGAGUUUAGAUUCCUGACUGUCAUAGCCAAGCAAAGUACGAAACAUGGUAUGAAUAAAGCUAAAAGAAGAUGAAAGCAAGUGUUGUAGUUCAUGAUUGCAAGACGGAAUAAGCCAAGAAAAUAAAAAAAAGUAGGAAAAGGGAAGUUGAGUUGAUAAAAUAGUUUGGAUGAUGAAGAAAAGCCCUGAGAGCAUGCUUUAAUAUGUUUCAAUCAUCGCACACUUGAUAAACUUGAUAAAUUUAAGACUACCCUAAAAAUUAAAAAGGAAAGCAAAGUUUUGAAGAAAUUUCAAAAUAAAUGUCAAGUCUUCUUCUUUUAAAAAUACGUACAAAGAAGCGAAUUUUCAAAAUUUCUACUAAAUUUUCUUCACAUUACUCCACAUAAUCCAUUAAAAAAACUUCAAAAAAAAAUAUUUUAUUAAUUACUAUAUAUUCUUUUAUUUUCAGAAUAAUAAUUGUUUAAAAUAUGCUAUUAGUCCCUGUAAUUUUAAAGUUAAAAAAAAUCCAAUCCUCCUAUUUUUCUAAUUUAAAAAUUCUAGUCCAAUCAUUUUUAAUUCCAUUAAAAAAUUUCACCUUAAUAGGUUUUUUGAUUAUCAAUCGUAUGCAACAUUAUAUGAAGGCAGUCUAAUCAGCAUAUAUCCAAGUUUAUAGAUUUUAAUAGAAAAUACUUACAAUCCUAAUGGUAGGACUAAGUUUUUUAAACUAGAAAAGUAAGAAGACUUAAUUUUUAACUUUUUAAGUACAAGGAUUAAAUUUUAAAUGUUGUCAAAGUACAAGGAUUAAAUUUUAAAUGUUGUCAAAGUACAAGCACUAACAAAAUAUUUUGAUCUAAUAAAUGUAAAUGAACUUUUUAAACAAAAUAAGGUUGAAAUAAUCUAUUUGUCGUUGUAUUUUGAUAAAAUUUGAGAUUUAGUCUUUAUACCUAAAAGGUUAAAAAUUAAGUCUUCUUGUUUUUAUUUAAAAAUCUUAGUCCUAUCGUUAAAUUUUUUUGUCAAAAUUUGUCAACUUUACAUAUUAAUUAGGUUUCCCUUGUAGGUCGUGGUAUAUGACUAACACAAAAUAAGCAAUUAAGUUGACAAAUUUUGACAAAAAAUAUCAAAGAUGAUAAUAAUUGGAUUAAAAUUUUUAAAUUGAAUUUAUAACCUUUAAUGUAUAAGGAAUGGAUAUCAAAUUUUUAUAGGAAUAAAGGGACUAACAACAUAUUUUAACCACAAAAUAAUAUGGGUGAUUAGAAUGAAUCUAAAAUUUUAUAGAAAUAAAAGAGACUAACAACAUAUUGAUAACUUUGAAAUCUCCUUCGAUAAUCCUUUUUCUACGUAGAAAAAGAAAAUUAAUUAGCAUCUAAAGUGUCAAUUAAUGAAACCUUCAAGAGAAAAUGUGAAAUUGAUUUACCAAACAAUAAUAUUCUAACUUAUAAUAUAUUUAAUUACAUUUAGUAAUUUGUCAAUCAAAACUUAAUUAACAUCCAUCAAUACUUUAUAUAUAAAAAACGCAAGCAUAAAUUACAGUUUAAAGUAAUUGGGAUCUCGAGUGCAACAAAUUCCUCCUUUUAUUAUUAAAUGUUUUAUUUUAGUUACUCUAAUCAAAACUUAAUUAACAUCCAUCAAUACUUCAUACAUAAAAAACGCAAGCAUAAAUGACCAUUUAACUCAUAUUUAACUUUGCAAGUAAACUUCACUAAUUAUAGAGUUAUAGUGUAAACUUUGAAAAUAUAAGUAAAUUUACCAUUUAACUCAGACUUAACUUUGCAAGUAAACUUAAAAUUUUAUUUAAUUUUGUCACUAAAUUUGAUUUGUUCAAUAUAGAUUUUGGUGACUUAAAACAAAAUUAAUAAAAAAUUAUUCUUUCGGAUAUCUUUUUAAUGUUUAAUAAUAAGUUAAUUUAUAAAAUAUACUUUCAUUGGGCACAGGCCUCCAAGCCGGUGAACCACUGAUCAAAUUAAUUUGGAGAUAUCUUUUUUCUGAAUAAAGUGAAUUUACCAGUUUUGUUUUCUUUUAAAAAUAUUUUUAAUAUUUUUGUGGAUAUCAAGAGAUACCAAAAAUUAUUUCUCUAAAAAAUUUUAUUUGACUCGAAAAGUUAGUGUUUUAUUUCAAGGGGUCAUAAUUAAUCAUUAGAUUUCUCAAUUUUAAAUUUUGAAUUUUUUCACAAUUGCGUAAUUAAUAAGUUCCAAUUUUGAGUGUUGUGGGGCUAGUAAAAUCUUCCUUACACAUAACCGACUCUUGAACCUACUCUUUUCUUUAGAAUUCAAUGCAGACCUCAAAUUUAUCUUUUGAAAAGAAUUUUAAAAUCUCUGUAUAAAAGGUGUUUCUUUUUGUUACCGAUCACAUUUAACAAAAAUUUAAAAAUUAUUAAAAAAUAAUUUCUUUUUGAAAUUUAAAAUGAUCUAAAAACAUAUUUUUAAUUGCUUUGGACCAUCUAUUGCUGAUUUCCUUAUUAUAUUAAGUGUUUGCAAUCACUCUUAAUAUAUUGUGCUUGAGUUGUGACAAAGCCGAUCGUCAACGUGCCAUAAUGAUCAAUUGACGCUGAAACUGAAGUUUUUGUUAUAUUGAUAGAGCUUGUCCUUCAACGCAUACAACGUGUUUGUUAUUUUUCUCCCUUCAAAUUGUAUGAUCUUAUUCAUUAAAUGAAUUAAUGAAUAUCCCUUUUAAAAAGAUAUAUUUUUAAAAAUUAAAUACUUCAUAAAAUAUUUAAAACCAUUUAAAAAUUUGUUAGCCUUAAAACAAUCAACAAAAUAUAUUUUUCUCUAAAAAAUCAAUAAAAAUAUGUUUGAAAUUUUAUAUGAAAUUUAAAAUUUUUUAACAAUAAUAUAUUUUAAAAUUAUAGUAACGCUACAAAAUAUAUAUAUUUACUAAUUAUAUACACCUUUUUUAUAUUUUUUCCUAACAUAUCAUUAUUUUCAACAUUAUCGUAAUCCUGUUUUUAUAAUUCCCUUGUCAUACAUCCUUUUUCUACUUAGAAUUUCAAAAGAAAAUGUGAAUUAAUGUAGACGUGAGAAGACUUCAAGGUAAGUCACCCAAUGAAAGUGACCUAAACCGACUUAUGGAAGAAUCAAACAAUAAUUUUGUGUCUUGUAAUAUAUUUCUUGUAAUAUAUUUAAUUACAUUUAUUAGUUUAUCAAUCAAAACUUAAUUAGAAUCCAUCAAUAUUUCACACAUCAAAAACCCAAACAUAAAAUUCACUUCUAAAUUAUUUGGGAUAUAUUUGUAUUAUAGGAAAUGGAUUAAAUUAGUCUUUUUAUUAUAAAAUGUAUUAUUUUAAUCUUUGUAUUAGGUAUGAAUGAUAUCUCCUAGAUUGAACCCAAAGCUAUUCUUGAAAGACUGAAAUUAGGAUUUAGAUGUGUUGAGAUGGAAAGUGACAACACAAUGUUGAUUGAAACUAUUUGUAAUGGGUUGGCUACAAUAAGUAGUGCUGUCGAAAUAAGACAGAUUCACGAUUAGUCUUCCAAAAAUUGGGAAGUCAAAUUUCGACAUAUUUAGCGGAAUGCCAAUAAAAUUGUUGAUUGCUUAGCUAAGGCAAAUGGAGGGGUAAUUGAGCAGCUGGUUAUCUUGGAAGAUCCUCCGCAUUAUGUGAGAUGCUAGCUUGAAGAAGAUAUUAACAGUCACUGGUCUGAUGAUAAUUUUCAUUUGGACUGAUGAGCGCUUAAUUUUCUAAGCUUAUGGUCAACAAAAAAAAAUUAAAUACGUCUAAAUUGUAAUAGAGUUAACAUUUAGUGUUUAAAAAAUAUCUUAAAAUUUAUUUUUUCCAAUUGCAGUUCAAUUCCACAAAUAUCGACGAUGAACCCGAACAUAAAAAUUACAAAAAAAAACACAUCUAUUAUCAAACCAACAAUCCAUGUCUAAACUUAAAUUAACAAAAUUCACCACGCAACCUGGUACACUAUUUUAUAUAUAUAUAUAUACUAGAUUUAUUCUAGAUGCACAUGUUUUAUUAUAUUUAAAAAUUAAAAUAUAUGGUUGACUAAGUUUUAGUUGAAUUAGUAUUUGUUAAAAAUAUAAUGUUGGUAAUGACAAUAUAUAGCAAAGAAAAUAGAAAUAGAAAAAUAAAGAACACACAUAUUUUACGUGGAAACCCUUUCGGGAAAAAACCACAGGCAAAAGAGAAGAAAAUUCACUAUGUCGAAUUCAAAUCAAUUACAAGAGGAGUAGACUAUGCCUAUUUAUAGGCUUGGAAACCUUAUUCUAAUAGGAGUGAAACUCUUUAUUCUAAUAAUAUCAAAUAGAUGGAGUUUAAUAAGGUUUAAAAAACCUUAUUCUAAAAUAAAAUAAAAGAAGUAUAAUUCUAUAGGGAUUUUACUUUUAUUUUAUUUUACCAUAGUAUUUAAUUUAAAUAAGGAUUUGGGUCACUUAAUUCUAACAAUCUCAACCUUGACACGAAUUCUUAAUGAACAAGUUCUUCAUCGCGAACUCUCAACGAACAAGUUUCUCCACCUCUUCCAUAAAACCCCUUAAGGGUUUAUUUUCAACAAUGAACACCAACCAAGUCUAAGCAGUGCUCAAACUUGGUUAUAGGAAGUGACUUAGUCAUCAUAUCUACAGGAUUUUCAUGAGUACUAAUUUUGCUCACAACAAUAUCACCACGAGCAAUAAUAUCACGAACAAAAUGAUACCGAACAUCAAUGUGUUUUGUUCUCUCAUGAAACAUUUGAUCUUUUGUAAGGAAGAUGGCACUUUGACUGUCACAAAAUACUGUAUUAAUUUGAAGGUCUUCAUUGAGUUCACUAAAGAGUCCGUUCAACCAAAUAGCUUCUUUGCAAGCCUCAGUAAUCGCCAUGUGCUCAGCUUCAGUGGUAGACAAAGCGACUGUAGUUUGCAAAGUGGCUUUCCAACUGAUUGCACAACCUCCGAUUGUAAAGACAGAACCUGUGAGAGAUCUUCUUCUAUCCAGGUCUCCAGCAAAAUCAGCAUCAACAUACCCAAUGACUCCAUCUCUAGUUCUUCCAAACUGUAAGCAAACAUCGGUAGUACCUCGUAAGUAUCUUAAAACCCACUGAACUACUUUCCAAUGUCUUUUAUCGAGAUUCGCCAUGUAUCUACUAACUGCACUAACUACAUAUGAUAAAUCUAGAUGUGAACAAACCAUGGCAUACAUGAGAGAUCCUCCUGCACUAGAGUAUGGAACAUGUGACAUGUACUCAAUCUCAUCAUUUGAUUGUGGAGACAAAGCUGAUGAUAGUCUGAAAUGGGCUACUAAAAGAGUACUAACAGGCUUAGCAUUCUGCAUAUUGAAUCUAGAAAGAACUUUCUCAAUGUACCCUUUCUGACUUAGGUACAAUUUACUUGCUUUUCUAUCCCUGAGAAUCUCCAUACCAAGUAUCUUCUUUGCUGGUCCCAAGUCUUUCAUCUCAAAUUCUUCACUUAGUUGGGCUUUGACCUUUCUUAUCUCUCAUUUAUCUUUCGCUGCUAUCAAUAUGUCAUCAACAUAAAUGAGUAGAUACACAAAAGAACCAUCAUUGUUUUUCUUAAAGUAAACACAACUGUCAAAGCUACUUCUUUUAAAAUCAUGAGAAGUCAUAAAGGAAUCAAACCUCUUAUACCACUGUCUUGGUGACUGUUUCAAACCGUAAAGAGACUUUUUUAGCAAGCAAACAUAGUCCUCUUUUUCUGAGACUGUAAAACCCUCUGGUUGUUGCAUGUAAAUAUCCUCCUCAAGUUCUCCAUGCAAAAAUGUAGUUUUUACAUCUAACUACUCAAGCUCCAAAUCAUGCAUGGCCACAAUACCAAGCAAAGCUCGAAUCGAACUAUGCUUCACAACUGGAGAGAACACAUCUGUGAAGUCCACUCCUGGAAUUUGACUGUAACUAUUUGCAACAAGCCUUGCUUUAUAUUUGGGUUCUUCAACUCUUGGAGUCCCCUCUUUCUUUUUAAACACCCAUUUACAACGAACAAUCUUUUUAACUUUGGGAAGUUUCACAAGAUCCCAUGUUUUGUUUUUGUGGAGUGAUUCUAUCUCCUCUUGCAUAGCAAACAUCCACUUUUCUGAAUCUUCACAACUAAUCGCCUUAGAAUAAUUAGAUGGCUCUUGGUUUGCAUCUAUAUCUUCAGCCACAUUUAAAGCAUAAGCAACUAGAUCAGCCUCAACAUACUUCUUUGGAGGUUUAAUUUCUCUUCUAGUUCUAUUUUUGGCGAUAGAGUAUUAUGGUGAAGAAGCAACUCUAUUUUGAAUUUUCGUACUGGCUUUAGUAGUCGACUCUGUUGUAGAUUCUAGAUCAAUCUGAUGCUCCACCUGCUUUAGAUUUUCUUUAUUGGAAGUCUUUAAGAGAUAACUUAGGUAGCAUAGCAGUUUCAUCUAAAACAUCUCUGCUAAUCACAACUUUUCUAUUUUCAGGACACCAUAACUUAUACCCUUUUACACCAGCUUUAUAACCAAGAAAAACACAUUUAGUAGAACUCGGUUCCAAUUUUCCAUUAUCAACAUGAGCAUACGCAGGACAACCAAAGAUUUUUAAAUUAGAAUAGUCAGCAAGAUUACCAGACCAUACUCUUGUGGAGUCUUUUUCUCAAUGGCAACGGAUGGAGAUCGGUUGAUCAAAAAACAUACAGUAGAGGCUGCUUCUGCCCCAAAAUGACUUUGAUAAGUUGGCAUUUGACAACAUAUAUCAAACCUUCUCCAUGAUCAUUUUGUUUAAUUUUUCUGCAAUGCCGUUUUUCUAUGGAGUAUGACGAACUGUCAAGUGUCUCACGAUCCCUUCUGACUUGCACAGUUUAUUAAAUUCAUCAGAACAGAACUCUAAGUCAUUGUCUGUGCAGAGGCAUUUUAGUUGCUUUCCUAUCUAUUUUUCAAUCAUGGUUUUUCAAGACUUAAAUGAGGAAAACACAUCACUUUUCCGCUUUAGGAAGAAUGCCUACACUUUUCUAGAAAAAUCAUCAAUUAAAGUUAGCAUAAGUAGCUCCACCUCUCGAAGGCACUCUGGAUGGCCCCCACAGAUCAGAAUGAAUAUACUCUAACGUUCCCUUCAUGUUAUGGAUUCCUCUGGUGAAUCAGACUCUCUUUUGCUUCCCAAAAAUGCAGUGCUUACAGAACUUCAGUUUGCAAAUUUCUUGCCCAUUAAGAAGUCCUCUUUUGCUCAAUUCUGCCAUGCCAUUCUCACUCAUAUGCCCUAGGCGCAUAUGCCAAAGUUUAGUAAUAUCAUCAUCUGACAAGGAAGAGGAUGAGACAGUUGCAUCACCAGUAACAGUAGAACCCUGCAAAACAUAUAACUUGGCAGUCUUUCUCUGCCCUUUCAUCACAAUGAGGGAACCUUUGGAAAUCUUCAAAACCCCACUUUCAACUGUGUAUUUGUACCCUUUUGAAUCAAGAGUACUCAACGAAAUUUAAUUUAUUUUUAAUUUUAGAACAUGUCGUACGUCAGUGAGUGUUCUGACAACUCCAUCAAACAUCUUAACUCUGAUUGUUCCAACACCUGCAAUUCUACAUGAAGCAUUAUUUCCCAUCAACACAAUACCUUCAGACACUAUUUCGUAAGUUGUAAACCAAUCCCGAUUGGGACUCAUGUGGAAGGUGCAACCCGAAUCAAGGAUCCACUCCUCGUCACUUUGGAAUUGUCGAUUGAAGUGACUAGAAGUUCACCAUCGCUGUAAUCUUCUACAACAUCAGCUUUACCAGAAUUUUCUAGUUGUUUUCCAUUUUGAUUCGCAGCCUCCCUUUUGAUCUUGUUCUGUAGCUUAUAGCACUCAGUUUUAAUGUGCCAUUUCUUCUUGCAAAAGUUACAAGUUUUACCUCUGUUUGAAGACUACUUUUAGAUUUACUGCGAGGAUUCCGUUCCUGUGUCCUUCCAUGAUCAUCAUCAGCAUUCCGAUCUUGUCUCCCAUGAACAAUAAGACCCUCUCCCCGAGAGUCGAUUUUAAGCACAAGAUGCUUCAUCUUAUCAUACGAGGUUAAAGAAUCAUAAACCUCAUCAACUGUGAGAGACUCGCGGUUAUAUAAAAUCGUAUCUCUAAAGGAUGAAUAAGAUGAGGGCAACGAACAAAGUAGAGUCAACCCUAGAUUUUCCUUAUCAUACUGAACCUCCAUGGCCUCCAAGUUUGAGAGAAUUUCUUUGAACACUAUUAAGUGUUCGUGCACAGAUGCACCUUCCUCCAAACGAUAAGCAUAAAGACGCUGCUUCAUAUGUAGCUUGAUAGUUAGAGUUUUCGACAUACAUAUCUAUUCCAACCUCUUCCAUAAUCCAGCAGCAGUCUUUUCCUUCAUCACAUCCUGCAAAAUUUUGUUAGACAAAUGCAGAUGUAACUGUGUUAAUGCCUUUCAAUCCUUGCACUUCUUCUUUUCUUUCGUCAAUGUUGAAGGCAUCUUAUCUACCCCUAGUAGGGCUUCCUCUAAGUCCAUCUGUGCAAGAACUGCUUGCAUCUUUAUCUGCCACAAUGCAAAUCUAGUAUUGCGAUCCAACAGCAGAAUUUUGUACUUCAAAGACGUUAUUACCGUGAUUGAGAUGAACAACCCAGAAGCUCUGAUACCAAUUUGUUAAAAAUAUAAUGUCGGUAAUGACAAUAUAUAGCAAAGAAAAUAGAAAUAGAAAAAUAAAGAACACACAGAUUUUACGUGGAAACCCUUUCGGGAAAAACCCACGGGCGGAGGAGAAGAAAAUUUACUAUGUCGAAUUCAAAUCAAUUACAAGAGGCGUAGACUAUGCCUAUUUAUAGGCUUGUAAACCUUAUUCUAAUAGGAGUGAAACUCCUUAUUCUAAUAAUAUCAAAUAGAUGAAGUUUAAUAAGGUUUAAAAAACCUUAUUCUAAAAUAAAAUAAAAGAAGUAUAAUUCUAUAGGGAUUUUACUUUUAUUUUAUUUUAUCACAGUAUUUAAUUUAAAUAAGGAUUUGGGUCACUUAAUUCUAAUAGUAUUGAUAUUAUUGUCAGUGUAGGAAAAUAUGAGUUUAAUCAUGCUCAAAUGUGUUUUAUCCUCCAAUUCAAGAGUUAGGAAAAGGUUAUUGAUAAUUAAAUUAUACCAACUUUUAUGAUAUUAAAAAAGGGUUUAUAAAUAAUAUAAGGAAAAGAAAAAAAAGCGAGAAACAUAUUCAUAUUGAUAUUAGACUUUUUUUUUUCUAUCACAAGUAAAAAUAUCAAAGGUGAUAAUAAUUAAAUUAAAAAAUUUAAAUUGAAAAAAUAGGGGAUUGAAUUUAUAACUAACAACAUAUUUUAACCACAUAAUAAAAGUAGUUAUGAAGAGGAUCAUGUAAAAUAAUGACCUGAAUAAUUUUAAACGUCUCAUUCUUGCAAAAAUGAAAUAAUAGAAAAGAAAUAAGUGUUGGGUGUAGUGACAAUGUACAUUAUACUUCUAAGGGGAGAUCAGGGUUUUAGGCAAGGGAAGAAUUUAAUUUAAACCUACUUUUUUUUCUCUAGAACUCAACCCAAACCUCAAAUUUAUCUUUUUAAAAGAAUUUUAAAAGAUCUAUAUAAAAGGUGAUUUUUUUUUAUCGAUUACACUUAACAAAAUUUUAAAAUUUCUUUUUUUGAAAUUUAAAGUGACCUAAAAACAUAUUUUUAAGUCCUUCAGACCAUCCUGUGCUGAUUUCUUUAUUAAUUUGAUUUGUUCAAUAUAGAUUUUGGUGACUUAAAACAAAAAUAAUAAAAAAUUAUUUUUUCAGAUAUGUUUUUAAUGUUUAAUAAUAAGUUAAUUUAUAAAAUAUACUUUCAUUGGAUACAGGCCUCCAAGGCGGUGAACCACUGAUCAAAUUAAUUUAGAGAUACCUAAAUUUGCUUUCAUCAAUUAAGAAAUUAAAAAAAAAUUGCUGAGACCUCAUGAUUAUCUUUUAUAAUUUCAGGCUUAUCACCAAAAACUAAAAAAUAAAAACGUCGACAUUAAAUUUGUUGGUAUGCAAUCAAUUUUAAGAUGGUUUUUGGAGUUAUAUAUCACUUUAGCAUGGACUUACUUUUCUACAGUUAGUCUUCUCCAACAAGUUAAAUAUUUAAAUUUUAACAACAUUGACAGGUCUUUGGGGUAGGGUCGAGCAAAACUCAAUAGAAACAGAUGAUAUAGAUUGAGUUGGCUCGGCCAAGUCGAGUCGACUUGUUCAAAUUAGUUAAAUUAGUAAAUUUUAGGGUGCAGUUAGUAUUUUUUGUUUUGAGAUGCUAAGAUUAAAAAAUUUCAGUUGUUAAAACAAAAAAAUUGUAUUAAAAAAAGGCAUAAAUUAAAUUAUUAAGUUUUUCAAGUUUCCAUUUAAUCAAAGGUUAAAAGGACUAAAUUGAAGCUUUUUAUUUUUAAGAAAGGCUGAAUGACAAAUUGCCCAAAGCCCAUGCCCCUAGCUAUACGCCCCUGGUAAAAUCAAUUUUAAAAUUAGUUAUAAUAGUUGAAGCGAAUUGAUUAUUGAGUAAUGAAAUACAUAGUUCAACAAAAAAAAUAAGUUGACAAAUUUUGACAAAAAAAUAUCAAAAAUGAAAUAAUAGAAAAGAAAGAGUAGGCAUUUUAUGAAAUUUAUAAUUCCAUGAAUAAAAUAUAAAUUUUAUGAAUGUGGACGAGCCAUUUUUUUAUAAUUUUCAGUGUUUUUCUUCUUUUUCUUACUUUUUUUAAAGUAUUUUUCUUUGUUUCCUAACCACCAUGAAAUUACUUGUCACAAUUCAUCUUUUCAAAUGAGAAACAUUUUCCACAAUUUGCCAUCACUUCAACAUACACUAACUUUUCUAUGAUUAGUCCUUGGUUUGCUUCGGGUGCAAUCUUCCAACUAGCCUUAUCCUUGGUUUUACUUUCCAACAUUUAGUGUAUCACGAGUUUUGUUUUCUUUAAAAAAAUAUUUUCGUGGAUAUUAGGAGAUAAUGAAAAUUAUUUUACUAUGAAAUUUUAAUAAAACUGGAAAAUAAGUAAUUUAUUUUAAGCGAUCACAAUUAAACAUUAGAUUCCAAUUUUUUAAUUUUUUUUUUACAAUUGCAUAAUAUUUUGAGCAUUGUAGGAAUGCCAUAACCUUCCCUACGCAUAAUAUACUCUUGAGCAUGAUGGAUCCUAGACCUUCUUUAUUCUCGUACCACAAAUUGCUUCAAGUGUGGGUUCGAACAAUCACAAAUUAAACACAAAACCAGAAAUGAUUUAUUACUUUCAAUAGCAAAGUAAUUCUCUUUCAAUAGAAACCAAUAAAAUUGUAAUUCCUAGAAAAUUAAAAUUUAUUUUUUCAAAAUAUCUUCUCUCUACUUUCUAGCAGAAUAACAAUAUGCGAAACUUAUGUCUUGUGUUAAUAGCCCUACCGGUACUAUCUAUUUAUAGGGAGAGACACGAGAAUCCUAGUUGAAUUAGUAAAACACAAAUAAUAUUUAUUUCAUAGAAACCAACAUUCUACCCUAAGUAGAUCAAGUUUGGAUGACGCAUGGAUCGAAGCUCAAUCUAGGGGAAAAAAAUAAAGGAAUUUUCUUUGUAAAGAAAAUCUGAGAUUAUACUAUUUUCGAAGUUAUAAAUAAAAUUAUACGCCAAAUUUUGAAGUCAAUUUUCAACUCAAAUGUUGUAUGUACAAAUUUCUAAUACACUUGGUGGGACAUUCUUUAACUUUUAUCUAUUCUCUCAAAACGUUAAAGUUCAAAGUUGCAUUAAACUCAAAAAAGAUAAUCAUUAGUAAACCAGCACACAAGCCUACUCAAGCUAAUCCUACAACUCGUUCCACUUCAUCAUCAAACACCAAUGUUCUUGCUUAUCCUUAUGGAAUUAAACAAAAGACAAAAGCUCUUUAAAGUUAUUUGAACAGACUUCUUUAAUGGUAAAUGAUAAUCCACUCUAUGAUGCUUCUUCGCCCAACUCAUGAUUUAAAAGAAGUUUCUACUCAUAGAUCAAGUGUAGCUCGCCAGUUAUCAUUAAGGAGAAAAAGGAGUCAAUCAAGUGAAAAUUAUAUUCCAACAUCUCCCCAGAACCAAAUUUCAUAGUGAUGAAUGUCAUGACAACUGACACUACAUUCUUAGAAGAAUAAGUAGAUUUCUAGCAAAAACGAUGGAGAGUUUUACUACAAGCAUAAAAGAAAUGGAUGAUCAAAUUGAACAUCUUAGUGGAAGUAACCAAACCUUUUCCAACGAAACUCAACAUCCUCUUCACAAAGUUGUUGGAAUCUUAAUUGUUGAAGGACUUUAAAGUGUUUCUUUAGAUCAACUCAAGGAGUUUAUUAAAAAAACCAUCAAAGAUCAAGUCAAAAGUGUUACUUUGCCUUCAUAUACAUACUCAAAGUCAUACAUCUGAAGGAUUUAUCAUUUGAAUAUGCCUGAGCAUUAUCCACCUUUAAAAUUGUAAUAGUUUGAUGGUAAAGGAAAUCCAUGUAAACAUGUCGUUCACUUCAUGGAAACUUGUGAUCGCGUCGAUGUAACACCCCACUCGUGACCCAAUCGCUGGAUUCAAGAAGAGAGAUACCAAAAUCAUGUUGGAAAAAAUCUUCGAUAAGUGUAGCAUGAGUGCUCACACUCUCCAAACACUCCAUACUAUCUUUGGUAUUGAAGUUAAGCUUGACACUCCCUUAUCUCUCUAAUGUUAUCUUCAGGCCAUAAUGCCCUAUCACAUAGUAAAAAAGGUGAGUACUCACAAUCCUAUGGCAUGCCAAUGAUAUCUAAUGGUUUCAAGUGUUCACAAUGCCAACAUAUGUUUUGUAUCACAUUCACUUUACACAAUUUAAAAGGGCUCACAAUACAGCAGAUCUCACGUAUAAUAGUUUUUAAUAACACAAUUCACAUUUCUGUAGGGCUCGUAUUAUAUAUAAGUUCGUAAUAACAUGGAUUCGCAUAACACUUAUGGCUCGCAUAUAUUUAGGGCUCAUAUGUAACAGUUGGGAUCCUAUAUAUUUAAACUCGCAUAAUACAGGGGCUCGCACGACAUAUUUUGGCUUGCAUGCAAUAUAGGGCUUGAUCACAUAUAUAGGUUCACAUGAUCUUAGGGCUCGCAUCACAUAUAUAAGCACGCAUGAUACAUGGGUUCACUCAACAUGUAUAUAUCAACUCGUGCAUCAAAGUAUAGGCUCGCAAGCAUUAAGGUGAUAGAGUUUGCAAACAAUUUAGAGCUCGCACACAUCAUAGGCUUGCAUACAUACAUGUUAGCAAGGUCUGCAGGUUACAAAUCGAGGCUCACAUAACUAUAGAGGCUUGCAUGGAAAUAUAAAAUUGUUCAGAUAUCAUUUUAAUCGGCUUCACACAUUAAAUCAAAUGGUUUGCAUGCAUUCCUUGGCUUUCAUUAGCAUGCGAACUCGUGUUUUUAACACAGUGUGCAAGGACACUCACUAGUUGUUUGUUGAUACUGUCGAACCUAUACCACCUUUUGCUUGACUUUUUCCUUGCUCAUGGAUGCACCUUCACAUUGAAAGGAUUUGCAUAAAACAAGAAAUAAUACAGAUUACUACUUUCACAGACAUAAUAACCUUCUUAACAAACAUAGUAGCGAAUCUUCCAAUCUUCCUUAAUAAUUCCUUAAAUGAAGCUAAACCAAAAUGCAUUAUAAAUUCAAUCAAUUUACCAUUAAACCAGCCCCCAAACACCCACUUAUAAGUUCAAACUGAUCAUUGAAAUUAUAAUUAUUUUAUGAAUCCAAACUAGUUAGAUUCCUUAAACUGUAUUGAUGCGAAUUGUAUGUACAAUCGUUCUUCACCUUUACGGAUGAUUUGGGGUGUUUGGGUCAACACCUAAUUCAAUAAUAUACUGGAAAACUAGUAGUUAACCAAUUCAUAACCUUUACCCAACAACUAUGUCGAAAUAACAAACUAGUUUAUAAUUAAUCGUACUUAUACCAAAUUGCGAGAUCUGAAUGGCUAAUUGAUCAAGAAUGUGUUUUGUAACAUCCCAAAAAUUAGGUUAGAAGAAAUGGGGCUUUGAAACCAAGAGUGGUCAUCCCCCGAUUAUGAGUUUAGAUCUUGGAAAAUUUGACAAGUAAACUGAUCUGGUUAAUGGUUAAGUGUCUUGGUUAUAUGUGUCAGGUUUUGGGUUCAAAUCUUGUUUUUGGAAAUUUUGUUACUUUGCUUAAACUCUUACCUUGAAUGUUUGGUUUAUAAGUUAAAUUUAGUCAAUUGAUGUCAAGAAUGAGUCUAUUGGUUCAAUGGUUAAGUUUUUGUAUAAUCAUUGGUCUUGUGUUCGAAUCUCAACAAAAGUAAUAGGGAAUGUUUUGUUUUUAAAUUUUUUUUAUAGGGUAGUUAGUUUCGAUUGGUUAUUUAAAGCCUUCCAGAAACCUCUAUUGCUUUUAUUUUUAUUUUGUUCUUUCUUUUUCUGCGACAUUUUCUAUCAUUUUGUUUCUGUUCUUUAGUUUCGUCAUAUUGGUUUUUUAUUUUCAAGCAACUUUUUUUUUGUUAUGUUACAUUACGCCGAUUGUGUACGGAGUCUAACUUCACCCUCUAGUUAAUUCGCUGGCCGGUAAGUUCGAUUUAAAGUUUUGGUGUUGAAAGUUUUUUAACGUAAAUUUAAUUUUGAAAUGUUAGUUUUUAGUGGUUUAGCUGCAAAUUAAUCGUUUGUUGGAAAAUUGCUUGUCGUUCAGGGACAUGAAUUUAUCCUUGUUACUCUUGCAUCAAGUUCGUAUCAAGUGGGUAUCAGAAAACCCUUCUUCUUUAAAUUUUAGUUGUCAAAUAAUGGCACUAUCGAUGCCACAUAGCUGUGUGGCAGGCCGUGUAACUUACUGUUCAAAAAAAUUAGAGGCAUACGAGCGUGGGCCCAAAUUGUGUGUGGUUAUGAAUUGUGUAGGGUUCACACAGGCCAGUGACACUAGCAUGUGUCAGGUCGUGUGGGACACACGGGCAAGUACACGAGCGUUUACCAGACUGUGUGGAGUCACAUGGGCCAGUUCUCUAGGCCGUGUAAAACCAUAUAGGUAUGUGAAGCAAUAUUUGGAAUUUUUCCCUUGGGUUACAAGAGUUGUUUGAAACAAACGCAUAAAUACUGUAGGGUCCGUACGAUUUGGAUUAGGCUAUAUAACUUGAUAUUUGAUGAUAUGAUGAUGAACAACUUGUGAUCUAUACGUAUAUUUGUUAUGUUUGAACCUAUGUGAGUAGGAUCUGUUAGAAUGUAACAUGUUAUUUUUUGUUGUGUGUGAACUAUCCAGGUACAAUUUGUAUUCUAUUAAGUUUUUUGGUACGCCUAUGUGUUACUCUAUUGAUGAAGAAUAUGUGACAUUUGAUUAUGUUAGAUUGAUUGUUACUGAUUAUAAUUUAUAACCCUCUACGUUACUUCAUUGAUGAGGAAUACACGUAUAUGAAAAUGUUAGAUUGAUUGUUACUGAUUCUAAUUUAUAGUCGUGUAUGUGACUUCAUGGCAAAUAUGAUAUGAUUUGUUGAGGUUUGAUAAGUCUAUUUUACAAAACAUGGACCCUCAUGUCUCCUGAUUCUGUUAUUGAAAGAUAUCAUGACUUACAUGCUCAUCACUCUAAUUCUUCAUAUGUAUGUCAUGACACGUUGCAUGGGAUUUGGGUUGAUGUGAAAGGAGGAAGUUUUUGGCAGUUAAUGAUCUGUAUUAUCUGGUGGUUUAUCCAUGAUUCUGUUCCGGCAACUUAGUUGUACUAUAGUGGCUUGACCAAAUGUAACCGAUCUGGCAGUCUUAACUGCAAAAUUUUGGUGGCACCAUUCACAAUUAUCUAUUGGUGUAAUUUGGCCGGAUGAGUUAUGGGGGAACUCUAUUUUGGUUAGUAGCAAAGUUUGGGUAUGAUGUUUUCUGAUAAUUUUGCAUUCUAAUCUAUUUGAAAAAUACAAUAUUUGCAUAACACAUUUUCUACUCUGCUCUAUUCUGUUCUACUCAGUUCUAUUCUGCUUGAUUUAUUAUGUUCUGCUUCAUUCUGUUGUGUUCGGUUCUGUUGGACUGUUGUUGUGAAAAUUUUCGUGAUACUCUAGAUCUAUUCCAUACUGGUUAUAAAUUUGUUAUUAAGUUCUUUGCGUUACUUUGAUUUAUAUAAUAAAAUCUGUUUAUUUGUAUCUAAGUUUCAUUAUACACGACGCUUGGUGUUUCACCCUUUGUCUUAUCUUAAUCUGUUCAAGUGCACAUCUUACUUACGACUAGAUGUACAGGAGCUCAGAUUGUUUUGCAUUGAUAUAACUAUGAUUUGAUCUUUUAGGUUGUAAUUUGUUUUUGGACUUGUCUUGCUUUUCUUUUGAUAAUCUCGUCAAUAUCUGUCAUUUUCUAACACAAAAAUAAAAAACCACCUAAGUCGACUAAAAUGAAUUUCUGGUUUUCAAAGUUGAAAUUUUGAAAAGAAACUAGUUUUCUGCACGUUGGCGUAACUCGUCCAAAUUUGGCUUAAAUUUGUAGGUCGAGUUUGGGGUGUUACAUCUUUCCCUAAUUAACAUGUGAUUAAAUAUUUAUUAGAAGGAUUCAAAAACUCAACUUAAUGCUGGAAAAAUAUGGGCAAGAACCAAGAAACAAAACAACCCCCUUUCUUACACAUAGCCGUACGAACCACCACCCAUGAUGGCCAAAAUUGGGGUUGAAUUUUAAAAUGGUUUGAGAUCUCAUUAAAAAUAUAGAAAAACACAUUUGUGUCGAAACCACUAUUUAUUUUUGAAAAAUGGGAAUCAACUUUAAAAAAUGAAAAUGGGAGUCACCACUGAUCUUUUAUUGAGGUGUGAUCAGAUCACCUUAAAAAUGAUUUUAGGUCUACGAAUUUUAAGAAAAUAGGUUUCGGAGUUGGUUACACACGAGGAAGGGUUAGCACCCUCAUAACGCCCAAAAUUGGUAUCGAAUAGACUGUUUAAUGUCUUAGUGUCGAAAAUUUGAAAACAUUUUAAAAUACGAUCCUUUUUUAAAGAAAAUUUGAAUAAGUUGACUUAGAAGAUAAGACCCUUUUAUUUCGAAGAAGUAAAAUAUCACAUCCAGUGAGUUAGGGUGCAACAUUUCUAAUCCUUAAAAUUAAGUUUGUCUUUUGAUUUUUAAAACUCAUGCAUUUAAAUUUGAAAAGGAUAUUCAGUUAUUUGGGUCAAAUGAAAAAUCAAAACCCAAUAAGUUAGGGUUCAACUUCCAAAAAUUGCUAAAUACCGAAUAUUGCCUUUAUUUUUUUUAGAAAUCCAUAACUCAAGAUAACCAAAUGACAUAUCCAGUAAGUUAGGAUCCAACAUUUUGAAAUCCCAAUAGAGAACUUUUUAUUUAGGAUUUGUAUGGUUUUAUUGCAAAAGAGAUACUUGGCUAUCUAAAUUCAUCGAAGAGAAUUGAAGCCCACUAAGUUAGGGCAAAAUCUUCUCGAAAAUCGUGAAUACCGAGUAUUUUGAAAAUUUACGAAAUAAGAUGAUUUUAAUGCUUUAAGGAAACAUAAUUUUUAAAACAAAUGUAGUGUGAUUGAACGACAAUGUACAAUGCAAAAGGAUAAUUAAAAAAAAACAUGUAUACAUUAGUGAAUAACUAUCAAUCAAUAAAUAUAAAUAAGUAAAAUGAUACAUACGAGAACAAUAAUCUUACAUUCCAGAUUAUGCAAAUACUAAAUUUUAAAACUAAUGAAUUAUAAAUUAAUUUUGAAAGAAAUGCCAAGCAAACUAACACAAAUAAAAUAUAACAAGUUUUAAAAAUAAAAAGAAAUAAAAAAAGUACACAGAAAGAAAUUUAAAAUCAUCAGUACAAACAAUAAGUUAUAUGAAUAAUAUUUCAAAAUAAACAAUAUAUAUAUGAAUUUGAAAUAGUUCAAAAAUAAAGGUAAAAAAAUACUAUGUGAAAAGAAAUAAUAUCUAAAUGAAUUUUAAACAAAUAUUGUAUACAAAGAAAAUCAAAAUAAGUAAUACACAAAAUAAUACACGUAUAUCAAUCUAAAUGAAUAAUACAUAUUAAAAAAUCUUUAAAUCAUAGAAAUAUAAAUAAGUGAAUUUUUUAAAAAAUUUAAUUAUACUGCAAAAUAAAACCAUUAAAGAAUGUGUACAAUUCUAUUGAAUUUAUAUAAAAUAAUAUAUGACAAAUUAUAAUAAUAAUACAUAAUAAAUCUGAAAUAACAAUAUACAAUAAACUUAGAUAAUAUUAAUGAUAAAUUUAAGAUAAUAAUAAGUUUUAACAUUCAAAUAAUAUUAGAUUUAAAAUUAAAAAUAAAAAAUAGCAUAAUAAAAAAUACUUAAAUAAGUAAAAAGCAAGCAAAUUAAAAUAAAGUAAUGAGGAUUAAAUUGAAUUUAAAACAAAAUUUAAAAUAAAAAAAUGAGAAUAAAACAAAACUGAGAGCCAAAAAAAGACGCGCGGAUAACAUGGGGACCAAAUGGGAAAUAUUCCCUUCCUUCAAAACGCAGCGUUUUGACACGGACCAAAUUGGAAUGAAACAUAGAAUGCGUGGCCAAAUCUAAAUAAAAUAAAAGGAUAAAUUUGAAAGAGUUAUAAAAAGAACGGGGACCAUUUGCGCAAAUUUCUCCUACGCUAUAAAACGCGCGGAUACUUCUCCGGGUAGGGUCACCGGGCGCGUAUAGGCCAAUAUAGUGUCGUUUUGAAGCCACUGAAGCAGGCUGAAAAUGACAUCAUCACAAAAUUAGUAUAAGAUUAAAAUUAAAGCAAACAUUAAGCCAUUUAACCACAGAAACCCUAGCCCCUUUCGCCGUUCUGAACUUUGCUAAUUCUUUUAGCCUUGAAACCCUUGCCAAACUCUGAUCACGGCGAAGCAAACAAGGAUUUCGCGGCGGUUUUAUUAAGGUAACUUAUUCUUUUGUUAAUCGCCUCUUUUUUAUAUCUAGUAAUAAACAAAAUAAGGAUUCAAGAGCAGAGAAGAGAACUAUCAAGAGAAAAAGAAAAAAAUGAAAACUCAAAUCACCUUUCGAGAUUUCGUAUUUUUUGCCUAUUAGAUUUCUUUUUCUGAAUCAGUAUAUGUAAUCCUUUUACAAAUGAAUCAAUCGGCUUUAUAUAGCCGAAUAAAACCAAAAAAUUACAAAAUUAUUAUUUUUGUUAUUUAUCACUGCUGCUAUUCUCGUUUUUUCUUUUAUGUUAUUGCCUUCCUUCGUUUGCUUGUUUGUUGCGUCUAUUGUAGGUACCAAACCAGCUGGAGCACACGCAUGGAGGCACAAUGGAUGGGGGGCACACGCGUGUGGGGUUGGAGCUGCUGCGGCGUUGGGGCAACAGGCUAGGGUUUUUGGAAACUGCUUAGGUUUAUCUAGGUUUGGGCUUGUUGGGCCAAAUGGGGUUAGUUUUGGGUACUUUAAGUUAAAAUGAUUUGGGCUAUGUAUUUGGGUAUGGGUUUUAGGCUAAUACUGGACUACUAUUAUUUUUAUUUUAUUUUGGUUUAUUAUUGAUUGGGCCUAGGUUUUAUUAGAUUUGUAAUUGUAUUUGGUUUUUUAGUAUUUGGUUUGGGCUAGGCAAAAUUUGGUAUUACAAUUUGAAUUCAUUUAAAAUCCCCCAAAUUCCAGAUCUAAAAUUUUUUCUUUUUAAUUGACAAGAUUAAUUAAGAAAUUGAAGAGAAAAGAGAUCUUACCCAAGCCAGUUGAGAGAAAUGACGAUGACACUUUCUUUGCAAUGCUCAAGAUCGAUCUUAGGGUUCAAGAUUUUAGAUUUGGGGAUGAUUUAAAUGAGGAUAAAUGAUAGCAAUAGAGUAAAGGAGAUGGUGCACAAUCUUGAUGCAAAAAGAAGAAGAAAGAGAUGGUAAAUGGGAGGUGUAAGCAAUGACAACAAUGGGAGAAAGAAAGAAAAUAAGAGAAAAGUGGGGAGGAAGAUGCUGAACAGAUAGGGUAGGGAAAAAUUGAAUUUUAGGCUAAAAAUAUACUUAGGGUUCAAGGUUAUGGACAGCACACACAUUUAAAAAACAAAGGAUUUUGCAAAAUUUACUAUUUUGCAAGGGAAAGGAUUCGAAAUUGGGACCUCAUUUAAUUUUCAUGUUUUCUCAUAUUUCUUUUAACCAUUAGGAUUUUUCCUCAUUCUUAAAAUCAUUUUGAAAUAUUUAUUUUAAAAAUAAGGCAUGUCACACUAGGGUUUAAGGCAAAAUUAGCAAAAUAAUAAAAAAAAUGAGAGAGAAGGGGGUUUCAAGGAACGCUUCACUAAAACUUAUCCAACAAACCAACACCUCAUUAUUUUCCUAAAUAUGCAUAGGUAAUCAUCAAAAUUAAGGCAUCACCACUCUUUCUCGAUUCACAAACCCGAUUCUACUAACCCUUGAUUUUUGGGAUGUUAUAAGGUGAGUUCGUAGUGUAACAAUAUAUAUGUGUGUGUUUUGGGGAUACGAUUGGCAUGCCAAUAGGGUUAGUUACACUUCAAUGCCUCUCUUUACAAUUUGGUGCCACUGUAUUUGCACUACAGUGCCUCUGUUAGUAUUUCGAUGUUUAGGGGAAACCCGAGUAUCCAAGUCAUUUUAAUAUAGUUCAAAAGGCCAUGAAAUUUUAUGUUUAAAUGUUAAAUUACUCUUGAGUUUGAUUUAUGUAUAAAAUGAUAUAUUUGUGUAUAUACGUAUAUAAGCAUGGAUUGCUUUGGUUUGAGCCAUUGUUUAUAUUGAAUCAUAUGAGACAAAUGUUUUGAUUAGUAUAGUUUGAGAAUAAAUAUUAAUGCUUUGGUGUAAUUAUAUGAUUCAUAUGUCUAUAAACAUGAAUCUAAUUAUGUUUAUGGUGUGUUUAGAGAAUUAAAUGGUUAUAUGAUUAUUUUCCAGGUAUUCGAGGUUGUUUAAUUUGGUUUAAUGGGUAAAUAAAGCUUUAAAGGGUAUGUGAUUACAUGAAAUGAACUAUCAUAUUUGAGUAAUGAUAUGGAUUAUGAUGAAAUGUUUAAUUGAAAAGAAAAUAUGGUUUAGUAUAUAUGUAUGAGUGGUGAAUUAUGAAAGUGAAAUGUAGAUAUGUUUUAUACCAUGUUUUGAUUUGAAUUAUAUAUGAUAUGUUACACCAACUAACCUUGUGAGGUGGUGUGUAUAGGAAAGGAAAGUUGGCUUAAAACAUAAUGAAAUUAUGCUUGGUUUUUUAACUUAAAAUAUUCAAUAAGUUAAGUUUCAUUUAUAUGAACUUACUAAACAUUAAUUGCUUACAUAGUUAUUUUUCUUUAUUUUGUAGUUCAUCAGAAGCUCGGCCGGUUGGAAUCAUGUCAGAGCACGAUCACACUAUCCAUUCAACAUUUUGAUAGUUUUUGGUUAUUUUGGUAAAUGGUUAUAAAUGACAUGAAAUAGGGUUUAAAGGUCAUUCCAGUGAUUUGACUUGUUUUGAGUUGUGUCAAGCUUAUUGUGAUUAAUGUUGUUAGUUGCUGGCAUGUAAAUAAUGGUGUAAAUAUGUGUGGUCGGACCCUUAUGCAUGCUUUAUUGAUUAAAGAUAUCAUAUGUUAAAAUGGCAUGUUUUUGGAAUGGUUAUUUGGCAUGAUUGGUAUAGGUUUAAGUUAUGAUCUUGAGAUGUUGAAUUGAAUUAAGUUUGAUAUGUAUAUUGUGAUGCCUUCAUUGACAUAUUGGUUAGAUAUUAAGGGAUGGUUGAUUUGGUAUGUUUUUGAAAUGGUUGUUGGUAUGUUUGAUCUAAGUUGAUUAAAUGAACUUGUAAUGUUGAAUGGUAUAAUAUUUGUUGGUACAUUCAUUAGUCUUAUAGGUUGAUGGAAUUGGUAUGUUUUAAAUGUGUUUUAAAUGUGUUUUGAUUAUUUGGAUGUUUGUGGAAAUGGUGUCUCUUGGUGUACAAGAUUUGAAAUUGAAACGGCUUGAUUUAGAAUCAACUUAUGCUGCACACUGCCUGGGACAUGGAUUGUCACAUGGCUGUGUCAUAAUUGUUUUAGGUACGGGUUUCACACAAUCUAAGACUCGGCUCACGACACAGUUGUGUAUCACAAGUCAGUAUGUAACACAGUUUUGCACAUGGCCUGCGACACGAUCUUGUGUCUAGACUUCGAAUGUCCACAUGGUCUGGGCUAUGUCACAUGGCUUGGCCACAUGGUCGUGUGACUUUUGUUUUCAAGUUUUCCAAAAUUUUCUAUUUUAUUUCAAAUUGAUCCUAGAAUAUUCUCAAACUAUUUUUAAGGCCCCGUAGGUUCGGAUUAAGGCCCCGUAAGUGUAUGUUUGCUAUAAUUAAGUUGUGCUACUGAAUGUUACUAAUUCAAUCACAUGAAUAUUUUGUUGUAAGUUAAAUGUUUUAAUUUUUACUAUAAUGCUCUGUAACCUUAAUCUUGCGAUGAAAACAGGUUUGGCGUGUUACAAUUUUGGAUUGUAAAUUUGUUUUGGGGCUUUGUUCUUUGGUUCUUGCGAUGUUGGUUAGAUUUUGGUGUUUUAACAUUAAACUGCAAAAUUGUAUAACUUAAUAAACUAAAAAUUAGGUUUUCAAAAUUAAAACUCUGGAAAUUUUUCUUGCAAAGUUUAAGUAAUCACUUAAGUGUUUUUCCAUAAAUAAUUAAAUGGUUUUUAACAAAUGUUUUCCUUAGUUUUGGAAAUGAUCUGCCAAUAUUAGUACUUUUAAAACACAUGAUUUCAAAUUCAAAUUCUCAGUUUUAAAUAAGGGUUUUCACACUUCAGUUUUUUUUAAACAUUUGUGAGAGGUUUUUGCCAAAUUUUAUGUUUUCAGAAUGUGUAACUAAGUUGAUUUUUAAUUAGUUUUUCAAACGAGUCGAGUAAUUCCUCAAAAAUCCAGUCAUAGCGUCUAGGCCGGGUUUGGGAUGUUAUACUGACGUUACUAAAGUUAAUCUUCAUCUAUUUAGUCUAGAUCUAAACAUUAAUAUUCUCUUCCAAGAAAAAUCAAGACUAUCAAUUUGUUAAAACUUGGUAGGCAGACAAUCAUAUUAAAUAUGCAUAAAACUCAAUAAGUAAUUUGCGAAGAUUGAAACAAUCAAAGAAAAAAUUAAUUAAUUAACUAAGAAAUAGGAUACAUUGCUGUUUCAAGGAAACAGGGUUUAGUUCACAUUGAGUUGAGAAAACCAAAAGGGAGAUUCAAAAUGAACUUGUGAUAAGGGGAAUAAUGUCAAUGGAUCAUAUUCAAGUUGUUCAGCUCGAGAAAGAAAGAUUCAGAUUUAACUUGAAAAGAGUAAACCAAAAAGAUUUAGAAAAACAAAGAAAAUAACUAAAAUGAUAAAUUUAAGAAUAAAUAAUCAAUAUUAAAAAUAAUAAAGAAAUUAUAGAAUAAAUAGUGGAAGAUGGAAUGAAUAAACGAUGGAUAUGACAUAUAGAUGGAUAAGUGUCUUAUAAUUCAUGAAAAGAGUUAUAUUUCAUGCCUUUAGACCUAACUAAUUGCUUGUACUUACGUACAUUUUGUUGCAUUUUAAGACAUAUUAGUUAGCAUUUCUAAUAUUGCAUUAGGACUUAGAUUGUGCUGGAAUUAGCUGUUUUUAAUCGCUCGUGGUGGAGUUUUUUUUGUGUUUUGGUAUAGAAGGAACAUGUUUUAGAUCGAGGAAAUAAAUGAGUGAAGUUUUGUCAAGGCAAAACUGCAGAUAGUUUGCCAGCACGGAUGCCGUGACAAUGCCGGGAAGACCAAGUCAACAUUUUUUUGUGCAAUAGUCUCAGUUGAAAUUAAAACUUGUACCAGAUAAAUCUCCCUAAAAGAGGAAAAGAUAAUCACAAGACCCUAGCCUAAUCUAUCUAUAAAAGCCAAUAAAGGGGAUUCUCACAAAUGGCAGAAAAAAGUGGGAAGGAUCCUUAGGUGUGAAUAAGGGUUUAGCUGCGCAAAGGAAAGGAAGUCGAAGGCAGUCCUUUUUAGCCAUCACAGGACAUUGUGUUGCCGAAGUGUGGACUAGGCAAGUGAAAGUUGUUUACCAAAGUUCUUUUGUUAUUUCCAUCAGCGUUCCUUCAAAAUAUUGAAGUAGUUGAACACAAUGUUGGAUAAUAUUUUGCUUUGGAAUUUUAUUUCUCAUCCCACGAGCUAAAUCUCGUAGGGUUGGGAUUACUUUUGAUGAAACCUUAAACUAUUUUUAUGAAUGCAGUAUAUAUCUAAUUUACUUUACUGUUUCAUUUGAUUGUUCUUAUUUCUUAAUUAAAAUGCAAAUGAUCUCUAAACAUAGAAGACUGUUCACAUACUUAUAAAUUGAUUCUAAUUCUGAAAGGGUUGGAUUGGUUGGAUUAAAAUUAAAUGAAAUGAGCAAGUAUUCGAUGGACACUUGUAGUAGACUCUAGACAUAGAGUGGCGAUCAUACAGAAGGAACCCAUGCAAGGUAUCUAAAAAGUCUUUAGACACAAGCAAGGUAACUUGAGGGUUUGCUCUCACGAGAGGCAAGCCAUUUUAGUACUCUUCUGUGCUUUAAAGUAGAUACGAUUUUGCCAAGGCAUUAUUGACAGUAAGAGUCGAUUUUGGGUAAUCAACCUUCCAAAUCCACAUCGUAUAUCCUUUAUUCCUUACCAUAAUAUAUUUGCCACAUCAUUAUUAGUUAUUUAUUUGUUCAUUUACAUAAUAUUCCCGUAGUAAUUCUCAUAAUUGUCAUUACAUUUCUACUCUCGGUUUGCCACAACAUUACCAGUUAUUUAUUAAUUCCACGUAUUGCUUACAUCAUUACUCUACUAAUUGUGACUAUAUAUUUAUCAUUGAGUCUGCCAUAGCAUUAAUCAUAUUUUAUUAUAAUAACUUGAUCAAUUUUGUGCCUCAAUUCGAUCCCCAUGGGAAUGAUUCUCACUCAUCAGUUUAUUACUUGAUUCAACUGUAUACAUGCACAAAUCACAUAUCAUUUCACACACGACAGUGUUCAAUUGAACCCUUUGAGUUAUAAACUCGAACAAACUCAAUUAAUGGAUUUAAUCAACCCACCAAGAAAGAAUCAUUGGAAAAUUGAAGGAUGGAGAAUGAAUUCCCAUGACUCCUUAAAAAAAUUGAGAAGAAAACUACUUCUAAAAAUCACAAGAAACAAAUCUUGCACAAAGAAACUAACUCUCAGAGUUGGAAAUUUUAGUAAUAAACAAAAACAAUUGCGUCUCUAAUGAACAUGAAAGGGCCUUUACAUAGGCUAGAUAAGUACAUCCAAAUAAAAUUGUCAAGUAUCUAGAAACUUUAAUUAAUGUAAGCAAGAAGUAAUUUUAAACUAAAAUAGUCAUAAUUUUCGUAAUAAUCUCGUCCAAAAAUUUUGCUCACAUAGUCAUCAUUAAAAUAGUCAUAAUUUGAUCUUCUAAACUCAAAAUCGAGUGAAUAAAAGUGCGUUUCGAAGUUAAGUGAUAGAUCUUAGAACUCUAUGAGGACAUAUCAAUUGAAAAAUGCCUGGAUUCCAUCCAAAAAUUCACCGCAAGUUAACUAAUUUUUCAAACUUGAAAAUUGGUAGCUUCGGUGAAUGGAAUUUAAUAAAGUUCACCCCAUCUAUUCAUGUAUCAACUUGCAUUGUAAAAAGUAAAAAGAAAUAAUCUAUAGAGAAAAUAGUUGAAGAAUUUAUGACAAUUUAUUCAGAUCUCGUUUUCUUCUAGUCUUUACAAGCUUGAAGUUUCCCUUGGUGUGAGAGAGUUGUUCCUUACCCUCUAAGUGAUUUUUUUUCUUUUUCUUUCUCUUCGAUCUCGUCACCUAAGGGUGUUCAAACGAUUGAUUCAGUUAAUACCCGAACAAAACUAUCAUUAACUAAAAUUUUGAAACCCUUAAUCAUUAAUCAAACCAAAAUUUAUUUGAAACCUAUUAACCAGCCAGAUUGAUUUCGAUUAAUUUGAGCGGUUAACCAGAAUUUAUACACUGUUUGAUUUUGUUCAAACAAUUUUAAAACAAAGAAUAAUCCACAACAAUUUUUUCCGUAUUUUUUAUUCAAAAAAAUUAAAAGAAUUAAAAAAAAUAACAUAAUAACAACACUAAAUUAAAAACGUAAUAGCAUUCAUUACAUUACAAAGCAUAUAUAUAUAUUUACUUUUUCUUGAAUUUUUAGUUUAAUUUUAGUUUUUAUUCAAAUAUUUUUAGUUUUCAUAAUUUUGUUAAGCUUAUUAUAAGAGAACUUAUAAAUCCAUUAGUUUUUAUAUAUUGGGUUUGUAUAAUGUAUUUGACCUGUCUCUAAUAUAUUGGGCCUAUAAUAUAUUUUUAUUGAUUUCGGUUAAUCAAUUAAUUCGGUUAAUUAGUCGAUUUCAAACUAAACUAAUUGGUAAACAAAAUCUUCAAAAACCUUUAACCAACUCCCAACCAAAUUAGAUUCGUUGAUCAACUGCUUAAUCAAAUUAAUUAGGUUUGAUAAAUUAAUUCGUUAAAACCGAAAAAUUGACAUCCCUAUCACCACCUUUGUUUUUAGGGAUUUUAAUCAUGUUACUCCACUUGAUGCAGAAGUUGAGGUGGAACGAAUUGCUUGCUACCAAAAUUUAUGAAUUAUAGACCAUGCUCCACCCGGUGAAUCAAAUUCAGUGGAGUGGAAGACUUUUUCUUCACUACUUUGUGCUCUAUGCUCCAAGUCUUCUAUUCUUCUUCCGAGACCAACAAUGGGAAAAUUAAAAAUAAGAAACAAGUCUGAACUAACUUUGACAAUUAGAAAUUUUCAACAAAAUUGAAAUAAAAUAUAAUUAAUUAAUAAAAACUAUAAAAUUCAACAAAAACGAACCUAAAUACUAAAUUUACCUCCUAAAAUGCUAUGGAAACUAUAUUAAAAUAACUCUAAAUAUGAUAGUUAUCAAAAGCGACCUGAAGAAGCCAAUAUUCGAGUAGAUGAUUUCAACUAUUGCAAAUACCAUCAGUCGAUUAGCCAUCCUCUUGAGAAGAUUAUAGAGUUGAACGAAAAAAAUCAUACAACUCCAUGAAGAAGAAAAAAUCAUGUUUGAAAAAGAAGUGGCAUAAUCAAACUUGACAUCAAUGCUUUGGUUUCUCAAUACAAUAUUAUGGACAGAUUCAUCAAAUUUGGCUCUUUCAAUCCUAUUACACUAGCUCUAAGUAGAAGUAAGAUGGUGAAUUUCGAAAGGAUUGGGGGCAAUCAUCUAUUCUUGGAAUACCAGAAUGGUCAUUAUUGGACUCUAGCCACAUGUCAAAGAAGCCAAUGAAAAGCAUCUCUCCUAGGUAUAAGCUUAUAUUGUCACAUUACUCCUAAGCACGAGCAUAAAUUAGUCAUCCAAAAUGAUGAUGCUUCUAAGCAUGAGCUUAAAUUGUUCAUCUAAUGCUCCUAAGAAGGAGCCUAAACUAUUCAACCCAAAUGGUCAUGCUUUAAGAAAAAUCUUAAACUAUUUUUAAGGCCUUAUAGUUCGGAUUAAGGCCCGUAAGUGUAUGUUUGUUAUAAUUAAGUUGUGUUAUUGAAUGUUAUUAAUUCAAUCACAUGAAUAUUUUGUUGUAAGUUAAAUGUUUUAAUUUGUACUAUAAUGCUCCAUAACCCUAAUCUGGCAAUGGAAACAGGUUUGGCGUGUUACAAUUUUGGGUUCUUGCGAUGUUGGUUGGAUUUUCGUGUUUUAACAUUAAACUGCAAAAUUGUAUGAUUUAACAAACUAAAAUUAGGUUUUCAAAGUUAAAACUCUGGAAAUUUUUGUUGCAAAGUAUAAGUAAUCACUUAAGUGUUUUUCCAUAUAUAAUUAAAUGGUUUUUAACAAAUGUUUUCCUUAGUUUUGGAAAUGAUCUGCCACCAUUAGUACUUUUAAAACACAUGAUUUCAAAUUCAAAUUCUUUGUUUUAAAUAAGGGUUUUCACACUUCGUUUUUUUUUAACAUUUGUGAGAGGUUUUCGCCAAAUUUUAUGUUUUCAGAACGUGUAACUAAGUUGAUUUUUAAUUCGUUUUUCAAAUGAGUCGAUGUAAUUCCUCAAAAAUCCAGUCAUAGCAUCUAGGCCGGGUUUGGAUGUUAUACUGAUAUUACUAAAGUUAAUCUUCAUCUAUUUAGUCUAGAUCUAAACAUUAAUAUUCUCUUCCAAGAAAAAUCAAGAUGAUCAAAUUGUUAAAACUUGGUAGGCAGACAAUCAUAUUAAAUAUGCAUAAAACUUAAUAAAUAAUUAGCGAAGAUUGAAACAAUCAAAGAAAAAAUAAAUUAAUUAACUAAGAAAUAGGAUCCAUUAUUGUUUCAAGAAAAUAGAGUUUAGUUCACAUUGAGUUGAGAAAACCAAAAGGGAGAUUCAAAAAAAACUUGUGAUAAGGGGAAUAAUGUCAAUAGAUCAUAUUCAAGUUGUUCGGCUCGAGAAAGAAAGAUUCAGAUCUAACUUGAAAAGAAGAAACUAAAAAUAUUUAGAAAAACAAGAAAAAACAAAGAAAAUAACUAAAAUGAUAAAUUUAAGAAUAAAUAAUCAAUAUUAAAAAUAAUAAAGAAAUAAAGAAAUUAUAGAAUAAAUAGUGGAAGAUGGAAUGAAUAAAUGAUGGAUAUGACAUAUAGAUGGAUAAGUGUCUUAUAAUUCAUGAAAAGAGUUAUAUUUCAUGCCUUUAGAUCUAACUAACUGCUUGUACUUAAGUACAUUUUGUUGCAUUUUAAGACAUUUUAGUUAGUGUUUCUAAUAUUGCAUUAGGACUUAGAUUGUGUUGGAAUUAGGUGUUUUUAAUCGCUCGUGGUGGAGUUUUUCUGUGUGUUGGCAUGGCAAGAACAUAUUUUAGAAUGAGGAAAUAAAUGAGUGAAGUUUUGUUAGGGAAAAAGUGCAGACAAUUUGCCAACACGGAUGCCGUGACAAUGCUGGGAAGACCAAGUAACAUUUUUUUGCGCAAUAGUCUCAGUUGAAAUUAAAACUUGUACCAGAUAAAUCUCCCUAAAAGAGGAGAAGAUAAUCACAAGAUGUCAGCUGACCCUAGCCUAAUCUAUCUAUAAAAGCCAAUAAAGGGGAUCUCACAAUUGGCAGAAAAAAGUGGGAGAGAUCCUUAGGUGUGAAUAAGGUUUUAGCUGCGCAAAGGAAAGGAAGUCAAAGGCAGUCCUUUUUAGCCAUCAUAGGACGUUGUGCUGCCGAAGUGUGGACUAGCCAAGUGAAAGUUGUUUCCGAAAGUUCUUUUUUUAUUUCCAUCAGCGUUCCUUCAAAAUAUUGAAGUAGUUGAACACAAUGUCGGAUAAUAUUUUUCUUUGGAAUUUUAUUUCUCAGCCCAUGAGCUAAAUCUCGUAGGGUUAAGGUUACUUUUGAUGAAACCUUAAAUAUUUUUAUGGAUGCAGCAUAUAUCCAAUUUACUAAACUGUAUCAUUUGAUUGUUCUUAUUUCUUAAGUAAAAUGCAAAUGAUCUCUAAACAUAGAAGACUGUUCGCAUACUUAUAAACUGAUUCUAAUUCUAAAACGGUUAGAUUGGUUGGAUUAAAAUUAAAUGAAAUGAGCAAGUAUUCGAUGGACACUUGUAGUAGACUCUAUACAUAGAGUGACGAUCAUACAGAAGGAACCCAUGCAAGGUAUCUAAAAAGUCUUUAGACACAGGCAAGGUAACUUGAGGUUUUGCUCUCACGAGAGGCAGGCCAUUUUAGUACUCUUCUGUGCUUUAAAGUAGAUAAGAUUUUGCCAAGGAAUUAUUGAGAGUAAGGGUCGAUUUUGGAUAAUCAACCUUCCAAAUCCACAUCGUAUAUCCUUUAUUCCUUACCAUAGAAUAUUUGCCACAUCAUUAUUAGUUAUUUAUUUGUUCAUUUACAUAAUAUUCCCGUAGUAAUUCUCAUAAUUGUCAUUACAUUUCUACUCUUGGUUUGCCACAACAUUACUAGUUAUUUAUUAAUUCCACGUAUUGCUUACAUCAUUACUCUACUAAUUGCGACUGUAUAUUUAUCAUUGAGUUUGCCAUAGCAUUAAUCGUAUUUUAUUAUAAUAUCUUAACUAAUUUUGUGCCUCAAUCUGAUCCCCAUGGGAACGAUACUCACUCAUCACUUUAUUACUAGAUUCAACUGUAUACUUGCACAAAUCGUAUAUCAUUUCACACACGACAAUGUUCAAUUGAACCUUUUGAGUUAUAAACUCGAACAAACUCAAUUAUUAGCUUUAAUCAACCCACCAAGAAAGAAUCAUUGGCAAAUUGAAGGAUGAAGAAUGAAUUCCCAUGAAUCCUUAAAGAAAUUGAGAAGAAAACUACUUCUAAAAAUCACAAGAAACAAAUCUUGCACAAAGAAACUAACUCUCAGAGUUGGAAAUUUUAGUAAUAAACAAAAACAAUUGCGUCUCUGAUGAACAUGAAAGGGCCUUUACAUAGGCUAGAUAAGUCCAUCCAAAUAAAAUUGUCAAGUAUCUAGAAACUUUAAUUAAUGUAAGCAAGAAGUAAUUUUAAACUAAAAUAGUCAAAAUUUUUGUAAUGAUCUCGUCCAAAAAUUCUGCUCACAUAGUCAUCAUGAAAAUAGUCAUAAUUUGAUCUCUUGAACUCAAAAUCGAGUGAAUAAAAGUGCGUUUCAAAGUUAAGUGAUAGAUCUUAGAACUCUAUGAGACAUAUCAAUUGAAAAAUGUCUGGAUUCCAUCCAAAAAUUCACUGGAAGUUAACUAAUUUUUCAAACUUGAAAAUUGGUAGCUUCAGUGAAUGGAAUUUAAUAAAGUUCACCCCAUCUAUUCAUGUAUCAACUUGCAUUGUAAAAAGUAAAAAGAAAUAAUCUAUAGAGAAAAUAGUUGAAGAAUUUAUGACAAUUUAUUCAGAUCUCUUUUUCUUCUAGUAAUAUAUUGGGCCUAUAAUAUAUUUUUAUUGAUUUCGGUUAAUAAAUUAAUUCGGUUAAUUAGUCGAUUUCAAACUAAACUAAUUGUUAAACAAAAUCUUCAAAAACCUUUAACAAACUCCCAACCAAAUUAGAUUCGUUGAUCGACUGCUUAAUCAAAUUAAUUAGGUUUGAUAACUUAAUUCGUUAAAACCGAAAAAUGCACAUCCCUAUCAUCACCUUUGUUUUUAGGGAUUUUAAUCAUGUUGCUCCACCUGAUGCAGAAGUUGAGGUGGAACGAACUACUUGCUACCAAAAUUUAUGAAUUAUAGAGCUUGCUCCACCGCAGUGAAUCAAAUUCGGUGGAGUGGGAGACUUUUCUUCACUACUUUAUGCUCUAUGCUCCAAGUCUUCUAUUCUUCUUCCGAGACCUACAAUGGAAAAAUAAAAAAAUAAGAAACAAGUCUGAACUUACUUUGAAAAUUAGAAAUUUUCUACAAAAUUGAAAUAAAAUAUAAUUAAUCAAUAAAAACUAUAAAAUGCAAUAAAAACGAACCUAAAUACUAAAAUUACCUCCUAAAAUGCUAUGGAAACUAUACUAAAAUAACUCUAAAUAUGAUAGUUAUCAGAAGCGACCUGAAGAAGCCAAUCGAGUAGAUGAUUUCAACUAUUGCAAUAAUAUUGGUCGAUUAGCCAUCCUCUUGAGAAGAUCAUAGAGUUGAAAGAAAAAAAUCAUACAACUCCAUGAAGAAGAAAAAAUCAUGUUUGAAAAAGAAGUGGCAUUAUCAAACUUGACAUCAAUGCUUUGGUUUCUCAAUACAAUAUUAUGGACAGAUUCAUCAAAUUUGGCUCUUUCAAUCCUAUUACACUAGCUCUAAGUAGAAGUAAGAUGGUGAAUUUCAAAAGGAUUGGGGGCAAUCAUCUAUUUUUGGAAUAUCAGAAUGGUCAUGAUUGGACUCUAGCCACAUGUCUUCGGAACAUCAGAAUGGUCAUGAUUGGACUCUAGCCACAUGUCAAAGAAGCCAAUGAGAAGCAUCUCUCCUAGGUAUAAGCUUAUAUUGCCACAUUACUCCUAAGCACAAGCAUAAAUUGUUCAUCCAAAAUGAUGAUGCUUCUAAGCAUGAGCUUAAACUGUUCAUCUAAUGCUCCUAAGAAGGAGCCUAAACUAUUCAACCCAAAUGGUCAUGCUUUAAGCAAAUAUUAAACUAUUCUUAAAAAAUAAAUGAUGAUCCAAUGAAGCACAAGCUUAAUCUAUUCAUACGAAACAAAUGAUGACCUCCUAAGCAUGAAUUUAAAUUGUUCACACAUAAUAAAUGAUGAUACUCCUAAGCGCGAGCUUAAAUUGCAGUCCAAAAAAUAUUGAACUACGUUAUAACUUGAUCUUUUAAAAUUGAAGGUAAGUAGAUAGCCUGGUUUCAUUGCCAAGUUCAGUCUAUAUGAUAAAAAAAAUUUGAAGGUGAUCUUUGAAACAAAUUCAUCAAAGUAGGAAGCAAAUAAAAUUUCAAGACUUGUCCCCUUUCUACGCCCAACAAAAUUCAGAAUCCAUCAUUUGUUAUUACUGUAAUAAUAUCUCUAACUAAAUUAAUGAAAAGAUAAAUCAAGAAAUUAAAUCCUUUUAGAACUCUCUUAUAAAGAAACCAUAUUAAGGAUUACUUUAGAUCUAAUUAAUUAAAUUAAUAAGAUAUGAAUAAUAAUAAUAGAGUUUAAAUUCUUAUAGAACACUCAAAUGAAAAUGUUAAAUUCUACAAGAACUCUUAUAUGAAAGUGAUUGACACUAAAAAAAUGGGUCACCUCCAAGUUAUUCUACACAUUCACAAGUUCAAGAAGUUGAAAAAUUAUUUACAAAAAUAUUUGAAGAAACUAAAGAAGUAGAAGAAAUUCUAAUGAACAUCAUAUCAAUUGAGAGGAGGAUGUGAACAGAAGAGAAGAUUGAAAAGAGUUUUGUUUGUAAAGAAAUUCAAAACUUGUUAUAAAAUUUGACGCAAAAUUUUCAAGUCAAUUUUCAACUUGAAAUUUGUGUGUACUAUAUAUAUGGGAAAGAAUCCAUUUACAUUAUAUAAAACUAUUGUAUGUAUAAUACAAAAAUAUUUAAUACAUUAUCAAUAAAGUUUUUAAACUAUGCACCUGUGAUUAAAACCAAAAUAAUAAUAUUAAUAACAACCAAUCACUUUAUUUGACUAACUUUUCCUCACAAGUCUUUGGUAUGGAGACAAAUCAGUUUAAUCAGUCUUUGGAGCUAUUAACUGACAUUUCCACCAUUGAUUUGAAAAUCAUAACCCAUCAAUUCACUUUAAAUGAAACGAGAUCCUCAAGUGUUUGGUGUUAUAUUCUUAAAAUGUAUUUAGAUGAUUGUUUAUUAAUUUUAUUUCUUUAUAUUUAAAUCAAAUGUAAUAAAUUGUUGAAUUUAUAUACUUCUUAUUAUAACAAUAUAUGGACUAUCUUCCUACUUCUUUUUUUAAUUUAAUUUUUUGUAACUCUUCACAAUUUAUUUUGAAAAACAUUGAAAAAAAACUAAAUGAUUAAAUUAAGGCUCAACUUUUCACUAAUCUUAGUUUAUUUAGUCUAACUUUUCACAAUUUCAUAUACUCAUUUCAUGUUUCAUACCAACAAUUUUUCUUUUUGGUAAAAAGAAAAAAACAACUAUACUUUCUUUAAUCCCAAAAUUAAGGCUUUAUGAAUGAAAAUAAUAUUAUAUUAACUAUGAUAAUUAAGUUUUUAUUUUAAAUAUGAUUAAUUUUAUAUAUAAUAACUUUAAAUAUAAAUAUAUAUAUAUCUAUAAUUAAAUUUUAAAGAAAUUUAUUGUUAUUUUCUAAACAUAAAACAAAGAAAACUUUUUACCCAAAUUAUAAGUUUGUGGUUAGGCAGCCCACUUUGGGACAGGAUUCAGCUUACGUUUUUAAUCUUGGGCUUUAAAAAUAAUAAAAAUAUAAAAAUAAUGUUCGAUUAAUAUUUAUAAAUUUUAUAAAUUUAAAUUUAAUUAUAUUUUUUAUACAGUAAAAUCAACCAUUUAUAUGGGCUAAAUUGAGUUAAGUUCGGUUUGCAUCAAGCCUUAACUUUGACCAAAUCCAACGAAAAACACCUCUAACCAUAAUCUAGUAUUGUUUUUAUGAAUUGAAUUUUAACUUGUAAUUUUCAAUUUUAUACAAACUUUCUUUGCCUACGAUAAGGAAAUAACAUAUUUGUAACUUCUCCAAUCUGGCGUAAACAUUCAGUCUGAAUUCGGAAGAUUACAUCGGCCAUAAAGAUGGCCUAGCAGGGUUAUCAGAGUUUUUGAAAAUAGACAUCUUUAAAACGUUUGUUUAAUUCAGUAAAAAACUAAUUUAAUUUCCAAAUUAUUUAUUACUUGAAAUCUUAAUUACACUUUAAAAGAAGGAAGUGGUAACUAUUUAUUUUUAAUAAAAAUUAGGGUUCAUGUAUAAUUGAUUAAUAACCAUAAUUCGAAAACAUUAAAACUUAAAUUAAAUGUCAUGCAAAAUAAAACAAGCUUAAACCUAAAUCUCAUGCCACAGUUCAAAAUAAUUUAUUGUAGUCUUCAAAAAUAAAAUAAAUCAUAUAAUCAACCAAAAAUAAGUUUUGUAAUUUAGCAAUGUAUCGAGACCUUCUAGAUGUCAUGCCCGCGUCCUAACUUGGUUAUUUGUAAGUGUAACGACCCGAAUAAUUUAUCUCUAUUUCUGUAAAUAUUUGACGCAAAUACUUGUUUGCUUCAGUGGUUAAAUGUUUUGGGUGUGUUUGAGAGGUCUUGGGUUCAAGUCUCAUUUUUGUAAAAUUUUGUUAUUUUUAUGAUUCAAGCCUUAGCCUUGUUGAGUGGGCUUUUAUGAAAUUGUUUGCUACUUCAUAUUAGAAUGAGCUUGCUAGUUCAAGUGGUAAGGAGUUGGUGUGAAGGAGGUUCUGUGUGUGAAUCCCUGCACGAGCGUGGGUAUUAUUUUUUUGCUCAGUUAUAUGGUAGAGUUUCGGUGCUUUUGGGAUUAUAGGGUAGUUGGAUGUGAAUUAGUGGGGAGUUAGGAUAUUAGUGGGUUUUUAAUUAGAUUUUAUUUAAUUUUUAUUCUUUUUGUUUUUCCCAAUUUUUCUCUUAGCUUUUGACGUUCUGUUUCCCUUUUCUCCUCUGCUGAAUUUUUGCCGCUCCCUCUCAUUUUUGAUUUUUCCAAUUCGUCUCCUUUUUGUGCAAUGUUUGAUUGCAUUCGUUCGGUAAGUCUUGUAUUGUUACGAUCUUAUUGUUUGGUGGUUAAUGUUUUAAUGGGGGUUUUGUGUUUACUCUCGAUUAAGGGAAGGGCAAGAAGAGUUGGUACUCCUGCAAGAUUUGAGCGUUAAGGGUGUCUGUUCGUUGGCGGUAAGUUUUCAAAUUCUUUGUUGGUUAUUGUAAGGCUCCGUUUGUGGAAUGGUUUCGGAUUGAGUUUCGUAAGUGUGUAUCGAAUUUGGGCUUCUGGAUACUGUUUCUUAGGUUCGGUGGUCUCAGGGGUGCUUGUGCAUCAAAAUGAUAUCAGGUGUGUACCCGAAACGUAGAAAAUCGAGUUUCGAUGAAAGGUAAAAAACCUUAUUUUCGAUGCCACACGGGCGUGUGCAUGGCCGUGUGGUUGGCCGUGUGCAGGACACAGUCAUGUGUUCGACGAGGGUAGGGCCGUGCGCAAGACACGGCUGUGUGACGAUGUGGGUGUGGCCGUGUGGGCCACAUAGGCUAGGCCAAGUUGGGCUUGUGGGUUUUGGGCCACACGUGCAUGUGCCUUUUAAACAAGUCCGUGUGGACCACACGGGUAGGGCUAAUAUGGGCGUGUUGGCCACAUGGGCAUGUGGGCCGAAAAUUCUAAAAUUUUCCUUAAGGUCGCACAGGUCGUUCUAGUCGACUGUGGGCCUACCGUAGGGUCGGUAAGGGCUAACCAAACCCUAAAACUAUGUGAUCUGUUAGUUUGAUAUUUUGUUCUGAAUAUGAUACUGCUAUGCAUGUUUGAUUAGUUUGGUGUAUGUAUAUAUAUAUAUAUCUGAUAUCUAUGUAUGAGCAUGUGAGCAUGGUAACUCUAAUUAUCUAUAUCUGAUUGGGGUGGGAUUUGUAUAUGUGGAGGAAGUGUUCUGUAUGGCGGUCAUCGCUUAUAUUCUGGCAGCUUGGCUGCACAUUAUCUGACAUGUGUCGUAAUGGCACGAUAUGGUGUGUAGGGAUGGGUGGGUGUUUUUAACCCCACAUGAUGUGAUGGGAUAGUUGGAGUUGGUGUGUAGAGGAUGGAGUUAGGAUUUUGUAUUUCUGAUCUGAUCUGCAUAUCUGUUAUGUUAUCUGAAUCUGUAAAGGACUUAGGUCUGAAUCCGAAUCUAAAAUUGUAUCUGACUAUGUAUGAGUUUACUGCAUGUAUUGCAUGCAUUUUUUUAUUGGCUUACACACUAAGUUUACAAAAACUCACAUUUGUUUGUCUGUUAUGUUCAGGUAAUCCACAGAUUUAGGCGGGUCGGUGUGACGGAGGCUCAGUGGUGACCACCUGAUUGAGAACUAUUUUACUUAGUAAAUUAUGUUUUAUUUAUAAUUUCUAUUUCAUUUGAGAGUUUUUAAUUUUUGAGACUCUCAGUACUGCUGGUUUUUAUUUUGGUUUUGGAUGCGAUUUUAGACUAUUUUGUUGCGAUGCAUGAUGGAAAACACGAUUUUAUGAAAAAAAGUUAUUCUGAAAAUACGAACUGGAUUUCUAAAAUAUAACGGUUCAAAAACUUUCACUAAAAAUCACGUUUUGGUAAAUAAAUGAAUUAAAUAAUACUUUCAAAAAUGGUUAUAAAUAAUUAUGAACUAUGAAUCUUUAAUGAUUUGAUGAAACGACCUUAUUUUCAAAACCAUACCUUGUGACCACUCCGGAUUCAGCCAUAACGUCUGGGCUGGUUUGGGGUGUUACAGUAAGGAUGAAAAUUUAAGGGAAUGAGCUAUGACGCUUACUAUGAGUUCAUUCACAAUAAAUUCAACGCAAACGGUUGGUAGGACACAUUAAAUAAUAUCGCAUAAAAUAAUCACAAUUAGAUAAUAGUUCAGAAUGUCGGUUUUACAAUUUAACCACCAAUAUAAUCACAGUAUUCACAGUUGUAAUUUUAGAAUAUCAAAUUUCCACAUCAUUCACAAUAUUCAGAUAUAUAUAAAUAUAUCAUAACAGAAUUCUGGAUUUGUAUGCACAUGAUUUAGAAGAUGCCAUACAAUUUCAGGUUUUAACAGAAUAAAUCCUACCCCACGUUACAUACCAUAAUGGGAGUUCCCCUAAACUCCCUUCUGCAACACACUGGGUUAUGGAUAAACCACUACCGGUUUACAGAUAAUAACUAUCAUUUGGUUGUGGACACACAGCAAGUCUCCACAAUUGGAUUCUAGAUUUGGUUGUGGGUUCACAGCAAAAAAAAUCUACAAAUGAAGCCUGCUUUUGCCUGUAGAUUAUACAACAUAUACCCAUAGUUGGAAUCUGCCUUCGGCUAUGGAUGCACUGUAACACCUCAAACCUGACCUGGACGUUAUGACCGAAUCCUGAGGAAUUACUUUAACUCACUAGAAAACCCAAGAGUUUACUAUGAAAUCAUGUGGUUAAACUAGUGUUCACUUUGAUAAAUCGUUUUCCAGUUUUAGGGAAAAUUAUUGUUAAAACUGUUACUUUAUUACAAUAAAACAUUAAAGUGAUUAUAUCAUUUUGUAACGGAAUCUACUGAGCUAUAAGGUUAUGAAAAUCGUGGUUUAAUUUGCAACAAAUCAUUUUGUAAAUAGAAAUUUAAUACUACUUAAUUUGGAAAAGCAUGCUAAAACGAAAGCAAAGUCCAAACUAAUUUAUGAUUUAAAAUUCUAAAAAGUCCAAAUUAAACAUAAAGUCAAUUUAAACCAGUUUAUCGAACGUGUAACACCCCAAACCUAGCCUGGAUGUUAUGGCUAAAUCUGGAUGUGUUACGAAAAAAAAGUUUAUAAAACGACUUCCUUAUUAUUGGCAAAUCAUCGCAACCAUUAUUACUUAGUAUGCUCGAUUUGUUUGGAAAACUUAUUGAUAUACUUAUUUGAUUUAAAAUCAUUGCUCGCUUAUGCCUUUCUAUUAAACUGAAUGUUUUGUAGUGGAGUUUCUUUAAAACACCAUAUUUUGGCAAAUCAAUUUGUUUCUUGAAAAUCGUUAUUUCAAAAAAAUUGUCAUUUUUAGAAAAAACUAUUUUAUCAGUUGUUACGCUUAGAAACCAAAAUAAAAUCCAAAACCAAAAAUAGUCCCAAAAAGUCCAGAGAGUCCCGAAAUUACAAAACUCUCAAAACCAGAAAAGUUUGAACUAAUUUAAAAAGAAUGAAAUUUUACGGAAAUAUGGUUAACACUGAGCUUCCAUCACACCGACCCACCUAAAUCUGAGGGUUACUUGAAUAGAACAAACAAAUAGAGAGAGUUUUGAAACUCAGUGUGUAACGCGAAUAUAAACAAAAAUUCAGAAUCAAUCUCAUGCAGAACAUAUACAAAUGUAAACCAUUUAUAGAAUAAGAAUUAUACAGAUACAAAUAUGCAACAUCCUACCCUCAUCCUAUACACACCAAUUCUGACCAUCCCAUCACACCACGUGGGGUAUAAAACACCCACCCAGCCCUACACACCGUAUAGUGUUUAUACAACACUUUUCAAAAUAAUCGCAGCAGAGUUGCCAGUAUAUAGGUGAGAUAUCGCUUCACACAGAACACUUCCUCCUCAUAAUACAAAUCCCGCUCCAUAGCCAGAUACAGAUAGAAUAUCAGGUAAAACAAAUUAAUAGAUACCAGAGUUAACAUAUCACGCGUGAGCGUAUAACAGAUAUUACACAUGCUUAUACAUAACAGAACAAAUCAUACAUACCGUAUUCCAUAAUACUCAUAUAAAUGUUAUUUUUUAAAUUGUAACAAAUAUUAUUAUUAAGAUGUUUUUCUUUUUAUAUUUUUUUAUAAAAUAUAUUAAAAAACAAUUAGAAUAAUUUUAAGAGAAAAAACACUCAUAAACAGUAGAAUUUAAUCUAAAAAUAUCAAAGUUUUAAAGCCUCAACUUUAACAUUUCAACCAAAAUUCCAUUAGUAUAUAAAUAUUUUAUAAAUAUAGAUUUUAUAUAAAAAAAUUUUAUGUAAACUUUUUUUUAACCCACAUCACAAGUAUACCAUAUUUAGAGAUAUUCAUAGCUAGGCAGCCCACUUUGGGUCAAACUUGAGCUUAGGUUUCAUCUCAAGUUGGCCCAAUUUAACCUAUUUUACUAUUUAAAAAUAUAAAUAUAUGUUAUAUUGAUAUUUAUAUAUUUCUAUAAUUAAAUUUUAAAUAAAUUUAUUGUUAACUUUUAAACACAAAACAAAGAAAACUUUCACCCAAAUUAUAAGUUUGUGGUUAGACAGCCCACUUUCGGGGCAGGAUUCAGCUUACGUUUUUAAUCUUGGGAUUUAAGAAUAAUAAAAAAUAUAAAAAUAAUAUUGUAUUAAUAUUUAUAUAUUUUAUAAAUUUAAAUUUAAUUAUAUUUUUUAAACAGUCAAAUGAACCAUUUAUAUGGGCUAAUUAGAGUUAAGUUUGGUUUGAAUCAAGCCUUAACUUUGACCAAAUCCAACUAAAAACACGUCUAACAAUUAUCUAGUAUUGUUUUUAUGAAUUGAAUUUUAACUUGUAAUUUUCAAUUUUAUUACAAAAUUUCUUUGCGGACGAUAAGAAAAUAACAUAUUUGUAACUUCUUCAACCCGGCGUAAAGGUUAAGUCUGAAUUUGGAUUACAUCAGCCAUAAAGAUGGCCUAGCAGGAUUAUCGGAGUUUUUAAAAACAAACAUCUUUAAAACGUUUGUUUAAUUUAUAGAAAAGCUUAUUUAAUUUCCAAAUUAUUUAUUACUUGAAAUCUUAAUUACACUUUAAAAGUAGGAAGUGGUAACAAUUUAUUUUUAAUAAAAUUCGGGGUUCAUGUAUAAUUGAUUAAUAACCGUAAUUCGAAAACAUUAAAACUUAAAUUAAAUGUCAUGCAAAACAAAACAAGCUUAAAUCUAAAUCUCAUGCCGCAGUUCAAAAUUAUUUAUUGUAGUCUUAGAAAAUAAAAACAAUCAUAUAAUGAACCUAAAUUUUUUAUUUUACUUUAAUAAUGUGUCAAGGUCUUACAGAUGUCACGCCUGCGUUCAAUCUUGGUGGGUUAUCUGUAAGGAUGAAAAUUUAAGGGGGAGUGAGCUAUGACGCUUAGUGUGAGUUCAUUCACAAUAAAUUCAAUGCAAACGGUUGGUAAGACACAUUAAAUAACAUUGCAUAAAGUAAUCACAGUCAGAUAACAGUUUAGAAUGGCGAUUUUACAAUUUAACUACCAAUAUUAUCACAAUAUUCACAGCUGUAAUUUCAGAAUAUCAAAUUUCCACAUCAUUCACAAUACUAACAUAUAUAUAAAUAUAUCAUAACAGAAUUCCAGAUUUGUAUGCACAUGAUUUAGAAGAUGCCAUACAAUUUUGGGUUUUAACAGAAUAAAUCCUACCCCACAUUACAUAUCAUAAUGGGAGUUCCCCUAAACUCCCUUCUCCAACACACUAGGUUGUGGAUAAACCACUACUCGUCCACAGAUAAUAACUAUUAUUUGGCUGUGGACACACAACAAAUCCCCACAGUUGGAUUCUAGCUUUGGCUGUGGGUUCACAGCCAAAAGUCCUGCAAAUGAAGCCUGUUUUUGCAUGUAGAUUAUACAACCUAUACCCGCAGUUGGAAUCUGUCUUUGGCUAUGGAUGCACUAUAACACCCCAAACCCGACCUGGACGUUAUGGCUCAAUCUUGACGUAAUGCCCCAAAAUUUCUAAUUUCGUUAUUGUGAAAAUAUGACACAAAAUAUUUGUCUGCUUUAGUGGUUAUGUGUUCUGGGAGUGUUUAGGAGGUCCCAAGUUCACGCCUUCACAUGGGAAAAUUUUGGUAUUUUGAAUGAAUUAGGUAUUACUCUUAUUCAGUAGGCUUUUAUUUGAUUGUUGGGUAAAUUAUAUUAGAAUGGGCUUGCUGGUCUAGUGGUUAAAUGGUUUAUUAUUAUGGUGGAGGUCUUGUGUUCAAGUCCCUAUGUAGGCAAGGGUAUUAUUAUUAUUAUUAUUUGCUCAAAUUUCUGGAUAGAGUUGUGUAAUAGGGGGAUUCUGAGUAGUAGAUGUGUAGUGGGAAUUAGGGGAGAAGAUUAAGGAGUUUCAGGGGUUAUCGAGAUUUUAUUUUAUUUUUUCCCAUAACCGAAUUUUGACUUUCUUUUUCCAAAAAAAAUCUGCCAUCUAUUCUUCUCCCUCUCCUCUUGUCGAAAUUCUCUUAGUUUUUUCACCUUUCUCUUCUUUUUCUUCUUCUUGAUUUUUCCCUAAUCCAUUUAUUUUUCUUCAUUUUCGCACGCGGUUAGUUUUCGCUUAGUUUCGAUAAGUGUUUCUCUUCGUUUCUAUCAUGAAUCUCCUAGCGACUAAAGUGGUAACUUUUUUUCUCUGUGAUUUGGGUGUAGGGGAAGGCUCGAACUGUUGAAUUCAGUAUUCUCGUCUUAACAAUAGUUAAAUGGAGGGUUAUCGUUGGUGGUAAGUUGGGUUUCUGUUCAUUCUUAGUUGUCAAUUUGCUUGUAAAUCUGUUAAAUUGAUGUUGAGUAUCUUGAUUAUAGGCUUUGGAGUGCUUGGGGACUGUUUUAGCAUCAAACAAAACCAGAUGUGUACCCGAAACGCAAAAAAAAAGGGAUUCGAUCGAAAGCCGAAAUUGUUUGCUGUUUGGACAGUAGCAGUAGGCUAACUUUGAAAAAUCGCCAUAAAUUGUGGAAAUCGAAUUAGAGGAUGAAAAAAAUAUGAAAUUAAAUCUUAUUGAGUCUAGUUUCUCAUAGAAGAACGGUGUAAGUAAUGGAAUUUUAAAUCGUGAGAUAAUAAACUAUGUGAGACAAGGUUAGAAUAAAUUCGGGUUCCCUUGUUCUGACUUUGGAAAAUCAUCAAAAAUUGGAUAAAAAUAAUUAGGAAUUAAAAUUUACAUGUUUAAAUUAUUAAUUAGUCUUUUUUCAAUAGAAACAAAUGGGAACUUCAUCCAAAAUUUUUACUAAGAGAUAAUUAAUUUUUAGCAAUGAAGGGUCGAAGCUGUCAAACAGCAGAACAAGGGUAAGUUUGAAGAUUUUACCAUACUUAUUGGCUGAGCCAAAAAUUUAAAAAUUUUAUGGUAGAAAGGUAUUUGAGUCUAUUUUCAAAUACAUCAAGUGAAUUUUAAUUAGGAAUUCUUUAGCUCAAGAUAUAAAUAAUUUAGUUACAGUGAGUCAAGUAGAAAGCUUUGAAGGAACACAUAAGUAAAUUGUGAUAAGAUAUAUGAAUAUUUAGCUAGCACAGGUUACAUUGAAAAUGGAUCACGCAGCCAAGGCCAAUUUGGGCUGAGUGGGCCACAUGGGCAUGUGAGCCCAUUUUUCUGAAAAAUUCUGUAAGGUUGCACGGGUCGCCCAAGUCGACUAUGGACCUACUGUAGGGUCGGUAAGCUUUACUUAGACGCCUAUAUGUGUGAUCUAUCUGGCUGAUUUCUAUACCGAGCAUGACUUAUGAUAUUUGAAUGUAUGUACUUUUAAUUACAUAAUGGCAUGACAAAUUUUGUAUGUUGCAUUGCAUCGGAGUGGGUUGAUGAUAUUUGGAGGAAGUGUCUAAAAGGCUAUUAAGCCUGUUAUCUGGCAGCUCAGCUGUAACCUUCUGAUUAUGUGCGCAUUUCAGUACAACAUGGUGUGUAAGGAUGGGUGGGUUGAUUUAACCCCCACAUGGUGUGUAAGGUUGGACAAAGAUGUGCGUAGAGGCUGGUGGGUAGGAUUCUGAUUUCUGUAUCUACAUUAUGUAUCUGAUAUGGGCCAAGGCUCUAAUGUAUUUCUGAGACUGUAUCUAAACGGGCUAAGGCCCAAACUGAUUGUGUGAUGGGCCUAGGACCCAGACUGUAUCUAACUAAAUUCUGUUGAUUAUUUGUAUGCAUGAUUUCUAUGGGGAUUACACACUGAGUUUGCGAAAACUCACCCUUUCUCUAUUUAAUCUGUACAGGUAAUCCCCAGACUUGAUGGGUCAGUGCAACAAAGGAUUCGACAGUGGCCACACGUAAAUUAUGGAUUGUUUUCCGUUAAUACCUAGAAUUUAUUAAUUAUUUGGGGUUUUUGAUGUAUCUUCUGGACUAUGGACUGGUUGGCUAACAUACCUUUUUGCAUUGCAUCAUGUGCACGACAUAUUUGAAUAUUAUUGGUUUAUGCUACGUAGUGUAUUUUGUUGUAUUGAAUGGUAUCAAAAUUAAUGAUUGUCACUCGAAUGAAUUAUGACCUAUGCUCAUACACUGUUUGACAUCAAUUUGAUAAUGGCUAUGUAACGAUAUGAAAUUCCUAUAAUGGUUCUAUUUUCUUCUGUUAAAGCUAAUUAGUUUUACUGUAUUUGAUAUUUAUGUUUGUUUCAAUAAUUGUUCGACUCACGCUGAGCUUUUCAUAAGCGCACCCCUAAUAUGUUAAACUUUUCAGGUAAACCUCGAAAUUAAGACCAGACUUGGCAUUCGAAGAAUCACCUUAGACCUUGAAUUAUUUUUCUAAUAAGUAUUAAUCAAUCUCUAAUGGUUUUCGUUUGUAAUUUUUAAUUAUAUCUAGUCUGUGGCUUGAUAACUUUUCUUCUGGGAUUUUUGCAUGCAUGGAUUACUCAAGCAUAGUAACCGGAUAAUGCAUGAUAUUAGGCUUAAGUAAAAUUUGAUAUUGUUCCCUAGAUUCCGCUGCAUUGCAAAGGAUUUGUUUUUGAAAAACAAAUUGAUAAGGUAACUAAGUUUUCAAAAUGACUUGAAAAAUGGUUUUUCCCCUGCAUUAGUUUAACAUCGAAUUUUUUUUAAAGGAGAGCAACAAGCAAAUGAUUUUUCUAAAACAACACUAUCAACAAUAAAAUGAAUUCUAAGUAUACACAACCUAAUGAAUGAAUGCUUUUAAGCUAACUUAAAGUACAACUAUGGUUUUCUCUAAAAUGAGUUUAUUUAAAGUUUUCAUAAGUAAUGUAAGUUAGCUUAGCCAUUUCGGUGGCUAAUGUAGCCUUCUCAUUCUAGCCAUAACGUCUAGGCCAGGUUUGGGAGGUUACAGUAUUGAUAGGAACUGUGGUAUAAAUUUUAUUUUGGACAUUCUUAAAUUGUUAUUUGGACUAAACUUUAGAAACUAUGGAUUUUAUACUGAGCCUAAAUUUACGAAGUUCAUGCGUGGUUUUUACGAAAAUGAAACUCAUAUGAAAUUUCAAAACCGUGAUGUUUUUUUUAACGCUCCAAUUUGAAAUUGUACAAGAAAUGUCAAUUUGAAUUAUUUUUGAAUGUUUUUUAUGCCAAUUAAAUAUUGUUUCAAAACAUAGCUAAGUAUUAUUUAAUUUCGUAAAGAUGAAGCAAACUCCGAACAAUCUAAAACUUCAAGGACUAGUUUGCAAUUUUUUUUUCCUCAAUUGUCUCCGGUUUGAUUCAAUUCUUGAUCUAUACAAUUAUUCCAUUCAAUUCAUCAAUAUUAAACAUUUAUACAUUAUGUCAUGUCAUGAAUGAACCUAGAUAAAUUCAUUUUUUGAUACCCUUAAAGUUUUACAUUUAUUUCAAUUUAGUCUCUAAAAUCGAAAUAGUCAUAACUUUAAAUUCUGAACUUCGGUUUGAAAAUCGACCUCAAUUUCAUUAUAGACUCUCUACUAUCCAUUAUUAUCAAAAUUUCACAUCAAUUUCACAAUUUAUUUACUUUAGUUAUUAUGUACAAAAUUAACAACCAAACAUCACAAUUUAGUCAUUUUUCAUAAUUUAAGCUUAAAAUCUAUCAAUUUAAUACCAAUUUCUUCAAGAAAUCAACCAUGAUAACUAUAAAAAAAAAUUAACAGUUUUGCAAAUUGAUACAUAGGUCAUUUAAAUCAAACUUUCAUGACCUCAGAAACACAAAAAAAAAUUAUACGAAAAUGAUUUAGAAAUGCAUACCAAUUGAGGACCGAAAGCUUGAAGCUCAAAAUGGCUUUUUCCCUUGAGGUUUUAUGUUGAUUAAAUGAUGAAGAAGAAGAAAUAAAGAUGACAACUUGCACUAAGUCACCUUUAUAUACUUAGAUUAAAUCUUAAUUAAUCAAAUUUAAUUAAUUAAAUCUUAAUUAAUUAACCUUAAUCACAAUUAAAAAAAAUUAGUGGAUGUUAACAUCAUCCUACACUAUUUCAUAUAACCAAAUGAUCUAUUUACCAUUUUGAACCUUUAGCUAAUUAGAAAUCUAUAGCGAUAAGACUUUUAAAAUUUAGUUUCUGUAUCUUAAUUAUGCAAUUAAUAGACAAAGUUGAAGGUUUAAAAUUUAAUGUUCUAUUAUACCAACUCUGUAAAUAUUCAUAUUUAAUAUUUACAGACCCGAAUUACGAAAAUGAGAUUUUGAAAUUGUAUUUUCCAAUACCACUGAAAAUCGAACAAUUAUGUAACCUAUUUGCACCAAAGGGCCAAACAUGGCAAAUACUUGACAUGUAUGUCUUAAUAUCCUCAUCUAUUCUCUUCAAUAUAAUAACAUCCAAUAAUUGUUUCAUCCACUGUAACUAUCACGAAGAUUAGAUUUACCAAUACAGCCUACAAUUUGCAGAAGCGCGACAUUUUCAUUCUAGAGAAAGGUAUAAUUGAAACAAAAUUGAAAUAAAGAUUUCAAUACAGAAUCAACAGACAUUCCAGCUAAUACUUAUCAAUUAUUUGCAGCUUCAUUGCUCCAACUAAGAUGGUUUUUAGUCGAAUAUGGUAAAUGAAAUCAAUGAACACCAGCUACUUGAUGAACGAGUGAAUCAAAGUCCUGAUAUGUGCCGGCUUAUUGGUGAAAAAAUACAUGGGUUAGUUUUGCAGCAAUUCAUGAUCUUACAUUUUAUAACCUUUGCUUACAAUUAUUCACUGACUAAUCAUUCAAUGAAUGUAGGCCUCAAAUUUAGCCACUAAACUUUGUUCUUUAUUUUUAGAUACAUAUUAUUUGAUCACUUCAUACAGCCUAUUACUCAUAAUAACUUCCAAUUUCCCUUCUUUAGGUUAGUUGCAAAUGUACAGCUUUUUCUAGAAGAAGAAAAUUGUCAAGAGCCACCUGUUCAAGAGAGGCGCAAACAGAAUGUAACAAUACCUGACCUACUUACGGUACAGCCAAGUAAUCAUGUGUUUCUAUGCUAGAACAUUAAAUCAAUGACUACAAAUUUCAUGUCAUGGUUGUGUAUCAUUUAUGCCACUGAUGCUGCUAUUUUCUAUUCUAAUGCAUAAUAGGGAUUUAGUGUUUUUACCGUUAAAAUUGUGUCCUUUAAUUUUGGCUUUUUUCAAUUGUUGAUCAUGUCCACCUAUGCUUUAUUUUACUACUAUUGCUUUCUUCAAUGAUAGAUGAUUGAAUCGGUAGAAUUUUAUUAAUCCUCUACAUGUUUUAGCUUGAUAUGUGGAUCCUAAGCAUUCCUUGGAUUGUGCCCUCUUUGUUCAUUUAUUUUUUUUCCUGGAACCUUAUUACAUGUUGUAACACUCCAGUUUUUUGGAGACAUUGAAGACGACUAACUGCUGAAUUCUUUCUUCUGCAGAGGAACCAAUGGCAAGAGACUCUAAAACUCCUACUCUUUUUUAUACCUUCCUCACCUCUUUGUGACAUUAUAGCUGAAAAAUGAUGUAUGCUAAUACAUGAAAUGUUUCCUCUUGCCUUUCUUUUUGUAGUACUAAAACUACAAAUAGUGUCUGUAAAUCUCUUUUCCCGUAAUCUUAUCUUUUCCUCAUUGUAAUAGUUGGAAAACAGCUUUGUUGAAGACAAUGUCAACUACUGGGAUAAGUUACAAACACUGUUAUUGUUUAUUUUGUAGUCUAAAUUAUGAUAAUUUCUGCACAAAAUUCACAUAAAUGGUUACCCUCCCGAAGCGGAGCGAGGGUGAUGCUUACUAGUUAUUAAGAAAACAGGACCUUGUAGGGCUUAACUGUUGAAUCGAGAAAGAAAUUUCUUUUAAUGCCUUCAAUUUUUUUUAAAGCUGAUUUUUUUUUACAAAUUAAAGUUUUGAUUGUAUGUUAAUUGCUUGAGGGAAGGUCGGAUACUUUAUUAUCCCUAUUUUUAUUUGUUAUAUAUUUUAACCAUAAUGAUUUUUUUGGCCCUACAAUUUUACCAAAAAAAUCAUAUUAGCUUUCAUUUAAUUUUCGUCUCUUUUAACCCUUUAACUUGUAUUUUUUUUGUCAAAUCACCCCAAAAUGGAUCGAAAACUUUAACAUUUGUGAACUUUGAUUAUGUGACAUACACAUGAAUUGUCACAUGGAUGACAAGUCAACAUUUCUUUUAAAAAAAAACUUAAAAAAUAUUAAAUAAAAUAUUUUUGAUAUUUUUUAAUGAUUUUUAAAUUAAAAAAAGUUUUUAAAUAUUUUUUAAUUUUUAAAAAUUAAUUAGACGCAGGCAUGGAAAUUCACAUCUAUGUGUCACAGGCCGUGGAUUAAAGCCUGUGACCAUUGCGCAUAGAACACCCCAUAGAAUUUUGGCUUUUUAUUUGGUCAAUCAUGUCCACCUAUGCUUUAUUUUACUAUUAUUGCUUUCUUUAAUGAUAGAUGAUUGAAUCGGUAGAAUUUUAUUAAUCCUCUAUGUAAUAACCAAAUUUUGCCCGGGCCCAAUGCCAAACAAAUAAAACCCAAACCAAAUAAAUAAAAUAAGAGUCCAAAUUACAGUCCAUUAGAGCUCAAUUCAGACCAGCCCACUAUUCAAUCAGACUGGCCCAACACCCAAAUAACCUAACAACCCUAGCCCAACAAAAUCAGAAAAAUGAACAGCAAAAAAACCUUAGGUGCGCCGCACCUAGGUCUUUUGGCCUAACCGCCGCUGUUCGCCUAUCACCAGCCUCCUCGCUGCCACCGCCGCAUGCGCACCAGGCCUCCUCCAUGUGUGUCUGACACCUGCAAAGAGAGUCACACGCAACAGUAGAAACAAAAACAAAAAACAAAUAGCAAAACGACAAAAAAAAUAAUGAUUAAGGAGUUCGUAAUCCGACUAUAAAAGCCCUAAUCUGUGACUUGUAAUUUUUUGACACACAUUAGAAAAUAAAAACCAAAAAAAAAAAACUUUAAGGUGAUACUCAUUUCAUUUUAUUUUUGUUUUAUUUUAUUUUAUCAUUUUUAUCUUUUUAUUUCGAAAUAACAUAAAUAAAAAGGGGAGGCUGGGUUGCCGUUGCCAGAGCAUAUUUUGUGCUAAAGGGGGUUGCGCAGGAGGAAAAGAGGAAACUUUUCAGUUUCCCGCCGCCGUGAUGGCCGAACCUCUGACUGGCGCUUGGAGAAAGAAGGGGAGAGUUUGAGAGAAUUUUAGGUUUUUUGUUUAAGAAAAGUGAAAAAUGAAGAAUUCUGAAAAAAUUAAUAUUUAUAGCACCUAGAAAUGGCGUCGUUUUGGCCAGUUUCAUUUGGCCCCAAAAUGACACCGUUUAAUGGCCUAUACCGGCACAGUGACCCGACCCGGGGAAGGAUCGGAGUGUUUUGUGCUAUUGGGUAAUUUUCGCAUUUGGUCCCUCUUAUUUUGUAGUGUUUUCAAAUUAGAUUUUAUUUAUUUUAAAUUUCAACAUACAUUUUUGUUUUUGUUUCACUUAGAUCCUGAACAAUGCGCAGCGUUUUGGGGGCGAGGAAAUAUUUCCAAUAUGGCCCCAUGUAAUCUGCAUAUUACACUUUAACCCCUCGUCUUGUUUAUAAUUCUAUUCUUUUCUUGUUAAUUUAGAUUCAAUUGCGAUUUAAUCUUUUGUUAAAACAUUUGUUUUCUUUAUUAAUUUAUUAACUAUUUUAUUAUUAUUUUAGUGGUAUAUUCGGUCAUAUUUUCAUUAUCUUAUUAUAUAUUAUCAUUUUGAGUUUUACUUAUAUUAUUAUUAUAAUUUUAUAAUGUGUUAUUUUAUUAACUCAAUAUAACAUAUAUAUAUAUGUAUUUUUUUGUGGUUUUAUUUUUAUAAUAUAUUUUUUUAAAUCCAUUUUUAUGCACUUUAUAUUUAAGUAUUUAUACAAUAAUAUUCUUAUAAUAUUUUUAUACAUGUACAAUUUAUAUAUAAUUAUUUCUUAUACGUGUAUAUAUACAUAAUAAAUCAUCGAUUACAUGUUAUUAUAUUAUUUCCACUUAUUUCAUAUAUAAUUUAUUUCUUUUAAAAUACUCUAUUAUAUACUUCAUUUAUUUCAACCUUUUAUGUGUAUCAUUAUAGAUAUACUAUUAUAUGAAGUUUUUCAAUCCCUAUGCAUUACUUAUUUAAAUUAAUAUAUGUAUAUUAUUUUAUGUAUUUAGAUUUAUUUUGUAUAUAAUAUCUACUUUUAAAUUUAUUUGGAUACUAUUAUUUUAAGUGGAAUUUAUUUUUAACUAUAUUUUUUUAUUUAUUUCAAUUUUUCAUAUAUGUAUAUAUUAUUUAUUUUAAAUUUAUUUUAAUCAUAAUUUCCCUUCUUUCAUAUUUCUUAAGUUUAAAAAAAAAAACUUGUACAAUUUCAUGUGCGUCAAUUUGUUUGGUGCUUUGAUUGUUUUUUAAUUCAUUAGCCUUUGAAUGUUAGCAUAAUACAUUAUGUGAGAUUAUUGCUCUUAUACGUAUUAUAUUGCUUAUUUUUAUUUACUAAUUAUUCGUAGAUCAUUAGAAUACAUUUUGGUUUACAAAUUAUCGCUUUGUAUUGUACAUUAAUAUUCAAUUGUUUUUUUAUUCGUUCGAAAGAUUACGUUUAAUAUCAUUUAAGUAUCAAAAUCGAUUUAUUCAAAAACUUUCAAGAUAACGUAAUAUUCUGUAUUUGGGAUAUUCGAGAGAAUUGAGCCUUAAUGUAUUGGGUUCCAAUUUUCCUCGUUGAAUCUAGAUAAUCGAGAAUAAUCUUCAAUCAAAAUACAUACAUAAAAAGCUCAUUAUCGGGAAUUCGAUACAUUGUGUCCUAACGCAUUGGAUACGACAUGUUGUUUUCUCGAGAUGAGGAUUUUUCUAAAAAAAAUAAUAAAGGCAAUAUUCCGUAUUUGGGAAAUUUGAGAGAUCGUGCCCUAACUUACUGGGUUUCGAUUUUUCUCCUUUAACCCAAAUAAUCAAAUAUCCUUCUCAAAAUGCAUAGGUUUUAAAAGUCAAAAGAUAAACUUAAUUUUGAAGAUUAAGAAUGUUGCGCCCUAACUCACUGGGUGUGACAUUUUAUCUCUUUGAAAUAAGAGUGUCUUAUCAUUUAAUUCAAUUUAUUCAAGGUUAAAAGGAUCGUAUUUUAAAACCUUUUCAAAAUUUCAACACUAAGACAUUAAGUAAUCAACUAGGUACCAAUUUUUGGGCGUUACGAGGGUGCUAAUCCUUCCUUGUACGUAACCGACUCCCGAACCUAUUUUUUUGAAUUUCGUGGACCAAAAUCAUUAUUUUAAUAAAAUCAAACCAUUUAUUAAAAACAACCACUUUUCGAGGUGACCCGAUCACACUUCAUCGAAAAAGAUCGGUGGCGACUCCCAUAUUCAUUUUCAUUUUCAAAAUCCAAAUUGACCCUGUUUUAUCAAAAAAUGGUGUCAACACUGCACAUGUUUUAUCUUGACAUAUGGAUCCUAAGCAUUCCUUGGAUUUUGCCCUCUUUGUUCAUUUAUUUUUUCUUGGAACCUUAUUACAUGUUGUACCAUUCCAGUUUUUUGGAGACAUUGAAGACGACUAACUGCUGAAUUCUUUCUUCUGCAGAGGAACCAAUGGCAAGAGACUCUAAAAAUCCUACUCUUUUUUAUACCUUCCUCACCUCUUUGUGACAUUAUAGCUGAAAAAUGAUGUAUGCUAAUACAUGAAAUGUUUCCUUUUGCCUUUCUUUUUGUAGUACUAAGACUACAAAUAGUGUCUGCAAAACUCUUUAGAGAAAAACAAAUGUCUGUAAAUCUCUUUUCCCGUAAUCUUAUCUUUUCCUCAUUGUAAUAGUUGGAAAACAGUUUUGUUGAAGACAAUGUCAACUACUGGGAUAAGUUAUUGUAAGCAUCUUUUCUUUAAGUGUUUCAUAUUAAAAACAAACACUGUUAUUGUUUAUUUUGUAGUCUAAAUUAUGAUAAUUUCUGCACAAAAUUCACAUAAAUGGUUACCGUCCCGAAGCGGAGCGAGGGUGAUGCUUACUAGUUAUUAAGAAAACAGGACCUUGUAGGGCUUAACUGUUGAAUCAAGAAAGAAAUUUCUUUUAAUGCUUUCAGUUUUUUUAAAGCUGAUUUUUUUUACAAAUUAAAGUUUGGAUUGUAUGUUAAUUGCUUGAGGGAAGGUCGGAUGCUUUAUUAUCCCUAUUUUUAUUUGUUAUAUAUUUUAGCCAUAAUGAUUUUUUUGGCCCUACAACUUUACCAAAAAAAUCAUAUUAGCUUUCAUUUAAUUUUCGUCUCUUUUAACCCUUUAACUUAUAUUUUUUUGUCAAAUCACCCCAAAAUGGAUCGAAAACUUAACAUUUGUGAACUUUGAUUAUGUGGCAUACACAUGAAUUGUCACAUGGAUGACAAGUCAACAUUUAGUUUUUUUUUUAAAAAAAAAAACUUAAAAAAUAUUAAAUAAAAUAUUUUUGAUAUUUUUUAAUGAUUUUUAAAUUAAAAAAAGUUUUUUAAUAUUUUUUAAUUUUUAAAAAUUAAUUAAAUGCAAACAUGGAAAUUCACAUCUAUGUGUCACAGGCCGCGGAUUAAAGCCCGUGACCAUUGUGCAUAGAACACCCCAUAGAGGUCAACUUAUUAAACAAGGUUCAUUUGACCCGCAUGAACUGGCCCGACCCAUGGAACCCGUGGAGAAGCCCAUCUACUUGAAGCCUUGGUGGUCUAGUGAAAUAUAGUUUAAUUUUUUUUAAACAUAGGGUAAGGGAAGAAGAAUGCCUUAAAAUUAAUUUUUGUUAGAAAACUAAUAAGAAUGAGUUUGUUGGUUUAGUGUUAAGGCCUUAUCCUAUCCAUAGAUCCCAAGUUUGAAUCCCUUGGUGAGCAUUCAACCAAAAUAUUUUUAUUUCCUUGUUUUUACCACACUAAAAGUGACAAAUUUUAAAAUAACCCAGCCCAAAAACUAUUUUUUUUUAAUUUUAGUCCUUAAUUUAAAAUUUUCCCAAACCUACAUAAAUUUUUAAAACCUAUUCCAAUUAGGAAAAAUAAGUAUUAUAAAUAGACAAUUUCAAAACAAACUCUAGAAUUUCAUCUAGCAAAUUUUCAAGAAAACAUCCAUAAACACUUUCUUUUCCAAAUCAAACUUUCAAGCUAAAGAAAUCAGAAUCUUCAAAAUCAUCCCUCAAGUAGAUCUUCAAUCUUUUCUCCAGCACUAAGGUUUCUAAGUAUUCAAAAUAGGUGUGGGAACUAAACCUAAAUCUUUGUGUAUAAUUGAAUCUAAUAGCAAGUAGAGAACCAGUAUAGGCUAACCCUAGGAGAAACCCCCUGUAUGUGCAAUCAUGUAGGUGUGAGCCUAUAGAUGCAAAACCCAUUGUACAUGAAAACCCCAUGCAUGCAAACCCUUACGUGAAACCCCCCUUUCAUGCGAACCCUGUAUGAAUACCAUGUGAACCCUAGAUUAUAGUUGCGAACCCUAGGUUGUUAUGUGGAUACCCAUACUGUGAACCCAAGUGCACAAACAUAUAGGAAUAUUCAUGCGAGCCCCCUUGCAUGCGAACCCUAGUUAGUGUACAUACGGGUCUCAUAUUUACAUGCAAACCACUACUAGUGCGAGUCAAUUAUAUGAUAUCACAUACGAACCCUACUAUUACAUGCAAACCUUUAUACAUGUUAUAUUCGAACCUUUUUUUGUUAAAACUGGUGAGACUUGUCUAGUAUUACAUACGACCUAAUUUGCGAACUCAUAUGUUAAAAGUAUGUGAACCUAUCUAUGUUUGUUAUGCGAGCUCACAUGUUAGCAGUAUGUGAACCUAUAUAUAUCAGUUAUGCAAACUCACAUGUUAGCAGUAUACGAACCAUAAGUCUGUUAUGCAAACUCACACGUUGGCAGUAUGCGAACCCUAUAUACACCUUUAUGCAAACUCACACAUUAACAGUAUGCGAACCCUAUAUACGCCUUUAUGCAAGCUCACACGUUAGCAGUAUGCGAACCCUAUAUACGCCUUCAUGCAAACUCAUAUGAUUUGCAGCAUGCGAUCUCUAUAUUUAUGCGAACCCUUGUAAUAAAAAAUAUGCGAACCUUAACUUGCGAACCCUUGGCAGGAACCCUGCACUCGCAAAGCCUUCUUCCGGACCUGUACAUAUGCUAGAUAACCAAGCCUAUUAGUUUACAUUAAAUCACUGUACAUAUGAGACUGUUUGUUUACUUGCACAAGUUAUAUGUGUAUUUACUAUUCGAUACAAGAGUACCUAUCGACCUUUUGAUGAGAAUUCAGAGAUUAACGAUGAUAAUUCCAACAAUCGGUGUAAGAACGAGUUAAAUCGAGAGUUGAUGUAAUUUAAGGUAAUAAAGUUAAUUUUUCAGUAAUAAAUGUAAAAUUGUUAUGGAAAGAAACGAUGGGUAAAAAAAAAAAUGAGAGUUUUAAAGAAAAGAGAGGAAAACUUCAAUUUAGGGUUGAAGAGGAACUAAAAAUCUACGUGAAAUUAGGAAAAAAUAUAAAAUACCUAGGAUUAAGAAAUUUGAGGGGGUUGAAUGGUAAAAUACCCUUUUUUCUUAAAAAUGAAAAAAAUGGAAAUGGGUAUUAAGUUUGGCACGACUUGAAACUUGGAAGCAAAGGAAAAAAUUACAAAGGCCUUACCAUUUGGGUUGCUACCCACAUUUGGCAUAUUUUUACACUAUUUAAAAUAUAUCCUAGCUUAGUUUUGAUCAUAGGUUGUUGAAAAAAAAAAACAAGGGGUAAGAGUGUGGCUUCAACCUUAAUUCUCUAGUUAGUAUACUAAGCUCUGAACCAUUAAAAUUAAGGCUCAUGUCUUAGUCAAUUAAUUCAUCUAACUCUAUAUAUUUUGAGGUAUUACAUCUUGAAUUAGAAAAACCCAUAAAAUGCAUGUAGACUUGUAUUGCUCGGUACUUGGUACUAUAUAUGUAGACUUGUAUGUUGAUUAAGCUAGCUUAAUUAAGACCAAUGUGUUAGACUUGUCUAUGCAUUGAACAAUCUAGAAGAAAAUGAAGAAAAAGACUCUGAAAAUACUUGAAAACAGAUAAAACUCAUAUGUCAUCGACUAGUUAAACUAUGAUCACCCAUAAUAGACCUUGUAUUUGACUUUUUGUUGAGGGAGAAGUUUCGUGAGUGUUGUUUGUCAGGGAGUCAGUGUUGCCCUAAACAACUAAAGGUAUUGUCCCCAUGUCGAGAUUUUACCCCCAGCCUCUGCAAAAUAAUCAUGAAGAAUACGUGCGAAGGAAUUCAAACACCAACCAAUGCAUGUGUAGCCUUUACCUUCCCACUAUCUUUGGGAACUCAUAAGGAUAAAAUCCCAACAAGAGAAUUGUAUCAGAGGGGUCUGUCAACACAAUGAAUGAAAUUUCAUACUUUUUUUUUAAUGAAAGUAAAUAUCAUAUUUAGUUAGAGAAAAGCAACGAAAAAUCUAACAAUAAAAUCCUUAGCAAAAGAUUAAAACACAAUUGUACCAUAAAUUAAAUAAGAAAUUAAAAAAAUUCAAAUCUAACAAAGACAGUAACUUGAUUCCUCAAAGCUACCACAAACAGUAAUUCAUAGGAAGGCCUGCUGCUCAUUUAUAACACAAACUUCAUGGUGACGGAUACCAACAUACUAGAUACUAUGAUUAAAAUGCUAGAAUAGAUUAAAAAUGUUGAAUUAAUGAUAAAAUUAAGAGUGAAUUAACACAAAGUACUCAUCCUCUCUUUUUAAUGAAUCAACAUCUGCAAUUUCUAUCACUCCUUUAGACAGUGAACUUUCCAUCCAAUGCCUUAUAGUCACUUCUUCAGCAAAAUAAUUAUCAGUUGGCUUUUUCUUUGUGAAAGUUUCUAUAAGGACAAUCCCAUAACUAUAGACAUCACAUUUUCUAGAAACAAUUCCUGCUGAUCCAAAUUCUGCAUUUCAAGCAUAAUUAGAGCAUCAUUAAUCCUUAAUUAUUUCUAAAAUGUUUAUUCAAAUAUACACAUGAAACAAAAAUAUAAAAUGAAAAUCAAGAAAAUAAUCAUAAAAAGAAUUCACCUGGUGCCAUAUACCCGAUAGUUGCAAGAGUCAUGGUUUGCUUCACUACAUCACCUUCUCCCAAAAGGUUGGAAAAGCCAAAAUCUCCCACAUGUGCAACCAUGUCUUUAUCUAGUAAAAUAUUGCUUGGUUUGAAGUCAGAAUGAAUCAUAGGUGUUGGAUGUCCGUUGUGGAGAUGUUCUAUAGCUGUCGCAACAUCUAUCAUUAUGUCAACCCUUUGUAUGAUAUCAAGGAAACAGUUUUUACAAUGUAGCCAUUUCUCAAGAUUUCCAUUUGACAUGUAAUCAAGCACCAAGGCUUUUUUAAAAAUAAAAUAAAAUAAACUUGGUAUCCAAAAUGUUUUUGUGUUGACAUGGCAUUUUUAAAAAUAAAAUAAACUAGGUAUCCGUGUAACAAAAAUAAAAUUGUAAUAUAUAGGCCUAAUUUUAGUAAAGAAUGUUAAUGAUGUUAAGAAUUCUUUAAAUUUCACAUAAUCAUUUUUAUUAGAAUAAAGUAUUUAGACUAACUAAUUAUAUUAUAAAAAUUAAGAUACCAAAUUAUGUCAAAAUUAAAGUUAUAGAUUAAAUCUCAAUUUUAACAUUCUUAUAAUUUAAAAAAGUAGAAGAUUGGAAUUAAAUAAAUUUAUAAUCCUUAAUUGUAAAUUUGAUAAUUCCUAUUAAUCUAAAUUAUUACAAUAAUGUGCUUACUAUGCUUGGUUUUACUCAAUGAGUGAUAUUAAAUUAAUUAAAAAAUUAGAUAAAAAUCAAAUAUCUUAUUUCUAAUAAUAAUAUUAUUACUCCCUCACAAAACUAUAUUUCACUUGAAAGAAAUUCUAUUCCCUUCAAAAAAAAAUUACCAUCUUAAAACACUUCCAUCUUUUAAAAAAUCUUAAUGCACACUUUAAUCCUUGAAUUAUAUCACUUUUUCAACUUUAGUCUUAAAUUUUUUUUAUUGAUUUUAGUCCCUAAUAUUAUUAAACGUUUCCAAUUUAGUUCAUUGGACAAUAAAAAUUGAUUGUCGUUGGGAUAUCCAACCAAUCAUACACUACCAAAUAUUGUACGAUGAUAUCAUUAUGACAUCAUCAACAAAAAAACCUUAAAAAUCUUUAAAAAUGAAAAAAAUUAUUAUAAUUAUUUAAAAAUAGAAAAAAAAUAAAAUUGUAAAAAUAAAAAAUCUAUGUAAAAUAUAAAAAUUUACAUAAAAUUUAAAAAUAUAUUAGAUAUUUUAAUAUCUUUAAAAUUUUAUAAAUCACAUUUACUAGAGUUUGAACCUAUGAUUAUUGUCAACAAUUGUUUUAUGACUCAAUUAAUCAUAAUUUAUAAUUGGUAGAUCUUUUUAUGUGAUAAACUUGGAUAAUUUUUUUUUCAAAUUAUUUAAAUAAUGAAAAGUAAUAUUAUUUCAAAUAAAUAAUAAAUUAUAUAAUAUUUAUAAUUAUUCCAAAUAUUUUUUUUUACUAUCUUAAGAUAAAUUAUUUGUCUCUAGACCAAUAUCUUAAGAACUAUUGUCGUGUGUUUAACUAUUCUAAAGAACUUUGGUAUAAAAUAGAAAAAGCAUGUGCACAAUGGUAAAUAGGGAGUCGAGUCAAAUAAACUUGUUGCCAGUAACGCUGGUAAAGUACUAAAAAUUGAUGUAUUUUAAAAUAUUAAAAUUUUGAUAUAAAAAUUUAUUCAAAUUUUUAUUAUAAUAAUUUUAAAUAAUUUUUUAUAAAAAUUGAUUGUAUUACAAUAUACAAUUUCAAUAUCAAAUUUUUAAUAUUUUAAAUGUGAUUAGCGAAUGUAUACUUUAUUUCAAGUUACAUAAUUUUUACCAGUAUUUUAAAUUUUUUAUUUUUUUACAAUCUUUUAUUAUUUCUAAUAUUUUUUAUAUUUUUUACAAUAUUUAAAAAUUUAUAAUAACUUUUAAUAAUUUUAUUGUUUUUAGAAAUUAAAAGAAUUAACAAUUUUUUAUUUUUUAAAAAAAUUAUAAAUUUAUAAUGUAGUUAAUUUUAUUUAAGUUUAUUUGAAUUUUAUGAUAUUUUUAAAAAAUAUUUUUUUAUUUUUGCAAUCGUGACAUCAGCAUAUGACACGUGGUAAUUUAUGAUCAGAUGAAUUUUUAGUUUUUUUUUUAACGUCCAAAGGAUUAAGCUGAGAACACCUGGUAACGUUAGGGACUACACUAAGAGCAUUUGAUAAUAUUAGGUACUAAAGUGGGCCAAAAAAACAUUAAGGACCAAAGCAAAAAAAAUGCUAUACUUGAACUUUCAAAAUUAUCUUUCAUUUAGUUAGGAUUAAUAUUUAAUGAUUUACUUAAAAAAUAGAAAUUUAAAAAUUUGUAGUAUUGAGGUUAAAAAAUGAGUAAGAGGUGGUGGAUGGUUCAUACAAUGGUGAGGCACAAAGAACCAUUUUAAAAUAAGAGAAGGGAGGGGUGCUUAUUCUUGAGGUUAAGAAUGAGUAUUUAUAGGUGAGGUUAAUCAUCCUUGAUCAUUAGACCUUGACAAGUGUUUGAUGCCAGUCUUAUCGUGGUUGGCCACUAAGGGAAUGAUGGACCUCUAGGUAGUGAUGGAAUUGACAUGAAUUAGAUGAGAUUAGGAUGACAAUUUGGAUUUUGAAUUCGGAUAAUAUUGGAAUUAAAAUUUUGAAAUUACUAUCUGUUGCAUAUUUGAAGUGAAUGCGGAAAGAUAUUUCAGAAUUAUAUUAGUCGAAUCUACUUUACUUAUUCGAAUAGAUGUAGAUUGGAAUUUAGAUAUCUGAAUCAACUAGUCACGAAAUGUGUAUAGUUUUGAUUAUAUAUAAAAAAAAUUUGGUGGAUUCAAUUUUGAAUUUUCGUGGAUUUGGAUAUCCAAAACAUGAUUGAAAUUUUUAAAAUUACUCCUUUUCUGUUGAUUCAGAUAUUUGACGAAUAAUAGUACUUAACUUAAGCCAAAUUUAGACAGUAAUACUCGGAUAAUUUGUAUAUAAUAAAUAAAUUUUGAUUUUCAAGCAAAUAUGCAUAUUCUAAUUCAAAAAAUGUAGUUACUAACCUAUUGCCAUUCCUAGGCAAGAGUACCCUACGUGUGAUCCAUGCACAGAAGGAUCCAACAUCUUUCACUGACGAGGUAGAUUAGAAGCGUCACGUACCAGGCAUAUAUGUAUCAAUGAGGUCUAUAGCUGGCAAAGUGUAGCCCACAACUGAAAUCAUAGUUGACGAGGUAGUAGUUGGGCGACAUGAUGGUGACAAAAGCCACUCUGGUAAAAUAUUAAUAGCAAUCACCCUCCAAUUAAUGAGAAGUUAUAAAAUGACCUAAUUAAAUGGUAGCAUAGUUUACCAUAAGUGUCAUAUGUGUUGUAAGGCAUGAGCUCAAACCCUACCAAACUCAAAUGAUCAAAUUUCCUUGGUAGGUGGUCAUACGUCACGUACCGUUUGUCCCAACAAGGCGCUCCCACUCUGUUGAACCUGUCACCUCUUUAGGUAGCUUUAGGCACUUGAGAUCUUUACAAAGUCGAGAGGUAAAAUUAUUGGAAAAAAAAAACUCGGUUUGAAAAUAGUUUUCUUACACAGUAGAAAAAUAAAAUUUUGAAAAUCGACCUGGUUUGUGAUAUUUAUAACAAAAAAACCUUAACUGAAUUCAUACAUGUGUUUUUGGAUAAGUGGAUCCUUGAUGUUUUCAGGCUUUCAACCAAAUGAUCUUUUGCACUAUUCUCGUACCACGAACUGCUUCGAGUGUGGCCUCGAACCAAUUGAAUCAAAACACAAAACUAGAAAAGGUUUUCCUUUUUGGGUGAAAACCAAAAUUCUCUCUUCUUUAAUAGAAAUCAGUAAAAUUAUUAUUAUGAAAAAUAUGUUUAUAAGUUGAGAAUAAAUUCUCUCUAUUUUUCGACAGAAUAAAAAUCUCUCAAAAGUUGUGUAAAUAGCUCUACUGGUGCCAUUUAUUUAUAGGAAGAGAAAGUAGAACCCUUGUAGAGUUGUAAAAGUUUAUAUCCACUAGAAAAAUAAUAUCCUAGCCUAUCUAGGAUAUAGGGAGCAACAACCGUAGUUAAUGAUACUAGGGUUUUGUCAUCCCACCUCUUUAUAUGAGGGGUUUUAGGCCUCUCUCACAUCAGAUCCAAGUACAAGUACUUCUUAAAUAUAAAUUUGAAUUUGAUAUAUUGAUUACAUAUGAAUUUAUAUAUUGUGAGUAAAAUUUUUAUUUGAUAUAUUAAUAAUGUAUAAAUUUAUAUAUUGUUAAUACAUCAUAUGUUUAAAAAAUCUAAUAAUUAUAUAUUAUUUUCAAUAAUUUUUAAAUUUAUUAAUUGAUUUAUUGGUAUAUUAAUAUUAUUUAUUAGUAAUAUGUAAAUUUAUACCCUGUCAAUUUAUGAAAUAACAUUUAGUGAGUGGAAUAUAUAUAAAAGAAGAUAUUCUAAAUCUUUCUAAAUUCUUCCUUAAAAUAGAAAAAGAAAUAAAUUGUUGAUAUAGAUAUGUUGAUAAGAUUUUCAUGUAGGGCUUUUCUGUAAUUCAUGAUUUUGUUACAUGCAUAAAUUGUAAUUGUGAUAUUUUAUAUUUUAUUUAUAUAAAUCAUGUUAAAUUUGAUUUAAAUUCCUUUUUUAAUUAUUUAUUCUUUUAAGAAAUUUCAAGUAUUCAAUAAAUAUUAAUGUAUACUUUUUCUUAAAUUGAUAUAAUAGUGAUAUCAGAUUAGUUUAAAAUUUUGCGUGUAUGACAAGUACAAUUAUAUCGAUAGAUUCAAUAGUCGGAUUAUUCAAAUAUUACUCCUACAAAUAUAUAUAUGAAGAAGUAUAAACUGCUUUAAUUUUACAUUGGUAUAAGUAGAUCUCUCUCUUACAUCUGUUGUAUAUAUGAAAUUUUGAUUUUGAUUCAAACGUACUCAUUUAAAGAAAUAAAUACAUCAAUUUAUUUUUAUAUUGAAUAAGUAUAAUUAUUUGGAUAUGCUAUAUAUAGAUGUAAAAUGAUGGUAUAUAAAUAACGAUGUUAGAUGUUUGUAAAAAUUGAAUCAAAUCAAUAUUUCAUGUAUAAAAUUGCACAAUGGACCAAAGUUCAUGUACAAUUUUGAUCUUUAUAUCUGAAAUUUAUUAAUGCAAAUUAUUUUCCAAAAGAUCACAUUGAGUAAGAUUAAUUUAAAUUUCAAUAUUUAAAUUUUUUCUCAUAUAGAAAUAUAAUUUUUUUAAAAGAAGUGUAUACUAAUUGUUGAAAGAUUUCCGACUCUUUUGGAAAGUCUUCGAAGUGGCAUAUUUUGAAGAUGGUGGACCCUCAACACGUCCAAUAUUAUCAUUGGUUAAGGUUUUUUUUGGAUCUAGUGUCCUAAGUGUAGUACUUUUCAUCAAUAUACAGUUGUAAAUUUUUUUAACAAAUUGGUUAAUAAAACAAAUUUAUUGAUUAUAUUAAUAUACUUUAUAUAAUUGUCCUAACAUAGUUUUUGCACGCAAAGCAAAAUGGAAGUAAAUGUUGCUCAUUGGUUGCCUAAAUAUUUAAUUAAUACUAAGCGGUAUUAUGUGUAUAAAAAGACAGCUUGUAUUAGUAGACAAACCUAAACAUGUCCUUAGCAUAAUUGGAAAUUAGUAAAUUGAUUGAAAGACUAAUAUGUCGUCUAUCAAGUGUAUUUGGGGAGAUGCCUUGUCUUGGGCAUCGAAGCAGAUGACUCCCAAAAGGUAGAGACAUAGAUGUGACUGACUGGACUGGUAGUAAAUUGGAUAGCACACAAACAGAAUAGAUCCUGAAUUCGUUUAUGGACUUAUUCACUUGUGAUGUCCAUAGUGUGGCAUACAUAAAUCUUGAAUGGAUAGCGGAGUACGUAUGUGUGACUUUUACACUUUGAUGUAAGUAAAAACAUAAGUUCAAUUAGAUAAGGAACCAGAAUCUGGUACAUUUGGUUUACGACUUCUAUAGUAUGUAGCAUCAUUCAUAAUAGUGAAAUUCAUAGCGCAAAACAUGGGUAAAUGAUAUCCUCUCAUUGACAUUACAUGGUUAAUGAAAAGUAAACGUGGCCACGGGUUGUCCGUCUUUGUGAUGGAAACUUGAUCACUAAUUGAUAAUGAUUGAUUUUUCACGAAAGAAGAUGUAAUGGCUACCAUGAGAUAAAAUAUGAUAUAUUGGGAGAACAAAUAUUAUCCCAAAGAGAUCAAGGAUAUCCUAUGAGGGUAACACACUAAUGACAAGGUUAUUGGACGAGCAUUAAGUAGUUGCUUUCGUAAUGGUAUGUCGUUGGGGAUAUUUCAUUCACGACACUAUAGUGGAAUGACUUCAUCACUAAAUGAUUUUAUAAUUAAUAGGUGAAAAAAAUAGAAUUUAAAUAUAAAUCAUUUGAGCCUCAACUUUAUAUGUCUACUCGGUCCCCCAACUGUUAGUUCAUUGAAACCAAAAAUUAAUUGCACGUUUGAAUGGAAAUCAGCGAAAUGGAUAGAAAAAGAGAAAUGAGAAACAUUCAGGAAUGAUUAUGGUUUCCUCUAAAAUGGAGAAAUGGAAUAAUUUGAAAAUGAAUGUAGGUUUCCAAAAACGGAAAUAGAAAUGAAAAUGGAAACUUGCAAUUUUAUAUAUGAUUACUUAAAAAAUGAUGGAAGAAUGAGUUUAUAUUUUUGGACUAUUUUGAAGCUCGAAAAUGAAAAUAAAUCAUUCAGUCAUAGUGAACAUAUUGAGUUGUGUCAUAUUAAACGAAUUUUCUUGAAAUUUUAUUGGAGGUAAAAUUGCCAAAAUUUUACUGGGUAAAAUUGUCGUGAGAAAAUAAUUUAAUAUGUAAAUAUUAAAAUUUAUUUUGGAAAUAGAAAAAUUGAAUCGGGUUGGACCAUAUUACAAAGUACUAGAUCAAAAAGGCCCAGAAAGUACUCGUACUUGGACCCGAUGUGAGAGAGGCCCAAAACCCCUCAUGUAAGGUGGGACGGCAAAAACCUAUUAACUAGGGUUGUCGACCCUUAUAUCUUAGAUAGGCUAGGAUAUUAUUUUUCUAGCGGAAAUAAACUUUUACAACUCUACAUGGGUUCUACUUUCUUCUCCUAUAAAUAGAUGGCACCAAUAGAGCUAUUUAUACAACUUUUGAGAGAUUAUUAUUCUACCGAAAAGUAGAGAGAAUUUAUUCUCAACUUAUAAACAUAUUUUUUAGAAUAACAAUUUUACCGAUUUCUAUUAAAGAAGAGAGAAUUUUCGUUUUCACCCUAAAAGGAAAACCUUUUCUAGUUUUGUGUUUUGAUUCAAUUGGUUUGAGCCCACACUCGAAGCAGUUCGUGGUACGAGAAUAGCGCAGAAGAUCGUUUGGUUGAAAGCCUAAAAACAUCAAGGAUUCACCCAUCUAAAAACACAUGUAUGAAUUCGGUUAAGUUUUUUUUGCUACAAAUAUCACAAACUGAGUUGAUUUUCAAAAUUUUAACUUUUGAUGUGCAAGAAAACCAUUUUCAAACUGAGUUUUUUUUUUCAACAGUUUUAUCUCUCAACUUUGUAAAGAGCUCAAGUGCCUAAAUCUACCUAAAGAGGUGAUAGGUUCAAUAGAGUAGGAGUGCCUUGUUGGGACAAACGGUACGUGAUGCAUGACCACCUACCAAGGAAAUUUGAGCAUUUGAGUUUGGCAGGGUUUGAGCUCAUGCCUUACAACAGAUAUGACACUUAUGGACAACUGCUACCAUUUAAUUAGGUCACUUUAUAAAUUCUCAUUAAUUGGAGGGCGAUUGCUAUUAAUAUUUUUCCAGAGUGGCUUUUGUCACCAUCACCUCGGCCAACUACAACCUCGUCAACUAUGACUUCAGUUGAGGGCUACACUUUGCCAGCUAUAGACCUCAUCAAUACAUAUAUGCCUAGUACACGAUACUUCUAAUAUACCUCGUUAGUGAAAGAUGUUGGAUCCUUCUAUGCAUGGAUCAUACGUAGGGUACUCUUGCUUAGGAAUGGCAAUAGGUUAGUAUCUACAUUUCUUGAAUUAUUAGAAUUUGGAUAUGCAUAUUUGCUUAAAAAUCAAAAUUUGCUUAUUAUGUAUAAAUCAUCUGAGUAUUACUAUCUAAAUUUGGCUUAAUUUAAGUACUAUUAUCUGUCAAAUAUCUGAAUUCGCAAAAAAAGAGCAAUUUUAAAAUUUUCAAUCAUUUUUUGGAUAUCCAAAUUCACGAAAAUUCAAAAUUGAAUCCACCAAAUUUUUUUAUAUAUAAUCAAAAAUAUACACAUUUCGUGACUAGUUGAUUUAGAUAUUGAAAUUCCAAUCUACAUCUGCUAUUCGAAUAAGUAAUGUUGUAACACCUUAAAUAAUUUAAGUUUGUUUUUGUGAAAUUUAACACAAAAUGUGUACUUGCUUCAGUGGUUAAGUGUUCUAGGUGUGUGUGUGAGGUAUUGGGUUCAAUUCCCACUUUUGGCAAAACUUUGUUAUUUUAUAUCCAAGCCUAACUCUUAUUGAGUAGGCUUAUGUUAAAUUGUUUGUUAAUCCAUAUCAGAAUAAGCUUGUUGGUUUGAGUGGUAAGGAGUUGGUGUGUAGGAGGUCCUGUUUUUGAAUCCCUACGUGAGCGUAGGUAUUAAUUUUUUCUCGGUUGUCUGAUAGAGUUUGAGUGGUCUUGAAAGUCUGAGGUUGUUAAGGCUGGGUGUUAGUCUGAAGUUAGGAUAUUGUGGGGGGGAUUUUUAUGUUGAUUAUUAUUAUUUUAUUUUAUUCCUUUUUCAAAUUUUCCUCUCUCUUUCCAAAAUUUCCCUUUAAUGUUAUUCUUCAAGUUUUUUUUAUUGUCUCUGAUAUUUUUCCCCCUUUUCAUUAAAUCUUUGUUUUGUUCUUCUUUUUUGAUUAUGUUCGUCAACCUAUCAUUCGAUCGUGCCAUUGGAGUUGUCGGGUUAUCUAAUCGGUUGGUAAGUAAAACUUUGCUUCCCUUUAACUUUUGAUUUGGGAUUAUAGUGAUUUCAAUAUGUAGCAAUUGAUUAGUGGAACUUCGUGUUUAGGAGAAGAUUAUGGAGCAAUGAAUUGCACUCCAACAGUUUAGUGUGCAUUGAAGUGGUUUGUCAUCGACGGUAAGUCAGUUUCGUGUUGUUUCUUGUUGUCAAAUUCAUUAAUCAAACUACUAAAUCAAUGUUGGGUACUUUAAUUUUAGGAUUUGGAAGGCUCGGGAGUAUUUUUGCAUUAAAAUCGUAAUAGGUGUGUCCCCAAAACAUAGAAAGUCAGGUUUCGAUAAAAGUCAAAAAUGCAUUUUGUCGAUGCGACAAGGGCAUGUGCCUGGUCAUGUGGCUAGUCGUGUGUGAGACACGGCCGUGUAUUUGACGAGGGUGUGGCUGUGCGCAAGCCACGGUCAUGUGGUAGUGUAAGUGUCGCUAUGUAGGCCAUACGGGCUAGGCCAGUCUAGGUUUGUGGGCCUACAUAGGCAUGCCACACGGACGUGUAGGCCCAUACGGCCAUGUAGGCCCACAAUUUUGAGAUUUUCCCUUAGGUCGCACGGUUCGUUUCGAACGAUUGUGGACCUACCAUAGGGUCAGUAAGGGCUAAUCAAACCCUAAAUUAUGUGAAAUGAUAUUUUGAUAGUUCGCCUUGUGUAGGAUGUCGAUAUGUACAUCUGUUUUAUUUACGUAUAUAUAUGCUAUCUGUAUAUGAGCAUGUUAUGCAUGAUAUUACUGUAUCUGUUAUUUCUGUAUUAUGUAUUUGUAAAUGGGGUGGGUUUUGUAUAUGUAGAGAAAGUGAUCUGUACGAUAACACUUCCAUUAUAUUUUGACAGUUGACUGCAUAUUAUUUGUAAUGUGUCGUAUUGACACUAUAUGGUGUGUAGGGAUGGGUGGGUGCUUUUAACCCUAUAUGGUAUGAUGGGAUAGUCGAAGAUGUUGUGUAGAGGAUGGGGGUAGGAUUCUGUAUAUCUGUACUACUUAUCUGAUUUUGUUAUCUGUAUCUGGAAUGGAUAUAAGUCCGGAUCUUGAUCUGACUGUAUAUAAGACUUCUAUUUGUAUUGCAUUUCUAUUUUUGUUAGGUUACACAAUAAGUUUACGAAACCUCACAUCUGUUUGUCUGUUCUGUUCAGGUCUAUAGACUUAGGCGGAUCAGUGUGACGGAGCCUCACAGUAACCACGAGAUUGUAAACUAUUUAAUAUUACGGUUUUUAUUUAAUUUAAGGAUUCUUUCUGGAAGUUUGUAAUAAUUGGACUUUCUAGAAUAUUUGACUUUUAUUUCAGUUUUGGAGGUGUUUUAACUUUUAUGGCCACGUUUGACCAAAUUCACGGUUUUACUAAAAUAAAGGAUUUUCUGAAUACACGAAUUAGAUUUCCAAGAUUCAAUGCUUUUUGAAAACUUCCGCUAUAGAUUAUGUUUUGGAAAAUGAAUGAAUUAAAUAACGCUUCUAGUAACAGAUAGUACACUUGGGGUGAUUUAUUGAACGACUAAACAAAGCUUUAUUAAAAGAUCACUAUUUUAAAAACCCUUCCAUGUAACACUCUUAGAUUAGGCCACAACGUCUAGGCCAGGAUUAGGGUGUUACAUUUAAUGGUAUCAGAGUUAGGUUACAAAACUCGAGCUGUGAAUUUUGGGUUUCAAAAUUAUGUUUUGAAAAAGAACAGGUUUUCAAAUAAUUUGGAUCAUUUUGAAUAAGUAUGUGGUACACUGAGUCUCCGGCAUUGAUCCUAUAAGUACUUUUGAACUUAGAUAAAACUUUCUGAAAACACUAUAGUUAGUACUUUCUGAAACUGUACUGAGUUAGUUAAAAAAUAAAAACUUUUGAAAUAUGUUCGAACUUCUGAUAAUUUGAGCAUGAAAUAUAUGUUAAUAAACAUUGGAGCUGAUGCAUAAAAUUUUAUAAUGUAGAUAAAUUUGAAAAUAUACGAUGAGCGCUUAUGGAACUUGCGGUCAUGGUAUUCGUGGGCUCAGUGGGAGCCGUAAGGGGCUGGAGCUGAGUCUUUUUCUCUGGGCAGUAUGCCAAACUUAGAUAUGAGUAAGCCACCAGUGUCACUUGCUACUGAGACAAGGUCUCAAAGCCACUUUGGUGGGGACGACGCACUAUCCCAAGCCAUGUUGAGGGUGUUGGAGAGGGUCAUUGGACCCCAUUCUGGAUCUGUGGGCCGUAGGACGGUAACUGAACGACUCUGGUCCAAUAGAGCUGAGUUGUUUAGGGGUGUCAUUGAAGUCGCCCCUAUUGUGGUCGAGUAUUGGUUGGAGGGCACAAAGAGGAUUAUGAACGACAUCGAUUGUACUCUUAAGUAGAAAUUUAAUGGUGCAGCCUCUCUACUUCGCGAUGAGGCAUAUCAGUGAUGGUUGUCGGUUGAGGAGGGUACUCAACGGGACUGUCUGAACUGGGAUUAUUUUAAGACUACCUUUCAGGGGAAGUAUGUGGGUGCAAGCUAUCUUGAUACUUGUAGGCGUGGGUUCAUGAAUCUCACGCAAGGUGAUAAAUCUGUGGCUAAGUAUGAGGCCGAGUUUCUAAGGUUAAGCCGCUACGCUUAAGGCAUGGUGGUGACUAAAUAUGAGAAAUUCAUCUAUUUUAAGGAUAGCUUGAGGUAUAAUCUGAGGGUAUUGAUUGCUCCACAGAGGGAAUGAGAGUUUGAGUUCUUGUGGAUAAGGUGAAGAUCGCCGAGGAGAUUAAGUGCGUGGAGCGCUAAAAUAGGGAUCGUGAGUGAGGCAAGAAUAAGAGGGAUUCAGAGCCCUCUAGUUCUGUUUAGAGGGCUAUUAGAGUAGGGGUUCCUAUUACUUCUAAUAGGAUUCAGCCACGUGAUGAUUGUGGUAGGCACCAUCCGGGUGAGUGUUAGAGGAGGUUGGGGGCUUGUUUGAGGUGUUGGUCUUUGGAGCACCACAUUAGAGAAUGUUCACUCCAUGCGGAUUAGAUGCAAGCUGUAGGAUCAAGUUUUAUACAACCUUAGAGGGCAGUUCAGCAGCCAUCUAAGGGUCGUGGUCCUACUAGGGGUGGUAAUGGUAUGGGUCGAGGACAUAGAAUAUCGGGAAAAGGUGUUAGUUAGAUUGAAUCCUAAAUUAGAGUUAAGUUUGGUUUGAAUCAAGCCUUAACUUUGACCAAAUCCAACUAAAAACACGUCUAACAAUUAUCUAGUAUUGUUUUUAUGAAUUGAAUUUUAACUUGUAAUUUUCAAUUUUAUUACAAAAUUUCUUUGCGGACGAUAAGAAAAUAACAUAUUUGUAACUUCUUCAACCCGGCGUAAAGGUUAAGUCUGAAUUUGGAUUACAUCAGCCAUAAAGAUGGCCUAGCAGGAUUAUCGGAGUUUUUAAAAACAAACAUCUUUAAAACGUUUGUUUAAUUUAUAGAAAAGCUUAUUUAAUUUCCAAAUUAUUUAUUACUUGAAAUCUUAAUUACACUUUAAAAGUAGGAAGUGGUAACUAUUUAUUUUUAAUAAAAUUCGGGGUUCAUGUAUAAUUGAUUAAUAACCGUAAUUCGAAAACAUUAAAACUUAAAUUAAAUGUCAUGCAAAACAAAACAAGCUUAAAUCUAAAUCUCAUGCCGCAGUUCAAAAUUAUUUAUUGUAGUCUUAGAAAAUAAAAACAAUCAUAUAAUGAACCUAAAUUUUUUAUUUUACUUUAAUAAUGUGUCAAGGUCUUACAGAUGUCACGCCUGCGUUCAAUCUUGGUGGGUUAUCUGUAAGGAUGAAAAUUUAAGGGGGAGUGAGCUAUGACGCUUAGUGUGAGUUCAUUCACAAUAAAUUCAAUGCAAACGGUUGGUAAGGCACAUUAAAUAACAUCGCAUAAAGUAAUCACAGUCAGAUAACAGUUUAGAAUGGCGAUUUUACAAUUUAACUACCAAUAUUAUCACAAUAUUCACAGCUGUAAUUUCAGAAUAUCAAAUUUCCACAUCAUUCACAAUACUAACAUAUAUAUAAAUAUAUCAUAAUAGAAUUCCAGAUUUGUAUGCACAUGAUUUAGAAGAUGCCAUACAAUUUUGGGUUUUAACAGAAUAAAUCCUACCCCACGUUACAUAUCAUAAUGGGAGUUCCCCUAAACUCCCUUCUCCAACACACUAGGUUGUGGAUAAACCACUACUCGUCCACAGAUAAUAACUAUCAUUUGGCUGUGGACACACAACAAAUCCCCACAGUUGGAUUCUAGCUUUGGCUGUGGGUUCACAGCCAAGAGUCCUGCAAAUGAAGCCUGUUUUUGCAUGUAGAUUAUACAACCUAUACCCGCAGUUGGAAUCUGUCUUUGGCUAUGGAUGCACUGUAACACCCCAAACCCGACCUGGACGUUAUGGCUCAAUCUUGACGUAAUGCCCCAAAAUUUCUAAUUUCGUUAUUGUGAAAAUAUGACACAAAAUAUUUGUCUGCUUUAGUGGUUAUGUGUUCUGGGAGUGUUUAGGAGGUCCCAAGUUCACGCCUUCACAUGGGAAAAUUUUGGUAUUUUGAAUGAAUUAGGUAUUACUCUUAUUCAGUAGGCUUUUAUUUGAUUGUUGGGUAAAUUAUAUUAGAAUGGGCUUGCUGGUCUAGUGGUUAAAUGGUUUAUUAUUAUGGUGGAGGUCUUGUGUUCAAGUCCCUAUGUAGGCAAGGGUAUUAUUAUUAUUAUUUGCUCAAAUUUCUGGAUAGAGUUGUGUAAUAGGGGGAUUCUGAGUAGUAGAUGUGUAGUGGGAAUUAGGGGAGAAGAUUAAGGAGUUUCAGGGGUUAUCGAGAUUUUAUUUUAUUUUUUCCCAUAACCGAAUUUUGACUUUCUUUUUCCAAAAAAAAUCUGCCAUCUAUUCUUCUCCCUCUCCUCUUGUUGAAAUUCUCUUAGUUUUUUCACCUUUCUCUUCUUUUUCUUCUUCUUGAUUUUUCCCUAAUCCAUUUAUUUUUCUUCAUUUUCGCACGCGGUUAGUUUUCGCUUAGUUUCGGUAAGUGUUUCUCUUCGUUUCUAUCAUGAAUCUCCUAGCGACUAAAGUGGUAACUUUUUUCUCUGUGAUUUGGGCGUAGGGGAAGGCUCGAACUGUUGAAUUCAGUAUUCUCGUCUUAACAAUAGUUAAAUGGAGGGUUAUUGUUGGUGGUAAGUUGGGUUUCUGUUCAUUCUUAGUUGUCAAUUUGCUUGUAAAUCUGUUAAAUUGAUGUUGAGUAUCUUGAUUAUAGGCUUUGGAGUGCUUGGGGACUGUUUUAGCAUCAAACAAAACCAGGUGUGUACCCGGGACGCAAAAAAAAGGGAUUCGAUCGAAAGCCGAAAUUGUUUGCUGUUUGGACAGUAGCAGUAGGCUAACUUUGAAAAAUCGCCAUAAAUUGUGGAAAUCGAAAUAGAGGAUGAAAAAAAUAUGAAAUUAAAUCUUAUUGAGUCUAGUUUCUCAUAGAAGAACGGUGUAAGUAAUGGAAUUUUAAAUCAUGAGAUAUAAUAAACUAUGUGAGACAAGGUCAGAAUAAAUUCGGGUUCCCUUGUUCUGACUUUGGAAAAUCAUCAAAAAUUGGAUAAAAAUAAUUAGGAAUUAAAAUUUACAUGUUUAAAUUAUUAAUUAGUCUUUUUUCAAUAGAAACAAAUGGGAACUUCAUCCAAAAUUUUUACUAAGAGAUAAUUAAUUUUUAGCAAUGAAGGGUCGAAGCUGUCAAACAGCAGAACAAGGGUAAGUUUGAAGAUUUUACCAUACUUAUUGGCUGAGCCAAAAAUUCUAAAAAUUUUAUGGUAGAAAGGUAUUUGAGUCUAUUUUCAAAUACAUCAAGUGAAUUUUAAUUAGGAAUUCUUUAGCUCAAGAUAUAAAUAAUUUAGUUACAGUGAGUCAAGUAGAAAGCUUUGAAGGAACACAUAAGUAAAUUGUGAUAACAUAUAUGAAUAUUUAGCUAGCACAGGUUACAUUGAAAAUGGAUCACGUAGCCAAGGCCAAUUUGGGCUGAGUGGGCCACAUGGGCAUGUGAGCCCAUUUUUCUAAAAAAUUCUGUAAGGUUGCACGGGUCGCCCAAGUCGACUAUGGACCUACUGUAGGGUCGGUAAGCUUUACUUAGACGCCUAUAUGUGUGAUCUAUCUGGCUGAUUUCUAUACCGAGCAUGACUUAUGAUAUUUGAAUGUAUGUACUUUUAAUUACAUAAUGGCAUGACAAAUUUUGUAUGUUGCAUUGCAUCGGAGUGGGUUGAUGAUAUUUGGAGGAAGUGUCUAAAAGGCUAUUAAGCCUGUUAUCUGGCAGCUCAGCUGCAACCUUCUGAUUAUGUGCGCAUUUCAGUACAACAUGGUGUGUAAGGAUGGGUGGGUUGAUCUAACCCCCACAUGGUGUGUAAGGUUGGACAAAGAUGUGCGUAGAGGCUGGUGGGUAGGAUUCUGAUUUACUGUAUCUACAUUAUGUAUCUGAUAUGGGCCAAGGCUCUAAUGUAUUUCUGAGACUGUAUCUAAACGGGCUAAGGCCCAAACUGAUUGUGUGAUGGGCCUAGGACCCAGACUGUAUCUAACUAAAUUCUGUUGAUUAUUUGUAUGCAUGAUUUCUAUGGGAAUUACACACUGAGUUUACGAAAACUCACCCUUUCUCUAUUUAAUCUGUACAGGUAAUCCCCAGACUUGAUGGGUCAGUGCAACAAAGGAUUCGACAGUGGCCACACGUAAAUUAUGGAUUGUUUUCCGUUAAUACCUAGAAUUUAUUAAUUAUUUGGGGUUUUUGAUGUAUCUUCUGGACUAUGGACUGGUUGGCUAACAUACCUUUUUGCAUUGCAUCAUGUGCACGACAUAUUCGAAUAUUAUUGGUUUAUGCUACGUAGUGUAUUUUGUUGUAUUGAAUGGUAUCAAAAUUAAUGAUUGUCACUCGAAUGAAUUAUGACCUAUGCUCAUACACUGUUUGACAUCAAUUUGAUAAUGGCUAUGUAACGAUAUGAAAUUCCUAUAAUGGUUCUAUUUUCUUCUGUUAAAGCUAAUUAGUUUUACUGUAUUUGAUAUUUAUGUUUGUUUCAAUAAUUGUUCGACUCAUGCUGAGCUUUUCAUAAGCGCACCCCUAAUAUGUUAAACUUUUCAGGUAAACCUCGAAAUUAAGACCAGACUUGGCAUUCGAAGAAUCACCUUAGACCUUGAAUUAUUUUUCUAAUAAGUAUUAAUCAAUCUCUAAUGGUUUUCGUUUGUAAUUUUUAAUUAUAUCUAGUCUGUGGCUUGAUAACUUUUCUUCUGGGAUUUUUGCAUGCAUGGAUUACUCAAGCAUAAUAACCGGAUAAUGCAUGAUAUUAGGCUUAAGUAAAAUUUGAUAUUGUUCCCUAGAUUCCGCUGCAUUGCAAAGGAUUUGUUUUUGAAAAACAAAUUGAUAAGGUAACUAAGUUUUCAAAAUGACUUGAAAAAUGGUUUUUCCCCUGCAUUAGUUUAACAUCGAAUUUUUUUUAAAGGAGAGCAACAAGUAAAUGAUUUUUCUAAAACAACACUAUCAACAAUAAAAUGAAUUCUAAGUAUACACAACCUAAUGAAUGAAUGCUUUUAAGCUAACUUAAAGUACAACUAUGGUUUUCUCUAAAAUGAGUUUAUUUAAAGUUUUCAUAAGUAAUGUAAGUUAGCUUAGCCAUUUCGGUGGCUAAUGUAGCCUUCUCAUUCUAGCCAUAACGUCUAGGCCAGGUUUGGGAGGUUACAGUAUUGAUAGGAACUGUGGUAUAAAUUUUAUUUUGGACAUUCUUAAAUUGUUAUUUGGACUAAACUUUAGAAACUAUGGAUUUUAUACUGAGCCUAAAUUUACGAAGUUCAUGCGUGGUUUUUACGAAAAUGAAACUCAUAUGAAAUUUCAAAACCGUGAUGUUUUUAUUAACGCUCCAAUUUGAAAUUGUACAAGAAAUGUCAAUUUGAAUUAUUUUUGAAUGUUUUUUAUGCCAAUUAAAUAUUGUUUCAAAACAUAGCUAAGUAUUAUUUAAUUUCGUAAAGAUGAAGCAAACUCCGAACAAUCUAAAACUUCAAGGACUAGUUUGCAAUUUUUGUUUUUCCUCAAUUGUCUCCGGUUUGAUUCAAUUCUUGAUCUAUACAAUUAUUCCAUUCAAUUCAUCAAUAUUAAACAUUUAUACAUUAUGUCAUGUCAUGAAUGAACCUAGAUAAAUUCAUUUUUUGAUACCCUUAAAGUUUUACAUUUAUUUCAAUUUAGUCUCUAAAAUCGAAAUAGUCAUAACUUUAAAUUCUGAACUUCGGUUUGAAAAUCGACCUCAAUUUCAUUAUAGACUCUCUACUAUCCAUUAUUAUCAAAAUUUCACAUCAAUUUCACAAUUUAUUUACUUUAGUUAUUAUGUAAAAAAUUAACAACCAAACAUCACAAUUUAGUCAUUUUUCAUAAUUUAAGCUUAAAAUCUAUCAAUUUAAUACCAAUUUCUUCAAGAAAUCAACCAUGAUAACUAUAAAAAAAAUUAACAGUUUUGCAAAUUGAUACAUAGGUCAUUUAAAUCAAACUUUCAUGACCUCAGAAACACAAAAAAAAAUUAUACGAAAAUGAUUUAGAAAUGCAUACCAAUUGAGGACCGAAAGCUUGAAGCUCAAAAUGGCUUUUUCCCUUGAGGUUUUAUGUUGAUUAAAUGAUGAAGAAGAAGAAAUAAAGAUGACAACUUGCACUAAGUCACCUUUAUAUACUUAGAUUAAAUCUUAAUUAAUCAAAUUUAAUUAAUUAAAUCUUAAUUAAUUAACCUUAAUCACAAUUAAAAAAAAUUAGUAGAUGUUAACAUCAUCCUACACUAUUUGAUAUAACCAAAUGAUCUAUUUACCAUUUUGAACCUUUAGCUAAUUAGAAAUCUAUAGCGAUAAGACUUUUAAAAUUUAGUUUCUGUAUCUUAAUUAUGCAAUUAAUAGACAAAGUUGAAGGUUUAAAAUUUAAUGUUCUAUUAUACCAACUCUGUAAAUAUUCAUAUUUAAUAUUUACAGACCCGAAUUACGAAAAUGAGAUUUUGAAAUUGUAUUUUCCAAUACCACUGAAAAUCGAACAAUUACGUAACCUAUUUGCACCAAAGGGCCAAACAUGGCAAAUACUUGACAUGUAUGUCUUAAUAUCCUCAUCUAUUCUCUUCAAUAUAAUAACAUCCAAUAAUUGUUUCAUCCACUGUAACUAUCACGAAGAUUAGAUUUACCAAUACAGCCUACAAUUUGCAGAAGCGCGACAUUUUCAUUCUAGAGAAAGGUAUAAUUGAAACAAAAUUGAAAUAAAGAUUUCAAUACAGAAUCAACAGACAUUCCAGCUAAUACUUAUCAAUUAUUUGCAGCUUCAUUGCUCCAACUAAGAUGGUUUUUAGUCGAAUAUGGUAAAUGAAAUCAAUGAACACCAGCUACUUGAUGAACGAGUGAAUCAAAGUCCUGAUAUGUGCCGGCUUAUUGGUGAAAAAAUACAUGGGUUAGUUUUGCAGCAAUUCAUGAUCUUACAUUUUAUAACCUUUGCUUACAAUUAUUCACUGACUAAUCAUUCAAUGAAUGUAGGCCUCAAAUUUAGCCACUAAACUUUAUUCUUUAUUUUUAGAUACAUAUUAUUUGAUCACUUCAUACAGCCUAUUACUCAUAAUAACUUCCAAUUUCCCUUCUUUAGGUUAGUUGCAAAUGUACAGCUUUUUCUAGAAGAAGAAAAUUGUCAAGAGCCACCUGUUCAAGAGAGGCGCAAACAGAAUGUAACAAUACCUGACCUACUUACGGUACAGCCAAGUAAUCAUGUGUUUCUAUGCUAGAACAUUAAAUCAAUGACUACAAAUUUCAUGUCAUGGUUGUGUAUCAUUUAUGCCACUGAUGCUGCUAUUUUCUAUUCUAAUGCAUAAUAGGGAUUUAGUGUUUUUACCGUUAAAAUUGUGUCCUUUAAUUUUGGCUCUUUUCAAUUGUUGAUCAUGUCCACCUAUGCUUUAUUUUACUACUAUUGCUUUCUUCAAUGAUAGAUGAUUGAAUCGGUAGAAUUUUAUUAAUCCUCUACAUGUUUUAGCUUGAUAUGUGGAUCCUAAGCAUUCCUUGGAUUGUGCCCUCUUUGUUCAUUUAUUUUUUUUCCUGGAACCUUAUUACAUGUUGUAACACUCCAGUUUUUUGGAGACAUUGAAGACGACUAACUGCUGAAUUCUUUCUUCUGCAGAGGAACCAAUGGCAAGAGACUCUAAAACUCCUACUCUUUUUUAUACCUUCCUCACCUCUUUGUGACAUUAUAGCUGAAAAAUGAUGUAUGCUAAUACAUGAAAUGUUUCCUCUUGCCUUUCUUUUUGUAGUACUAAAACUACAAAUAGUGUCUGUAAAUCUCUUUUCCCGUAAUCUUAUCUUUUCCUCAUUGUAAUAGUUGGAAAACAGCUUUGUUGAAGACAAUGUCAACUACUGGGAUAAGUUACAAACACUGUUAUUGUUUAUUUUGUAGUCUAAAUUAUGAUAAUUUCUGCACAAAAUUCACAUAAAUGGUUACCCUCCCGAAGCGGAGCGAGGGUGAUGCUUACUAGUUAUUAAGAAAACAGGACCUUGUAGGGCUUAACUGUUGAAUCAAGAAAGAAAUUUCUUUUAAUGCCUUAAAAAAAAGAAAUUUCUUUUAAUGCCUUCAAUUUUUUUUAAAGCUGAUUUUUUUUUUACAAAUUAAAGUUUUGAUUGUAUGUUAAUUGCUUGAGGGAAGGUCGGAUACUUUAUUAUCCCUAUUUUUAUUUGUUAUAUAUUUUAACCAUACUGAUUUUUUUGGCCCUACAAUUUUACCAAAAAAAUCAUAUUAGCUUUCAUUUAAUUUUCGUCUCUUUUAACCCUUUAACUUGUAUUUUUUUUGUCAAAUCACCCCAAAAUGGAUCGAAAACUUUAACAUUUGUGAACUUUGAUUAUGUGACAUACACAUGAAUUGUCACAUGGAUGACAAGUCAACAUUUCUUUAAAAAAAAACUUAAAAAAUAUUAAAUAAAAUAUUUUUGAUAUUUUUUAAUGAUUUUUAAAUUAAAAAAAGUUUUUAAAUAUAUUUUAAUUUUUAAAAAUUAAUAAAACGCAGACAUGGAAAUUCACAUCUAUGUGUCACAGACCGUGGAUUAAAGCCUGUGACCAUUGCGCAUAGAACACCCCAUAGAAUUUUGGCUUUUUAUUUGGUCAAUCAUGUCCACCUAUGCUUUAUUUUUACUAUUAUUGCUUUCUUUAAUGAUAGAUGAUUGAAUCGGUAGAAUUUUAUUAAUCCUCUAUGUAAUAACCAAAUUUUUCCCGGGCCCAAUGCCAAACAAAUAAAACCCAAACCAAAUAAAUAAAAUAAGAGUCCAAAUUACAGUCCAUCAGAGCUCAAUUCAGACCAGCCCACUAUUCAAUCAGACUGGCCCAACACCCAAAUAACCUAACAACCCUAGCCCAACAAAAUCAGAAAAAUGAACAGCAAAAAAACCCUAGGUGCGCCGCACCUAGGUCUUCUGGCCUAACCGCCGUUGUUCGCCUAUCACCAGCCUCCACGCUGCCACCGCCGCAUGCGCACCAGGCCUCCUCCAUGUGUGUCUGACACCUGCAAAGAGAGUCACACGCAACAGUAGAAACAAAAACAAAAAACAAAUAGCAAAACGACAAAAAAAAUAAUGAUUAAGGAGUUCGUAAUCCGACUAUAAAAGCCCUAAUCUGUGACUUGUAAUUUUUUGACACACAUUAGAAAAUAAAAACCAAAAAAAAAAACUUUAAGGUGAUACUCAUUUCAUUUUAUUUUUGUUUUAUUUUAUUUUAUCAUUUUUAUCUUUUUAUUUCGAAAUAACAUAAAUAAAAAGGGGAGGCUGGGUUGCCGUUGCCAGAGCAUAUUUUGUGCUAAAGGGGGUUGCGCCGGAGGAAAAGAGGAAACUUUUCAGUUUCCCGCCGCCGUGAUGGCCAAACCUCUGACUGGCGCUUGGAGAAAGAAGGGGAGAGUUUGAGAGAAUUUUAGGUUUUUUGUUUAAUAAAAGUGAAAAAUGAAGAAUUCUGAAAAAAUUAAUAUUUAUAGCACCUAGAAAUGGCGUCGUUUUGGCCAGUUUCAUUUGGCCCCAAAAUGACACCAUUUAAUGGCCUAUACCGGCACAGUGACCCAACCCGGGGAAGGAUCCGAGCGUUUUGUGCUAUUGGGUAAUUUUCACAUUUGGUCCCUCUUAUUUUGUAGUGUUUUCAAAUUAGAUUUUAUUUAUUUUAAAUUUCAACUUACAUUUUUGUUUUUGUUUCACUUAGAUCCUGAACAAUGCGCAGCGUUUUGGGGGCGAGGAAAUAUUUCCAAUAUGGCCCCAUGUAAUCUGCAUAUUACACUUUAACCCCUCGUCUUGUUUAUAAUUCUAUUCUUUUCUUGUUAAUUUAGAUUCAAUUGCGAUUUAAUCUUUUGUUAAAACAUUUGUUUUCUUUAUUAAUUUAUUAACUAUUUUAUUAUUAUUUUAGUGGUAUAUUCGGUCAUAUUUUCAUUAUCUUAUUAUAUAUUAUCAUUUUGAGUUUUACUUAUAUUAUUAUUAUAAUUUAUAAUGUGUUAUUUUAUUAACUCAAUAUAACAUAUAUAUAUAUGUAUUUUUUUGUGGUUUUAUUUUUAUAAUAUAUUUUUUAAAUCCAUUUUUAUGCACUUUAUAUUUAAGUAUUUAUACAAUAAUAUUCUUAUAAUAUUUUUAUACAUGUACAAUUUAUAUAUAAUUAUUUCUUAUACGUGUAUAUAUACAUAAUAAAUCAUCGAUUACAUGUUAUUAUAUUAUUUCCACUUAUUUCAUAUAUAAUUUAUUUCUUUUAAAAUACUCUAUUAUAUACUUCAUUUAUUUCAACCUUUUAUGUGUAUCAUUAUAGAUAUACUAUUAUAUGAAGUUUUUCAAUCCCUAUGCAUUACUUAUUUAAAUUAAUAUAUGUAUAUUAUUUUAUGUAUUUAGAUUUAUUUUGUAUAUAAUAUCUACUUUUAAAUUUAUUUGGAUACUAUUAUUUUAAGUGGAAUUUAUUUUUAUCUAUAUUUUUUUUAUUUAUUUCAAUUUUUCAUAUAUGUAUAUAUUAUUUAUUUUAAAUUUAUUUUAAUCAUAAUUUCCCUUCUUUCAUAUUUCUUAAGUUUAAAAAAAAACUUGUACAAUUUCAUUUGGUGCUUUGAUUGUUUUUUAAUUCAUUAGCCUUUGAAUGUUAGCAUAAUACAUUAUGUGAGAUUAUUGCUCUUAUACGUAUUAUAUUGCUUAUUUUUAUUUACUAAUUAUUCGUAGAUCAUUAGAAUACAUUUUGGUUUACAAAUUAUCGCUUUGUAUUGUACAUUAAUAUUCAAUUGUUUUUUUAUUCGUUCGAAAGAUUACGUUUAAUAUCAUUUAAGUAUCAAAAUCGAUUUAUUCAAAAACUUUCAAGAUAACGUAAUAUUCUGUAUUUGGGAUAUUCGAGAGAAUUGAGCCUUAAUGUAUUGGGUUCCAAUUUUCCUCGUUGAAUCUAGAUAAUCGAGAAUAAUCUUCAAUCAAAAUACAUACAUAAAAAGCUCAUUAUCGGGAAUUCGAUACAUUGUGUCCUAACGCAUUGGAUACGACAUGUUGUUUUCUCGAGAUGAGGAUUUUUCUAAAAAAAAUAAUAAAGGCAAUAUUCCGUAUUUGGGAAAUUUGAGAGAUCGUGCCCUAACUUACUGGGUUUCGAUUUUUCUCCUUUAACCCAAAUAAUCAAAUAUCCUUCUCAAAAUGCAUAGGUUUUAAAAGUCAAAAGAUAAACUUAAUUUUGAAGAUUAAGAAUGUUGCGCCCUAACUCACUGGGUGUGACAUUUUAUCUCUUUGAAAUAAGAGUGUCUUAUCAUUUAAUUCAAUUUAUUCAAGGUUAAAAGGAUCGUAUUUUAAAACCUUUUCAAAAUUUCAACACUAAGACAUUAAGUAAUCAACUAGGUACCAAUUUUUGGGCGUUACGAGGGUGCUAAUCCUUCCUUGUACGUAACCGACUCCCGAACCUAUUUUUUUGAAUUUCGUGGACCAAAAUCAUUAUUUUAAUAAAAUCAAACCAUUUAUUAAAAACAACCACUUUUCGAGGUGACCCGAUCACACUUCAUCGAAAAAGAUCGGUGGCGACUCCCAUAUUCAUUUUCAUUUUCAAAAUCCAAAUUGACCCUGUUUUAUCAAAAAAUGGUGUCAACACUGCACAUGUUUUAUCUUGACAUAUGGAUCCUAAGCAUUCCUUGGAUUUUGCCCUCUUUGUUCAUUUAUUUUUUCUUGGAACCUUAUUACAUGUUGUACCAUUCCAGUUUUUUGGAGACAUUGAAGACGACUAACUGCUGAAUUCUUUCUUCUGCAGAGGAACCAAUGGCAAGAGACUCUAAAAAUCCUACUCUUUUUUAUACCUUCCUCACCUCUUUGUGACAUUAUAGCUGAAAAAUGAUGUAUGCUAAUACAUGAAAUGUUUCCUUUUGCCUUUCUUUUUGUAGUACUAAGACUACAAAUAGUGUCUGCAAAACUCUUUAGAGAAAAACAAAUGUCUGUAAAUCUCUUUUCCCGUAAUCUUAUCUUUUCCUCAUUGUAAUAGUUGGAAAACAGUUUUGUUGAAGACAAUGUCAACUACUGGGAUAAGUUAUUGUAAGCAUCUUUUCUUUAAGUGUUUCAUAUUAAAAACAAACACUGUUAUUGUUUAUUUUGUAGUCUAAAUUAUGAUAAUUUCUGCACAAAAUUCACAUAAAUGGUUACCGUCCCGAAGCGGAGCGAGGGUGAUGCUUACUAGUUAUUAAGAAAACAGGACCUUGUAGGGCUUAACUGUUGAAUCAAGAAAGAAAUUUCUUUUAAUGCUUUCAGUUUUUUUAAAGCUGAUUUUUUUUACAAAUUAAAGUUUGGAUUGUAUGUUAAUUGCUUGAGGGAAGGUCGGAUGCUUUAUUAUCCCUAUUUUUAUUUGUUAUAUAUUUUAGCCAUAAUGAUUUUUUUGGCCCUACAACUUUACCAAAAAAAUCAUAUUAGCUUUCAUUUAAUUUUCGUCUCUUUUAACCCUUUAACUUAUAUUUUUUUGUCAAAUCACCCCAAAAUGGAUCGAAAACUUAACAUUUGUGAACUUUGAUUAUGUGGCAUACACAUGAAUUGUCACAUGGAUGACAAGUCAACAUUUAGUUUUUUUUUUAAAAAAAAAAACUUAAAAAAUAUUAAAUAAAAUAUUUUUGAUAUUUUUUAAUGAUUUUUAAAUUAAAAAAAGUUUUUUAAUAUUUUUUAAUUUUUAAAAAUUAAUUAAAUGCAAACAUGGAAAUUCACAUCUAUGUGUCACAGGCCGCGGAUUAAAGCCCGUGACCAUUGUGCAUAGAACACCCCAUAGAGGUCAACUUAUUAAACAAGGUUCAUUUGACCCGCAUGAACUGGCCCGACCCAUGGAACCCGUGGAGAAGCCCAUCUACUUGAAGCCUUGGUGGUCUAGUGAAAUAUAGUUUAAUUUUUUUUAAACAUAGGGUAAGGGAAGAAGAAUGCCUUAAAAUUAAUUUUUGUUAGAAAACUAAUAAGAAUGAGUUUGUUGGUUUAGUGUUAAGGCCUUAUCCUAUCCAUAGAUCCCAAGUUUGAAUCCCUUGGUGAGCAUUCAACCAAAAUAUUUUUAUUUCCUUGUUUUUACCACACCAAAAGUGACAAAUUUUAAAAUAACCCAGCCCAAAAACUAUUUUUUUUUAAUUUUAGUCCUUAAUUUAAAAUUUUCCCAAACCUACAUAAAUUUUUAAAACCUAUUCCAAUUAGGAAAAAUAAGUAUUAUAAAUAGACAAUUUCAAAACAAACUCUAGAAUUUCAUCUAGCAAAUUUUCAAGAAAAAAUCCAUAAACACUUUCUUUUCCAAAUCAAACUUUCAAGCUAAAGAAAUCAGAAUCUUCAAAAUCAUCCCUCAAGUAGAUCUUCAAUCUUUUCUCCAGCACUAAGGUUUCUAAGUAUUCAAAAUAGGUGUGGGAACAAAACCUAAAUCUUUGUGUAUAAUUGAAUCUAAUAGCAAGUAGAGAACCAGUAUAGGCUAACCCUAGGAGAAACCCCCUGUAUGUGCAAUCAUGUAGGUGUGAGCCUAUAGAUGCAAAACCCCUUGUACAUGAAAACCCCAUGCAUGCAAACCCUUACGUGAAACCCCCCUUUCAUGCGAACCCUGUAUGAAUACCAUGUGAACCCUAGAUUAUAGUUGCGAACCCUAGGUUGUUAUGUGGAUACCCAUACUGUGAACCCAAGUGCACAAACAUAUAGGAAUAUUCAUGCGAGCCCCCUUGCAUGCGAACCCUAGUUAGUGUACAUACGGGUCUCAUAUUUACAUGCAAACCACUACUAGUGCGAGUCAAUUAUAUGAUAUCACAUACGAACCCUACUAUUACAUGCAAACCUUUAUACAUGUUAUAUUCGAACCUUUUUUUGUUAAAACAGGUGAGACUUGUCUAGUAUUACAUACGACCUAAUUUGCGAACUCAUAUGUUAAAAGUAUGUGAACCUAUCUAUGUUUGUUAUGCGAGCUCACAUGUUAGCAGUAUGUGAACCUAUAUAUAUCAGUUAUGCAAACUCACAUGUUAGCAGUAUACGAACCAUAAGUCUGUUAUGCAAACUCACACAUUGGCAGUAUGCGAACCCUAUAUACACCUUUAUGCAAACUCACACAUUAACAGUAUGCGAACCCUAUAUACGCCUCUAUGCAAACUCACACGUUAGCAGUAUGCGAACCCUAUAUACGCCUUCAUGCAAACUCAUAUGAUUUGCAGCAUGCGAUCUCUAUAUUUAUGCGAACCCUUGUAAUAAAAAAUAUGCGAACCUUAACUUGCGAACCCUUGGCAGGAACCCUGCACUCGCAAAGCCUUCUUCCGGACCUGUACAUAUGCUAGAUAACCAAGCCUAUUAGUUUACAUUAAAUCACUGUACAUAUGAGACUGUUUGUUUACUUGCACAAGUUAUAUGUGUAUUUACUAUUCGAUACAAGAGUACCUAUCGACCUUUUGAUGAGAAUUCAGAGAUUAACGAUGAUAAUUCCAACAAUCAGUGUAAGAACGAGUUAAAUCGAGAGUUGAUGUAAUUUAAGGUAAUAAAGUUAAUUUUUCAGUAAUAAAUGUAAAAUUGUUAUGGAAAGAAACGAUGGGUAAAAAAAAAUGAGAGUUUUAAAUAAAAGAGAGGAAAACUUCAAUUUAGGGUUGAAGAGGAACUAAAAAUUUACGUGAAAUUAGGAAAAAAUAUAAAAUACCUAGGAUUAAGAAAUUUGAGGGGGUUGAAUGGUAAAAUACCCUUUUUUCUUAAAAAUGAAAAAAAAUGGAAAUGGGUAUUAAGUUUGGCACGACUUGAACCUUGGAAGCAAAGGAAAAAAUUACAAAGGCCUUACCAUUUGGGUUGCUACCCACAUUUGGCAUUUUUUUACACUAUUUAAAAUAUAUCCUAGCUUAGUUUUGAUCAUAGGUUGUUGAAAAAAAAAAAAAGGGGUAAGAGUGUGGCUUCAACCUUAAUUCUCUAGUUAGUAUACUAAGCUCUGAACCAUUAAGAUUAAGGCCCAUGUCUUAGUCAAUUAAUUCAUCUAACUCUAUAUAUUUUGAGGUGUUACAUCUUGAAUUAGAAAAACCCAUAAAAUGCAUGUAGACUUGUAUUGCUCGGUACUUGGUAGUAUAUAUGUAGACUUGUAUGUUGAUUAAGCUAGCUUAAUUAAGACCAAUGUGUUAGACUUGUCUAUGCAUUGAACAAUCUAGAAGAAAAUGAAGAAAAAGACUCUGAAAACACUUGAAAACAGAUAAAACUCAUAUGUCAUCGACUAGUUAAACUAUGAUCACCCAUAAUAGACCUUGUAUUUGACUUUUUGUUGAGGGAGAAGUUUCGUGAGUGUUGUUUGUCAGGGAGUCAGUGUUGCCCUAAACAACUAAAGGUAUUGUCCCCAUGUCGAGAUUUUACCCCCAGCCUCUGCAAAAUAAUCAUGAAGAAUACGUGCGAAGGAAUUCAAACACCAACCAAUGCAUGUGUAGCCUUUACCUUCCCACUAUCUUUGGGAACUCAUAAGGAUAAAAUCCCAACAAGAGAAUUGUAUCAGAGGGGUCUGUCAACACAAUGAAUGAAAUUUCAUACUUUUUUUUUAAUGAAAGUAAAUAUCAUAUUUAGUUAGAGAAAAGCAACGAAAAAUCUAACAAUAAAAUCCUUAGCAAAAGAUUAAAACACAAUUGUACCAUAAAUUAAAUAAGAAAUUAAAAAAAUUCAAAUCUAACAAAGACAGUAACUUGAUUCCUCAAAGCUACCACAAACAGUAAUUCAUAGGAAGGCCUGCUGCUCAUUUAUAACACAAACUUCAUGGUGACGGAUACCAACAUACCAUCAACUGAAGUCAUAGUUGACGAGGUUGUAGUUGGCCGAGGUGAUGGUGACAAAAGCCACUCUGGAAAAAUAUUAAUAGCAAUCGCCCUCCAAUUAAUGAGAAUUUAUAAAGUGACCUAAUUAAAUGGUAGCAGUUGUCCAUAAGUGUCAUAUCUGUUGUAAGGCAUGAGCUCAAACCCUACCAAACUCAAAUGAUCAAAUUUCCUUGGUAGGUGGUCAUACGUCACGUACCGUUUGUCCCAACAAGGCGCUCCCACUCUGUUGAACCUCUCAUCUCUUUAGGUAGCUUUAGGCACUUGAGAUCUUUACAAAGUCGAGAGGUAAAAUUAUUGGAAAAAAAAACUCGGUUUGAAAAUGGUUUUCUUGCACAGUAGAAAAAUAAAAUUUUGAAAAUUGACUUGGUUUGUGAUAUUUAUAACAAAAAAAAACCUUAACUGAAUUCAUACAUGUGUUUUUGGAUAAGUGGAUCCUUGAUGUUUUCAGGCUUUCAACCAAACGAUCUUUUGCACUAUUCUCGUACCACGAUCUGCUUCGAGUGUGGCCUCGAACCAAUUGAAUCAAAACACAAAACUAGAAAAGGUUUUCCUUUUUGGGUGAAAACCAAAAUUCUCUCUUCUUUAAUAGAAAUCGGUAAAAUUAUUAUUAUGAAAAAUAUGUUUAUAAGUUGAGAAUAAAUUCUCUCUAUUUUUCGACAGAAUAAAAAUCUCUGAAAAGUUGUGUAAAUAGCUCUACUGGUGCCAUUUAUUUAUAAGAAGAGAAAGUAGAACCCUUGUAGAGUUGUAAAAGUUUAUAUCCACUAGAAAAAUAAUAUCCUAGCCUAUCUAGGAUAUAGGGAGCAACAACCCUAGUUAAUGAUACUAGGGUUUUGUCGUCCCACCUCCUUAUAUGAGGGGUUUUAGGCCUCUCUCACAUCAGGUCCAAGUACAAGUAAUUCUUAAAUAUAAAUUUGAAUUUGAUAUAUUGAUUACAUAUGAAUUUAUAUAUUGUGAGUAAAAUUUUUAUUUGAUAUAUUAAUAAUGUAUAAAUUUAUAUAUUGUUAAUACAUCAUAUGUUUAAAAAAUCUAAUAAUUAUAUAUUAUUUUCAAUAAUUUUUAAAUUUAUUAAUUGAUUUAUUGGUAUAUUAAUAUUAUUUAUUAGUAAUAUGUAAAUUUAUACCCUGUCAAUUUAUGAAAUAACAUUUAGUGAGUGGAAUAUAUAUAAAAGAAGAUAUUCUAAAUCUUUCUAAGAUUUCUAAUUCUUCCUUAAAAUAGAAAAAGAAAUAAAUUGUUGAUAUAGAUAUGUUGAUAAGAUUUUCAUGUAGGGCUUUUCUGUAAUUCAUGAUUUUGUUACAUGCAUAAAUUGUAAUUGUGAUAUUUUAUAUUUUAUUUAUAUAAAUCAUGUUAAAUUUGAUUUAAAUUCCUUUUUUAAUUAUUUAUUCUUUUAAGAAAUUUCAAGUAUUCAAUAAAUAUUAAUGUAUACUUUUUCUUAAAUUGAUAUAAUAGUGAUAUCAGAUUAGUUUAAAAUUUUGCGUGUAUGACAAGUACAAUUAUAUCGAUAGAUUCAAUAGUCGGAUUAUUCAAAUAUUACUCCUACAAAUAUAUAUUUGAAGAAGUAUAAACUGCUUUAAUUUUACACUGGUAUAAGUAGAUCUCUCUCUUACAUCUGUUGUAUAUAUGAAAUUUUGAUUUUGAUUCAAACGUACUCAUUUAAAGAAAUAAAUAUAUCAAUUUAUUUUUAUAUUGAAUAAGUAUAAUUAUUUGGAUAUGCAAUAUAUAGAUGUAAAAUGAUGGUAUAUAAAUAACGAUGUUAGAUGUUUGUGAAAAUUGAAUCAAAUCAAUAUUUCAUGUAUAAAAUUGCACAAUGGACCAAAGUUCAUGUACAAUUUUGAUCUUUAUAUCUGAAAUUUAUUAAUGCAAAUUAUUUUCCAAAAGAUCACAUUGAGUAAGUUUAAUUUAAAUUUCAAUAUUUAAAUUUUUUUCUCAUAUAGAAAUAUAAUUUUUUUAAAAGAAGUGUAUACUAAUUGUUGAAAGAUUUUCGACUCUUUUGGAAAGUCUUCGAAGUGGCAUAUUUUGAAGAUGGUGGACCCUCAACACGUCCAAUAUUAUCAUUGGUUAAGGUUUUUGUUGGAUCUAGUGUCCUAAGUGUAGUACUUUUCAUCAAUAUACAGUUGUAAAUUUUUUUAACAAAUUGGUUAAUAAAACAAAUUUAUUGAUUAUAUUAAUAUACUUUAUAUAAUUGUCCUAACAUAGUUUUUGCACGCAAAGCAAAAUGGAAGCAAAUGUUGCUCAUUGGUUGCCUAAAUAUUUAAUUAAUACUAAGCGGUAUUAUGUGUAUAAAAAGACAGCUUGUAUUAGUAGACAAACCUAAACAUGUCCUUAGCAUAAUUGGAAAUUAGUAAAUUGAUUGAAAGACUAAUAUGUCGUCUAUCAAGUGUAUUUGGGGAAAUGCCUUGUCUUGGGCAUCGAAACGGAUGACUCCCAAAAGGUAGAGACAUAGAUGUGACUGACUGGACUGGUAGUAAAUUGGAUAGGACACAAACAGAAUAGAUCCUGAAUUCGUUUAUGGACUUAUUCACUUGUGAUGUCCAUAGUGUGGCAUACAUAAAUCUUGAAUGGAUAGCGGAGUACGUAUGUGUGACUUUUACACUUUGAUGUAAGUAAAAACAUAAGUUCAAUUAGAUAAGGAACCAGAAUCUGGUACAUUUGGUUUACGACUUCUAUAGUAUGUAGCAUCAUUUAUAAUAGUGAAAUUCAUAGCGCAAAAAAUGGGUAAAUGAUAUCCUCUCAUUGACAUUACAUGGUUAAUGAAAAGUAAACGUGGCCACGGGUUGUCCGUCUUUGUGAUGGAAACUUGAUCACUAAUUGAUAAUGAUUGAUUUUUCACGAAAGAAGAUGUAAUGGCUACCAUGAGAUAAAAUAUGAUCAUAUUAGGAGAACAAAUAUUAUCCCAAAGAGAUCAAGGAUAUCCUAUGAGGGUAACACACUAAUGACAAGGUUAUUGGACGAGCAUUAAGUAGUUGCUUUCGUAAUGGUAUGUCGUUAGGGAUAUUUCAUUCACGACACUAUAGUGGAAUGACUUCGUGACUAAAUGAUUUUAUAAUUAAUAGGUGAAAAAAUAGAAUUUAAUUAUAAAUCAUUUGAGCCUCAAGUUUAUAUGUCUACUCGGUCCCCCAACUGUUAGUUCAUUGAAACCAAAAAUUAAUUGCACGUUUGAAUGGAAAUCAGCGAAAUGGAUAGAAAAAGAGAAAUGAGAAACAUUCAGGAAUGAUUAUGGUUUCCUCUAAAAUGGAGAAAUGGAAUAAUUUGAAAAUGAAUGUAGGUUUCCAAAAAUGGAAAUAGAAAUGAAAAUGGAAACUUGCAAUUUUAUAUAUGAUUACUUAAAAAAUGAUGGAAGAAUGAGUUUAUAUUUUUGGACUAUUUUGAAGCUCGAAAAUGAAAAUAAAUCAUUCAGUCAUAGUGAACAUAUUGAGUUGUGUCAUAUUAAACGAAUUUUCUUGAAAUUUUAUUGGAGGUAAAAUUGCCAAAAUUUUACUGGGUAAAAUUGUCGUGAGAAAAUAAUUUAAUAUGUAAAUAUUAAAAUUUAUUUUGGAAAUAGAAAAAUUGAAUUGGGUUGGACCAUAUUACAAAGUACUAGAUCAAAAAGGCCCAGAAAGUACUCGUACUUGGACCCGAUGUGAGAGAGGCCCAAAACCCCUCAUAUAAGGUGGGACGGCAAAACCCUAUUAACUAGGGUUGUCGACCCUUAUAUCCUAGAUAGGCUAGGAUAUUAUUUUUCUAGCAGAAAUAAACUUUUACAACUGUACAUGGGUUCUACUUUCUUCUCCUAUAAAUAGAUGGCACCAAUAGAGCUAUUUGUACAACUUUUGAGAGAUUAUUAUUCUACCGAAAAGUAGAGAGAAUUUAUUCUCAACUUAUAAACAUAUUUUUUAGAAUAACAAUUUUACCGAUUUCUAUUAAAAAAGAGAGAAUUUUCGUUUUCACCCUAAAAGGAAAACCUUUUCUAGUUUUGUGUUUUGAUUCAAUUGGUUUGAGCCCACACUCGAAGCAGUUCGUGGUACGAGAAUAGCGCAGAAGAUCGUUUGGUUGAAAGCCUAAAAACAUCAAGGAUUCACCCAUCUAAAAACACAUGUAUGAAUUCGGUUAAGUUUUUUUUGCUACAAAUAUCACAAACCGAGUUGAUUUUCAAAAUUUUAACUUUUGAUGUGCAAGAAAACCAUUUCCAAACUGAGUUUUUUUUCAACAGUUUUAUCUCUCAACUUUGUAAAGAGCUCAAGUGCCUAAAGCUACCUAAAGAGGUGACAGGUUCAAUAGAGUAGGAGUGCCUUGUUGGGACAAACGGUACGUGAUGCAUGACCACCUACCAAGGAAAUUUGAGUAUUUGAGUUUGGCAGGGUUUGAGCUCAUGCCUUACAACAGAUAUGACACUUAUGGACAACUGCUACCAUUUAAUUAGGUCACUUUAUAAAUUCUCAUUAAUUGGAGGGCGAUUGCUAUUAAUAUUUUUCCAGAGUGGCUUUUGUCACCAUCACCUCGGCCAACUACAACCUCGUCAACUAUGACUUCAGUUGAUGGCUACACUUUGCCAGCUAUAGACCUCAUCAAUACAUAUAUGCCUAGUACAUGAUACUUCUAAUAUACCUCGUUAGUGAAAGAUGUUGGAUCCUUCUAUGCAUGGAUCACACGUAGGGUACUCUUGCUUAGGAAUGGCAAUAGGUUAGUAUCUACAUUUCUUGAAUUAUUAGAAUUUGGAUAUGCAUAUUUGCUUAAAAAUCAAAAUUUUUUUAUUAUCUAUAAAUCAUCUGAGUAUUACUAUCUAAAUUUGGCUUAAUUUAAGUACUAUUAUCUGUCAAAUAUCUGAAUCCACAAAAAAAGGGCAAUUUUAAAAUUUUCAAUCAUUUUUUGGAUAUCCAAAUUCACGAAAAUUCAAAAUUGAAUCCACCAAAUUUUUUUAUAUAUAAUCAAAACUAUACAUAUUUCGUGACUAGUUUAUUUAGAUAUUGAAAUUCCAAUCUACAUCUGCUAUUCGAAUAAGUAAUGUUGUAACACCUUAAAUAAUUUAAGUUUGUUUUUGUGAAAUUUAACACAAAAUGUGUACCUGCUUCAGUGGUUAAGUGUUCUAGGUGUGUGUGUGAGGUAUUGGGUUCAAUUCCCACUUUUGGCAAAACUUUGUUAUUUUAUAUCCAAGCCUAACUCUUAUUGAGUGGGCUUAUGUUAAUUGUUUGUUAAUCCAUAUCAGAAUAAGCUUGUUGGUUUGAGUGGUAAGGAGUUGGUGUGUAGGAGGUCUUGUUUUUGAAUCCCUACGUGAGUGUAGGUAUUAAUUUUUGCUCGGUUGUCUGAUAGAGUUUGAGUGGUCUUGAAAGUCUGAGGUUGUUAAGGUUGAGUGUUAGUCUGAAGUUAGGAUAUUGUGAGGGGAUUUUUAUGUUGAUUAUUAUUAUUUUAUUUUAUUCCUUUUUCAAAUUUUCCUCUCUCUUUCCAAAAUUUCCCUUUAAUGUUAUUCUUCAAGUUUUUUUUGUUGUCUCUGAUAUUUUUCCCCCUUUUCAUUAAAUCUUUAUUUUGUUCUUCUUUUUUGAUUAUGUUCGUCAACCUAUCAUUCGAUCGUGCCAUUGGAGUUGUCGGGUUAUCUAAUCGGUUGGUAAGUAAAACCUUGCUUCCCUUUAACUUUUGAUUUGGGAUUAUAGUGAUUUCAAUAUGUAGCAAUUGAUUAGUGGAACUUCGUGUUUAGGAGAAGAUUAUGGAGCAAUGAAUUGCACUCCAACAGUUUAGUGUGUAUUGAAGUGGUUUGUCAUCGACGGUAAGUCAGUUUCGUGUUGUUUCUUGUUGUCAAAUUCAUUAAUCAAACUACUAAAUCAAUGUUGGGUACUUUAAUUUUAGGAUUCGGAAGGCUCGGGAGUAUUUUUGCAUUAAAAUCGUAAUAGGUGUGUCCCCAAAACACAGAAAGUCAGGUUUCGAUAAAAGUCAAAAAUGCAUUUUGUCGAUGCGACAAGGGCAUGUGCCUGGUCGUGUGGCUAGUCCUGUGUGAGACACGGCCAUGUAUUUGACGAGGGUGUGGCUGUGCGCAAGCCACGGUCAUGUGGUAGUGUAAGUGUGGCUGUGUAGGCCAUACGGGCUAGGCCAGUCUAGGUUUGUGGGCCUACACAGGCAUGCCACACGGACGUGUAGGCCCAUACGGCCAUGUAGGCCCACAAUUUUGAGAUUUUCCCUUAGGUCGCACGGUUCGUUUCGAACGAUUGUGGACCUACCAUAGGGUCGGUAAGGGCUAAUCAAACCCUAAAUUAUGUGAAAUGAUAUUUUGAUCGUUCGCCUUGUGUAGGAUGUCAAUAUGUACAUCUGUUUUAUUUACGUAUAUAUAUGCUAUCUGUAUAUGAGCAUGUUAUGCAUGAUAUUACUGUAUCUGUUAUUUCUAUAUUAUGUAUCUGUAAUUGGGGUGGGUUUUGUAUAUGUAGAGAAAGUGAUCUGUACGAUAACACUUCCAUUAUAUUUUGACAGUUGACUGCAUAUUAUUUGUAAUGUGUCGCAUUGACACUAUAUGGUGUGUAGGGAUGGGUGGGUGCUUUUAACCCCAUAUGGUGUGAUGGGAUAGUCGAAGAUGUUGUGUAGAGGAUGGGGGUAGGAUUCUGUAUAUCUGUACUACUUAUCUGAUUUUGUUAUCUGUAUCUGGAAUGGAUAUAAGUCCGGAUCUUGAUCUGACUGUAUAUAAGACUUCUAUUUGUAUUGCAUGUCUAUUUUUGUUAGGUUACACAAUAAGUUUACGAAAACUCACAUCUGUUUGUCUGUUCUGUUUAGGUCUAUAGACUUAGGCGGAUCAGUGUGACGGAGCCUCACAGUAACCACGAGAUUGUAAACUAUUUAAGAUUACGGUUUUUAUUUAAUUUAAGGAUUCUUUCUGGAAGUUUGUAAUAAUUGGACUUUCUAGAAUAUUUGACUUUUAUUUCAGUUUUGGAGGUGUUUUAACUUUUAUGGCCACGUUUGACCAAAUUCACGGUUUUACUAAAAUAAAGGAUUUUCUGAAUACACGAAUUAAAUUUCCAAGAUUCAAUGCUUUUUGAAAACUUCCGCUGUAGAUUAUGUUUUGGAAAAUGAAUGAAUUAAAUAACGCUUCUAGUAACAGAUAGUACACUUGGGGUGAUUUAUCGAACGACUAAACAAAGCUUUAUUAAAAUAUCACUAUUUUAAAAACCCUUCCAUGUAACACUCUUAGAUUAGGCCACAACGUCUAGGCCAGGAUUAGGGUGUUACAUUUAAUGGUAUCAGAGUCAGGUUACAAAACUCGAGCUGUGAAUUUUGGGUUUCAAAAUUAUGUUUUGAAAAGAACAGGUUUUCAAAUAAUUUGGAUCAUUUUGAAUAAGUAUGUGGUACACUGAGUCUCCGGCGUUGAUCCUAUAAGUACUUUUGAACUUAGAUAAAACUUUCUGAAAACACUAUAGUUAGUACUUUCUGAAAUUGUACUGAGUUAGUUAAAAAAUAAAAACUUUUGAAAUAUGUUCGAACUUUUGAUAAUUUGAGCAUGAAAUAUAUGUUAAUAAACAUUGGAGCUGAUGCAUAAAAUUUUCUAAUGUAGAUAAAUUUGAAAAUAUACGAUGAGCGCUUGUGGAACUUGCGGUCAUGGUAUUCGUAGGCUCAGUGGGGGCCGUAAGGGGCUGGAGCUGAGUCUUUUUCUCUGGGCAGUAUGCCAAACUUAGAUAUGAGUAAGCCACCAGUGUCACUUGCUACUGAGACAAGGUCUCAAAGCCACUUGGCUGGGGACGACACACUAUCCCAAGCCAUGUUGAGGGUGUUGGAGAGGGUCACUGGACCCCAUUCUGGAUCUGUGGGCCGUAGGACGGUAACUGAACGACUCUGGUCCAAUAGAGCUGAGUUGUUUAGGGGUGUCAUUGAAGUCGCCCCUAUUGUGGUCGAGUAUUGCUUGGAGGGCACAAAGAGGAUUAUGAACGACAUCAAUUGUACUCCUAAGUAGAAAUUUAAUGGUGCAGCCUCUGUACUUCGCGAUGAGGCAUAUCAGUGGUGGUUGUCGGUUGAGGAGGGUACUCAACGGGACUGUCUGAACUGGGAUUAUUUUAAGACUACCUUUCAGGGGAAGUUUGUGGGCGCAAGCUAUGUUGAUACUUGUAGGCGUGGGUUCAUGAAUCUCACGCAAGGUGAUAAAUCUGUGGCUAAGUAUGAGGCCGAGUUUCUAAGGUUAAGCCGCUACGCUUGAGGCAUGGUGGUGACUAAAUAUGAGAAAUUCAUCUAUUUUAAGGAUAGCUUGAGGUAUAAUCUGAGGGUAUUGAUUGCUCCACAAAGGGAACGACAGUUCGCAGUUCUUGUGGAUAAGGUGAAGAUCGCCGAGGAGAUUAAGUGCGUGGAGCGCUAAAAUAGGGAUCGUGAGUGAGGCAAGAAUAAGAGGGAUUCAGAGCCCUCUAGUUCUGUUUAGAGGGCUAUUAGAGUAGGGGUUCCUAUUACUUCUAAUAGGAUUCAGCCACGUGAUGAUUGUGGUAGGCACCAUCCGGGUGAGUGUUAGAGGAGGUUAGGGGCUUGUUUGAGGUGUUGGUCUUUGGAGCACCACAUUAGAGAAUGUUCACUCCAUGCGGAUUAGAUGCAAGCUGUAGGAUCAAGUUUUAUACAACCUUAGAGGGCAGUUCAGCAGCCAUCUAAGGGUCGUGGUCCUACUAGGGGUGGUAAUGGUAUGGGUCGAGGACAUAGAAUAUCGGGAAAAGGUGUUAGUUAGAUUGAGGCAAGGCAGCCUGCACUGGUUUAUGCUACUCGAUGCCGAGAGGAUAGAGACGCUCCUGAUGUUAUCACAGGUACUUCUUUAUUUUUGGUGUUCCAUAUACUGCUCUGAUAGACAUAGGUUCUACUCAUUCCUAUGUAGGUAGUACUAUUUCUAAAAAUUUAGGGAUUUUUGGUGAGGGUACUUCUAGUGAAAUUAUUGUACUGAGUUCGUUGGGGCAGUCUGUUCAAGUAAGUAGGCUUUAUAGGAAUGUAACUUUGGAAGUACAAGGGAUUGUGUUUUCGGCAGAUCUGAUGGAGUUACUGUUUAGGGAGUUUGACUUAAUUUUGGAUAUAGAUUGGUUGGUUGAGCUUCGAGUUAGCUUGGAUUGCACGACUAAGAGGGUCAGUCUAAGGGCUGUGGAUGAAAGAGAGAUAGUAGUGAUCGGUGAGCAUCGAGAUUAUCUACUUAAUGUGAUCUCUGCUAUUGUGGCUGAAAAAUUGGUUCAGAAAGGGUGUGAGGCGUAUUUAGCUUACGUCAGUGUUCCAGUUUUUGGGGACUCUUCUGUCCGGGAUAUCAGAACAAUAAGGUAAUUUUUGGAUGUAUUUCUUGAGGAAUUAUCGGGUUUACCUCCGAAUUGAGAAGUUGAGUUCGAUAUUGAGCUUCUACCAGGUAUAGCUUCAGUGUCCAUCGCUCCCUAUCGAAUGGCAUCGAAGGAGCUUACAGAGCUUAAGGCUCAACUUCAAGAGCUUUUGCAUUGUGGUUUCAUCUAUCCUAGUGUGUCUCUAUGGGGGGCACCGAUUCUGUUUGUAAAGAAAAAGGAUGGUACCACAAGGAUGUGUAUUGACUACCUGCAGUUGAAUAAACUAACAGUAAAGAAUAAGUAUCCACUUUCGAGGAUUUAGGACUUGUUUGAUCAGUUCCGAGGGGCUGCAGUGUUUUCAAAAAUAGACCUUCGUUCUGGGUAUCAUCAGCUUAACAUUAGAUUUUCAAAUUUAAAAAUUAUUUUUUUUACAGCUGCAUAAUUAAUAAGAUAUCAAUUUUGAGUGCUGUAGAAGUGUUAUAACCUUCUCAACGCAUAACCAACUCUUGAAUUCACUUUUUUCUCUAAAAUUCUACAUAGAACACAAAUUUAUUUUUUAAAAGAAUUUUAAAUCUCACAAUUUUUUUAGGUGAUUCACCAAAGAAUAAAAAGAUAGGAGGUGAUUCCUCCUUUUUCAUAAAACCUUGUGCUUUUGCAAACACCAAAUUAUUGCUAAGCUUUACAUUAAUAGACAUGAUUUAUUUGUUCGUUAUUACUAUUUCUAUGAUUAUAAUACUAAACUUAUCGGACUACAAUCAUAACCAUGUUUAUUAUAAUUCAAUAAAAAGAAAUAAGUGUUGGGUGUAAUGGCAAGGUUCAUUACACUCUUAAUAAGAGAUCAGGGUUUUGGACAAAGGAAGAAUAUGAUUCGAAUUUUGGAGAUGCCAUUCUUAAAAUGAGCAACCACGAAGCCCGAUUAUGAACCAUAAAAUGAACAAGAAAAGUACAAAAAAUACGUCUAUUAUCAAAUUAGUAAUCCAUCCCAAGGCUUAAAUUAACAAAAUUCACCAUGCAACCGUGUAGACUAUUUUACGUAUAUACUAUAUUCAUUCUUCAUGCAAAAUGUUUAUUAUAUUUAAAAAUUAAAAUAUAUGGUUGAUUGAGUUUUAGUUGAGUUAAUAUUGAUAUUGUUGUUAGUGCAGAAGAAUGUGAGUUCAAUCAUGUUUAAACGCGUUUUUCUUUCAAUUUAGGAGUUGGAAAGGGUUCUCAAUAGUUAAAUUAUAUAAGUUUUUUUGUCUAUUUAAAAUUGAUUUAUAAACAAUAUAAAUAAAAAGAUUUAAAAUAUAUAUAUUCAUAUUGAUGGGCUUUUUCAUUAUUAGACUUUUUUCCUUACAGGUAAAAGUAUAUAUGGACAUGAUGAUGUAAAAUUAUGACCUGAAUAAUUUUAAACCUUUCAUCACUGCAAAAAUGAAAAUAAUAGAAAUGAAAGACUAGCCAUUGUAUGAAAUUUAUAAUUGAACUGCCAACAAAAUUGGGAGAAAUUUUUAAAUUUUAUGAAAUUUUAAAAUUAAACUAUCAAUAAUAGAAAAUUGCCUGAGUGACUUGGGAUUAGAGGUUGAACAUUUCUGGACCACAAUACAUUUAAGAUGGGUCUUUAAAGUUAUACUUUAGUUAUUGAGAACAUUUUCCACAAAUUGUCAUUAUUGUUUACUGCAGCAAAACAGGCUUUUAGCAUCGUUUUUUUAGGCCUAUAGCGGCGUUUUCACAAGAGUCGCAAAAAAUGCCACUAUAAAAAACGCUGUUAAAUUUUGCGGCGUUUUAGAACAUGACCUUUAGCGGCACUUUACCCACAAAUGCCACUGAAGAACAUGAUCUUUAGCGGCGCUUUCCCAUAAACACCACUAAAGAACUUGAUCUUUAGCGACACUUUUAUCACAAACGCCGCUAAAGAACAUGACCUUUAGCGGCGCUUUUAUCACAAACGCCGCUGAAGAGCAUGGCCUUUUGUGGUGCUUUUAUCACAAACGCCGUUAAAAGUACCAUUCUUUAGCGGCGUUUAUGAAAAAACACCACUAACUUUGGCAGAUUUGUAACAUCCAAUUUUCAUCCAUAUACAACCCUUCCUGUAGCAUGAAAUCCAACCAAAAACAACAAAUCUAAAUGAUACUUCAAAUUCUACAAAAGAUAUAUGAUAUAAAUUGAUAACUGAAGUAUAAUUCAAAAUAUUCUUACAAUAAUGUUAAAAGUUACAACGUUAAAAAUAUUCUUACGAUAAGAAAGCAAUGUCUAAGAUGGCGGAUUUUGCGACUGCUGAAACAUCUUCAUCAUAUUCUGAAGCUGUAGCUGGAGUGCGUAGUACUUUUUGACUGAAUAAACACAAAUCUAUUUUUCGACAGCUAUAUCAAAUUAGCUAUAAACCUUCAACAGGACCAGUACUUGCAAAAACCUCUUGGAGUAGUGGUUCAGCCCACCAACCUGCAGUUUCUCAAAAAUUAAAAUAAAAAAUUAAAAGUUAAAGAAAAAAUAGAAAAAAGAAGAGAUAAAUAAAACUAUAUAAGUAACUUUCUAAGUUGUUAAAAAGAUGCAAGAACAUGCAAGCAUCUAUCAGAUUCCAAAAACCAUUUAACUAGCAAUUAAAAGAGCCAUUAGCUUAGAAUUUUGCACAGAGGGUCAUAGCCACAUAUCCAAUCAGCAACUCAUGAAGGAAAGUGUCUCUAAUUCAUGCAGUUAUAAGCACAAAAGUGACUAGGGUAUGUGCUUAAGCAAGAAGGGGAAAUAAGAGACUCACAAUAUACAAAUAAAACAAAAUGGAAAAAAGGGGAAAAAGAAGUAAAAAAAACCUAGGCAAACACUCACACACUGCGGCAAGUACUUGGAUCAAAACCAUGAGGCAAAUUUCCACUUGGUAUUGGCUCUGUUUGUAGAAUAGAAAAGUGAAAAAUAAAAAAGAGGAGAAAAGAAGAAACGAUGUACAAAAAAUUCAAAUCCCACUCAACUCAAUUCUAAAGCCUCCAUAUCCAAGAAAAAGGAUGAGUUUUUGAAGAAAUCCAAUAGUCAACCUAAAUGAACAAACAAGAUGCUAACUACGACCAUGACAAAUGUAAGCAUCACUUCUCCUACUUUGGAAACACUUUCCACUUGAAAAGACAACAGACUUCCUUGCUUUUACUAUUAUCACAUUUUCCCCCUUCAUUUUUUUAGUGCCGACCAGAAAAAAAAUAUUUUAGCCUCAUCUAAAUAAGACAAAUUUCAGCAGAACAAUAGACAGUAGAUCAGACCCAAUUCAAGGGUAAUGUAGUCCAAAGUUCCUUGAACUCCCUCCUUCAAAGUGAAAAACAAAUCUAUAUCUUUCUGCAUGAUUCAAACAAAAAUGACUGUUGGACAUGUAACUCAGAAAGAAUGCAAAUACAUUGAAAGCACCACAGACUUUAUAAAUUAGCUUCAUGCUGCUAAAUUUCAACACUAUAAACCUAACAAAGCCCAGAAUGAAAUGCGGGAAUCAUGUCUUAAACUCUAAUACUCAAACAAGAGACAGAUAAAUUGCACGUUUUUUUAUAUAAUAUUUACAAACUAGAGAUAAAGAUAUAGAAAAAUAUAAACAUGGACAUGGACAAAAAGACUAAUUGACUGUGCAUGUGUGCCAAAGAGAUGGCAACUAAACAUUAUCCAAACACAAUCAUUUCUCAACAUUUGCAAAACAAAAUGAAGAUUAAGAUUAGCGGUAAACUAAAUAAAACCAAAGAAAUGAGAACCACAAGUAAAUGAGAAAGAAAACAAAAUAGAGAACCUAAUAGCUUUCCCAUUGAACUUCGUAUAAAAGAAAUAACAACAUUCGAACUUCAAGCAAAUAAAAAUGUAAAAUAUUUAGAAUCAAAACAAUCUUUUAUCAAAAUUCAAACCAAAAACAAUGAGCUUCACUCUAUACAAGAAGCAUGUUAACCUCAUAGGCUUUCUGAUUUCUGGAAACCAAAUCCAGAAACGUCUCCCACCAAAAAUCAAGAAAAUAAAUUUUGUUUUUAAAAAUUACAUUCAAAUCGUGAAAUAGGAGCAAGGUCCUUCGAAUUCAAGCAAAGUUGAUGGUAAAAGCUUAGCUUUCAAAGGUCAAACAUCACAGCAUUAAAUAUAAAACUAACCCAAUCUCCACCAAUUCAAAAACAAGAAACCAAACACGAACCAGAAGAUCCAAACACGAUUUCGAAAAAAAGAAAAAUAGAUAUUCCUGAAAACUGGAUCAAAAACUAGCAUAUACUUAAUAAAAAGAGAAAUUGACGGAAAAUCAUAGGAGAUCUGCAUGCAAAUAGAGGCACACUUUUGCUUGAUUAUUCGCUUAAAAAAGUAACAAUGGAAAAUAAGAUGCAAGUUCUAGGUAAAACCAUCAUGUCUUCUUACUCACCACAAACAAAGGCCCUCUAGGACCUUCAUGAAUUUUUGUCUCAUAAGUGCUUCUAUUGUGAGCCCGAACAGCUUGAUAGCCCACAAGAUAAGGAUAUCGAUCUUCAUCCUACAGAUUAACAAGGUUAAAUCCACUUAAAUGAAACACCAUUAGUCCAUAACAAUUUACUUCAAUUUUCUGCUGUUAGUUCAAAUAUGUAUUUUUUUUAAUUUGACAAAACUUGUUAGGAUCGAAUAUUCGGAAUUCCUAAAUUUCAAUUCAAAUUUACACCAUACUUGCAGAAAAAUAUACUACUAUUAGAGACACCGGCAAUCAACCAGAGUUCUUUAGUUUUCAAUCAAGUUAUUCGGCAGGAAUCUAUAUUGAUUACACAAAAAAAAAAUCAUACACCGUGAGAAUGUCGAGUAAAUUGCAAAUAGAAAAGCAAACGAACCCUAGAGGAGCUCCAAUACUUCUUCUCCCAAGGGCCUUUGUAUAGAGAUCCAAUGGAAAUGAUCUCUAGAUCGUCUAAUUUCGCUGUUUGUUCUGCUUCUUUAGUUUUUGCCAUUCAAAGAAAUGAGAAGAAAGCAAGAUUUCCAAACAACUAACAAUAAGCGAGUAGACAGAAUUUUCAAGAUAGAUGAAGAGAUGGCAUUUUAAAAUAGCGGGAACUAAAAUCUUGAAAUGCGUCAUUUCCCUCAAAAUUCUAAAUAAAAACUUUAUUUAAUUAGGAAAAAUGUGAAUCGAUUUUGGGAAAAAUAAGAGGAAAAAAAAAGAAGAUAUUUCAUUUGAAAUUUUGGGAUAAAAAAUAUAAUUACAAAACGACGCUGUUUUGCAAAAUAUAUAUUCGUGGCAUUUGGACCAAAAACGCUACUAUUGUUCAACUUUUUUGCGACGAUUGCAACAAAAACGCCGCUAUUGCUUACCUUUUGUGGCAUUUUUUUUAUAAACGCAGCUAACGCUCGACUUUUUUACAAUUUUUAUAUUGAAUUAUUGUAUCUUUCAUAUAAAUUUUAAAUAAAUAAUUUUUUAAAUUUUACGUAAUAUUUAAAAGAAUUAGAUAAAAUUAUAAUUUUUUAUUUUUUGUAUUUCAUUUUUAUUUUUGUAUUUCAUUUUUAUUUGUUAUAAUUUGGUCCUAUCCAAAAUAGAUAGUUACCUAUCCAUAUCAAUCUGUUACUUUUUUUAUUUAUUUAUCAAUGUUUUUUUAAAUCUAAUAUUUAAAUAUAUCAAAUGGUUUAGAUUAAAUAUUUUUAAAUAUAAAAGCAUUAAUUGAUUGUAUAAAAUUUCAUCAUUUAACAAAUCUCAAGUAAACCUUAAAUCCUAAACCAUUUAAUAUUUAUAAAGUUUAUCUAUUAUCUCUUAUAUAAUUUAAACUAUAAUCAUAAUUUUAAUAUAUUAAAAUUAAUAUUAUCUCUUUUACAAUUAUAUAAGAAAUGAUUUAAUAUAUAAAUUAAAAAACACUAAUUAAUCUAAACUCUAAACCCCUAUCCCCUAUCCCCUAAACCUUAAAUCAUAAAACAUAACCCUUAACCCUUAACCCUUAACCCUUAAUCCUUAAUCCUUAACCCCUAAACCUUAAACCCCAACCCUUAAACCAAAAAUCAUAAACCAUAAACCAUAAUCCCUAAACCCAUAAUCCAUAAACCUUAAAAUAGUAACUCCUAAGCCAUAAACCAUAAACCAUAACCCUAAACCCUAAACUAUAAUGAUAAUUAAUUCAAUAUUUUAAAAUUAAUACUAUCUCUUUUACAAUUAUAUAAGAAAUUAUUUAAUAUAUAAAUUAAAAAACAAUAAGUCAUGAACCCAAAAAACUUUAAAAUUAUUUUAAAUAAUAGUAUUUUAAUUUUUUUCAUUUUUAACAAAUAUUUUCUAUGUUUUUACUUCCAAAAAUUGUCUACAUGUCAUUAUUUUUUUUUGAAGAAUUUAAAUAUUCAAUUAAAAAUAAAUUUUAUUUUAAUUAUAUAAAUAAACCAGUUAAAUAAUAAAUAGACAAAUAAAAUAUUUUUUGCGGCAUUUUUGAUAAAGUGCCGCUAAAGCUCGAUCUAUAGCAGCGUUUUACAAAAAAGCGUCGCUAAUGCCACUAAAGCUCAUUACUGAAUUUUUUGCGGCAUUUUUCAAAAAGCGCUGCUAAUGCUCGACCUAUAGUGGCGUUUUUCAAGAAGCGCCGCUAAUGCCACUAAAGCUCAACAUAAAGGUACUUGAGUCUAGUUUCAAAGACAUCAAGCGGAUAUUAAUUCGGAAUUCUGUAGCUCAAGAUAUAAAUUUAUGUUAAUCUUGUUAUCUUUCUUAUUUUAGAAUUGAUUACAUGAAAGUUAAUUGCUAAUACUAUUAGUUAAUUAUUAGUUUUCUUCAAAUCAAAUUAAAACCCGAAAGGUCCCUCUUUUUUUAUAUUAGUUUUAGUUUUCCAUUAAAUUUGUUUCUUUGUAAUAAAAUUAAAUUAUAGAAAUAACAUUAAAAUUUUAAAUAAAAAUAGUUCACAAUAAUUUAUUAUUUAAAAAACUCCCUGAAAUUUAAAAUUAUUGUUAUAAGUAUACCAUUAAAUUAUACAGAAUUUAAUUUUUCUUUCAAAUACUACAGUUAAUAAGGAAAGAGAAUAUAGUUCAUAUCAAUAAAACUUUAAAAAAGAAAUAUUGUUUAAUUAGUUAAUUUAAAAAUCAAUAGCGUCUAAAAACGGUCAGAAUGAAAUAUUAGAUUUUGUAAGAUUUCAUUAUUCUAAAAAAUAAAAUAUGACCAUGCUUAAAAAUUUUAUUAAAAAAGUUUUAAAUUUUAUAUAAAAAUAAAAAAAUAGUACUAAAAAUUUUUAUAAGCAAAUUUAAAUAUUAAUUAGUAAAUUUUUUUUGUAAUAUUUAUAUGUAUUUUCAUUCUUAUAAAUACUAUUAAAACUUUUUAAAAAAAUUUGAAUGCUAUUUAAAAACAUUAUUAAAAAUAAAAUAUUAUAUGAAAGUUAAAAUGAUCUAAAAACAUAUUUUAAAAAUUUAAAUACUUUAUAAAAUAUUUAAAACUGUUUAAAAAUUUCUAAACCCUAAAAAAAUAAUAAAAUAUAAUUCUUUCUAAGAAAUCAACAAAAAUAUAUUUAUAAUUGAACUCUCAACAAAAUUGUGAGAAAUAUUUAAAUUUUAUGAAAUUUUAUACUUAAACUGUCAAUAAUAGAAAAUUGCCUGAGUGACAUGGGAUAAGAGGUUCAACAUUUCUGGAUCACAUUGCAUUUAAGGCGGGUCUUUAGGGUUAUACUUUAGUUUUUUAGAACAUUUUCCACAAUUUGCCAUCAUUACUUGUGAGUGAUUUGUGGGGUAAGAGGUUGAACACUUCUGGAUCACAUUGCAUUUAAGACUGGUAUCAUUCAUAAAUUAUAUAUCUACAACAAGAAUGGUAGCCUCUUAUAUUAUAUUCAUGUAUCUAUUUUGCAUCUUUCAUUAUAAUAUGAUUUAGUAAUUUUAAUAUUUUUAUAGAAUAAUAUGAUUUAAAUUUUUUUGUAUUUUUCGUAAAAAUUAUAAUAAACUUACAAAAUGAUUUAAUGAUAUUUAAUUAUUAACGGAAAAAUUAUAUCAUAUAUAUUCUGUAUAUAUUAAGAUUCUGAAUUAUUAAUUAUAUAUCUACAUAUUAUAAUAAAUUCAUCUUUCAAAAUUUUCCUAAACUAUAUUCACAAUAUUAUAAAUAUAUUAUAUCAAAAAUAUUCUUUCAAAUGUUUUUUAAUGUUUAAUAAUAAAUUAAUUUAUAAAAUAUUCUUUCAAUAAAUUAACGUGAUGAGAUCGUUAAUUAGGUGCUUGGAUUUGGUGAUGGGGACGAAGAGAAAAGGGAUGGAAGUGAAGACAAAUGUUGGGAAAUUGAAAGGGUUAGCGAGGGAGGCCAGCGUGAAAGGUGGUUCUACGGAUAUGAACCUUCAAGCUUUUGUGGAUGAUGUUACUAAAGGUUAUUGCAAGUAAAUUUAAAAAUGUUUUUUAAUUAUUUUUUGUUAAAAAAUAUUUUUUUUUCUAUGUGGCUUUCCACAUUAGCAUGCUACCAUGUGGUAACUUCUAGUGAUUUCCGUCUGUAAUAUUAGACAGGUUAACAGUUAAACCAUUCAACUGACAAAUUUCGUUAAAGGAAGAGGUCAAUUAAUUUUUUUUGGACUCAUUGAGUACUCAAUUGGUGCAUUUUUUUAUAAAGACUAAAUUAAUUUUUUUAAUUUGUUAUUGCUGAGGGCUACAGUAAUAAAAAGUUUUGAGGUAAAAUUGGAAUAACGUCCCAAAAAUCUAAUACUUAAUUUUUAAAAUUUUAUCAUUAAUAAAUAUUUGUCUUAGUGAUUAAGUAUUUGAGUCGUGUUUAUAAGAUAUUGUAUUCAAGUUCCUACGUGAAUGGAUUGUUAUUAUUAUUAUUUUUUAAUUUUUGAGUUUGAGUCCAUUUCGAACUCUGGAAAAAGGUGGUUACUUAUCUGAGAUGGGGUUAGUGCUUAGUAGAUUUGGAUUUGGUUUAUUUUAAAAUUUAUUAAUUAAUUUGUUAAAAAAUUAAAUUAGUUUUUUCCUAAUUUUUGGCUCACCGUUCUUUCUCUUGUUUUUCUUUAUGCUUUCUUUUUCUUUUCUUUUUCUGUUACCUUUCAAAUCACGUCGAUUUGUUCCUAUUUCGCUUUUGAGUUUUUCUUUUCUUUCCUUUACGCUCCUCUACGAUCGUGUCUUAAUUCCUUCAUUAUUUUCUCUUUGUUGGCGUUGCUCGUUCGUAAGUGGGUUAGUUUCCGUUUUGAUGUAUUUUUACGUGGUUAGUAAAAGAAAUGUGUUAAUUUUUGGAUUAUGGAGUUGAUCGUUUUUAAUCAAUUCUCCAGUAAGUUGACUCGUUCGCUGUUAUUAUGUCCUAGGGUAAAGGAUUAACUCUGAUUUGGGCCCGUGUGGUUGUGUAGAUUUUUCAUGUGAAUUCGUUUGGUAUUUUUAGGAUAAAUCAUUCUUUAAGUCGUAUUGCUACCAUCGCUAAUGUGAUGUUUUAAUUUAUGCAUUUAGGAUUUGAUAGUCUUAUGGGUGUUUUCGUAUAAAAAUCAAACCAAGUGUGUAACGAAAAACCCGACAACAACGAGCGACGAAAGUCAAAAAAUUGCACUGUCGACACCACACGGCCGUGUGUCGGGCCGUGUGACAAGCCGUGUUUCAGACCGUGUGCGACAUAUUGUUUGGGCUAGUUGAGCCGUGUGGAACACACAGGUGUGUGUGAGGAUGUGUGCCACGCCAUGUGAGCCACACGGGCUGGCCAUUUAGGCCGUUUGAGACCAAAAUACUAAAUUUUUCCCUAGGGUUAUACACAUCGUUAUGAUCGAUCGUAGGCCUUUCGUGGGGUCGAUAUAUAAUCAAAUAGACUGUAAAGUAUGAAAUCCGGUCAACUAAUAGUAUAAAUUCUGAUAUCUGUUCAUAUAUUUGAGAUGUUAUUUGUUCAAUAAACCUUGUAAUAGGCUAUGAGAAACUUGAGAAAUAUUAUGUAUGCUUUGUAUCUGUUAUGUCAUACAUGUAUAACUGUAUUAUGUCUGAUUUUGUUCUAUUCUUUUCUGUAUUUGCAUUUGGGGUGGGUUAUAUUAUGUGGAGGAAGUGUUUCUUUGAAUGGCGAUAAUUCGCCUAUUACACUGGCAGCUCAGCUACAAAUAUUCUGAAAAGUGUUAUAUCGACACUAAAUGGUGUGUAAGGUUGGAUGAGUGUUUCAUACCCCAUAUGGUGUGUUGAGCUGGUCGGAGAUAGUGUGUAGCAGAUGGGGGUAGGAAUAUAUGUUUGUAUCUGUACUGCUCUGAUAUGAAUAUGUUCUGCUAAAUCUAUCUGAUAUAAAUUAACUGUUUAAAGUUAUUUGUUAUACAUUGAGUUUUGUAAACUCACUUUCUGUUUGUUUGAUAUUUUUAGGUAACCCUCAGACUUUGGCAAAUUGGUGCGAAGGAGCUCGGUUAAAUUGAUUUAGUUUCAUCAUCUAUUAUAAUCAAAUUUUGUGUUAUUGUGUUUCAUUAUUUUUGAACUUUUGGGACUUUUUGGACUGUUUUGGUUUUUGAGAUUUUAUUUUCAAUUUUUGCAUGAUAUUAUUAAAAAUGUUUUAUCGGAAAUGUCUGUUUUCUUGAAAAACAACUGAUUUCAAAAAAAUAAACUUAGUUUUCCAAACAUAAUGAUUUGAGAAUUUCCGCUGCUAAGUAUUCAUUUUAGAAAAUGUAAGCAAACAUCGUUUUCAACUACAAAGUUAAGUUAGAUGUAUUUUCUCUUAAAUCGAGGUUUAAGUAAUAAAAGAUUAUGUCAUUUUUCCAAAUUUUACGAAAAAUUGGAUUUACAAUUGUUUUAUGUAACAUCUCUAGAUUUGGCCAUAACGUCUAAGUCGGAUUUCGGGCGUUACAUUUUGUGAUAUCAGAGUCAGGUUGCAAAACUCGGGCUGUGAAAUUUUCGGUUCAAAAUUUUGUGAAAACUAUUUUUCGAGUAAAGUUCAUUUCUGCAUUAAUUUGAAAAAUUAAUUAUAUGAAGUAUCGAGUCUCUAACGUUGAUCCUGUAAGUACUUUUGACUUAGAUAAACUUUAGUUUAGAAAACUCUGAAAUGAUUAGAACUAUACUUGGAUAGUUAGAGACUGAAACAUCUUUAUAAAUUCUUUUGAUAACUUUUUGAGAACAAAAUAUCUGCUAAUAAAUACUAAAAUUGAUACAUAAAAUUCGUAAUGUAAGUAAUAUAUACGAUGAGUACUUGUGGAACAUGUGGAUGCGUUACCCGUAGGCGUGGCGGGCGCCGAAGAGGGGCUCGAGCUGAGUCAUCCUCGAUGGGUACCUGAUAGGCUAUUGCUGGAGAGAGCAAUAGUCUUGAGAGAAGAAAUGUUGAAGAUCGAAGUCAAAAUCUGACCUAUAAAGCCUUUAAUUGCUUGAAUGAUAAGCAUUUCUAAACUAAAAAGAUUACCGAUUUUUUCAGGAAUUUGACCUGCAGACAUAGUUGAAACAUCAAGGUGUUAAAUUACCUAUUUUGUUAGUGUAAAUCAAAGAGGCGUUUUAUUUUUUUCGUUUUGAAAUAAUAUGGAUAUGUUAGAUUCUAAUCAUAUUUAAGUAUAUAUUAGUUCUUGAAAGAAAGAGUUCUUAUUUUUGGUAUUUAUAUUGCAAAUAUAUUUUUUUAAAUUUAAAAAAGGGGGGGGGCAAAUGUGUUUAAAACUAAAGACAUCAAGGAAAAGGCAUACCUUCUAGGUUAUUUAACCCCAAGUAUAAUUGUUUAAGUUGUGUCAAAUUCCCAAUGCUUUUUGGAAUGAUCCCACUAAAUUGAUUAAUAGACAAUUCCAAAAUUUGAAGGUUGCAGCAUUUGUCUAUACUUGAUGGAAUAGAACUUGAUAAUUCAUUUCUACUCAAGUAAAGCUCUUUAAGCUUGGGAAGAUGGACACACUAAAUUGAUUAAUAGACAACUCCAAAAUUUAAAAGAUAUUCUGGCUUCGCCCUUAAUAAAAUUUUUGGAAAAAGAUUAAAAAAAAGUUAUACGGUAAAUGAAAAAAAGAAGAAAAUAACUUGAUGUCCAAAAGCUACCAUAAACAGUAAUUCGUGGGAAGGCUUGUUGCUCAUUUUAUUGGUUUCCAUUUUGAUUUUGCAAAAGAAGUUUGAAUUUUGAAGAGAGCAUACUACGUGAGAGCAAAAGAAAAAAUAUAGUUUAUUAAUUUUUACGAAUACCGACAUAUUAUAUAUACGAUUAAAAUUCAGAAUAGAUUAAAAAUGUUCAAUUAAAGAUAAAAUUAAAUGUGAAUUAAUAACCACAAGUCUACUCAUUACUCAUUACUCACCGUCUCUGUUAAAAAUGUUGGAUGUUGUUCAGCAACCUUUGUUUGAUUUUCUUCAGCUCAACCACAACAUCUUUCAUAUCUUUUCUUUCUUCUGGUAACUCAGCUGAACAAUUCAAAGCCAACUCCAUGAUAGAUGAAAUGCAAUUUGCUUUAACAACAAAGUACUCAUCGUCUCUUCUUAGUAAAUCAACAUCUGCAAUUUCUAUCGCUCCUUUAGGCAAUGAACUUUCCAUCCAAUGCCUUAUAGUCUCUUCUUCAACAAAAACAUUAUCAGUUGGCUUUUUCUUUGUAAAAGUUUCUAUAAGGACGAUCCCAAAACUAUAGACGUCAGAUUUUAUAGAAACAAUUCCUGCCGAUCCAAAUUCUGCAUUUCAAGUAUAAUUAGAACAUCAUUCAUCCUCAAUUAUUUCUAAAAUGCUUAUUCAAAUAUAUAUCCUCAUACACAUGAAACAAAAAUAUAAAAUGCAAAUUAGGAAAAUAAUCAUACAAAAAUAAAAAUGAAUUCACCUGGUGCCAUAUACCCGAUAGUUGCAAGAGUCAUGGUUUGCUUCAUUACUUCACCUUCCCCCAACAAUUUGACAAGGCCAAAAUCUCCAACAUGUGCAACCAUGUCUUCAUCUAGUAAAAUAUUGCUUGGUUUUAUGUCACAAUGAAUUGUAGGUGUUGGAUGUCCAUUGUGGAGGUGUUCUAUAGCUACCGCAACAUCUAUCAUUAUGUCGACCCUUUGUAUGAUAUCAAGGAAACAAUUUUCAGAAUGUAACCAUUUCUCAAGGUUUCCAUUAGACAUGUAAUCAAGCACCAAGGCUUUGAAGCCAACACUUGAGCAGCAAGUAACGACCUUCACAAUAUUACGAUGAACUACAUUACGCAUAGCAUCACAUUCAAUGUCAAAACUCCUAAAUGCUCCCUCUGUUUGCAAAUUGAAAACUUUUAUUGCAACUUCCAUUCCAUCCGAAAGCCUCCCUUUAUAUACAUAUCCAAAACUCCCUGAACAAAGCAUAUUGCUUUCCUUAAAUCCAUUAGUUGCUCGUGAAAGUUCAGCAUGUGAAAUUCUUCUCGGUGUUUUCAAAGACAACAAAUCAUCUUUAAUUGGUAGAGUUGUACUCCUUCUUUGGCAUCUUCUAUACAUAAUAGUUAAGACUAUUAGUACUACGACAACACCAAUUGUUGGUAAACCAUACCUAAAAGCAUGCAAUAUAAUCAUUUGGGAGUUUUUGUGGAUGUCGUUUUUGCAAGGUGGAACUAGAAAUCUAUGUGGACCACAAAGUGCAUAAUUCUUCAUGAAUGAUGUGCUAGAAAAGUUUGAAAAACAUCCUUUGCUGGGAAUUUCCCCUUCAAGUCUAUUGAAAGACACAUUAAAAUACUUUAGAUAUAAAAGCUUUUCCAAAGAUUUGGGAAUGACUCCAGAGAGAUUGUUAUUGCAUAAAUCCAAGAAUUCCAAACUAAUCAACCCAUCAAAUGAUUCAGGGAUAUGACCAUGUAGUAUAUUAUUUGAUAAAUCUAAUGAAACCAAAGUUUGAAGACCCCCAAAUGUGGAUAAGAUAUCACCCGUGAGAAGAUUCCUAGAUAAAUUUAGUUUCAGUAGACUCCUCAAAUUUCCAACAUCAAUAGCGUGUGAAUUGUGAAGAUGGUUUGAUGAUAAAUCUAUUUCUAAGAUAUCUUUAAGAUUCCACAAAGUUGAGGGAAUUGCGGAACUCAAUUUGUUGGAAUCUAAGCAAAGAUAUCCCAAAGAAGUAAUAUUACCUAAACAAGAGGGUAUGGAUCCAUGCAGCUUAUUCAACCCUAAACACAAGUUGUAUAGUCUCUCCAAACCACAGAGGCUUUCUGAGAUGGGCCCUCCUAAUUUAUUAGAGGAAAGAUCUAGACCUUGGAGAUUUCGCAGUCCUCCUAUUGAUGUUGGAAUGAAUCCACUUAAUUUAUUAGAGCCAAGUUCUAAACCGAACAUAUUGGUUAAGUUACCUAUUUCCAUAGGAAUAAUGCCUUGAAGCUCACACUCUUCGGCAUAAAAGUAUUGAAGGGAUUUUGAAAGGUUCCCAAUAUAAGUAGGAAGAACGCCACUCAAUGGAUUUCCUGAAACUUCUAUGUCUUUCAAAUUCUUACAAUUCGUCAAAGAAGAAAGAAAGCUCCACUCAUGAUCAGUAGCAGAUCCUGUGAUCAAAUUAUUGUCAAAGAUUUUGAGCACUUCAAGGUGUUUUAAGCUGCAAAGCAUUCUAGGGAUUGGGCCAGAGAAUAAGUUUUGUGACAAUUCUAGUUCCUUAAGCAUGGAAGCAUUGGAGAUAGAGUUGGGAAUGUUUCCGCUAAGUUUAUUUCUCCACAAUAAAAGAAUCUCAAGCUUUGGAGCAUUGGUGAUGGGUGGUAAAUUACCUGUAAAAUAGCAUCUUUUAGUAUACAUAUUCAUUGAAUACCAAAUUUACAAAAUAUAUAAUACAUUAAAAUAAAAACUGUACAACUUUAAAUCAAUUAAGAAUAGAAUUUUGGCAUGGAAAAAUGUGAUGAAAUCACUUAGAAAGUUGAGACAUAAUAAGAAGUUUUAAGUAGUAAUUAUUCCUUGUGAUUUGUAUAGAAAAAACAUAUAAUACACUAACAAUUUUUUAAAAAUAAAAAUAAAAGUUUGGCAUGAGAAUGUGGCAUCUAAUCCAUCUUAAAAAUGAGUCUGACACUGAAUAAUAAUUAGUUAUGAUUUGGGAAAAAAAUGUUAAAGCCAUUGUUUUUAAUGUAAACUGGUAUGAUUUUUAUCUAUUGGGUAUAUUAUUUAUUUUUAUUAAAUUAUAGUGUAAAAUUUAAAGAUUAUUAUUUGCUCAAAAUUUUUGUAUUUUUCGUAUAUUUGAAAUUUAAUCUUUAUAUUUUUUAUUUUCUGUGAUUUAGUCUCUCUACUUUUUGAAUUGUAAAUUUUAGGUUUAUUUAUUAAUGCUGUUAAAAAGUUUUUGUGUUAGUAUGGCAUUUUGAAAAAUAAAAUAAACUUGAUAUCUAUGUUUUUAAUUAUUCCAAAUAUUGUUUUACUAUUUCAAGAUAAAUUAUUUGUGUCUAGACCAAUAUCUUAAGAACUAUUAUUGCAUGUUUAAUUAUUCUAAAGAAUUGUCGAUUGAGUCUUAGCUUGAUUGGCAUGUGCAUUGUUGCCAAUGUAGGAGAAUGUGGGUUCAAGUAUGCUGAAGUGUAUUAUCCUUCUAUUUAUGAAUCAAGGAGUUGGCAAAGUAUUAUAUUUUGAUAUAUUUUAGAAUAUUAAAAAAUUAUUAAAAUAUUUUUUUAUAAAAAUUGGUUGUACCACAAUAUACAUCAAAUUUUUAAUUUUUUUAAAAAUAUUAGCGAAUUUAUAUUUUAUUUCAAGUUACACAAUUUUUACUAGUUUUUAACUUUUUUUUAAAAAUUUUUAUCGUCUUUCAUAAUUUCUAAUAAAUUUUUAUAUAUUUUUGACAAUAUUUAACAAUUUCUAACAAUUUUUAAUAAUUUUAUUAUUAAUUACAAAUUUAAAAAUUAACACAUUUUUAUUUUUUAAAACAAUUUUAUAUUUAUAAUGUAGUUGUUUUUUUUAUAAUUUUAUUUGAAAAUUUAAAGCUUUUUUGGUUUUUUUAAGAUAAUGAUGCCAUCAUGAUGUCAUCAUAUGCCACAUGGCAAUUUAUGAUUAGUUGGAUAUCUCAAUCUAUUUUUUUAACGUCCAAUUGACUAAACCAAGAACACCUGAUAAUGUUAGAGACUACACUAGAAAUGCUUGAUAAUAUUAGGUACUAAAGUGGGCAAAAACUCAUUAAGGACCAAAGUAAAAAAAAAAAAAGAGCAAUAUGCUGUAGGGAAUAAAUGCAUGAAUUUUGAGAAACUUUUGAACUAAUAAUUACAUAGUAAUUAUUAGUGAAUUUGUUAUUUUAAAUAUUUUUAUUACUUUUAGGAUUUAUCAUAUGUAUGGAUAAGAAUUUUGGUUUUACUAAAAUAUUUGGUUAAAUAAAUUCAUAAAAAAAUUUAGCAUCCUUAUAAAUAACAAUUUUGAUUCUAUUAAAAAAAUCAUUUUAAAAAAUAUAUAAUAAAAAUUUAAAAUUUAUAUUGAAUUACUUUAUACGUAAAUUAUUAUUAGAAACGUUAUCAUACACAUAUGUAUAUGAGAACUACGUAUUUAGAACAUAAAUUUAUGUUUGAAAAUAACUUAUGAUAAAUAAUGAAAUGUAUAAUUUGAAACUAUUUAAUAAUAACACAUGGCAUAUCUACCAUAUUAAAAAUAAAAAUAGAUUAAAUUGUAAGUAAAACAUAAUUUAAACAUAUGGAUACAUCAAAUUAAGAAUACUAAAUGAAUACAGUUAUUUAUGAUGAUGUUGUUGUCAAUUCUUAAGUUGGUGUCGAGUUAAUUUGUGACAUCAUAAUUUUAAGUGAUAAAUUUAAAGUUUUAUGUAUUGAUGUGGAUUCAAAUAUCACCAUAACUUUUUUAAAAUAAAAAAUUAAAUUCAACACAAUAAAAUGAAACAAAUUCAACACAAUGUUUUUGGAGUUUGCAAAAAAUUAAAGUGAAAAACAUACCUUCUAAUUUGUUGUCAUAUAGAACUAUUUCUUCGAGCGUAGUUGAAUUAAAAAUACUUGAUGGAAUCUGGCCUGCACACAUAGUCGAAAAUUGAAGUGAAAAAUACACCUUCUAAACUGUUCAACUAAAAAUACUUUAAGCAUAUUUUUUUUUCCAUCAAAUUAACUAUUUUGCCUUGAAUGAAAUAAAAUGCUCUUACUUUUGUUAUCUAUUACAAAUCAAACUCUUUUGUGAAUAAAAUAUUACCAGAUAAUUCAUUCCAACCCAGGUUAAGCCCUUCAAGCUUGGGAAGUUGUUGACACAUAUCAUUAGGCAAACUACCUGAUAGGCUAUUGCUGGAGAGGUCAAUGGUCUUCAGAGAAGAAAUGUUGAAGAUCGAAGUUGGAAUUUGACCUGUAAGGCCUUUAGUUGCUUCAAUAUCAAGCAGUUCCAAACCAAGAAGAUUACCGAUUUCCUUAGGAAUUUGACCUGCAGACAUAGUUGAAAAAUCAAUGUUUUUUAGCAUAUAUUUUUCAUCAAAUUAACUAUUUUUCUUCGAAUGAAAUAAAAAGUUCUUCCUUUUGUUAUCUAUUACAAAUUAAACUCUUUCAUAAAAAAAUACUUUAAAUUCAAGAAAUUAAGGAAAUUGAUUACCUUUUAGAUUAUUAAACCCUAAAUAUAAUUCCUGGAGUCGUGUUAGAUUUCCAAUACUUCUUGGAAUGAUCCCCAUAAAUUGAUUACCGAACAAUGACAAAUUUUUAAGGUUGUUGCAUUUGCCCAUGCCAAAUGGAAUGUAACCAGAUAAUUCAUUCCAACUCACGAAAAGCCCUUCAAGCUUGGGAAGAUGUUGACACAUAUCAUUAGGCAAAGUACCUGAUAGGCUAUUGCUGGAGAGAUCAAUAAUCUUCAGAGAAGAAAUCUUGAAGAUGGAAGAUGGAACCUGACCAGAUAAUUGAUUGAAUCCUAAGUUCAAGAUCCCUAGAUUAGACAUGUUAACAAGUGUUUCAGGGAUUGUGCCUGUAAAGUUAUUAUUUUUCAUUUGCAGCCUUCGAACUCUCUGUAAAUUCCCAAGCCAUGAUGGAAUUUCCCGAUUAAGACGGUUGUAGCUUAAUUGAAGGAUCCUCAAACGAUGCAAUUGGCCCAAUUCUUUAGAGAGAUGGCCAUAGAAAUGGUUGCUACUCAAGUCGAGAGAGACUAGAAAUGAAAGAUUUCCAAGGUGUGGAGGGAUAAUACCCCUAAGAUUCAUGCUUGUAAGAUUCAAUGCUAUAACUCUUUUAUGGAGGAUGCCACAAGAAACACCAAUCCAAUUGCAAACAGAGGUUGAGGCUGUCCAAUUGUCUGCCAAGACAUUUUGAGGACCGGCAAUGCGAUCCUUAAACUCGAGAAGUGCAAACUGAUCAGAGUUGAGAUUCCUGGCUGUCAUAGCCAAGCGAAGUACGGAACAUGGUAUGAAUAAAGCUAAGAGAAGAUGAAAGCAAGUGUUGUAGUUCAUGAUUGCAAGACGGAAUAAGGCAAGAAAAAAGGAAAAAAAAAGUAGGAAAAGGGAAGUUAAGUUGAUAAAAUAGUUUGGAUGAUGAAGAAAAGCCCAGAGAGCAUGCUUUAAUAUGUUUCAACCCUCGCACACUUGAUAAACUUGAUAAAUUUAAGACUACCCUAAAAAUUAAAAAGGAAAACAAAGUUUUGAUGAGAUUUCAAAAAAAAUGUCAAGUAUUCUUCUUUUAAAAAUACGUACAAAGAAGCGAAUUUUCAAAAUUUCUCCUAAAUUUUCUUCAAAUUACUCCACAUAAUCCAUUAAAAAAACUUAAAAAAUAUAUUUUAUUAAUUACUAUAUAUUCUUUUGUUUUCAUAAUAAUAAAUUGUUUAAAAUAUGCUAUUAGUGGCCGUAAUUUAAAGUUUAAAAAAAAAUCCAAUCCUCCUUUUUUUUAAUUUAAAAAUUCUAAUCCAAUCAUUUUUAAUUCCAUUAAAAAGUUUUCAACUUAAUAGAUUUUUUAUUAUCAAUCUUAUGCAACAUUAUAUGAAGGCAGUCUACUCAGCAUAUAUCCAAGUUUACAGAUUUUAAUAGAAAAUACUUACAAUCCUAAUGGUAGGACUAAGUUUUUUAAACUAGAAAAGUAAAAAAAAAAAAAACUUAAUUUUUAACUUUUUUAAGUACAAGGAUUAAAUUUUAAAUGUUGUCAAAGUACAAGCACUAACAAAAUAUUUUGAUCUAAUAAAUGUAAAAAAGCAUUUUAAACAAAAGAAGGUUGAAAUAAUCUAUUUGUCCUUAUACUUUGAUAAAAUUUGAGAUACCAUAAAAUUUGUAUCUUUUUUCGAAUUAUUUAAUGACAUUUCAACAUUUUCAUUCAAAAAAAAAUAUCAUUUUGAAUUUGAUCUUUUUCAAGAUGAAAUAUUGAAAUGAUGUUAAAUUAUUAGAAAGAGAUACAAGUUUCAUGGUGUCCCAAAUUCAUUUAAUCUUAUCUCUCUAAGAAAGCUGAAUUAAGAUAUUAAUGACAUCAUUUGAAACAAAGUUUUAGGUCAAAUUAUUCAUCUAUUCCUUGUAAUUGUUCUUUAAGGUGAAUUUCAUUAUUAUUCUUUUAUUUUCUUUGGCUUAAAUACACAAUUACUCCUAAUUUUAUCACAUUCUCCUUAAUUGGUAUUUAUAGUUUAUAAAAUUUUAUAAAUAUAUUAUUUUUUAAGAAAUUAUAAGAAGAUUACAAAAAUUCCAAAAUAAUAUAAAAAAGCUAAGAAAAACCUAGAAAUUCAAAAAAAAAAAUCAUGUUUUUACAAAUUGGAAAAUACCUAAAUUUACUUUUCAGCCCGUCCGAUGCUAUGAAAGAAGAAGAAAGAGAGUCUUUGCUAACAUUUUUUUUUCUUCGUCAUCUCUAUGUUUCUUGGCAAAUACAAUGAAAGAAGAACAAAGAAAACUGUUGGCUAUUUAUUUCCCAAUAAUCCUGAAAUUACUUGCCAUAGGCGUAGAAUUUGCUAACCAAUUUUCAAGCAAUCUGACAUGAAUUCUUGUUAAGUAUGACUCCUAUUUUCAGUCAAAUUUGAGAAAUAAUCUUCUAGUUAAUUCUGUUUAUUUGUUUCAAUCAAACACUGAUUAGUUUAGAUUAUUUUAUUAUUAUUUGACAUAUGAAUUUAGCCUAUAAAUAGGUUAUUUUACAACCUUAGAAAAUACACCCAAUAGAGUUUAGAACUCAUAACAUAUUUAGAGAAUUUUGUGUUUACGUUUUGAGAGUUCUUUGUUUUCGGAUUUUCGGGGUUUAGUUUUUAUCUCCAUCUCUUGUAUUCUUUGUUCUUUUGCCAUUAUAAUAAAAUUAUCUUUACCCGUGGUUUUUUAUCCUUUUUGGAGGAGUUUUUUCACGUUAAAUUUGUGUGUUCAAUUUCUCAAUUUAUUCCGCUAUUUUGUUACUUGUUGCUUAAUCGGGUCGAUCCCUAACAAUUCUCAAUCACAAUUAAUUGAAUUCAAGAUAUAUUUGGAUGAGAACACAAAUAUUUCAAUUUUACCACAAUCCAAUGUUUGGGAUGAUUUGGGAUAAGAACUCCAACAUUUUAAGAUCACAUUUUCUUUUAUAAUUUCAGGCUUAUCAACUAUUUUGAAAACAACAAAACGUCUUACACCAAAAACUAAAAAAUUAAAACGUCGACAUUAAAUUUGUUGGUAUGCAAUCAAUUUUAAGAUGGGUCUUGGAGUUAUAUAUCACUUUAGCAUUGACUUACUUUUCUACUCUUAGUCUUCUCCAAUAAGUUAAAUAUUUCAAUUUUAACAGCACUGACAGGUCUUUGGGGUAGGGUCCAGCAAAACUCAAUAGAAACAGAUGAUAUAGGCAGAGUUGGCUCGGCCAAGUCGAGUCGACUUGUUCAAAUUAGUUAAAUUAGUAAAUUUUAGGGUGCAGUUAGAACUUUUUUUUUUUUUUUGAGAUGCUAAUAUUAAAAAAUUUUAGUUGCUAAAACAAAAAAUUUAUAUUUAAAAAGGAAUAAAUUAAAUUAUUAAGUUUUUCAAGUUUCCAUUUAAUCAAAGGUUAAAAGGACUAAAUUGAAGCUUUUUAUUUUAAAGAAAGGCUGAAUGACAAAUUGCCCAAAGCCCAUGCCCCUAGCUAUAUGCCCCUGGUAAAAUCAAUUUUAAAAUUAGUUAUAAUAGUUGAAGCGAAUUGAUUAUUGAGUAUUGAAAUACAUAGUUCAACAAAAUAAACAAACUGACAAAUUUUGACCAAAAAAAAAAAUCAAAGGUGAUAAUAAUUAAAUUAUAAAAUUUAAAUUGAGAAAAUAGGGGAUUGAAUUUAUAAUUUUUAAAGUAUAAAGAAUGAAUUUAUAACUAACAUCAUAUUUUAACCACAUAAUAAAAGUAGUUAUGGAGAGGAUCAUGUAAAAUAAUGACCUGAAUAAUUUUAAACGUCUCAUCCUUGCAAAAAUGAAAUAAUAGAAAAGAAAGAGUAAAGAGUAGCCAUUUUAUGAAAUCUAUAAUUCCAACUGUGAAUAAAAUAUAAAUUUUAUGAAUGUGGACAAGCCAUUUUAUUUAUAAUUUUCUGUGUUUUUCUGACUUUUUUUUAAGUCAUUUUCUUUGUUUCCUAACCAAAAAGUUUGCCCAUCACUUUCAAUAUAAAUUUAAAUCUAAAUUUUCUUUUUAAAAUAUAAGUUACUCGUCACAAUUCAUCUUUCGAAAACAAUUUGCCAUCACUUUAACAUACACUAACUUUUCUAUGAUUAGUCCUUGGUUUGCUUUGGGUGCAAUCUUCCAACUAGCCACAUCCUUGGUUUUACUUUCCAACAAUUAGUGUAUCACGGGUUUUGUUUUCUUUAAAAAAAUAUUUUUGUGGAUAUUAGGAGAUAAUGAAAAUUAUUUUACUAUUAAAUUUUAAUAAAACUGGAAAAUAAGUAAUGUCUUUUAAGUGAUCACAAUUAAACAUUAGAUUUUUAAUUUUAAAAUUUUAAAAUUUUUUGAUAAUUGCAUAAUUAAUAAGGUACCAAUUUUUUGAUAAUGCUAUAAUCUUCUCCACACAUAAUCGACUCUUGAGCAUGAUGGAUCUAGACCUUAUCCUGUAUUCUCGUACCACAAAUUGCUUCGAGUGUGGGUUCAAACAAUCACAAAUUAAACACAAAAUCAGAAAUGAUUUAUUACUUUCAAUAGCAAAGUAAUUCUCUCUCAAUAGAAACCAACAGAAUUGUAAUUCCGAAAAAUAAAAUUUAUUUUUUGAAAAUAUAUUCUCACUACUUCCUAGCAUAAUAACAAUAUUUAAAACUUAUGUCUUGUGUUAAUAGCUCUACCAGUACUAUCCAUUUAUAGAGAGAGACACAAGAAUCCUGGUUGAAUUAGUAAAACACGAGUAAUAUUUAUUUCAUAGAAAACAAUAUUCUACCCUAAGUAGAUCAAGUUUGGAUGACGCAUGGGUCGAAGUUCAAUCUAAGAGAAAAAAAUAAAGGAAUUUUCUUUGUAAAGAAAAUUUGAGAUUGUACUAUUUUCGAAGUUAUAAAUAAAAUUAUAAGCCAAACUUUCAAGUCAAUUUUUGACUCGAAUUUUGUACGUACAAAUUUCUAAUACACUUGGUGGGACAUUCUUUGACUUUUAUCUAUUCUCUCAGAAAGUUAAAAGUUAAAAGUUGCAUUAAACUCAAAGAAGAUAAUCAUUAGUAAACCAGCUCACAAGCCUGCUCAAGCUAAUCCUACAACUCGUUCCACUUCAUCAUCAAACACCAAUGUUCUUGCUUAUCCUUAUGGAAUUAAACAAAAGACAAAAGCUCUUUAAGAGUUAUUUGAACAGACAAAAGAUUCAGACGUGUUGAGAUGGAAAGUGACAAUGCAAUGUUGAUUGAAGCUAUUCGUAACCGGUUGGCUACAAUAAGUAGUGUUGCUGAAGUAAGACAGAUUCACGAUUGGUGUUCUAAAAAUUGGGAAGUCAAAUUUUGAUAUAUUUAGUAGAAUGCCAAAAAAGUUGUUGAUUGCAUAGCUAAGGCAGAUGGAGGAGUAAUUGAGCAGCUAGUUUUUUGGAAGAUCCUCCGCAUUUUGUGAGAUGUUGGCUUGAAGAAAAUAUUAGACAAUCGCUGGUGACUUAUGAUAAUUUUCAUUUGGACUGAUGCUCGCUUAGUUUUCUAAGGUUAUGUUCAACCAAAAAAAAAUAAUUUAAAUAUGUCUAUAUUAUCAUAGAGUUAGCAUUUAGUGUAUAAAAAAAUAGUGUAUAAAAUUUUUUCAAUUGCAGUUUAGUUCCACAAAUACUGACGAUGAACCUUAAAACGAAAAUGAAAAUUACAAAAAGAAAAACAAACCACAUCUAUUAUCAAACCAGCAAUCCGUGUCUAAACUUAAAUUAACAAAAUUCAUCAUGCAACUCGGUACACUAUUUUAUAAUAUAUAUAUUAGAUUUAUUCUUGAUGCACAUGUUUUAUUAUAGUUAAAAAUUAAAAUAUAUGAUUAACUGAGUUUUAGUUGAGUUAGUAUUGGUAUUAUAUCAGUGUAGAAAAAUGUGAGUUCAAUCGUACUUAAAUAUGUAUCCUCCAACUCAACAGUUGGGAAAAGGUUAUUGAUAAUUAAAUUACACCAAUUUUUACAAUAUCUAAAAAGCAUUCAUAAACAUAUUCAUAUUGAUGGGCUCUUUCAUUAUUAAACUUUUUUUCUCUCACAAGUAAAAGUACUUGUGGUGAGGAUCAUGUAAAAUAAUAAACUGAAUAAUUUUAAACGUCUCAUCAUUGCUAAAAUGAAAUAAUAGAAAAGAAGACAUUUUAUGAAAUUUACAAUUCCAACUGUGAAUAAAAUAUAAAUUUAUGAAUGUGAACAAGCCAUUUUAUUUAUAAUUUUCUGUGUUUUUCUUCUUUUUCUGACUUUUUUUUAGUCAUUUUCUUUGUUUCCUAACCACCAUGAAAUUACUUGUCACAAUUCAUCUUUUUAAAUGAGAAGCAUUUUCCACAAUUUGCCAUCACUUUAACAUACACUAACUUUUCUAUGAUUAGUCCUUGGUUUGCUUGUCACCAUGAAAUUACUUGUCACAAUUUUCCACAAUCUUCCAACUAGCCUCAUCCUUGGUUUUACUUUCCAACAAUUAUUGUAUCCUUCUCAUUACUUGUACUUACCCGACUGAUAAAAAAUUCACUGAUCAAAUUAGUUCAAAGUUUUUUUUUUUUUUCUAAAUCAUGUGAAUUCACGAGUUUUUUUUCUUUAAAAAAUAUUUUUGUGGAUAUUAGGAGAUACUGAAAAUUAUUUUACUAUGAAAUUUUAAUAAAACUGGACAAUAAGUGAUUUAUUUAAAGGGAUCACAAUUAAACAUUAGAUUUUUAAUUUUUUAAUUUUAAAACUUUUUGACAAUUGCGUAAUUAAUAAGGUACUAAUUUUGAGCGUUGUAGGAGUGCUAUAAACUUCACUACGCAUAAUCGACUCUUAAAUCCACCUUUUUCUCUAGAAUUAUAACAAAUUUACAAAAUGAUUUAAUGAUAUUUAAUUAUUGACCGGUAAAAAAAUUAUAUCAUAUAAAUUCCGAAUUAUUAAUUAUAUAUCUACAUAUUAUAACCAAUUCAUCUUUCAAAAUUAUUUCCUUAUAAUUAAAGCAAAAAUUAUAUUUAUAAAAUUCUAAAUAUAUUAUAAUUCUUGUAAAUAUAUAUAUUUAUAUAUAUAAGUUCAAAUUGUAAUAGAGUUAACAUUUAAUGUAUAAAAAAUGUCUUGAAAAUUAUUAUUUUUUUCAAUUCCAAAAGAACUAUUCCAUUUAUAGAACCAUAAAACUUUAAAAAUAUAAACUCUAUUAAAUAAAAAUAAUAAUAUAUUUAAACAAUAAAUAUUGACUUUAUUUUAAAUUGACAUUAUCUAAUUCUUUUUAAUAAAUAUAGCUAAGCUUUACAUUAAUAUACAUGAUUUAUUUGUUCGUGGUUGUUAUUAUUAUUAUUAUUAUUAUUAUUAUUAUUUCUAUGAUUUUUAUAUCAUACUUAUCGGACUACAAUCAUAACCAUGUCUAUUAUCAUUUGAUAAAAAAAAUUAAGUGUUGAGUAUAAUGACAAGGCACGUUACACUCUUAAGGGGAGAUCAAGGUUUGGACAAGGGAAGAAUAUCAUUUAAAUUUUGGAGACAACAUUCUUUAAAUGAGCAACCACAAACCCCGAUUAUGAACCAUAAAACGAGCAUGAAAAGUACCCAAAAAAACAAGUUUAUUAUCAAAAUAGUAAUCCAUCCAAGGAUUAAAUUAACAAAAUUCACCAUCCAACCGUGUAGACUAUUAUAUAUAUAUAUACCAUAUUUAUUCUUCAUGCAAAUGUUUAUUAUAUUUAAAAAUUAAAAUAUAUGAUUGAUUGAGUUUUAGUUGAGUUAAUAUUGAUAUUAUUGUCAGUGCAAAAGAAUAUGAGUUCAAUCAUGUUUAAAUACAUUUUAUACUCCAAUUUAGGAGUUGGAGAGGAUUCUCAGUAGUUAAAUUAUAUCAGUUUUUGUCUAUUUAAAAUUGAUUUAUAAAUAAUAUAAGUAGAAAAUUUUAUAAAAAUAUACAUACUCAUAUUGAUUGGCUUUUUCAUUAUUAGACAUUUUUCCCCAUAGGUAAAAGUAUUUAUCGAAUUCAAAUUUUGGGUUUUAAAUAAGGGUUUUCGGAUUUUUUUUUAACAUUUGUGAGAGUUUUUGCCAAAUUUUAUGUUUUCAAAAACGCAUAACUAAGUUGAUUUUUAAUUAGUUUUUCAAAUGAGUCAAUGUAAUUCCUUAAAAAUCUAGUGAUAGCGUCUAGCCUGGGUUUGGGGGUGUUACACUGACGUUACUAAAGUUAAUCUUAAUCUAUUUAGUCUAGAUCUGAACAUUAAUAUUCUCUUCCAAUAAAAAUAAAGAUCAUCAAAUUAUUACAAUUGUGAAGCCAGACAAUCAUAUUAAAUAAGCAUAAAACUUAAUAAAUAAUUAGCGAAGAUUGAAACAAUCAAAGAAAAAAUAAAUUAAUUAACUAAGAAAUAAGGAUCCAUUAUUGUUUCAAGAAAACAGAGUUUAGUUCAUAUUGAGUUGAGAAAACCAAAAAUUAGAUUCAAAACAAACUUGUGAUAAGGGGAACAAUGUCAACAGAUCAUAUUCAAGUUGUUCGACUCGAGAAAGCAAGAUUCGGAUUUGACCUGAAAAGAAGAAACCAAACAGAUUAGGAAAACAAGAAAAAAACAAAGAAAAAAAAAUAAAAUGAGAAAUUUAAGAAUAAAGAAUAAAUAUUAAAAAAUAAUAAAGAAAUAAAUAAAUUAUAGAAUAAAAAGUGGCAGAUGGAAUGAAUAAAUGAUGGAUAUGACAUAUAGAUGGAUAAGUGUCUGAUAACCCUUGAAAAAAAGUUAUAUUUUGUUAGGGAUCGACCCGAUUAAGCAACAAGUAACAAAAAAAGGGAAUAAAUUGAGAAAUUGAACACACAAAUUUAACGUGAAAAAAACCUUCCGAAGAGGAUAAAAAAACCACGGGAAAAGAUAAAUUUACUAUAAUGGCAAAAGAACGAAGAGUACAAAAGAUGGAGAUAAAACUAAACUCCAAAAACCCGAAAAUAAAGAACCCUCAAAACGUAAACACAAAAUUCUCUAAAUGUGUUAUGAGUUCUAAUCUCUAAUGUGUGUCAACUAAGGUUGUAAAAGAGCCUAUUUAUAGGCUAAAUUCAUAUGUCAAAUAAUAAUAAAAUAAUCUAAACUAAUCAGUGUUUGACUGAAAUAAAUAAACAAAGUUUAACUAAAAGAUUAUUUUUUAAAUUUGACUGAAAAUAGGAGUCAUACUUAACAAAUCUCCACCUUGACUCAUAUUUCUACAAUGCCAUCUUUGCCAAAGCCCGCUACGAGCCUAUCUUGAACUAUACAGGGAAUUAACUGAGUCGAAUCUGUGCUUAGAAACUGGAAGACUUCUAGCUUUCGACUUGUACACUGCCAAAUCAAAACUAACCCGAGUUUGAUUUUCACGAACACAGUGUCCUAACUUUUCAAAACCUGCAUCCAAAAGAGAACCUCUCUUCAAUGAAACGGUCAUACAUUUUUCCCUCCUAUGACCAAGUUGCCUCUGCUCCAAACGAGUUGACUUCGACUCUGUAACAGACGAGGGAUGUCCGAUUUCACCGGUCAUUGUAGAACCUUCCAGAAUAUAAAGACUGCCAUUUCUUUUACCUUUGAACAAAAUGAGAGCUCCACGAGAUACUUUAAUGCUGCUCGACUCGAUGUUGAUUCUGCAUCAUUUCAAGUCUAAAAUACUCAAGGAGAUGAGAUUCUUUCGUAAAUUAGGUACAUACCUGACAUCUGAGAGUGUCCUAAUCGUCCCAUCGUGUGUCCUAAUUUUAACAGUACCAACACCAAUUACCUUACUAGAUGAAUUGUUUCCCAUGCGCACAACUCCACCUUCAACCGAACUGUAUGUGGAGAACCAUUCUCUAUUGGGACACAUGUGGAAAGAACAUCCCAAAUCUAGGAUUCACUCGAACGUGAGCUUGGAGUUAUCACUCGUUGACACUAACAAGAAAUCAUCACCACUUUCAUCGAUCAAAUUAGCACUAGCUACAUCUUCCUCGUUACUCUCAGCAGCUCCUUUAUUUCGCAGUUUAUAACAAUUUGCUUUGACAUGACCUAACUUUUUACAAUAGUGACACCUUUUGUCUCGUUUCUUUGAUGCCAUCAAAAUGGAAGAUUGCCUAUCUGCCUUGCUAUCUAAAUGAAACUCAUUUUCGAGUUUGUCUCUACUCAACAAAUGACCCUUCACAUCUUCGAACGAGAGUUUGUCUCUGCCAUAGGGUCUCCUUGAAAGAUUUGUAUGAAGGGGGUAAAGAGCAUAAUAAUAGCAUAGCUUGAUCUUCAUCAUCAAUAUGAACCUCAAAGUUCUUUAAAUCAUUUAAAAGAAUAAUGAAUUGACUGAUGUGAUCUCUAAGAAGCUCACAUUCGUUCCUGCGAAACGUAAAUAGACGUUGUUUCAACAGUAAACGGUUAGCCAGAGACUUAGUCGCAUAAAGAGUUUCUAACCUUUUCCAUAAGGUGGAUGAGGUCUUCUCCAUCAAUACCUCCUGCAAUACCGUAUUCGCGAGGCACAACUGGAUUGCAGACAAGGCAUUUUCAUCAAGCUCUUCCCAUUCUGUUUUAUUUAGAUUCUCAGGCUUUUUUUGGUAACAACCUUUUUCAAACCGGAUUGAACUAGAAUUGCCAUCAUCCAAACUUGCCAUAGAUUGAAAUUGGUCUCACCAUCGAACUUCUCAAUUUCAAACCUUGUUGUUGCCAUAUCUGAAUGGGCUGAUUUAUGAAAAUUGAACUAGCUCUGAUACCACUUGUUAGGGAUCGACCCGAUUAAGCAACAAGUAACAAAAAAGGAAAUAAAUUGAGAAAUUGAACACACAAAUUUAACGUGAAAAAAACCCUCCGAAGAGGAUAAAAAAACCACAGGAAAAGAUAAAUUUACUAUAAUGGCAAAAGAACGAAGAGUACAAAAGAUGGAGAUAAAACUAAACUCCAAAAACCCGAAAAUAAAGAACCCUCAAAACGUAAACACAAAAUUCUCUAAAUGUGUUAUGAGUUCUAAUCUCUAAUGUGUGUCAACUAAGGUUGUAAAAGAGCCUAUUUAUAGGCUAAAUUCAUAUGUCAAAUAAUAAUAAAAUAAUCUAAACUAAUCAGUGUUUGACUGAAAUAAAUAAACAAAGUUUAACUAAAAGAUUAUUUUUUAAAUUUGACUGAAAAUAGGAGUCAUACUUAACAAAUCUCCACCUUGACUCAUAUUUCUACAAUGCCAUCUUUGCCAAAGCCCGCCACGAGCCUAUCUUGAACUAUGCAGGGAAUUAACUGAGUCGAAUCUGUGCUUAGAAACUGGAAGACUUCUAGCUUUCGACUUGUACAUUGCCAAAUCAAAACUAACCCGAGUCUGAUUUUCACGAACACAGUGUCCUAACUUUUCAAAUCCUACAUUGAAAAGAGAACCUCUCUUCAAUGAAACCGUCAUACAUUUUUCCCUCCUAUGACCAAGUUGCCUCUGCUCCAAACGAGUUGACUUCGACUCUGUAACAGACGAGGGAUGUCCGAUUUCACCGAUCAUUGUAGAACCUUCCAGAAUAUAAAGACUGCCAGUUCUUUUACCUUUGAACAAAACGAGAGCUCCACGAGAUACUUUAAUGCUGCUCGACUCGAUGUUGAUUCUGCAUCAUUUCAAGUCUAAAAUACUCAAGGAGAUGAGAUUCUUUCAUAAAUUAGGUACAUACCUGACAUCUGAGAGUGUCCUAAUCGUCCCAUCGUAUGUCCUAAUUUUAACAGUACCAACACCAAUUACCUUACUAGAUGAAUCAUUUCCCAUGCGCACAACUCCACCUUCAACCGAACUGUAUGUGGAGAACCAUUCUCUAUUGGGACACAUGUGGAAAGAACAUCCCAAAUCUAGGAUCCACUCGAACGUGAGCUUGGAGUUAUCACUCGUUGACACUAACAAGAAAUCAUCACCACUUUUAUCGAUCAAAUUAGCACUAGCUACAUCUUCCUCAUUACUCUCAGCAGCUCUUUUAUUUCGCAGUUUAUAACAAUCUGCUUUGACGUGACCUAACUUUUUACAAUAGUGACACAUCUCGUUUCUUUGAUGCCAUCAAAAUGGAAGAUUGCCUAUUUGCCUUACUAUUUAAAUGAAACUCAUUUUCGAGUUUGUCUCUACUCAACAAAUGACCCUUCACAUCUUCGAACGAGAGUUUGUCUCUGCCAUAAGGUCUCCUUAAAAGACUUGUAUGAAGGGGGUAAAGAGCAUAAUAAUAGCAUAGCUUGAUCUUCAUCAUCAAUAUGAACCUCAAAGUUCUUUAAAUCAUUUAAAAGAAUAAUGAAUUGACUGAUGUGAUCUCUAAGAAGCUCACCUUCGUUCCUGCGAAACGUAAAUAGACGUUGUUUCAACACUAAACGGUUAGCUAGAGACUUAGUCGCAUAAAGAGUUUCUAACCUUUUCCAUAAGGUGGAUGAGGUCUUCUCCAUCAAUACCUCCUGCAAUACCGUAUUCGCGAGGCACAACUGGAUUACAGAUAAGGCCUUUUCAUCAAGCUCUUCCCAUUCUGUUUUAUUUAGAUUCUCAGGCUUUUUUUGGUAACAACCUUUUUCAAACCGGAUUGAACUAGAAUUGCCAUCAUCCAAACUUGCCAUAGAUUGAAAUUGGUCUCACCAUCGAACUUCUCAAUUUCAAACCUUGUUGUUGCCAUAUCUAAAUGGGCUGAUUUAUGAAAAUUGAACUAGCUCUGAUACCACUUGUUAGGGAUCGACCCGAUUAAGCAACAAGUAACAAAAAAGUGAAAUAAUUUGAGAAAUUGAACACACAAAUUUAACGUGGAAAAACCCCUCCAAAGAGGAUAAAAAACCACGGGCAAAGAUAAGUUUACUAUAAUGGCAAAAGAACGAAGAGUACAAAAGAUGGAGAUAAAACUAAACUCGAAAAACCCAAAAACAAAGAACCCUCAAAACGUAAACACAAAUGGGUGUCAACUAAGGUUGUAAAAGAGCCUAUUUAUAGGCUAAAUUCAUAUGUCAAAUAAUAAUAAAAUAAUCUAAACUAAUCAGUGUUUGACUGAAAUAAAUAAACAGAGUUUAACUAAAAGAUUAUGUUUUAAAUUUGACUGAAAAUAGGAGUCAUACUUAACAUAUUUCAUGCCUUUAAACCUAACUAAUUGUUUGUACUUAAGUAUAUUUUUUUCUUUUUAAGACAUUGUAGCGAACAUUUUUAAUAUUGUAUUAGGACAUAGACUAUGUUGGAAUUAGGUGCUUUUAAUCUCUUGUGGUGGAGUUUUUGUGUGUUGGUAUGGCAGGAACAUGUUUUAAAACGAGGAAAUAAAUGAGUGAAGUUUUGUUAGGGAAAAAGUGCAAACAGUUUGCCAACACAGAUGUCGUGGCAAUGCCGGGAAGACCAAGUUCAUAUUUUUUGUGCAGCAAUCCCGGUUCAAACUCAAACUUGUAUGAGAUAAAUCCCCCUAAAAGAGGAGAAGAUAAUCACAUUGCUGUUAGCUGACCCUAGCCUAAUCUAUCUAUUAAAGCCAAUGAAAAGGAUCUCACAAAGGGUAGAAAAAAGUGAGAGAGAUCCUUAGGGAUGAAUAAGGGUUUGGCUGCGCAAAAGAACAGAAGUCGAAGGGAAUCAUUCUUAGCCAUCACAGAACGUUGUGCUGCCAAAGUGUGGACUAGGCAAGUGAAAGAUGUUUCCAAAAGUUCUUCUGUUAUUUCCAUUAGUGUUCCUUCCAAAGAUUGAAUUGAAGUAGUUGAACACAAUGUCGGAUAAUAUUUUGGUUUGAAAUUUUAUUUCCCAGCUUAUGAGCUAAAUCUCAUAAGGUUAGGAUUACUUUCGAUGAAACCUUAAAUUUUUUUAUAGAUGAAGUAUAUAUCUAAUUUACAUUAUUGUUUCAUUUGAUUGUUCUAAUUUCUUAAUUAAAAUGCAAAUGAUCUCUAGACAUAGAAGACUGUUCGCAUACUUAUAAAUUGAUUGUAAUUAUAAAAGGGUUGGAUUAAAAUUAAAUGAAAUGAGCAGGUAUUUGAUAGACACUUGUAGUCGACUCUAGACAUAGAGUCACGAUCAUACAGAAGAAGCCCAUGCAAGAUAUCGAAAAAGCCUUUAGACACCAGGCAAGGCAACUUGAGGUUUUUCUCUCACGAGAGGCAGACCAUUUUAGAACUCUUCUGUGUUGUAAAGUAGAUACAAUUUUGCCAAGACAAUAUUGACAAUGAGGGUUGAUUCUGGGUAAUCCCGACCUUCCAAAUCCACUUCGUAUAUCCUUUAAUCUUUUUCAUAAUAUCUUUGCCACAUAAUUAUUAGUUAUUUAUUUGUUCAUUUACAUAAUAUUCCCAUAGUAAUUCUCAUAAUUGCCAUUAUGUUUCUACUCUCGGUUGGCCAUAGCAUUACUAAUUAUUCAUUAAUUCCACAUAUUGAUUACAUCAUUAAUCUACUCAUUGUCAUUGCAUAUUUAUCAUUGACUUUGUCAUAGCAUUAAUUGCAUUUUAUUAUAAUAACUUGACCAAUUUUGUGCCUCAAUCCGAUUUUCGUGGGAACAAUACUCACUCAUCACUUUAUUACUUGAUUCAACGUGUAUACUUGCACAAAUCGCAUAUCAUUUCACAUGCGACAGUGUCCAAUUUAACCUUUUGAGAUAUAAACUCAAACAAACUCAAUUAAUGGCUUUAAUCAACCCACCAAGAAAUAAUAAUUGGCAAAUUGAAGGAUGAAGAAUGAAUUCCCAUGACUCCUUAAAGAAAAUUGAGAAGAAAACUGCUUCUAAAAAUUACAAGAAAUAAUCUUGCACAAAGAAACUUACCCUCAGAGUUGGAAAUUUUAGUAAUGAGCAAAAACAAUUGUGUCUCUAAUGAACAUGAAGGGGCCUUUACAUAGGAUAGAUAAGUACAUCCAAAUAAAAUUUUGAAGUAUAUUAAAACUUUAAUUAAUGUAAGAAAAAAAGUAAUUUUCAACUAAAAUAGUCAUAAUUUCUAUAAUAAUCCCGUCUAGAAAUUCUGCUCACAUAGCCAUCACUAAAAUAGUCAUAAAUUGAGCUCUUGAACUCGAAAUUGAAUGAAUAAAAGUGUGUUUGAAAGUUAAGUAAUAGAUCUUAGAACUCCAUCAAGACAUAUCAAUCAAAAAAUGUCUGGAUCCCAUCCAAAAAGUCAUUGCAAGUUAACUAAUUUUCCAAACUUGAAAAUUGACAGCUUCGGGGAAUGGAAUUUAAUAAAGUUCACCCCAUCUACUCAAGUAUAAACUUGCAGUGGUAAAAAGUAAAAAUAAAUAAUCUAUAGAGAAACUAGUUGAAGAAUUUAUGACAAUUUAUUUAGAUCUUUUUUUCUUCUAGCCUUUGCAAACUUGAAGUUUCCCUUGGUGUGAGAGAGUUGUUCCUUACCCUCUAAGUUAUUUUUUUUCUUUUCCUUUUUUUUUCUUUCUCUUCGAUCUUGUCACCUAAGGGUGUUCAAAUGAUUGAUUCAGUUAAUACCCGAACAAUGCUAUCAUUAACUGAAAUUUUGAAACCUUAAUCGUUAAUGAAACCAAUUUUUUGUUGAAACCUAUUAACCGGCCGGAUUGAUUUCGGUUAAUUCAGGCGGCUAGCCGGAAUUUAUACAUUAUUUUUUUCAAACAAUUUUAAAACAAAGAACAAUCCAUGACAACUUUUUCCUUGUUUUUUAUUCAAAAAUUAUUAAAAGAAUUUUAAAAAAUAACAUAAUAACAACACUAAAUUAAAAACAUAAUAGCAUUCAUUACAUUACAAAGCAUAAUUUCUUUUUUUUUUUACUUUUUGUUGACUUUUUAGUUUAAUUUUAGUUUUUUUUUUCAAAUAUUUUUAGUUUUCAUAUUUUUGUUAAGCUUAUUAUAAGAAAACUUAUAAAUCCAUUAGUUUUUAUAUAUUAGGUUUGUAUAAUGUAUUGGACCUAUCUCUAACAUAUUGGGCCUAUAAUAUAUUUUUAUUGAUUUCGGUUAAUCAAUUAAUUUGGUUAAUUAGUCGAUUUCAAACUAAACUAAUCGAUAAACAAAAUUUUCUAAAACAUUUAACCAACUCCCAACCAAAUUAGAUUCGUUGAUCGACUGCUUAAUCAAAUUAAUCAUAUGGUAGAAUGGCAUGUUUUUGGAAUGGCUAUUUGGCAUUAUUGGUAUAGGUUUAAGUUAUGAUCUAAAGAUGUUGAAUUGAAUUAAGUUUGAUAUGUAUACUAUGAUGUCUUCAUUGGCAUAUUGGUUAGAUAUUAAAGGAUGGUUGAUUUGGUAUGUUUUGAAAAUGGUUCUUGGUAUGUUUGAUCUAAGUUGAUUAAAUGAACUUGUAAUGUUGAAUGGUAUAAUAUUUGUUGUUACAUUAGUUAGUCUUAUAGGUUGAUGGAAUUGGUAUGUUUUAAAUGUGUUUAAAAUGUGUUUUGAUUAUUUAAAUGUUUGUGGAAAUGGUGUGUCUUGGUGUACAAGAUUUGAAAUUGAAAUGGCUUGAUUUAGAAAGCAACUUAUGCUGCACACCGCCUAGGACAUGGGUUGUCACAUGGCUGUGUGUCAUUAUUGUUUUAGGUACAGGUUUCACACAAUCUAAGACUUGGCUCACGACAUGGCUACGUAUCAUAAGUCAAUAUGUAACACGGUUUGGUACAUGGCCUGUAACACGACCGUGUGUCCAAACUUCAAAUGUUUACACGUCCUGGGCUAUGUCACACGACUUGGCCACAUGGCCGUGUGACCCUUGUUUUAAAGUUUUCUGAAAUUUUCUAUUUUAUUUCAAAUUGAUCCUAGAAUAUUCUCAAACUAUUUUUAGGGCCUCGUAGGUUCAAAUUAAGGCCCACAAAUGUAUGCUUGCUAUAAUUAAGUUGUGCUAAUUAAUGUUAUUAAUUAAAUGGCAUGAAUAUUUUAUUGUAAGUUAAAUUUUUUAAUUUGUCCUAUAAUGCUCCGUAACCCAAAUCAAGUGACGGAGAUAGGUUUGGGUGUUACAAUUUUGGACUGUAAAUUUGUUUUGAGGCUUUGUUCUUUGGUUCUUGCAAUGUUUGUUGGAUUUUAGUGUUUUAACAUUAAACUGCAAAAUUGUAUGAUUUAACAAACUAAAAAUUAGGUUUUCAAAAUUAAAACUCUAGAAAUUUUCAUUACAAAGAUUAAGUAAUCACUUAAGUGUUUUCCCAUAAAUAAUUAAAUGGUUUUUAACAAAUGUUUUCCUUAGUUUUGGGAAUGAUAUGCCAACAUUAGUACUUUUAAAACACAUGGUUUUAAAUAAGGGUUUUCAAACUUUGGUUUUUUAACAUUUGUGAGAGGUUUUUGCCAAAUUUUAUGUUUUCAGAAUGUGUAACUAAGUUGAUUUUAAUUAGUUUUUCAACGAGUUUAUGUAAUUCCUCAAAAAUCCAGUCAUAGCAUCUAGGCCGGGUUUGGGGUGUUACACUAACAUUACUAAAGUUAAUCUUAAUCUAUUUAGUCUAGAUCUAAACAUUAAUAUUCUCUUCAAAGAAAAUCAAGAUUAUCAAAUUAUUACAACUUGGUAGGCAGACAAUCUUAUUAAAUAUGCAUAAAAGUUAAUAAAUAGUUAGCGAAGAUUGAAACAAUCAAAGAAAAAAUAAAUUAAUUAACUAAGAAAUAGGAUCCAUUAUUGUUCCAAGAAAAUAGAGUUUAGUUCAUAUUGAUUGAGAAAAUCAAAAGGGAGAUUCAAAAAACACUUGUGAUAAGGGGAACAAUGUCAAUAGAUCAUAUUCAAGUUGUUCGACUCAAGAAAGAAAUAUUUGGAUCUAGCCUGAAAAGAAGAAACCAAACAGAUUUAGGAAAAAAAGAAAAAAAAGAAAAAAACUUAAAUAAUAAAUUUAAGAAUAAAUAAUAAAUAUUAAAAAUAAUAAAGAAAUAAAGAAAUUAUAGAAUAAAUAGUGGAAGAUGGAAUGAAUAAACGAUGGAUAUGACAUAUAGAUGGAUAAGUGUCUGAUAAUUCUUGAAAAGAGUUAUAUUUCAUGCCUUUAGACCUAACUAAUUGCUUGUACUUAAGUACAUUUUGUUGCAUUUUAAGAUAUUUUAGUUAGUAUUUGUAAUAUUGCAUUAGGAUUUAGAUUGUGUUGGAAUUAGGUGUUUUUAAUCACUUGUGGUGGAGUUUUUGGUGUGCUGGUAUGGCAGGAACAUUAUUUAGAACGAGGAAAUAAAUGAGUGAAGUUUUGCCAAUGCAAAAGUGCAGAUAGUUUGCCAGCACAGAUGCCGUGGAAAUGCCGAGAAGACCAAGUCAACAUUUUUUUGUGCAACAGUCCCAGUUCAAAUUCAAACUUGUACCAAAUAAAUCUCCCUAAAAGAGGAGAAGAUAAUCACAACUUGUUAGCCAACCCUAGCCUAAUCUAUCUAUAAAAGCCAAUGAAGGGGAUCUCACAAAUGGCAGAAAAAAGUGGGAGAGAUCCUUAGGUGUGAAUAAUGAUUCAGCUGUGCAAAGGAAAGGAAGUCAAAGGCAGUCCCUUUUAGCCAUCACAGGACGUUGUGCUGCCGAUGUGUGGACUAGGCAAGUGAAAGUUGUAUCCCAAAGUUCUUUCGUUAUUUCCAUUAGUGUUCCUUCAAAAUAUUGAAGUAGUUGAACACAACGUUGGAUAAUAUUUUGGUUUGGAAUUUUAUAUCCCAGCUCAUGAGCUAAAUCUCGUAGGGUUGAGAUUACUUUUGAAGAAACCUUAAACUGCUUUUAUGAAUGCAAAUGAUCUCUGGACAUAGAAGACUGUUCGUAUACUUAUAAACUGAUUCUAAUUCUAAAACGGUUGGAUUGGUUGGAUUAAAAUUAAAUGAAAUGAGCAAGCAUUCGAUAGACACUUGUAGUAGACUCUAGACAUAGAGUCACGCUCAUACAAAAGGAACCCAUGCAAGAUAUCUAAAAAGCCUUUAGACACAGGCAAGGUAACUUGAGGUGUUGCUCUCACGAGAGGCAGGCCAUUUUAGUACUCUUCUGUGCUUUAAAGUAGAUAUGAUUUUGCCAAGGCAUUAUUGAAAAUAAGGGUCGAUUUUGGGUAAUCUCGACCUUCCAAAUCCACAUCGUAUAUCUUUUAUUCUUUCCCAUAGUAUAUUUGCCACAUCAUUAUUAGUUAUUUAUUUGCUCAUUUACAUAAUAUUCCUAUAGUAAUUCUCAUAAUUGUCAUUACAUUUCUACUCUCGAUUUGGCACAACAUUACCAGUUAUUUAUUAAUUCCACGCAUUGCUUACAUCAUUACUCUACUAAUUACCACUGUAUAUUUACCAUUGACUUUCCCAUAGUAUUAAUCGUAUUUUAUUAUAAUAACUUGACCAAUUUUGUGCCUCAAUUCGAUCCUCAUGGAACGAUACUCACUCAUCACUUUAUUUGUAACAUCCCAAACUUGGAUUAGAAGUUAUGACUGAAUCCGGCGAUAUCACAUGGAAAGGGAUUUGAAGACAAGAUUGUCGAGUUUAAAAACCAUUAUAGAAAGUUAGCUUUUAUUUAAUUCGGGAAAAAAACUAGUUGAUUUUCUUUAAAACUUGUCUCUUAGCAGAAGCUUUUGUAACCAAUUAAUUUACGAAAAAUCGUUUCUAUUUACAAAAAACUUUAGUAGGAAAAACUAUGUUUUGUGGAGUUGCAGUUUUUAAAAGAAACCCAUAAAAAAAGUAUAAAGUCCCAAAUUUAAAACCAACCAGUCCAUAGUCUAGAAGAUACAUCAAAAACUCCAAANNNNNNNNNNNNNNNNNNNNNNNNNNNNNNNNNNNNNNNNNNNNNNNNNNNNNNNNNNNNNNNNNNNNNNNNNNNNNNNNNNNNNNNNNNNNNNNNNNNNNNNNNNNNNNNNNNNNNNNNNNNNNNNNNNNNNNNNNNNNNNNNNNNNNNNNNNNNNNNNNNNNNNNNNNNNNNNNNNNNNNNNNNNNNNNNNNNNNNNNNNNNNNNNNNNNNNNNNNNNNNNNNNNNNNNNNNNNNNNNNNNNNNNNNNNNNNNNNNNNNNNNNNNNNNNNNNNNNNNNNNNNNNNNNNNNNNNNNNNNNNNNNNNNNNNNNNNNNNNNNNNNNNNNNNNNNNNNNNNNNNNNNNNNNNNNNNNNNNNNNNNNNNNNNNNNNNNNNNNNNNNNNNNNNNNNNNNNNNNNNNNNNNNNNNNNNNNNNNNNNNNNNNNNNNNNNNNNNNNNNNNNNNNNNNNNNNNNNNNNNNNNNNNNNNNNNNNNNNNNNNNNNNNNNNNNNNNNNNNNAGUUCUACACUUACGCCCAUAUAAUGCUUCAUACGGUGCCAUUCGUAUACUUGACUGAUAGCUAUUGUUAUAAGCAAAUUCAACCAAUGGUAGAUAUUUCUCCCAACUGCCUUUCAAUUCUAAAAUACAACACCGGAGCAUAUCUUCAAGAAUUUGAAUCACUCUUUCCGAUUGCCCGUCAGUUUGCGGAUGAAACGCAGUACUGAAAUUCAAUUUUGUACCCAAGGCUUCCUGCAACUUUAUCCAAAACCUCGAAGUAAAUCUCAGAUCUCUAUCCGAUAUAAUAGAUUUAGGCACCCCAUGUAAUCUCACUAUUUCAGCAACAUAUAAUUCUGCCAACCUGUCAAGUGAGUAAUCAAUGCGUAUCGGAAUAAAAUGAGCCGACUUUGUCAAUCUAUCAACAAUUACCCAAAUAGCAUCUUUCUUCUUUGGAGUUAAAGGCAAUCCUGUCACAAAAUCCAUCGUAAUACUAUCCCACUUCCACUCUGGAAUCGUUAUCGGUUGAAGUAAACCCGAUGGUACUUGAUGCUCAGCCUUCACUUGUUGACAGAUUAAACACUUUGAUACAAAUUCCGAGAUAUCCUUUUUCAUGCCUGGCCACCAAUACAACUUCUUCAAAUCAUUAUACAUUUUCACACUACCCGGAUGAACUGACAAGUCACCACUAUGUGCCUCACAUAAAAUGGUCUGAAUUAACUCAUCAUUUCUUGGUACACAUACUCUAUCCCGGAACAUCAAGCAAUCAUCUGAACCAAUUUGAAAAUCUGAGUCAACACCUGCUUCACACUGAGCUCUCUUGGCUUGCAAUUUACUGUCAUUCUUUUGAGAUUCCCGAAUUUACUGAAGAAAUAAUGGUCUAGCUCUCAAUUCAACCAACAUUGAGCCAUCAUCAGAUAAAGUUAACAUCGUACCCAUAGCUCUCAAAGCAAAUAAAGAUUUUCUGCUCAAGGCAUCAGCAACCACAUUAGCUUUCCCGGGGUGAUAAUCAAUCACUAGCUCAUAGUCUUUGAUUAGCUCGAGCCAUCUUCGUUGCCGCAAAUUCAAAUCUUUUUGGCUCAUCAAAUACUUCAAACUCUUAUGAUCAGUGAAGAUUCGGCACUUUUCACCAUACAAAUAAUGACGCCAAAUUUUUAAAGCAAAAACAAUGGCAGCCAAUUCUAAAUCAUGCGUCGGAUAAUUCUUCUCAUGCGGUUUCAAUUGUCUCGAAGCAUAAGCUAUUACUUUGCCCUCUUGCAUUAACACACACCCAAGACCAUUCAACGAUGCAUCACUGUAAAUUACAAACUCCUUCCCGGACUCAGGUUGCACCAACACUGGCGCCUCAGUCAAUAAUGCCUUCAACUUUUCAAAACUCUGUUGACAUUUAUUGGUCCAUUCAAACUUGACAUUCUUCUGCAGUAACUUAGUCAUAGGAGAAGCAAUCAUCGAAAAUCCCUUGACAAAGCGUCUGUAAUACCCAGCUAAGCCCAGAAAGCUUCUAACUUCUGUCACAUUCUUUGGUGGCUCCCAAUCAACAAUUGCUGAAAUUUUGCUUGGAUCAACCCGAAUACCUUCACUUGAAACUAUAUGUCCCAAGAAUCCAACCUCACGAAGCCAAAACUCACUUUUGCUGAAUUUAGCAUACAAUUUCUUUUCUCUCAGAAUCUGCAACACAGUUCUUAAAUGUUCUGCAUGCUCAGAUUCAUCCCGAGAAUAGAUUAAAAUAUCAUCUAUGAACACCACCACGAACUUAUCCAAGUACGGCCGAAAAAUUUGGUUCAUCAAGUCCAUAAAAAUAGCUGGAGCAUUUGUUAACCCAAAAGGCAUUACCAGAAAUUCAUAGUGUCCAUACCUUGUUCUAAAGGCGGUUUUCGGCACAUCAGACUCUUUAACUCUUAACUGAUAGUAACCAGACCUCAAAUCAAUCUUAGAAAACACUGUUGCCCCUUUUAAUUGAUCAAAUAAAUCAUCAAUUCUCGGCAAAGGAUACUUGUUCUUUAUAGUCACCUUGUUGAGCUGACGAUAGUCAAUACAAAGUCUCAUAGAGCCGUCCUUUUUUUUCACAAAUAACACAGGAGCACCCCAAGGAGAAAAACUCGGUCUCACAAAUCCUUUAUCUGUCAACUCUUGUAACUGAGCUUUUAAUUCCUUCAACUCAGUCGGAGCCAUUUGAUACAGUGCAAUAGAAAUCGGUGCAGUACCAGGUAACAGAUCAAUAGAAAACUCAACUUCUCUAAUCGGAGGUAACCCAGGCAAUUCCUCUGGAAAUACAUCUGGAAAUUCACAAACUACCGGCACUGAUUCAAGCUUCGACCCAGUAAUAUCCGUGUUUAGCACAUAAGCAAGAUAAACUUCACAUCCCUUUCUCAAGUAUUUCUGAGCAGACAUGUGCGAAAUCACCAUAGGCAACUUAUUCGGCUCCUUUGUUUCAACCCGGAGAAUUUCACCGUUUUCACAAUUUAAUUCAAGAAUUUUCUGUCUACAAUUUCCCUUGGCAUCAUGCAAUAUCAACCAAUCCAUCCCCAAAAUAACAUCAAACUCAUCAAAUGGUAACAACAUCAAAUUAGCCGGGAAACAGUGGCCUUGAAUCAUCAGGGGACAAUUCUUGCAAACCUUAUCGACUAAGACAUAUUUGCCUAAAGGAUUUGAUACUUUAACUACAAAUUCAGUUUUUUCAACAGGCAAUUUCUUACUAGACACCAAAUUCAUGCAUAUAUAUGAAUGAGUAGAGCCGGGAUCAAUCAAAGCAAUAACAUCAAUAUCAUGAAGAGAAAAUGUACCAGUAAUCACAUCGGGAGAUGAGGCAUCCUCUCGAGCGCGUAUAGCAUAAGUCCUAGCAGGCGCUCUAGUUUCUGAUCCUCCAGCUGUAUCUUUUAUCACACUCUUACCACUGGCUUUGCUUCCCACAUUUCUCGGUGGUCUGCCUCUACUGACAACAUCACCCGAUCCAGCUCUUUGUAAUCUUUCUUCUUCUAUUCUCUCAGGGCAGUCUUUUACAUAAUGCUCUUGGGAACCACAUCUGAAACAAGCUCGUUUAAAUCCCCAACACUCACCAGUAUGUCGCCUGCCACACUGUUGACAUUCAGGUCUGGUGUUUCCUACAUUACCCACACUUGCCACUGAGGUAGCUCGAGUUGUAGUUCCGGAAUAUGACCUCCCUCGGUCUCUGCGUGAAUACCCAACUGAACCGGUUGGUCGUGGAUCCAUCCCUUUAAACUUCUUCGGGUGAGAUUGAAAUGUUCUGCCCAUUGACCUCUUCCUUACAUCUCGAGCUUCCAUCUCUGCCCUUCUCUUUUCUCUACUCAGCUCUUCAGCUUUGCAAGCACGAUCAACUAAUACCACAAAUUCUUUUAACUCUAAAAUUCCAACAUGUAAUCUGAUGUCUUCAUUUAGCCCCUCUUCAAAUCUUUUACACAUAAUAGCCUCCGUAGGCACACAUUCCUGGGCAUAUUUACUAAGCCGGACAAACUCCCGUUCAUAUUCUGCUACUGACAUUCGGCCCUGUUUCAAUCCGAGAAACUCUUUGCGCUUCUGAUCAAUAAACCGUUGGCUUACAUAUUUCUUUCUGAAUUCUUCCUGAAAGAAGUCCCAAGUAACUCUUUCUUUUGGAACCACCGUUAUUAAUGUUUUCCACCAACGGUAUGCCGAAUCCUUCAAUAAAGACACAGCACAUUUCAAACAUUCCUCAGGAGUACAAGAUAAUUCAUCAAAUACCUGGAUAGUAUUUUCAAGCCAAAACUCGGCUUUUUCCGGAUCAUCAUCAACAUUGGCCCUGAAAUCUUCAACCCCAUGCUUUCGAAUUCUAUCAACGGGUGGUUUACUUGAUCUCACCAAUUCAGCACUUCGUGGAGCUACGGGGACCGGCGGAGGAAUAGGAGGGGGUGGAGGAGGUGGAACAUUCGGAUUUACACGGACAUAUUCUGUAUACCAAUCACUCAUCAUUCGGAGGAAGGCUUCUCGAGCCUCAUCCUGUCCAUGUGUCUCAUGUCUACUCUCUUCAUGCGCGGUCCCUUGUGUGGGAACCGGCGUGUUACUUUCAACAUCAUCUGCCAUACUUCGAUUAGGAUCCAUUUACUAUAUAAAACAAAAUUUUAAAUUGUCAGAAAUCAUCACACUAUCACAAUAUAUUGAUGGCAUGUAUAGACUGACUUUCACACAUAUUUUAUUGGUCCGAGAACUGACUAAACCGUAGCUCUGAUACCACUAAAAUGUAACACCCCUUACUCGUAUUCCGGCUCGGAACAGAGUAUGAGGUAUUACUAAGUUUUUUAAAAAAAAUUUCGACAGCAUUUCUUCUUAAUUUUGCUUAAACCUCCUGCAAAUUUAAAUCACAAUCCAAUAUAUAUAUAUCAACCAAACUCAUUUAUAAUAAUACUCACAAUUUAACUAUUAAUGAACACCACAUUUUAAAUCAAACCAUAACAUAUAUUUACAUGAUGAUUCCAUAUUUCAUAGGUCGUCUAUACAUGCCAUAAUUUUCCGGAACGAUAGUAGCAAAAUACCCCAAGUGUGAAGGAUAGUGUGGAUGAUUGUCUGACUUCGUUCCAAAUUUCCGAGUUGUCGGAAGUCACUAUAAUCAAGGGAAAAAUAAAAUCGAGUAAGCAUAUAGCUUAGUAAGUAAACACAUGAUAAAUAAGUAAUUACUCACAUAACUACACCAAAAUAUAAACUUAUUCAUGAAUAACUUCAUUGUUUAGGCAAUUUCCAGCAAACUGUUUUUCUGCGUCAUAUUCGCUAAUUUAUUUUUAUCCGGAGCUACAGGGCUCCAAAUUGAGUUUCGUAAAUUUUCCCUGAAACUAGACUCAUAUACCAUUUCACCAUAAAAAUUUCAGAAUUUUUUACCCAGCCAAUUAGUACAUUUUAUUCAUUAAAACUUCCCCUGUUUCACUGCCCAACGGUUCUGACCCUUCCUCAAAAAAAUUCACUUAACUCUCUGUACAAAAUUUUAAAAAUGGUUUCGCUUGUUUCUAUUAAAAAUAGAGUCAAUAAGGAAUCCAGGAAUAUAAAUUUCACACCAUAAUUAUUUUUGUACAAUUUUUGGUGAUUUUCCAAAGUUAGAACAGGGGAUCCCGAAAUCAAUCCAGCCCUGUUUCAGUAAAAUUCAGAUAUCUCCAAAAAUACAACUCUUUUGCUUAUUCUAUUUAUUUCAUAUGAAAAUAGACACAUUCAGCUUCAAUUUCAUAUAUUAUUCAGCUUCCCAUUCAUUUUCCACCAUUUAUGGUGAUUUUUCAAAGUUACCCAUCUGCUGUUGUUCAACACAGUUUAUAACUAAAUCGUUCCUUUUUUCGUUUUUGAUAUUUUCUCCCAUCUCAUACAUGGAUCGAUUUAGUAUCCAACUCAAUAUUUGCCCCAUAAAAAUUUCCACCAUAUGGCAAUAUUCACCUUCCACACUUUUUCGUUGAGCACUCGGAAUGUUAACCGUUAUUGGUGGAUCUCGCACUUAGCACCACCACUUAAUCGGGGAAUCAGCACUUAGCAACCCCUUGGGGGAAUCAGCACAUAGCAACCCCCUUUUUAUUUCAGAGAUACGGUGGAUAUCGCACUUAGCACCACCAAUGAACCGGGGAAUCAGCACUUAGCAACCCCUCGGGGGAAUCAGCACAUAGCAACCCCCUUUCACAUUUCAAAGAUACGGUGGAUAUCGCACAUAGCACCACCAAUGAAUCGGGGAAUCAGCACACAGCAACCCCUUUAUGUACAACAUACUUCGGCUUAUUCCGAGUGUUCAACCCAUAAAUCAUAUAUUGCAACCCUUUACCACAUUUCCCGAUUUAACAACAUUUUUAGGAUAUGGCCAAACAUUUAUUUUAAUUCCAAAUAAAUCUCAACAUAUAUCAAUUAAUGUCAAAAUAAUACAUCAAGUCACGUGUUUACUUACCUCGGUGCAAAAUAUCGUAAUUUUGCACUUCACUUCACUCCACUAUCUUUUCUUUUCCUCGUUUGAGAUAAUCUUCACGUCUUUCUUGAUCUAUAAUAGCAAAUUUAACUCAUUUAAUGUUCACAUUCAUUAAAAUAAUCCACCACCCAACUUUUUGAAAAAUUACAAUUUUGCCCCCAAACUUUUGCAUAAUUACACUUUUGUCCCCAAGCUCGGAAAUUAAACUUCAUCACUUAUUCUUAGGUUUUAUGACAUGCUGAACAUUUUUCCCUUCUAUGGCAACAUCAAAUUCUCACUCUAACAUACACUUAUGAACAAUAAUUAUUUUUACCGAUUAUGCCUAUUUACCCGUUUUCGCUUAAAAUCGCUUAGCAAAAGUUGUUUAACAUAAUUUAUAGCUUCAUAUUCCACCAUAAAACAGAAAAAUAAACACAUUUCACCUAUGGGUAUUUUUCCAAAUAUGAGCCCUAACACGAAUUAUUGCUAGAAUAAGCUAAAUCGAGUUACGAGGAUUCCAAAAAUGCGAAGAACAUUAAAAACAGGGCUAGGAUGCACUUACUAUGAGCUUGAGAAAGCAAAGAAAACUUAGCUAUGGCUUCCUUCAAAUUUCGGCAGCAACUAAUGAGGAAGAUGAUGAUUUUUGUCAUCUUUUUCCCAUUUUAUUUUAUUUUAUUACCAAAUGACUAAUAUGCCCCAUUUAAAAAAAUCUAUUUCUCUCAUUUCUUAUGUCUAUUUUUGUCCAUCAACUAACUAAUGGUCUAAUUACCACAUAAAGACCUCUAAUUUAAAAUUUCAUAUCAAUUAGAUACUUCUACAUAUAGAACUCAACUUUUACACUAUUUACAAUUUAGUCCUUUUGACUAAAUUGAGUGCCCAAACGUCGAAAUUUUCGAACGAAAUUUUUACGAAAAUUUUCCGUGAAAUUGUAGACCAUAAAAAUAUAAUAAUAAUCAUAUUUUCCCUCGUCGGAUUUGUGGUCCCGAAACCACUAUUCCGACUAGGCCCAAAAUCGGCCUGUUACAUAUAGGCUAUUAAAAUGGUGAAAUUAUAUUUUUACAAUAGUAAAAAUUACAAUUUAAUUUCACCCCUAAAAGGAUUUUUUGGCUUCGACCCUAAUAAAAUCUUUGGCAAAAGAUUAAAAUAAAAUUAUACCGUGAAUGGAAAAAGAAACUAAGAAAAUCCAAUCUAACAAAGAAAAUAACUUUGUUUAGCAACCUUUGUUUGAUUAAAAAUGUUGAAUUAAAAAUUCCAGAAUAGAUUAAAAAUUAUACCGUGAAUGGCAAAAGAUUACAAUUUUUUUGGUAAUAUUUUAAAAUUCCAGAAUAGAUUAAAAAUGUUGAAUUAAAGAUAAAAUUAAUAACCACAAGUGUACUCAUUACUCACCAUCUCUGUUAAAAAUGAUCGAUGUUGUUUAGCAACCUUUGUUUGAUUUUCUUCAGCUCAACCACAACAUCUUUCAUAUCUUUUCUUUCUUCCGGUAACUCAGCUGAACAAUUCAAAGCCAACUCCAUGAUAGAUGAAAUACAAUUUGCUUUAACAACAAUGUACUCAUCCUCUCUUCUUAAUAAAUCAACAUCUGCAAUUUCUAUCGCUCCUUUCGGCAAUGAACUUUCCAUCCAAUGCCUUAUACUCUCUUCUUCAACAAAAACAUUACCAGUUGGCUUUUUCUUUGUGAAAGUUUCUAUAAGGACGAUCCCAUAACUAUAGACGUCAGAUUUUAUAGAAACGAUUCCUGCUGAUCCAAAUUCUGCAUUUCAAGUAUAAUUACAACAUCAUUCAUCCUCAAUUAUUUCUAAAAUGCUUAUUCAAAUAUAUAUUCACAUCCACAUGAAACAAAAAUAUAAAAUGCAAAUUAGGAAAAUAAUCAUACAAAAAUAAAAAAUAAUUCACCUGGUGCCAUAUACCCGAUAGUUGCAAGAGUCAUGGUUUGCUUCAUUACUUCACCUUCUCCCAACAAUUUGGCAACGCCAAAAUCUCCAACAUGUGCAACCAUGUCUUCAUCUAGUAAAAUAUUGCUUGGUUUUAUGUCACAAUGAAUAUAGGUGUUGGAUGUCCAUUGUGGAGGUGUUCUAUGCCUACCGCAACAUUUAUCAUUAUGUCGACCCUUUGUAUGAUAUCAAGGAAACAAUUUUCAGAAUGUAACCAUUUCUCAAGGUUUCCAUUAGACAUGUAAUCAAGCACCAAGGCUUUGAAGUCAAGACUUGAGCAGCAAGUAAUGACCUUCACAAUAUUACGAUGAACUAUAUUACGCAUAGCAUCACAUUCAAUGUCAAAACUCCUAAAUGCUCCCUCUGUUUGCAAAUUGAAAACUUUUAUUGCAACUUCCAUUCCAUCUGAAAGCCUCCCUUUAUAUACAUAUCCAAAACUCCCUGAACCAAGCAUAUUGCUUUCCUCAAAUCCAUUAGUUGCUCGUGAAAGUUCAGCAUGUGAAAUUCUUCUCGGUGUCUUCAAAGACAACAAAUCAUCUUUAAUUGGUAGAGCUGUACUCCUUCUUUGGCAUCUUCUAUACAUAAUAGUUAAGACUAUUAAUACUACGACAAUACCAAUUGUUGGUAAACCAUACCUAAAAGCAUGCAAUAUAAUCAUUUGGGAGUUUUUGUGGAUGUCGUUUUUACAAGGUGGGACUAGCAGUCUAGGUGGACCACAAAGUGCAUAAUUCUUUAUGAAUGAUGUGCUAGAAAAGUUUGAAAAACAUCCUUCGCUGGGAAUUUCCCCUUCAAGUCUAUUGAAAGACACAUUAAAAUACUUUAGAUAUAAAAGCUUCUCCAAAGAUUUGGGAAUGACUCCAGAGAGAUUGUUAUUGCAUAAAUCCAAGAAUUCCAAACUAAUCAACCCAUCAAAUGAUUCAGGGAUAUGACCAUGUAGUAUAUUAUUUGAUAAAUCUAAUGAAACCAAAGUUAUAAGACCCCCAAAUGUGGAUAAGAUAUCCCCCGUGAGAAGAUUCCUUGAUAAAUUUAGUUUCAGUAGACUCCUCAAAUUUCCGACAUCAAUAGCAUGUGAAUUGUGAAGAUGGUUUGAUGAUAAAUCUAUUUUUAAGAUAUCUUGAAGAUUCCACAAAGUUGAGGGUAUUGCGGAACUCAGUUUGUUGGAAUCUAAGUAAAGAUAUCCCAAAGAAGUAAUAUUACCCAAACAAGAGGGUAUGGAUCCAUGUAGCUUAUUCAACCCUAAAUACAUCUCGUAUAGUCUCUCCAAAUCACAAAAACUUUCUGAGAUGGGCCCUCCUAAUUUAUUAGAGGAAAGAUCUAGACCUUGGAGAUUUCGCAGUCCUCCUAUUGAUGCUGGAAUGAAUCCACUUAAUUUAUUAUGGCGAAGUUGUAAAAGCAAUAGGUUGGUUAAGUUACCUAUUUCCAUAGGAAUAAUGCCUUGAAGCUCACAAUUAGAGGCAUAAAAGUAUUGAAGGGUUUUUGAAAGGUUCCCGAUAUAAGUAGGAAGAACACCACUCAAUGGAUUUCCUGAAACAUCUAUUGUGCUCAAAUUCCUACAAUUCGUCAAAGAAGAAAGAAAGCUCCACUCAUGAUCGGUAGAAGAUCCUGUGAUCAAAUUAUUGUUUUUGAUUCGGAACCAUUCAAGGUGUCUUAAGUUGCCAAGCGUUUUAGGGAUUGGGCCAGAGAAUAAGUUAUGCGCCAAGUCUAGUUCCUUAAGCAUGGAAGCAUUGGAGAUAGAGUUGGGAAUGUUUCCGCUAAGUUUAUUUCUCCACAAUAAAAGAAUCUCAGGCUUUGGAGCAUUGGUGAUGGGUGGUAAAUUACCUGUAAAAUAUCAUCUUUUAGUAUACAUAUUCAUUGAAUACCAAAUUCACAAAAUAUAUUAUACAUUAAAAUAAAAACUGUAAAACUUUAAAUCAAUUAAGAAUAAAAUUUUGGCAUGGAAAAAUGUGAUGAAAUCAAUUACAAAGUUGAGACAUACUAAGAAGUUUCAAGUAGUAAUUAGUCUUGUGAUUUGUAUAGACAAAACAUAUAGAUUUGGGAAUGUGGCAUCUAAUCAAUCUUAAAAAUGAGACUGGCACUGAAUAAUAAUUAGUUAUGAUUUGGGAAACAAAAAGGUUAAAGCCAUUGUUUUUAAUGUAAACUGAUAUGAUUUUUAUUUAUUGGGUUAAUUAUUUAUUGUUAUUAAAUUAUAGUGUAAAAUUUAACGAUUAUUAUUUGCUCAAAAUUUCUGUAUUUUUCGUAUAUUUGAAAUUUAAUCUUUAUAUUUUUUAUUUUUUGUGAUUUAGUCUCUCUACUUUUUGAAUUGAAAAUUUUAGGUUCAUUUACUAACACUAUUAAAAAGUUUUUGUGUCUAGUAUGGCAUUUUGAAAAAUAAAAUAAACUUGAUAUCUAUGUUUUUAAUUAUUCCAAAUAUUGCUUUACUAUUUCAAGAUAAAUUAUUUGUGUCUAGACUAAUAUCUUAAGAACUAUUGUUGCAUGUUUAAUUAUCUAAAAAAUUAUCGAUUGAGUCUUAGCUUGAUUGGCAUGUGCGUUGUUGCCAAUGUAGGAGAAUGUGGGUUCAAGUAUGUUGAAGUGUAUUAUCUUCUUAUUUAUGAAUUAGGGAGUUGGUAAAGUACUAAAAUUUGAUAUAUUUUAAAAUAUUAAAAUUUAUUAAAAUAUUUUUUAUAAAAAAUGAUUCUACCACAAUAUACAAUUUUAAUAUCAAAUUUUUAAUUUUUUUUAAAAAUGUUAGCGAAUAUAUACUUUAUUUCAAGUUAUGCAAUUUUUACUAGUUUUUAACUUUUUUUCAAAUUUUUAUCGUCUUUUAUAAUUUCUAAUAAUUUUUUAUAAUUUUUUUACAAUAUUUAACAAUUUCUAAAUUUUUUUUAAUAAUUUUAUUAUGUAUUACAAAUUUAAAAAUUAACAAAUUUUUAUAUUUUUAAAAAAAUUAUAUAUUUAUAAUGUAUUUAUUUUUUAUAAUUUUAUUUGAAAUUUUAAAGAUUUUUUUGGUUUGUUUUCUAGAUGAUGAUGCCAUCAUGAUGCUAACAUAUUAUGAUUAGAUAUCUCAAUCUAUUCUUUUAACGCCCAGUGAAUGAAACCAAGAACACCUAAUGUUAAAGUGGGUAAAAACACAUUAAGGACCAAAGUUAAAAAAAGAAAAAGAAAAAGAGCAAUAUGCUGUAGGGAAUAAACUGUGCAUUAAGCCAUUAAAAAUAUAUGUAUAAUAUAUAUAAAUGCAUGGAUUUUGAGAAACUUUUGAACUGAUAAUUAUAUAGUCUUUGUUGUUUACUAUAUUAUUGAAUUUGUUAUUUUAAAUUAAUUUUAUUACUUUUAAGAUUUAUAUAAGAAUUUUGGUUUUACUAAAAUAUUUGCUUAAAUAAGUUCACUUCAUAAGAAAAUUUAGCAUCCUUAUAAAUAACAAUUUUGAUUCUAUUAAAAAACUUAUUUUAAAAAAUUAUAUAAUCAAAAUUUAAAAUUUAUAUUGAAUUACUUUAUACUUAAAUUAUUAUUAGAAACUUUAUCAUACACAUACGUGUAUGAGAACCACGUAUUUAGAACAUAAAUUUGUGUUUUAAAAUAACUUAUGAUAAAUAAUGAAAUGUAUAAUUUGAAACUAUUUAAUAAUAACACAUAGCAUAUCUACCAUAUUAAAAUAAAAAUAGAUUAAAUUGUAAGUAAAACAUAAUUUAAACAUAUGAACACAUCAAAUUAAGAAUACUAAAUGAAUAAAGUUAUUUAUAAUGAUAUUGUUGUCAAUUCCUAAAUUGGUGUCGAGUUAAUCUGUGACAUCAUAAAUUUAAGUGAUAAAUUUAAGGAUUUAUGUAUUGAUGUGGAUUCAAAUAUCACCAUAAGUUUUUUAAAAAUAAAAAACUAAAAUACCUUAAAAUACUAUAACUUAUAUUAAAUACGAAAGAGUAUUUUUGUAAUUUUCCUAACCGAGUUGGUGCCCGGUUGACUCAUGACACCAACUCAAUUAAAAGAUUUAAUAAUAAUAUAGAUAUUCACGUUAAAAAAACAAAAAAAAAGUACUUUAGUUCCAAAUAAUUAUAUAACAAGUAAAUUUAUAAUUGAUGAAUAAAUUUAUAGAUAAUAUAUUUAUAUGAUCUAAUAUAUUAUAUUAAUAUUAAUUAUAUAUCAUCUACAAUCUUUGAAGAUCAAUUUAUUAAGUAUCAAGAAAAGAAAAAAAUGAAAUUGAGUUAACACUAAAUCAAUUUUUAGAUUUUGUACAGAUGAUUUAAUGAUGAUAAAAAAAUUAUUAGCACUAUUUUUGAAUUAACAAAAAAUUAGUGAUAUAUUUUAAUUAUAUUUAUUAUUUAUUAUUUUUAAUAAUAUUUUUUAAAAUUAUAUGAAGUAAAAUUAUACUGUAUACUAAAUAUGGUACAUAUACUUUAAUUGUAACUUGAAAAUUUAUUAUAUAAAUUAAUAUAUUUUAAUUAUAUUCAACCAUUUGAAUAACAAAAUAAAAAAAAACUAAUUAGAAUAAUUUUUAGAAAAAAGAAAAAACAUUAUUUAAAGGCUAGUUAAAAAUCACGUGCAACAGGUGAUAUGAGAAUCUAUGUAUAUAAAUGUGUAUAUAUAUAUCGUUGUUUCAUUUUUUUUUUAAAUAAAUAUAUUUUCCACAUUGGUUUCUUUUCUUGUACAGACAAAGGAUUUCUAAUGAUUUUAAAAAAAAAAAUUUACUUAUAUAAAAUAGAUCAGUUUAUUCAGUAAAAUAAAUCAAUUCAUAUAAAUGUUAUUGUUUAUUAUCAGAUUGAAAUGAUAAAAGUAUAUGACAUAAAUAGAAGAAACAAAUUCAACACAAUGUUUUCCGAGUUUGGAAAAAAUUAAAGUGAAAAACAUACCUUCUAAUUUGUUGCCAUAUAGAGCUAUUACUUCGACCAUAGUUGAAUUAAAAAUACUUGAUGGAAUCUGACCUGCAAACAUAGUUGAAAAUUGAAGUAAAAAACAUACCUUCUAAACUCUUCAACUAAAAAUACUUUAAGCAUAUUUUUUUUCCCAUCAAAUUAACUAUUUUGCCUUGAAUGAAAUAAAAUGCUCUUACUUUUGUUAUCUAUUACAAAUCAAAUUCUUCUAUGAAAAAAUAUUUUAAAUUAAAGAAACAAAGAAAAUUCAAUAUCUUCUAAGUAAAGCACUUCAAGCUUGGGAAGAUCAUUAGGCAAACUACCUGAUAUGCCAGUGUUGGAGAGAUCAAUGAUCUUCAGAGAAGAAAUGUUGAAGAUCGAAGUUGGAAUCUGACCUGUGAGGCCUUUAAUUUCUUUAAUACUAAGCAGCUCCAAACCAAGAAGAUUACCGAUUUCCUCAGGAAUUUGACCUGCACACAUAUUUAGUCGAAAAAUCAAGAUGUCAAACUGCCUAUAUUGUUAGCAUAAGUCAAAGAGGUUUUCGUUUCUGCUCUACAGUAAUUUGGAGAUGUUAGAUUUAAUAUAUUUCAGCAUAUGUUUUUCAUCAAAUGAAAUAAAAAAGUUUUUCCUUUUGUUAUCUAUUAAAAAUCAAACUCUUUUAUAAAAAAAUACUUUAAAUUUAAGAAAUCAAGGAAAUUGAUUACCUUCUAGAUUAUUAAACCCCAAAUAUAAUUUCUGGAGUUGUGUUAGAUUUCCAAUACUUCUUGGAAUGAUCCCCAUAAAUUGAUUAUAGGACAACGACAAACUUUUAAGGUUGCUGCAUUUGCCCAUGCCAAAUGGAAUGUUACCAGAUAAUUCAUUCCAACUCAGGUAAAGCUCUUCAAGCUUGGGAAGAUGUUGACACAUAUCAUUAGGCAAACUACCUGAUAGGCUAUUGCUGGUGAGACUAAUAGAUUUCAAAGAAGAAAUCUUGAAGAUGGAAGAUGGAACCUGGCCAGAUAAUUGAUUCAAUUCCAAGUUCAAGAUCUCUAGGUUAGACAUGUUAACAAGUGUUUCAGGGAUUGUGCCUGUAAAGUUAUUAUUUUUCAUUUUCAGCGUUCGAACUCUCUGUAAGUUCCCAAGCCAUGAUGGAAUUUCUCCAUUAAGACGGUUGUAGCUUAAUCGAAGGAUCCUCAAACGAUGCAAUUGGCCCAAUUCUUUAGGGAGAUAGCCAUAGAAAUGGUUGCUACUCAAGUCGAGUGAGAGUAGAAGUGAAAGAUUUCCAAGGUGUGGAGGGAUAGUACCCCUAAGAUUCAUGCUUGUAAGAUUCAAAGCUAUAACUCUUUUAUGGAGGAUGCCACAAGUAACACCAAUCCAAUUGCAAACAGAGGUUGAGGCCGUCCAAUUGUUUGCCAAGACAUUUUGAGGACCGGCAAUGUGAUCCUUAAACUCGAGAAGUGCAAACUGAUCGGAGUUGAGAUUCUUGACUGUCAUAGCCAAGCAAAGUACGGAACAUGGUAUGAAUAAAGCUAAGAGAAGAUGAAAGCCAGCGUUGUAGUUCAUGAUUGCAAGACGGAAUAAGGCAAGAAAAUAAAAAAAAGUAGGAAAAGGGAAGUUGAGCUGAUAAAAUAGUUUGGAUGAUGAAGAAAAGCCCAGAGAGCAUGCUUUAAUAUGUUUCAACCCUCGUACACUUGAUAAACUUGAUAAAUUUAAGACUACCCUAAAAAUUAAAAAGGAAAGCAAAGUUUUGAAGAAAUUUCAAAAUAAAUGUCAAGUCUUCUUCUUUAGAAAAUACGUACAAAGAAUCGAAUUUUCAAAAUUUCUCCUAAAUUUUCUUCACGUUACUCCACAUAAUCCAUUAAAAAUACUUAAAAAUAUAUUUUAAUAAUUACUAUAUAUUCUUUUAUUUAAUAAAUUGUUUAAAAAUGCUAUUAGUCCCUGUAAUUUAAAAGUUAAAAAAAAAAUCCAAUCCUCCUAUUUUUCUAAUUUGAAAAUUCUAGUCCAAUAAUUCUUAAUUCCAUUAAAAAAUUUCAGCUUAAUAGGUUUUUUAUUAUCAAUCAUAUGCAACAGUAUAUGAAUGCAGUCUACUCAGCAUAUAUCCAAGUUUACAGAUUUUAAUAGAAAAUACUUACAAUCCUAAUGGUAGGACUAAGUUUUUUAAACUAGAAAAGUGAGAAGACUUAAUUUUUAACUUUUUAAGCACAAGGAUUAAAUUUUAAAUGUUGUCAAAGUACAAGCACUAACAAAAUAUUUUGAUCUAAUAAAUGUAAAAAACUUUUUAAACAAAAUAAGGUUGAAAUAAUCUAUUUGUCCUUGUACUUUGAUAAAAUUUGAGAUUUAGUCCUUAUAUUUAAAAACUUAAAAAUUAAGUCUUAUUGUUUUUAUUUAAAAAUCUUAGUCCUAUCCUUAAUUUUAUUUUAUCAAAAUUGGUCAACUUUACAUAUUAAUUAGGUUUCCCUUAUAUGUCGCGGUAUCAAUCAAAACUUAAUUAAUAUCCAUCAAUAUCCAUCAAUACGUCAUACAUAAAAAAAGCAAGCAUAAAAUACAGUUAAAAGUCCUCCUUUUAUUAUUAAAUGUUUUAUUUUAGUUAUUUUAAUCAAAUAUAUCCAAAUUACAAUAGAGUUAACAUUUAUUGUGUAAAAAAUAUUUUAAAUUUUUUUUUCAAUUUUAGUUUAAUUCUAGAAGAAAUAUUUCAUUUAUAAAAUCAUAAAACUUUAAAAAUAUUAACUCUGUUAAAUAAAAAUUAUUUUUUUAAAUAGUAAAUGUUAACUUUAUUAACACAAAUGGGCCUCAGUAAUUGACAAGCUCUUCCACAAACUGUGGAAGAUUUGGGGAUAAAAGCUUCAAUAAUUAUGGAGUUAUAGUGUAAAUUUGCCACUAUAUUAUAAGUGUAUUGAAAUUUAUCACUAUAUUUUAUUUGAUGUUUAUCAUUACACUUUGAAAAUAUAAGUAAAUUUACCAUUUAACUCAGAUUUACCUUUGCAAGUAAACUUAAAAUUUUAUUUAAUUUUGUCACUAAAUUUGAUUUGUUCAAUAUAGAUUUUGGUGACUUAAAACUCACUAAAUUUGAUUUUUUCAAUAUACAUUUUGGUGACUUAAAACAAAAUUAAUAAAUAAUUAUUCUUUUGGAUAUCUUUUUAAUGUUUAAUAAUAAGUUAAUUUAUAAAAUAUACUGUCAUUGGACACAAGCCUCUAAGGCGGUGAACCACUAAUCAAAUUAAUUUGGAGAUAUCUUUUUUUCUAAAUAAAGUGAAUUUACGAGUUUUGUUUUCUUUUAAAAACAUUUUUAAUAUUUUUGUGGAUAUCAAAAAAUUUUUCAAUAAGAAAUUUUAAUUCACUCGAAAAGUUAGUGUUUUAUUUCAAGGGGUCAUAAUUAAUCAUUAGAUUUCCCAAUUUUAAAUUUUAAAUUUUUCGACAAUUGCGUAAUUAAUAAGUACCAAUUUUGAGUGUUGUAGGGCUAGUACAAUCUUCCUUACACAUAACCGACUCUUAAACCUACUCUUUUCUCUAGAAUUCAAUGCAAACAUCGAAUUUAUCUUUUGAAAAGAAUUUUAAAAUAAUAUAAAAGGUGUUUUUUUAUGACUGAUCACACUUAACAAAAAUUUAAAAAUUAUUAAAAAAAUUUCAUUUUGAAAUUUAAAGUGAUCUAAAAACAUAUUUUUAAGUGCUUUGGACCAUCUGUUGCUGAUUUCCUUAUUAUAUUAAAUGUUUGCAAUCACUCCUAAUAUAUUGUGCUUGAGUUGUGACAGAGCAAAUCGCCAACGUGCCAUAUUGAUCUAUUGAUGCUGAAACUGAAGUUUUUGUUAUAUUGAUAGAGCUUGUCCUUCAACGCAUACAACGUGUUUGUUAUUUUUCUCCCUUCAAAUUGUAUGAUCUUAUUUAUUUAAUGAAUUAAUGAAUUUCCCUUUUAAAAAGAUAUAUUUUUAAAAUUAAAUACUUUAUAAAAUAUUUAAAACUACUUAAAAAAUUGUAAGCCUUAAAACAAUCAACAAAAUAUAUUUUUCUCUAAAAAAAUCAAUAAAAAUAUGUUUAAAAUUUUAUAUGAAAUUAAAUUUUUUUUAACAAUAAUAUAUUUUAAAAUUAUAGUAACGCUAUAAAAUAUAUAUAUACAUAUAUAUAUAUAUUUACUAAUUAUAUACACCUUUCCAUACAUCCUUUUUCUACAUAGAAUUUCAAAAGUAAAUGUGAAUUAAUGUAGGCGUAAGAAGACUUACAGGUAAGUCACCCAACGAAAGUGUCCUAAACCGACUUAUGGAAGAAUCAAACAAUAAUUUUGUAUCGUAUAAUAUAUUUAAUUACAUUUAUUAGUUUAUCAAUCAAAACUUAAGUAGAAUCCAUCAAUAUUUCACACAUCAAAACCCAAACAUAAAAUUCACUUUUAAAUUAUUCGGGGAAUAUUUGUAUUAUAGGAAAUGGAUUAAAUUAGACUUUUAUUAUUAAAUGUAUUAUCUUAAUCUUUGUAUUAGGUAUGAAUGAUAUCUCUUAGAUUGAAGCUAGAGCUAUUCUUGAAUGAUUGAAAUUAAGAUUAAGAUGUGUUGAGAUGGAAAGUGGCAACACAAUGCUGAUUGAUGCUAUUUGUAAUGGGUUGGCUACAAUAAGUAGUGCUGCUGAAGUAAGACAAAUUUAUGAUUGGUGUUCCAAAAUUUUGGGAAGUCAAAUUUUGACAUUUUCAGCGGAAUGCCAAUAAAGUUGUUGAUUGCAUAGCUAUGGCAGAUGGAGGCAUAAUUGAGCAGCUGGUUAUCUUGAAAGAUCCUCUGCAUUAUGUGAGAUACUAGCUUGAAGAAGAUAUUAGACGGUCACUGGUGACUGAUGAUAAUUUUCAUUUGGACUGAUGAGCGCUUAAUUUUCUAAGCUUAUGGUCAACCAAAAAAAAUAAAUAAAUGCGUCUAAAUUGUAAUAGAGUUAACAUUUAGUGUUUAAAAAAAUCUUAAAAUUUUUUUUUCAAUUGCAGUUCAAUUCCAAAAAUAUCGAUGAUGAACCCGAACAUAAAAAUUACCAAAAAAAAAAACACAUCUAUUAUCAAACCAACAAUCCAUGUCUAAACUUAAAUUAACAAAAUUCGCCACCCAACCCAAUACACUAUUUUAUAUAUAUAUUAGAUUUAUUCUAGAUGCGCAUGUUUUAUUAUAUUUAAAAAUUAAAAUAUAUGGUUGACUGAGUUUUAGCUGAGUUGAUAUUGGUAUUAUUGUUAGUGUAAGAAAAUUUGAGUUUAAUCGUGUUCAAAUGUGUUUUAUCCUCCAAUUUAAAGGUUAGGAAAAUAUUAUUGAUAAUUAAAUUAUACCAACUUGAUGAUAUUAAAAAAAGGAUGUAUAAAAAAUAUAAGGGAGAAAAAAAAAAGGAGAAACAUAUUCAUAUUGAUGGGCUCUUUCAAUAUUAGACUUUUUUUCUCUCACAAGUAAAAGUAGUUAUGGAGAGGAUCAUGUAAAAUAAUAGCCUGAAUAAUUUUAAACGUCUCAUCAUUGCAAAAAUGAAAUAGUAGAAAAGAAAGAGUAGACAUUCUAUGAAAUUUAUAAUUCCAACCGUGAAUAAAAUAUAAAUUUUAUGAAUGUGGACAAGCAAUUUUAUUUAACUUUUUUUAAAGUCAUUUUGUUUGUUUCCUAAUCACCAUGAAAUUACUUGUCACAAUUCAUCUUUUUAAAUGAGAAACAUUUUCCACAAUUUGCCAUCACUUUAACAUACACUAACUUUUCUAUGAUUAGUCCUUUGUUUGCUUUGGGUGCAAUCUUCCAACUAGCCUCAUCCUUGGUUUUACUUUCCAACAUUUAGUGUAUUACGAGUUUUGUUUUCUUUAAAAAAUAUUUUUGUGGAUAUUAGGAGAUAAUGAAAUUAUUUUACUAUGAAAUUUUAAUAAAACUGGAAAAUAAGUCAUUUAUUUUAAGAGAUCACAAUUAAACAUUAGAUUUCCAAUUUUUUAAUUUUAAUUUUUUUUGACAAUUGCAUAAUAUUUUGAGCGUUGUAGGAAUGCCAUAACCUUCCCUACGCAUAAUCGACUCUUAAGUAUGAUGGAUCCUAGACCUUCUCCUCUAUUCUUGUACCACAAAUUGCUUCGAGUGUGGGUUCGGAAAAUCACAAAUUAAGCACAAAACCAAAAAUGAUUUUGUAACACCCCAAACCCAGCCUAGUCAUUAUGGAUUAAUGUAGACCUGAGAAGACUUAAUUACAUUUAUUAGUUUAUCAAUCAAAACUUAAUUAGAAUCCAUCAAUAUUUCACACAUAAAAAACCCAAACAUAAAAUUCACUUUUAAAUUAUUUGAAGAUAUAUUUGUAUUAUAGGAAAUGGAUUAAAUUAGUCUUUUUAUUAGUAAAUGUAUUAUUUUAAUCUUUUUAUUAGGUAUGAAUGAUAUCUCCUAGAUUGAAGGCAGAGCUAUUCUUAAAAGACUAAAGUUAGGAUUCAGAUGUGUUGAGAUGGAAAGUGACAACGCAAUGUUGAUUGAAACUAUUUGUAACGGGUUGACUACAAUAAGUAGUGCUACCGAAGUAAGACAGAUUCACGAUUGGUGUUCCAAAAAUUGGAAAGUCAAAUUUCGACAUAUUCAGCGGAAUGCCAAUAAAGUUGUUGAUUGCAUAGCUAAGGCAAAUGGAGGCAUAAUUGAGCAGCUGGUUAUCUUGGAAGAUCCUCCGCAUUAUGUGAGAUGCUAGCUUGAAGAAGAUAUUAGACAGUCACUGGUGGCUGAUGAUAAUUUUCAUUUGGACUGAUGAGCGCUUAAUUUUUUAAGCUUAUAUUCAACAAAAAAAAAAUUAAAUACGUCUCAAUUGUAAUAGAGUUAACAUUUAGUGUUUAAAAAAUAUCUUAAAAAUUAUUUUUUCCAAUUGCAAUUCAAUUCCACAAAUAUCAACGAUGAACCUGGACAUAAAAAUUACAAAAAAAAAAAAACACAUCUAUUAUCAAACCAGCAAUCCAUGUCUAAACUUAAAUUAACAAAAUUUGCCACGCAACCCGAUACACUAUUUUAUAUAUAUACUAGAUUUAUUCUAGAUGCACAUGUUUUAUUAUAUUUAAAAAUUAAAAUAUAUGGUUGACUAAGUUUUAGUUGAGUUAGUAUUGGUAUUAUUGUCAGUGUAGGAAAAUGUGAGUCUAAUUGUGCUCAAAUUUGUUUUAUACUCCAAUUCAAGGGUUAGGAAAAGGUUAUUGAUAAUUAAAUUAUACCAACUUUUAUGAUAUUAAAAAAAGGAUUUAUAAAUAAUAUAAGGAAAAGAAAAAAAGAGAGAAACAUAUUCAUAUUGAUGGGCUCUUUCAAUAUUAGACUUUUUUUCUAUCACAAGUAAAAAUAUCAAAGGUGAUAAUAAUUAAAUUAUAAAAUUUAAAUUGAGAAAAUAGGGGAUUGAAUUUAUAACUUUUAAAGUAUAAAGAAUGAAUUUAUAACUAACAACAUAUUUUAACCACACAAUAAAAGUAGUUAUGGAGAGGAUCAUGUAAAAUAAUGACCUGAAUAAUUUUAAACGUCUCAUCCUUGCAAAAAUGAAAUAAUAGAAAAGAAAUAAGUGUUGGGUGUAGUGGCAAUGUACAUUAUACUUCUAAGGGGAGAUCAGGGUUUUAUACAAGGGAAGAAUUUUAAACCUGCUUUUUUCUCUAGAACUCAACGCAAACCUCAAAUUUAUCUUUUUAUAAGAAUUUUAAUAUAUCUAUAUAAAAGGUGAUUUUUUUGCCGAUCACACUUAACAAAAUUUUAAAUUUUUUUUUUUGAAAUUUAAAGUGAUCUAAAAACAUAUUUUUAAGUGCUUUAGACCAUCCUGUGUUGAUUUCUUUAGUAAUUUGAUUUGUUCAAUAUAGAUUUUGGUGACUUAACACAAAAUUAAUAAAAAAUAUUUUUUCAGAUAUCUUUUUAAUGUUUAAUAAUAAGUUAAUUUAUAAAAUAUACUUUCAUAGGACACAGGCCUCCAAGGCGGUGAACCACUAAUGAAAUUAAUUUUGAGAUACUUAAAUUUGUUUUCAUCAAUUAAGAAAUUUGAAAAAUUGUUGAGACCUCAUGAUUAUCUUUUAUAAUUUCAGGCUUAUCACCAAAAAACUAAAAAACAAAAUCGUCGACAUUAAAUUUGUUGGCAUGCAAUCAAUUUUAAGAUGGUUUUUGGAGUUAUAUAUCACUUUAGCAUGGACUUACUUUUCUACAGUUAGUCUUCUCCAACAAGUUAAAUAUUUCAAUUUUAACAACAUUGACAGGUCUUUGGGGUAGGGUCGAGCAAAACUCAAUAGAAAUAGAUGAUAUAGAUUGAGUUAGCUCGGCCAAGUCGAGUCGACUUGUUCAAAUUAGUUAAAUUAGUAAAUUUUAGGGUGCAGUUAGAAUUUUUUUUUGUUUUGAGAUGCUAAGAUUAAAAAAUUUCAGUUGCUAAAACAAAAAAAUUGUAUUUAAAAAAAGGCAUAAAGAAAGGCUGAAUGACAAAUUGCCCAAAGCCCAUGCCCCUAGCUAUACGCCCCUGGUAAAAUCAAUUUUAAAAUUAGUUAUAAUAGUUGAAGCGAUUGAUUAUUGAGGAAUGAAAUACAUAGUUCAACAAAAUAAAUAAGUUGACAAAUUUUGACAAAAAAAAUCAAAAAUAAAAUAAUAGAAAAGAAAGAGUAGCCAUUUUAUGAAUUUAUAAUUCCAACCGUGAAUAAAAUAUAAAUUUUAUGAAUGUGGACAAGCCAUUUUAUUUAUAAUUUUCUGUGUUUUUCUUCUUUUCCUGACUUUUUUUUAAAGUCAUUUUCUUUGUUUCCUAAUCACCAUGAAAUUACUUGUCACAAUUCAUCUUUUUAAAUGAGAAACAUUUUCCACAAUUUGCCAUCACUUUAACAUACACUAACUUUUCUAUGAUUAGUCCUUGGUUUGCUUUGGGUGGAAUCUUCCAACAAUUAGUGUAUCACGAGUUUCGUUUUCUUUAAAAAAUAUUUUUGUGGAUAUUAGGAGAUAAUGAAAAUUAUUUUACUAUGAAAUUUUAAUAAAACUUUAAAAUAAGUAAUUUAUUUUAAGAGAUCACAAUUAAACAUUAGAUUUCCAAUUUUUUAAUUUUACAAUUUUUUGACAAUUACAUAAUUAAUAAGGUACCAAUGUUGAGCGUUGUAGGAAUGCUAUAACCUUCCCUAAACAUAAUCGACUCUUGAGCAUGAUGGAUCCUAGACCUUCUCCUCUAUUCUCGUACCACAAAUUGCUUUGAGUGUGGGUACGAACAAUCACAAAUUAAACACAAAACCAGAAAUGAUUUAUUACUUUUAAUAGCAAAGUAAUUCUCUCUCAAUAGAAACCAAUAGAAUUGUAAUUCCCAUAAAAUAAAAUUUAUUUUCUGAAAUAUAUUCUCACUACUUUCUAGCAGAGUAACAAUAUUUAAAACUUAUGUCUUGUGUUAAUAGCUUUACUAGCACUAUCUAUUUAUAGGGAGAGAGAUGAGAGUCCUGGUUGAAUUAGUAAAACACGAAUAAUAUUUAUUUCAUAGAAGACAAUUUCAUAGAAAACUUAUGUCUUGUGUUAAUAAUGUUGAAUUUGUAUGUACAAGUUUCUAAUACACUUGUUGGGACAUUCUUUGACUUUUAUCUAUUCUCUCAAAAAGUUAAAGUUCAAAGUUGCAUUAAACUCAAAUAAGAUAACCAUUAGCAAACCAGCUCACAAGCCUGCUCAAGCUAAUCCUACAAGUCAUUCCACUUCAUCAUCAAGCACCAAUGUUCUUGCUUAUCCUUAUGGAAUUAAACAAAAGAAAAAAGCUCUUUAAGAGUUAUUUCAAUAGACUUCUUUAAUGGUAAAUGACAAUCCACUCUAUUGAUGCUUCUUCGCCCAACUCAUGAUUUAAAAGAAGUUUAUACUCAUGGAUCAAGUGUAGCUCACCAGUUAUCAUUAAGGAGAAAAAAGAGUCAAUCAAGUGAAAAUUAUAUUCCAACAUCCCCCCUGAACCAAAUUUUAGAGUGAUGAAUGUCAUGACAACUGACACUACAUUCUUAGAAGAAUAAGUAGAUCUCUAGCAAAAACGAUGGAGAGUCUUACUACAAGCAUAAAAGGAAUGGAUGAUCAAAUUGAACAUCUUAGAGGAAGUAACCAAACCUUUUCCUACGAAACUCAACAUCCUCUUCACAAAGUUGUUGGAAUCAAAAUUGUUGAAGGACUUUAAAGUGUUUCUUUAGAUCAAGUUAAGGAGCUCAUUAAAGAAACCAUUAAAGAUCAAGUCAAAAGUGUUGCUCUACCUUCAUAUACAUACUUGAAGCCAUACAUUUGAAGGGCUUAUCAUUUGAAUAUGCCUGAACAUUAUCCACCUCCAAAAUUGCAAUAGUUUGAUGGUAAAGGAAAUCUAUGUAAACAUGUCGCUCACUUCGUGGAAACUUGUGAUUGCGUCGAUGUAACACCCCACUCGCGACCUAAUCGCUGGAUUCGAGAAGAGAGAUACCGAAAUCAUGUUGGAAAAAUCUAGUUUGAAAAUGGUUUUAUUUAUAGAGGAAAAUAAAAAUUUUGAAAACUGACUCGGUUUGUGAUAUUUAUGGCAAUAAAUGUUAAACUGAAAUCAUAAAUGUGCUUUUGAAUAAGCAAAUCCUUGAUGUUUUCUAGCUUUAAACCAAAUUAUCUUCUUCACUAUUCUCAUACCACAAAAUGCUUUGAAGUGUGGACUUGAACCAAUUGAAUCAAAACACAAAACUUGAAAAAGCUUUUUAUUCUUUUCGGGGUGAAACCUAAAAUUUUCUCUUAUUUAAUAGAAACCAGUAGAAAUGUUUAUUUUGGAAAAAUAUAUUUAAUAGUUAAGAAUAAAUUCUCCUUAUUUUUCAAUAGAGUAACAAUCUCUCAAAGUUGUAUAUAAAUCCCUACUGAUGCCAGAUAUUUUUAAGAAGAGAAGAUAGAACCCUUGUGGAAUUGUAGAAGCUUAUUUCAACUAGAAAAAUAACUUCCUACUUAGAGUAGGAGCAGGUUGGAUGGCAUCCCCUGUCGCCCCUUCGUUUUCCAUGAAGGGAUUUUGGAUCUCUCUCACAUUAGAUCCAACUAUGAGUGCUUUUCGAGCAUUUAGACUCAGUACUUUGUAAUUUGACCCAACUCAAUUCUAUUUUUUUAUUUCCCAAAAUAAACUUCAAUAUUUUAUAUUAAAUAAUUUUCUCAUCCAAAUUUUACCCUCAAUAGAAUUUUUGAGAAAAUAUAUUUAAUAUUUCACAAUUCAACUUGUUCAUUAUGAUCGAAUGAUUUAUUUUCAUUUUCUAGAUUUUAUAUAGCUGAAAAACAUAAACUCAUUCUCCUGAUCAUUUUUAAGUAUAUUCAUCUACAUUUGAAAAUGAAUCAUUUCUCAUUUUCGUUUCCAAAUGAUUUCAUUUCUCCAUUUCGAAGAAAUGUAUAAUCAUUCCUGAAUGUUUGUCAUUUCUUUAUUUCUAUUCAUUUCGAUUCAAACAUGCAAUUCAUUUAUGGUUUCAACGAGCUAGUGAAGGGACUAAUUGGACAUAUACAAUUAGGGCUCAAAUGAUUUAUAUUUGAAGUUUCAACUUUUCAUCUAUUAAUUAUAAACUCAUUUAGUCAUGAAGUCAUUCCACUAUAGUAUCAUGGCUGAGCUUGUGGUUCCCCAAACUUGGACGAGACAGUCUGACCCAAAAUUUGAAACUUACAUUAGCCACCAAAAUGAUUCUCUGUUAAAAUACUACAAAACAGACCAACCAACCAUGCAGGCCACACAUUUUCAACAUAAAUCAUAAUACAAUUAAUCCUAAUUGCAUGCCUUUCUAAACAUACCAUAAAAAAUGAAGAAAAAAAAUUCAUAUUUAGGUCACCUGUGAACCCACCCACUUAGAAACCUAGUAGCACGCAUCAACUUGGCGAGCACCAGCUGAAGACCUCCUCGCGACCCCCAGCUCAUUGCUAGCCCUACGAACCACUAGUUUGCUACUACCCUGUGAUCCCUAAAUAUUGGCAAACCUAGACACACAACUCCCCUUUUAUUUUAAUAGACUACUCAAGUCGUUGGCUCACUUGCGAACUCCUCUAUUUAGUGAACCUACCUAAUAAGGCAAACUCACUAUCCUGACGUACGCAUUAACUAUGGAGAACCUUCUAUUGCUUGGCGUACUCCCUCCUAAUGGCAAACACUAGGUUAUAUAGGGCUAGUCUAUACUAGCGGACUCCCUAUACUUUGGCGAACACUCUAUUAGGGAACUUAUGGUUUUUGGUGAACACACUUUUGUUUGGCGAAACCUACCUUUGGUGAACUCACCCCUAUUGUUGAACACUGUGUUAUGGUAAGGUCCUAUUCCCUUAUGACCCCUGUCUCACACUAUGCUAGGUUGGCUCGUAAGUAUUCUUUCAAUGCGUUAUUACUUCUAUAACAUGCAUUCUAUGUUAUCACUUUAUCUCAACCAAAAAAUUGGUUCAAGGGCGUACCUCAAAAUUCGGCGAACUCCUUGUUUUACAUAAGUAUGUUAGUUCAUCAAUUUACCUAGCAAAAUCAUGUAUUAUAAUCCAAACAAUCAAGCAUUCAAUCAAGCACUUAUAAAGUCUAAAAAUCCAAAAUUUAAAUAGUUCGUAAUAUCUGUUUACAACUUGUCAAAGUUUAUUUAAAAAUUCUAGGUCUACAUCUGAUUCCUUAGGAUAGUCCCACAUUGCCUUCAACUAUAGGGUUUGUAAAAACAAAUCACGUACUCGAAUGGAUUUGCCUUAUGUUGCAUCACUAGAUUGCCAUGCUUCACAACUAGUCACGUGAACUACUUAUCUGCAAGAUAUAUGCAAGGAGUGUGAGCUUAUUGAAGCUCAGAGAAUGCUUAAGCACACAACACAUAAAACACAUCAGUCAUGCUAAAAUUUAGACAUGUUGUAACAAUUCACAUAAAAUAUAAUAAUCAUGCUCGUCAUAGUAAAAUAAUGGCAAUUUGUGAAUAUGAAACAUAAUCAUAUUAUAUAUGCAUUGGAUAAGUAGAUCUUUAGAAUACUCCAAAUGACAUAGAGAGUCAUGCGCUAUCUUUGAUAAGUGUAGUAUGAAUGCUCACACUCUCCAAACACUCCAUACUAUCCUCAAAAUUGGAGCUAAGCUCGACAUUCCCUUAUCUCUCCAAUGCUAUCUUCAGGCCAUAAUGCCCCAUCAUAUAGUAAAAAUGGUGAGUACUCACAAUCCUAUGACAUGCCAAUGAUAUCUAACGGUUUCAAGUGUUCACAAUGCCAACAUAUGAUUUUUAUUUCAUUCACUUUACACAAUUUAAAAGGCCCACAAUAUAGUAGAUCUCACAUAUAAUAGUUCUUAAUAACACAACUCACAUUUUUGUAGGGCUCGCAUGAUACAUAAGUUCGUAAUAACAUAGAUUCGCAUAACACUUAUGGCUCACAUAUAUUUAGGGCUCGAAUGCAACAUUUGGGUUUCCAUAUAUUUAAACUAGCAUAAUACAGGGGCUCGCGUAACAUGUUUUGGCUUGCAUGUAAUAUAGGGCUUGAUCACAUAUAUAGGUUUGCAUGAUCUUAGGGUUCGCAUCACAUAUAUAAGUACGCAUGAUACAUGGGUUCACUCAACAUGUAUAUAUAAACUUGCACAUCAAAGUAUAGGCUCGCAUGCAUUAAGGUAAUAGAUUUUGCAAACAAUUUAGAGCUAGCACACAUCUUAGGCUUGCAUACAUACAUGUUAGCAAGGUCUGCAGGUCACAAAUCGGGGCUCGAAUAACUAUAGAGGCUUGCAUAGAAAUAUAACAGUGUUCGCAUAUCAUUUUAAUCAGCUUCACACAUUAAAUCAGAUAGUUUGUAUGCCUUACUUGGCUUUCAUUAGCAUGCGAACUCUUGUUUUUGACGUAGUGUGUAAGGACACUCACUAGUUGUUUGUUGAUACUGUCAAACCUAUACCACAUUUUGCUUGACUUUUUCCUUGCUUGUAGAUGCACCUUUAUAUUGAGAGGCUUUGCAUAAAACAAGAAAAUAUACAGAUUGCUACUUUCACAAACAUAUUAACCUUCUUAACUAACAUAGCAGCUCACCACUUCUAAAUUUACCGAACUCACCUCAUGUGACCUUAAACUUUUAGUUACUUUAUUUUAGUUCAAUUAAAUCCCCAAUUAUUACUUCCUAAUCUCAUAAGUAAGGUUUAAUUAUAGAUCUAGGCCAUUAAUUUUAGUCAAUUCUUAAAAUCAACAUUUUUCAAAAAAUCAUGCUCAUUUUCUAUCUCAAGAAGAAAAAUCACUUGAUUCAUGCAAUUCCUUUAAGGAUUUGUUAAAUCAAGUUUAUAAACCUCUUAAUUAUGCCAAAAUGAGUUAAAAAUUAUUUUAAAAUCAUGACUUAGCUCACUAUUAUGAGAUUCACCAUUUUUUUAUAUAAACCAAGCUUUAAAGCCAUAGAUCCAAUGAUUUCUCUUGAAACUUCAGGUGCAGUGCACUAACUAUGAAUAAUGUGGACUGAAUAUGUUUUUGGUACUCCAUGGAACUCCUCCUUCAACCACAAAAUCCCAACCCAAUUUAUAUGCAAUAUGUCACACAAUCUCAUACAUAAUCCUAUCUUAAUACUUUUCACAUUCAUUUGACAUGCUCAGCAUGUCCUCAAUAAUCACAUACUUUCAUACUUUUAGAAAAUGGAAACAGUGUUCCAAAGUUUCAAUUACCAUUGUGUUGGUAUCAAUCAAUAUCAUUCAAUUACACAUACUUUAUAGAUUUCCAUUGUGUUUAAAUAGCACCCUUUUCAAUACACAAUAUAAAAAAUAUCUCAUGCAUUUAAUCAUACAUAAGCUUUAUAUCUCAACACAUUAUAUCAUUCAGUCAAACAUUCUCAUAUCUUAUAAUUCAAAUAUGCAAUUACAAACUCAAUCAAACAUUCAUACUAUCAAACUAGCAAUUUUGCCAACAUGUUAAUCUUUUAAGGCUCAAAACAUAAUUGGUUCAGCCACUCACAAAAUCAAUAAUUUGGCUAUUAAGCCAAUCCAAUCAACAAGCUAAUUUAUCACAUAUAACAUGAUAUUUAACAUUUUCAAAAAAAAUUAUAAGUUUAGGACCCACGCAUUAUUUUUUGCUUCCUCGCAACAUACUAGCGAAUCUUCCAAUCUUCCUUAAUAAUUCCUUAAACGAACCUAAACCAAAAUGAAGCAUAAAUUCAAUCAAUUUACCAUUAAGCCAACCCCCAAACACCCACUUGUGAGUUCAAACUGAUCAUUGAAAUUAAAACUACUUUAUGAAUCCAAACUAGUUAGAUUCCUUAAACUGUAUCGAUGCAAAUCGUACGUACAAUCGUUCUUCACCUUUAUGGAUGAUUGGGGGUGUUUGGGUCAGCACCUAAUUCAAUAAUAUACUGGAAAAUCAGUAGUUAAUCAAUGAUUAACUUUCUUUAUUUAACCAAUUCAUAACCUUUACCCAACAACUAUGCCAAAAUAACAAACUAGUUUACAAUUAAUCGUACUUAUACUUCUCAAAUUAUAAGAUUCGAAUGGCUAAUUGAUCAAGAAUGUCUUUUGUAACAUCCCAAAAAUUAGGUUAGAAGAAAUGAGAUUUUGAAACCAAGAGUGGUCAUCCCUCGAUUAUGAGUUUAUAUCUUGGAAAAUUUGACAAGUAAAUUGAUCUGGCUUAAUGGUUAAUUGCUAUGGUUAUAUGUGUUAGGUUCUGGGUUCAAAUCUUGUUUUUGGAAAAUUUGUUACUUUUCUUAAACCCUUACCUUGAAUGUUUGGCUUUUAAGUUAAAUUUAGUCAAUUGAGGUCAAGAAUGAGCCUGUUGGUUUAAUGGUUAAGUUUCUGCAUAAUCCUUGGUCUUGUGUUCGAAUCUCAGCGAAAGCAACAGGGAAUGUUUUGUUUUUGAAUUUUUUAUAAGGUAGUUAGUUUCGAUUGGUUAUUUAAAGCCUUCUAGAAACCUCCGUUGCUUUUACUUUUAUUUUGUUCUUUCUUUUUCUACAAUGUUUUCUAUCAUUUUGUUUUCGAUCUUCAGUUUCCUCAUUUUGGUUUUUUAUUUUCAAGCAACCUUCUUUUUGUUAUGUUACGUUACACUAAUUGUGUAUAAGGUUUAACUUCUCCUUCUAGUUAAUUUGCUGGUUGGUAAGUUCAAUUUAAAGUUUUGGUGUCGAAAGUUCUUUAACAUAACUUCAAUUUUGGAAUGUUAGUUUCUAGUGGUUUGACUGCGAAUUAAUCGUUUGUUAGGGAAUUGCUUGUCGUUUAGGGACCUGAAUUUAUCCUUGUUACUCCUACAUCGAGUUCGUAUCAAGUGGGUAUCAAAAAUAUCUUCUUCUUCAAAUUUUAGUCGUCGAAGAAUAGGACUAUCAAUGCCACAUGGUCAUGCGCAAACUAUCUAGGUACAAUCUGUAUUCUAUUAAGUUUGUUGGUAUGCCUCUGCAUUACUCUAUUGAUAAAGAAUAUGUGACAUUUGAUUAUGUUAGAUUGGUUGUUACUGAUUCUAAUUUAUAACCCUCUGUUUUACUUUAUAGAUGUGGAAUACACAAUAUCUGAAAAUGUUAGACUAAUUGUUACUGAUUCUGAUUUAUUGUCGUGCAUGUGACUUCAUGGCAAAUAUGAUAUGAUCUGUUGAGGUUUGAUAGGUCUAUUUUCCAAAACAUGGACUCUCAUGUCUCCUAAUUCUGUUAUUGAAAGAUAUCAUAACUUACAUGCUCAUCACUCUGAUUCUGCAUAUGUAUGUCAUGACACGUUGCAUGGGAUUUGGGUUGAUGUGAAAGGUAAAAGUUACUGGCAGUUAAUGAUCCGCAUUAUCUGAGGUUUAUCCUCAAUUCUGUUUCGGCAGCUUAGUUGUACUAUAUUAACUUGACCACAUGUAACCGAUAUGGCAGUCUUAACUACAAAAUUCUAGUGGCACCAUCCACAGUUAUCUGUUGGUGUGAUUUGGCUAGACGAGUUCUGAGGGAACUCUAUUUUGGAUUGUAGUGGAGUUUUGGUAGGAUGUUUUCUGAUAAUUCUGCAUUCUGAUCUAUUUGAGAAAUACAACAUCUUCAUAACACAUUUUCUACUUUGCUCUAUUCUGUUCUAUUCUGUUCUGCUCUCUUCGGUUCUAUUCUAUUUGAUUUGUUAUGUUCUGCUUCAUUCUGUUGUGCUUGGUUCUAUUGUACUAUCGUUAUGGAAAUUUUCAUGAUAUUCUCGAUCUAUUCCAUACUAGCUAUAAAACUAUUAUUAAGUUCUUUGAGUUACUUUGAUUUAUAUAAUAAAAUCUAUUUAUUUGUAUCUAAGUUUGGUUAUACGCGACGCUUGGUAGUUCUCCCUUUGUCUUAUCUUAAUCUAUUUAGGUGGAUGUUUUACAUUGAUAUAACUAUGAUUUGAUCUUUUAGGUUGUAAUUUGUUUUUGGACUUGCAUUGCUUUUCUUUUGAUAAUCUCAUCAAUAUUUGUCAUUUUCUUACACAAAAAUAAAAAAACCACCUAAGUCGACUAAAAUGAAUUUCUGGUUUUCAAUGUUAAAAUUUUGAAAAGAAAUUAGUUUUCUACAUGUUGGUGUAGCUCGUCCAAAUUUGACUUAAACUUCUAGGUUGGGUUUGGGGUGUUGUAUCUUUCCAUAAUUAACAUGUGAUUAAUCUUUUAUUAGGAGGAUUCAAGAACUCAACUUAAUGAUGGAAAAAUAUAGGUAAGAACCAAGAAACAAAACAACCCCCUUUCUUGCACACAGGCGUACGCACCACCACCCAUGGUGGCCAAAAUUGGGGAAGAAUUUUAAAAUGGUUUGAAAUCUCAUUAAAAUCUAGAAAAAUACAAUUGAAUUCAUUUAAAAUCCCCCAAAUUCCAGAUCUAAAAAUUUUUCUUUUUAAUUGACAAAAUUAAUUAAGAAUUUGAAGAGAAAAGAGAUCUUCCCAAGCUAGUUAAAAGAAACGACAAUGACACUUUCUUGGCAAUGUUCAAGAUUGAUCUUGGGUUCAAGAUUUUAGAAUUGGGGAUGAUUUAGAUGAGAAAAAAUGGUAGGAAUAGAGUAAAGGAGAUGGUGUACAAUCUUGAUGCAAAAAGAAGAAGAAAGAGUUGGUAAAUGGGAGGUGUAGGCGACGACAACAAUAGGAGAAAGAAAGAAAAUUAAAGAGAAAAGUGGAGAGGAAGAUGGUGAACGGAUAGAGUAGGGAAAAUUUGAAUUAAAGGCUGAAAAAUACAAUAAAAAUUUCUAUUUAUACUUAGGGUUCAAGGGUAUGGAUCGCACAUACAUUUAAAAAAAUAAAGGAUUUUACGAAAUUUAAAAUUUCGUAAAGGAAAGGAUUCGAAAUUGGGACCUCAUUUAAUUUUCAUGUGUUCUCAUAUUUCUUUUAACCAUUAUGAUAUUUUCUCAUUCUUAAAAUCAUUUUACAAGAUUUAGUUUAAAAAUAAGGCAUGCCACAUUCUAGGGUUUAAGGCAAAAUUAGCAAAAUAAUAAAAAUAGUGAGAGAGAAGGGAUUUGAACUUGGGUUUCAUGGAAUGUUUGACUAACACUUAUCCAACAAACCAACACCUUAUUGAUUUCCUAAAAAUGCAUAGAUAAUCUCAAAAAUUAAGGCAUGACCACUCUUUCUCGAUUCACAAACCCGAUUAUGCUAAACCCUAAUUUUUGGAAUGUUACAAGGUAAGUUUGUAGUGUAACAAUAUAUAUGUGUGUGUUUUAGGGAUACGAUUGGCAUGCCAAUAGGGUUAGUAUGCAUGCUUGUACUGGAUCACACUUUGGUUCUUCUCUUUACACUUUGGUGCCUCUCUUUGCACUUCAGUGCCACUGUAUUUGCACUACAGUGCCUCUAUUAGCAUUUCGAUGUUUGGGGGAAACCCAAGUAUCGAAGUCAUUUUGCUGUAGUUCAACAUGCUGUGAAAUUUUAUGUUUAAAUGUUAAAUUACUCUUGAAUUUGAUUUAUAUACAAUGAUAUAUUUGUGUAUCUAUGUACAUAAGCAUUGAUUGCUUUGGUUUGAGCCAUUGUUUAUAUUGAAUCAUAUGAGAUGAAUGUUUUGAUUACUAUAGUUUGAGAAUAAAUAUUAAUUCCUUGGUGUAAUUAUAUGAUUCAUAUGUCUUUAAACAUGUUAUCUAAUUAUGUUUAUGGUGUGUUUAGAGAAUUAAAUUAUUAUAUGAGUAUUUUCCAGGUAUUCAAUGUUGUUUCAUUUGGUUUAAUGGGUAAAUAAAGCUUUAAAGGGUAUGUGAUUACACGAAAUGCACUACGAUAUUUGAGCAAUGAUAUGGAUCAUGAUGAAAUGUUUAAUUGAAAAGGAAAUAUGGUUUAGUAUAUAUAUAUGAGUGGUGAAUUAUGAAAGUGAAAUAUAGAUAUGUUAUAUACCAUGUUUUAUUCAAAUUAUAUAUGAUAUGUUACACCAACUAACCUUGUGAGGUGGUGGGUAUAGGAAAGGAAAGUUGGCUUAAAACAUAAUGAAAUUAUGCCUGCCUUUUUAACAUAAAAUAUUCAGUAAAUUAAGUUUCCUUUAUAUGAACUUACUCAACAUUAGUUGCUUGCAUAGUUAUUUUUCUUUAUUUUAUAGUUCAUCAGAAGCUCGACCGGUUGGAAUCAUGUCAAAGCACGAUCACACUAUCCAUUCAACAUUUUGAUAGCUUUUUUUAUUUUGGUAAAUGGUUAUAAAUGACAUGUAAUAGGGUUUAAAUGUCAUUCUAGUGAUUUGACUUGUUUUGAGUUGUGUCAAACUUCUUGUGAUUGAUGUUGUUAGUUGUUGGCAUGUAAAUAAUGGUGUAAAUAUGUGACAGCCCAAAAUUGACCCUAGUCGGGAAGUGGUUUCGGGACCGCUAAACCGAGUCACCGAAAGGUUUGAAUGUGAUGUUUAUUAUCUAGAAUAUGUAAUAAUGAAUGUGUGAAAAUUUCAAGCUUCGAUUUAGUCGAUUGCAUGCGAGUUUAGUCAAUAGGACUUAUAUGAGAAAAACUUUAAAAUGUGAUAGGUCAAUGCAUGAGGACCUAUUAGUGCAUGUGGAAGAAAAAGGGGACUUGCAUGUCAAAUUCCCCCUCCCUAAUAUGUAGUGGCCGGCCAUGCUAUGGGUGGAAACAUGUCACCAACAUGUUGUGUUAGUGAUGUAUGGUAAGGAAAAUAAAAUAUUAAGCAUGAUAAUUAAAAUAAAUUAAAGAAAGGAAUUAAACAAUGAAAAGGAAGGGUGAUGAAAAAAAUGGUCUCAUCCAUACCCCCCCCCCUUGUUGCCGUGAGUUGAGGAAAGAAAACAAAAAAAAAUGUGUGUUCAUUCUUGAACACCUUUGGCCGAAUAGAGGAAAGAAAGGAAGGGGAAGAGCUUGAGAAAAUCGGCUAUGGUGGUUUGCUAGACUAAGGUAUGUUUGAUGUUGUUCUUGAGAUGCAUGCAUGUUUUAGUAGUUGACUUGAGUUCUAAAAACCCAUGGUUCAAUUUUGUGGAUUGAUGAAGAUUUUGUGUUUUGCCAUUGAUGAGUGCUUGAGCUUUUUGAUAGUUGUUGAUGAAAAGUGAAAGAUAUGUUAAAGAUUAAUAUGUUUUGUGUUGAAGUUUUUGGUGAUUUUGAGUAGUUAGGGCUAUAUUACAAAAACAAAUUUUUGAAGGACUCAAAGGUGAAAUAAAUGAGAUGUAUGGACUUAUAUGGGCACUAGGAAGAUUCGGCCCUUAAGGAGUGUGACCAAACUUUGUGUAUUUUGUGUUUUGUGGAAUAAAGACUAAAUUGUGAAAGUGCGAAAUAUUAGGGGUAAAAAUGUAAUUUACCCAUUUAUGCGUUAUUAGACUAAAUUGAAUGAAAAUAUGUUAAAUUAAGGCUUGGCAAGCUAGCUAUUAAGGUGAAAUGCUAAUGUUAGUAUUUGAUUCGGUAAUAAUCUGUUUGGGGACAGCAGCAGUAAGGUGAUUUUGGAAAAUCGCCAUAAUUUGUAGGAGUUGAAUUAGAAGCUGAGUGAAUUAUGCCAUUAAAGCUUGAAGAGUCUAUUUUCUUACAAAAGAAACUAUGAAAACAAAAGAGUUACCGAUCUUGAGAUAUUUGAAGUAUUGUGGGGCUGAGUCAAAAUGACUACUAGAUUCCCUGUUCUGUUUUUAGAAAAUCAUUAUAAAUUGUACAAAAAUUAUUAUAAGAUAAAAUUUAUAUGCUUAGACUCCUUAAUGAGUCUAGUUUCAAAUGAGAUCAAAUACAACACAUUUUGAAUUCUGUAAAAUGAGAAAUUUGAUUCGUAGUGAAGAGUGGUCAGAAUAGUCAAACAGUGAAACAGGGGAAACUUUAAGAAAAAUCUGGUAUUGAUUGGCCAAGCCAAAAAUUCUGAAAAUUUUAUGGAUGGAAGAUAUAUGAGUCUAUAUUCAGGGAAAAUUAACAGCUAGUGAUUUGGAGUUUUGUAGCUCCAGUUAUAAACAAUUUAGCGACUACUGCUCAGGAAAACAGCUCGUAGUGAAUAUGUGAUUUUGUUGUAAACAUUAAUGAAAAUUUGCCAAUGAGUUAUUUAUUGACUAUUACAAAGCUUACUAUAAUCUAUGUGUGUGAAAGUCAAAUCAAUAUAUAUAUUAUUCUGAAAGUAAUACUUGAAUAGUCGAUUAAUGACUAUUUUAAGUUAUUGAUUUGGCUCAAGGAGUUAAAGGAGGUGAAUCGAGCAAAGGCAAAGAAAAGGUUAUCGAGUAGCCGAGUUGGAACCGUCUUACCCAACACGAGGUAAGUCAUUAAGCAUGUAGUUGGUAUUAUUUCAAUGGUCAUAAUGUUUAUGUAUUGAUGCUGAAUGGAAUGAAUAAAUAUACAUAUAUAUAUAUAUAUGUGCAUGUACGUAUGUGAUGAUGAGAUUGUUGAAUGAAAGAAAAGAGGUAAGAUGUACUGAGUUGUUGAUCUCGGCACUAAACGUGCGGGAUAACCAUUUAUGACCAUGAGAUUGGCGCUAAGUGCGCGGGAUUAAAUUGUACAGCACUAAGUGUGCGAUUUGACUAUGUUGCACUAAGUGUGCGAAAUGAAUAUGAUGCACUAAGUGUGCGAAUUGACCAUGCGGCACUAAGUGUGCGAGUUUGACUAUGUAGCACUAAGUGUGCGAUUUGAUUAUGUAGCACUAAGUGUGCGAGUUGAUUAUAUAGCACUGAGUGUGCGGACUCGAUAUACAUUCGUGAAUCAUUAUGGACACUAUGUGUGCGACACUAUUGAGUCGAUCGCGGACAGCGGAUCGGGUAAGUGUCUUGAGUACAUGGCUAAUAGGUGCUAUGCUUAUACUUGGUGUUGAGCUCGGUAAGUUUGAACCUAUGUGACAAAUAUACUUGAAGUCACGUACAUAAAAUUUAUCGUAGGAUUGGUGAAAGGCCGUUUAGUCGUUUGAUUGUAACGAAAAUAAAUUGAUUUAUGAAAAUGCUUCAAUGUCCUAUUGAUGAGUAUAUGGAAUGUGAAUGCAUGAAUUGAUAUGAAAUUGAAUUGAUAGGUUGGAGGAACUAUGGUAUGGUUCGGAAUGGAUGGAGUAAUUAGCCUCGUUCCAUUUUGUUUUCUCUUGUGAUAAUGUUAUUGAUGGAUGGUAGUGCAUAGCUUAUGACUUACUGAGUUAUAAACUCACUCGGUGUUUCCUUGUCACCCAUUAUAGGUUGCUUGGACUCAUCUAUUUUUUUGCGUGGUCGGGCCGUCAUCGAAGUCAUCACACCGGAUAGCAAGUUUUGGUACUUUCUUCUUAGUUGGCUUAGAAGAACAUUUUGGCAUGUAUAAGCUAUUACGUUGUGUUUGAACUUUGGCAUGUAAACUUUAAGCCAUGUGAAAAUGGCACGAAUGUUCGAUUGAGUUGGAUCAAGGGUAGGCAUGAAAUGGACCUAGUUACUUUCGUAACAGAUGCUGGCAGCAGCAGUGUCAUGAGAUUGAAAAAUCAUUAAAAAUAGUAGGAGUGGAAUUAAUUGAUGAAUAAAUUAUGUAAUCGAAGCUCGAUGAGUCUGUUUUCAUGAGGAAGUAACGAAAAGAUCAUAUGGGCAGUAUAUUAAGAGAUAAUCAGAUUUUUGUGGGACAGGGCCAGAACGGUUUCUGGAUUCCCUUCUCCGACUUUGGAAAUUCAUUACAAAUUAACCAGAGAUAAUUAGGGGUCGUACCAUAUAUGUACAGAUUCCUCUCUGAGUCUAGUUUUCAUAGAAAUAAACGGCAUCAGUAUUGGAGCCCCGUGCAGGGAGAUAUCCAAGUCGGAAUGGGAAAAGGUCAGUGUAGUCGACCCCUGCAACUGGGGAGACUUUGACUAAUAAACUGUACUAAUUGGCCCGACCAAAAAUUCUAGAAAAAAAUACAUAGAUGGGCACAUGAGUCUAGUUUCUGGGAAAAAUUACGAAACUGAUUUUCGAGUUAGGAAACUCAAGAUAUGAUUUUUAAAACGACUAGUACACGGAUUGGGCAGUGUCUGGAAAAUAAAUUUUGUAAGGGGUUAAAGCCAGUUAACACCUCGUGUUCGACUCCGGUGUCGGUUUCGGGUUCGGGGUGUUACAAAAUAUGUGUGGUUGGACCCUUAUGCAUGCUUUAUUGAUUAAAGAUAUCAUAUGGUAAAAUGGCAUGUUUUUGGAAUGGUUAUUUGGCAUGAUUAAAAUAGGUUUAAGUUUUGAUCUUGAGACGUUGAAUUGAAUUAAGUUUAAGAUGUAUAUUGUGAUACCUUCAUUGGCAUAUUUGUUAGAUAUUAAAGGAUGGUUGAUUUGGUAUGUUUUUGAAAUGGUUGUUGGUAUGUUUGAUCUAAGUUGAUUAAAUGAACUUGUAAUGUUCAACGGUAUAAUACUUGUUGGUACAUUAGUUAGUCUUAUAGGUUGAUGGAAUUGGUAUGUUUUAAAUGUGUUUAAAAUAUGUUUUGGUUAUUUCAAUGUUUGUGGAAAUGGUGUGUCUUGGUGUACAAGAUUUGUAAUUGAAAUGGCUCUAUUUAGAAGCAACUUCUGCUGCACACUACCUGGGACACGAGUUGUCACAUGGUUGUGCAUCAUUAAUGUUUUAGGUGCAGGUUUCACACAAUCUAAGACUCGGCUCACGACACGGUCUGGGCUAUGUCACACAGCUUGGCCGCAUGGCCAUGUGACCCUUGUUUUCAAGUUUUCAAAAUUUUCUAUUUUAUUUCAAAUUGAUCAUAGAAUAUUCUCAAACUAUUUUUAAGGCCCCGUAGGUUCGGAUUAUGGCCCGUAAGUGUAUGUUUGCUAUAAUUAAGUUGUGUUAUUGAAUGUUAUUAAUUAAAUCACAUGAAUAUUUUAUUGUAAGUUAAAUGUUUUAAUUUGUACCAUAAUGCUUUGUAACCCUAAUCUGGCGAUGAAGACUAGUUUGGGGUGUUAUAAUUUUGGACUGUAAAUUUGUUUUGGGGGCUUUGUUCUUUGGUUAUUGCGAUGUUGGUUAGAUUUUGGUGUUUUAACAUUAAACUGCAAAAUUGUAUGAUUUAACAAACUAAAAAUUAGUUUUUCAAAAUUAAAACUCUUGAAAUUUCAGUUGCAAAGAUUAAGUAAUCACUUCAGUGUUUUUCCAUAAAUAAUUAAAUUUUUUUUAACAAAUGUUUUCCUUAGUUUGGGAAAUGAUUUGCCAACAUAUGUACUUUUAAAACACAUGAUUUCAAAUUCAAAUUCUCAAUUUUAAAUAAGGGUUUUCAAACUUUAGUUUUUUUUAACAGUUGUGAGAGGUUUUUGCCAAAUUUUAUGUUUUCAGAACAUAUUAGUAAGUUGAUUUUUAAUUUGUUUUUUAAACGAGUCGAUGUAAUUCCUCAAAAAUCCAUUCAUAGCGUCUUAGUCUAGAUCUAAACAUUAAUAUUCUCUUCCAAGAAAAAUCAAGAUUAUCAAAUUGUUACAACUUGGUAGGUAGACAAUCAUAUUAAAUAAGCAUAAAACUUAAUAAAUAAUUAGCGAAGAUUGAAACAAUCAAAGAAAAAAUAAAUUAAUUAACUAAGAAAUAGGAUCCAUUAUUGUUUCAAGAAAACAGAGUUUAGUUCAUAUUGAGUUGAGAAAUCCAAAAGGGAGAUUCAAAACAAACUUGUGAAAAGGGGAACAAUGUCAAUAGAUCGUAUUCAAGUUGUUCAACUCGAGAAGGAAAGAUUCAGAUCUAACCUAAAAAGAAGAAACCAAACAGAUUUAGAAAAACAAGAAAAACAAAGAAAAUAACUAAAAUGAGAAAUUUAAGAGUAAUUAAUAAAUAUUAAAACUAAUAAAGAAAUAAAGAAAUUAUAGAAUAAAUAGUGGAAGAUGGAAUGAAUAAACGAUGGAUAUGACAUAUAGAUGGAUAAGUGUCUGAUAAUUCUUGAAAAGAGUUAUUUUUCAUGCCUUUAGACCUAACUUGUAAUGCCCCAAAAAUCCCUUAUAUAUUUAUUUUCGUAAGUUUGUAACAGAAAUAUCUGUUAGCUUUAGUGGUUAUAUGCUUUGGGAGUGUUUAGGAGGUCCCAAGUUGAAACCUUAGCUUGGGCAAUUUUUUUUUGUUUUAAAUGAAUAAAACUCUAUCUUUGAUUAGUAGGCUUAUAAAUAGAUGUUGGUAAAAAAUGUCAGAAUGGUUUUACUGGUUUAGUGGUUAAGUGGGGUGUAAAUAUGCAGGAGCUCUUAUGUUCGAAUCUUUGUGCGAUCAAGAGCAUUUAUUUUAUUACUUGUGUCGUGUAGGUAUUUUGGUCCAGCCAAAAUACUGAAGAGGUUGACUAAGGGUUGGUUUCGGUUGUUGAGAGGUUUAUGGUGGGUUAGUAGAGAGGAUUUUAAGGAGAAAUUUUAGAGAUAUGAAGAGAGAGUUAGUGCCGAAUUGAAUUUCUUUUGCUUUCUCAAAUUUCAGCUGGGGUUUGAUUUUUCUUUUCAAUUUGUUUCUAUUGACUGUUUUCCAUUCUAGAGGGUCAAAUAUUGCUGAGGGUUCCUACUAGUUUCUUUUUUUUCUUUUUCUCUCUUCUCUCUUUCGACUUUGUUCUUCCCAACUGCAAAAGUGCUCUUCCCUAAACUGUUACUACCGUCUACUUUCUCUUUUCCUCCCUUGCUUUUUUUAUUGUCGAAUUUUGGGUUCUUUAUGCAUUUAAUUCUAAUGUCAAUUUAUCACUUCUCUACCAAAAGAUUAUUAUUUUCUCUCAUUGAUUUUCGUUUGGUUCAUCCUUGCUACCAGAAGUGUGGUUGCCCUUCUUUCUUGGUUUCGUUUGUCAUCAUCUGCUACAUGUUCUUUAACACUCUUUUGGUAAGUGUUCGUUUCUUCACCGCUCAGUUACUUGAAGUUAGUUUUUAAAUGGUUGUGUAUUGUUUUGAAUAAGAAUCUGAUAAAUCGUGUGUUCCAACCCUAUUUAGAUCAGUUCAUGGUGGUGUUUAUUGAUGAUAUACUGGUGUAUUCGAGAACUAAGGAUGAGCACGAUGAACACCUCAGAGUGGUUCUACAGAUUCUACGAGAAAAAGAACUGUACGCCAAGUUUAGUAAAUGUGAGUUCUAGUUAAGUGAAGUAACGUUUCUGGGACAUGUGGUUUCUACUGAGGGGAUUAGAGUUGAUCAUCGAAAGAUUGAGGCUGUCUUGGAUUGGAAGCAGCCUAAGACUGUAUAUGAGAUCUACAGUUUUCUCAGAUUGGCAGGGUAUCGACAAUUUGUGUAAAGGGUUUUCUCUAAUUGCCGUACCCUUGACUAAGCUGCUACGUAAAGGCUUACCGUUUAACUGGACUGAUUCAUAAUAAGAGAGCUUUGAGAAGCUCAAGACUGUACUGACUGAGGCCCCUGUUCUAAUAUAGCCAGAGUCUGGAAAAGAGUUUACUAUUUACACUGAUGCAUCACAUGUCUGUUUAGGAUGUGUGUUGAUGUAAGAAGGUAAGGUGGUAGUGUACACGUCUCAUCAGCUUAAGAAUCAUGAGGUGAAUUAUCUUACGCAUGACUUGGAGUUGAAGUGAUUGAGUAUAAUAACAUUUAACAUAUUAGAGCCAAUUGGUUGUCCAUAAACAUAAAAAGGUGACCUUAAUGAGAUACGCCAUAGACUCAAAAGUGUAUCAUUUACACUGAUCACAAGAGCCUCAACUACCUCCUCACUCAUAAGGAGCUGAAUCUUAGGCAACAUAGAUGGAUUGAGAUGCUUAAGGACUACGACUGUACUAUUGAAUACCACCCUGGUGAGGCUAAUGUGGUGGCUGACGCACUAAGCCGUAAAACUAUGACUGAACUGAGGGUGAUGUUUUCUCGCCUUAUUUUAUUUGAUAAUGGUAGUCUGUUGGCCAAACUUCAGGUUAAACCGAUUUGGAUAGAGUAGAUUAAGUGUAUACAAGUAGAGAAUGAGUUGUUGGGUCUUCGUUUUUGACAGGUUGAGAGUGGGAAUACCAAGGAUUUUAGACUGAAUAGUGAAGGGGUGCUCUAUAUCUGUGGGAGAAUCUAUGUAAAGACCUUCGUGAGUUAUACUAGUGGCCAGGUCUUAAAUGAGAAUUUACUAAAUUUUUGGCUAAGUGUCUGACAUGCUAGCAGGUUAAGGCUGAACAGCAGUUACCUUCGGGAUUGUUGCAGCCAGUCAAGAUUUCAGUUUGGAAGUGGGAGCAUGUAACUAUGGAUUUCAUUAGUGGGUUACCCCUCACACCCACUAAAAAGGAUUCGAUGUAGGUCAUCGUGGAUUGAUUGACCAAAUCCGCCCACUUCAUACCAAUUUGUACUGAUUACUCUCUGUAGAAGCUGGCUAAAUUGUAUGUGUCUGAAAUAGUGAGAUUACAUGGGGUACCGAUUUUAAUAAUAUCUUAUAGGGAUCCUCAUUUCACAUCUCGGUUCUGGAAGAAGCUAUAUGAAGCUUUGGGUACAAGAUUGGAGUUUAGUACUGCGUUUUAUCCUCAGACUGACGGUCAGUCAGAGAGGGUGAUUCAGAUACUAGAGGAUAUGUUGAGAAGUUGUGUGAUUGACUUUCGAGGUAGUUAGGAGGAUUACUUACCGCUAGUAGAAUUUGCAUAUAACAACAACUAUCAGUCUAGCAUUCAAAUGACACCCUAUGAGGCAUUAUAUGGUCGUAGGUGUCGCACACCUUCAUGUUAGACUGAGUUAGGCGAGCAGCGUAUUUUGGGGCCUGAACCAGUUUCUGAUACAGAGGAUAAAGUUAGACUAAUUCAGGACCAACUGAAAGCGAUAUCUAAUAGGCAUAAGUCCUACACCGAUCUAAAGAGUCGAGGGAUUGAGUAUUCUGUGGGGGACUUCAUUUUUCUCAAGGUCUCACCAUGGAAGAAGGUAUUAAGGUUUGGUCGUAAGGGCAAGUUGAGCCCUAGUUUAUUGGGCCCUAUCGCAUACUAAAACGUGUGAGAUGAGUUGCCUACCAGUUGGAGUUACCUCUAGAGUUAGAUCGGAUUUAUGACGUGUUCCAUGUCUCUAUGUUGAGGUUACCGCUCUAAUCCUACGCAUAUUAUUCCUAUUAAGGAAAUCAAGGUUAGGCUAGAUCUAACCUUUGAGGAGGAGUCAAUUCAGAUAUUGGAGUGAGAUAUAAAGGUUCUAAGAAGAAAAUUCAUCCCACUAGUUAAGGUUAUUUGGCGUAACCAUAGCACUGAGGAGGCCAUAUGGGAGUCUAAGGAUGUAAUGCUUUAGCAGUAUCCUCACCUAUUCUGAUCAGGUAAAUUUUCAAGGCCAAAAUUUUCUUUUAGGGGGUAGAGUUGUAGCGCCCCAAAAAUCCCUUAUAUAUUUAUUUUCGUAUUUUUUAUACAAAUAUCUGUCAGCUUUAGAGGCUAUGUGCUCUGGUAGUGUUUGGGAGGUCCCAAGUUCAAGCCUUAGCUUGGGCAAUUUUUUAGUUUUAAAUGAAUAAAAUCAUAUCUUUGAUCAAUAGGCUUAUAAAUAGAUGUUGGUAAAAUAUGUCAGAAUGGGCAUGCUGGUCUAGUGGUUAAGUGGGGUGCAAAUAUGCUGCAGGUCUUGUGCUUGAAUCUCUAUGUAUAGAGCAUGUUGUUAAACUGUACUACAUGCAUAUAUGAUACCAUGAUAUGACAUGACAUGAUUGUGUGGUGCAUGGCAUGGGGAUAGGUUAUUAUUGAUCGAAGGAAGUGUACUGGAAGGCUUUGAGCCUAACUUACUGGCAGCUCAGCUGCAUAUUACUGUAUAGUGUCGCCAUUGGUACUACUUAGAGUGUAGGGAUGGGUGGGUUGAUUAUAUCCCCACAUGAAGUGUAGGGUUGGUCGGAGUUGGUGUGUAGAGGUUGGCUAGGUAGGACUUGUAUACUGCAUAAUCUGUUAAUGUACUGAUUGCUAAUAUUGUAAUGGGCCAAGGCCCAAAUGCAUGAUUACUUUUGUACUAAGAUGGGCUAAAGCCCAAACCAAUACUGUCACUGAUACUGGAAAGGGCUUAGGCCGGACUGAGUUUAUUCUGUUUUCUGUCUGAUUAUUUUGUGUACUGUCUAUUUGUUUGCACUAGGAAUAUCACACUGAGUUUUGAAAACUCACCCUUUCUGUUAAUCUGUGUAGGUAAUCCCCAGUCGUAGGUAGAUCGGUGUGGCGGAGGAUUCAGCGGUGGCCACACGACUCCUUUUUAUUGUUUCGUAUCUAAUGAUAUUUAUUUUUAAGUCUUUAUUUGGGGUUUUUAUCUGUAAUAAUUGCUGCUAUGGAUUUUUUAUUUAAAUUUGGAUUUAACACUACUUCAUGUUUACAUCUGCUAGAGGUAGAUAUAGCACGGAUUUUUGAAAAGAAAUGCAUGUGUUUUAGCAAAAUACCCCAAUGUCACAAACUGUUUUAAAAAGCUUCCGCAACGUAUAAUGAUUUGCAAACUAACAAUUGAAUAAAAAUCACUAUUUUGGGAUUAACAAAAGAUAACGACGACCUCUAAUCGAAAAAUGUUUUAAGCAAAGUUACCAUUUUUCAACAUGAGCUUCGGUUUUGAAAAAUACCACCAUGUGACAUCGCCAAAUUCGCCCGUAACAUCCAGGCUGGGUUUGGGGUGUUAGAUAACUAAUUGCUUGAACUUAAGUACAUUUUGUUGCAUUUUAAGACAUUUUAGUUAGCAUUUCUAAUAUUGCAUUAGGACUUAGAUUGUGUUGGACUUAUGUGUUUUUAAUAUGGUGGAGUUUUUUUGUGUGUUGGUAUGGCAAGAACAUAUUUUAGAACGAGGAAAUAAAUGAGUGAAGUUUUGUCAGGGAAAAAGUGCAGACAGUUUGCCAGCACGGAUGCCGUGACAAUGCCAGGAAGACCAAGUAAACAUUUUUUUGCGCAACAGUCUCAAUUGAAAUUAAAACUUGUACCAGAUAAAUCUUCAAAAAAGAGGAGAAGAUAAUCACAAGUUGUUACUUGACACUAGCCUAAUCUACCUAUAAAAGCCAAUAAAGGGGAUCUCACAAAUGGCAGAAAAAAGUGGGAGGGAUCCUUAGGUGUGAAUAAGGUUUUAGUUGCGCAAAGGAAAGGAAGUCGAAGGCAGUGCUUUUUAGCCAUCACAGGAUGUUGUGCUACCGAAGUGUAAACUAGGCAAGUGAAAGUUGUUUCCCAAAGUUCUUUCGUUAUUUCCAUCAGCGUUCCUUCAAAAUAUUGAAGUAGUUGAACACAAUGUCAGAUAAUAUUUUGCUUUUGAAUUUUAUUUCUCAGCCCAUGAGCUAAAUCUCGUAGGGUUGGGAUUACUUUUGAUGAAACCUUAAACUAUUUUUAUGGAUGCAGUAUAUAUCUAAUUUACUUUACUGUUUCAUUUGAUUGUUCUUAUUUCUUAAUUAAAAUGCAAAUGAUUUCUAAACAUAGAAGACUGUUCGCAUACUUAUAAACUCAUUCUAAUUCUGAAAGGGUUGGAUUGGUUGGAUUAAAAUUAAAUGAAAUGAGCAAGUAUUCGAUGGACACUUGUAGUAGACUCUAUACAUAGAGUGACGAUCAUACAGAAGGAACCCAUGCAAGGUAUCUAAAAAGUCUUUAGACAUAGGCAAGGUAACUUGAUGUUUUCCUCUCAUGAGAGGAGAGCCAUUUUAGUACUCUUCUGUGCUUUAUAGUAGAUACGAUUUUCCCAAGGCAUUAUUGACAAUAAGGGUCAAUAUUCGGUAAUCCUGACCUUCGAAAUCCACAUCGUAUAUCCUUUAUUCUUUUCCACAUCAUUAUUAGUUAUUUAUUUGUUCAUUUACAUAAUAUUCCCAUAGUAAUUCUCAUCAUUGUCAUUACAUUUCUACUCUUGGUUUGACACAACAUUACCACUUAUUUAUUAAUUCUAUGUAUUGCUUACAUCAUUACUCUACUAAUUGCCACUGUAUAUUCAUCAUUGACUCUCCCAUAGCAUUAAUCGUAUUUUAUUAUAAUAAUUUGACCAAUUGUGUGCCUCAAUCCGAUCUUUAUGGGAACGAUACACACUCAUCACUUUAUUACGUGAUUCAACUGUAUACUUGCACAAAUCGCAUAUCAUUUCACACACGAUAGUGUUCAAUUGAACCCUUUGAGAUAUAAACCUAGACAAACUCAAUUAAUGGCUUUAAUUAACCCACCAAGAAAUAAUGAUUGGCAAAUUGAACGAUGAAGAAUGAAUUCCCAUGACUCCUUAAAAAAUUGAGAAGAAAAAUACUUCUAAAAAUCACAAGAAACAAAUCUUGGACAAAGAAACUAACUUUCAGAGUUGGAAAUUUUAGUAAUAAACAAAAACAAUUGCAUCUCUAAUGAACAUGAAGGGCCUUUACAUAGGCUAGAUAAGUACAUCCAGAUAAAAUAUUCAAGUAUCUUGAAACUUUAAUUAAUAUAAGUAAUAAGUAAUUUUAAACUAAAAUAGUCAUAAUUUUCGUCAUAAUCCCGUCCAAAAAUUCUGCUCACAUAAUCAUCAUUAAAAUAGUCAUAAUUUAAGCUCUUGAACUCAAAAUUGAGUGAAUAAAAGUGUGUUUCGAAGUUAAGUGCUAGAUCUUAGAACUUUAUGAAGACAUAUCAAUCGAAAAUUGUCCGGAUCCCAUCCAAAGAGUCACAGCAAGUUAACUAAUUUUUCAAACUUGAAAAUUGGCAACUUCGGGGAAUGGAAUUUAAUACAGUUCACCCCAUCUAUUCAUGUAUCAACUCGCAUUGGUAAAAAGUAAAAAGAAAUAAUCUAUAGAGAAAAUAGUUGAAGAAUUUAUGAAAAUUUAUUCAAAUCUCUUUUUUUUCUAGUCUUUGCAAGCUUGAAUUUUCCCUUGGUGUGUGAGAGUUGUUCCUUACCCUCUAAGUGAUUUUUUUUCUUUUUCUUUCUCUUCGAUCUCGUCACCUAAGGGUGUUCAAACAAUUGAUUCAGUUAGUACCCGUGCAAAACUAUCAUUAACUGAAAUUUUGAAACCCUUAAUCAUUAAUCAAACCAUUUUCUUUUUUGAAACCUACUAACCAGCUUGAUUGAUUUGGGUUAAUUUGAGUGGUUAACCAAAAUUUAAACAUUGUUUGUUUUUGUUCAAACAAUUUUAAAACAAAGAACAAUCCAUGACAAUUUUUCCUUGUUUUUUAUUCAAAAAAAUUAAAAGAAUUAAAAAAAUAACAUAAUAACAACACUAAAUUAAAAACAUAAUAGCAUUCAUUACAUUACAAAGCAUAUAUAUAUAUUUACUUUUUCUUGACUUUUUAGUUUAAUUUUCGUUUUAUUUUCCUAAUAUUUUUAGUUUUCAUAUUUUUGUUAAGCUUAUUAUAAGAACACUUAUAAAUCCAUUAGUUCUUAUAUAUUGGGUUUGUAUAAUGUAUUCGACCUAUCUCUAAUAUAUUGGGCCUAUAAUAUAUUUUUAUUGAUUUCGGUUAAUCAAUUCAUUCGAUUAAUUAGUCGAUUUCAAACUAAAAUAAUUGGUAAACAAAAUCUUCAAAAACCUUUAACCAACUCCAACCAAAUUAGAUUCAUUGAUCAACUUCUUAAUCAAAUUAAUUAGGUUUGAUAAAUUAAUUCGUUAAAACUGAAAAAUGCACACCCCUAUCAUCACCGUUGUUUUUAGGGAUUUUAAUCAUGUUGCUCCACCUGAUGCAGAAGUUGAGGUGGAAUGAACUACUUGCUACCAAAAUUUUUGAAUUAUAGAGCAUGCUCUACCGCAGUGAAUCAAAUUCGGUGGAGUGGAAGACUUUUCUUUACUACUUUAUGCUCUAUGCUCCAAGUCUUCUAUUCUUCUUCUGAGACCUAAAAUGGGAAAAAAAAAGAAGAAACAAGUCUAAACUAACUUUGAAAAUUAGAAAUUCUCAACAAAAUUGAAAUAAAAUAUAAUUAAUCCAUAAAAACUAUAAAAAAUACAAUAAAAACGAACCUAAAUACUAAAAUUACCUCCUAAAAAGCUAUGGAAACUAUACUAAAAUAAUUCUAAAUAUGAUAGUUAUCAAAAAUGACAUGAGGAAGCCAAUCGAGUAGAUGCUUUCAACUAUUGCAAAUACCAUUAGUCGAUUAGCCAUCAUCUUGAGAACAUCAUAGAGUUGAAAGAAAAAAUCAUACAACUCCAUAAAGAAGAAAAAAUCAUUUUUGAAAAAGAAUUGGCAUUAUCAAACUUGACAUCAAUGCUUUGGUUUCUCAAUACAAUAUUAUGGACAAAUUCAUCAAAUUUGGCUCUUUCAAUCCUAUUACACUAGCUCUAAGUAGAAGUAAGAUGGUGAGUUUCGAAGGGAUUGAGGGCAAUCAUCUAUUUUUGGAAUAUCAGAAUGGUCAUGAUUGGACUCUAGCCACAUGUCAAAGAAGCCAAUGAAAAGCAUCUCUCCUAGGUAUAAGCUUAUAUUAUCACAUUGCUCCUAAGCAUGAGCAUAAAUCGUUCAUCCAGAAUGAUGAUGAUCCUAAGCAUAAGCUUAAACUAUUCAUCUAAUGCUCCUAAGAUGGAGCUUAAUCUAUUCAACCUAAACGAUCAUGCUUUAAGCACAAUCUUAAACUAUUCACAAAAAAUAAAUGAUGAUCCAAUGAAGCAUGAGCUUAAACUAUUCAUACAAAAUAAGCGAUGACCUUCUAAGCAUGAAUUUAAAUUGUUCAUACAUAAUAAAUGAUGAUAUUACUAAGAACAAGCUUAAACUGUAGUCUAAAAAAUAUUGAACUAUAUUAUAACUUGAUCUUUUAAAAAUGAAGGUACGUAGAUAGCUUGGUUUCAUUGCCAAGUUCAGUCUAAUUAAAUAUGUUUAUGGUGUGUUUAGAGAAUUAAAUGAUUAUAUGAUUAUUUUCCAGGUAUUCGAGGUUGUUUCAUUUGGUUUAAUGGGUAAAUAAAGCUUUAAGGGGUAUGUGAUUACAUGAAAUGAACUAUCAUAUUUGAGUAAUGAUAUGGAUGAUGAUGAAAUGUUUAAUUGAAAAGGAAAUAUGGUUUAGUAUAUAUGUAUGAGUGGUGAAUUAUGAAAGUGAAAUGUAGAUAUGUUUUAUACCAUGUUUUGAUUCGAAUUAUAUAUGAUAUUUAAACCAACUAACCUUGUGAGGUGGUGUGUAUAGGAAAGGAAAGUUGGCUUAAAACAUAAUGAAAUUAUGCUUGGUUUUUUAACUUAAAAUAUUCAAUAAGUUAAGUUUCCUUUAUAUGAACUUACUAAACAUUAGUUGCUUACAUAGUUAUUUUUCUUUAUUUUGUAGUUCAUCAGAAGCUCGACCGAUUGGAAUCAUGUUAGAGCAUGAUCACACUAUCCAUUCAACAUUUUAAUAGUUCUUCGUUAUUUUGGUAAAUAGUUGUAAAUGACAUGUAAUGGGGUUUAACGGUCAUUCCAGUAAUUUGACUUGUUUUGAGUUGUGUCAAGCUUAUUGUGAUUAAUGUUGUUAGUUGCUGGCAUGUAAAUAAUGGUGUAAAUAUGUGUGAUCGGACCCUUAUGCAUGCUUUAUUGAUUAAAGAUAUCAUAUGUUAAAAUGGCAUGUUUUUGGAAUGGUUAUUUGGCAUGAUUGGUAUUUAUGAUCUUGAGAUGUUGAAUUGAAUUAAGUUUGAUAUGUAUAUUGUGAUACCUUCAUUGACAUAUUGGUUAGAUAUUAAAGGAUGGUUGAUUUGGUAUGUUUUUGAAAUGGUUGUUGGUAUGUUUUCUCUAAGUUAAUUAAAUGAAUUUGUAAUGUUGAAUGGUAUAAUAUUUGUUGGUACAUUAGUUAGUCUUAUAGGUUGAUGGAAUUGGUAUGUUUUAAAUGUGUUUUGGUUAUUUCAAUGUUUGUGGAAAUGGUGUGUCUUGGUGUACAAGAUUUGAAAUUGAAACGGCUUGAUUUAGAAGCAACUUAUGCUACACACCGCCUGGGACAUGGAUUGUCACAUGGCUGUGUCAUUAUUAUUUUAGGUAUAGGUUUCACACAAUCUAAGACUCAGCUCACGACACAGCUGUGUAUCACAAGUCAGUAUGUAACACGGUUUUGUACAUGGCCUGCGACACGAUCGUGUGUCCAGACUUCGAAUGUCCACAUGGUCUAGGCUAUGUCACAUGGCUUGGCCACAUGGCCGUGUGACUUUUGUUUUCAAGUUUUCCAAAAUUUUCUAUUUUAUUUCAAAUUGAUCCUAGAAUAUUCUCAAACUAUUUUUAAGGCCCCGUAGGUUCGGAUUAAGGCCCGUAAGUGUAUGUUUGCUAUAAUUAAGUUGUGUUAUUGAAUGUUAUUAAUUCAAACACAUGAAUACUUUGUUGUAAGUUAAAUGUUUUAAUUUGUACUAUAAUGCUUCGUAACCCUAAUCUGGCGAUGGAAACAAGUUUGGCGUGUUACAAUUUUGUAUUGUAAAUUUGUUUUGGGGCUUUGUUCUUUGGUUCUUGUGAUGUUGGUUGGAUUUUGGUGUUUUAACAUUAAACUGCAAAAUUGUAGGAUUUAACAAACUAAAAUUAGGUUUUCAAAAUUAAAACUCUGGAAAUUUUUGUUGCAAAGUUUAAGUAAUCACUUAAGUGUUUUUCUAUAGAUAAUUAAAUGGUUUUUAACAAAUGUUUUCCUUACUUUUGGAAAUGAUCUGCCAACAUUAGUACUUCUAAAACACAUGAUUUCAAAUUCAAAUUCUCAGUUUUAAAUAAGGGUUUUCACACUUCGAUUUUUUUUAAACAUUUUUGAGAGGUUUUUGCCAAAUUUUAUGUUUUCAGAACGUGUAACCAAGUUGAUUUUUAAUUAGUUUUUCAAAGUAGUCGAUGUAAUUCCUCAAAAAUCCAGUCAUAGCGUCUAGGCCGGGUUUGGGAUAUUAUACUGACGUUACUAAAGUUAAUCUUCAUCUAUUUAGUCUUGAUCUAAACAUUAAUAUUCUCUUCAAAAAAAAUCAAGAUUAUCAAAUUGUUAAAACUUGGUAGGCAGACAAUCAUAUUAAAUAAGCAUAAAACUUAAUAAAUAAUUACCGAAGAUUGAAAUAAUCAAAGAAAAAAUAAAUUAAUUAACUAAGAAAUAGGAUCCAUUAUUGUUUCAAGAAAAUAGAGUUUAGUUCACAUUGAGUUGAGAAAACCAAAAGGGAGAUUCAAAACAAACUUGUGAUAAGGGGAAUAAUGUCAAUAGAUCAUAUUCAAGUUGUUCGGCUUGAGAAAGAAAGAUUCAGAUCUAACUUGAAAACAAGAAACCAAAAAGAUUUAGAAAAACAAGAAAAAACAAAGAAAAUAACUAAAAUGAUAAAUUUAAGAAUAAAUAAUCAAUAUUAAAAAUAAUAAAGAAAUAAAGAAAUUAUAGAAUAAAUAGUGGAAGAUGGAAUGAAUAAACGAUGGAUAUGACAUAUAGAUGGAUAAGUGUCUUAUAAUUCAUGAAAAGAGUUAUAUUUCAUGCCUUUAGACCUAACUAAUUGUUUGUACUUAAGUACAUUUUGUUGCAUUUUAAGACAUUUUAGUUAGCAUUUCUAAUAUUGCAUUAGGACUUAGAUUGUGUUGGAAUUAUGUGUUUUUAAUAUGGUGGAGUUCUUUUGUGUGUUGGUAUGGCAAGAACAUAUUUUAGAACGAGGAAAUAAAUGAGUGAAGUUUUUUCAAGGAAAAAGUGCAGACAGUUUGCCAGAACAGAUGCCGUGACAAUGCCAGGAAGACAAAGUUAACAUUUCUUUGCGCAACAGUCUCAGUUGAAAUUAAAACUUGUACCAGAUAAAUCUCCCUAAAAGAGGAGAAGAUAAUCACAAGUUGUUACUUGACACUAGCCUAAUCUAUCUAUAAAAGCCAAUAAAGGGGAUCUCGCAAAUGGCAGAAAAAAAUGGGAGGGAUCCUUAGGUGUGAAUAAGGUUUUAGCUGCGCAAAGGAAAGGAAGUCGAAGGAAGUGCUUUUUAGCCAUCACAGGAUGUUGUGCUACCGAAGUGUGGACUAGGCAAGUGAAAGUUGUUUCCCAAAGUUCUUUCGUUAUUUCCAUCAGCGUUCCUUCAAAAUAUUGAAGUAGUUGAACACAAUGUCGGAUAAUAUUUUGCUUUUGAAUUUUAUUUCUCAGCCCAUGAGCUAAAUCUCGUAGGGUUGGGAUUACUUUUGAUGAAACCUUAAACUAUUUUUGUGGAUGCAGUAUAUAUCUAAUUUACUUUACUGUUUCAUUUGGUUGUUCUUAUUUCUUAAUUAAAAUGCAAAUGAUUUCUAAACAUAGAAGACUGUUCGCAUACUUAUAAACUCAUUCUAAUUCUGAAAGGGUUGGAUUGGUUGGAUUAAAAUUAAAUGAAAUGAGCAAGUAUUCGAUGGACACUUGUAGUAGACUCUAUACAUAGAGUGACGAUCAUACAGAAGGAACCCAUGCAAGGUAUCUAAAAAGUCUUUAGACACAGGCAAGGUAACUUGAUGUUUUGCUCUCACGAGAGUCAGGCCAUUUUAGUACUCUUUUGUGCUUUAAAGUAGAUACGAUUUUGCCAAGGCAUUAUUGACAGUAAGGGUCGAUUUUGGGUAAUCAACUUUCCAAAUCCACAUCGUAUAUCCUUUAUACCUUACCAUAGUAUAUUUGCCACAUCAUUAUUAGUUAUUUAUUUGUUCAUUUACAUAAUAUUCCCAUAGUAAUUCUCAUAAUUAUCAUUAGAUUUCUACUCUCAGUUUGCCACAACAUUACCAAUUAUUUAUUACCUCCACGUAUUGCUUACACCAUUACUCUACUAAUUUCAACUAUAUAUUUAUCAUUGAGUUUGCCAUGGCAUUAAUCGUAUUUUAUUAUAAUAACUUGACCAAUUGUGUGCCUCAAUCUGAUCCCCAUGGGAACGAUACUCACUCAUCACUUUAUUACGUGAUUCAACUGUAUACUUGCACAAAUCGCAUAUCAUUUCACACACGACAGUGUUCAAUUGAAACCUUUAAGAUAUAAACUCGGACAAACUCAAUUAAUGGCUUUAAUCAACCCACCAAGAAAUAAUGAUUGGCAAAUUGAACGAUGAAGAAUGAAUUCCCAUGACUCCUUAAAAAAUUGAGAAGAAAAAUACUUCUAAAAAUCACAAGAAACAAAUCUUGCACAAAGAAACUAACUUUUAGAGUUGGAAAUUUUAGUAAUAAACAAAAACAAUUGCAUCUCUAAUGAACAUGAAGGGCCUUUACAUAGGCUAGAUAAGUACAUCCAGAUAAAAUAUUCAAGUAUCAAGUACAUCCAGAUAAAAUAUUCAAGUAUCUUGAAACUUUAAUUAGUAUAAGUAAGAAGUAAUUUUAAACUAAAAUAGUUAUAAUUUCCGUCAUAAUCCCAUCCAAAAAUUCUGCUCACAUAAUCAUCAUUAAAAUAGUCAUAAUUUGAGCUCUUGAACUCAAAAUUGAGUGAAUAAAAGUGUGUUUCGAAGUUAAGUGCUAGAUCUUAGAACUUUAUGAAGACAUAUCAAUCGAAAAAUGUCUGGAUCCCAUCCAAAAAGUCACCACAAGUUAACUAAUUUUUCAAACUUGAAAAUUGGCAGCUUUGGUGAAUGGAAUUUAAUAAAGUUCACCCCAUCUAUUCAUGUAUCAACUCGCAUUGGUAAAAAGUAAAAAGAAAUAAUCUAUAGAGAAAAUAGUUGAAGAAUUUAUGAAAAUUUAUUCAAAUCUCUUUUUUUUCUAGUCUUUGCAAGCUUGAAGUUUCCCUUGGUGUGUGAGAGUUGUUCCUUACCCUCUAAGUGAUUUUUUUUCUUCUUCUUUCUCUUCGAUCUCGUCACCUAAGGGUGUUCAAACAAUUGAUUCAGUUAAUACCCGUACAAAACUAUCAUUAACUGAAAUUUUGAAACCCUUAAUCAUUAAUCAAACCAAUUUUUUUGAAACCUACUAACUAGCUUCAUUGUUUUCGGUUAAUUUGAGCGGUUAACCAAAAUUUACACAUUGUUUGUUUUUUUUCAAACAAUUUUAAAACAAAGAACAAUCCACGACAAUUUUUCCUUGUUUUUUAUUCAAAAAAAUUAAAAGAAUUAAAAAAAACAUAAUAACAACACUAAAUUAAAAACAUAAUAGCAUUCAUUAUAUAUAUAUUUACUUUUUCUUGACUUUUUAGUUUAAUUUUAGUUUUUUUUUUCCAAAUAUUUUUAGUUUUCAUAUUUUUGUUAAGCUUAUUAUAAGAAAACUUAUAAAUCCAUUAGUUUUUAUAUAUUGGGUUUGUAUAAUGCAUUGGACCUAUCUCACAUAGUCAUCAUUAAAAUAGUCAUAAUUUGAUCUCUUGAACUCAAAAUCGAGUGAAUAAAAGUGAGUUUCUAAGUUAAGUGAUAGAUCUUAGAACUCUAUGAAGACAUAUCAAUUGAAAAAUGUCUGAACUCCAUCCAAAAAUUCACGCAAGUUAACUAAUUUUUCAAACUUGAAAAUUGGUAGCUUCGGUGAAUGGAAUUUAGUAAAGUUCACCCCAUAUAUUGAUGUAUCAACUUUCAUUGUAAAAAGUAAAAAGAAAUAAUCUAUAGUGGUUAGUGUUUUAAUGGGGGUUUUGUGUUUACUCUCGGUUAGGGGAAGGGCAAGAAGAGUUGGUACUCCUGCAGCAAUUUGAGCGUUAAGGGUGUCUGUUCGUCGGCGGUAAGGUUUCAAAUUCUUUGUUGGUUAUUGUAAGGCUCCGUUUGUGGAAUGGUUUUGGAUUGAGUUUCGUAAGUGUACUGAAUUUGGGCUUCUGGAUGCUAUUUCUUAGGUUCGAUGGUCUCGGGGGUGCUUGUGCAUCAAAACGAUAUCAGGUGUGUACCCGAAAUGCAGAAAAUCGAGCUUCGAUGAAAUCUAAAACACCUUACUAUCGACACCACAAGGGCAUGUGCCUGGCCGUGUGGUUGGCUGUGUGUAGGACACGGUCAUGUGUUUGACGAGGGUAGGGUCGUGAGGAAGACAUGGCCGUGUGACGAUGUGGGCCCGCAGGCUAGGCCAAGUUAGGCUUGUGGGUUUUGGGCCACAUGUGCAUGUGGGUUUUGGGCCAAGCCAUGUGAACCACAUGGACAGGGCUAAUCUGGGUGUGUUGACCACAUGGGCAUGUGGGCCCGAAAUUCUAAAAUUUUUCGUAGGGUCUCACAGGUCAUUUUGGUCGACUUUGUGCCUACCGUAGGGUCAGUAAGGGCUAACCAAACCCUAAAACUAUGUGAUCUGUUAGUUUGAUAUUUGUUCUAAAUAUGAUACUACUAUGCAUGUCUGAUUAGUCUGGUGUAUAUAUAUAUAUCUGAUAUAUAUGUAUGAGCAUGUGAGCAUGAUAACUCUGAUUAUAUAUAUCUGAUUGAGGUGGGAUUUCUAUAUGUGGAGGAAGUGUUCUAUAUGGCGGUCAUCGCCUAUGUUCUGGCAGCUUGGCUAUACAUUAUCUGACAUGUAUCGUAAUGGCACGAUAUGGUGUGUAGGGAUUGGUGGGUGUUUUUAACCCCACAUGAUGUGAUGGGAUGGUCAGAGUUGGUUUGUAGAGGAUGGAGUUAGGAUUCUGUAUUUCUAAUAUGCAUAUAUGUUCUAUUAUUUGAAUCUAUAAAGGACUUAGGUCUGAAUCUGAAUCUGAAAUUGUAUCUGAUCGUGUAUGAGUUUAUUGCACGUAUUGCAUGUAUUUUUCUGUUGGGUUACACACUGAGUUUACGAAAACUCACAUUUGUUUGUCGGUUUUGUUUAGGUAAUCCACAGACUUAGACGGGUCAGUGUUACGGAGGCUCAGUGGUGACCACUUGAUUGAGAACUAUUUUACUUAGUAAAUUAUGUUUUAUUUAUAAUUUCGAUUUCAUUUGAGAGUUUGUAAUUUUUGGGACUCUCCGGACUGCUGGUUUUUAUUUUGGUUUUGGAUGCGAUUUUAGACUCUUUUGUUGCGAUGCAUAAUGGAAAACACGGUUUUAUGAAAACAAAGGUUAUUCUGAAAAUACGAACUGGAUUUCUAAAAUAUAACGGUUCAAAAACUUCUGCUAAAAAUCAUGUUUUGGUAAAUAAAUGAAUUAAGUAACACUUUCAAAAAUGGUUAUAAAGAAAUAUGAACUAUGAAUCUUUAAUGAUUUGACAAAAAGACCUUAUUUUCAAAACCAUACAUUGUGACCACUCCAGAUUCAGCUAUAACGUCUAGACCGAUUUGGGGUGUUACAGUAAGGAUGAAAAUUUAAGGGGGAGUGAGCUAUGGCGCUUAGUAUGAGUUCAUUCACAAUAAAUUCAAUGCAAACGGUUGGUAGGACACAUUAAAUAAUAUCACAUAAAAUAAUCACAGUCAGAUAAUAGUUUAGAAUGUCGGUUUUACAAUUUAACCACCAAUAUUAUCACAGUAUUCACAGUUGUAAUUUCAGAAUAUCAAAUUUUCACACCAUUCACAAUAUUUAGAUAUAUAUAAAUAUAUCAUAACAGAAUUCCAGAUUUGUAUGCACAUGAUUUAGAAGAUGCCAUACAAUUUCGGGUUUUAACAGAAUAAAUCCUACCCCACGUUACAUACCAUAAUGGGAGUUCCCCUAAACUCCCUUCUCCAACACACUGGGUACCACUACUGGUUUACAAAUAAUAACUAUCAUUUGGCUGUGGACACACAGCAAUCCCCCACAAUUGGAUUCUAGAUUUGGUUGUGGGUUCACAGCAAAAAAAUCUACAAAUGAAGCAUGCUUUUGCCUGUAGAUUAUACAACAUAUACCCAUAGUUGGAAUCUGCCUUCGGCUGUGGACACACUGUAACACCUCAAACCUGACCUGGACGUUAUGGCCGAAUCUUGAGGAAUUACUUUAACUCGCUAGAAAACCCAAGAGUUUACUUUGAAAUCAUGUGGUUAAACUAGUGUUCACUUUGAUAAAUCGUUUUCCAGUUUUAGGGAAAAUUAUUAUUAAAACUACUACUUUAUUACAAUAAAAAAUUAAAGUGAUUGUAUCAUUUUGUAACGGAAUCUACUGAGCUAUAAGGUUUUGAAAAUCGUGGUUUAAUUUGCAACAAAUCAUUUUGCAAAUAGAAAUUUAAUACUACUUAAUUUGGAAAAGCAUGCUAAAACGAAAGCAAAGUCCAAACUAAUUUACGAUUUAAAUUCUUAAAAGUCCAAAUUAAACAUAAAGUCAAUUUAAACCAGUUUAUCGAAAGUGUAACACCCCAAACCCGGCCUAGACAUUAUGGCCAAAUCUGGAUGUGUUACAAAAAAAAAGUUUAUAAAACGACUUCCUUGUUAUUGGCAAAUCAUCGCAACCAUUAUUACAUAGUAUGUCUGAUUUGUUUGGAGAACUUUUUGAUAUACUUAUUUGAUUUAAGAUCGUUGCUUGCUUAUGCCUUUCUAUUAAACCGAAUGUUUUGCAGUGGAGUUUCUUUAAAAUGUCAUAUUUUGGCAAAUCAAAUUGUUUCUUGAAAAUCGUUAUUUCAGAAAAGUUGUCAUUUUCAGGAAAACUAUUUUAUCGGUUGUUACGCUUAGAAAACCAAAAUAAAAUCCAAAACCAAAAAUAGUCCCAAAAAGUCCAAAGAGUCCCGAAAUUACAAAACUCUCAAAACCAGAAAAGUUUGAACUAAUUUUAAAAGAAUGAAAAUUUAUAGAAAUAUGGUCAACAUUGAGCUUCCGUCACACCGACCCACAUAAAUGUAAGGGUUACUUGAACAGAACAAACAAAUAGAGAGUGAGUUUUGAAACUCAGUGCGUAACGCGAAUAUAAACAAAAAUUUAGAAUCAAUCUAAUGCAUAACAGAUACAAAUGUAAACCUUUUAUAGAAUAAGAAUUAUACAGAUACAAAUGUGCAAAAUCCUACCCUCGUCCUCUACACACCAAUUCUGACCAGCCCAUCACACCACGUGGGGUAUAAAACACCCACCUAGCCAUACACACGGUAUAGUGUUUAUACGACACUUUUCAGAAUAAUCGCAGUAGAGUUGCCAGUAUAUAGGUGAGAUAUUUCCUCACACAGAACACUUCCUCCUCAUAAUACAAAUCCCGCUCCAUAGCCAGAUACAGACAGAAUAUUAGGUAAAACAAAUUAACAGAUACCAGAGUUAACAUAUCAUGCAUGAGCGUAUAACAAAUAUUACACAUGCUUGUACAUAACAGAACAAACCAUACAUACCGUAUUCCAUAAUACUCAUAUAAAUGUUAUUUUUUAAAUUGUAACAAAUAUUAUUAUUAAGAUGUUUUUCUUUUUAUAUUUUUAUAAAAAUAUAUUAAAAAACAAUUAGAAUAAUUUUAAGAGAAAAAACACUCAUAAAUAGUAGAAUUUAAUCUAAAAAUAUCAAAGUUUUAAAGCCUCAACUUUAACAUUUCAACCAAAAUUCCAUUAGUAUAUAAAUAUUUCAUAAAUAUAGAUUUUAUAUAAAAAAUUUAUGUUAACUUUUUUUUAACCCGCAUCACAAGUAUACCAUAUUUAGAGAUAUUCAUAGCUAGGCAGCCCACUUUGGGUCAAGCUUGAGCUUAGGUUUUAUCUCAAGUUGGCCCAAUUUAACCUAUUUUACUAUUUAAAAAUAUAAAUAUAUGUUAUAUUGAUAUUUAUAUAUUUCUAUAAUUAAAUUUUAAAUAAAUUUAUUGUUAACUUCUAAACAUAAAACAAAGAGAACUUUCACCCAAGUUAUAAGUUUGUGGUUAGACAGCCGACUUUCGGGGCAGGAUUCAGCUUACGUUUUUAAUCUUGGGAUUUAACAAUAAUAAAAAAUUUAAAAAUAAUAUUCUAUUAAUAUUUAUAAAUUUUAUAAAUUUAAAUUUAAUUAUAUUUUUUAAACAGUAAAAUGAACCAUUUAUAUGGGCUAAUUAGAGUUAAGUUUGGUUUGAAUCAAGGCUUAACUUUGACCAAAUCCAACUAAAAACACCUCUAACAAUUAUCUAGUAUUGUUUUUAUGAAUUGAAUUUUAACUUCUAAUUUUCAAUUUUAUUACAAAAUUUCUUUGCGGACGAUAAGAAAAUAACAUAUUUGUAACUUCUUCACUCCGACGUAAAGGUUAAGUCUGAAUUUGGAUUACAUCGGCCAUAAAUAUGGCCUAGCAGGAUUAUCGGAGUUUUUAAAAAUAGACAUCUUUAAAACGUUUGUUUAAUUUAUAAAAAAGCUUAUUUAAUUUCCAAAUUAUUUAUUACUUGAAAUCUUAAUUACAUUUUAAAAGCAGGAAGUGGUAACUAUUUAUUUUUAAUAAAAAUCGGGGUUCAUGUAUAAUUCAUUAAUAACCGUAAUUCGAAAACAUUAAAACUUAAAUUAAAUGUCAUGCAAAACAAAACAAACUUAAAUCUAAAUCUCAUGCCACAGUGCAAAACAAUUUAUUGUAGUCUUAGAAAAUAAAAAAAAAUCAUAUAAUGAACCUAAAAUAAUUUUUUUUACUUUAAUAAUGUGUCAAGACCUUACAAAUGUCACGCCCACGUUCAAUCCUGGUGGGUUAUCUAUAAGGAUGAAAAUUUAAGGGGGGUGAGCUUUGACGCUUAGUGUGAGUUCAUUCACAAUAAAUUCAAUGCAAACGGUUGGUAAGACACAUUAAAUAAUAUUGCAUAAAAUAAUCACAGUCACAUAACAGUUCAGAAUGUCGAUAUUACAGUUUAACUACCAAUAUUAUCACAAUAUUCAUAGUUGUAAUUUCAGAAUAUCAAAUUUCCACAUCAUUCACAAUAUUAACAUAUAUAUAAAUAUAUCAUAAUAGAAUUCUAGAUUUGUAUGCACAUGAUUUAGAAGAUGCCAUACAAUUUUGGGUUUUAACAGAAUAAACCCUACCCCACGUUACAUAUCAUAAUGGGAGUUCGCCUAAAAUCCCUUCUCCAACACACUAGGUUGUGGAUAAACCAAUACUCAUCCGCAGAUAAUAACUAUCAUUUGGCUGUGGACACACAGCAAAUCCCCACAGUUGGAUUCUAGGUUUGGCUAUGGGUUCACAGCAAAAAGUCCUGCAAAUGAAGCCUAUUUUUGCAUGUAGAUUAUACAACCUAUACCUGCAGUUGGAAUCUGCCUUUGGCUAUGGAUGCACUAUAACGCCCCAAACCUGACCUGGACGUUAUGGCUGAAUCUUGAUGUAACGCCCUAAAAUUUCUAAUUCUAUUAUUGUAAAAAUAUGACACAAAAUAUUUGUCUGCUUUAGUGGUUAUGUGUUCUGGGAGUGUUUGGGAGGUCCCAAGUUCACGUCUUUGCUUGGGCAAAUUUUGGUAUUUUGAAUGAAUUAGGCUUUACUCUUGUUCAGUAGGAUUUUAUUUGAUUGUUGGGAAAAUUAUAUCAGAAUGGGCUUGCUGGUCUAGUGGUUAAAUUGUGUGUUAUUAUGGUGAAGGUCUUGUGUUCAAAUCCUUAUGUAGGCAAAGGUAUUAUUAUUAUUAUUUUUGCUCAGAUUUCGGGAUAUAGUUGUGUAAUAGGGGGAUUCUGAGUAGUGGAUGUGUAGUGGGAAUUAGGGGAGAAGAUUAAGGGGUUUCGGGAUUUUAUUUUAUUUUUUCCCAGAACGGAAUUUUGACUCUCUUUUCCAAAAAAAUUCUGUCGUCUAUUCUUCUCCCUCUCCUCUUGUCGAUAUUCUCUAAGUUUUUUCAUCUUUCUCUUCUUUUUCUUCUUCUUGAUUUUUCCCUAAUCCAUUUAUUUUUCCUUCAUUUUCGCACGCGAUUAGUGCUCGCUUAGUUUCGGUAAGCGUUUCUCUUUGUUUUUAUCAUGAAUCUCCUAGGGACUAAAGUGGUAAUUUUUUUCUCUGCGAUUUGGGCAUAAGGGAAGGCUCGGACUGGUGAAUUCAGUAUUCUCAUCUUAUCAAUAGUUAAAUGGGGGGUUAUCGUUGGUGGUAUGUUGGGUUUCUGUUCGUUCUUGGUUGUCAAUUCGCUUGUAAAUCCAUUAAAUUGAUGUUUAGUAUCUUGAUUAUAGGCUUUGGAGUGCUUGGGGACUGUUUUAGCAUCAAACAAAACCAGGUGUGUACCCGAAACGCAAAAAAAAAGGGAUUCGGUGAAAAGUUAAAAUUGCUUGCUAUUUGGACAGCAGCAGUAGACUAAUUUUGAAAAAUCACCAUAAAUUGUGGAAAUCGAAUUAGAGGAUGAAAAAAAUAUGAAAUUAAAUCUUAUUGAGUCUAGUUUCUCAUAGAAGAAACGGUGUAAGUAAUGGAAUUGUAAAUCGUGAGAUAUAAUAAACUUUGUGAGACAAGGUUAGAAUAAAUUCGGGUUCCCCUGUUCUGAUUUUGGAAAAUCAUCAAAAAUUGGAGAAAAGUAAUUAGGAAUUAAAAUUUACAUGUUUAAAUUAUUAAUGAGUCUUUUUUUUCAAUAGAAACAAAUGGGAACUUCAUCCAAAUUUUGUACUAAAAGAUAAUUAAUUUUUAGCAAAGAAGGGUCAAAGCUGUCAGACAGCAGAACAAGGGUAAGUUUGAAGAUUUUACUGUACUUAUUAGCUGAACCAAAAAUUCUAAAAAUUUUAUGGUAGAAAGGUAUUUGAGUCUAUUUUUAAAGACAUCAAGCGAAUUUUAAUUAGAAAUUCUGUAGCACAAGAUAUAAAUAAUUUAGUAACAGUGACUCAAGUAGAAAGCUUUGAAGGAACACAUAAGUAAAUUGUGAUAACAUAUAUGAAUAUUUAGCUAACACAGGUUACACUGAAAAUGGAUCACGUGGCCAAGGCCAAUUUGGGCCGAGUGGGCCACGUGGGCGUGUGAGCCCAUUUUUUUGAAAAAUUCUGUAAGGUUGCACGGGUCACCCAAGUCGACUAUGGACCUACUGUAGGGUCAGUAACCUUUACUUAGACGCCUAUAUGUGUGAUCUGUCUAGCUGAUUUCUAUAACGAGCAUGACUUAUAAUAUCUAAAUGUAUGUACUAUUAAUUGCAUAAUGGCAUGGCAUAUUUUGUAUGUUGCAUUGCAUCGGGGUGGGUUGAUGAUAUUUGGAGGAAGUGUCUAAAGGGAUAUUAAGCCAGUUAUCUGGCAGCUCAGCUGCAACCUUCUGAUUAUGUGUCGAUUUCAGUAUAGCAUGGUGUGUAAGGAUGGGUGGGUUAAUUUAAUCCCUACAUGGUGUGUAGGGUUGGACGGAGAUGGUGUAUAGAGGCUGGUGGGUAGGAUUCUAAUUUACUAUAUCUACAUUCUGAAUCUGAUAUGGGCCAAGGCCCUAAUGUAUUUCUGAGACUGUAUCUGAACGGGCUAAGGCCCAAACUGAUUGUGUGAUGGGCCUAGGACGCAGACUGUAUCUAACUGAAUUCUGUUGAUUAUUUGUAUGCAUGUUUUCUAUGGGGAUUACACACUGAGUUUGAGAAAACUCACCCUUUCUCUGUUUAAUCUAUACAGGUAAUCCCCAAACUUGAUGGGUAGGUGCAGCGGAGGAUUCGACGGUGGCCACACGUAAAUUUCAGACUGUUUUCUGUUAAUGCCUAGAAUUUAUUAAUUAUUUGGGGUUUUUGAUGUAUCUUCUGGACUAUGGACUAGUAGGCUUUAAAUUUUAGACUUUAUACUAUUUUUUAUGUUUUUUUUAAAACUGCAACUCCACAAAACACGGUUUUUUUCUAAAAAAUAAGGAUUUUCGUAAAUAGAAAUGAUUUUCCCUAAAUUAAUUGGUUACAAAAGUUUUCUCUAAGAGACAAGUUUUAAAGCAAAUCAACUAGUUUUUUUUCAUAAUUAAAUAAAAGUUAACUUACUAUAACGAUUUUUCUUAAACUCGACAAUCUUGUCUUCAAAUCCCUUUUCAUGUGACAUCACCAGAUUCGGCCAUAACGUCUAGGCCGGGUUUGGGGUGUUACACCUGAUGAGUUACUUUAAAUCGCUUGAAAACCUAGAAAUUUACUUUGAAAUCAUAUGGUUAAACUAGUGUUCACUUUGAUAAAUCGUGAAAGUAUGUGAUUAUUGAGGACAUGCUGAGCAUGUCAAAUGAAUGUGAAAAGUAUUGUGAUAUGACUAUGUAUGAGAUUGUGUAACAUAUUGCAUAUGCAUUGGGUUGGGAUUUUUUGGUUGACGGAGUAGUUCUGUGGAGUACCGUCGGCAUAUUAAGCCCGCAUUAUUCGUAGUUAGUGCACUGCACCUGGAGUACUGAGGGGAUUGGUAAUUUUAUCGCAUAUUAUAUGUUAUUGGUGAUUGUAUAGCACUAUUUGAUAUCCGACAGAUUUUUUGCAUUAUUGAUUAUUCGGUGGUUUUACCACAUUGAGCUAUGCUCAGAAUGUUUUAGAGUUUGGUAGACGGGUUCUAGGGAACACGUGGUGUGUAGCGGAUGGUAUGGGUAGGAACCUUUUUGCAUUGCAUCAUGUGCACGACAUAUUCGAAUGUUAUUGGUUUAUGCUACGUAUUGUAUUUUUUUGUAUUGAAUGGUAUCAAAAUUAAUGAUUGUCACUCGAAUGAAUUAUGAACUAUGCUCAUACACUGUUUGACAUCAAUUUAAUAAUGGCUAUGUAACGAUAUGAAAUUCCUAUAAUGGUUUUAUUUUCUUCUAUUAAAGCUAAUAUGUUUCACUGUAUUUGAUAUUUAUGUUUGUUUAAAUAAUUGUUCGACUCACACUGAGCUUUUCAUAAGCUCACCCCUAAUAGUGUUAAACUUUUCACGUAAACCUCGAAAUUAAGACCAGACUUGGCAUUCGAAGAAUCACCUUGGACCUUGAAUUAUUUUUCUAAUAAGUAUUAAUCAAUCUCUAAUGGUUUUGGUUUGUAAUUUUUAAUUAUAUCUAGUCUGUGGCUUGAUAACUUUUCUUUUGGGAUUUUUGCAUGCAUGGAUUACUCAAGCAUAAUAACCGGAUAAUGCAUGAUAUCAGGCUUAAGUAAAAUUUGAUAUUGUUCCCUAGAUUCUGCUACAUUGCAAAGGAUUUGUUUUUGAAAAACAAAUUGAUAAGGUAACUAAGUUUUUAAAAUGACUUGAAAAAUGGUUUUUCCCCUAGAUUAGUUUAACAUCAAAUUUUUUUUAAAGGAGAGCAACAAGCAAAUGGUUUUUCUAAAACAACACUAUCAACAAUAAAAUGAAUUCUAAGUAUACACAACCUAAUGAAUGAAUGCUUUUAAGCUAACUUAAAGUACAAUUAUGGUUUUCUCUAAAAUGAGUUUAUUUAAGGUUUUCAUAAGUAAUGUAAGUUAGCUUAGCCAUUUCGGUGGCUAAUGUAGCCUUCUCAUUCUAGCCAUAACGUCUAGGCCAGGUUUGGGAGGUUACAGUAUUGAUAGGAACUGUGGUAUAAAUUUUAUUUUGGACAUUCUUAAAGUGUUAUUUGGACUAAACUUUAGAAACUAUGGAUUUUAUACUGAGCCUAAAUUUACGAAGUUCAUGCGUGGUUUUUACGAAAAUGAAACUAAUAUGAAUUUUUAAAACCAUGAUUUUUUUUAAAGCUCCAAUUUGAAAUUGUACAAGAAAUGUCAAUUUGAAUUAUUUUUGAAUGUUUUUUUAUGCCAAUAAAAUAUUGUUUCAAAACAUAGCUAAGUAUUAUUUAAUUUCGUAAAGACGAAGCAAACUCCAAACAAUCUAAAACUUUAAGGACUAGUUUGUAAUUUUUGUUUUUCCUCAAUUGUCUCUGGUUUGAUUCAAUUCUUGAUCUAUACAAUUAUUCCAUUCAAUUCAUCAAUAUUAAACAUUUAUACAUUAUGUCAUGUCAUGAAUGAACCUAGAUAAAUUCAUUUUUUGAUACCCUUAAAGUUUUACAUUUAUUUCAAUUUAGUCUCUAAAAUCGAAAUAGUCAUAACUUUAAAUUCUGAACUUCAGUUUGAAAAUCGACCUCAAUUUCAUUUUAGACUGUCUGUUAAAAAUUAGUGCAUCUUACUGGAUUUUUUAAUUUACUUGUUUUCUUUAUCAAAUAAGUUGGUUCCUAUUAUAUAGGGAUAUGAUCAGAUUAUGUUUUGUUAGUUGAGGUUUUAGUGGGCUAUUAGUUGCAGGUUUUUUAACUUUAACGUUACAUGUAGUUAAGCUAUUUAUAUGUCAUUUUAUCUAAUGUAAUUUUGUGUGUUUUUUUUAGUAAUCAAAAACGUUCUUUAAUACUUUAAGCUUUUCUUGUUAUUAUUUCUUUCAUUACCUCGGUCAUUCUUUUUUGUUUUAUGGUGUCAGUGCCAGGUUAUUCAUUGGUUAAUUGUGUGAAAGGGUGUUUUGCUAGUUGCUGCAAUGGAGGUUUCAAAUGGAGGAAAUAAUCAGAUUGGUAUGGAGAAGCUUGUAGGCACUAACUACAAGUAUUGGAGGAUGUGUAUGGAGGCAUUUCUUCAAGGCUAGGACUUGUGGGGAUUGGUUGUUGACCUGAUGCAACAAUCCCUCCCAAUAUUCUCGAGAAUGCCAAGUCACGAAGGAGGUGGAAGGUCAAAUGCGGUAAAGCUUCAUUGAUCAUGUUCAUGAUGUUAACUCUCCAAAAGAAGUUUGGGAAACGCUUGAAAGGUUGUUUACCAAGAAGAAUACUGCAAGGUUGCAAUUGUUGGAGAACGAAUUGGCCGGGUUAAAACAAUGAGGUAUGUCAGUUUUAGAAUAUUUUUUACGAGUUAAAAAUAUUUGUGCUGAAAUUUCAGAGAUAGAUACGGAUGAGAAAGUUAGUGAAGCUCGUUUGCGUCGUUAUCUUAUCCGCAGUUUGAAGAAGGAGUAUGGGCCUUUUGUCACUUCUAUUCAAGGGUGGUCGACACAGCCUUCGGUGGAGGAGUUAGAGAAUUUUCUCUCUAAUUAAGAAGCUUUGGCAAAGAAGAUGGUGAAAAGUUUCGAAUCUGAUGCCAGUCUCUUCUCAAAAGGGAAGCCAAACAAGAAGAAUGAGUCUGGAAAUAAAGGCAGAUCUGAAGACUCUAGUUCGAAAAAAGAUGGCAACUCACAAAGCAAAAAGUCUUUCAAAUGCUUCAGAUGCAGAAAGACUGGACAUAUCAAGAGAAAUUGCCGUGUGUAGAUUUCCAAGGCCAAUAUCGUGUCCACGGAAGAAACCGAUGAUCGACUCAAAUGGGAGCAUUGCUUUACUGUUGAAGCUAUUGAACAAAAGUCAUCAAAAGCUUUUGUCAAUUAUGCUGAUAACAAGAAGGAGGAGUGGAUCAUUGAUUCUGGUUGUUCUCACCAUGUAACCGGAAAUGAUACUUUGUUCUUAGAGAUGCAUGAACACCAUGGAGAUCGAGUUAUUGUGACUGCAGAUAACUCCACUCAUCCGGUAGCAAAAGAGGGCAUUGUGGUGAUCGAUGUUGUCGACGAUACGAGAACCGAAAGUGUCAAAUUGACUGAUGUGUAUCAUGUUCUAGAUGAAGCUUAUGUGAAGAAAACAAGCCAAACCGAUAACGCUGCUAUUUGGCAUGCUCGAUUGGGUCAUGUGGGGUACCAAAUGCUGCAACAAAUUUAUUCGAAAAGGUUGUUAGAUGGGAUGCCGAUCUUGAAGAGUGUACGUGAAGAUGUGAUUUGUCAAAGCUGUCAAUAUGGUAAAUCUCAUCGUCUUCCUUUCAAAAGCUCAUCAAAUCGGAGAUCUUCUUUGCUCGAAUUGGUUCAUACAGACUUGACGGGACCAACGAGAACACUGAGUUGUAGCAGCCACUGUUAUGUUAUGGUUUUGGUGGAUGAUUACUCAAGGUUCUCUUGGGUGAAAUUUUUGAAAGAGAAGAGUGAAGCAUUAUCCAAGUUUGUGGAGUUCAAAGCUGCUGUUAAAAAAGAGUUUGGAAAGAAGAUUAAGUGUCUUCGAAGUGACAAUGGCGGAGAAUACAUGUCCAAUAAUUUUUUUCAGUAUUGUGUUGACAACGGCAUCUGUCGUCAAAUGACUUGUCCAGAUACUCCAUAGCAGAACAGAGUUGCAGAAAGAAAGCUUGGUUAUCUUGCUUCGAUUUGCCUUUCAUGGCUGCAUGACAAGAAUCUUCCUCGAGAGCUUUGGGCGGAAGCUGUUCUUUGUGCAUGUCAUGUGACAAAUAGGCUGCCUCCUUGGCCAGGUACACAGAAAUCUCCUUUUGAGAUUUUAUAUGGUGAAAAGCCAAAUGUGAAUUAUUUUCGAGUCUUCGAUUCUAUUUGUUAUGUACAUGUUCCGAAAUCGAAAAGAACUAAACUUGAUCCGAAAGCAAAAAAGUGUGUAUUUGUUGGCUAUGAUUCUUAUAGGAAGGGAUGGAGGUGUAUGGAUCCGGAUACAAAGAAGUUUACUACUUCGAGAGAUGUCGUGUUCGAUGAAGUAUCAUCUUUCUACUCCACUCAAAGAUUUGCUGCAGAAAAUAUUAUUCUUGAAGAUGAUGAUGAAAACUUGGAUGAGCUAUUUCCAAGAGUUAAUUUGCAACCAUUCAUUGAUGAUGAGUUGGAAAAUGAAUCUCCAACACCAACUCCAAGUCAAAAUGUUCAAUGACAUGAAGGUGGUUAGCAACAGAGUGAGGAGGUCUACUAGAGAAACGAGACAACCUGAGUAUCUCAGAGACUAUGAGGUGCAGCUUAAUCAUUGUAGUAUCACUUCUUGUUUCUUUGUUUGAGCGUUUGAUGAAGAACCAGUAAGUUAUGAGAAGCCAAAAGCCAUUCAAAAUGGGAGGCAGCCAUGAAAGAAGAAAUUGAAGCUUUAGACAAAAAUGAGACGUGGGAGUUGGUUCUUAAACCAGAAAAUUGUAAGCCGAUCACUUGUAAAUGGGUUUUUUGCGUGAAGAAAAAAUUAGAUGGCACCAUUGAUAGAUUUAAAGCUCGUCUGGUGGCUCGUGGUUUUUCUCAAAAUUAUGGAUUGGACUACGAGGAGACGUUUAGCCUAGUAGCAAAGAUGGUGACGGUGAGAUCGAUUAUUUUGCUUGCUGCGUUUAAAGGUUGGAGACUAUGGCAACUUGAUGUAAAGAAUGCUUUCUUUACGGAGAUUUAGAUCGUGAAGUAUUUAUGGAGCAACCUAUUGGCUUUGUCUCUAAGGAAUUUCAAAAUCGUGUUUGCCGUUUGAAGAAAGCGUUAUAUGGCCUUAAGCAAGCGCCACGAGCAUGGUAUGGUAAAGCUGCUCAAUAUCUCAUUUUUUGUGGCUUUAGAGUUUCUGAAUCAGAUUCUAGUUUAUUUAUAAAAUUGGAAUCAGGUGCACAUCUCUUGGUAUUAUUAUAUGUUGAUGAUAUGAUAAUAACUGGAGAUAAUGAAUCAGAAAUUUGUAAUUUGAGGAAUGACUUGUCUGUUCGUCUUGAGAUGAAAAUUUUGGGGGAGAUUGGAUGUUUUCUUGGUCUAGAAGUGGAAAAAUCAGAUCAAAGUUGUUAUAGCCCGAUUUUGGGUCUAGUCAGAACAGUGGUUUUGGGACCACAAAUUCAACAAAAAGAAAAUGGGUAAAAAAUAUUAUUAAUUUAGUAAGUAUAAGUUAAAUGUGAAGUUAGGAAAAUUUUUUAAAUACUGAAUAGUGCACUAGAAAUAAAUAUUAAAAUAAUUAGAAUCGAAAUGAGGUAUCAAGACCUCGGGGAUUUUAAACCGAGCCAUAAAUAUUUUUAUAAAUAUUUAUGGAGUGUUAAAAAGUUAGUAUUAAAGUUUCGUUAGGAAAUUUUAAAGUUCCGAUAAUUAAUUGAACAAAAAGGACUAAAUUGUAACAAAUGCAAAAUUUUGGGAAAUGAUUAAGUAGCUUAAAUGAUAAAAGGAAGAGGGCUUAAAAGGCAAAUAGACCCAAGGUUUAUUUGGGCUGGACGGCAAAGGCAUGAAAUCAGCAAGAAAGUAAGGAGAAUUAAGGGCAAAAUUGGAAUAUUGCAAAAUUUGCUUAAUAAAGUUAGGACCCAAGUGGAAUUAUCUAGAUUUCUCUUCAUUUUUCUGAAUUCUCAUCAGCAAAAACACCAUGGAAGGGCUUCUUCAAGCUGGUUCUUCAUAUUUUUACUACAAGUAAGUUCAAUUCUUGACUAUUUCUUGAAAUUUUUGUAUUUUUAUGACUUUUACAAUUAGGCUCACUUGUUAAAUUCAUUAGUUUUUGAUUUUAUGAAAGAAGUUGAAAGUUGAUAUGAAUAUGUGCUGGAAUUAUAUGAUGAUUUAGCAUGGAAUUAGAGCUUUAAAUUGUUCAUAUGCUGAUUUUAUUGAAAGAAUUGAAUAGAAAGUGAAUGUUUGGGACCUAAUAGUAAAAGAGUUUGAAGAUAGAAUUAUAUGUGGAAAUUCUGAAUUUCAAUAGUUGUGUAACAACUUAUAAUGUCUAGGUAAAGUAUUAAUUCAGAAAAUUGGAUUAAUUGAGGGGUUAAUUGAGAAAGGACCGAAUUGUAUAAACUGUAAAAUUUGGGGCAAAAUGGAAAUCAACAUUUUGCACUAAAGCAGUUUUGGACAGCAGCAGUAGUGUAACUUUGAAAAAUCACAAAAAAUUGUAGAGAUUGAAUUAGAGGAUGAAUAAAAUAUGAAAUUAAAUCUUAUUGAGUCUAGUUUCUUAUAAAAGAAACGGUGUGAGCAAUGAAAUUGUAAAUCAUGAGAUAUAAUAGAUUUUGUGAGACAAGGUCAGAAUGAAUUCGGGUUCCCCUGUUCUGACUUUGGAAAAUCAUUAAAAAUUUUACAAAAAUUAUUAUGAGUUAUAAUUUAUAUGGUUAGAAUCCUUAAUGAGUCUAUUUUUAUAAGAAACAAACAAAAACAGCAUCCGAAUUCUGUACAAUGAGAUAAUUAAUUUUUAGUGAAGAGUGGUCGGAACUGUCAGACAGCAAAACAGGGAAAAAUUUAAAGAAUAAACUGUACUAUUUGGCUAAACAAAAAAUUCUGAAAAUUUUAUGGAAAUAAUAUAUGUGAGUCUAGUUCCAGGUAAAAUUAACGGAUCUUAAUUUGGAGCUUUUUAGCUCCGGAUAAAAAUAAUUUAGUGACUCUAACUCAGACAGACAGCCUAAAUUUUUCAUACAAGAAAAUAGUGAAAGUAUGAAUAAUGUUGUUUAAAUGUGUUAUACACAUUAAGGAUGAGGAAUGGAGAGGAGGUGGAGGAAAAUUGGGAAAUAUAUGAAUGGUUUAUCAUGUUGUUAGUUCCAAAAAGAGUUAUGUUUCAAUACACUAGCUUGCAACUAUGGUUGAAUGAUAUGUUUAUAUCUUGUGUGAUGUGCAUAGGAAACAAGUGUGGAAAGAUAAUGAAAUAGUAAGUUCAUAUGGCUGAAAUUUAAUGGUUAAAUGUUAAUUCCAUGAAUUAUAUGAUGUAUGAUGAGAUAUUUUUAUUGUUGAAAUAAGAAUAAAAUAAAAGUGCGAAAGCUGAAUAAAUGAUCAAAUUGAGCGGAACGCCGGAUUUGAGUACUUCUGAUCAAGUGACAAAGUGAUAAGUGAUAGCUUUAGCUACACUUAUUUGAUCAAGAACAAGUGAUAAGCGGUGACAAAGUGAUAAGUGGUAGCAUUAGCUACACUUAUCUGAUCAAGUGAGAAAGUGAUAAGUGGUAGCAUUAGCUACACUUAUCUAAUCAAGUGAGAAAGUGAUAAGUGGUAGCCUUAGCUACACUUAUCUGAUCAAGUGACAAAGUGAUAAGUGGUAGCCUAGCUACACUUAUCUGAUCAGGGACAGGUGAUAAGUGAUCAUACGUAAGACCAUAGUUAUACUAUGGCAAAGUGAAAGUGAAGUACUCAAUUUUCCGUGACCGUUCCCUAAUUUGAUUAAGGAUGGUAAGUGACAAAUGAGCCCAAAAGAAUUAAAGUAAAUGGAUAAGUGGUAGUAUAUUUAUAUCAGGACGAUGUUGUUAUUCAAGCUAAAGUGAUAUUUUCAUUGCAAAAUUGAGAAUUUCAUAAAUGUGUUAUUGAAUGGUAUAAUCAAUAAACAUUGAGUUAAAUGGUAAAUACGUAAUAGUGUUGAACUUGAUGUCAUUGAAUUGUAUGUGAAUUAAAUGGAAAUUGCUAGUGAUAUGAUGUAAAUUGUGAGCAUGAGAAAUUGCGACUUGAAUGAAAUGGAAAUGAAGCAUUGAAUUGCAUGAGUAUGUAUCGGGUCUCAUAGGCCCUAAUUAUUAUGAUUAUAAUAUUUCGAGGAUAUAUUGUGAAAAGUUAUAGAAGCAUGUUAAUUAUUUUGAAAGUUUAAAUUUAUAUGAAAUUUUAUAACUCGGUUAAAUAUGCUUACAAGUGCAUAUGUUUUGGUGAUACCUCGUACCCUAUUUCGGCGUUGGAUACGGGUAAGGGGUGUUACAAGGUUACUUUGUUUCUCAAAAAGGCUAUGCAAGGAAUCUCUUGGAGCUUUUCGGUAUGGGGGAGUCGAAAGAAAAAGCUACUCCGAUGGAGCCGAAUUUGAAGUUGAAGAAAGAUGAUGGGAGGCCGUUGGAAGAUGCAAGGAAGUUUCGACAACUUGUUGGAAGCUUAAUCUAUUUGACCAUUACAAGGCCUGAAAUUUCAUACUCUGUUAGUGUUGUUUCUCAAUUUAUGCAAAAUCCAACAAUUAUUCAUAUGGAUGGAGCAAAGAGGAUUUUGCGUUAUGUUAAAGGAACUAUUGGUUAUGGUCUUCUAUACAAGAGAUGUGAUAGCUUUAUGUUGAGUGGAUUUACUGAUGCUGAUUGGGCUGGAGAUACAAACGAUCGUCACUCGACUUCGGGAUAUUGUUUCAGUAUCAAUUCAGCAAUGGUUUCUUGGUGUAGCAAAAAGCAAGGUGUUGUUGCUUUGUUGAGUAUCGAAGCCGAGUAUCUGGCAGCAACUAUGGCUGCACAAGAGUGCAUUUGGUUGAAGAGGUUGAUUGGAGACAUAUGCAAAGUUAAUUAUGCUGUAAAAAUCAAGUGUGAUAAUGAAAGUGCUAUUAAGCUUGCAUCGAACCCGGUUUUUCAUGCUCGAACGAAGCACAUCGAGGUUCGACAUCAUUUUGUUCGAGGAAAGGUUCUAAGUGAAGAGAUUGAGCUUGUAAACAUUCGCACCAACGAUCAAGUGGCUGAUAUUUUCACUAAGGCUUUGGUGAAGCCUAAGUUUCAUCAAUUUAGAGAUGCUCUUGGAGUUCUUGAUCGUAAGCAUGCACUAAGGGGGAGUGUUAAAAAUUAGUGCAUCUUACUAGAUUUUUUAAUUUACUUGUUUUCUUUAUCAAAUAAGUUGGUUCCUAUUUUAUAGGGAUAUGAUCAGAUUAUGUUUUGUUAGUUGAGAUUUUAGUGGGCUAUUAGUUGCAGGUUUUUUAGCUUUAACGUUACAUGUAGUUAAGCUAUUUAUAUGUCAUUUUAUCUAAUGUAAUUCUGUGUGUUUUUUUUUUAGUAAUCAAAAACAUUCUUCAAUACUUUGAGCUUUUCUUGUUAUUAUUUCUUUCAUUACCUCGGUCAUUCUUUUUUGUUUUACUCUCUACUAUCCAUUAUUAUCAAAAUUUCACAUCAAUUUCACAAUUUAUUUACUUUAGUUAUUAUGUACAAAAUUAACAACCAAACAUCACAAUUUAGUCAUUUUUCAUAAUUUAAGCUUAAAAUCUAUAAAUUUAACACCAAUUUCUUCAAGAAAUCAACCAUGAAAUCUAUAAAAAAAAUUUAACAGUUUUGCAAAUUGAUACAUAGGUUAUUUAAAUCAAACUCUCAUGACCUCAGAAACACAAAAAAAAUUAUACGAAAAUGAUUUAGAAAUGCAUACCAAUUGAGGACCGAAAGCUUGAAGCUCAAAAAUGGCUUUUCCCCUUGAGGUUUUAUGUUGAUUAGAUGAAGAAGAAGAAGAAAUAAAGAUGACAACUUGCACUAAGUCACCUUUAUAUACUUAGAUUAAAUCUUAAUUAAUCAAAUUUAAUUAAUUAAAUCUUAAUUAAUUAACCUUAAUCACAAUUAAUAAAAAUUGGUGGAUGUUAACAUCAUCCUACACUAUUUGAUAUAACCAAAUGAUCUAUUUACCAUUUUGAACCUUUAGCUAAUUAGAAAUCUAUAGCGAUAAGACUUUCAAAAUUUAGUCUCUGUAUCUUAAUUAAGCAAUUAAUAGACAAAGUUGAAGGUUUAAAUUUUAAUGUUCUAUUAUACCAACUCUGUAAAUAUUCAUAUUUAAUAUUUACAGACCUGAAUUACGAAAAUGAGAUUUUGAAAUUGUAUUUUCCAGUACCACUGAAAAUCGGACAAUUACGUAACCUAUUUGCACCAAUGGGCCAAACAUGGCAAAUACUUGACAUGUAUGUCUUAAUAUCCUCAUCUAUUCUCUUCAAUAUAAUAACAUCCAAUAAUUGUUCCAUCCACUGUAACUAUCACGAAGAUUAGAUUGACCAAUACAGCCUACAAUUUGAAGAAGCGCGAUAUUUUCAUUCUAGAGAAAGAUAUAAUUGAAACAAAAUUGAAAUAAAGAUUUCAAUACAGAAUCAACAGACAUUCCAGCUAAUACUUAUCAAUUAUUUGCAGCUUUAUUGCUCCAACUAAGAUGGUUUUUAGUCGAAUAUGGUAAAUGAAAUCAAUGAACACCAGCUACUUGAUGAACGAGUGAAUCAAAGUCCUGAUAUGUGCCGGCUUAUUGGUGAAAAAAUACAUGGGCUAGUUUUGCAGCAAUUCAUGAUCUUACAUUUUAUAACCUUUGCUUACAAUUAUUCACUGACUAAUCAUUCAAUGAAUGUAGGCCUCAAAUUUAGCCACUAAACUUUAUUCUUUAUUUUUAGAUACAUAUUAUUUGAUCACUUCAUACAGCCUAUUACUCAUAAUAACUUCCAAUUUCCCUUCUUUAGGUUAGUUGCAAAUGUACAGCUUUUUCUAGAAGAAGAAAAUUGUCAAGAGCCACCUGUUCAAGAGAGGCGCAAACAAAAUGUAAAAAUACCUGACCUACUUACGGUACAGCCAAGUAAUCAUGUCUUUCUAUGCUAGAUCAUUAAAUCAAUGACUACAAAUUUCAUGCCAUGGUCGUGUAUCAUUUAUGCCAUUGAUGCUGCUAUUUUCUAUUCUAAUGCAUAAUAGGGAUUUAGUGUUUUUACCGUUAAAAUUGUGUCCUUUAAUUUUGGCUCUUUUCAGUUGUUGAUCAUGUCCACCUAUGCUUUAUUUUACUACUAUUGCUUUCUGUAAUGAUAGAUGAUUGAAUCGGUAGAAUUUUAUUAAUCCUCAACAUGUUUUAUCUUGACAUAUGGAUCCUAAGCAUUCCUUGGAUUGUGCCCUUUUUGUUCAUUUAUUUUUUCUUGGAACCUUAUUACAUGUUGUACCACUCCAGCUUUUUGGAGACAAUGAAGACGACUAACUGCUGAAUUCUUUCUUCUGCAGAGGAACCAAUGGCACGAGACUCAAAAAAUCCUACUCUUUUUUAUACCUUCCUCACCUCUUUGUGACAUUAUAGCUGAAAAAUGAUGUAUGCUAAUACAUGAAAUGUUUCCUCUUGCCUUUCUUUUUGUAGUACUAAAACUACAAAUAGUGUUUGCAAAACUCUUUAGAGAAAAACAAAUGUCUGUAAAUCUCUUUACCCGUAAUCUUAUCUUUUCCUCAUUGUAAUAGUUGGAAAACUUUUUAUUUGAAAACGAUGUCAACUACUGGGAUAAGUUAUUGUAAGCAUCUUAAGUGUUUCAUAUUAAAAACAAACACUGUUAUUGUUUAUUUUGUAGUCUAAAUUAUGAUAAUUUCUGCACAAAAUUCACAUAAAUGGUUACCCUCCCGAAGCAGAGCGAGGGUGAUGCAUACUAGUUAUUAAGAAAACAGGACCUUGUAGGGCUUAACUGUUGAAUCAAGAAAGAAAUUUCUUUUAAUGCCUUCAAUUGUAACAUCCCGAUUUUGGGCCUAGUCGAAACAAUGGUUUCGGGACCACAAAUCCGAUGAGGAAAAUUUUAUUUUUACUAUAUUAUUAUGGCCUAUAAUUUCACGGAAAGAUUUCUUGAAAAUUUCGUUCAAAAAUUUUGACGUUAGGGCACUCAAUUUAGCCAAAAGGACUAAAUUGUAAAAAGUGCAAAAGUUGAGUUUUAUUGGUUAAAGGUACUUAAUUGCUAUGGAAUUAUAACUUAGGGGUCCUUAUAUGGUAAUUAGACCAUUAGUUAGUGAUGGACAAAAAUGAACAUAAGUGAAAUAGGAUUUUUUUUAUGUAAGGGUAUUUUAGUCAUUUAGUAAAUAAAUAGAAUUAAAAGGGAAAAAUAUGUAAAAAAAAUUGUGUUCAUCAUCUUUGCUAGGUGCCAAAAUUUGAAGGAAGCCAUAGCUAGGGUUUCUUCACUUUCUCAAGCUCAUAAUCGAGAAGAACGAAAUUUGGAGGUAGAUCGGGGAAAGAAAAAAAUUGAGGACUAAAGUGUUAGAUUUGAUCACAUUUUUGUACCGAGGUAAGUUUACAGUAAAUAAAUGCAAUAUUUCAAUAAUUAUUAUUAAUGCUGUAUUUUUUAGCAAUUAUGUAUUUAUUUCAUGAAUAUAUUUAAUGUUGACUCAAGUAUGAGAUGACAGAGAAUUAGUGACACAAGCCUCAUUGAAACACUAGGAAUGUAUUGGAUACAAAUGCCAUGACAUUUGGGUAAAGAGGUCCCAUGUAAGACCAUGUCUGGGACAUGGCAUUGGCACCGAGAUGAGAGGUCCCCCGUAAGACCAUGUCUGGGACAUGGCAUGGGCACCGAUAUGAGAACUCCCAUGUAAGACCAUAUUUGGGAUAUGGCAUUGGCAGUACAGGAAACAUCCCAUGUGAGACCAUGUCUGGGACAUGGCAUGGGCACCGAUAUGAGAACUCCCAUGUAAGACCAUAUCUAGGAUAUGGCAUUGGCAGUAUGGGAAACAUCCCAUGUGAGACCAUGUCUGGGACAUGGCUUUGGCAUGUUAUUAUCAGAUAUGAGACCCAAGUAUCCUUAUUAUUCCAAUGUGACUCAACGGGCUAGAAAACAGAUUAUGUUCUACGAAAGUUCAAGUAAAAGUAUAAUUAGCAACUUCAGGUGAGUUAUAAGAGUUAAGAACAUAUUAUGUUAUUAGUGAGAACCAAUAUUUUAGCAAGAGAAGAGUAAGUUGUAAUCUUAAGCUAUCUAAGUAGAUAAGUAAGUAAACAAGUAAAUGAGAGUCAGUAAAGAGAAAACUUAAGAACAUGAUACUUGUAUAUCAUUAUUUAUGUUAAAUGAUGUCAUUUAUUUAUUUGUAAACUUACUAAGCUUUAUGCUUACUUCUUUUAUUUCUUUUUCUUUCAUAUAGUAUUAUCAAGCAUAGUCGGGAUCUUGAAGACGUCGGAGAGUGUUCACACUAUCAACCACCACAACUCGGUAUUUUAAGACGAUAAAUAUUUUGGGCUAUGGCAUGUAUAGGGACUUGGUCAUUUCAAUUGUAUAUUCUUAAAAUAUGACCAAAAGAUGAUAUGUAAAUGCUUGAUGAUGAAUAGUUAUUAAAAUGGCUAAGUAUGAAGGUGUUUGUGGUUAUAAAUGUCUAGGUUAUAAAUUAUGCAUAGAAAUCAUGAAAGAGUAAAAAUUUGUAGUGAAUCAGUUUUGAGACAGCAGUAGUGACGUGAAUUUGAAAAAUCACCAAGGAUAGUAGAAAAUGAAUUAGAGAGUGGAUGAGAUAUAGAAUUAAAUCUUAUUGAGUCUAUUUUUAUAGAAAAAUAACAGUGUAGACAAAGAAAUGAUAUAUUCCGAGAUAUUUGCAUUUUAGUUAGACAAGGUCAAAGUUGUUUUCGGAAUCCCCUGUUCUGAAUUUGGAAAAUCAUUAAAAAUUGUAAAAAAAUAUUUAUGAGUUUUAAUUUAUAUGUAGAGAUUCCUUAUUGAGUCUAUUUUCUUUAGAAAGAAUUUAGAACACUAUAUGAAGUAUGUACAAUGAGAUAAUUUAAUUUUAGUGACAAGAGGUUAGGACAGUUGAUUAGUGAAACAGGGGAGACUUUAACUAAUAAACUGUACUAAUUGGCUAAACCAAAAAUUCUGAAAAGUUUACAGUAAAAAUUUAUAUGAGUCUAGUUUCAGGGAAAAUUUAUGGAUCUCAAUUUCAAGUUUCAUAGCUCGAGUUAUAAUUAAUUUAGUAACUAUUGUGCAAGUGAAUAGACUUACUAUGAACAGUGAAUUAACUUUUAAAACUAAAUUUUUAUGCCCCGAACUUUUAAGUUAGUCAAGUAACGCCUCAUGCUCGACUCCGGAAAUGGACUCGGUUAAGGGGUGUUACAUCAAUUUUUUUUAAAGCUGAUUUUUUUUUUUACGAAUUAAAGUUUUGAUUGUAUGUUAAUUGCUUGAGGGAAGGUCGGAUACUUUAUUAUCCCUAUUUUUAUUUGUUAUAUAUUUUAGCCAUAAUGAUUUUUUUGGCUCUACAACUUUACCAAAAAAAUCAUAUUAUCUUUCAUUUAAUUUUCAUCUCUUUUAACCCUUUAACUUGUAUUUUUUUAUCAAAUCACCCCAAAAUGGAUCGAAAACUUAACAUUUGUAAACUUUGAUGAUGUGGCAUACACAUUAAUUGUCACAUGGAUGACAAGUCAACAUUUUUUAAAAAAAACUUAAAAAUAUUAAAGAAAAUAUUUUUGAUAUUUUUAAUGAUUUUUUUAAUUAAAAAAGUUUUUAUAUAUUUUUAAUUUUUAAAAAUUAAUUAAACACAAACAUAGAAAUUCGCAUCUAUGUGUCACAGGCCACAAAUUAAAGCCUGCGACCAUUUCGCAUAGAACACCCCAUAGAGGUCAAUUUAUUAAACGUGGUUCAUUUGACCCGCAUGAACUGGCUCGAAUCGUGGAACCCGUAGAGAAACCCAUCUACUUUAAGCCUUGGUGGUCUAGUGAAAUACUCCAAUAAAACUAGAGUUACUAGGGUAAAUAAUGUAAAUCUUAAAUGGAUAAGAUUGUAUAGAGUUUAAAUUCCUUAUAACUCUCAAUUGUAGAUAAGCGGUAACAUUAAUCAUCGAUGUAACUCAAUCUGUAUCGUUGCUUCUAGGAAGCUCAACUAUAACUAGAGGUCUCCCUCUUCAUUUGUAAUCAUUCCAUUCAUAGUUGUGAAUAUAUUUGAGAGCAUUUACUCAAACACCUUGUGUGCAUUGCUUUUCUUUGGCUAUUCUGCUCUUUCGAGCUUCUGUCUUUGAGUGUCACAUCCCAAAAUUGGGCCUAGAAGAAAUAGGGGGAAAAUUGAGUUUUAAUUUUUUUUUAACAUAGGGUAAGGGAAGUAGAAUGCCUUAAAAUUAAUUUUUUGCUAUAAAUCUAAUAAGAAUGAGUUUGUUGGUUUAGUGCUAAGGUCAUAGCCUACCUAUAGGUUCCAAGUUUGAACCCCUUGGUGAGCAUUCAACCAAAAUAUUUUUAUUUUCUUGUUUUUACCGCACCAAAAGUGACGAAUUUUAAAAUAACCCAGCCCAAAAACUAUAUUUUUUUAAAAUUUAGUCCUUAAUUUAAAAUUUUUCCCAAACCUACAUAAAUUUUUAAAACCUAUUCCAAUUAGGAAAGAUAAGUAUUAUAAAUAAACAAUUUCAAAACAAACCCUAGAAUUUCAUCUAGCAAUUUUUCGAGAAAACAUCCAUAAACACUUUAUUUUCCAAAUCAAACUUUCAAGCGAAAGGAAUCGAAAUCUUCAAAAUCAUCCCUCAAGUAGAUCUUCAAUCUCUUCUCCAACACUAAGGUUUUAAGUCUUCAAAAUAGGUGUGGGAACUAAACCUAAAUCUUUGUGUAUAAUUGAAUCUAAUAGCAUGUAGAGAACCAGUAUUGGCGAACCCUAGGAAAACCCCCCUGUAUGUGCGAUCAUGUAGGUGCGAGCCUGUAGAUGCGAAACCCCUUACACAUGAAAACCCCAUGCAUGCGAACCCUUACGUGAAACCCCCCCUUUCAUGCGAACCCUGUAUGAAUACCAUGCAAACCCUAGGUUGUUAUGUGGAUACUCAUACUGUGAACACAUGUGCACAAACAUAUAGGAAUAUUCAUGUGAACCCUACUAUUAGAUGCGAACCCCCUUAUACGUGAAAACCCCCUUGCAUGCGAACCCUAGUUAGUAUACAUACGAGUCUCAUAUUUACAUGCGAACCACUACUAGUGCGAGUCAAUUAUAUGAUACCACAUGCGAACCCUACUAUUACAUGCAAACCUUUAUACAUGUUAUAUUCUAACUUUUUUUGUUAAAAUAGGUGAGACUUGUCUAGUAUUACAGACGACCCUACAUAUACCUAAUUUGCGAACUCAUAUGUUAAAAGUAUGCAAAACUAUCUAUGUUUGUUAUGUGAACUCACAUGUUAGCAGUAUGUGAACCUAUAUAUAUCAGUUAUGCCAACUCACAUGUUAGCAGUAUAUGAACCCAUAUGUCUGUUAUGCAAACUCACACGUUGGCAAUAUGUGAACCCUAUAUACACCUUUAUGCAAACUCACACAUUAACAGUAUGCGAACCCUAUAUACGCCUUUGUUGAUGUUAGUUCCCAUGCAUCUUGUGGUGCAGCAAUCGUGGCCAUGCAGGUCACAUGGAGAAAAGAAGCAGCACAUGAAGGCAGUAACUGGAGCUUGUGGAUGCUGUCCAAAUUCAACUUAUUUUGUUGGUUUGAUUUUAUAGUUUGUAACUUAGUUCUUUUGGAACUUUCUUGGUAAAACUUUCGAUGUAUUUUUUAUGUUGAUUGACUGAAAAUUCAGCAAAGCAACUUAUGCAAGCUAGUUUAGCAAUUUUCAAUGUAUUAAGUGGUGUUAGGUAAGUGUUUAGGUAGUAUUUUGACUUGUAAGCUUAACUCAUGUUUGAUAUAUGUAAUGGCAACUUGCCAAUGCCUUGUUAAUGAAAAAAUUCAGCUUGUUUUCAAUUUCUGUUCUUAAAAACAAAAAGGUUUCUACUUUGUUUCUUCUCCAAGUCACGAGGCUUGCUGACAAAGCAAAGCUAAAUCAGCUUGCUCACUGCCUUUGACUCCAACAGCCUUUAUACAAACUCACACGUUAGCAGUAUGCGAUCCUUAUAUACGCCUUCAUGCAAACUCAUACGAUUAGCAGCAUGUGAUCCCUAUAUUUAUGCGAACCCUUCUAAUAACAAAUAUGCGAACCUUAACUUGCGAACCCUAGGCAGGAACCCUACACUCGCAAAGCCUUCUUCUGAACCUGUACAUAUGCUAGAUAACCAAGCCUAUUAGUUUACGUUAAAUCACUGUACAUAUGAGAUUGUUUGUUUACUUGCACAAAUUAUAUGUGUAUUUACUAUUCGAUACAAGAGUACCUAUCGACCUUUUGAUGAGAAUUCAGAGAUUAAUGAUGAUAAUUCCAACAAUCGGUGGAAGAACAAGUUAAAUCGAGAAUUGGUGUAAUUUAAGGUAAUAAAGAUUAAAUUUUCAGUAAUAAAUAUAAAAUUGUUAUGGAAAGAAAUGAUGGGUAAAAAAAUGAGAGUUUUAAACAGAAGAGAGGAAAACUUCAAUUUAGGGUUGAAGAGGAACUAAAAAUCCAUGUGAAAUUAGGAAAAAAAUAUUAAAUACCUAGGAUUAAAAAAUUUGAGGGGGCUGAAUGGUAAAAUACCCUUUUUGCUUAAAAAUGAAAAGAAAUGGAAAUGGGGAUUGAGUUUGGCAUGACUUGAACCUUGGAAGCAAAGGAAAAAAUUGCAAAGGCCAUACCAUUUGGGUUGCUACCUACAUUUGGCAUAUUUUUACACUAUUUAAUAUAUAUCCUAGCUUAGUUUUGAUCAUAGGUUGUUGAAAAAAAAACAAGGGGUAAGAGUGUGGCUUCAACCUUAGUUCUCUAGUUAGUAUACUAAGCUCUUAACCAUUAAGAUUAAGGCUCAUCUCUUAGUCAAUUAAUUCAUCUAACUCUAUAUAUUUUGGUGUGUUACAUCUUGAAUUAAAAAAACCCAUAAAAUGCAUGUAGACUUGUAUUGCUUGGUACUUGGUAGUAUAUAUGUAGACUUGUAUGUUGAUUAAGCCACCUUAAUUAAGACCAAUGUGUUAGACUUGUCUAUGCAUUGAACAAUUUAGAAGAAAAUGAAGAAAAAGACUCUAAAAGCACUUGAAAACAGAUAAAACUCAUAUGUCAUUGACUAGUUAAAUGUGGUCACCCAUAAUAGACCCUGUAUUUGACUUUUUGUUGAGGGAGAUUGACUCCUUUGGGAGAAGUCUCCUGAGUGUUGUUUGUCAAGCAGUCAGGGUUGUCCUAAACAACUAAAGGUAUUGUCCCCAUGUCGAGAUUUUAUCCCUAGCCUCUGCAAAAUAAUCAUGGAGAAUAUGUGCGAGAGAAUUCAAACACCAACCAAUGCAUGUGUAGCCUUUACCUUGCCACCAUCUUUGGGAACCCAUAAGGAUAAAAUCCCAACGAGAGAAUAGUAUCAUCUAUUGAGGGGUCUGUCAACCCAAUAAAUGAAAUUUAAAUGCAUACUUUUUUUUUAAUGAAAGUAAAUAUCAUAUUUAAUUAGAGAAAAGCAAUGAAAAAUCCAACAAUAAAAUCCUUAGCAAAAGAUUAAAACACAAUUGUACCAUAAAUUAAAUAAGAAACUAAAAAAAUUCAAAUCUAACGAAGACAAUAACUUGAUUCCUCAAAGCCACCAUAAACAGUAAUUCAUACGAAGGCCUGUUGCUCAUUUUAUAGGUUUCCAUUUUGAUUUUGCAAAAGAAGUUUGAAUUCCGAAGCGAGCCUAGUACAUGAGAGAAAAUUGUCGAAACCGUCUUUUUGAAAACAAAAAUUUAGUUGUCGACUUUAAAAAUAAAACUGGAGUCGCCACCGAUCCUUUAUUAGGGUGUGAUCGGCUCACCUUAAAAAUUAUUUUGGUCUACGAGCUUUAAGAAAACGAGUCCGGGAGUAAGUUACGCAUGAGGAAGGGUUAGCACCCUCGUAACGCCCAAAAUCGGUACCAAAUCGAUUAUUUAAUGUCUUAGUGUCGUGGACUAAAAAGAAGUUAAAAAAACCAAAUGAUGAAAUCAGAAAAGGAUAAUCAAUUGUUCAAGACAUGUAAAGAAAUCGAGUCCCAAUACGUUAGGGUACAAUUUCUCAAAAUUCCCGAACUUUGAAUAUCGCUUUUAUUUUAUGCGAAAACAUUCAUUGUGAGAAAGUAACAUGCCACACCCAAUACGUUAGGACACGACAAGUUAAGUUCCAAAAAAUGAUUUUUAUACUCAUGCAUUUUGAAUAAAAAAUAUUCUCGAUUAUUUAAAAUUAACAAAGAAAAUCGGAACCCAAUACGUUAGGGCUCAAUUUUCUCAGAAUUCCAAAUACCGAAUUGUGCCUUUUAUUCGAAAAUUCUUAUUUCGAGAAGUCAAAAUAUCAUGACCAGUAAGUUAGGACUUGACAUUUUUUGAUUCCCGAGAACAAGCUUCUAUUUGAAAUUUGCAUGAAUUUAUUUCAAAAUAAAUACCUGGUUUUCUAAAUUCACCAAGAAAUAAUCGCAAUCCAGUAAGUUAGGAUACUGUUUUUCUCGAGAAUCAUGAAUGCCAAAUAUUUUGGAAUUUUAUAAAAUAUGAUGAUUUUAAUGCUUUGACAGAACCAAAAUAUAUUUUCUUUAAAAAGUGUAGAAAAAUACUAAUGUAUCACAUAAAAUCAAUAUUUUAAUUUUAAAUUAUAUGCAUAUAUGUAUUUUCAAAAUAUAAGUAUGAUACAUAAAUAAAUUUUGAAAAUAUAAGUAUGAUACAUAAAUAAAUUUUGAAAACAUGUAUAUGCACAUAUUAAAACAAGUAUAUAUAAGUAUACACAUAUAAAAUAAAAUAAUGAAUGAGAUAUGUAUAUCAAAAUAAAAAUUAUCAAAAUUUCUACAAAAAAAAAUCAUGUAUGUAUAUACGUAAUGAAAAUUGUAAAAAUAAAAAUAAAAAAUAUGCAGAUGUGUAUAUAUUUACAAAAAAAAAUUUAAGUAUACAUGCUUUAGUAAAACAGAAAUAAUAAUAGUAUAUGAAGAAAUUAGGAAAAUGUGUAUAUAGAUGUACAUAUAUAAAAAAAAUGCAAAAAUAUAUUUACAAUAAUUUUGAAGGGCGUACGUGUAUAUCAAUAUCUAUUUAUGCAUAUAUAUUAUAAAAUAUGAAAGAAUAUAUAACUAUAAUAGAAAUAUAAAUGUAUAUACGUAUAUAUGUAUAUAAAAGCUAAAAAAGAAAUAAUAACAAUAUAUAUAUAUAUAAAUAUGUAUAUGUAUUAGAGAAAUAUUUAAUAUAUAUAUCUAUUAGCAUACAUAUGCGUAUGUAUGUAAGUAUAAUUAUAAUACUAUAUAAUAUAAUAAUAAUAAUAAUAGUAAUAAUAAUAAUAAUAAUAAUAACAAAAACUACAAAAAAAACCUUAAAAAGCACCAUUAAGGAUUAAACUGAGAGCUAAACGAAGUUAAAAGGCCAAAUUUAAAAAUAGAAAACACCAGGAAGGACAAAGUGAUACGCGCGCCAUGAGAGGAGGACUUAAAAAACAAUUUUCCCAAGUCGCUGAAGCACUGUGCAGUGACAUGGAUUAAAUCGUCACGCGAGCAAAAUAUUUGGGCCGAAUUUAAAAAGGAAAAAAAACUUGAUUGAAACACGUAGCAAAAGGGGAAGGGCUAAAAUAUAUAACAAAAAAACACAAAAAGUCAAUCUGGUAAAUCGAUGUUGGGUACUCUAAUUUUAGGAUUCAGAAGGCUUAAGAGUGUUUUCGCAUCAAAAUCGUACUAGGUGUGUCCCCAAAACACAAAAAGUCAGGUUUCGAUAAAAGCCGAAAAUGCAUCCAGUCGAUGCCACACGGACGUGUGCCUGGUCGUGUGGCUAGCCGUGUGUGAGACACGACCUUGUGGUGGUGUGAGUGUAGCGGUAUGGGCCACACGGGCUAGGCCAGUCUGGGCAUAUAGGCCCACAAUUUUAAAAUUUUCCUUAAGGCCACAUGGUUCGUUUCGAAUGAUUGUGGACCUACCAUAGGGUCGGUAAUGGCUAAUCAAACACUAAAUUAUGUGAUAUGAUAUUUUGAUAGUCUGCAUUGUGUAGGAUAUCGAUAUGUACAUCUGUUCUAUUUAAGUAUAUAUAUGCUAUCUGUAUAUGAGCAUGUUAUGCAUAAUAUUACUGUAUCUAUUAUUUCUAUAUUCUGUAUCUGUGAUUGUGGUGGGUUUUGUAUAUGUAGAGGAAGUGAUCUGUAUGGUGACACUUCCCUUAUAUUCUGGCAGUUGAUUGUAUAUUAUCUGUAAUGUGUUGUAUUGACACUAUAUGGUGUGUAGGGAUGGGUAGGUGUUUUAAACCUCAUAUGGUGUGAUGGGAUGGCCGAAGAUGUUGUGUAGAGGAUGGGGGUAAGAUUCUACAUAUCUGUACUACUUAUCUCAUUCUGUUAUCUAGAUUUGGAAUGGAUAUAAGUCCGAAUCUGGAUCUGACUGUAUAUAAGACUUCUGUUUGUAUUGCAUGUCUAUUUUUGUUGGGUUACACACUGAGUUUAUGAAAGCUCACAUAUGUUUGUCUGUUCUAUUCAGGUCUAUAGACUUAGGCGAAUCAGUGUGACGGAGCCUCACAGUGACCACGAGAUCGUAAACUGUUUAAGAUUAUGGUUUUUAUUUAAUUUAAGGAUUAUUUCUAGAAGUUUGUAAUAAUUGGACUUUCUAGACUAUUUGACUUUUAUUUCAAUUUUGGAGGCAUUUUAACUUUUAUGGCCACGUUUGACCAAAAUCACGGUUUUACUAAAAUAAAGGAUUUUCUAAAUACAUGAAUUAGAUUUCCAAGAUUCAAUGCUUUUUGAAAACUUCGACCUUAGAUUAUGUAUUGGAAAAUUAAUUAAUUAAAUAACGCUUCUAGUAACAAAUAGUACACUUGGGGUAUUUAUCAAAUGACUAAAUAAAGCUUUAUCAAAAUAUCACUGUUUUCAAAACCAUUCCAUGUAACACUCUUGGAUUCAGCCACAAUGUCUAGGCCGAGAUUAGGGUGUUACAUUUAAUGCUAUCAGAGCCAGGUUGCAAAACUCAAGCUAUGAAUUUUGGGUUUCAAAAAUUAUAUUUUGAAAAAGAACAGGUUUUCAAAUAAUUUGGAUCAUUCUGAGUAAGUAUGUGGUACACUGAGUCUAUGGUAUUGAUCCUGUAAGUACUUUUGAAAUUAGAUAGAACUUUCUGAAAACAUUGUAGUUAGUACUUUCUAAAACUAUACUGAAUUAGUUAAAAAUAGAAACCUCUGAAAUAUGUUCAAACUUCUGCUAAUUUGAGCAUAAAAUAUCUGUUAAUAAAGAUUGGAACUGAUGCAUAAAAUUUUGUAAUGUAGAUAAAUUUGAAAAUAUACGAUGAGCAAUUGUGGAACUCACGGUCAUGGUAUUCGUGGGCGCGUAGGGUCGUAGGGGGCUGGAGCUGAGUCUUUUUCUCUGGGCAGUAUGCCAAACUUAGAUAUGAGUGAGACACCGGUUUCACCUGCCAUUGAGACAAGGUCUCAAAGUCGCUUGGCUAGGGACGACGCACUGUCUCAAGCCAUGUUGAGGGUUUUGGAGAGGGUCACUAGACCUCAUUCUGGAUCUGUGGGUCGAUAACUGAACGACUCCGAUCCAAUAGAGCUGAGCUGUUUAGGUGUGUCAUUGGAGUCACCCCUACUGUGGCCGAGUAUUGGUUGGAGGCCACUGAGAGGAUUAUGAACGACAUUGACUGUACUCCUAAGUAGAAACUUAAGGGUGCAGUCACUUUACUUUGUGAUGAGGCAUAUCAAUGGUGGUUGUCGAUUGAGGAGGGUACUCAACGGGACUGUCUGAACUGGGAUUAUUUUAAGACUACCUUCUAGGGGAAGUAUGUGGGUGCGAGCUAUGUUGAUGCUUGUAGGCGUGAGUUCAUGAAUCUCACGUAAUGUGAUAAAUCUGUGGCUGAGUACGAGGUUGAGUUUCUGAGGUUGAGCCGCUACGCUUGAGGCAUAGUGGCGACUGAAUAUGAGAAAUGCAUAUGUUUUAAGGAUGGCUUGAGGUAUAAUCUGAGGGUAUUGAUUGCUCCACAGAGGGAGCGAGAGUUUUCAGUUCUUGUGGAUAUGGUGAAGAUCGCCAAGGAGAUUAAAUGCAUAGAGCGCUAAAAUAGGGAUCAUGAGUGAGGCAAGAAUAAGAGGGAUUCAGAGCCCUCUAGUUCUGUUUAGAGGCCUAAGAAACAGGUCAGACCUGAUUGGCUUGUUAGAGUAGGGGUUCCUAUUGCUUCUACUAGGAUUUAGCCAUGUGGUGAUUGUUUUAGGCGCCAUUCAGGUGAGUGUUGGAGGAGGUUAGAGGCUUGCCUGAGGUGUUGGUAUUUGGAGCACCACAUUAGAGAAUGUCCACUCCAUACGGAUUAGAUGCAAGCUUCAGGACUGAGUUUUAUAUAACCUCAGAGGGCAGUUCAACAGCCACCUAGGGGCCGUGGUCCGACUAGGGGUGGUAAUGGUAUGGGCCGAGGACAAAGAGCACUGGGAAAAGGUGUUAGUCAAACUGAGGCAAGGCAGCCUGCACUGGUUUAUGUUGCUUGAUGCCAAGAGGAUAGAGACGCUCUUGAUGUGAUCACAGGUACGUUCUUUAUUUUUGGUGUUCCAUAUACUACUCUGAUAGACAUAGGUUCUACUCAUUCCUAUGUAGGUAGUACUAUUUCCAAAAAUUUAUUGAUUUCUGGUGAGGGUACUUCUAGUGAAAUUAUUGUACUGAGUCCGUUGGGGCAGUCUGUUCGAGUAAGUAGACUUUAUAGGAAUGUACAUUUGGAAGUACAAGGGAUUGUGUUUUUGGCAGAUCUGGUAAGGGUAGUUCUAGUGAAAUUAUUAUACUGAGUCCUUUGGGGCAUUCUGUUCGAGUAAGUAGACUUUAUAGGAAUGUACCUUUGGAAGUACAAGGGAUUGUGUUUUCAGCGUUUUAUUCACAUAAAAGCAGCAAAAUUUAGCGGCGUUGUCUACAGCGGCAUUUUUUACGGUGCUUGUGAAAGCGCCGCUAUAGGCCUAAAAACACCGCUAAAAGCUUGUUUUGCUGCAGUGAAUUAAUAUUAUUAUAAGUGUAUUUUCACCUUUUCAUACUUUUAUAUAAUCUUUAAGUAAAACGAUUGAAAAUUAUUAUUUGAGAAUCAAACACAAGAGUAACAAUAUUCAUAUAGAAAACGCUUACCACUCCACUAAUAAUCAUUUGUUGAUGUAUUUUUGGUAAAAAGACCCCUCCAAUCCCUCUUAAUUUCACAAUUGCUCAAAUUAGUCCCUCUCAUAAAAAUUGGAGCAAUUUAAUCCCUAUCAAUUUUGAAAGUGAGUAACUAAGGACAAUUAAUUAUGGUGUUAAAUUCUUCCAUCAAUUGUACAUAAUUUUGAUUGGUAUAAGAAUAAAUUUAGCCUUCAAUGUUUAUAUAUUUUGUCAUUUUGGCCAUAAUUUAAAAAAAAUUCAAGAAAUUGAACCUCAACAUUUACAUAUUUACACAAACGUUGCGGGAAAAUUUUGUUAAAUUAAGACCAAAUUGCAAGUGUAAGUUUUGAGGGCUAAAUUUAUUAUUAUACCAACCAAAAUCAUGUACAUUUUAUGGGAAAUUAACAUCCUAAUUAAUUAUUCUUAGUUACUCACUUUCAAAAUUAAUAGGGACUAAAUUACUCUGAUUUUUUUAGGGUGACCAAUUUCCUCAAUUUGGAAUUUGAGAGAGACUAUUGAGAUCUUUUACAUAUUUUUUUAUAAAUAUAUAUAUUUAAUAUAAAAUAUAUUUGUUCACACACAUCGUGAGUAUGAUAAAAUAUUUUUAUUGUUAAUUAGUUGGUGUCAAAAAUUAACUCGACGCCAACUCAAUAUUAAUGAUAACAAUAUGAUAAAUAAUUGAUUUAUUUAAUAUUCUUAAUUUAACAUAUUGAUAUAAAUUUUAAGACAUGCUUGUCUUGAAGAAUUGUGAUUAUACUUUUCGAGUAUUGACUCAGUUUUCCACAAUUGUGGGUCUCUAUUUAAGACAAACAAUUUCAACAUUUCUUCAUAUUGUUUAAUCCAAAUGCAUUAAGGAUUUUCUUAUAUCAUUGUUUCAAAAAUGAUAAAAAAAAACAACGUCGACAUUGAAUUUGCUGUUUCACAUUCAAUUUUUGGAGAAGUAGAAUCUUCUAACUUAUUUUCCAUCAACUUCACUUCAAUUUUCAAUCACAAUCAAUUGCAUUCAAGAGCACCACAUAUUUUUUGGAUGAAACAAACCUAUCAAUUUUAAGAUAAACGGGUCUUUAGGGUUAUUAAUUGAGGGCCUUUUCCACAAUUGUCAUCGUUAAGCAUUUUUCAAUCUUGUCUACUGUGAAUAUCGUUUUUAAGCAUUUUUCAUUGAAAUAACGAUUAAUAGACAAAUAAUAUUCAAGUAAAACAAUUUUUGUAUAUUGGUUUGAAAGGUUUUCUAAAUAGUACAAGGACCUGAAACAGAACCACUGGACAAAGCUAACCAAAUCUAAGAGUUGGAAAUAUUUGGGAAUGAAUAGUUUAAAUUGUGAUUAUUUCUUCGGGUUCCUGUCAAAGAUAUCAGCUGAGCAAGAAGGCAGGGUAAUGUGCCAAUGAUAGAACCUUGAUGAACAACGAGCAAAUGUCAACCUAAGCAUUAAAAGGGGAUCAUUCUCAAAAAAUGACAUUCUACAUGUAACGCCCCAAAAUUUUAAUUUUGGGUAUUGUGAAUGUAUGACACAAAUAUCUGUCUGCUUUAGUGGUUAUGUGUUUUGGGUGUGUUUGGGAGGUCUCAAGUUCAAGUCAAUACUUGGGCAAAUUUUGGUAAUUUUAUGAAUAAGCCCUAUCUCUGGUUAUAGGCUUUUAAGUAAAAGUUGGCAAAUAAUUAAUAGAAUGGGUCUGUUGGUCUAGUGGUUAAGUGGAGUGUUGGUGUGAAGAAGGUCAUGGGUUCAAAUCUUUGGGACGGCAAGGUAAGUCGUUUUACUCUCCAUCUUUCUGACGUUUUCUCUCCCCCAUGUCUGCCGAAUUUUUUUUCUUUCUUCUUUACUUGUUACUCGGUUAUCUUUUCUUUUCUUUCCUCUACUACUGUCGAAAUUCCCUUGUUUCCCCUAAACCAUUCUUUCCUCUUGAUUUCGUAGCUUUAAGCAGCACUUGUUCAAAUUUAGUAAGUUGUUGGGUAUCAUUUUAAGAUAUUAUUUUGUAUUCAAUAGUCUAAUUUUGGGGUGUUGACAGUAGCAUUUCACGAGGAUUAAGGCUCUCCUCGUGAUUUUUGCAACGUACCGAUUUUAAGUUUUGCGGUAAGUGUUCAUCAUUUUAUGGGUAAGUAUUUUGGUUUCGGGAUUUUAAUUACUCACAAGGUAAGACUGAUUAUGGUGUUAUUUGCUCAAUUAUACGCUUAGGAGUGCUCGGGGACUAUUUUAGCAUCAAACAAAACCAAGUGUGCACCCGAAUCGCAAAAAUAAGGGAUUCGGCGAAAAGCCGAAAUUGCUUGCUGUUUGGACAGCAGCAGUAGGCUAACUUUGAAAAAUCAGCAUAAAUUGUGGAAAUCGAAUUAGAGGAUGAAAAAAAUAUGAGAUUAAAGCUUAUUGAGCCUAGUUUCUCAUAGAAGAAACGGUGUAAGUAAUGAAAUUGUAAAUCGUGAGUUAUAAUAGACUUAGUGAGACAAGGUCAGAAUGAAUUUGGGUUCCCCUGUUUUGACUUUGGAAAAUUAUCAAAAAUUGGAGAAAAAUAAUUAGGGGUUAAAUUUUACAUGCUUAAACUAUUAAUGAGUCUAUUUUCAAUAGAAACAAAUGAAAAUGUCAUCCAAAUUUUGUACUAAGAGAUAACUCAUUUUUAGCAAAGAAGAGUCAAAGUUGUCAGACAACAGAAAAGGGAUAAGUUUAAAUAUUUUACUGUACUUAUUAGCUGAACCAAAAAUUUUGGAAAUUUAUGGUAGAAAGUUAAUUGAGUCUAGUUUCAAAGACAUCAAACGGAUCUUAAUUCGGAAUUCUGUAGCUCAAGAUAUAAAUUUAUGUUUAUCUUAUUAUCUUUCUUAUUUUAGAAUUGAUUACAUGAAAGUUAAUUGCUAAUAUUAUUAGUUAAUUAUUAGUUUUCUUCAAAUCAAAUUAAACCCCGAAAGGUAUCUCUUUUUUUAUAUUAGUUUUAGUUAUCCAUUAAAUUUGUUUCUUUGUAGUAAAAUUAAAUUAUAGAAAUAACAUUAAAAUUUUAAAUAAAAAUAAUUCACAAUAAUUUAUUAUUUAAAAAACGCCCUGAAAUUUAAAAUUAUUGCUAUAAAUAUAUCAUUAAAUUAUACAGAAUUUAAUUUUUCUUUCAAAUACUAAAGUUAAUAAGGAAAGAGAAUAUAGUACAUAUCAAUAAAACUAUUAAAAAAGAAAUAUUGUUUAAAAUCAAUAGCGUCUAAAAAUUGUCAGAAUGAAAUAUUUGAUUUUAUAAGAUUUCAUUACUCUAAAAAAAUAAAAUAUGACAAUGCUUAAAAAUUUUAUUAAAAAAAGUUUUAAAUUUUAUAUAAAAUUUUAAAAAAUAAAAAAUAGUACUAAAAAUUUUUAUAAGCAAAUUUAAAUAUUAAUUAGUAAAUUUUUUUGUAAUAUUUAUAUGUAUUUUCAUUUUUAUAAAUACUAUUAAAACUUUUUAAAAAAAAAUUGAAUGCUAUUUAAAAACAUUAUUAAAAAAUAAAAUAUUAUAUGAAAGUUAAAAUGACCUAAAAACAUAUUUUAAAAAUUUAAAUACUUUAUACAAUAUUUAAAACUGCUUAAAAUUUCUAAACCCUAAAAAAUAAAUAAAAUAUAAUUUUUUUCUAAGAAAUCAAUAAAAAUAUAUUUAUAAUUGAACUGUCAACAAAAUUGUGGGAAAUAUUUAAAUUUUAUGAAAUUUUAAACUUAAACUGUCAAUAAUAGAAAAUUGCCUGAGUGACUUGGGAUAAGAGGUUCAACAUUUCUGGAUCGCAUUGCAUUUAAGGCGGGUCUUUAGGGUUAUGCUUUAGUUUUUUAGAACAUUUUCCACAAUUUGCCAUCAUUACUUGUGAGUGAUUUGUGGGGUAAGAGGUUGAACACUUCUGGAUCACAUUGCAUUUAAGACUGGUAUCAUUCAUAAAUUAUAUAUCUACAACAAGAAUGGUAGCCUCUUAUAUUAUAUUCAUGUAUCUAUUUUGCAUCUUUCAUUAUAAUAUGAUUUAGUAAUUUUAAUAUUUUUAUAGAAUAAUAUGCUUUAAUUUUUUUUGUAUCAUUCAUAAAAAUUAUAAUAAACUUACAAAAUGAUUUAAUGAUAUUUAAUUAUUAACGGAAAAAAUUUAUAUCAUAUAUAUUCUGUAUAUAUUAAGAUUUUGAAUGAUUAAUUAUAUAUCUACAUAUUAUAAUAAAUUCAUCUUUCAAAAUUUUCCUAAACUAUAUUCAUAAUAUUAUAAAUAUAUUAUAUCAUAAAUAUUCUUUCAAAUGUUUUUUAAUGUUUAAUAAUAAGUUAAUUUAUAAAAUAUUCUUUCAAUAAAUUAACGUGAUGAGAUCGUUAGGUGCUUGGAUUUGGUGACGGGGACGAGGAGAAAAGGGAUGGAAGUGAAGAGAAAUGUUGGGAAAUUGAAAGGGUUAGCAAGGGAGGCCUCCGUGAAAGGUGGUUCUAUAGAUGUGAACCUUCAAGCUUUUGUGGAUGAUGUUGCUCAAGGUUGUUGCAAGUAAAUUUAAAAAUAUUUUUUUAAUUAUUUUUUGUUAAAAAAUAUUUUUUUCUAUGUAGCAUGCCACAUUAGCAUACUACCAUGUGGUAACUUCUAGUGAUUUUCGUAUGUAACAUUAGACAAAUUAAUCGUUAAAUCGUUCAACUGACAGAUUUCGUUAAAGGAAGAGGUCAAUUGAUUUUUUUGGAAUCAUUGAGUACUCAAUUGGUGCACUAUUUUCAUAAAGACUAAAUUAAUUUUUUUAAUUUGUUAUCGCUGAGGGCUACAGUAAUAAAAAAUUUUGAGGUAAAAUUAGAAUAACGUCCCAAAAAUCUUAUAUUUAAUUUGUAAAAUUUUACCAUUAAUAAGUAUUUGUUUUAGUGGUUAAGUAUUUGAGUCGUGUUUAUAAUAUCUUGGAUUCAAGUCCCUACGUGAAUGGAUUGUUUUUUUUGUUUUUAAUUUUUGCAUGGGUCGGGUAGGUGGUUGAGUUUGAGUCCAUUUCGAACUUUGGAAAAAGGUGGUUAGUUAUCUGAGAUGGGUUAGUGUUAGUAGAUUUGGAUUUGGUUUAUUUUAAAAUUUAUUAAUUAAUUUGUUAAAAAAUUAAAUUAGUUUUUUCCUAAUUUUUGGCUCACCAUUCUUUCUCUUGUUCUUCUUUAUUCUUUCUUUUUCUGCUACCUUUCAAAUCACGUCGAUUUGUUCCUAUUUUGCUUUUGAGUUUUUCUUUUCUUUCCUUUACGCUCCUCUACGAUCGUGUCUUAAUUCCUUCAUUAUUUUCUCGUUGUUGGCGUUGCUCGUUCGAGAGUGGGUUAGUUUCCGUUUUGAUGUGUUUUUACGAGGUUAGUAAAAGAAAUGCGUUAAUUUUUGGAUUAUGGAGUUGAUCGUUUUUAAUCAAUUCUCCAGUAAGUUGACUCCUUUGCUGUUGUUAUGUGCUAGGUUAAGAGAUUAAUUCUGAUUUGGGCCUGCGUGGUUGUGUAGAUUUUCCAUGUGAAUUCGUUUGGUAUUUUUAGGAUAAAUCAUUCUUUAAGUCGUAUUGCUACCAUCGCUAAUGUGAUGUUUUAAUUUAUGCAUUUAGGAUUUGGUAGUUUUAUGGGUGUUUUCGUAUAAAAAUCAAACCAAGUGUGUAACGAAAAACCCGACAACAACGAGCGACGAAAGUCAAAAAAUUGCACUGUCGACACCACACGGCCGUGUGUCGGGCCGUGUGACAAGCCGUGUUUCAGACCGUGUGCGACACACUGUUUGGGCUAGUUAAGCCGUGUGGAACACACAGGUGUGUGUGAGGACGUGUGCCACGCCAUGUGAGCCACACGGGCUGGCCAUUUAGGCCGUUUGAGACCAAAAUACUAAGGGCACGUUUGGUUUGCUGUAUUGGAUUAGAGGUGUAUUGGAUUAGAGGUGUAAUGGAAUAGAUGUGUAAUAGCAAAUCAACUGUUUGGUUGAAUGUAAUGGAAUAGAGGCGUAAUAGUAAAACUGUGUUUGGUUGAAUGUAAUAGAGGUGUAAUAGCAUAAUGGAGAAAACUAAAAUGACCAGAAUACCCUUAGCAUAAAUUUGUUUUGGUAAAUGAUUAUUGUUAUUGUUAUUUAAAUUUUAAUAAGAUUAUUUAUUAUCAAAAAUAAAUAAUUUAAUCAUAUUUAAACAUAAUUAUUAUUUAAUAUAUUUUAAUUAAAAUAUAUAAUUUAAUAAAAUUCUUAAUAAUUAGCAGAAAUUUGUUUUGGUAAAUUAUUUUAUUUAAAUUUUAAUAAGAUUAUUAAUAUCAAUAAUAAAUAAUUUACUCAUAUUUAAACAUAAUUAUUAUUAAAUAUAUUUUAAUUAAAAUAUAUAAUUUAAUAAAAUUCUUAAUAAUUAAUAUUCUUAUAUGAAUUUACUCAAAUCAUAAUAUAUGAUACUGUAAAAUAUAAAUUAAAAUAAUAAUUAUUAAAUAUAUUUUAAUUAAAAUAUAUAAUUUAAUAAAAUUCUAAUAAUCAAUAUUCUUAUAUGAAUUUACUAAAAUCAUAAUAUAUGAUACUAUAAAAUAUAAUUUGAAAUAAUUAAUAUUAAAUAUAUUUUUAUUAAAAUAUAUGAUUUAAUAAAAUUUAAAAUAAUUAUCUAGAUUCAAAUUUAAGAAUUAUUUACAUGAACAAAAAUAUAAUAUUUGUUUCUAAGUUAAUUAUUUUAAUAAAAUAAUUAAAUAUUUAUAUAACGGUGUUCUCAUCUUUUGGUAUUUUUAUAUGCAAUUUUAAAGAUUGAAUCCAAACUUAAAAGAAUAUUUAUUUGUAAGCAUUUCACCGGUUUACUUCAACUCAAUUAUUGAUUAAUUUUUAAUAAACAUAAAUUCAAUCACUAAUUCUCUUGGCUCCUCUGUUUCAAUAUAUGAAACAUGACUCAAUCACUAAUCCUCAUAACUCAAAGGUGAGCCAGAUGGUCCAUCAGGGGGUGCAGAAGCAGCAUGAGUCAAAGCAACUAUGGCAUUUUUCCAGAAAGAGGAGCCAAGAGAAUUAGUGAUUGAUCUUAACAAUGGCAGAUCAUUAAGAUCCCGGGUCUGGCUGUCCAACCGAUCAACAUAGACUACAACAUCGGGGGGACACUUCUUUAUGUAUUGCUUUAUAGAAGCUAGGACUUUGUGAUUGGCACCUUGCUCCAUGGCAGAAGAUUUCAAACCUGGGGUAUCAAUGAUUCUCAGUUUAACACCAUCUACCAUUCCAGUAAUCUCUUUCACUACUGUAGUGGCAGGUUCAAAUGCAUGAAUUGAGGUCUUUGACUCACCAAAGAUUGAAUUUAUUGUGGCACUCUUGCCCACCCCAAUCUUCCCAAGCACAAGCAUGUUUAUGGAGAAGCUUAAAUCAUCUUUACCCUCUGUUUCAAGUUCCAAAGCUUUCCUCUUCGCAGAAUCAACACUAAACAGUUCACUGGUUUGUCUCCUUGCAACAUGUGCCAGUCUAUAAAGAACCUGUGCUGCUAAAGAAUCUUCAGUAGAAAGUCCGAGCCUUUGAAGAAUCCUCAAAAAUUUGACUCUUAUAAGCUGUAACUUUUCCAAUUUUAUUUUAUCUUCUUCUGUCAAGUUGUUGUCAGAAUCUCCCCUACUUGUUACAGCAGGACUAAAUAUGUUAGGCCUGUUUGAUCGAGGUGCGGAUGUUGCAUUUUGCAGUGAGGAUCCUAAGCCUGCAGGACGUUCAACAGUGAAAAGCCUAGAUCCAUCUUGAGAGGUUAUAGUAAUGUUGCCGCCAUCAGAGCCAGCACCAGUUGCUGCUUUCAAGAGGGCUGCCAAAGCAGCAGAAUCAAAUAACUCCUUCCCCUCUCCUUCUUCAUCCGUAUCCCCUUCUUCAUCUGAAUCAACAGCAUUUGUCUGUAUAUGAUUAUGAGAAGUAUCAGCACCCGAGUGAGAACCAAUGGCAGAUCCUCGUUCUAGCUCCUCCAAGAAUUGCUUAGCAGCUUCAGCAUUCUUAAAGAACAUACUUUCAGCCUCUCCAUCAGUCUCUGAGCCUUCAUUCUAAUGCUGCUUCUCUUCCAUUUCACCUUCAAAACUAACUUUUCCAGCCACUGUAGUUUGCUCUACUGACUCAGGCCAAUGAGAUUCUUCUCCUGGCAGGGUUACUGACCUUUUGCUUUGAGAAUCACUAUCUAAAUUCUCUGUUUCAUGAGCUGCCAUUAUUUCUGUAGGUUGAGCAGAACUAUCCUUUGCCUGAAUUCCAUCUCCACCCCCUCCAUCUACUUUCUCAGCAAAUGCUUGUUCCAAAAUAUCUAUGAUCUCCUCAUCUUUGAGAUCAUUUAGCUCAGUCCCAGAAUUGUCUUUACCAAGCAUAACCCCACUGGCAAUAUCAGCUUUAUUCUCAGCAUCAACAGCCAACUCGUCUCCGCCGGAAAACUUCGAACCAUCAGCAUGAUUCAAGCCGUUAUCCAAGCUCGCAUUAUCGUCAACUGGAACCACCUCUGUCUCCUUCAUCACCAAUGUCUCAAUGCCUAAAGCAGCUCCAGUCAAAGGUUUCGCAUCGACAGCCAACUCCUCUUCGCCAGAAAAUUUCGAACCAUCGACUUCAACUACCUGAUGAUCUACUGUUUCUACAAUCAUAGGAUUGAAACCCUUAGCUCCACCAUCUAACACCAAAUUAUUCUCAAAAAUCCCAAUUCUACCUUCCUCUCCACUUUCCAUUGAUAAAACAGAUUGGUCGACUUCUCCAAUGGAACCCAUUUCCACCUUAUCGUCCUUUUCACCAUUACCAACACUAUCAACAUCAACCUUCCCCAUCGAACCCUCACCUCUAUAUUCCUCUAAACCAUUAUCGCCAUCCCCAAACGAGUCCUCAUUCAAAAUCACAUUCGAACCAUCAGAACCAACAAAAGGGGCAUCACUAACAUCCCUCACGGUCGGAAUUACUUCAUCAGGGUCAGCCAUAAAUGGCCUCUCGGGUACUGUUUCAAACUUCCCCUCACCAUUCUCGUUACUAUCAUUAGUUUUACCAUUCCCAUUAUCUUCCAAAGUACGUUCACUUACUGAACUAGUUACAAACUCAGAAUCAUCAUUCGAAGUUAAAGAAGAAGAAGAGGAAGAAGAACCUGGAGAGGUAGAGAGCGACUGAGAAGUGAUUUCCGGGGCAGAAAGCAAGGCGUCCAUGGUUGAAAGAGAGGAAAGGGAGAUAGAGAGAAUUGGGUUUUAGGAUAUGGAAUGAAUUUUGAGUGGCACACAGAGGGAGCAAAUCGGCAGAAAGGGUAAAACAGGGAGGGGAAACCGAAGGGGCAACUAAUCUGCAGAAAAGAGGGGGAUUAGAAAUCGGUGGUUUUCACCGAUUAGGAAGGUAAAGGAUUACACCCGUAUUAGAAAUACAUCAAACCAAACGAUGGAAUACAGUCGCAUUAGGUGGGGCCCACCGAUUAGGGGUGUAUUGGCUAUGCCAAUACACCCAACCAAACAUGGUGUAAAUUUUUCCCUAGGGUUAUACACAUCGUUAUGAUCGAUCGUAGGCCUUUCGUGGGGUCGAUAUAUAAUCAAAUAGACUGUAAAGUAUGAAAUCCGGUCAACUAAUAGUAUAAAUUCUGAUAUCUGUUCAUAUAUUUGAGAUGUUAUUUGUUCAAUAAACCUUGUAAUAGGCUAUGAGAAACUUGAGAAAUAUUAUGUAUGCUUUGUAUCUGUUAUGUCAUACAUGUAUAAUGUAUUAUGUCUGAUUUUGUUCUAUUCUUUUCUGUAUUUGCAUCUGGGGUGGGUUAUAUUAUGUGGAGGAAGCGUUUCUUUGAAUGGCGAUAAUUCGCCUAUUACACUGGCAGCUCAGCUACAAAUAUUCUGAAAAGUGUCAUAUCAACACUAAGUGGUGUGCAGGGCUGGAUGAGUGUUUCAUACCCCAUAUAGUGUGUUGGAAAGGUCGGAGAUAGUGUUAGCGGAUGGGGGUAGGAAUAUAUGUCUGUAUCUGUACUGCUCUAAUAUGAAUAUGUUCUGCUAAAUCUAUCUUAUACAAAAUAAAUAUUUAAAGUUAUUCGUUAUACAUUGAGUUUUGUAAACUCACUUUCUAUUUGUUUGAUAAUUUUAGGUAUUCCUCAGACUUUGGCAAAUCGGUGUGAAAGAACUUGGUUAAAUUGAUUUAGUUUCAUUAUCUAUUAUAAUUAAAUUUUGGGUUAUUGUGUUUCAUUAUUUUUGGACUGUUGGGAAUUUUUGGAUUGUUUUGGUUUUUGAGAUUUUAUUUUCAAUUUUUGCAUGAUACUAUUAAAAAUGUUUUAUUGGAAAUGUUUGUUUUCCUGCAAAACAACUAAUUUCAGACAAAUAAACUUAGUUUUCCAAACAUAAUGAUAUGAGAAUUUUCGCUUUUAAGUAUUCAUUUUAGAAAAUGUAAGCAAACAUCGUUUCAACUAUAAAGUUAAGUUAGAUGUAUUUUUCUCUUAAAUCGAGGUUUAAGUAAUAAAAGUUUACGACAUUUUUCCAAAUUUUACAAAAAAUUGGAUUUACAAUUGUUUUAUGUAACAUCUCCAGAUUUGGUCAUAACAUCUAGUCGGAUUUCGGGUGUUACAUUUAGUGAUAUCAGGUCAGGUUGCAAAACUCAGGCUGUGAACUUUUUGGUUCAAAAUUUUGUGAAAACUAUUUUUCGAGUAAAGUUUGUCGAAACCACUUUUUCGAAACAAAAAAUAGCGUCGACUUAAAAAAUGAAAAUUGGAGUCGCCACCAGUCUUUUUUAUUUAGGUGUGAUCGGAUCACCUCCUAAUUUAAUCAUUUAAAUAAAAGUUAAAAUUUACUAAAACGAUUAAUGGGUUUAAAAAACCUUUUUCUUUACAAACAUUAACAAUAAUAAACGAACAUCGAAGAAAUAGAAAAGAAAAAAGAAAUCGAAAAGAAAAAAAAUUAGAUUUCAAAUCACCUCUCAAAAAUUUAAUUGCUUUCUGAUUUCUUUGGUAUCUUUUUUUACUGAUUUCUUAUUGUUCGCGUAAAAAACUUACAAAGGUCUUUUCUUCCGUUUUAUAGGCAAAAUAUGAAAUAAAUAAAAAAAUACAAUAUAUGUUUUUUCUGUGUUGCUUUUCGUCCUAUUUGUAGGUACGAAGACCAGCUAGCGCUGUACAGAGGCGGUGCAGCACGUGCUUGGCUGAGGUGACUAGAGGCGUGCGGUGGCUGGGUCUGCUGUGUAGUUUAGGGUUUCUGUUGAUUUUUGGUUAUUGGGCUGGGGUUUAAUUUGGGCUUGGGAUUGUGUUUGAUUUUUAAUCUGUAAAUGGACUUUUUAAUAUUGGACUUUUAUUUUUUAUUUGGAUUAUUAUUAUUUUUUGUGUAUGCGGGUCCGGGCUCUACAAAGUUCAUUUCUGGAUUAAUCUGAAAAUUAAUUAUGUGAAGUACCGAGUCUCUGACGUUGAUCCUGUAAGUACUUCUGACUUAGAAAAAUUUUAGUUUAGAAAACUCUAAAAUGAUUAGAACUGUAGUUGGAUAGUUAGAGACAGAAACAUUUCUAUAAAUUCUUUUGAUAACUUUUUGAGUAUAAAAUAUCUACUAAUAAAUACUAAAAUUGAUACAUAAAAUUCAUAAUAUAGGUAAUAUAUACGAUGAGUACUCGUGGAACACAUGGACGUGGUAACCGUAGGCGUGGCAGGCGCCGAAGAGGGGCUCGAGCUGAGUCAUCCUCGAUAGGUACCUGAUAGGCUAUCGCUGGAGAGAGCAAUAGUCUUGAGAGAAGAAAUUUGAAGAUCGAAGUCGGAAUCUGACCUUUAAGGCCUUUAAUUGCUUGAAUAAUAAGCAUUUCCAAACUAAAAGGAUUACAAUUUCUUCAAGAAUUUGACCUGCAGACAUAGUUGAAACAUGAAGGUGUUAAAUUACCUAUUUUGUUAGUGUAAAUCAAAGAGGCUUUUUAUUUUUAUUUUUCGUUGUGAAAUAAUAUGGAUAUGUUAGAUUCUAAUCAUAUUUAAGUAUAUAUUAGUUCUUGAAGAGUUCUUAUUUUUGGUAUUUAUAUUGCAAAUAAUUUUUUUAAAUUAAGAAAAAAGGGGGGAGGGGCAAAUGUGUUUAAACUAAAGACAUCAAGGAGAGUUGUGUCAAAUUCCCAAUGCUUUUUGGAAUGAUCCCACUAAAUUGAUUAACAGACAAUUCCAAAAUUUGAAAAUUGCAGCAUUUGUCUAUACUUGAUGGAAUAGAACUUGAUAAUUCAUUUCUACUGAUCAAGUAAAGCUCUUUAAGCUUGGGAAGAUGGACACACAAAUCAUCAGGCAAGCCACCAGAAAGACUAUUAUCACGUAAAUGAAUCCUUUUCAAAGAAGAAAUGUUAAACAUGGUGCAACCUGGCCAGGUAAUUGAUAAAAUUUUGAUUUAAUCCCUUAAAAAAUAUAAAAAUAUAGACUAUUAAAAUGGUAAAAUUACAUUUUUACUAUUGUAAAAAUUACAAUUUAAUUUCACUCCUAAAAAGAUUUUCUGGCUUCGACCCUAAUAAAUUCUUUGGCAAAAGAUUAAAAUAAAAUUAUACCGUAAAUGAAAAAAGGAAACUAUAAGAAAAUCCAAUCUAACAAAGAAAAUAACUUGAUGUCCAAAAGCUACCAUAAACCGUAAUUCAUGGGAAGGCUUGUUGCUCAUUUUAUUGGUUUCCAUUUUGAUUUUGCAAAAGAAGCUUGAAUUUUGAAGAGAGCCUACUACGUGAGAGCAAAAGAAAAAAAAAUUGUUUAUUAAUUUUUAGGAAUACCGAAAUAUUAUAUAUAUGAUUAAAAAUGUUGAAUUAAAGAUAAAAUUAAGUGUGAAUUAAUAACCACAAGUGUACUUAUUACUCACCAUCUCUGUUAAAAAUGUUGGAUGUUGUUUAGCAACCUUUGUUUGAUUUUCUUCAGCUCAACCACAACAUCUUUCAUAUCUUUUCUUUCUUCUGGCAACUCAGCUGAACAAUUCAAAGCCAACUCCAUGAUAGAUGUAAUACAAUUUGCUUUAACGACAAUGUACUCAUCCUCUCUUCUUAAUAAAUCAACAUCUGCAAUUUCUAUCGCUCCUUUAGGCAAUGAACUUUCCAUCCAAUGCCUUAUACUCUCUUCUUCAACAAAAACAUUAUCAGUAGGCUUUUUCUUCGUGAAAGUUUCUAUAAGGACGACCCCAUAACUAUAGACGUCAGAUUUUAUAGAAACAAUUCCUGCUGAUCCAAAUUCUGCAUUCAAGUAUAAUUAGAACGUCAUUCAUCCUCAAUUAUUUCUAAAAUGCUUAUUCAAAUAUAUAUUCACAUCCACAUGAAACAAAAAUAUAAAAUGCAUAUUAGGAAAAUAAUCAUACAAAAAUAAAAAAGAAUUCACCUGGUGCCAUAUACCCGAUAGUUGCAAGAGUCAUGGUUUGCUUCAUUACUUCACCUUCCCCCAACAAUUUGGCAACGCCAAAAUCUCCAACAUGUGCAACCAUGUCUUCAUCUAGUAAAAUAUUGCUUGGUUUUAUGUCACAGUGAAUUAUAGGUGUUGGAUGUCCAUUGUGGAGGUGUUCUAUAGCUACCGCAACAUCUAUCAUUAUAUCGACCCUUUGUAUGAUAUCAAGGAAACAAUUUUCAGAAUGUAACCAUUUCUCAAGGUUUCCAUUAGACAUGUAAUCAAGCACCAAGGCUUUGAAGUCAACACUUGAGCAGCAAGUAAUGACCUUCACAAUAUUACGAUGAACUAUAUUACGCAUAGCAUCACAUUCAAUGUCAAAACUCCUAAAUGCUCCCUCUGUUUGCAAAUUGAAAACUUUUAUUGCAACUUCCAUUCCAUCUGAAAGCCUCCCUUUAUAUACAUAUCCAAAACUCCCUGAACCAAGCAUAUUGCUUUCCUCAAAUCCAUUAGUUGCUCGUGAAAGUUCAGCAUGUGAAAUUCUUCUCGGUGUCUUCAAAGACAACAAAUCAUCUUUAACUGGUAGAGUUGUACUCCUUUGGCAUCUUCUAUACAUAAUAGUUAAGACUAUUAGUACUAGGACAAUACCAAUUGUUGGUAAACCAUACCUAAAAGCAUGCAAUAUAAUCAUUUGGGAGUUUUUGUGGAUGUCAUUUUUGCAAGGUGGGACUAGCAAUCUAGGUGGACCACAAAGUGCACAAUUCUUCAUGAAUGAUGUGCUAGAAAAGUUUGAAAAACAUCCUUUGCUGGGAAUUUCCCCUUCAAGUCUAUUGAAAGACACAUUAAAAUACUUUAGAUAUAAAAGUUGUUCCAAAGAUUUGGGAAUGACUCCAGAGAAAUUGUUAUUGCAUAAAUCCAAGAAUUCCAAACUAAUCAACCCAUCAAAUGAUUCAGGGAUACGACCAUGUAGUAUAUUAUUUGAUAAAUCUAAUGAAACCAAAGUUUGAAGACCCCCAAAUGUGGAUAAGAUAUCGCCCAUGAGAAGAUUCCUUGAUAAAUUUAGUCUCAGUAGACUCCUAAAAUUUCCAACAUCAAUAGCAUGUGAAUUGUGAAGACGGUUUGAUGAUAAAUCUAUUUCUAAGAUAUCUUUAAGACUCCACAAAGUUGAGGGUAUUGUAGAACUCAAUUUGUUGGAAUCUAACCAAAGAUAUCUCAAAGCAGAAAUAUUACCUAAACAAGAGGGUAUGGAUCCAUGCAGCUUAUUCAACCCUAAAUGCAUCUCGUAUAGUCUCUCCAAACCACAGAGGCUUUCUGGGAUAGGCCCUCCUAAUUUAUUAGAGGAAAGAUCUAGACCUUGCAGAUUCCGCAGUCCUCCUAUUGAUGCUGGAAUGAAUCCACUUAAUUUAUUAUGGCCAAGUUCUAAAACCAAUAAGUUGGUUAAGUUACCUAUUUCCAUAGGAAUAAUGCCUUGAAGCUCACAAUUAUAGGCAAGAAAGAAUUGAAGGGAUUUUGAAAGGUUCCCGAUAUAAGUAGGAAGAACACCACUCAAUGGAUUUCCCGAAACUCCUAUGGCUUUCAAAUUCCUACAAUUCGUCAAAGAAGAAAGAAAGCUCCACUCAUGAUCAGUAGCAGAUCCUGUGAUCAAAUUAUUGUCAAAGAUUUUGAGCACUUCAAGGUGUUUUAAGCUGCCUAGCGUUUUAGGGAUUGGGCCAGAGAAUAAGUUAUGUGACAAGGAUAGAAUCUUUAGCAUGGAAGCAUUGGAGAUAGAGUUGGGAAUGUUUCCGCUAAGUUUAUUUCCCCACAAUAAAAGAAUCUCAAGCUUUGGAGCAUUGGUGAUGGGUGGUAAAUUACCUGUAAAAUAGCAUCUUUUAGUAUACAUAUUCACAAAAUAUAUAAUACAUUAAAAUAAAAACUGUAAAACUUUAAAUCAAUUAAGAAUAAAAUUUUGGCAUGGAAAAAUGUGAUGAAAUCAAUUAGAAAGUUGAGACAUAAUAAGAAGUUUUGAGUACUAAUUAGUCUUUGUGAUUUGUAUAGACAAAACAUAUAAUACACUAAUAAUUUUUUAAAAUAUUGUAAAACUUGAAAUAAAAUAAAAAUAAAAGUUUGGCAUGAGAAUGUGGCAUCUAAUCAAUCUUAAAAAUGAGACUCACACUGAAUAAUAAUUAGUUAUGAUUUGGGAAACAAAAAUGUUAAAGCCAUUGUUUUUAAUGUAAACUGGUAUGAUUCUUAUCUAUUGGGUUAAUUAUUUAUUUUUAUUAAAUUAUAGUGUAAAAUUUAAAUAUUAUUAUUUGCUCAAAAUUUUUGUAUUUUUCGUAUAUUUGAAAUUCAAUCUUUAUAUUUUUUAUUUUCUGUGAUUUAGUCUCUCUACUUUUUUUAUUAAAAAUUUUAGGUUCAUUUAUUAACACUGUUAAAAAGUUUUUGUAUUAGUAUGACAUUUUGAAAAAUAAAAUAAACUUGAUAUCUAUGUUUUUAAUUAUUCCAAAUAUUGUUUUACUAUUUCAAGAUAAAUUAUUUGUGUCUAGACCAAUAUCUUAAGAACUAUUGUUGCAUGUUUAAUUAUUCUAAAAAAUUAUUGAUUGAGUCUUAGCUUGAUUGGCAUGUGCAUUGUUGCCAAUAUAAGAGAAUGUGGGAUCAAAUAUGCUGAAGUUCAUUAUCCUCCUGUUAUGAAUUGGGGAGUUGGUAAAGUAUUAAAUUUUGAUAUAUUUUAAAAUAUUAAAAAUUUAUUAAAAUAUUUUUUAUAAAAAUCGGUUGUACCACAAUAUACAAUUUUAAUAUCAAAUUUUUAAUAUUUUUAAAAUAUUAGCGAAUAUAUACUUUAUUUCAAGUUACACAAUUUUUACUAGUUUUUAACUUUUUUUAAAAUUUUUAUCGUCUUUUAUAAUUUCUAAUAAUUUUUUACAAUAUUUAACAAUUUCUAACCAUUUUUAAUAAUUUUAUUACUUAUUAAAAAUUAACAAAUUAACUAUUUUUUAUUUUUUUAAAACAAUUAUAUAUUUAUAAUGUAGUUAUUUUUUUAUAAUUUUAUUUGAAAUUUUAAAGUUUUUUUGGUUUGUUUUCUAGAUGAUGAUGCCAUCAUGAUGUCAUCAUAUGCCACAUGGCAAUUUAUGAUUAGUUGAAUAUCUCAAUUUAUUUUUUUAAUGUCCAAUGGACUAAACCAAGAACACUUGAUUAUGUUAGAGACUACACUAGGAAUGUUUGAUAACAUUAGGUACUAAAGUAGGAAAAAAAAAAAAAGGAGCAAUACGAUGUAGGGAGUAAACUGUGCAUUAAGCCAUUAAAAAUAUAUCUAUAAUAUAUAUAAAUGCAUGGAUUUUGAGAAACUUUUGAAAUGAUAAUUAUAUAGUCUUUGUUUUUUUACUAUAUUAUUGAAUUUGUUAUUUUAAAUAUUUUUUUAUUACUUUUAAGAUUUAUCAUAUGUAUGGAUAAGAAUUUUGGUUUUACUAAAAUAUUUGGUUAAAUAAAUUCACUUCAUAAGAAGAUUUAGCAUCCUUGUAAAUAACAAUUUUGAUUCUAUUAAAAAAUUAUUUUAAAAUAUAUAUAAUAAAAUUUUAAAAUUUAUAUUGAAUUACUUUAUACUUAAAUUAUUAUUAGAAACUUUAUCAUACACAUACGUGUAUGAGAACUAUGUAUUUAGAACAUAAAUUUGUGUUUUAAAAUAACUUAUGAUAAAUAAUGAAAUGUAUAAUUUGAAACUAUUUAAUAAAAACACAUGGCUUAUCUACAAUAUUAAAAUAAAAAUAGCUUAAAUUGUAAGCAAAACAUAAUUUAAACAUAUGAAUACAUUAAAUUAAGAAUACUAAAUGAAUACAGUUAUUUAUGAUGGUGUUGUCUUCAAUUCCUAAGUUGGUGUCAAGUUAAUUUGUGACAUCAUAAAUUUAAGGUUUUAUGUAUUGAUGUGGAUUCAAAUAUCACCAUUUUUUUUAAAAUAAAAUUUAAAAUAAAUACAUUUUCCACAUUGGUUUCUUUUCUUCUACAGACAAAGGAUUUCUAAUGAUUUUUUUUUUAAAAAAAAUUACUUAUAUAAAAUAGAUUAGUUUAUGCAAUAAAAAUAAUUUCUUUUUUAAAGUUUAAUAGAAAUUAAAAAACAAAAAAAAAAUCAAUUCAUAUAAAGCUUAUUGUUUAUUAUCAGAUUAAAAUGAUAAAAGUAUACGAUAAACCCAUACUUGACGGAAUGUUACCAGAUAAUUCAUUUUUAUUCUAGUAAAGCCCUUCAAGCUUGAGAAUAUGUUGACACAUAUCAUUAGGCAAACUACCUGAUAGGUUAUUGUUGGAGAGAUCAAUGGCCUUCAGAGAAGAAAUGUUGAAGAUCGAAGUUGGAAUCUGACCUGUAAGGCCUUUAAUUUCUCUAAUAUUAAGCAGUUCCAAACCAAGAAGAUUACCGAUUUCCUCAGGAAUUUGAUCUGCACACAUAGUCGAAAAAUCAAGAUGUGAAACUACCUAUUUUGUUAGCAUAAGUCAAAGAGGUUUUCUUUUCUGUUCUACAUAAUUUGCAGAUGUUAGAUUUUAAUAUUUUUAAGCAUAUUUGUUUUCAUCAAAUUAACUAUUUUGAACUAUUUUGCCUUGAAUGAAAUAAAAUGCUCAUAUUUUUGUUAUCUAUUACUAAUCAAACUCUUUUAUAAAAAAAAAUACUUUAAACUAAAGAAACCAAGAAAAUUCAAUACCUUCUAAGUUAUUCAACUCCAAAUAUAAUUCUUUGAGUCGUGUCAGAUUUCCAAUACUUCUUGGAAUGAUCCCCCUCAAUUUAUUAUCGGAAAAUGCCAAUAUUUUAAGGUUGCUGCAUUUGCCCAUACUUGAUGGAAUGUUACCAGAUAAUUCAUUUUUAUUCAAGUAAAGCCCUUCAAGCUUGGGAAGAUGUUGACACAUAUCAUUAGGCAAACUACCUGAUAGGCUAUUGCUGGAGAGAGCAAUAGUCUUGAGAGAAUAAAUGUUGAAGAUCGAAGUUGGAAUUUGACCUGUAAAGCCUUUAAUUGCUUGAAUACUAAGCAUUUCCAAAUUAAAAAGAUUACCGAUUUCUUCAGGAAUUUGACCUGCUGACAUAGUCGAAACAUCAAGGUGUUAAAUUACCUAUUUUGUUAGUGUAAAUCAAAGAGGAUUUUUAUUUUUCUCGUUAUGAAAUAAUAUGGAUAUGUUAGAUUCUAAUCAUAUUUAAGUAUAUAUUAGUUCUUGAAAGAAAGAGUUCUUAGUAUUUAUAUUGCAAAUAUUUUUUUUAAAAUUUAAAAAAAGGGGGGGGGGCAAAUGUGUUUAAACUAAAGAGAUCAAGGAAAAGGCAUACCAUCUAGGUUAUUUAACCCCAAGUAUACUUGUUUAAGUUGUGUCAAAUUCCCAAUGCUUUUUGGAAUGAUCCCACUAAAUUGAUUAAUAGACAAUUCCAAAAUUUGAAGGUUGCAGCAUUUGUCUAUACUUGAUGGAAUAGAACUUGAUAAUUCAUUUCUACUCAAGUAAAGCUCUUUAAGCUUGGGAAGAUGGACACACAGAUCAUCGGGUAAGCCACCAGAAAGACUAUUAUCACGAAAAUGAAUCCUUUUCAAAGAAGAAAUGUUAAAGAUGGAAGAUGGAACCAGGCCAGAUAAUUGAUUGAAUCCCAAGUUCAAGAUCUCUAGAUUGGAUAAGUUGACAAGUGUUUGAGGGAUUGUGCCUGUGAAGUUAUUAUUUCUCAUUUCCAACCUUUGAACUCUGUGCAAGUUCCCAAGCCAUGAUGGAAUUUCCCCAUUAAGACGGUUGUAGCUUAAUCGAAUGAUCCUCAAACGAUGCAAUUGGCCCAAUUCUUUAGGCAGAUGGCCAUAGAAAUUGUUGUUGCUCAGGUCGAGAGAAAAUAGAAAUGAAAGAUUUCCAAGGUGUGGAGGGAUAGUACCCCUAAGAUUCAUGUUUGUAAGAUUCAAAGCUACAACUCUUUCAUGGAUGAUGUCACAAGAAACACCAGCCCACUUACAAACAGAGGUAGAGUUCGUCCAAUUGUUUGCCAACACAUUUUGAGGAUCGACAAUGCGAUCUUUAAACUCAAAGAGUGCAAACUGAUAGGAGUUGAGAUUCCGGACUGUCAUAGCCAAGGAAACAAUGGAACAUUGUAUGAAUAAAAGUGAAAGAAGAUGAAAGCAAGUGUUGUAGUUCAUGAUGGCAAGACGAAAUAAGCCAGGAAAAGGGAAGUUGAAUUGAUGAAGAAAUACCCAGCCAACAUGCUUAAAUAGGCUUCAACCCUUGCACACUUCUCAUACAUAAAGUUCACUGCCAUUACAACAAGAAAACUCGUAUCUCCAUUCAUACCUAUCCAUACUUUAUUUGACUAACUUUUCCCUAACAGGUGUUCAGUAAGGAGACAAAUCACUUUGGAGCUAUUCACCGACUUCUCCAACCUUGGUUUCAAACUCCUAGCCCAUCAAUUCACUUUAAUUGAAACGAUAUACACGAGUCUUUCGGCUUAUAUUUUUAACUUACUACUUCUCUUUUUAAUUUAUUUUUUGUUACUUCUCAUAAUAUUUUUUGAGAAAUCCAAUAUUCCAGUCUGAAAUUUCUUCAUUGCCACGUCUAUCUCCUCGGUAAGUUCGUGGCUAGGCGGCCCACUUUGGGGGCAGGAUUGUAAUUUUAGUUCUAUCCGACUCAUUUUACUAUUUAGAAAUAUAAAAGUAAUAUUAUAUUAAUUUUUAUAUUUUUAUAAAUUUAAAUUUAAAUUUAAUUUUUAAACAAUAAAACGAGUCAUUUUUAUUUGCCUAGGCUAAAUUGAAUCAGGAGUGAAAAAUUUUUUAAUCAUAAUUUACUAUUAUUUUAAUUAAUUAAAUUUUAAUUUACUAUAACUAGUAGUUGCAAAAAAAAUGACAUUCCUUUAGAAAAAUGAGAACUUAUGAAGCAUUCAAUAAGAGUUGUUGGAAUACAUGGUAACGAAACCAUAAUUCGAUAUAAAACUAUAUAAAUAAUGUAAGAUUUGUGAUACCUAAAUUGUUAUGUUUUCUAUAAAUAUAUGGAGAUUUUUUAUUAGGAAAUAAUUUUAUAUAUCAACAUUUGUUAUUUUCUUUUGAUAGAAAUUUAAUUAUGUUAUCUGUAGAAAAAAAUAUUUAUAGAAAUAUCAUUAGUAGAAAAUCAUAAAUUUGUGUGUGGCAAAAAAUUUUCACCACCAAGAAAGGGACAAAUUAAACAACUUGAAAGUCAUUGGUUGUUUAAAAUAUUAGAUAAUAAUUUUAGUGAAGAAUCAUUAAAAUUAUGACAAAAUAACCCUAGAUAUUGUAGUAUUAAAUUAGAAAAUCUCAAUAAUAUUAUUAGAGUAAAACCUAUGAUGUAUCUAAACAAGAUAUAGAAGAAUUUGAUAUACAAAUUAAGGGUAGAAAUCAUACGGAAAUAAUAAAAAACAAGAAAAAGCUAGUAUGGUCAUUAAUUAUAAAAGAUUAAAUCAAAAUAUUAUUUUUUGUAGUUACUUGAAUUAAUCAGGAUAAACAAAAAAAAAUAUUUUAGUAAAUUUGACUGUAAAUCAGGAUUCUAGUAAAUCAUGCUAACAGAAAAAUCUAAACCUUUAACAGCUUUUAGUGCACCCAAUGGACAUUAUUAAUGGAAAGUGAUGUCAUUUGAAUUAUGCGAUGCACCACAAAUCUUCCAAAGACAAAUGGAUUUUAUAUUUAAUAAAUAUAAAAAAUUAUGGGUAGUUUAUAUAGAUGAUAUUUUGAUAUUUUCAGAUACACUAGAAUUACAUAAGAAAUAUUUAAAUAUUAUUUCUUAAGAAUUCAUAAAAUAUAGAAUCAUAUUAAACCCUAAAAGUAUGGAGUUAGAAAAAAGAGAGGGAAUUUUUAUAAUAGUGGAAAUAAAAAAUUGUCCUCAAAAGAUUGAAGAAAAAAAGAAGUUACAACAAUUUGUAAUAUAUUCCUCCCAAAUUUUCAGUUGCAAAUUUAUUACAGAAUUUCUUUGCCGACAAUAAGAAAAGAGCAUAUUCACAUUUUCGUCGCAAUUUCAACUAACAACCAAUCUGUUUCCCACUUUCCUUUUUCGGCCAAUUUCAAACGUAACUGUUUUUCGAAUUUUCCUCUUUAUUUCAUUAAUAAAAUGAUCAAUCUAUUUGUUUUUUAAAUAUAUAAUUUUAUUAAUAUUUUUUAAUUAUAAUAUAAGAGUUGUUGUUUAUUUAUAGUUUUAUUACAUUAUUUAAUCUCUUUUUUAUAUCAAGUUUUUAAAAUUAUAAUAUAAGAUUUAUUUUAUCAAAUUGUGGCUUAUCAAAUGUUCAUCUAUUUUAAUAAUAACUUGAGUUCGAAUCAUUAUCAUACCAGAAAGAGUUCCCUUUAUUCUUUAUCGUAAAUUUUAUAAGAAAUUAUAUUUUAUUAUAAUACUAUAUGUGUUAGAAUAAUAUUUUAUUGUGGAUGCCCAUAAUUCUCAAAGUUGUAACCUUGAAUGUAGUAACCUCAAUGAAAUUAUGAGGCUUUUAUAUUGUAAUCAAGCCUCUAUCUAUUCUUUGUAUUCUUUGUAGAAAAUAUGAAGUUGAUUUUACUUUAUUAAAAAAUUUAAAAUAAAUUAUCUUGUUUUUUUUUAAAUGAGUUAACCAAAUUAGCAUAUUUAUUUUGAUCUAAAAUUAUCCAAAAUAAUAUAAAAUAUUAUAUUAAUAAAAUUAAAACUAUGAAAUAAUUUUUUUUAAAGAUUAUUAUUUACUUUUAUCAAACAAUACAAUUAUAUUCAGUACUUAUAUUUACUAGUUUACCAAACAGUUUUCCAAUAUGAAUUCAACACUUAUCAAAUUCAGUAUUAAAAAUUCAGUGCUUAAUUUUUUAGCACUUAACUUUUCAAUUCAUCAAGCACGUCUAAUUCAAUUUAUACAAUUCCCUAUUUGUAUCUCUAUGAAUUUAUAAAAUCCUUCUCGCAUUUAGUUGUUGGGAUCUUUAUAUGAAGAUAGAUGCUUUUAUUUUUUAUUGGUUCAUUUUUAAUUGUAUUGAUUUAUUUAAUUUUAAUUUUGAUUAAUAUAUAUGAUUAUUGUGGAAUGGGAGUAAAAGUAUUUACUUCUCAUAAACUUUGAAAUAUUCACCCUGUCUACAUAUUAAUUAUUGUAAAAUUUGAAUUGAAAUUAUGCCAUAAAAGGUGGAGGUUAGAAAACCUCUUAUUGAGACCUUAUAAUAUUUUGUAAUUUUUUGUGUUAUGGUAUAUAAAAAAAUAUCUAACCAUAGUGAUUGAUUAGUAAUAUAAAUUUGUUAUUUGUUAUGUUUAAUAUAUAUUUUAUUUAUACUUAUUCAUUUUAUUUUUAUAUGAGUAAAUGAAGUGUUUGAAGAUUCGAAAUUUUUAUCAUCCAUGUUGAAAAUAAGUGCAAAAGUGUAUAUUAUUUAAAAUAAAUUACGCAUUCAUUAAUGUUAUGUGAUAAAAUCAUUACAUUUUCUGAAGAACUAAUAUUGCAUCAAACUGUAAAAAGCUCUUGAAGAGCUAAUAUUUAUCUCCCUGUGAUGCAAAAUCUUGUAAAACAUGAUAUUAUUUUUCAAAUCAAGAAGAUUUAUGUUGAAGGAAAUAUUUAUGUGUUUUACAUUAAAACCAUGGAUAGAAAUGACAUGAGACACUCAUGUAUUUGCAUUAUAAAUAUUCCUUGAAGGAAUACACUUCACUUGUAUGAUUGACAUAUGAGAUAAUAGCAAGAAGUUUAUAGUGUUGGUAUGGCCGGCUAGACCAUCUCAAGUCAAUAAUGAUGCAAAAUAAUUUGAAGAGAAUUUAUAUGAUUUUAUUGAAGAAUGAGAAGUUAUUUUCAUUUUGAUAAUUGUCAUCAACAAUAGUUCUUUGGAAAAAAAAAUAUUGAACUAACAUCAACUAAAGUUAGAGGUUGGUUCAUGGUUGCAUUUUUUGAUGAUAUCCAAAUAAUAUAUGAGCUCAUGUAUCACAUGUAUGCAACCCAAAGUUUACAGUAUUAUUUCUUGAAAUAAUUUGAUUCUACACAAUCUCUAUAGCAUGCAAUUUGUGCUAACAACACUGGUGCAUUAUAUCCUAAGCUUGAUUUUCGUAGUUUUAGCUGAGAUAAUAUUAAGUUGUCUAUGCCUAUAUAUAUUAUACUUAAUGGUUAGCAAAAUUAUGCCUCCAUUUAAUUGCUUAACCAUUAAUAUAAGAAUAGCUUUAAAAUAAGCAUGUAAUUUUAUUUGCAUCGAGCCAACAUGUAAGAAAUAUUUGUCCCAUGAGAAUUAGCUUUUAUUUAUAAGCCAAUAGGUUUCAUUUAUGACUAUUUGGAUGUAAAAUAUCUAUUUUAUAUUCCACCAUAAUGCACUAAGAUGGACCAUCAAGUAUGAAGUUGAGAAAAAUUAGAAUUUUUAUUUGAUGGUAAAAGUUGAAAAGAGAUAUAUAUUUAUAAUUUUGAAAAAAAUAGUCAUGUUGCAAAUUUUCUCAGUAUUAGAGGGAGACAAGUUGGACAAAUACGUAUAAUUAUGUCAUCACUUUUUGUGAUCCCUCACUAAUCUUAUGUGCACAAAGUUUGAAGGAAAAAAAUAAUUUGCUAGACAUGUUUAGUGAUGACAUUUAGAGAUUGUAUAUAUUGGAUGAUACAUAUACCAGCUAAAAUGUUCCAAAUAAUUAUGCGUCCUAGAAGGACAAAGUGAUAAAAAUAAUUUUUGGGCACGCUAGAAGGAUGAAAAACUAGUUGGUUCUAUAAAUAAAAAAAUUCUUGACAGAAAAGAGUAAGAAAUGAAUAUGGCCACACGUUAAAGGAGACGAGUACUCAUGAAGAGACCCAAGGUAUAACUUUUAAUAAAACCCCAAAAGAGGUUCAAUACAUGAAAUUAUGAAUAUAAUAAGUGUAAUAACCAAAUUUUUCCCGGGCCCAAUGCCAAACAAAUAAAACCCAAACCAAAUAAAUAAAAUAAGAGUCCAAAUUAUAGUCCGUUAGGGCCCAAUUCAGACCAGCCCACUAUUCAAUCAGACCAGCCGAACAACAAAAAAAAACCUAGUAGCCCACAGCCCAACUAAGCCUAAAAAAUUUUCAGCAAAAGAAAAAACCCUAGCUGCCAUGCUAGCCGCUGCUCCUGCCCUAGCCUCUGCCCACUAUCGUACGCCACCUCUGCCAUCACCAUUAGCCUCUGACACCUGCAAAACAGCAAACAACAUGCAACAACAGAGAAGAAGACGACAAGCAAAAAACAAAUCACUAAAGGACAAAAAUAAUGAUAACAAAUAGCCUUAGUUUGGCUAUAAAAGCAAAAAAAAUGAAAACUUUGUACUUCUUUGGCAAGAUUAAUACAAAAAAGAAAAGAUUUGAACUUUUUAGGGUGAUAUUUCAUUUUUUUUUACGCUUUAGAUCUAUUUUUUUAUUUCAUCUUCAUCUACGAAAAUAAUAGAAAAAAGACUUUGAUUUCAAGGUGAUAUUUUGUUGUUUUUUUAGAUCUAGUGUUUUUUUAUUUAUUUUUAUCUACAAAAAUAAAAAAAGGAAAAGAGAAACGUACCUAAUUCACCCCGUGGCUCCGUCGACGGAAGUCCCAUCGCCAUCGUCGGAAUCGGGCUUAAAAGGGGAAGGUUUUUAUUUUUCUUUACUUUUUUUUGGAUUUUUCGUCUCAAGAAAUGGACUAAGGGAGGGGAAAUGGCCAAAAUGGUCUUUUUCCGAUGAACUCUGGCAACCACAUGUGGCAGUUAACAGUGCCGGUGCUCGGUGGCUGCGGUGGAGCCAUGGUGGUGUCCCAUGGCCGGAUCUAGAGAGGAAGCCUUUAAGAGGGAGAGAGUUUCUAACAUUUUUUUUAUUUUCUAAGGCAGAAAUGAAUUUUUGAAAAAAAAAAGUUGGGUUUUAUAAGUGCGUGAAAUGGCGCCAUUUUGCGCAAGUGCACAUCGACGUCGAAACGACAUCGUUUACCCCUUUACCCGCUUGCCCGAGUCUGGCUCGAUGAAGGUCCGCAUAUUUUCAUGCCUGAUGGGUUAUUUCCCUGCCCGAUCCUUCCGAUUUUGGGCUUCUUCUCAAUCUGGUCCUGAUCCUACUUUUUCCCGCCUUUUAAAUUGUACCAUUUAAUUUCAUUUCAUUUUCAACUCGGUCCCUCGGCUGACCAAAGGAAAUGAUGCGCAUAAAGUUAAGGGAUAUUUUCCCUUUCAAUCCCCAAUAUUUUUAGAGCGAUGCAUUUUAAUCCCUAACCUUUCAUUCCAAUCUUUUACACAUAUUAUUUCAUUUUAUUCGUUUAUUUAUUGACUUAUCAUUUUUACCCUCUUUUUAUACUUAAAAAUAUAUAUUAUUUACACUAUUACUUGCAUUUUUUUACUAUUAAAUUAUUAUUUUUAAUGUAUUAUAUUCCCAUUAUUUUACCAUUUUAUUUAUUUUGAUACUUUCAUGUCACAUUUAUUUAUUUUAAUAUUGCCAUUAUUUAUUUUAUUUUAUUCUUAUGUUUUUUAGUAUUUUAUUAUUUCUUUUAUUGUUCACGGUUUUUUUUUCAUGUUAUACAUUUUUAUCUUUCUAAUCAUGCAUUUUUCCUUUUUUUAUUUUGUUUUAGGUUACGUUAUUUAUUAUUAUUAUUAUGAUAAUAUUAUUAUAAUUAUAUUACCAUUAUUAUAGAAUUCCUUUAUUUGUAUAUUCCAUUAUAACUAUUAUUAUUAUUAGUAGUCUUUAACUCACUUCUAUUUUUAUUAUUAUUUUUUAGAAUAGUAGUCAACAUGCUUAUCCUUAUUGUUAUUUGGUGUUGUUCUUAUGAUUUUAUCAUCAUUAUUGUUGUAUUUCAUUUUUUGUUCACUCUUUAAAUAUUUUGUUCAUAUAGUUAUUUUACACUAUUGCAAUAUUGUUGCAUUACGCAUUAUGUUUCUUAUAUAAUAAUUAUUUCGCUUUCACGCGAUGUUCGAAUCAAUUAAACAUGAAUCUUCUCAAUUAUUACAUUAAUUGUUACUUAAGUUCAAAAAGAAAAUUUUCAAAAUAAGGCAAUAUUUUGCGUUUUGGAAAUUCGAGAAAUCAUACCCUAACUUACGAGGUUUCGAUUUUCUCGUUAAACUUAAAUAGCAAAAUAUUCUUUUAAAUUUCAAAAUGCAUGCAAUUUCAAUAAAAAUCAAAGGCAAGCUUAUUCUCUAAGGUUCCAAAUAUCGCGUCCUAACUUACGGGAUGUGACAUUUCGUUACCUCGAGACGAGUAGGUCUUCAACUCUCUUUUCGAUUUAUUCGAGCGUUUUUAAUAACAUUAAUAAAAAGGGAUCGUAUUUUAAAUUUCUAUUCAAGUUUUCAACCUUGGACAUUAAGACAUUACUUAAUCAACUAGGUACCACCUUUGGGUGUAUUGAGGGUGUGUUUUCUAGAUUUUGUAGACCAAAUAUUAUCGUUUUUAGUAAAUUUAAAUUUUUAUUAAAAUGAUUAAAUUACAAGUGUUGACACCAUUUUUUUGAUGAAAAACGGGGUCGACUUGGGUUUUAAAAAAAAUGAAAAACGGGAGUCGCCACCAAUCCUUUUUGAUAAGGUGUGAUUGGGUCACCUUGAAAAAUGGUUGUUUUUAAUAAAUGAUUUGAUUUUAUUAAAACAACGGUUUUGGUCCAUGAAAUUUAGAAAACGGGUUCGGGAGUCGAUUACGUACGAGGAAGGAUUAGCACCCUCGUAACGCCCAAAAAUUGGUACCUAGUUGGUUAGCUAAUGUCUUGAUGUCGAAAAUUGAGAACUUGGAAAAAAUUAAAAAUACGAUCCUUGUAUUAAAAUGAAAAUUUUAGGAAAAGGGGGGCAUACUUCACGCUAAUCGAGAAAGAGAAUCAUAUCCAGUAAGUUAGGACACAAUGUCUCGAAUUCCCGAUACGCGAAUGAAUGCCAAAAUUUUACUUAUUUAAAAGACAUUUUAGCCGUCUCGAAUUUAAAAAUGAAAUCACGACCAGUAAGUUAGGACGUGAUUUUUUAAAACUUGAGUUUGAAAAGAUUCGUGCAUCUAGAUUUAUCGUGAAAAUCAAUACCCAGUAAGUUAGGGUACGAUUUUCUUGAAUUUAAACACGAAAUGCCAUUUUUUAAAACAAAUUUUGUUAUAUCGAGUGAAAUAAAAACACAAAGUCGUAGUAAAAAAAUGUGUAAGCAAAUUACAUUGUUAUGCAUGGCAAAAUCAUAAUGAAUACAAAAGUAUAAAAAUGAUACGAGCAAUAACAACAAUAUAAAAUAAAUAAAAGUCAAACCUACAAUAAUAUUAAAUAACAAUGUAUAUAAACAAAUAAAAUUAAAACAUUCAUUCAAAAUAAUAAUGAAAAUGAAAUAAAUAAAUAGUAAAUACAAAAUAAAACAAUAGUAAUGAAUAAAAAUAAUAUAAUAUAUAUAUGUAUGUUAGAAUUAUAAAGUAUAAAAAUAUACGUAUGUGUAUAUAAGAAUAUGUAAGCAUGUAUAUACAUAGAUUAUAAAAUAUAGAUAUUUAUAUAAAAAUGAGUAUUUGUAUUAAAUAAGUUGAAAAAAAAUAUAUAUAUACCUACAUAUAUAUAAAAAAUUAUAUAAUAAUAACAAUAUAAUAAAACACAUAUAUCUAAAAUUUACAUAAGUAAAUAUAAAUAAAAACAUACUAAUAACAAUAAUAUUAAUAGUAAAAUGAUAAUACAUAAAAAUGAUGAAGAAAAUAAUAAAAAUGCUUAAAAGGGGACUAAAUCGAAGUAAGAACCAAAAAAAAGGGGCAAAAUCGAAAUAAAGACAAGAGGGACUAAAUUGUAACGCGCGCUGAAAGAGGGGGACCAACAGGGUAACUAAACCAAAGCCUCAAAACGCUGCUCUGUAAAGGACUGAAAUGAGACAAAAAUAAAAUUUUGUGGCCAAAUUGCAAAUAUGCGAAAAACUUCCAUGAAAUCGCUACAAAAUCAAAGGGACUAAUUGCGCAAAUAGACCCUUAAACAAAAACGCGCGGAUCCUUGGGUGCGGGUCGGGUCGACGUGCGGAUCCCCUCACCAAAACGGCGUCGUUUUGUGUUUAAUAUAAAUAUAAAAAAAGGGCUAAAAAAACAGUUUCAUCAUUUUUGUUGAAAAACUGAGAGAAACCUCUCUCUUUUUUCCCUUUCUCAGGCUCAGAUUCCGGAGAUGGCCCGGCCUAGGCUUCUGGCGAAUCUCCGCCGUAGAGCCACCGUGUGUGGCGGCCGGAGGUCCAAAAUCGGACCUUUUCGGUCCCUUUUUGAAACUAAGAAUCCCUAGGGUACGGAUCUGGGACCAAACCCCCGAAAAAAAGAAUCGGAGACCUAAAGAACGAGGGGAAACCGCUCGUCUUCUCUCCUCCGGCGCGGCGCAGGUAAGGUUUCUUUUUCCUUUAUUUAUAUUACGUAAAAAACAUACAAAAAGAAAAAAAAGAAAAUAGAGUUUAAAAAAAAUCUAAAACAGAAAUGAGAGAAAAUCACCUCUCAAGUUUUCUUGUUUUUUAUUUCUUUUUGCUAAUAUCUGUUUCUUCUUUUUACAAAAGUUGAUGGAAGAAGAAAAAAUUACAUUUUGUUGGCUUUUUAUAGCCGACUUCUACUACUGCCUGUGUUAUUUGCUCUCUGUUUCUUUGUUUUGUUUCUUCUUUGCAGGUGACGGUGCAAGUGGUGGUGGUGACGUGACCGUGGCAGUGGCGGUGUGAUGUUGGCGGCGGCGGCAGGCCAAAGGUCAAUAGGUGUGGAGCCUAGGGUUUUAGUUUUUGAAACCCUAGGCAGAUUUUUUUAGGGGAAUUGGGCCUUAGCUAUUGGGUCGUUCGGGUUUGGGCGUUGGGUUAGGCUAGUUGGGCUUUGAGGUUGGGUUGUUUUGUAAUGUGCUUUGGUGUUUGGGUUGGUAGGUGGUGGGUAAGGUUUAUUGUUUUGGGUUCUUGGGCCUGGUUCUGUUUGGUUAGGGUAAUGGGCCAUUUGGGUCUGGGCAUAAAAUUGGGCUAUACAACAAGGUGACCCGAUUACACCUCAUCAAAAAGGAUUGGUGGCGACUCCCAUUUUCAUUUUCAUUUCUUUUUAAAUCAAAGUCAACCCGUUUUUAAAAAAAUGGUUUCGACAAUAAGAUAUAUUGAUUAGUUAUGUCAUAACUAAAGAUGAUGGAGUUGACAAAAGGAAAUUGUAGUUAACAACGAAUAAUCUACGUAGAACAUUUCAAUAUUAUGGAAAAAUGAGUAUUUACCAACCUUCUUUUAGUCAAAUUAUGCAAGCCUAAAAUUUUUAGCUUAAUUUGAGUUUGUUGACUAUGUCUAAUUCAAGUUUUAUUAUUAAGGACUAAAUUGUAACUUAAAAAAAUUAGAAUACCAAUUUAAAGAGACAAAAAUUCAAAACCCCAAAACCCACAUGGGCAUGUGGGUAAGUGACACAGGCGUGUGGAGACUGGAGCUAUCACACACGGGCGAGUGGGACAGAAAAAUAUGAAAUAAAUUAAUCCACUUAAAUUUCAAACAACCAUGCUAUACUACCAAACCAAAUAAUGCUAGAAGCUUUGAAUAGGGGUGAAUCGAAAAAAAAAUAAAAGAAUUAGAAUUAAAUUAUAAAAUUUUCAGAAGUUAUCAUGUAUUAAUUUAUUAUUUUUUAAAGGGUCUUAAUAGAAUUUUUUUUCCAUUUUGGUUUGGCCAAUACCCCUGUCUACCUCUUUCAAUUUGCUUCAACCCUAAACCUAAUAUUCGAUUUGUUGUGGAAGUUUGACGCAUAAAAAUUUCUUUUUUAGAGGUUUAAAUUAUAAAUUUUUGAAAGUUUAAAAUAAAUUUUCAUUUUUAUUAACAAAAUAUAAAAGAAAAAAAACAUGUGUAGACAAACCAAGAAACCUUUGGGAUCAUACGGGUGAUUUUGAUGAUGUUAAUGGUUAUUUUGAUGGAGAGGGUGAAAAAGAAACAAAUGAUUCAUAUAUAUAAUAUAAUUAUGAAAUUCAAGCCAUAUAUUGUAUGUUUCAUCCAUAAAAAUUUCAUGGGAGGUCCGAAGGUAAUUAAAUGACUUGUAGGCUUGCUGAAUUUCUUUGAAAGGCCCAAUGGCAAUUUAACAUUCACAAAAUAAUCUCUAAAUACUGUAAAGACAAAAUCAAAUCCACAGCAGCAUUAGAGUUGAUUAAGCUAAGCAUUGGCAAAUAUUACUUUGAUUUUGCAUGCAAUAUUAGCAAAACCCCCUCUUACAUUAGAUAAACAACAUACUCCAUGAAACAUUGAUAGCCCAAAUACAAAUUUCAUCGACAAAAAAGUCUCUUUGUUUUGUAGAACAUGAUAGUAAAAAUGUGGAGUUUCGUUCUUCUUAUUGGCCUCCUUUAGUUUUCCUUGAUCAACAACCACUAGCCAAAAACACAAUUAGAUUAGAUUAUGAAUGAUACUGACAUUAUUAAAUAUAAAACACUCUAAAUAACUCUAAAUAAAUGGAAAGCAGCAAAUUACCUGACGAGGCAAGCUAGCUCAAUUAAGACCAUUGUGUUAUACUUGUCUCUGAAUUGAAAAAUUUAGAAGGAAAUAAAGAGAAAGACUUAGAAAAUAUUUGAAAACAGAUAAAACUUAUAUGUCAUUUAAAAUAAAAAUUUUGUAUUUAAGCCGUUUAAAAUUUUUAAGAUUUUUGAAAUUUUAAAAUGAUAAAGGUAAAAUUGUACUUUGGCACACCAAAAAUGAUAAAACUUUGAUUUAAUCCUUUAGAAAUUAUAAAAAUAUAGGCUAUUAAAAUGGUGAAAUUACCUUUUUACUAUAGUAAAAAUUACAAUUUAAUUUCACUUUAAGAUUUUCUGACUUCGCCCCUAAUAAAAUCUUUGGCAAAAGAUUAAAAUAAAAUUAUACCGUAAAUGGAAAAAGAAACAAAGAAAAUCCAAUCUAACAAAGAAAAUAACUUAUGUCCAAAAGCUACCAUAAACCGUAAUUCAUGGGAAGAGAGCAAAAGUAAAAACAAAUAGUUUAUAUGAUUAAAAUUCCAGAAUAGGUUAAAAAUGUUGAAUUAAAGAUAAAAUUAAGCGUGAAUUAAUAACCACAAGUGUACUCUUUACUCACCAUCUCUGUUAAAAAUGUUGGAUGUUGUUUAGCAACCUUUGUUUGAUUUUCUUCAGCUCAACCACAACAUCUUUCAUUUCUUUUCUUUCUUCUGGUAACUCAGCUGAACAAUUCAAAGCCAACUCCAUGAUAGAUGAAAUACAAUUUGCUUUAACAACAAAGUACUCAUCCUCUCUUCUUAGUAAAUCAACAUCUGCAAUUUCUAUCGCUCCUUUAGGCAAUGAACUUUCCAUCCAAUGCCUUAUAGUCUCUUCUUCAACAAAAACAUUAUCAGUUGGCUUUCUCUUUGUGAAAGUUUCUAUAAGGACGAUCCCAUAACUAUAAACGUCAGAUUUUAUAGAAACAAGUCCUGCAGAUCCAAAUUCUGCAUUUCAAGUAUAAUUAGAACAUCAUCAGUCCUCAAUUAUUUGAUAAAUCUAUGUAUAUCCACAUACACGAGAAACAAAAAUAUAAAACGCAAAUUAGGAAAAUAAUCGUACAAAGAUAAAAAAAGAAUUCACCUGGUGCCAUAUACCCGAUUGUUGCAAGAGUCAUGGUUUGCUUCAUUACUUCACCUUCUCCCAACAAUUUGGCAACGCCAAAAUCUCCAACAUGUGCAACCAUGUCUUCAUCUAGUAAAAUAUUGCUUGGUUUUAUGUCACAAUGAAUUAUAGGGGUUGGAUGUCCAUUGUGGAGGUGUUCUAUAGCCACCGCAACAUCUAUCAUUAUGUCGACCCUUUGUAUGAUAUCAAGGAAACAAUUUUUAGAAUGUAACCAUUUCUCAAGGUUUCCAUUAGACAUGUAAUCAAGCACCAAGGCUUUGAAGUCAACACUUGAGCAGCAAGUAAUGACCUUCACAAUAUUACGAUGAACUAUAUGAAGCAUAGCAUCACAUUCAAUGUCAAAACUCCUAAAUGCUCCCUCUGUUUGCAAAUUGAAAACUUUUAUUGCAACUUCCAUUCCAUCUGAAAGCCUCCCUUUAUAUACAUAUCCAAAACUCCCUGAACCAAGCAUAUUGCUUUCCUCAAGUCCAUUAGUUGCUCGUGAAAGUUCAGCAUGUGAAAUUCUUCUCGGUGUCUUCAAAGACAACAAAUCAUCUUUAAUUGGUAGAGCUGUACUCCUUCUUUGGCAUCUUCUAUACAUAAUAGUUAAGACUAUUAGUACUACGACAAUACCAAUUGUUGGUAAACCAUACCUAAAAGCAUGCAAUAUAAUCGUUUGGGAGUUUUUGUGGAUGUCGUUUUUACAAGGUGGGACUAGCAAUCUAGGUGGACCACAAAGUGCAUAAUUCUUCAUGAAUGAUGUGCUAGAAAAGUUUGAAAAACAUCCUUCGCUGGGAAUUUCCCCUUCAAGUCUAUUGAAAGACACAUUAAAAUACUUUAGAUAUAAAAGCUUUUCCAAAGAUUUGGGAAUGACUCCAGAGAGAUUGUUAUUGCAUAAAUCCAAGAAUUCCAAACUAAUCAACCCAUCAAAUGAUUCAGGGAUAUGACCAUGUAGUAUAUUAUUUGAUAAAUCUAAUGAAACCAAAGUUAUAAGACCCCCAAAUGUGGAUAAGAUAUCGCCCGUGAGAAGAUUCCUUGAUAAAUUUAGUUUCAGUAGACUCCUCAAAUUUCCAACAUCAAUAGCAUGUGAAUUGUGAAGAUGGUUUGAUGAUAAGUCUAUUUCUAAGAUAUCUUUAAGAUUCCACAAAGUUGAGGGUAUUGUAGAACUCAAUUUGUUGGAAUCUAAGUAAAGAUAUCCCAAAGAAGUAAUAUUACCCAAACAAGAGGGUAUGGAUCCAUGCAGCUUAUUCAACCCUAAAUACAUCUUGUAUAGUCUCUCCAAAUCACAAAGGCUUUAUGAGAUGGGCCCUCCUAAUUUAUUAGAGGAAAGAUAUAGACCUUGGAGAUUUCUCAUUCCUCCUAUUGAUGCUGGAAUCAAUCCACUUAAUUUAUUAUAGUCAAGUUGUAAAAGCAAUAGGUUGGUUAAGUUACCUAUUUCCAUAGGAAUAAUGCCUUGAAGCUCACACUCAUCGGCAUAAAAGUAUUGAAGGGAUUUUGAAAGGUUCCCAAUAUAAGUAGGAAGAACGCCACUCAAUGGAUUUCCUGAAACACCUAUUUUUCUCAAAUUCCUACAAUUCGUCAAAGAAGAAAGAAAGCUCCACUCAUGAUCAGUAGCAGAUCCUGUGAUCAAAUUAUUGUCAAAGAUUUUGAGCACUUCAAGGUGUUUUAAGCUGCCAAGCAUUUUAGGGAUUGGGCCAGAGAAUAAGUUUCGUGACAACUCUAGUUUCUUAAGCAUGGAAGCAUUGGAGAUAGAGUUGGGAAUGUUUCCGCUAAGUUUAUUUCUCCACAAUAAAAGAAUCUCAAGCUUUGGAGCAUUGGUGAUUGGUGGUAAAUCACCUGUGAAAUAGCAUCUUUUAGUAUACACAUUCAUUGAAUACCAAAUUCACAAAAUAUAUAAUACAUUAAAAUAAAAACUGUAAAACUUUAAAUCAAUUAAGAAUAAAAUUUUGGCAUGGAAAAAUGUGAUGAAAUCAAUUAGAAAGUUGAGACAUAAUAAGAAGUUUUGAGUAGUAAUUACUCAUGAUUUCUAUAGACAAAACAUAUAAUACACUGAUAAUUUUUUAAAAAAUAUUGUAAAACCUGAAAUAAAAUAAAAAAUAAAAGUUUGGCAUGAGAAUGUGGCAUCUAAUCAUUCUUAAAAAUAAGACUAACAUUGAAUAAUAAUUAGUUAUGAUUUGAGAAACAAAAAUGUUAAAGAUGUAAACUGGUAUGAUUUUUAUCUAUUGGGUUAAUUAUUUAUUUUUAUUAAAUUAUAUAUAGUGUAAAAUUUAAAGAUUAUUAUUUGCUCAAAAUUUUUGUAUUUUUCGUAUAUUUGAAAUUUAAUCUUUAUAUUUUUUAUUUUCUGUGAUUUAGUCUCUCUACUUUUUGAAUUGAAAAUUUUAAGUUUAUUUAUUAACACUGUUAAAAAGUUUUUGUGUUAGUAUGGCAUUUUGAAAAAUAAAAUAAAAUUGAUAUCUAUGUUUUUAAUUAUUCCAAAUAUUGUUUUACUAUUUCAAGAUAAACUUUUUGUGUCUAUACCAAUAUCUUAAGAACUAUUGUUGCAUGUUUAAUUAUUCUAAAGAUUUGUUGAUUGAGUCUUGGUUGAAGUGCAUUAUUCUCCUAUUUAUGAAUUGGGGAGUUGAUAAAGUACUUUAUUUUAAUAUAUUUUAAAAUAUUAAAAAUUUAUUAAAAUAUUUUUUAUAAAACUUGAUUGUACCACAAUAUACAAUUUUAAUAUCAAAUUUUUAAUUGUUUUUUAAAAAUAUUAGCGAAUAUAUACUUUAUUUCAAGUUACACAAUUUUUACUAGCUUUUAACUUUUUUUAAAAUUUUUAUCGUCUUUUAUAAUUUCUAAUAAUUUUUUAUAAUUUUUUACAAUAUUUACAAUUUCUAACAAUUUUUAAUAAUUUUAUUAUUUAUUUCAAAUUUAAAAAUUAACAAAUUUUUAUUUUUUUAAAACAAUUAUAUAUUUAUAAUGUAGUUAUUUUUUUAUAAUUUUUUUUUGAAAUUUAAAGAUUUUUUUGGUUUUUUUUUUCUAGAUGAUGAUGCCAUCAUGAUGCCAUCAUAUGCCACAUGCCUUCUAAUUUGUUGUCAUAUAGACAUAUUUCUUCGAGCGUAGUUGAAUUAAAAAUACUUGAUGGAAUCUGACCUGCACACAUAGUCGAAAAUUGAAGUGAAAAGCAUACCUUCUAAGCUGUUAAACUAAAAAUACUUUAAGCAUAUUUUAUUUUCCAUCAAAUUAACUAUUUUGCCUUGAAUGAAAUAAAAUGUUCUUAUUUUUGUUAUCUAUUACAAAUCAAACUCUUUUAUGAAAAAACUAUUUUAAAUUAAAGAAACAAAGAAAAUUCAAUAUCUUCUAAGUUAUUCCACUCCAAAUAUAAUCUUCAGUGAAGAAAUCUUGAAGAUGGAAGAUGGAACCUUACCAGAUAAUUGAUUGAAUCCCAAGCUCAAGGACUCUAGAUUAGACAUGUUAACAAGUGUUUCAGGGAUUGUGCCUAUAAAGUUAUUAUUUUUCAUUUUCAGCCUUCGAACUCCCUGUAAGUUCCCAAGCCAUGAUGGAAUUUCCCCAUUAAGACUGUUGUAUUUUAAUCGAAGGAUCCUCAAACGAUGCAAUUGGCCCAAUUCUUUAGGGAGAUGGCCAUAGAAAUGGUUUCUACUCAAGUCGAGAGAGAGUAGAAAUGAAAGAUUUCCAAGGUGUGGAGGGAUACUACCCCUAAGAUUCAUGCUUUUAAGUUUCAAAGCUAUAACUCUUUUAUGGAGGAUGCCACAAGAAACACCAAUCCAAUUGCAAACAGAGGUUGAGGCCGUCCAAUUGUUUGCCAAGACAUUUUGAGGACCGGCAAUGCGAUCCUUAAACUCGAGAAGUGCAAACUGAUCGGAGUUGAGAUUCCUGACUGUCAUACCCCAGCAAAGUCCGGAACAUGGUACGAAUAAAGCUAAAAGAAGAUGAAAGCAAGUGUUGUAGUUCAUGAUAGCAAGACGGAAUAAGCCAAGAAAAUAAAAAAAAGUAGGACAAGGGAAGUUGAGUUGAUAAAAUAGUUUGGAUGAUGAAGAAAAGCCCAGAGAGCAUGCUUUAAUAUGUUUUGAAGAAAUUUCAAAAUAAAUUUCAAAAUAAAUUUCAAAAUAAAAAUUUAAAAAGGAAAGCAAAGUUUUGAAGAAAUUUCAAAAUAAAUUUCAAGUCUUCUUCUUUAAAAAAUACGUACAAAGAGCGAAUUUUCAAAAUUUCUCCUAAAUUUUCUUCACAUUACUCCACAUAAUCCAUUAAAAAAACUUAAAAAAUAUAUUUUAUUAAUUACUAUACAUUCUUUUACUUUCAGAAUAAUAAAUUGUUUAAAAUUUGCUAUUAGUCCCUGUAAUUUAAAAGUUAAAAAAAAAAUUCAAUCCUCCUACUUUUCUAAUUUAAAAAUUCUAGUUCAAUCAAUUUUAAUUUUAAAAUCUUUGUAUAAAAGGUGUUUUUUUUUUGUGACCGAUCACACUUAACCAAUAUUUAAAAAUUAUUAAAAAAUAUUUUUUUUUGAAAUUUAAAGUGAUCUAAAAACAUAUUUUUAAGUACUUUGGACAGUCUAUUGUUGAUUUCCUUAUUAUAUUAAGUGUUUGCAAUCACUCCUAAUAUAUUGUGCUUGAGUUGUGACAAAGUCGAUCAUCAAAUUGCCAUAAUGAUCUAUUGAUGCUGAAAUUAAAGUUUUUGUUAUAUUGAUAGAGCUUGUCCUUCAACGCGUACAACGUGUUUGUUAUUUUUCUCCCUUCAAAUUGUAUGAUCUUAUUCAUUAAAUGAAUUAAUGAAUUUCCCUUUUAAAAAGAUAUAUUUUUAAAAAUUAAAUACUUUAUAAAAUAUUUAAAAAUUUGUAAGCCUUAAAACAAUCAACAAAAUAUUUUUGAAAUUUUAUAAAUAUAUUUUAAAAUUAUAGUAACGCUACAAAAUAUAUAUAUUUACUAAUUAUAUGCACCUUUUUUAUUUUUUUUCCUAACAUAUCAUUAUUUUCAACACUAUCGUAAUCCUGUUUUGAUAAUUCCCUUUCCAUACAUCCUUUUUCUACAUAGAAUUUCAAAAGAAAAUGUGAAUUAAUGUAAACGUGAGAAGACUUAAUUACAUUUAUUAGUUUAUCAAUCAAAACUUAAUUAGAAUCCAUCAAUAUUUCACACAUCAAAAACCCAAACAUAAAAUUCACUUUUAAAUUAUUUGAAGAUACAUUUGUAUUAUAGGAAAUGGAUUAAAUUAGUCUUUUAUUAUUAAAUGUAUUAUUUUAAUCUUUGUAUUAGGUAUGAAUUGUAUCUCCUAGAUUGAAGCCAAAGCUAUUCUUGAAAGACUGAAAUUAAGAUUCAGAUGUGUUGAGAUGGAAAGUGGCAACACAAUGUUGAUUGAAACUAUUUAUAACGGGUUGGCUACAAUAAGUAGUGCUGCCGAAGUAAGACAGAUUCACGAUUGGUGUUCCAAAAAUUGGGAAGUCAAAUUUCGACAUAUUCAACGAAAUGCCAAUAAAGUUGUUGAUUGCAUAGCUAAGGCAAAUGGAGGCGUAAUUGAGCAGCUGGUUAUCUUGGAAGAUCCUCUGCAUUAUGUGAGAUGCUAGCUUGAAGAAGAUAUUAGACAGUCACUAGUGACUGAUGAUAAUUUUCAUUUGGACUGAUGAGCGCUUAAUUUUCUAAGCUUAUGUUCAACAAAAAAAAAUUUAAAUACGUCUAAAUUGUAAUAGAGUUAACAUUUAGUGUUUAAAAAAUAUCUUAAAAAUUAUUUUUUUCCAAUUGCAGUUCAAUUCCACAAAUAUCGACGAUGAACCCGGACAUAAAAAUUACAGAAAAAAAAACACAUCUAUUAUCAAACCAGCAAUCCAUGUCUAAACUUAAAUUAACAAAAUUUGCCACACAACGCCCGGUACACUAUUAUAUAUCUAUACUAGAUUUAUUCUAGAUGCACAUGUUUUAUUAUAUUUAAAAAUUAAAAUGUAUGGUUGACUAAGUUUUAGUUGAGUUAGUAUUGAUAUUAUUGUCAGUGUAGGAAAAUGUGAGUUUAAUCACGCUCAAAUGUGUUUUAUCCUCCAAUUCAAGGGUUAGGAAAAGGUUAUUGAUAAUUAAAUUAUACCAACUUUUAUAAUAUUAAAAAAAAGGAUUUAUAAAUAAUAUAAGGAAAAGAAAAAAAGAGAAACAUAUUCAUAUUGAUGGGCUCUUUCAAUAUUAGACUUUUUUUUCUAUCACAAGUAAAAAUAUCAAAGGUGAUAAUAAUUAAAUUAUAAAAUUUAAAUUGAGAAAAUAGGGGAUAAAAUUUAUAAGUUUUAAAGUAUAAAGAAUGAAUUUAUAACUAACAACAUAUUUUAACCACAUAAUAAAAGUAGUUAUGGAGAGGAUCAUAUAAAAUGCAAAAAUGAAAUAAUAGAAAAGAAAUAAGUGUUGGGUAUAGUGGCAAUGUAUAUUAUACUUCUAAGGGGAGAUCAAGAUUUUAGACAAGGGAAGAAUUUUAAACCUGCUUUUUUCUCUAGAACUCAACGCAAACCUCAAAUUUAUCUUUUUAAAAGAAUUUAAAAAUAUCUAUAUAAAAGGUGAUUUUUUACCGAUCACACUUAACAAAAUUAAAAAAAAAUUGAAAUUUAAAGUGAUCUAAAAACAUAUUUUAAAGUGCUUUUGACCAUCUUGUGCUGAUUUCUUUAGUAAUUUGAUUUGUUCAAUAUAGAUUUUGGUGACUUAAAACAAAAUUAAUAAAAAAAUAUUUUAUCAGAUAUCUUUUUAAUGUUUAAUAAUAAGUUAAUUUAUAAAAUAUACUUUCAUUGGACACAGGGCCUCCAAGGCGGUGAACCACUAAUCAAAUUAAUUUUGAGAUACUUAAAUUUGUUUUCAUCAAUUAAGAAAUUAAAAAAAUUUGUUGAGACCUCAUGAUUAUGUUUUAUAAUUUCAGGCUUAUCAACUAUUUUGAAAAACAACAAAACGUCUUACACCAAAAACUAAAAAAAUAAAAACGUCGACAUUAAAUUUGUUGCCAUGCAAUCAAUUUUAAGAUGGUUUUUGGAGUUAUAUAUCACCUUAGCAUUGACUUACUUUUCUACACUUAGUCUUCUCCAACAAGUUAAAUAUUUCAAUUUUAACAACAUUGACAGGUCUUUGGGGUAGGGUCGAGCAAAACUCAAUAUAGGCUGAGUUGGCUCGGCCAAGUCGAGUCGACUUGUUCAAAUUAUUUAAAUUCGUAAUUUUUAAGGUGCAGUUAGAAUUUUUUGUUUUGAGAUGCUAAGAUUAAAAUAUUUCAGUUGCUAAAACAAAAUAUUUGUAUUUAAAAAGGCAUAAAUUAAAUAAUUAAGUUUUUCGAGUUUCCAUUUAAUCAAAGGUUAAAAGGACUAAAUUGAAGCUUUUUAUUUUUAAGAAAGGCUGAAUGACAAAUUGCCCAAAGCCAUGCCCCUAGCUAUACAACUAACUUCUCUAUGAUUAGUCCUUCGUUUGCUUUGGGUGAAAUCUUCCAACUAGCCUCAUCCUUGGUUUUACUUUCCAACAAUUAGUGUAUCACGAGUUUUGUUUUCUUUAAAAAAUAUUUGUGGAUAUUAGGAGAUAAUGAAAAUUAUUUUACUAUGAAAUUUUAAUAAAACUGGAAAAUAAGUAAUUUAUUUUAAGAGGUCGCAAUUAAACGUUAGAUUUCCAAUUUUUAAAUUUUAAUUUUUUUUUGACAAUUGCAUAAUAUUUUGAGUGUUGUAGGAAUGCCAUAAUAUAACCUUCCCUAAACAUAAUCGACUCUUGAGCAUGAUGGAUCCUAGAACUUCUCCUCUAUUCUCGUACCGCAAAUUGCUUCAAGUGUGGGUUCGAACAAUCACAAAUUAAACACAAAACCAGAAAUGAUUUAUUACUUUCAAUAGCAAGGUAAUUCUCUCUCAAUAGAAACCAAUAGAAGUGUAAUUCUUAGAAAAUAAAAUUUAUUUUUUGAAAAUAUAUUCUCACUACUUUCUAGCAGAAUAACAAUAUGUGAAACUUAUGUCUUGUGUUAAUAGCUCUACCAGUACUCUCUAUUUAUAGGGAGAGAUACGAGAAUCCUGGUUGAAUUAGUAAAACACGAAUAAUAUUUAUUUCAUAGAAAACAAUAUUCCACCCUAAGUAGAUCAAGUUUGUAUGACGCAUGGAUCAAAGCUCAAUCUAGGAGGAAAAAAAUAAAGGAAUUUUCUUUGUAAAGAAAAUUUGAGAUUGUACUAUUUUCAAAGUUAUAAAUAAAAUUAUACGCCAAAUUUUUAAGUCAAUUUCAACUCCAAUUUUGUAUGCACAAAUUUCUAGUACACUUGGUGGGACAUUCUUUGACUUUUAUCUAUUCUCUCAAAAAGUUAAAGUUCAAAGUUACAUUAAACUCAAAGAAGAUAAUCAUUAGUAAACCACCUCACAAGCCUGCUCAAACUAAUCCUACAACUCAUUCCACUUCAUCAUCAAACACCAAUGUUCUUGCUUAUCCUUAUGGAAUUAAACAGUCUCAUUUUCUGCAUUUUGGGUACACACCUGGUUUUAUUUGAUGCUAAAACAGUCCCCGAGCACUCCAAAGCCUAUAAUUGAACAAAUAAUACUAAUUUAAUCUUACAUAACAUGAUCCCAAAUUGAACUUGUAUCGAGGUUUUAACCCAUAAGUGACUAAACCUUACCUUCAACCGAGUGAACAGUAAUUCCCACACAAACUAAGACUCCGAUUGAAGAUUACGAGCCAUUGAAUCCUCCCCUAAUUGGCAUAAACAAAACACUUCAAAAGAAAGUCAACAAAUGGAGACAAAUCACUUAUCUAAAACUUACCGAACGAUCACAGACAAACGUGAAGCGACACGAGGCAGAGUGGGAAAAGAAAAAUCAAGAGGAUGAAGGGUGAAAGAGAGCAGAAAUUCGGUAGCAAUGAAGAGAAAAACGGCAAGAAAGUGGAGGGAUUUUGGGGAAAGUAAAAAAAAAGAUGAAUAGAAUAUUUGAUAACUACCCCAAUCCCUUAUUUCUCUCUAUCAAACUCCCCACUAAAUCCACUACUCAAAUUUUUAGUCCAUCUCAAACUCUCCUGGACGCACGAGCAAAAAAUAAUGCCCAUGCCAAAAUUUAAACAAAAGACCUCCUUCACACCAACACUCCACUUAUCCACCAGACCAAUAGGCUCAUUCUUUUAAUUAUUUUCCAACUUUUACUUAAAAGCCUACUGACCAAAGAUAGGGCUUAUUCAUAAAAAUACCAAAUUUUGCCCAAGACCUGGCUUGAACUUGGGACCUCCCAAACACACCCAGAACACAUAACCACUAAAGCAGACAUAAAUUUUGUGUCACACAUUCACAAUACCCAAAAUUAAAAUUUUAGGGCGUUACAAAAACACAUUAAAUAAUAUCGCAUAAAAUAAUCACAGUUAGAUAACAGUUCAGAAUGUCGAUUUUACAAUUUAACCACCAAUAGUAUCACAGUAUUCACAGUUGUAAUUUCAGAAUAUCAAAUUUCCACAUGAUUCACAAUAUUCACACAUAUAUAAAUAUAUCAUAAUAGAAUUCCAGAUUUGUAUGCACAUGAUUUAGAAGAUGCCAUACAAUUUUGGUUUUUAACAGAAUAAAUCCUACCCCACGUUACAUACCAUAAUGGGAGUUCCCCUAAACUCCCUUCUCCAACACACUAGGUUAUGGAUAAACCACUAUUGGUUCACAAAUAAUAACUGUCAUUUGGCUGUGGACACACAGCAAGUCCCCACAAUUGGAUUCUAGAUUUGGUUGUGGAUUCACAGCAAAAAAAUCCUACAAAUGAAGCCUGCUUUUGCCUGUAGAUUAUACAACAUAUACCCGCAGUUGGAAUCUGUCUUUGGCUGUGGAUGCAGUGUAACACCGCAAACUCGACCUGGACAUUAUGGCUGAAUCUUGAUGAUUUACUUUAACUCGCUAGAAAACCCACGAAUUUACUUUAAAAUCAUGUGGUUAAACUAGUGUUCACUUUGAUAAAUUGUUUUCCAGUUUUAGAGAAAUUUCUUGUUAAAACUGUUACUUUAUUACAAUAAAACAUUAAAGUAAUUGUAUCAUUUUGUAGUGGAAUCUACUAAGCUAUAAGGUUUUGAAAAUCGUGAUUUAGUUUGCAACAAAUCAUUUUGCAAAUAGAAAUUUAAUACUACUUAAUUUGGAAAAUCACGCUAAAACGAAAGCAAAGUCCAAAAUAAUUUACGGUUUGAAAUUCUAAAAAGCCCAAAUUAGACAUAAAGUCUAUUUAAACCAAUUUAUUGAAAGUGUAACACCCUAAACCCGGCCUAUAUGUUAUGGCCAAAUCUAGAUGUGUUACGAAAAAAAGUUUAUAAAAUGACUUCCUUGUUAUUGGCAAACCAUCGUAACCAUUAUUACUUAGUAUAUCUGAUUUGUUUGGAAAACUUAUUGAUAUACUUAUUUGAUUUAAAAUCGUUGCUCGCUUAUGCCUUUUUAUUAAACCAAAUAUUUUGCAGCGGAGUUUCUUUACAACAUCAUAUUUUGGAAAAUCAAAUUGUUUCUUGAAAAUCGUUAUUUUAGAAAAGUUUUCAUUUUCAGAAAAAUUAUUUUAUCAGUUGUUAUGCUGAGAAAACAAAAUAAAAUCCAAAACCAAAAAUAAUCGCAAAAAGUCUAGAGAGUCCCAAAAUGACAAUACUCUUAAAACUAGACAAGCUUAAACUAAUUUUAAAAGAAUGAAAUUUUACAGAAAUGUGGACACCACUGAGCUUCCGUCGCACCGACCCACCUAAAUCUGAGGGUUACUUGAACAGAACAAACAAACAGAGAGUGAGUUUUGAAACUUAGUGUCUAACGCAUAUAUAAACAAAAAUUCAGAAUCAAUCUCAUGCAGAACAGAUACAAGUGUAAACCUUUUAUAAAAUUAGAAUUGUACAGAUACAAAUAUGCAACAUCCUACCCUCAUCCUCUACACACCAACUCCGACCAUCCUAUCACACCACGUGGGGUAUAAAAUACCCAUCCAGCCCUACACACCGUAUAGUGUUUAUAUGACACUUUUUGGAAUAAUCGCAGCAGAGUUGCCAGUAUAUAUGCGAGAUAUCACCUCACAUAGAACACUUCCUCCUCAUAAUACAAAUCCCGCCUCAUAGCUAGAUACAGACAAAAUAUGAUGUAAAAUAAAUUAACAGAUACUAGAGUUAACAUAUCACGCGUGAGCGUAUAAUAGAUAUUACACAUGCUUAUGCAUAACAAAAUAGAUCAUACAUAUUGUAUUCCAUAAUACUCAUAUAAAUGUUAUUUACGUCAAUCUCAAUCUAACAGAGUAGCAGAUUUCAUGCUUUAACGCUUAUACCACACAUAUAGACCCUAUAGAAGGCCCACAGUCGAUCGAGACAACAUGUAUGUCGCUAGGGAAAAAAUUUGUAAUUUGGGCCCAUAUACAUGUAUGAGCCCACACACCCAAAAUGGCCUUGCCCAUGUGGCUCACCAACCUAGCACUCAGCCCAUACGGUCCAAAAUGGCCUAGGUCGUGUGUCACACACAGCCGCAUGUUGCACACAGCCUACCACAUAGCCAGUCACAAAACUGUUUGGAGUUGAAAAGCCCAAUUUUUGGCUUUCGUCAAUCAUCAUUUUCUUACGUUUUCAUUACACACCUGGUUUGAUUCUGACGCAAAAGCAACCCUAUGUCCACCGAAACCUAAAAAUAGCAUUCCAACGCCCAAUUUCAGUGAACAUUUACAAAACUCAAACAAAAACUAUCCAAAAACAUAGCCUCACAAUAGCAUCCAACGCACUCGCACACUUAUCGUCAACAAAUAGGAAACACCCAACACUCAAUUCGUUGGCGGAGCACCAAUUAUGAUAAUGCAAAAAUUUUAUGGAUUCUCAACACUAUCGAUCCGAAUGUAAGAUUGAUGCUUUCCAAUUAUGAUAAUGCGAAAAUUUUGUGGGAUGGUUUACAUGAAUUUUUUUUGUUGUCAACGAUCAACGUAUUCAAUAAUUAAAAUAAAAUAUUAGUCGUUUUUAGAAAACCAAGACUAUGAGUGUUGUAGUUUAUUUCAGUAAAUUAAAGGUUUUGUGGGAUGAACUAGAUAAUCAUGAACCAUUGAUUUGUUGCAAGUGUGGACAAUGUUUAUGUAACUUAGGGAAGGCGCAUGAACAAUGUCGUGAGCAUGAUUGACUUCAUCAAUUACUUCUUGCUCUCUAUUGUAAUUGUUAUGCUCAAACUAGGUUUACACUGUUUUACCAAGAUCCUUUGCCUUCCUUAAAUCAGGCAUUCCAACAAAUUACUUAGGAGGAACAUGUACGUGGAAUUACACUGAUUAAGGAAGAGAAGUCUGAUAUUUUAGGCUUUGCUAUGCGUACAGAGGGUCAUAACAAAGGCCGAGCUAAUUGUAUUGAUAAGUCAACCUUGUUGUGCACUCAUUGCCAUCGCAAAAGGCAUGAGAUGGCUACCCAUUUUGAAUUACAUAGCCACUUGGAUUGGCGGCUUAAGAAGUAUGGGAAGCCAGAGAAGAAAAGUGAUGAUCGUGGUGGUAAGACAAGUGCCACAUCUUCCACGUAAGUGUUUUAUUUCAAAGGAUCACAAUUAAACAUUAGAUUUCUCAUUUUUAAUUUUUUUAUUUUUUUAACAGCUACGUAAUUAACGAGUACCAAUUUUGGGUGUUGUAGGGGUUCUAUAACUUUCCCUAUAUGUAAUCGACUCUUGCACCCACUUUUUUUUCUCUAGAAUUCAAUGCAAACCUUAGAUUUAUCUUUUUAAAAGAAUUUUAAAAUCUCUUUAUAAAAGACGAUUUUUUUAGGUGACCAAUCACACUUAAGAAAAACAAAUCGGUGGCAACUCCUUUCUAAUAAAUGUAAAAAACUUUUUAAACAAAAUAAGGUUGAAAUAAUCUAGUUGUCGUUAUACUUUGAUAAAAUUUUAGAUUUAGUCCUUAUACUUAAAAGGUUAAAAAUUAAGUCUUGUUUUUAUUUAAAAAUCUUAGUCCUAUCGUUAAUAUUGUUUUUUUUUGUCAAAAUUUGUCAAGUUGACAUAUUAAUUAGGUUUCUCUUAUAUAUCGUGGUAUAUGACUAACACAAAAUAAACAAGUUGACAAAAUCUACAAAAAAUAUCAAAGAUGAUAAUAGUUUAAUUAAAAUUUUUAAAUUAAAAAAGUAAGGGAUUAAAUUUAUAACUUUUAAAGUACAAUGAAUGAAAUUAUUGAAAUACAAGAACUAACAACAUAUUUUAAAAUAUUACUAGUAAAUUAUAUAUCUACAACAAGAAUUGUAACCUCUUAUAUUAUAUUCUUGUAUCUAUUUUUGCAUCUUUCAUUAUAAUAUGAUUUAUUAAUUUUAAUAUUUUUAUAGAAUAAUAUGCUUUAAAUAGUUUUUUGUAUAAUUUAUAAAAAUUAUAAUAAACUUACAAAAUAAUUUAAUGAUAUUUAAUUAUUAACCAAAAAAAAUGAUAUCAUAUAUAUUAUGUAUAUAUUAAGAUUCCGAAUCAUUAAUUAUAUAUCUACGCAUUAUAAUAAAUUCAUCUUUCAAAAUUUUCCUUAUAAUUAAAGCAUAAAUUAUAUUUAUAAUAUUAUAAAUAUAUUUUAUCAUAAAUAUUCUUUCAAAUAUUUUUUAAUGUUUAAUAAUAAGUUAAUUUAUAAAAUAUUUUUUCAAUAAAUUAAUGUGAUGAGAUCGUUAGGUGCUUGGAUUUGGUGAAGGGGGAUGAAGAGAAAAGGGAUGGAAGUGAAUAAAAAUGUUGAGAAAUCGAAAGGGUUAGCGAGGGAAGCCGCCAUGAAAGGUGGUUCAAUGGAUAUGAACCAUCAAGCUUUUGUGGAUGAUGUUACUCAAGGUUGUUGCAAGUAAAUUAAAAAAUAUUUUUUUAAAUUAUUUUUUUGUUAAAAAACAUUUUUUAUUUUUUAUGUGGCAUGCCACAUUAUCAUAGUAUCAUGUGACAACUUCUGGUGAUUUCUGUCUGUAACAUUAGUCAAAUCAACAGUUAAAUCGUUCAACUCACAGUUUUUGUUAAAUGAAGAGGUCAAUUGGUUUUUUUGGAAUCAUUGAGUACUCAAUUGGUGCACUUUUAUCAUAAAGGCUAAAUUAAUUUUUUUAAUUUGUUAUUGUUGAGGGCUAUAACAAUAAAAAAAUUAAUGUAAAAUGAAAAAAAUGUUAGAGCUAAAUUUGUCAUUAUAACUAAAAUGUAAAACCAAAAUUUUUUGAAAAAUGAAAAAAAUGGAAAAUCACAAAUUCUAUCACUUAUGUUUGCUUAAAAUUAUAGUUUUGGUCACCAAUCUUUUGAAGUAAAUAUAUGGUCACCAAUAACUCACCUUAAAGUUAUACCCCUACGCAAGAAAGGAUUAAAUGACAUUGGAAUACCAUAAAACUUGUAUCUUUUUUUAUUCAUCUAAUACCAUUUUAACAUUUUCAUUUUAAAAAAUUGACAUAUCAUUUUGAAUUUGAUCUUUUUCAUGGUAUCUCAAAUUCAUUUAAUCUUUCCCUCUCUAAAAAAGCUAAUGUAACACAUUAAUGACAUCAUUUCAAACAAAGUUUUAGGUCAAAUUAUUCAUCUAGUCCUUGUAAUUGUUUUUAUAGGUGAAUUUCAUUAUUAUUCUUUUAUUUUCUUAGGCUUAAAUACACAUUUACCCCUAAUUUUAUCCCAUUCUCCUUAAUUGGUAUUUAUGGUUUAGAAAAUUUUAUAAAUAUAUUAUUUUUUAAGAAAUUAUAAGAAGAUUACAAAAAUUCCAAAAUAAUAUAAAAAAGCCAAGGAAAACCUAGAAAUUCAAAAAAAAAAAAAAAACGUCGACAUUGAAUUUGCUGUUUCACAUUCAAUUUUUGGAGAAGUAGAAUUUUCUAACUUAUUUUCCAUCAACUUGACUUCAAUUUUCAAUCACAAUCAAUUGCAUUCAAGAGCACCACAUCUGUUUGGAUGAAACAAACCUCUCAAUUUUAAGAUAAACGGGUCUUUAGGGUUAUAAAUUGAGGGCCUUUUCCACAAUUGCGGGUGAUUCGUUGAUAAUAACCUCAACAUUUCUGUAUCACAUUUCAAUUUUUAAUUUUUAGAGAGAUGAUUGGGUUACAAGACUGGUUUGAAGUGAAGAUAUUUCAAAAGAAGAUCGAAUACUCUACCAAUAGUCAUAAUUUAAAAUUCAGGUUAUGUUUCAUUUCAGCUAAGUUAAAUGUUAAGAUUGAGGUUAAACCUUUUAGAGGUUGCUCACAAAAGGAUCAAACCUUUAUAAAAUUGCCUAAAUGAAGGUUAAACCUUUUAAAAUAGACAAAUAAGGGCCUAACCUUUUAAAAGGUGUUCAAAUAAGGGUUUCUCAAACGUUGUAUAUCAGGUUAUGUGUUUUACUCUAAACACAUCGACAUUUACCUAUUUUUUCUAUAAAUUUGGUUGAAGUGCAUGAAAAAUCCUUAUUUGAGCACUUUUGUAAAGGUUAAUCUCUUAUUUGACCAUUUUGAAAGGUUUGAUCCUUAUAUAAGUAACCUCUAAAAGAUUGAGCACUAAUUUGACAAGUUUGAGAAAUAUCUAAAUUUGUUUUCAUGAAUCAAGAAAUUAAAAAAGAAAUGUUGAGAAAUAUUUUAGAGAUUCUUAGCUUUGACAAGUUCCCUCCACCAUCUCCCUGCCUCCAGUCCCACCUCUUCUCUUAUGCUCCUUCCAGCUUCUUGCCUUUUGUGUGUUGAAAAUUCAAAGGAACAAAAUAUCAACCUACAUCAUAAGGCACGAUCGCCAGAACUUUACUUUCUAGCCUGUCGAUCCGAUCCAAUCCAAUGAAAGAAGAACAAGGAGUCUUAAGAUCUGUCAACUUUAUUUCAUUUUCAUUUUCUUUGUCAUUUUCUAUGUUUCAUGUCGAAUACAAUGAAAGAAGAACAUAGAAAAAUGUGGCCUAUUUAUUUCCCAAUCAUCAUGAAAUUACUUGCCAUUGACUUAGAAUUUUCUCACCAAUUUUCAAGCAAUCUGACAUGAUUUCUCAAUCACAAUUAAUUGAAUUCAAGAUCUUUUUAGAUGACACAAACAUUUCAAUUUUAACACAAACCAAUAUUUCGGUUAUACUUCAGUGCUUGACAAGCACUUUCACAUUUGUGGGAUAAGAACUCUUAACAUUUUAGGAUCACAUUUAAUUCAAUUGCAUUUAAGACCUCAUGGUUUUAUUCUAUAAUUUCAGUCUUAUCAGCCUUUUCGGAAACAAUAAAACGUCGACAUUAAAUUUGUUGUUGAUGCAUUCAAUUUUUUGAGGGGUCUUUGGAGUUAUAUGUGACUUUAGCAUUGACUGACUUUUUUAUAAUUUAUCUUUUAUAAUAAGGUAAAUAUAUUAAUUUUAAUAACAUCGACAUGUUUUUUAGUAGGGUCGAGCAAAACCCAAUUAAAAUCGAUGAUAUUGGCUUAGUUGACUCGGUCAAGUCCAUUAGAUUGAUAAAAUCAUUUUUAAAAUCAGUUAUAAUGGAUAAAGGUAAUUAAUUAUCGAGUAAUGAAAUACAUAAUCAAAUCAAUUGAUUUUGUUAGAAACUAAAAGAAAAAGGGCUAAGCUGAAAAUUGAUUGCCCUUUAUUAAAAUUAACGAAUCUGUCUUUUACGUAUUAGAUAAUAUGAACAUCGCAUAUAUAAUAAGAAAAAUUACGUAUGAUUAUUUAUUAUCAUAAAAGGUUAGUUUAAAUUUAAAGUAAUCUAAUAUGUUUAUUGAACUUCAACUAUUAAAUAAAGUAUAAGCUAAAUAAGUAUAAAUAUUCUAGAAACCAUUUCUAACUGAUGAUAGGCUAAUUCGAUUAAUUUAUAAAAACUAGAUAGUAGGGUUAUAGUCCUCAAACUACACCUAAUUUAAUAACAUUUAUAUUUUUUUUAGCCUUAAACAUUUAUAGUUUUUGUUAAUUUGGUCCUUACUCUUUAAAAUUACAUAAAAAUUGCAAAAAAAUUAAAAAUUAAUUUUUAUCAUGAUUUUAAUAACAUUUAUAUUUUUUUUGUGGUUUGGUAACUUAUCAACUUGACUCUUACUUGUAACCAACUUUUCUAACCUUUUUCGUACCCUUAACCUAAGUCCCGUUACAAUUUCUAAAGACCUCUUGAUUGGUGUAUCAUCUCGAUUUGUUUUUAUAGUGGUGGAGAUUUGUUUUUUGUAGUGGCAUGAUUGCCAGAACUUUACUUUCUAUCCUGUCGAUCCGAUCCAAUGAAAGAAUAACAAAGAGUCUUAAGAUCUGUCAACUUUAUUUCAUUUUCAUUUUCUUUGUCAUUUUCUAUGUUUCUUGUCACAUACAAUGAAAGAAGAACAUAGAAAAAUGUUGCCUAUUUAUUUCCCAAUCAUCAUUCUAACAGGCCGAAUUAGCCCAGGCCCAAACAUUAAUAAAAUGUCCAGAUUACAAAAUAACCAACCAAAAAUUAAAAGCCCAAAAUAAUAAAAUAAAACCCAUUACAUUAACCCAAAACUCCAGCCCAAUUACAUUGAAGCCCAAAAAAAUAGUUUUUAGAAACCCCUAGGGUUUCUGGAACAAUCCGCGCCGCUCCUCCAUCCGCUUCUCCACGCACGCUGCACCUUUCCACGUGCGCCUCCAGCUGGCAGUGUACCUCCAAUGCAACAAACAAAGCAACAAGCAGCAAAAGAAAUGGAAAAACAACAAAAAAAAAAAGAAAGGAGCAACAAUGUAUAACAGAUUGAUAACAAAUAAUAGAAAAAAUAGCAGUAAAUAGGAAAAAAAAUUAAAAAAUAAUGAGGGUAAUUUCAUUUUUUUCUCUGUUUUGGCUAUAAAGAGAGCCGGUCAAAAUCUCUAAAGGGGGAUUUAGAAAUCAAUCAGAAAACAAGUAUUUUGUACCAACAAUUAGAGAAAAAAAAUACAAAAAUAGGGAUUGAAGGUUUUUUUUUCUUUCGUUUCGAUUUAUUUUAAAAUAGCAUAGAAAAUAAAAAGAAGGCUUACCUUGCGACGCCUUCAGAUCCUCUCGAAAAGGGGCUAAAAGGCCCUAUGUGGCACAGAUUUGACCACUGUUCACGGUGGAACCGCAGCGGAGGCGCAGAGGAUUGGCAUCAAUUUAGGCAGGGUUUGAAACCCUAGCAGAGAAAAAAUUAGGGUUGAUAGAUUUUUUUUAAAAAAAUGGCAAAAUGUUGUUUUAAAAAAUUUUGUUUUAAAAAAAAUUGUUGCUUUUAUAAAGGGUGUAAAACGGCGUCGUUUAGGGCAUGUUUCGAUGGCCCCAAAACGGCGCCUUAUAAGGCAACCCCCGACGACCCGACCUGCUCCAUGGGGGAUCCGCGUGGUUUUUGUUAAAUGGGUUAUGUCUAACCCUGGCCCUUCUACUUUUUAUACUUGUUUUAAUUUGAUCCUCUUUUUAUUUAUUUUUAUUUCUUUAAAUUAAGCCUGAUAAUUUUUUUCCAUUACAUUUUAAUCCUUAAUGAAACGGCGCGUUUUAGAGGAGAAGGGAAAAUUACCCUUCUAGUCCCUUCUUGUUAUUCGAGUGUUCAGAAGGGUCCUUUUUUGUUUAUUUUUUAUUUGCCCCAAAAUUUUGUUUUAAAGCUUAAUUUAGUCCUAUUUUGUUAUUUUAGCUAUUUUAUUAUUAGAUUAAUUAAUUUAAUAUUAUUAUUACUGCUAUUAUUUUACCCCUAUUAUUUAUAUAUUUAUUAUUAUAACUAUAUCAUUAAAUCAAUUAGUUUUUACAUUAUUAUUUCCAUUCUGUUUUUUAUUUACUUACUUAAAUACUUUAAAUGCAUUUAUUUUAUUUCUUAUUUUUUUAUGAAAUUUCAAAACUUUAGACUAUUUUUUUGUUACUAUAACCCUAAUUUCAUUCAUUUUAUAAUAGUUUUUUUUUAAAAUAUUUCUUAGAUUAAUUCCCUCGAUGUUAUUUUGUAUAUUUAUUUAUCUUUUUAAAUUUUCGAUAUUGUCUUAUUGUAUUAUUGUUGUUACUAUCAUUAUUCAUUAUUAUUGUUGAUUUUAUUCUUCUUUGAUUAAUGUUUAUGUUAGAGUAAUAGGUGUUAUGUGAUCAUUGUUAUUAUAUGUUAUAAUUUGUUGACACUCGUAUUGUAGUCAUUCGUCAGCUUAAUAUUUUGAGUAACAUUUUAAAUAUUACAUUAAUUUUGACCCAAAUGCAUAAUUUUUUAAUAAGUAAUAUUUCGUAUUGUGGAAUUUGAGAGAUCAUUCCCUAACUUACGGGGUCUCGAUUUUUUUGAUAAAUCUGAAUAUAAGAACUAUUUUAAAAAAAUACGUUUUAAAAUUAUCUCGGGAAUUUAAAAAGAAGCGUGUUCUAACUUACGGAAUAUGAUCUUUUUUUAAAAAUCGAGAUAAUCAAAUAUCUUUCAAAUAAAUAAACUUUUCGUGUUUAUUCUCGUUUUAGGAUUUAAGAUAUUGUGUCCUAACUCACGGGACACAAUUCUUUUUCUCGAUUAACGUGAAAUACGCCCUUUUUAAUUUUAUCUUUUUAAGUGAUUUUAACAAAAGGAUUGUAUUUUAAAUCUCUUCAAAAUUUUCAAUUUUUCGACAUUGAGACAUUAACUAAUCAAUUAGGUACCAAUUUUGGGCGUUACAAGGGUGUUAACCCUUCCUUGUACAUAACCGACUCCCGAACCUAUUUUUCUGAAUAUUAUAGGCCAAAAUUGUUUUAAUAAAUUAAACCCUUAAGAGGUGACUCGAUCACAGCUCAUAAAAAUUAUCGGUGGCGACCCUUGUUUUAAAAAAGGUGGUUUCAACAGCUUGGCGACUCCGCUGGGGACAAAAAUAAGAGUCAAGCCGCGAGUUGAUUAUUUCUUAUCUUUUUGUCAGAAAUUGUGAAUUCGAUUUAAAUUUAUGAUCUUUUCAUUGCAUUUUAUGGUCUGCAUCAUUUUUAUAUGCUUGCUUUACUACUUCGAGUCUUUUAAUCUUCGCAUAUUGUAUUGCAUAACCGUUCGGUUAUACCCUUUUAAGCGGGAGUGAGAAAUUAUUCUUUCGUGAGGUUUUCACCUUCGUAUAGGAUAGUGGAUUACUUUCAGGAUACAUCCAUACCUAUGUCUUCGUGAGAUUCUCAUCUCCGUAUAGUCAUAGGGAAAUGUAUUCCCCUGAACUGAACUCAGUCCGUAUGAGCCUAUAAUGGGUGAGGAUUGAGGAAUCUGCUGGUUCAGGUACCCUUUCUUUAGAACUAAACCGCAUGUAGUGAGCCCUAAGAGCAUACCCUAGGUAGAACCACUCCAAACCCCUAGUGGUCACCCAAAUAGGUGCUCUAUUUAUUUUUGCUUGCUUGUUUUUGCCUUGUACUAACCUAUUUGUUAUGGUUAUGAGUGCAUUGCAUUUUUAUCAUAAAAAAGAUGUGUUGAUUCACGUUCAGUUGCUAAAUAGAGAGCUUGUCAUGGAAAACGAAUUUCUUGAUAAAGUGGAAGACAAUGCGGUUGUCCGGAUAUGGUCCAAGAAAAUGUGAAGAAAGAAGGGUGAUAGUCUAAUGGAGGACUACACGACCUUGCUUUGUUGCCUGAUGAUUCAAGUUGACAAAGAUUAUUCGAGAGUCUUCAAUGUCCCGACCUUUUUAAAGAAGCUAACGAGCGUCACGAGGAUGAGCGAGUAAUGAGUUGCGGCCCGGAUCAAGCAAAAAAAAGAUAGAGGAGACACCCUUUUUGAAGAGUUCACGAGAUUUAUCUUAACAUCUAGACGAAGAAAAAGAUCAAUCUCUUUGCCUAGAGUAUGAGGGCAAAGCCGUAUAUAUCCGCUUUAUGUAAAUAAAUUUGUUUUCUAGUAAAGUUUUUCUAAUAGGAUUGAAUCAGAAUCAACGUCUCUUUUUGCAUUCAUUCCAUUCAUCUGCAUUGCAUUUCAUUGCAUCUAGAAUUUCACAAAAGGACCCUAAUUAAUCGAAAUUGUUAUAGCUACCUUGAAAAACUAACGAAAAUUUACCAAUUAAAUAUUCCUAUGGUACCCAUUGCAAAACUAAAGUAAUGGAUCAAAUAUUAGAAAGAUUAGAACAAAUGCUGAAGGAUAAACAUAACUGCUUUGGCUUAGGGUACAAGCCAGAUACAAGACAAAGAAGAAAUAGGAAAGGAGAACACGUUUGAGCGGGGAUGAGGUCAAAUGGGAGGGAUUAUUCAUCCCAGGCGAAGAAUGCCAAGAGAAGAAAAUAUUGAAAACAUGUUGGGAAACGUUCACAUCAAUGCCAUAUACGAAGAAGCAAUUGAAGGAGUGACCUUGUUAGAUAUCCGCCCUUAUGAACCUAAGAGUGUGCUAAACAAUUGGACUGCAGAAGAAAUUCUUGUAGUGUUUAGAGCUUACUCAUAGUAAUGUUCAGAACACACUUGUUGCUUUUAGCCUAGAAGUGAUAAGAAUCCCUCUGUGAAAUAGGCUCAUGUAUAAACAUCAUUAUUUUAAUGAAGUACAUCUUUGCAUUCAUUUUGAGCAAAUAUUCUUUUAUUCUUUUCAUACGAGUAAUUAUUUUGGAUUCUUUAAUUCUUUUGGGAUUUUCUUCCAAAAUCAUUCUUUUAUUACAUCCAUAAUCAUACUGUACAAAUAAUGUAAUAGCCUGAAUUUUCAGUGGUGUCGGAAUGGUGAUUCAAGAUCACUAAGUCUGACAAAUGAGUAGAAAAUAUUAUUAAUUUAGUAAGAAUAAGUAAAUGUGAAGUUAGGAAAAUUUUUGAAAUAGUGAAUAGUGUACUAGGAAUAAAUAUUAAAAUAAUUAAAAUAAAAAAUGAGGUAUCGAGACCUCGAAGAUUUUAAACCAAGCCAUAAGUACUUUUAGAAGUAUUUUUAGAGUGUCAUUGAGUUGGUAUUAAAGUUUCGUUAGAAAAUUUUAACGCUCGGAUAGUUAAUUAACCAAAAAGGACUAAAUUGAAAAUAGUGUAAAAUUUGUUAAAUUGUGAUUAAAUAGCUUAAGUGAUUAAAAAGGAGGGAUUUAAAAGGCAAUUAGGCCCAAAUUAUAUGGGCUGGACGGUUGGGUAAGAAAAAUCAGCAGAAUGUAAGGAGAAACAGGGGCAAAAUUGGAAACUUAACAAAUUAAACAUAUAAAACAAAGACAAAAGUGAAAAAUCUAGAGAUCUGCUCACAAUUUAUCAGCAAAAAUGCCAUAGGAGGUCUGAAAGAAGCUGGUUUUUCAUAUAUUUGAAUCAUGUAAGUUUAAUUCUUGAUUAUUUCUUCUAAUUUUUGUGAUUUUGAUACUUUUACAAUUAGGUCCAACUAAUUAUUUCAUUAGUUUUUGAUUUCAUGGCUGAUUUUGAAAGUUACCAUUGAUGAGUGUUGGAUUUUUAUGAUGAAUAAACAUGGAAUUAAAGCUUUAAUUUUGUUAUAUGAUGAUUUUAUUAAGUAAUUUUGAUAGAAAUUGAUUUUUGGGACCUAAUUGUGAAAAAGUUUGGAAUUAGGGUUUGGUGUUGCGGUUUUGAAUAUGAAAGUCUAUGUAGUAGUCUAAAAUAGUUGGAAAAGGUGUUAAUUGAGAAAAAUUAGAUCAAUUGAGGGGUUAAUUGAGUAGGACCAAAUUGUAAAAACUGUAAAGUUUGAGGUAAAAGUGUAAUUUCGAAAAUUUAAGGGCAUAAAUUGUGAAGUGAAUUAGAAUAGAAUUAUAUGCUGAUGAAUGAAUAAAUUUGUAUUUUAGAUCGAGAACCCGAAGCAAGCCGAGGAAAAGAAAAAGUAGUUGAUUAGUCCCUGAACUUUUACAAAUUCUGCAAAUCGACCCAGGUAAGUUCAUAUGGCUGAAAUUUAAUGAUUAAAUGUUAAUUUCAUGAAUUAUGUAAUGUAUGAUGAAAUGUAUUUAGUGUUGAAAUGAGAGUAAAAUAAAAAUGCGAAAAUCGAAUAAAUGAUCAAAUUAAGCGGAACGCCGGAUUUGAGUACUUCUGAUCAAGAGACAAAGUGAUAAGUGGUAGCUUUAGCUACACUUAUCUGAUCAAGUGAAAAAGUGAUAAGUGCUACACUUAUCUGAUCAAGAGACAAAGUGAUAAGUGGUAGCUUUAGCUCACUUAUCUGAUCAAGUGAAAAAGUGAUAAGUGCUAUACUUAUCUGAUCAAGUGACAAAGUGAUAAGUGGUAGCUUAGCUACACUUAUCUGAUCAGGGCCAAAUGAUAAGUGAUCAUACGUAAGACCAUAGUUAUACUAUGGCCAAGUGAAAGUGAAGUACUCAAUUUUCCGUAACCGUUCCUUAAUUUUGAUCAAGGAUGGUAAGUGACAAAUAGGCCCAAAGAAAUUAUGGUAAAAGAAUAAGUAGUAGUGAGUUUAUACCAAGGAACUCUCCAAAGAUUGUGGUUGACAAGUAAACUUAGUAAUGGUGUAUAUUGUAUAAGUGUACAAAUGUUUGGUAAGAUUUAUGUUUGUGCCUAUGAACUUACUAAGCUUUUCUAUAAGCUUACAUGUGUGUGUUUAUUGUUUUUCUAGAUUAACGUAUUUAUACAUUCGGAGGAUCGGAUCUACUUCGAGAAUCACACUAUCCAGAUAUACUCCGGUAGAUUUUGUUAAACAACUUUUUGGAUUUAUAUGGCAUGUACAUAGAAUUGAAGUAAAAAGUAAUAGAAUGAAUGACUGAGUAUGCAAAGUAAAUUUGAAUGUGAUGGUUGUGUUAGAUAUUGAAAAAUACAUGUUUUUAGUUUGAAAUGGUUGAUUGGCUGAACUUCGUUAGUAUUCAAGUGAAGUAGUUGAAAUACUGGAAUUGGUUGUGAUUUGAAAUUUGCAGGGAAGGUUAGAUAAAUAUAAAGGGGUUAUAUUGAUUUUUUUUAAAAAUUUCAAUGGAAUAAUUUUUGGACAGCAGCAUUGAUGUAACUUUUAAAAAUCACCAAAAAUAGUGGAAAUAGAAUUAGAAGUUGAAUGAGAUAUGAAAUUAAAUCUGAAUGAGUCUAAUUUCACAUGAAAGAAGUAGAAUAAGAAAAAGAGUUAUAUAUUUUUAGAUAUUUGAAUUUUAGUGAAACAGGGCAAGAAUGUUUUUGAAGUCCCCUGUUCUGACUUUAGAAAUUUAGUAAAAAUUGUACAAAAGGAAUUAUGAAUUAUAAUUUAUAUGUUUAAAUUCCGUAAUGAGUAUAUUUUAAGUAGAAAUAAUUGGAACCACCAUAUGAAGUCUUUGCAAUGAGAUAAUUGAAUUUUAGCGACAAGAGGUCAGGAUAGUCAAUUAGUGAAAUAGGGGAGACUUCAACUAAUAAACUGUAUUAAUUUGCUAAACCAAAAAUUCUGAAAAAUUUAUGGUGAAUAUACAUAUGAGUCUAGUUUGAGGGAAAAUUUACGGAUCUAAAUUUUUAGUUUCGUAUCUUGAGUUAUAAUUAUUUUAGUGACUACUGCGCAUGUGGACAGCUUUGUUGUGAAUGGUGAAAUUAAUUUUUAAAGUAAAUUUUUAUGCCCCGAACUUUUAAGUUCAGUCAAGUAACGCCUUAUGCUCGACUCCGGCAACCGUCUUGGGUAAGGGGUGUUAUAAAUAAUUAUUCUUAAAUUCAUACAUUCUUUGUAUAUUAUUUUGUACCUACAAUAGGUCCCUAGAUAUUAACAACAUGAGUGACGUUGCUACAGACUCAGAAUUUCCUUUUAAACAAGACAUGUGUUUAGAGGGAUCCCAUGGCUUUGAAGAUGACGUAGACUGUGGCUUAUCUCUGAAUUUGUUAAGGAUGGUAAAACAAGAGGAGAAGCAAAUCCUACCUCACAAGGAAUCAAUGGAAAUUGUGAGCUCAGAAGGGGGAAAAGAGGUGAAGAUUGAGACUAACAUUGCCACAAAGACAAAGCAUGACCUCGUUGAGUUACUCCAAGAAUUUAAAGAUGUCUUCGCAUGGUCAUACCAGGAUACUCCCGGGUUAAGUACUGGCAUUGUAGUACACUACCUUCUUAUAAAAGAAGAUUGCAAGCCAGUUUAGCAGAAACUCUGAAGGAUGAUGCCUGAUAUUGUGCUAAAAAUAAAAGAAGAAGUUAAAAAGCAAUUUGAUGUUGGGUUCUUACAAGUGGUUAAAUAUUCAGAAUGAGUAGCCAACAUCGUCUCAGUCUCUAAAAAAGAUGGGAAAGUACGAAUGUGCAUAGAUUACAGAGACAUGAACAAGGCCAGCCAAAAAGAAAAUUUCCCAUUGCCUCACAUUGACACUUUGGUGGAUAAUACAGUAGGCUACUCACUGUUUUCCUUCAUGGACGACUUCUCUGGAUACAACCAGAUAAAGAUGCAUCCCAAAAACAUGGGAAAGACUACAUUCGUGACCCUAUGGGGAAUGUUUUGCUAUAAAAUGAUGUCAUUCGGAUUAAAGAAUGUGGGAGCGACGUAUCAAAGGGAAUGGUAACCUUGUUUCAUGACAUGAUGUACAAGGAAAUCGAGGUUUAUGUUGGCGAUAUGAUUGCAAAAUCCAGAACAGAAGAGGAACAUGUGUAGGCCCUAAGAAAAUUAUUCUUAAGACUGAGAAAGUUCCAGCUCAAGCUUUCCAACGAAAUGCACAUUCAGAGCUAGGUUAGGAAAGCUGUUAGGCUUCACAGUUAGUGAAAAAGGAAUCGAGAUCAACCCAGAUAAAGUCAAGGCGAUACGAGAUUUACCUCUACCAUGCACUCAGAAGGAAGCUCGAGGUUUCCUAGGAAGACUGAAUUACAUUGCUCGAUACAUUUCACAACUAACCGAAAAAUGUGACACCAUAUUAAAAUAAAAAUAGAUUAAAUUGUAAGUAAAACAUAAUUUAAACAUAUGAAUACAUCAAAUUAAUAAUACUAAAUGAAUACAGUUAUUUAUGAUGAUGUUGUUGCCAAUUCCUAAUUUGGUGUCUAGUUAAUUUGUGACAUCAUAAAUUUAAGUGAUAAAUUUAAGGUUUUAUGUAUUGAUGUGGAUUCAAAUAUCACCAUAAUUUUUGUAAAUAAAAAACUAAUAAGAUAACUUAUAUUAAGUACGAAAGGGUAUUUUUAUAAUUUCUCUAAUCGAGUUGGUGCCCGGUUGACUCAUGACACUAACUCAAUCAGAAGCUUUAAUAAUAAUAUAGAUAUUCAUGUUAAAAAAACAAAAAAAAAGUACUUUAGUUCCAAAUAAUUAUAUAACAAGUAAAUUUAUAAUUGAUGAAUAAAUUUAUAAAUAAUAUAUUUAUAUGAUCUAAUAUAUUAUAUUUAUAUUAAUUAUAUAUCAUCUACAAACUUUGAAGAUCAAUUUAUUAAGUAAAAAUGAAAUUGUUAACACUAAAUCAAUUUUUAGAUUUUGUAUAGAUGAUUUAGUGAUGAUAAAAACAUUAUUAACACUAUUUUUUAAUUAACAAAAAAUUAGUGAUAUAUUUAAAUUAUAUUUAUCAUUUAUUAUUUUUAAUAAUAUUUUUUAAUUAUAUGAAGUAAAAUUAUAUUGUAUACUAAAUAUGGUACAUAUACUCUAAUUAUAACUUGAAAUUUUAUUAUAUAAAUUAAUAUAAAUUUGAAUAACAAAAUAAAAAAAAACUAAUUAGAAUAAUUUUAAAAAACAUUAUUUAAAAGUAGUUAAAAAUCACGUGCAACAGGUGAGAUCAAUGGUCUUUAGAGAAGAAAUGUUGAAGAUCAAAGUUGGAAUCUGGCCUAUAAGGCCUUUAAUUGCUUUAAUAUUAAGCAGUUCCAAACCAAGAAGAUUACCGAUUUCCUCAGGAAUUUGACCUGCACACAUGGUCGAAAAAUCAAUGUGUCAAACUACCUAUUUUGUUAGCAUAAGUCAAAGAGGUUUUCUUUUCUAUUCUACAUAAUUUGCAGAUGUUAGAUUUUAAUAUUUUUAAGCAUAUUUGUUUUCAUCAAAUUAACUAUUUUGAACUAUUUUGCCUUGAAUGAAAUAAAAUGCUCUUACUUUUGUUAUCUAUUACUAAUCAAACUCUUUUAUAAAAAAAAUACUUUAAACUAAAGAAACCAAGAAAAUUCAAUACCUUCUAGGUUAUUCAACCCCAAAUAUAAUUCUUUGAGUCGUGUCGGAUUUCCAAUACUUCUUGGAAUGAUCCCCAUCAAUUGAUUAUAGGAAAAUGACAAAAUUUUAAGGUUGUUGCAUUUGCUUAUACUUGACGGAAUGUUACCAUAUAAUUCAUUCCGACUCAAGUAAAGCCCUUCAAGCUUGGAAAGAUGUGACACAUAUCAUUAGGCAAGCUACCUGAUAGGCUAUUGUUGGAGAGAUCAAUGGCCUUCAGAGAAGAAAUGUUGAAGAUCGAAGUUGGAAUCUGACCUGUAAGGCCUUUAAUUGCUUUAAUAUUAAGCAGUUCCAAACCAAGAAGAUUACCGAUUUCCUCAAGAAUUUGACCUGCACACAUGGUCGAAAAAUCAAUGUGUCAAACUACCUAUUUUGUUAGCAUAAGUCAAAGAGGUUUUCUUUUCUGUUCUAUAGUAAUUUGGUGAUGUUAGAUUUUAAUAUAAUUCAGCACAUGUUUUUCAUCAAAUGAAAUAAAAAGUUUUUCCUUUUGUUAUCUAUUACAAAUCAAGCUCUUUUAUUAAAAAAAUACUUUAAAUUCAAGAAAUCAAGGAAAUUAAUUACCUUCUAAAUUAUUAAACCCCAAAUAUAAUUCCUGGAGUCGUGUUAGAUUUCCAAUACUUCUUGGAAUGAUCCCCAUAAAUUGAUUAUGGGGCAACAACAAAUUUUUAAGGAUGUUUCAUUUGCCUAUGCUUGACGGAAUGUUACCAGAUAACUCAUUGCUAUGCAAGUGAAGCCCUUCAAGCUCGGGAAGAUGUUGACACAUAUCAUUAGGCAAACUACCUAAUAGGCUAUUCCUGGAGAGAGCAAUAGUCUUGAGAGAAAAAUGUUGAAGAUCGAAGUCGGAAUCUGAUCUGUAAGGCCUUUAAUUGCUUGAAUAUUAAGCAUUUCCAAACUAAAAAGAUUACCGAUUUCUUCAGGAAUUUGACCUGCAGACAUAGUCGAAACAUCAAGGUGUUAAAUUUCCUAUUUUGUUAGUGUAAAUCAAAGAGGCUUUUUAUUUUUUUUCGUUAUGAAAUAAUAUGGAUAUGUUCGAUUCUAAUCAUAUUUAAGUAUAUAUUAGUUCUUGAAAGAAUGAGUUCUUAUUUUUGGUAUUUAUAUUGCAAAUAUAUAUUUUUUUAAAUUUAAAAGAAGGGAGGGGGCAAAUGUGUUUAAACUAAAGACAUCAAGGAAAAGGCAUACCAAGUAUAAUUGUUUAAGUUGUGUCAAAUUCCCAAUGCUUUUUGGAAUGAUCCCACUAAAUUGAUUAAUAGACAAUUCCAAAAUUUGAAGGUUGCAGCAUUUGUCUAUACUUGAUGGAAUAGAACUUGAUAAUUCAUUUCUACUCAAGUAAAGCUCUUUCAGCUUGGGAAGAUGGACACACAAAUCAUCGGGCAAGCCACCAGAAAGACUAUUAUCACAAAAAUGAAUCCUUUUCAAAGAAGAAAUGUUAAAGAUGGAAGAUGGAACCUGGCCAGAUAAUUGAUUGAAUCCCAAGUUCAAGAUCUCUAGAUUGGACAAGUUGACAAGUGUUUGAGGGAUCGUGCCUGUGAAGUUAUUAUUUCUCAUUUCCAACCUUUGAACUCUGUGCAAGUUCCCAAGCCAUGGUGGAAUUUCCCCAUUAAGACGGUUGUAGCUUAAUCGAAUGAUCCUCAAACGAUGCAAUUGGCCUAAUUCUUUAGCCAGAUGGCCGUAGAAAUUGUUGUUGCUCAAGUCGAUAGAAAAUAGAAAUGAAAGAUUUCCAAGGUGUGGAGGGAUAGUACCCCUAAGAUUCAUGUUUGUAAGAUUAAUCAAAGCUACAACUCUUUCAUGGAUGAUGCCACAAGAAACACCAACCCACUUACAGACAGAGGUAGAGUUCGUCCAAUUGUUUGCCAACACAUUUUGAGGAUCGACAAUGCGAUCUUUAAACUCAAAGAGUGCAAACUGAUCGGAGUUGAGAUUCCGGACUGUCAUAGCCAAGGAAACAAUAGAACAUUGUAUGAAUAAAAGUGAAAGAAGAUGAAAGCAAGUGUUGUAGUUCAUGAUGGCAAGACGAAAUAAGCCAGGAAAAGGGAAGUUGAAUUGAUGAAGAAAUAGCCAGCCAACAUGCUUAAAUAGGCUUCAACCCUUGCACACUUCUCAUACAUAAAGUUCGCUGCCAUUACAACAAGAAAACUCAUAUCUCCAUUCGUACCUAUCCAUACUUUAUUUGACUAACUUUUCCCUAACAAGUGUUCAGUAAGGAGAUAAAUCAGUUUGGAGCUAUUCACCGGCUUCUCCAAUCUUGGUUUCAAACUCCUAACCCAUCAAUUCACUUUAAUUGAAACGAUAUACACGAGUCUUUCGGCUUAUAUUUUUAAUUUAAUUUUUGUUACUUUUCAUAAUAUUUUUUGAGAAAUCCAAAUAUUCCAGUCUGAAAUUUCUUCAUUGCCACGUCUAUCUCCUGGGUAAGUCCGUGGUUAGGCAGCCCACUUUGGGAGCAGGAUUGUAAUUGUAAUUCUAUCCGACUCAUUUUACUAUUUAGAAAUAUAAAAGUAAUAUUAUAUUAUUUUUUAUAUUUUUAUAAAUUUAAUUUUAAUUAUAAUUUUUAAACAAUAAAACGAGUCAUUUGUAUUUGCCUAGUCUAAAUUGAAUCAGGAGUCAAAAAAAUUUUAAUCAUAAUUUACUAUUAUUUUAAUUAAUUAAAAUUUAACCUACUACAACUAGUAGUUGCAGAAAAAAUGUCAUUCCUUUAGAAAAACGAAAAUCCUUUAGAAAAAUGAGAACUUAUGAAGCAUUCAAUAAGAGUCAUUGGAAUAAAUGGUAACGAAAUCAUAAUUCAAUAUAAAGCUAAAAAAUGUACCAAUCUAUAUAAAUAAUGUAAGAUUUGUGAUACCUAAAUUAUUAUAUUUUCCAUAAAUAUAUGAAGAUAUUUUAUUAGGAAAUAAUUUUAUAUAUAAAAUUUUUUAUUUUCUUUUGAUAGAAAUUUAAUUAUGUUAUCUGUAGAAAAAAAUAUUUAUAGAAAUAUUAUUAGUAGAAAAUCAUAAAUUUGUGUGUGGCAAAAAAAAUUCACCACCAAGAAAGGGGCAAAUUAAACAACUUGAAACAAGUCAUUGGUUGUUUAAAAUAUUAGAUAAUAAUUUCAGUGAAGAAUCAUUAAAAUUAUGACAAAAUAACCCUAGAUAUUGUAGUAUUAAAUUGGAAAAUCUCAAUAAUAUUAUUAGAGUAAAACCUAUGAUCUAUCUAAACAAGAUAUAGAAGAUUUUGAUAUACAAAUUAAGGUUAGAAAUCAUGCGGAAAUAAAAAAGAAAAAAAAGCUAGUAUGGUCAUUAAUUAUAAAAGAUUAAAUCAAAAUAUUAUUUUUUUAUAGUUACUUGAAUUAAUCAGGCUAAACAAACAAAAUAUUUUAGUAAAUUUGACUGCAAAUCAGGAUUCUAGCAAAUCAUGAUAACAGAAAAGUCCAAACCUUUAACGGCUUUUAGUGCACCCAAUGGACAUUACCAAUGGAAAGUGAUGUCAUUUCAAUUAUGUGAUGCACCACAAAUCUUCCAAAGACGAAUGGAUUUUAUAUUUAAUAAAUAUAAAAAAAUUCUAUGUAGUCUACAUAGAUGAUAUUUUUUAUAUUUUUAGAUACACUAGAAUUACAUAAGAAACAUUUAAAUAUUAUUUCUUAAGAAUUCAUAAAAUAUAGAAUCAUAUUAAACCCUAAAAAUAUAGAGUUAGAAAAAAGAGAGAGAAUUUUUAUAAUAGUGGAAAUAAAAAAUUGUCCUCAAAAGAUUGAAGAAAAAAAGAACUUCCAACAAUUUCUAAUAUAUUCCUCCCAAAUUUUCAGUUUCAAUUUUAUUACAGAAUUUCUUUGCCGACAAUAAGAAAUUAAGAGCGCUCUUUAAGUUGAAUAUAGUCCGUCAGAUAUGGCUAUCUAUAACAUGGAACCUUUGGUUUUCAAGCUGAAUAGGAGAAUUGAUUCACUUGAUAAGUAUGAAAAAUUGAAACUGCUAAAUUUAAGUGCACUAACUCUGGAUAUCAUCAUUAUUUUUCUGUACAUUAAAGUACCUGUUUGAUAUGCGAUUUCUGCCUCAAACUAUCAACAUCUUUAACAUCCUUUUGCUAUAGUUAGCAUGGGUACUUCCUUUUAGAUUAACAGUUAGGUUUGAACUGUGAAUUAGAUUUCUGUGGCUGCUGGGAUUGAAGAAGUUAGUAUGCGAAUGACAUUGGACAAAUUUGGCAAAGUCUUCUCCAUCAGUGAAGAAAACCCCUUGGCGUAUGAAAAAUGUUCACCAUCUUAGACAUUUGUUUUCUUAUUGUAAGAAUAUUUUUAACAUUGUAACUUUUAACAUUAUUGUAAGAAUAUUUUGAAUUAUACUUCAGUUAUCAAUUUAUAUCAUAUAUCUUUUGUUGAAUUUGAAGUAUAAUUUAUAUUUGCUGUUUUUGGUUAGAUUUCAUGCUAUAGGAAGGGUUGUAUAUGGAUAGAAAUUGAAUGUUACAAAUCUGCCAAAGUUAGUGGCGUUUUUUCAUAAGAGCUGCUAAAGAAUGCUAUUUUUGGCGGUGUUUGUAAUAAAAGAGCCGCUAAAGGUCAUGUUCUUUAGCGAUGUUUGUGGGUAAAGCGCCGCUAAAGAUCAUGUUCUGUAGCGGUGUUUGUGGAUAAAGCGCCGCUAAAGAACAUGACCUUUAGCAGCGUAUUUUCACAUAAACGCCGCAAAAUUUAGCGGCUUUGUCUAUAGCGACUUUUUUUGCAGCGCUUUAAGUUUUAGCGGCGCUUUUAGGCCUAAAAAAGGGCCGCUAAAAGCCUGUUUUGCUGUAGUGAGCAUAUUUACAUUUUCGUCCCAAUUUCAACUAACACCCCAUCUAUUUCCCACUUCCCUUUUUCGGGCAAUUUCAACUAACACCUUCAUAUCAAACAUAACUAUUUUUCAAUUUUUCUUCUUUAUUUCAUUAAUAAAAUUAUCAAUCUAUUUGUUUUUAAAUAUAUAAUUUCAUUAAUAUUUUUUAAAUUAUAAUAUAAGAGUUGUUGUUUAUUUAUAGUUUUAUUACAUUAUUUACUCUCUCUUUUCUAUCAAGUUUUUUAAAUUAUAAUAUAAGAUUUAUUUUAUCAAUUUGUGGCUUAUCCAGUAUUCAUCUAUUUUAAUAAUAACUUGAGUUCCAGUCAUUAUCAUACCAGAAAGAGUUCCAUUUAUUCUUUAUCGUAAAUUUUAUAAAAAAAUAUACAUUUUAUUAUAAUACUAUAUGUGUUACGAAUAAUAUUUUAUUGUGGAUGCCCAUAAUUUUCAAAGUUGUAACCUCUAAUGUAGUAACCUUAAUGAAAUUAUGAGGCUUUUAUAUUGUAAUCAAGCCUCUAUUUAUUCUUUGUAACUUAAACAGAAGCAUAUUUUCUAUUAUAUUGAUAUUUUUUAUAGAUAUAUAUAUAUAUAUAAGGAAUCAAAUAAAAAGUUAUUUACCUUUCUAUUAUAUUGAUAUUUUCUAUUUGAUUUGUUCUUUUCUUUCACUAUUCCAUAAUAUAUUAUCAGUACGAUUUUAACCAAGAGUAACAUGUUAUUAGAUUGUGUCAAAAUUUUGUUGAGAAUCAUUAGAUUGUUUCCUUUUUCUUCUAUUUAGCCCCAAAUUGCACCCCUACACAAAAUUCAACAAAAACAUGGAAAAAUUAGUGGUGCACUCUCAUAAAUUAACCAAUUUAAUUACAUAAAAUAUGUAACUUUAGCAUUUUAUCAAUCAUGUUCUUUAGCGGCAUUUGUGGGUAAAGCGCCGCUAAAGGUCAUAUUCUUUAGCAGCGUUUGUGAUAAAAGUGCCACUAAAUAUCAUGUUCUUUAGCGGCGUUUGUGGAUAAAGCGCCGCUAAAGAACAUGACGUUUAGCAGCAUUUUUUUACAUAAACGUUGUAAAAUUUAGCGGCGUUGUCUAUAGCGACGUUUUUUGCGGUGCUUUCAAAUAGUUUUAGCGGCGCUUGUAGGCCUAAAAAAAUGCCGCUAAAAGUCUGUUUUGCUGUAUGAGCAUAUUUACAUUUUCGUCCCAAUUUCAACUAACACCCCAUCUAUUUCCCACUUCCCUUUUUCGGCCAAUUUCAACUAACACCUUCAUUUCAAACGUAAUUGUUUUUCGAUUUUUCCUCUUUAUUUCAUUAAUAAAAUUAUCAAUCUAUUUGUAUUUUAAAUAUAUAAUUUUAUUAAUAUUUUUUAAUUAUAAUAUAAGAGUUUUUGUUUAUUUAUAGUUUUAUUAUAUUAUUUACUCUCUUUUUUCUAUCAAGCUUUUUAAAUUAUAAUAUAAGAUUUAUUUUAUCAAAUGGUGGCUUAUCGAGUAUUCAUCUAUUUUAAUAAUAACUUGAGUUCCAAUCAUUAUCAUACCAGAAAGAGUUCCAUUUAUUCUUUAUCGUAAAUUUUAUAAAAAAAUAUAUAUUUUAUUAUAAUACUAUAUGUGUUAGGAAUAAUAUUUUAUUGUGGAUGCCCAUAAUUUUCAAAGUUGUAACCUCUAAUGUAGUAACCUCAAUGAAAUUAUGAGGCUUUUAUAUUGUAAUCAAGCCUCUAUUUAUUCUUUGUAACUUAAACAGAAGCAUAUUUUCUAUUAUAUUGAUAUUUUUUUAUAGAGAUAUAUACAUAAGGAAUCAAAUAAAAAGUUAUUUACCUUUCUAUUAUAUUGAUAUUUUCUAUUUGAUUUGUUCUUUUCUUUCACUAUUCCAUAAUAUAUUAUCAGUACGAUUUUAAUCAAGAGUAACAUUUUAUUAGAUUGUGUCAAAAUUUUGUUGGACUUCAAGUAUUGGAAUUUAAUUGUUUAAGUUAAGAAUCAUUAGAAUCAAUGGCUAUUUGAGAUAUGCUUGAGGAUGAUCUCAUUCUCUUCAUCACAAAGGUGGAGGUUAGAAAAUCUUUAUGUUUAAACAUUUAUAGCUUUAAAGUUAUUUUAACCUCUUAUUGUGACCUUAUAAUAUUUUGUAAUUUUUUGUAUUAUGGUAUAUAAAAAAAAUCUAACCAUAGUGAUUGAUUAGUAAUAUGAAUUUGUUAUUUGUUAUGUUUAAUAUAUAUUUUAUUUAUACUUAUUCAUUUUAUUUUUAUAUGAGUAAAUGAAGUGUUUGAAGAUUCGAAAUUUUUAUCAUCCAAGUUGAAAAUAAGUGCAAAAGUGUACAUUAUUUAAAAUAAAUUACGCAUUCAUUAAUGUUAUAUGAUAAAAUCAUUACAUGUUCUAAAGAACUAAUAUUGCAUCAAACUGUAAAAAGCUCUUGAAGAGUUAAUAUUUUACCUCCUUGUGAUACAAAAUCAUAUACAAUAUGAUAUUAUUUUUCAAAUCGAGUAGAUAUAUGUUGAGGGAAAUCUUUAUGUGGUUUACAUUAAAACCAUGGAUAGAAAUGACAUGAGAUACUCGUGUAUUUUUAUUAUAAAUAUUCCUUGAAGGAAGACACUUCACUUGUAUGAUUGACAUAUGAGAUAGUGGCAAGAAGUUCAUAGUGUUGGUAUGGUCGUCUAGAUCAUCUCAAAUCAAUAAUGAUGCAAAAUAAUUUGAAGAGAAUUUAUAUGAUUUUAUUGAAGAAUGAGAAGAUAUUUUCAUUUUGAUAAUUGUCAUCAAUACUAGUUCUUUGGAAAAAAAAUAUUGAACUAACAUAAAGUUAGAGGUUGGUUGCAUUUUUUGAUGAUAUCCAAAUAAUAUAUGAGCUCAUGUAUCACAUGUAUGCAACCCAAAGUUUACAGUAUUAUUUCUUGAAAUAAUUUGAUUCUACACAAUCUCUAUAGUAUGCAAUUUGUGCUAACAACGUUGGUGCAUUAUAUCCUAAGCUUGAUUUUCGUAGUUUUAGCUGAGAUAAUAUUAAGUUGUCUAUGCCUAUAUAUGUUAUACUUAAUGGUUAGCAAAAUUGUGCCUCCAUUUAAUUGCUUAACCAUUAAUAUAAGAAUAACUUUAAAAUAAGCAUGUAAUUUUAUUUGCAUAGAGUCAACAUGUAAGAAACAUUUGCCCCAUGAGAAUUGGCUUUCAUUUAUAAGCCAAUAGGUUUCAUAUGACUAUUUGGAUGUAAAAUAUCUAUUUUAUAUUCCACCAUAAUGCACUAAGAUGGUCCAUCAAGUAUGAAGUUGAGAAAAUUUAGAAUUUUUAUUUGAUGGUAAAAGUUGAAAAGAGAUAUAUACUUAUAAUUUUGAAAAAAAUAGUCAUGUUGCAAAUUUUUCUCAAUAUUAGGGGGAGACAAGUUGGACAAAUAAGGAUAAUUAUGUCAUCACUUUUUGUGAUCCCUCACUAAUAUUAUGUGCACAAAGUUUGAAGGAAAAAAGUAUUUGCUAGACAUGUUUAGUGAUGACACUUAGAGAUUGUAUAUACUAGAUGAUACAUAUACCAGCUAAAAUGUUCCAAAUAAUUAUGAGUCCUAGAAGGACAUAGUGAUAAAAAUAAUUUUUGGGCACGCUAGAAGGAUAAAAAACUAGUUCAUUCUAUAAAUCAAAAAAUUCUUGAAAGAAAAGAGUAAGAAAUGAAGCUGGCCACACAUUAAAGGAAACGAGUACUCAUGAAGAGACCUAAGGCAUAACUUUUAAUAAAACCCCAAAAGAGGUUCAAUACAUGGAAUUAUGAAUAUAAUAAGAUAUCUCGAUUAGUUAUAUCAUAACUAAAGAUGAUGGGGUUGAUAAAAGGAAAUUGUUGUUAACAACGAUAAUCUAAGUAGAACAUUUCAAUAUUAUGGUAAAAUGAGUAUUUUGAAUGAAAAUAUACUUGAAAGUAUUUAGAUGGGAACAACUCAUCAAAAUAAAUAGACGUUUCUAUUAUAACUUAUGAAAUGUGUCUCGGACAUGAAGUCCAAACAUUCGACAGGUGUAAAGCCAAGUGGAGUAUAUGUUAGCAUAAUAGUGAAAAAAUACAAAUCAUAAUAUAUAAAAUUGACUUGUAAGACAAACUUUCCCAAGACACUUGAUUUUGAUUAUGAAAAAUGAUUAAUUUGUGAUCUUAUCAAUUGAACAUACUUUGUAUAAUCAACAAAUUAUUAAUUAACCUCAUUUAACCAAUUUCCUUCAACACAUUUCAAAUCAAAUUAAUGUGUUGAGCACGCCCUUAACCCUUUUUCUUGAUUCAUUGCAUAGUCUAUUUCCAAGUACCAUAAUCAUCAACAUUUCAAUAUAUAAAGUCAUAACAUAAUGAAUCAUAGUUAGAAUUUUUUUUACCCUAUUAACCAAGUAUGGAACAAAAAUAAAAACCUAAUUUGUCAAGCUCAUUCAAUCAGCUUAUAUAUUAUAAGAAGAGCCUAAGUAUAAAUCCUAUACAUGAUUUCAAAUUCAACUAUUUAUAUUUGAGAUUCAAUUUAAAAUUCAUACUGAAAUUAUCAAAUUAACUCGUAAGCUACUCACGCUAAACAUUAAGGUACUCGAAUUCAAGUGGCUAGAUAUCAUAAACACUUUUAGCUUGUAAAACUAUUUCUAAGGGUCAGCCCAGAAUCAUGGUUGAACCCAAAAUCUGGUAACAAAAAUUUAAUUGAGCCAUCAGCCUAAAACAAAUAAGGCUUAAAAGGUUGGCACCCGAACAAUCAAAGAUAAACACCACCAUAUGCCACUCCCUGAAUCCGAUACAUACAAUAACACCCUUCACCACUUUUAUUCUUCUCCUUUUUUUUAACCUCAAUUUGGAUGGUCGCAUUUCUCUUUUUAGUGCUUUAUAGGGUUUGGGCUUUCAGAAUCCUCAGAGAUGCAAUUCAUGGAUCCCUCUAAGAAAUGCAAGCUUGAUGAAAAUGGUAUUAUUUCAACGGCAUCAGAACCUGACCCAAUCACCAAACUAACCCCACAAGAUGGCCGCAAGCUAAUCGAGCAAUUUAUCGUCGAUCAACUCCUUGACGUCCUCCAAGAUGCUGUUUGUUGUCACCUUGAUGUUCUUUCCGCCGUACACUCUAUUGCCGAUCAAGAUCCAUCUCAAAGGAAGCUUUUCAUCCGUGGUUGGGUUGGGAUACUACAACCCAACCCAACCCACAUUAGCAUACUACCAUGCGGUAACUUCUAGUGAUUUCUGUCUGUAACAUUAGACAGGUUAACAGUUAAAUCGUUCAACUGAAAGAUUUCUUUGAAGGAAGAGGUCAAUUGAUUUUUUUUGGAAUCAUUGUGUACUCAGUUGCAUUUAAGACGGGUAUCAUUCAUAAAGUAUAUAUCUACAUCAAGAAUGGUAGCCUCUUAUAUUAUAUUCAUGUAUUUAUUUUGCAUCUUUAAUUAUAAUAGGAUUUUUUUUGUUUAUUUAUAGUUUUAAUUAUAAUAUUUUUUAAAUAUGCCAAAGUAAAUUAUGUACCAAUUUUAAACUUCUCCUAGGUAAUUUAACGUAAGGGCAUUUAUGUUAUUUUACCACUUAUGAUAAAACUAACCUAAUUUUAGAUCUAAGUGUUUACCAACCUUCUUUUAGUCAAAUUAUGCAAGCCUAAAAUUUUUAGCUUAAUUUGAGUUUGUUUACUAUGUCUAAUUCAAGUUUUAUUAUUAAGAACUAAAUUGUAACUUAAACAAAUUAGAAUACCAAUUUAAAGAGACAAAAAUUCAAAGCCCCAAAACCCACACGGGCAUGUGGGUAAGUGACACAGGCGUGUGGAAACUGGAGCUAUCACACACGGGUGAGUGGGACUGAAAAAUAUGAAAUAAAUUAAUCCAUUUAAAUUUCCAACAACCAUGCUAUACUACCAAACCAAAUAAUGUUAGAAGCUUUGAAUAGGGGCGAAUCUUAAAAAAAAAUAGAAGAAUUAGAAUUAAAUUAUAAAAUUUUGAGAAGUUGUCAUGUAUUAAUUUAUUAUUUUUUAAAGGGUCUUAAUAGAUUUUUUUUCCCCAUUUUGGUUUGGCCAAUACCCCUGUCUGCCUCUUUCAAUUUGCUUCAACCCUUAGCCCAAUAUUCGAUUUGUUGUGGAAGUUUGACGCAUAAAAAUUCCUUUUUUAGAGGUUUAAAUUAUAAAUUUUUAUUAACAAAAUAUAAAAGAAAAAAACAUGUGUAGACAAGCCAAGAAACCUUUGGGAUCAUACAGGUGAUUUUGAGAUGUUCAUGGUUAUUUUGGUGGAGAGGGUAAAAAAGAAACAAAUGAUUCAUUAUAUAUGAUAUAAUUAUGAAAUUCAAGCCAUAUAUUGUAUGUUUCAUCCAUACAAAUUUCUUGUAGCAUUAAAUGACUCGUAGGCUUGCUGAAUUUCUUUGAAAGGCCCAAAGGCAAUUUAACAUUCACAAAAUAAUCUCUAAAUAGUGUAAAGACAAAUCAAAUCCACAGUAGCAUUAGAGUUGAUUAAGCUAAGCAUUGGCAAAUAUUACUUUGAUUUUGCAUGCAAUAUUGGCAAAACCCCCUCUUACAUUAGAAAAACAACAUAAUCCAUGAAACAUUGAUAGCCCAAUACAAAUUUCAUCGAGAAAAAAGUCUCUUUGUUUUGUAGAACAUGAUAGUAAAGAUGUGGAGUUUCGUUCUUCUUAUUGGCCUCCUUUAGUUUUCCUUGAUCAACAACCACUAGCCAAAAACACAAUUAGAUUAGAUUAUGAAUGAUACUUUCAACUAUGACAAUAUUAAAUACAAACCACUCUAAAUAACUCUAAAUAAAUGGAAAGCAGCAAAUUACCAGACGAGGCAAGCUAGCUCAAUUAAGACCAUUGUGUUAUACUUGUCUCUGAAUUGAAAAAUUUAGAAGGAAAUAAAGAGAAAGACUUAGAAAAUACUUGAAAACAGAAAAAAAAAUUAUGUCAUUUAAAAUAAAAAAUUUCUAUUCAAGCCAUUUAAAAUUUGUAAGAUUUUUAAAAUUUUAAAAUGAUAAAGGUAAAAUUGUACUUUGGCACCCCAAAAAUGAUAAAACUUUGAUUUAAUUAUUUAAAAAUUAUAAAAAUAUAGGCUAUUAAAAUGGUGAAAUUAUAUUUUUACUAUAGUAAAAAUUACAAUUUAAUUUCACCCCUAAAAGGAUUUUCUGGCUUCGCACCUAAUAAAAUCUUUGGCAAAAGACUAAAAUAAAAUUAUACCAUGAAUGGAAAAAGAAACUAAUAAAAUCCAAUCUAACAAAGAAAAUAACUUGAUGUCCAAAAGCUACCAUAAACCGUAAUUCAUGGGAAGGCUUGUUGCUUAUUUUAUUGGUUUCCAUUUUGAAAGAAGUUUGAAUUUUGAAGAGAGCCUACUACGUGAAAGCAAAAGAAAAAAAAAUAGUUUAUAUGAUUAAAAUUCCAGAAUAGAUUAAAAAUGUUGAAUUAAAGAUAAAAUUAAGUGUGAAUUAAUAACCACAAGUGUACUCUUUACUCACCAUCUCUGUUAAAAAUGUUGGAUGUUGUUUAGCAACCUUUGUUUGAUUUUCUUCAGCUCAACCACAACAUCUUUCAUAUCUUUUCUUUCUUCUGGUAACUCAGCUGAACAAUUCAAAGCCAACUCCAUGAUAGAUGAAAUACAAUUUGCUUUAACAACAAUGUACUCAUCCUCUCUUCUUAAUAAAUCAACAUCUGCAAUUUCUAUCGCUCCUUUAGGCAAUGAUCUUUCCAUCCAAUGCCUUAUACUCUCUUCUUCAACAAAAACCUUAUCAGUUGGCUUUUUCUUUGUGAAAGUUUCUAUAAGGACGAUCCCAUAACUAUAGACGUCAGAUUUUAUAGAAACAAUUCCUGCUGAUCCAAAUUCUGCAUUUCAAGUAUAAUUAGAACAUCAUUCAUCCUCAAUUAUUUCUAAAACGCUUAUUCAAAUAUCUAUCCACAUACACGUGAAACAAAAAUAUAAAAUACAAAUUAGGAAAAUAAUCAUACAAAAAUAAAAAAAAGAAUUCACCUGGUGCCAUAUACCCAAUAGUUGCAAGAGUCAUGGUUUGCUUCAUUACUUCACCUUCUCCCAACAAUUUGGCAACGCCAAAAUCUCCAACAUGUGCAACCAUGUCUUCAUCUAGUAAAAUAUUGCUUGGUUUUAUGUCACAAUGAAUUAUAGGUGUUGGAUGUCCAUUGUGGAGGUGUUCUAUAGCUACCGCAACAUCUAUCAUUAUGUCGACCCUUUGUAUGAUACCAAGGAAACAAUUUUCAGAAUGUAACCAUUUCUCAAGGUUUCCAUUAGACAUGUAAUCAAGCACCAAGGCUUUGAAGUCAACACUUGAGCAGUAAGUAAUGACCUUCACAAUAUUACGAUGAACUAUAUUAAGCAUAGCAUCACAUUCAAUGUCAAAACUCCUAAAUGCUCCCUCUGUUUGCAAAUUGAAAACUUUUAUUGCAACUUCCAUUCCAUCUGAAAGCCUCCCUUUAUAUACAUAUCCAAAACUCCCUGAACCAAGCGUAUUGCUUUCCUCAAAUCCAUUAGUUGCUCGUGAAAGUUCAGCAUGUGAAAUUCUUCUCAGUGUCUUCAAAGACAACAAAUCAUCUUUAACUGGUAGAGCUGUACUCCUUUGGCAUCUUCUAUACAUAAUAGUUAAGACUAUUAGUACUAGGACAAUACCAAUUGUUGGUAAACCAUACCUAAAAGCAUGCAAUAUAAUCAUUUGGGAGUUUUUGUGGAUGUCAUUUUUGCAAGGUGGGACUAGCAAUCUAGGUGGACCACAAAGUGCACAAUUAUUCAUGAAUGAUGUGCUAGAAAAGUUUGAAAAACAUCCUUUGCUGGGAAUUUCCCCUUCAAGUCUAUUGAAAGACACAUUAAAAUACUUUAGAUAUAAAAGCUUUUCCAAAGAUUUGGGAAUGACUCCAGAGAGAUUGUUAUUGCAUAAAUCCAAGAAUUCCAAACUAAUCAACCCUUCAAAUGAUUCAGGGAUAUGACCAUAUAGUAUGUUAUUUGAUAAAUCUAAUGAAACCAAAGUUAUAAGACCCCCAAAUGUGGAUAAGAUAUCGCUCGUGAGAAGAUUCCUUGAUAAAUUUAGUCUCAGUAGACUCCUAAAAUUUCCAACAUCAAUAGCAUGUGAAUUGUGAAGACGGUUUGAUGAUAAAUCUAUUUCUAAGAUAUCUUUAAGACUCCACAAAGUUGAGGGUAUUGUAGAACUCAAUUUGUUGGAACCUAACCAAAGAUAUCUCAAAGCAGAAAUAUUACCUAAACAAGAGGGUAUGGAUCCAUGCAGCUUAUUCAACCCUAAAUACAUCUCGUAUAGUCUCUCCAAACCACAAAGGCUUUCUGGGAUAGGCCCUCCUAAUUUAUUAGAGGAAAGACCUAGAAUUUGGAGAUUUCUCAUUCCUCCUAUUGAUGCUGGAAUCAAUCCACUUAAUUUAUUAUACCCAAGAUCUAAAAGCAAUAGGUUGGUUAAGUUACCUAUUUCCAUAGGAAUAAUGCCUUGAAGCUCACACUCUGUGGCAUGAAAGUAUUGAAGGGAUUUUGAAAGGUUCCCGAAAUAAGUAGGAAGAACGCCACUCAAUGGAUUUCCUGAAACAUCUAUUAUGCUCAAAUUCCUACAAUUCGUCAAAGAAGAAAGAAAGCUCCACUCAUGAUCAGUAGCAGAUCCUGUGAUCAAAUUAUUGUCAUAGAUUUGGAGCCAUACAAGUUGUCUUAAGCUGCCAAGCGUUUUAGGGAUUGGGCCAGAGAAUGAGUUAUCUCCCAAGUCUAGUUCCUUAAGCAUGGAAGCAUUGGAGAUAGAGUUGGGAAUGUUUCCGCUAAGUUUAUUUCCCCACAGUAAAAGAAUCUGAAGCUUUGGAGCAUUGGUAAUGGGUGGUAAAUUACCUGUAAAAUAGCAUCUUUUAGAAAACAUUCACAAAAUAUAUAAUACAUUAAAAUAAAAACUUUAAAUCAAUUAAGAAUAAAAUUUUGGCAUGGAAAAAUGUGAUGAAAUCAAUUAGAAAGUUGAGACAUAAUAAGAAGUUUUGAGUAGUAAUUAGUCCUUGUGAUUUGUAUAGACAAAACAUAUAAUACACUGAUAAUUUUUUUAAAAUAUUGUAAAACCUGAAAUAAAAUAAAAAAUAAAAGUUUGGCACGAGAAUGUGGCAUCUAAUCAUUCUUAAAAAUAAGACUAACAUUAAAUAAUAAUUAGUUAUGAUUUGAGAAACAAAAAUGUUAAAGAUGUAAACUGGUAUGAUUUUUAUCUAUUGGGUUAAUUAUUUAUUUUUAUUAAAUUAUAUAUAGUGUAAAAUUUAAAGAUUAUUAUUUGCUCAAAAUUUUUGUAUUUUAGGAUUUUAGGAUCGCAUUUAAUUCAAUUGUAUUUAAGACCUCAUGAAUUUAUUCUAUAAUUUGAGUCUUUUCAACCUUUUGGGAAAUAAUAAAACAUCGACAUUAAACUUGUUGUUGAUGCAUUCAAUUUGAUUUUUUGAGGGGUCAUUGGAGUUAUAUGUGAAUUUAGCAUUGAUUGACUUUUUUAGAAUUAAUCUUUUAUACCAAUUUAAUAACAUCGACAUGUUUUUGGGUAGGGUCGAGCAAAACCCAAUUAAAACCGAUGAAAUUGGUUUAGUUAACUCGGUCAAGUCCAUUAGAUGGAUAAAAUCAAUUUUAAAAUCAGUUAUUAUGGAUUAAGGUAAUUAAUUAUCGAGUAAUGAAAUACAUAAUCAAAUCAAUUGAUUUUGUUAGAAACUAAAAGAAAGUGGGAUAAGCUGAAAACUGAUUGCCCUUUUUUAGAAUUAAGGAAUCAGCCUUUUACAUGUUAGAUAAUAUGAACACCCCAUAUAUAAUAAGAAAAAUUAUGUACGAUUAUUUAUUAUCAUAAAUGGUUAGUUUAAAUUUAAAGUAAUCUAAUAUGUGUGUUGAACUUCAACUAUUACAUAAAGUAUAAGCUAAAUAUGUAUAAAUAUUCUAGAAACCAUUUCUAACUGAUGAUAGGCUAAUUUGAAAUUAAGAUUAAUAUAUAAAAACUAGAUAGUAGGGUUAUAGUCCUCAAACUACACCUAAUUUAAUAAAAUCUAUAGUUUUUAUAGCCUUAAACAUUUAUAGAUUUUGUUAAUUUGGUCCUUACUCUUUAAAAUUACAUAAAAAUUGCAAAAAUAUUUUAGAAAUACAAUUUUUUCGUAUUUUUAAUAACAUUUAUAGUUUUUUUUUUGGUUUGGUAACUUAUCAACUCGACUCUUAAUUGUAACCAACUUUUCUGAUUUUUUCGUACCCUUAACCUAAGUCCCGUUACAACUUUCUAAAGACCUCUUGAUUGGUGUAUCAUCUCGAUUUGUUCUUAUAGUGGUGGGGAUUUGGUUUUCAAGCAAGCCUAUGCUAAUCACAUUUUUCGUUCAACUAUUGAGCACACAGUACUUGAACCUUAAACACUUUGAGUGCUUUGAGUGAAUCUUAGUUAGGGUAUUGAUUAUUGUUGAGUUUGAAUUUUAGGUAAUUAUUGAGAUGGAGGAGAUGCCUAUUUUUUUGUGCUUUACAAAUUUCUGCUUAGAUUGCUUUUAUUCUUUAGUUUCAUGCUAGUUUCAAUUUCCAGUGCAUGAUUAUCUAUAGAUUAUUCAUAAGGCAUUGUCGGUGAAAACAAUAAAUUGAGGGAGAUUAACUUGAAAUAAAUUGAGGGAUAUUAACUUGAAUAAAGGUUGAGAAUUUUGCUUAAGGACAAACAAAUGCUUAAGUGUGGGGAUAUUUGAUAAGUGCUAAAAUUGAUAUGUUUUAACAUCAUUCUUAAUGUGUUUUUGGUUGAUUAUUCGAUGUUAAUGAUGCUCCUAAUCCUUACAAUUCGUGUUUUUAUGCUUAAUAGAACAUUUGGGAGGAAAAUGAGCUAAAAAUGAACGAAAACCUGAAAAUGGGGGCAAACUAUAGGACAUGGGCUGACCUAUUCCUCAUGACCGUAUGACUCACACGAUCAUGUGGUAGGUUGUGUCGAUUUCGUAGAUUUGCACUCUGAACUGUAAAAAAAGAAAAUUUUAGAUUUUUUGAGCAUUUUAAUACGUAUAUAUGAAAAAAAUAAGAAGAUAGGAGAGAACCUUCCUAGAAUAUUUAAGAAAACAACUCCAAAGACACUAUUGAAGUCGACUCUGAAGCAAAUUUUCCUCAAGAUUGAAGAUUCCCAGUUGGUUUCUUAAGAGAUUAUCAUGAGUUUCUUUAUUUCUUCUGGUUAUACUGCCCUUUGGAUGUUUUUAUUUUUAAGCAUGAACUAAUUUUCUAAAUACCGAAUUAGAGAGAUGAACCCUAUGAUAGAUUGUGACACCCCAAACCCAACCGGAUAGACCCGCCCGAAUUCAAAGCAUUUCAUUAGCCACCUAAGUGACUCUCCAGCUAACGACCACCCAAGACACACCUCGACCUUAUAACACCUCAAUCUUAUCUAAUUACUAGUUAUUUAUUAAUGUAGAAGUAAAUUAAUAUGAGCCAAUUUUAAACUUUUUCUAGGUAAUUUAACCUAAAGGCAAUUUUGUCAUUUUACCACCUAAUGUAAAACUAACCCGAUUUUAGAUCUAAGUGUUUACUAACCUUCUUUUAGUCAAAUUAUACAAGCCUAAAAUUUUCAGCUUAAUUUGAGUCCGUUUACUAUGUCUAAUUCAAGUUUUAUUAAUAAGGACUCAAUUGUAACUUAAACAAAUUAAAAUACCAAUUUAAAGAGACAAAAAUUCAAAACUCCAAAACCCACACGGGCAUGUGGGUAAGUGACAAGGGCUUGUGGGAUUGAAAAAUAUGAAAUAAAUUAAUCCACUCAAUUUUCCAACAACCAUGCUAUACUACCAAACCAAAAAAACACUUGAAGUUUUGAAUAGGGGCGAAUCUAAAAAAAAUUAGAAGAAUUAGAAUUAAAUUAUAAAAUUUUGAGAAGUUAAAAUAUAAUUUUAUCAUGUAUUAAUUUAUUGUUUUUUAAAGGGUCCUAAUAUAAUUUUUUUCCCAUUUUGGUUGGGCCAAUACCCCUGCCUGCCUCUUUAAAUUUGCUCCAACACUAAACCCAAUAUUCGAUUUGGAUUAACAACAACAUAUAGGUUAGUAUUUGUGGGAGUUUGACGAAUAAAAAUUCCUUUUUUAGAUGUUUAAAUUAUAAAUUUUUGAAAGAUUAAAAUAAAUUUGUAUUUUUUUAUUAACAAAAUAUAAAAGAAAAAAAAAUAUGUUUAGACAAGCCAAGAGAACUUUGGGAUCAUACAGGUGAUUUUGAGAUGUUAAUGGUUAUUUUGGUGGACAGCGUAAAAAAGAAACAAAUGAUUCAUUAUAUAUAAUAUAAUUAUGAAUUUCAAGCCAUAUAUUGUAUGUUUCAUCCAUAAAAAUUUCAUGGGAGGUCCAAAGGUAAUUAAAUGACUUGUAGGCUUGCUGAAUUUCUUUGAAAGGCCCAAAGGCAAUUUAACAUUCACAAAAUAAUCUCUAAAUACUGUAAAGACAAAUCAAAUCCACAGUAGCAUUAGAGUUGAUUAAGCUAAGCAUUGGCAAAUAUUACUUUGAUUUUGCAUGCAAAAUUGGCAAAACCCCCUCUUACAUUAGAAAAACAACAUAAUCCAUGAAACAUUGAUGGCUCAAUACAAAUUUCAUCGAGAAAAAAGUCUCUUUGUUUUGGAGAACAUGAUAGUAAAGAUGUGGAGUUUCGUUCUUCUAAUUGGCCUCCUUUAGUUUUCCUUGAUCAACAACAAUUAGCCAAAAACACAGUUAGAUUAGAUUAUGAAUGAUACUUUCAACUAUGACAAUAUUAAAUACAAAACACUCUAAAUAAAUGGAAAGUAGCAAAUUAAGACCAUUGUGUUAUACUUGUCUCUGAAUUGAAAGAUUUAGAAGAAAAUAAAGAGAAAGAGUUAGAAAAUACUUGAAAACAGAUAAAACUUAUAUGUCAUUUAAAAUAAAAAAAAUUUCUAUUUAAGCCAUUUAAAAUUUUUAAGAUUUUUUAAAUUUUAAAAUGAUAAAGGUAAAACUAUAUUUUGGUACCCAAAAAUGAUAAAACUUUGAUUUAAUUCUUUAGAAAUUAUAAAAAUAUAGGCUAUUAAAAUGGUGAAAUUAUAUUUUUACUAUAUUAAAAAUUACAAUUUAAUUUCACUUGCUAAAAGGAUUUACUGGCUUCGCCCCUAAUAAAAUCUUUGGCAAAAGAUUAAAAUAAAAUUAUACCGUGAAUGGAAAAAGAAACUUAAGAAAACCCAAUCUCACAAAGAAAAUAACUUGUCCAAAAGCUACCAUAAACCGUAAUUCAUGCGAAGGCUUGUUGCUCAUUUUAUUGGUUUCCAUUUUGAUUUUGCAAAAGAAGUUUGAAUUUUGAAGAGAGCAAAAGAAAAAAAUAGUUUAUUAAUUUUUUACGAAUACCGACAUAUUAUAUACAUGAUUAAAAUUCCAGAAUAGAUUAAAAAUGUUGAAUUAAAGAUAAAAUUAAGUAUGAAUUAAGAACCACAAGUGUACUCAUUACUCACCAUCUCUGUUAAAAAUGUUGUUUAGCAACCUGUGUUUGAUUUUCUUCAGCUCAACCACAACAUCUUUCAUAUCUUUUCUUUCUUCUGGUAACUCAGCUGAACAAUUCAAAGCCAAUUCCAUGAUAGAUGAAAUACAAUUUGCUUUAACAACAAUGUACUCAUCCUCUCUUCUUAGUAAAUCAACAUCUGCAAUUUCUAUUGCUCCUUUAGGCAAUGAACUUUCCAUCCAAUGCCUUACAGUCUCUUCUUCAACAAAAACAUUAUCAGUUGGCUUUUUCUUUGUGAAAGUUUCUAUAAGGACGAUCCCAUAACUAUAGACGUCAGAUUUUAUAGAAACAAUUCCUGCUGAUCCAAAUUCUGCAUUUCAAGUAUCAUUAGAACAUCAUUCACCCUCAAUUAUUUCUAAAAUGCUUAUUCAAAUAUAUAUCCGCAUACACAAGAAACAAAAAUAUAAAAUGCAAAUUAGGAAAAUAAUCGUACAAAAACAAAAAAGAAUUCACCUGGUGCCAUAUACCCGAUAGUUGCAAGAGUCAUGGUUUGCUUCAUUACUUCACCUUCUCCCAACAAUUUGGCAACGCCAAAAUCUCCAACAUGUGCAACCAUGUCUUCAUCUAGUAAAAUAUUGCUUGGUUUUAUGUCACAAUGAAUUAUAGGUGUUGGAUGUCCAUUGUGGAGGUGUUCUAUAGCUACCGCAACAUCUAUCAUUAUGUCGACCCUUUGUAUGAUAUCAAGGAAACAAUUUUCAGAAUGUAACCAUUUCUCAAGGUUUCCAUUAGACAUGUAAUCAAGCACCAAGGCUUUGAAGUCAACACUUGAGCAGCAAGUAAUGACCUUCACAAUAUUACGAUGAACUAUAUUAAGCAUAACAUCACAUUCAAUGUCAAAACUCCUAAAUGCUCCCUCUGUUUGCAAAUUGAAAACUUUUAUUGCAACUUCCAUUCCAUCUGAAAGCCUCCCUUUAUAUAC
rnacentral:lncRNA from 1 species